rnacentral:lncRNA from 1 species
GCCUCAUUUCAUAGGGAACCUCAAAGUGGCUCUAUUUCAUUAUAUUCCAUCCAGAUCCUAAUCCCAUUUUUAUAUUGUCAUUGACAAGACAUAAGAGAUGUUGGUUCUAGUCUAUCUUUUUCUAUUUCUAUAUAUGUAUAUGGAAAGUUCAAAAAUCAUCAUAUAAUAAUCCAGGAAUAAAAAAGAAAAAAGGGAGGUUAAUGAUGAUUUUAAAAUCUUUUAUACUAGGGAAUCUAAUAUCCUUAUACAUGAAGAUAAUCAAUUCGGUCGUUAUGGUUGGACUCUAUUAUGGAUUUCUGACCACACUAUCCAUAGGUCCAUCUUAUAUCUUCCUUCUACUAGCUCGGUUUAUGGAAGAAUGAGAAGAAGGAACCGAGAAUAGAGUAUCAGCAACAACUGGGUUUAUUGUAGGCCAGCUCAUGAUGUUCAUAUCAAUCUACUAUGUACCUCUGCAUUUAGCAUUGGGUAAACCUCAGACAAUAACUGUCCUAGCUCUACCUUAUCUUUUGUUUCAUUUCUUCUAGAACAAUCACAAAGACUUUUUUGAUCAUAGACGUCCUACCAGAAAUUCAAUUCGUAAUCUUAGCAUUCAAUGUGUAUUCUUGAAUAAUCUCAUUAUUCAAUUAUUCAACCAUUUCAUUUUACCAAGUUCAAUGUUAGCCAGAUUAGUCAACAUCUAUAUGUUUCGAUGCAACAACAAUAUGUUAUUUGUAACAAGUAGUUUUGUUGGUUGGUUAAUUGGUCAUAUUUUAUUGAUGAAAUGGGUUGGGUUGGUAUUAGCCUGGAUACAACAAAAUAAUUUAAUUAGGUCUAAUGUACAUAUUCGAUCUAAUAAGUAUCUUGUAUCAGAAUUUAGAAAUUCUAUGGCUCGAAUCUUUAGUAUUCUGUUAUUUAUUACCUGUGUUUACUAUUUAGGUAGAAUACCAUCACCCAUUCUAAUUAAGAAACUGAAAGGAAUUUUCGAACCGGAAGAAGUGGAGGAAAGUGAGGAAGAAAGAAACAUAAAAAUAGAAACUAUUUCCGAACGGGGAGGGGCUAACUAGAAACAGGGGACCGAAGAAAAUACUUCUUCUUCCCUUUUUUCAGAGGAAGAGGUUGAUCCAAGCAAAAUCGACGAAACAGAAAAGCUAUGAGUGACUAGAAAGAAAAAAAAAUAAAGGGCCAACUCCACUUUCGUUUUAAAGAGACAUACUAUAAAAAUAGACUGGUUUAUGAAACUUCUUAUCUGGAUGGGAAUCAAGAAAGUUCGAAGUUAGAAAUAUUAAAAAAAAAAAAGAUAAAUAUUUAUUAUGGAUUGAAAAACCUCUUAUGACACUUCUUUUUUAUUCUAAACGAUGGAAUCGACCUUUGCGAUAUAUAAAAAAUGACCGGGUUGAAAAUGCUAUAAAAAAUGAAAUGUCACAAUAUUUUUUUUAUACAUGUCAAAGUGAUGGAAAAGAAAAAUAUCUUUUACGUAUCCACCCAGUUUAGCAACUUUUGGGGAAAUGAUACAAAAAAAUAUAUAUUUUUUCACACUAGAAAAAUGGUUUUCUGAUGAAUUGUAUACUGAUUGGAGUUUUAUCAAUGAACUAAAAAGAAGAAAUUUGAGUAAGGAGUUUAUAAAAAGAGUUGAAUCUUUAGAUAAGGAAUCUUUUGAUCUGGGCAUACUUGAAAAAAGGACUCGAUUCUCUAAUAAUGAAACUAAACGAGAAUACUUGCCUAAACUAUAUGAUCCUUUCUUGCAUGGACCCUACCGCGGAAGAAUCAAAAAAUAGGGUUCUCCUUUAAGCAUAAAUCAAACUUAUAAAAAAAAAACACGGAUCCAUUUUGGAUAAAUAAGAUUCAUGCUCUACUUCUUACUACUGAUUAUCACGACCUUGAACAGACACUAGAUACACUCAAUAUAAAAUCAUUAGCAACAGAAAAAGAACUCUCUUUAUUGACAUUAACAGAAGAUGAACAGGGAAAUAUCGAUUCCGAGGAUCGAGUCAAAAUUUUGAAUUUUUAUUCAAUAUAGUUAUAACUAAUCCCAACAAUCAAACAAUUAGAAAAAAAUCUAUUCGAAUAAAAGAAAUAAGUAAAAAAGUUCCUCGAUGGUCAUACAAAUUAAUCGACGAUUUAGAACAACAGGAGGGAGAAAACGAGGAAAACGUAACAGCAGAGCAUGAAAUUCGUUCAAGAAAAUCCAAGCGCGUCGUGAUUUUUACUAAUAACUAGGAAAACGUCGAUAUUUAUACUAAUACCAAGGAUGCUAAUGAUCCUAAUCAAACAGACGAAGUGGCUUUGAUACGCUAUUCGCAACAAUUAGAUUUUCGGCGCUACAUAAUAAAGGGUUCCAUGCGUGACCAAAGGCAUAAAACAAUUACUUGGGAGAUGUUUCAAGCAAAUGUACAUUCCCCCCCUUUUUUCGGACAGAGUAGACAAACCACUCUUUUUUUCUUUUGAUAUUUCUGGACCAUUGAAACGAAUAUCUCAAAAUUGGAUAUGUAAAAACAAAGAAUCAAAAAUUUCUGAUUAUAUAGAAAAAAAAGAUCGAGAAAAAAGAUGAGGCCAAAAGAGAAAAAUACAAAAGAGAAGAGAAAAUGAGGAUAGAAAUAGCAGAAGCUUGGGAUAGUCUUUUACUUGCUCAAGUAAUAAGGGGCUCCGUGUUAAUAACCCAAUCAAUUCUUAGAAAAUAUAUUAUAUUACCUUCACUGAUAAUAGUUAAAAACAUUGCCCGUAUGUUAUUAUUUCAAUUUCCUGAGUGGUCUGAGGAUUUAACGGAUUGGAAUCGAGAAAUGCAUGUUAAAUGCACUUAUAAUGGUGUUCAAUUAUCCGAAACAGAAUUUCCAAAAAACUGGUUAACAGAUGGUAUUCAGAUAAAGAUCCUAUUUCCUUUUUGCCUGAAACCUUGGCACAGAUUUAAACUACAACCCUCUCAUAAAGAUCCAAUGAAAAACAAGAAAGGUCAAAAGAAUGAUUUUUGCUUUUUAACAGUUUGGGGAAUGGAAACUGAACUACCAUUCGGCUCUCCUCGAAAACGGCGUUCGUUUUUUGAGCCUAUUUUUAAAGAACUAAAAAAAAUGGAAAACGAAAUGUUUUAUAGCUUUAACAAUUUUAAAAGAAAAAACUAAAUUGUUUCGAAAAGCUUCAAAAGAAACAAAAAAAUGGAUCACUCAAAGCAUUCUAUUUCUAAAAGGAAUAAUAAAAGAACUUUCAAAAAUAAAUCCAAUUCCAUUUUUUGGGUUGAGAGAACCAUAUGAAUUGGGCGAAACUAAAAAGGAUUCAAUAAUCAGUAAUAAGAUGAUUCACAAAUCAUCCCUUCAAAUUCAAUCUAUGGCGUGGAAAAAUUAUUCAUUAACUGAAAAAAAAAAUAAAAGAUCUGACUAAGAGAACAAACACAAUCAAAAAUCAAAUACAAAAAAUUCUAAUUAUAAAAGACAAGAAAAACGAAUUUCUAACUCAAGAAAUAAAUAGUAGUUCUAACAAAAUAAGUUAUCAGGAUAAAAUAUUAGAAUCAUCAAAAAAAUUUUGGCAAAUAGUAAAAAGAAGAAAUAUUCGAUUAAUCCGGAAAUUCUAUUUUUUUAUAAAUUUUUUCAUUGAAAAGAUAUACAUGGAUAUUCUUCUAUAUAUCAUUAAUAUUCCAAGAACCAAUACCCAACUUUUCUUGAAUCAACAAAAAAAUGAUUGAGAACUUCAUUCACAAUAAUGAAGCAAAUCAAGAAAGAAUUAAUAAAACAACUAAAAAUACAACUCAUUUUAUUUCAACUAUAAAAACCUCACUUUCUUCACUUUCUAAUAUUAGUAUUAGAAAUAAAAAUGAAAAAGCUUUUUGUGACUUAUCCUCCCUCUCACAAGCAUAUGUAUUUUACAAAUUAUCACAAACCCAAGUUAUUAGUUUUUAUAAAUUCAAACCUAUCCUUCAAUAUCAUGGAACAUCUCUUUUUCUAAAAAUGAAAUAAAAGAUUAUUUUGAAGAACGGGGAGUAUCUCAUUCCAGAUUAAGACAUCAUUAUGGGUUAAGACAGAAAAUUGUUUGGCAUUCUGGAAUGAAUGAAUGGAAAAACUGGUUAAGGAGUCGUUAUCAAUACGAUUUAGUUCAGAAUAGAUGGCUAAAAUUAGGACCAGGACAAUGGCGAAAUAGAGUCAAUCAACACUAUCUGGCUCAAAAUAAACAUUUAACAAAAUGGGAUUCAGAUGAAAAAGAAAGAUUAAUUCAUUACGAAAAAAAAAAUGAUUUUCAAGCGAACUCAUUACCAACUCAAGGAUAUAAACUGAAUCAAGAACAAAAAUAUUAAAAAUCUAAUUUUAAAAAACACUAUGGAUAUGAUUUUUUAUCAUAUAAAUCUAUUAAUUAUCAAGAUAAGAGGGACCCGUAUUGAUACGGGGUUGCGCGCGGACCAAGAUCGAGUUGCCAAGUCACGGGAAACUCCUACGAAAACCCUAAACAAUUAGAUCUGAAACGAAACAGAAAAUUAAAAGAUUAGAUUUUUGAAUUUUCAGAUCUGAAAUAAAAUCCCCAAAACAGUAAAGAAUCAAAUAGAGAAUAGAAAUAAGUGUUAGGGUUCUUGAAACCCUCAAGGAGAUUGUGAUUCUGCCCAAUUGAACACCAAGAUAGUUUUCCCCAAAUUUCAACAAUCUAAUUUCACCCAAAAAGAGUAUAGAAAAACCCUAGAAAUUGGGGAUUUUUUUGGGCUGAUUCCUUAAGAUAGAAAAAGGCUGAAAACACAAUAAGAACAGAAAAUAGAUUAGAUAAUGAUUCAGCACAAGUAGAAAUAAAGAAAUAAAAUGAAAUAGCAAGAAAUAAAGAAAGUCCUAAAGAUCCUUGAAAUCCCGAAAGAUUUCACAAAUCCCUUCAAACGGCUCUAAUCUCCCCUCCAAAGAAUAUCAAUGGCAAGAAGAAGGUUGAAGAUGGCUCCCACAAUCAAAAAGAUUGUUAAAACAACUUCUAAAGAAAACUCAAGAGAAAAUCCUUGAAGAACUCAAAGAGAAUUUUCACUCAAAUCAAAUCUGAAAUUUUUAAUGUAAUUGUAAUGUAAUGUAGGGUGGCUGGCCAAGCCAUAUAAAUAGGCCUUUAAAAUGUUUUCCUAAUUUAAUUAGAACACUAAAACUAAAACUAAAAAAAAACUCCUAAUUAUUUUAAUAUGGAAAUUCGGCCAAGGGUCUUUUAUUUGGGACUCUUGGACUGAAUAUAAAAAUUUAAACUAAGUAAAAUAAAUAAAUAAAAAAAUAAAACUUUACAACUUGGGCCACUUUGACAAUUUGGCCUGAUUUUCAACUAAGUAUGGGUGGAUUUCUUGAUUGGGCUUGGAAGAAUUUGGGCUUGUGAUCCAUCUCCUACCGAAAUUGAAUUGUUGAUGCUCGUAAUGGAGAUCCAAUGCGCUUUGGCUGCAAGAUUUGGUGUCUUGGACCAAGAUUCCCAAUAUUUGAAAUCUUGAUUUUCCCUUUCUUUUGUGUACGCAUCUAAGGCCUUACUAACAAACUCCUGGAUGGUCCCAUUUAGUUUGGAACGCAUUUGUCGGGCCUUUGAUCUCGUAUCAUUCCCCCCUUCCUCAAAAAGAUUCGACCUCGAAUCUGAAAAAUCAAAUGGGGACAAGUCAGCCACAUUAAAAGUAGAACUUACAUUGUACUCACCAGGUAGAUCAAUUUUAUAGGCAUUAUCGUUGAUCCUCUCGAGUACUUGGAAAGGCCCAUCGCCCCUUGGGUCCAACUUGGUCUUUCUUCUUGCAGGAAAUCGUUCUUUCCUCAUAUGGACCCAAACCCAAUCUCCGGGUUCUAGGACAACCCGUUUGCGCCCCUUGUUUGCUUUGUUGGUGUUGGCAUCAUAUGUUUUGGCUAUUCGUUGCCUAGCCUGCUCAUGUAAGGAUUUCACCAACUCAGCUUUCUGUUCACCAUCUAAAUUAACAAUGUGUUCAAGUGGUAAUGGCGCAAGAUCAAGUACUGUUAGUGGGUUAAAACCAUAAACAAGUUCAAAUGGAGAAUAACCAGUUGUAGAAUGAAUAGAUCUAUUAUAUGCAAAUUCAACAAACGGUAGGCAUUCUUCCCAAUUUCUAAUGUUCUUUCCCACAACAGAUCGUAAUAAAGUCCCUAAGAUCCGAUUAACUACUUCGGUUUGGCCAUCAGUUUGGGGGUGACAUGUAGUGGAAUAAAGUAAUUUAGUACCAAGCUUACCCCACAAUACCUUCCAAAAGUGGCUAAGAAAUUUGACAUCUCUGUCAGAAACAAUUGUUUUAGGGAUGCCAUGAAGUCUUACCACCUCUUUAAAGAAUAAGUCUGCUACAUGUGUAGCAUCAUCUGUUUUGUGACAAGAAAUAAAAUGUGCCAUCUUUGAGAACCUGUCAACAACAACAAAUAUACUAUCUCUUCCUUUCUUAUUUCGAGGCAAACCUAGAAUAAAGUCCAUGGAUAAAUCUACCCAAGGUGAAGUAGGAAUCGGUAAAGGAGUGUAAAGGCCAUGAGGCAUUACCUUAGAUUUUGCUUGUUUGCAUGUAAUGCACUUGGAACAUACCUUUUCGACAUCCUUUUUCAUAUGUGGCCAAUAGAAGUGUUCUUGCAAGAUAUCCAGUGUUUUGGCCACUCCAAAAUGUCCCAUUAAACCUCCACUAUGGGCCUCAUGAAUCAAUAAGUCUCUCAUGGAACACUUUGGUAUGCAUAACCUGUUCAUACGAAAAAGAAAGCCAUCUACAAGAUAAAAUUUAUCGAAAGCAGUAUGUCCACAAUUCUUAUAGAUAUGGCCGAAAUCAGCAUCAUCAUCAUAUAGUUCCUUAAUAUGUUCGAACCCUAAGACUUUAGCAUUCAAUGUAGUUAUUAAAGUAUAUCGCCUAGACAAAGCAUCUGCGACUACAUUAUCUUUACCUGUUUUAUAUUGAAUCACAUAAGGGAAUGUUUCAAUGAAUUCUACCCAUCGGGCAUGUCUUUUACUCAACUUACCUUGUCCCUUUAACCAUUUAAGAGACUCAUGAUCUGUAUGUAUGACAAACUCAUUAGGCAACAAAUAAUGUUGCCAUACUUGAAGUGCACGAACUAAUGCCAAUAGUUCUUUGUCAUAAGUCGAGUAAUUUAACUGUGCACCGUUCAAUUUCUCACUAAAAUAAGCAAUAGGUUGCUUAUCUUGCAUUAAAACGGCGCCGAUUCCAAUUCCUGAAGCAUCACACUCAAGUUCAAAAGUGUUAGCAAAAUCAGGUAAUUUAAGCAAAGGAGCAGAACAUAACUUAGCUUUUAGAGUUUGAAAAGCUUUUUCUUGGGUUUCACCCCAUUUGAAACCCACUGAUUUCUUUAUAACUUCAGUCAAUGGGGCAGCAAUAGUAGAGAAAUCUUUCACAAAUCGUCUAUAAAAACUGGCUAAACCAUGGAAAGAUCUCACCUCAGUUACCGAUUUAGGAGUCGGCCACUCCUUAAUUGCCUUAACUUUGUCCUUGUCGACAUGAAUACCUUGAGUACUAACUAUGAAACCUAAGAAUAUUAGUUUAUCACAACAGAAUGUGCAUUUAUCAAGGUUGGCAAAUAAUCUUUCAGUUCGUAGAAUAUCCAAAACGGUUCGAACAUGGAAAACAUGAUCAUCUAAUGACUUUGAGUAAAUUAAAAUAUCAUCAAAGUAAACUACUACAAAUUUACCCAAAUGUAGCCUCAAAACAUGAUUCAUUAAUCUCAUAAAUGUACUAGGUGCAUUAGUAAGGCCGAAAGGCAUAACUAACCAUUCAUACAAUCCAAAUUUUGUUUUAAAAGCUGUUUUCCAUUCAUCCCCUUCCCUCAUUCGAAUUUGAUGAUAACCGCUUCUUAAAUCAAUUUUUGUAAAUAUUAUUGAACCAUGUAAUUCAUCAAGCAUAUCAUCAAGUCUAGGGAUUGGGUGUCGAUACUUUACCGUUAUCUUGUUGAUUGGGCGACAAUCAACACACAUACGAAACGUACCAUCUUUCUUUGGCACCAAUAAGACAGGAACAGCACAAGGACUUAGGCUCUCACGAAUGUACCCUUUGUCUAGUAAUUCCUCCACUUGCCUUUGCAAUUCCUUUGUCUCCUCGGGAUUGCAUCUAUAGGCUGGUCGAUUUGGGAUUGAAGCUCCGGGUACUAAGUCAAUUUGAUGUUCUAUCCCUCGUAAAGGUGGUAAACCUUUAGGGGCCUCACUAAAAACAUCCUCAUAAUCCUGCAAAAGAGAUUGAAACACACUAGGCAAAUUUUCGUUAAUGUUAGAUAAAGAUAAAUAAUUUUGCCUAAACCUCACAAGGAUACAAGGCUGUUUAUUAAGUAGGGCUCUCUUCACAUCUUUUUUUGUUGCCAAAAGAUUUUUCCCGCUCAUUUUACCACUAGAGGAUUCACUCACCUAUGGGCUUUUUAAAUUUUUACUUUUUCCACUACUAUUAGCCUCUUUUCUCUCUGUCUUUUGUACUUGCUCUUUCUCCCUUACCCCCUCACAAAAUUUUAUCAUCCUCAAUUGAUCUUUAUAUACAUCAGUAGGAUUUAAAGGAGCAAAAGUGAAUUUCUUGCCUUUAAAUACAAGGGAGUAUCGAUUAAGUUUACCUUGGUGUGUAACAUCGCGAUCAAAUUGCCAAGGUCGUCCAAGGAGCAAGUGUGCCGCAUGCAUGGGGACUACAUCACACCGUACGUCAUCCUCAUAAUUGCCGAGUUUAAAAGUGACCAAGGACUGUUUCGUAACUUUAACUUCGGAACAUUCAUUAAGCCACUGAAGGUGAUAUGGCUUAGGGUGUUUGGUACAAGGCAACUUUAAAGAAUCCACCAAAUAACUACUCACUACAUUCGAGCAACUCCCACUAUCAAUAAUGAGUGAACAUAAGUUACCUUUAAUAAAACACCGAGAAUGGAAAAUAUUGGUCCUUUGGCUCUCAUCAUCUUUUAUCUGAAUGUUAAGGGUUCGACGAACUACAAGGCAUUGAAAAUUAGCAAAGUCCCCUUCCUUUGGUGGUUCGACCAACUCGUCGCCAUUAUCACUGUCAUCCACAAGUUCUGGCAUAUCUGGAUCUGUAUUAUCAGAGUCGGAAGUGUACUCACCGUUAUCUUUUAGAAGAAGUAAUCUCGUGUUAGGGCAUUCUCUACUAUAAUGACCACGCCCUUUGCACUUAAAGCAUUCAAUCUCACGAGUCCUCUUCGCACUCGAAUCACCUAAAUUGGGCUGCUUAGAAGGUGUUUGUGUUUUUGCAGGAGCCCCUUUUUUCCAAUCUGAUUGUUUACUUCCAUUACUCAAAGAAGACUUGUUAGUAACAAAAGGUGGUUUUGAACUCUUAAAAUCAGAAUUGGAAUUGUUACCUCGAUAAUAUUGUGAAGUAGAUAAGGACCCAAACCUUUGUUCCUUUAAUUGUUGCUCGAUCUCAAUGGCUUUGUGAACUGCUUCUUCCAAAUCAAUGUAAGUUUGUAGCCUCAAUGUAUUAGCUAUCGGCCUGUUCAAACCAUCAAUGAAUCGAACCAUAGUUGUUUCUUCAUCUUCCUCCACAUUAGCUCUCUGAAUGAGCAUCUCCAUCUCUUUAAAAUAUUCAUCCACCGUCCUACUACCUUGGAUAAGUCUUCUCAACUUUGUUUUAAUUUCUCUAUAGUAGUGAGGUGGAAUAAACCUUUUACGCAUAAUCUGUUUCAACUCAUCCCAUGUUGAAAUCUCACCUUCAUAAUUCCGAUGGCGGUUUACCCCAAGUUGAGUCCACCAACUUAAUGCAUAAUCAGAAAAUUCCAGUGUUGCUAACGCUACCUUUUCAUCAUCCGGACAUUUAUAAUAUCGAAACAUGAGUUCAAUCUUAGAUUCCCAUUCACAAUAAGCGUCAGGAUCAUUCUUACCACGAAAUUGGGGAAUUGUGAAUUUCGGUUUUGCCAAAGAAGGUUGUCCACGAUCAUGAAAAUCAUCAUCCAUUCUAGGGACACGUCGAGGGCCGCGCCUAUGGGGCUGGUUAUUCCUAUCUUCCCUGAUUGGAUCUCGAUAUUGAAGUUCUUGAUUCAUUCGUACCUCAUUCAAAGUAGUAUUCAAUGCUUGAAGGGUAGCAUUUAUUUGUGUGAUUGCAGCAGCGUGUCCUUCUAACUGUUGUUGGACUUCCAUAAGUGUAUCAUUAUGGUCAUCUUUAGACAUCUUCCAAAAAAGCUGCAAAAAUAAACACUCAACACUCAAAAAUAAAAGUUAUCAAACCUCACCGUUAAUCACUCAAAAAGAAAGAAAAAAAUUAAAUUCUCAAUGAGGUCGAAUUUAAUCUUGUGAGUUCUUUAUCAGAGUUUAUAUCAACCAAUUAGAGAGUGUGAACCAAACUACCAAAGAAUCCUAAUUUGCACUAGGAUGCCAAAAACUGACGAGACACCAAUUGAUUCGUGUUGCACCGAGGAAGAAGUUGUGCACACGUUUAAAUCCUACUAACACAAGAAACAAGAAGGUGUUAGAUAACGUAAAGGAAGAAUAAAGGUAAACAAAUGAAAACCUACAGCUAAGAAUCAAUAAAAAAUUACUGAAAACAGAAAACCCGAAAAACUGCGGAGUAACUUGACAACUUCGUUCGAGGUGUUCCCGAUCUCCAAAAAUCACGAAAUUAAAUCUGGAAUGUCUUCAAAUAUUGAAUUUUUGAUCUGGAAAAUUUGGGCACCAAAUUCAACCCGCUGAAUAUUUUUUAAUUUUUUAUUGGAUUUCGUAUUUUUUUCAAUUUUUUGACUUUUUCGACUUAUUUUUUUGCGGGAAAUAUUUUUGUAUAUUCAAUAACAGUGCCAAAAAUAUGUAUGUAAAAUUUCAGAUCAAUCAGAAAAUGUUUACCCACUCAAAUGAAUUUUUUUUGAACAAUUUUUUCUGGGUAAUACUGUUGUUUAUGCUUUAAAAAAUAGAGAUCAGUUUAGAAAUCAACCAAGAACACCCAAAACGCCCAAAAUCUGAUACCAAAUGAUACGGGGUUGCGCGCGGACCAAGAUCGAGUUGCCAAGUCACGGGAAACUCCUACGAAAACCCUAAACAAUUAGAUCUGAAACGAAACAGAAAAUUAAAAGAUUAGAUUUUUGAAUUUUCAGAUCUGAAAUAAAAUCCCCAAAACAGUAAAGAAUCAAAUAGAGAAUAGAAAUAAGUGUUAGGGUUCUUGAAACCCUCAAGGAGAUUGUGAUUCUGCCCAAUUGAACACCAAGAUAGUUUUCCCCAAAUUUCAACAAUCUAAUUUCACCCAAAAAGAGUAUAGAAAAACCCUAGAAAUUGGGGAUUUUUUUGGGCUGAUUCCUUAAGAUAGAAAAAGGCUGAAAACACAAUAAGAACAGAAAAUAGAUUAGAUAAUGAUUCAGUACAAGUAGAAAUAAAGAAAUAAAAUGAAAUAGCAAGAAAUAAAGAAAGUCCUAAAGAUCCUUGAAAUCCCGAAAGAUUUCACAAAUCCCUUCAAACGGCUCUAAUCUCCCCUCCAAAGAAUAUCAAUGGCAAGAAGAAGGUUGAAGAUGGCUCCCACAAUCAAAAAGAUUGUUAAAACAACUUCUAAAGAAAACUCAAGAGAAAAUCCUUGAAGAACUCAAAGAGAAUUUUCACUCAAAUCAAAUCUGAAAUUUUUAAUGUAAUUGUAAUGUAAUGUAGGGUGGCUGGCCAAGCCAUAUAAAUAGGCCUUUCAAAUGUUUUCCUAAUUUAAUUAGAACACUAAAACUAAAACUAAAAAAAAACUCCUAAUUAUUUUAAUAUGGAAAUUCGGCCAAGGGUCUUUUAUUUGGGACUCUUGGACUGAAUAUAAAAAUUUAAACUAAGUAAAAUAAAUAAAUAAAAAAAUAAAACUUUACAACUUGGGCCACUUUGACAAUUUGGCCUGAUUUUCAACUAAGUAUGGGUGGAUUUCUUGAUUGGGCUUGGAAGAAUUUGGGCUUGUGAUCCAUCUCCUACCGAAAUUGAAUUGUUGAUGCUCGUAAUGGAGAUCCAAUGCGCUUUGGCUGCAAGAUUUGGUGUCUUGGACCAAGAUUCCCAAUAUUUGAAAUCUUGAUUUUCCCUUUCUUUUGUGUACGCAUCUAAGGCCUUACUAACAAACUCCUGGAUGGUCCCAUUUAGUUUGGAACGCAUUUGUCGGGCCUUUGAUCUCGUAUCACGUAUGCUUAUGGAUCACCAUUCCAAGUAAAUAAGAAGGAAGAGAGUUCUUAUCAUUACAACAUGGAUAAACAAAAUUUUUUUGAUACACUGAGGGAUAUCCCCAUCCAUAAUUAUUUAGGAGAAGGCGAUAUCCUAGAUGCUAUGGGGAAUUUUUUGCACAGAAAGUUUUUUAAUUGGAGAAUUCUUGAUUUUUGUCUUAGAAAUAAGGUCGAUAUUGAGUCCUGGGUCGAUACCAGUACCAAGAGUAACAAAAAUAUUAAGAUUGUGGUUAAGAAUUAUCAAAUAAUUGAUAAAAUGGACCUUUUUUAUUUCACAAUUUAUCAAGAUCAAGAAAGCAACCCAUCCAAUAAAAAAGGAAGUCAUUUUGAUUGGAUGGGACUGAAUGAAGAAAUACUAAGUCAUCCUAUACCGAAUCUAGAAAUUUGGUUCUUCCCAGAAUUUGUGCUGCUAUAUAAUGCAUAUAAGGUUAAACCAUGGAUCAUACCAAUAAAAUUACUUCUUUUCUAUUUUAAAGGAAAUAGGAACAUUAAUAAAAAUAUUAUUGAAAAUAAAAAAAGGGACUCCCUUAUAGCACCAAACAAAAAACAAAUUAUUGGAUUAGAGAAUCGAAAUCAAGAAGAAAAAGAACCCAUAGGUGAAGGGGGUCUUGUAUCAGAUGCACAAAAACAAGGAAAUUUUAAAUCCGUUCUCUCAAACCAAGAAAAAGAUGUUGAAGAAGAUUAUGAUAAAUCAGACAAAAAAAACGUAGAAAGAAAAAGCAAUACAAGAGCAACACGGAAGCAGAGCUUGAUUUCUUCCUAAAAAGGUAUUUGCGUUUUCAAUUGAGAUGGGAUGAUUCUUUAAAUCAAAGAAUAAUCAAUAAUAUCAAAGUAUAUUGCCUCCUGCUUAGACUGAUAAAUCCAAACGAAAUUGUUAUAUCCUCUAUUCAAUGGGGAGAGAUGAAUAUGGAUAUUUUGAUGAUUCAGAAGGAUUAAACUCUUAGAGAAUUAAUGAAAAAAGGAAUAUUGAUUAUCGAUCCAGUUCAUCUGUCGGUAAAAAAUGAUGGACAAUUUAUUCUAUAUCAAACUAUAAGUAUUUUGUUUGUUCAUAAAAAUAAACACCAAAUUAAUCAAAGAUACCAGGAAAAAAACUAUAUUGAUAAAAAUCAUUUUUAUGAAUUUAUUGCAAGACAUCAAAAGAUGACUGAAAAUAAAGACAAAAAUCAUUAUGAUUUAUUUGUUCCUGAAAAUAUUUUAUCCCCUAACCACCAGCGAGAAUUGCGAAUUCAAAUUUCUUUCAAUUCAAGGGAUAAAAAUGGUAUGCAUAGAAAUGCAGUAUUUUUAAAUAAUGUAAAAAACUGUGGUCAAGUUUUGACUAAAAACAAACAUCUUGAUAGUGAUAAAAAGAAACUAAUUAAAUUAAAGUUCUUUCUUUGGCCCAAUUAUCGAUUAGAAGAUUUAGCUUGUAUGAAUCAAUAUUGGUUUAAUACUAAUAACGGCAGUCGUUUCAGUAUGAUAAGGAUCCGUAUGUAUCCGCGCCUGAAAAUUCGUUAAUGGUACAUUUUAAUGGUACAUUUUCCCCUAUAUUAUGUAUGUAUUGUGCCAAGUAUAUGAAAACAAAUAGAUGGUUGCAAGGAUUGUCUUACAUUUUAUUCUAAUACACAUACUAAUUUAAUGACAUACAUAUCAAUUAGAUCAACAAAUGAAUCAACAAAAUCCUCUUAUUUGAACUCUAAAAUUUUCUCUUUUGUAGAAAUCUCUCACUCUUUUGUAUCCCUAUACGAAUCAAAUCGAAACCCAGAUUGAUUAAUUUUAUUUGAAAAAAAUGAUAAAGUUCAUAACGAACUUAAAAUCAUCUUGUAUAUCAAAAUAACUGAUAUUAUUAUUACUGAUCAGUCAAAUUCACAUUCAAAAAAGGGGGAAAUUUUUUGGUUUUAUGGUAAAAAAUUCAUUCAUCUCAGUUAUUUUUCAAGAAAAAAAAGAAGAAAAAAGGGGGUCUGUUGAAUUUCAAAUAGUUAGUUUCACCAAUAAGAUACGAAGACUUAUUUCACAUUUGGAAUUGCACAAAAAAGACUAUUUAUCUCAGAGAGGUCUACGUAAAAUUCUAGGAAACGUCAAUGACUGCUAUCUUAUUUAUCAAAGACAAAUAAAAUACGUUAUAAAGAAUUAAUUGGUGAGUUGGAUAUUCGAGAAUCAAAAAAUCGUUAAUUUGAAAAUUUUGAAUUAGUCGAUUUAUUAGAUUUUCAUUUUGAUGUACUGAUUUUCGUUUUCAACAAUUCAUGUAAGAAUGAAUUGAGGAAAAACUUAUGAAUCUAUCAGCUAUAGAAAAGACCUUAUGAUAGUCAAUAUGGGUCCUCACCACCCAUCAAUGCAUGGUGUUCUUCAUCUCAUCGUUACUCUAGAUGGUGAAGAUGUUGUUGACUGUGAACCAAUAUUAGGUUAUUUACACAGAGGAAUGGAAAAAAUUGCAGAAAACCGAACAAUUAUACAAUAUUUGCCUUAUGUAACUCAUUGGGAUUAUUUAGCCACUAUGUUCACGGAAGCAAUAACCGUAAAUGGACCAGAACAGUUGGGGAAUAUUCAAGUCCCUAAAAGGGCCAGCUAUAUUAGAGUAAUUAUGUUGGAGUUGAGUCGUAUAGCUUCUCAUCUAUUAUGGCUUGGACCUUUUAUGGCAGAUAUAGGUGCACAAACCCCCUUUUUCUAUAUUUUCAGAGAAAGAGAAUUAGUAUAUGAUCUAUUCGAAGCUACCACCGGUAUGAGAAUCAUGCAUAAUUAUUUUCGUAUCAGAGGAGUGGCGGCCGAUCUACCUUACGGCUGGCUAGAUAAAUGUUUGGAUUUCUGUGAUUAUUUUUUAACAAGAAUUGUUGAAUAUAAAAAACUUAUUACGCGAAAUCCUAUUUUUUUAGAACGAGUUGAAAGGAUAGGCAUUACUGGUGGAGAAGAAGUAAUAAAUUGGGGUUUAUCCGGCCCAAUGGUACGAGCAUCUGGAAUCAAAUGGGAUCUUCGGAAAGUUGAUCAUCAUGAGUGUUACGACGAAUUUGAUUGGGAAAUCCAGUGGCAAAAAGAAGGAGAUUCAUUAGCUCGUUAUUUAGUCCGAAUCAGUGAAAUGACGGAAUCUAUAAAAAUAAUUCAACAGGCCCUGGAAGGAAUUUCGGGUGGUCCCUAUGAGAAUUUAAAAAUCCAAUGCUUUGAUCGAGAAAGGGAUCCAGAAUGGAAUGAUUUUGAAUAUCGAUUCAUUAGUAAAAAACCUUCUCCCACAUUUGAAUUACCGAGACAAGAACUUUAUGCGAGAAUGGAAGCCCCAAAGGGAGAAUUAGGAAUUUUUCUGAUAGGGGAUCAAAGCAGUUUUCCUUGGAGAUGGAAAAUUCGCCCGCCGGGUUUUAUCAAUUUGCAAAUUCUUCCUCAGUUAGUUAAAAGAAUGAAAUUGGCUGAUAUUAUGACGAUACUAGGUAGCAUAGAUAUCAUUAUGGGAGAAGUGGAUCGUUGAAAUGAUAAUUUAUACGAUAGAAGUAGAAGAUAUCAAUUCCUUUUACACAUUGGAAUCUUUAAAAGAGGUCUAUGGGAUCAUAUGGAUGUUGGUCCCUAUUUUGAUUCUUAUGUUGGGAAUCACAAUAGGUGUACUAGUAAUUGUAUGGUUAGGAAGAGAAAUAUCUGCAGGAAUACAACAACGUAUUGGGCUUGAAUACGCCGGUCCUUUGGGCAUUCUUCAAGCGCUAGCAGAUGGAACAAAACUGCUUUUCAAAGAAAAUAUUCUUCCAUCUAGAGGCAAUACUCGUUUAUUUAGUUUUGGACCAGCUAUAGCAGUCAUAUCAAUUUUACUAAGUUUUUUAGUAAUUCCUUUUAUCUCUUGCCUUAUUUUAGCCGAUCUCAAUAUCAGUAUUUUUUUAUGGAUUGCCAUUUCAAGUAUUGCUCCCGUUGGACUUCUUAUGUCAGGAUACGGAUCAAAUAAUAAAUAUUCCUUUUUAGGUGGUCUGCGAGCUGUUGCUCAAUCUAUUAGUUAUGAAAUACCAUUAACUCUAUGUGUUUUAUCAAUAUCUCUACGUGCGAUUCGUUGAACUAGAAACUUUUAUUUUAGCUAUUCCUUUCAUUCUAGAAAAUAAGUUGAGUUGAUAAACUAAAUUAGAUAGUUAUAUAUGAGUGAAAGAAAGCAGCUUAUAAAUUUGCAGUAAAUUAAACAAAAAAAUAGAAUCUCAUUUCCUAUGUACAAAAGUUCAGUGGAAGAAAACGUAAGCGGAAGAAGUCUUUACCCCAAGACGGGUUGAUUAGUCAAUCUAGCUUGAAGGAUUGAACAAAAGACGAGUGGAUGGUUAGGAACACCAAAAUACAUAAAGGAUUGGUAAUGGAGAUUAUGUAAAUUAUAUAAAAAGAGACUUCUCGAUAACAUAAAAAGAAUACUAAUUGGGGCUUUAAAUUCGUAGAAAUGACUAGGUAGUACUCCCCAUGAUUUCGGUCCAGAGUAUCCUCCUAUUUUCUGAUUAAAGUAAUGACUAUCAGGAACAAAAUAAUCCUUUACUAUUUUUUAGUUUAAGCCCCAUUCGUGGUUUUAUCAGAUCCAAAAGCAGAAUAGGAACUAAAAAGAAACAAUAAAGAAUAAAAAAGAAAUCUUUUUUUUUAUUCUUUCUUUCAUUGAUAUAGAGAUAUCUAAUCCGUGUCAUGAUUUAUGAGCUAAUGGAAUGUUUCAUUUUUUUCGUAAUAGAAAACAAUGGGUUGAAAUAUCUACUGAUAUUCUACAAGAAGUAUUUUAUUGAAGGCUUAAGUUAUUACUCAACAAAUAAAAAUUGAAAUUAUGAAUGGGCGAGAUCAAUUCAGAAGCACUUUUUUUUUAUUCUUCAGAAUAUAGCAGACAGAAUUCCAUUGGUAUAAUUUUGGACCUUCCAAUCUAUUUUUUCUCUAUCUAUUCUACAACCAUACGAAGAUAAAUAAUACUGAUUCGGUCCUAAAAUUUAUUUGUGACCCACGAGGAGCCGUAUGAGGUGAAAAUCUCAUGUACGGUUUUGGACUAGCGAUGUAAACAGUGAUGUUAUCAUUGACUAUAAUUAUCUAACAGUUCAAGUACAGUUGAUAUAGUUGAGGCGCAAUCAAAAUAUGGUUUUUGGGGAUGGAAUUUGUGGCGUCAGCCAAUAGGGUUUAUCGUUUUUCUAAUUUCUUCUCUAGUCGGAAUGCGAGAGAUUACCUUUUGAUUUACCAGAAGCGGAGGAAGAAUUAGUAGCAGGGUAUCAAACCGAAUAUUCAGGUAUACAAAUUUGGUUUAUUUGACGUUGCUUCCUAUCUAAAUCUAUUACUUUCUUCGUUAUUUGUAACAGUUCUUUACUUAGGGGGUUGGAAUAUUUCCAUUCCGUACGUAUUCAUCCCUGAGCUAUUUGAAAUAAAUAAAAUAAAUGGAAUCAUUGGAACGACAAUUGGUAUCUUUAUUACAUUAGCUAAAACUUAUUUGUUUUUGUUUAUUUCUAUCGCAACACGAUGGUCUUUACCUAAGUUAAGAAUGGACCAAUUAUUAAAUCUCGGGUGGAAAUUUCUUUGACCCAUUUCUCUCGGUAAUCUAUUAUUAACAACUUCUUUCAGUGUAAAGAAAAAAAGAAUAUGACAUUCAUGACUUGGUUCAAACAAGAGAAAGAAACAAACAUAAAAUUAUUCAUAGAUAUUCACGAUAUAUUCCCUAUGGUAACUGGGUUCAUGAAUUAUGGCCACCAAACAGUCUGAGCAGCAAGGUACAUUGGUCAAGGUUUCAUGAUUACCUUAUCCCACGCAAAUCGUUUACCCGUAACUAUUCAAUAUCCUUAUGAAAAAUUAAUCACAUCAGAGCGUUUCCGCGGACGAAUCCAUUUUGAAUUUGAUAAAUGCAUUGCUUGUGAAGUAUGUGUUCGUGUAUGCCCUAUAGAUCUACCCGUUGUUGAUUGGAAAUUUGAAACGGAUAUUCGAAAAAAACGAUUGCUUAAUUACAGUAUUGAUUUCGGAAUUUGUAUAUUUUGUGGUAACUGCGUUGAGUAUUGUCCAACAAAUUGUUUAUCAAUGACUGAAGAAUAUGAACUUUCUACUUACGACCGUCACGAAUUGAAUUAUAAUCAAAUUGCUUUGGGCCGUUUACCAAUGUCAGUAAUUGACGAUUAUACAAUUCGAACAGUUUUGAAUUCAAUUCAAAGAAAAACUCAGUAAGUAAACCUCCUGUUCUAUUAAAGUAAAGAGAAAUUUCCCAUUCAUUCUUUUAAGGUUCCGUUUUGGUUUAAGUUAAAAGACUGUUUGGUUUGAAUUAAAAAAAGAAUGAGGCCUUUGGUCAAUAAAUAAAAAUUCAAUUACAAAUUAACAGGUUGAUAAGAAUUUCGGAUUCCUUUUUAUUGAAAAUUAAAAUAUAUUAAUAUAUUCGUAAUUAUUUCGAAAUAUAUAGUUUCAAAAAACAAAAUACCCUUUCUUUCUUUUGAACAAAAAAGAAUCAAAAACGAAACUAUCCAAUAUUGUGCUUAGAGCAAUUCACGCCUAAUAGAUUAGGAUUUUAUUCAAUUAGGAACGUAUCAUAAAAAAAAUUCCUGGUCUAGGUCAAUAAGAUCAUGAAAAGCAUUUCGAUUUAUUUAUCUCUUAUUUUACACAGAAUGGAUUUGCCUGGACCAAUACACGAUUUUCUUUUAGUUUUUCUAGGAUUAGGGUCUUAUAUUAGGAGGCCUGGGAGUGGUAUUACUUACCAAUCCAAUUUAUUCUGCCUUUUCAUUGGGAUUGGUUCUUGUUUGUAUAUCCUUAUUUUAUAUUCUCUCAAAUUCUCAUUUUGUAGCUGCUGCCCAGCUCCUUAUUUAUGUGGGAGCCAUAAAUGUUUUAAUCCUAUUUGCUGUGAUGUUCAUGAAUGGUUCAGAAUAUUAUAAAGAUUUUAAUCUGUGGACCAUUGGGAAUGGCCUUACUUCGUUGGUUUGUACAAGUAUUCUUGUUUCGCUAAUUACUACUAUAUUAGAUACAUCAUGGUACGGGAUUAUUUGGACUACAAGAUCAAAUCAAAUUAUAGAACAAGAUUUGAUAAGUAAUAGUCAACAAAUUGGAAUUCAUUUAGCAACCGAUUUUUUUCUUCCAUUUGAAUUCAUUUCAAUAAUUCUUUUAGUUGCUUUGAUAGGUGCAAUUGCUGUGGCUCGUCAGUAAUAAAUCUUUCUAACUAGAAAUAGCAAGCAAUCAAAAUGAAACCUUUUUCUGUUUUUUCUGUCUUAUCGCAUCCAUUUUCUUUGAAUUCUAUUUGAAUAUUGCUCGUGUAUAAAAUAGAAAUUCGUUGAUUCGAUAUAUUUCCAAUAGAUUCUUUUUUUUUGUUAUACUCUAGUCAAUCAAAUCUGUUGAAUUAUUGUUCAUAUUAAUAAUGAAUCGAAAUUGAUAAGGAGUUGGUCAAUGAUGCUCGAACAUAUACUUGUUUUGAGUGCCUAUUUAUUUUCUAUCGGUAUUUAUGGAUUGAUCACGAGUCGAAAUAUGGUUAGGGCCCUUAUGUGUCUUGAACUUAUACUGAAUGCGGUUAAUAUAAAUUUUGUAACAUUUUCUGAUUUUUUUGAUAGUCGGCAAUUAAAGGGAAAUAUUUUCUCAAUUUUUGUUAUAGCUAUUGCAGCCGCUGAAGCAGCUAUUGGAUCAGCUAUUGUGUCCUCGAUUUAUCGUAACAGAAAAUCAACGCGUAUCAAUCAAUCAACUUUGUUGAAUAAGUAAUAUUAAUAAUAUUAAAUUAUAAGAUUCACCAAUUUGAAUUAGCAUGUACAAUAUGUUGGAAUCUACAUCAUGUUUUCGAAAACGUAAGAAAUCAAAGUAUCUUGGUCCUUUCUUAUGAGUUGAUCCCGAAGGAAAUUGAUUAGAAAAUUUCUGGUAAAUCGUUGAUUCAUCUGGUGUUUAACUAUAUUUAUUUACAAGUUUACUAGAUUGAAAUUUUAUGAUGUUCAAAAAUUUAUAGAUCCCAUGUCACAUUCAGUAAAAAUUUAUGAUACAUGUAUUGGGUGUACUCAAUGUGUCCGAGCCUGCCCCACCGAUGUGUUAGAAAUGAUACCUUGGGAUGGAUGUAAAGCUAAGCAAAUUGCUUCCGCUCCAAGAACAGAAGAUUGUGUUGGUUGUAAGAGAUGUGAAUCCGCUUGUCCAACGGAUUUCUUGAGCGUUCGAGUUUAUUUAUGGCAUGAAACAACUCGAAGUAUGGGUCUAGCUUAUUGAUACGGUCCAGAAAACCCUAGUUGAAUACAUUUUGAAUCCAUUUGAUUUUUUUUACUGAAAAAACCCGUGCUCAAAAAAAACCUUUUUGAGCACGGGUUUUUCUGGUCCAAGUGUAUCUUGUCUUUACCACGAAUUAUUUUCCUUGGUUAACAAUAAUUGUAUUUUUACCAAUAUCUGCAGGUUCUUUACUUUUCUUUCUUCCUCAUAAAGGAAAUAAGCUAAUUAAGUGGUAUACAAUAUGUAUAUGCAUUCUCGAACUCCUUCUAACAACCUAUGCAUUUUGUUAUCAUUUCCGAUUGGACGAUCCAUUAAUCCAGCUGGCGGAAGAUUAUAAAUGGAUAAAUUUUUUUGAUUUUUACUGGAGAUUGGGAAUAGAUGGACUUUCUAUAGGGCCCAUUUUACUGACAGGAUUUAUCACCACUUUAGCGACUUUGGCGGCUUGGCCAGUUACUCGAGAUUCGCGAUUAUUUCAUUUCCUGAUGCUAGCAAUGUACAGUGGUCAAAUAGGAUCAUUUUCUUCUCGAGACCUUUUACUUUUUUUCAUCAUGUGGGAGUUCGAAUUAAUUCCCGUUUAUCUACUUCUAUCCAUGUGGGGGGGAAAGAAACGUCUGUACUCGGCUACAAAAUUUAUUUUGUACACCGCAGGGGGUUCCGUUUUUCUAUUAAUAGGAGUUUUGGGUCUCGGUUUAUACGGUUCUAAUGAACCAACAUUAAAUUUUGAAACAUUAGCUAAUCAAUCAUAUCCUGUCGCACUGGAAAUAAUAUUCUAUAUUGGAUUUCUUAUUGCUUUUGCUGUCAAAUCGCCGAUUAUACCCUUACAUACGUGGUUACCGGAUACCCACGGGGAGGCCCAUUACAGUACUUGUAUGCUUCUAGCCGGAAUUUUAUUAAAAAUGGGAGCAUAUGGAUUAGUUCGGAUCAAUAUGGAAUUAUUACCCCAUGCGCAUUCCAUAUUUUCUCCCUGGUUGAUAAUAGUGGGUACAAUGCAAAUAAUUUAUGCAGCUUCAACAUCUCUUGGUCAACGGAAUUUAAAAAAAAGAAUAGCCUAUUCCUCCGUAUCUCAUAUGGGUUUCAUAAUUAUAGGAAUUGGUUCGAUAACUGAUACGGGACUCAACGGAGCUAUUUUACAAAUAAUAUCUCAUGGCUUUAUCGGUGCUGCACUUUUUUUCUUGGCAGGAACGAGUUAUGAUAGAAUGCGUCUUGUUUAUCUCGACGAAAUGGGCGGAAUGGCCGUUUCGAUUCCCAAAAUAUUUACGAUGUUCAGUAUCUUAUCCAUGGCUUCUCUUGCAUUACCGGGCAUGAGUGGUUUUGUUGCAGAAUUGAUAGUCUUUUUUGGAAUAAUUACCAGCCAAAAAUAUUUUUUAAUGCCAAAAAUACUAAUUACUUUCGUAAUGGCAAUUGGAAUGAUAUUAACUCCUAUUUAUUCAUUAUCUAUGUCACGUCAAAUGUUCUAUGGAUACAAGCUAUUUAAUGCUCCAAGUUCUUAUUUUUUUGAUUCUGGACCACGAGAGUUAUUUGUUUCGAUCUCUAUCUUUCUACCAGUAAUAGGUAUUGGUAUUUAUCCGGAUUUCGUUCUCUCAUUAUCAGGUGAGAAAGUCGAAACUAUUCUAUAUAAUUAUUUUUAUAGAUAGUUUUCAUGAAUAAAAAAAAAUCAAAUCCUAUGGUUUUUAAAAUUGGUCGUUGUACAAUGAAAAAGAAAAAAAAGAAGUCUUUUUUCUUCUCUUAAGUUUAAGUUAAGUAAAAAAGGUAAAAGCAUUAAAUUGAAUUUUAAUCAGACAUCUUUGGCUUUUGUUAGAACCUUUUGAAUCGCUCCACUACUUGAUUCAAAAGGUUCUUGACAGCUUACAAUAAGUUUUCUUAUACUUAUAUAUAAUAUAUACGCCGUCCUGUGUUAGUAUUUGUUAGGCCUAGCCUCUUUAUUCAAUUCAAUUAGAUGUUAAUUUAAUGUAAAUGAACCAUAACUAUGUAAACCUAUUCCUAAUAGAUUGACCCCAAAAUAGCAUAUCCAAAUUAUAAGAAAUCCCAUAGAAGCCACAAGUGCGGAAUUUACACCUUCCAAAUUUGUAUUUGUUCGGGUAUGGAAAUAAAUCGCGAAUACGGUCCAAGUAAUAAACGCCCAAGUUUCCUUGGGGUCCCAAUUCCAAUAUGAUCCCCACGCCUCAUUAGCCCAUACGGCUCCCGAAAGAAUUCCUAUGGUUAAAAAGAUAAACCCGAGACUAAUAAUACGAUAACUCCAACGAUCCAAUUGUUGAGUCAAUUGAUAUCUGUAAUAAUUUUUAGAAGAAAGAAAAUAAGUGUUUAGUAAAACAUUGCUUCUUUCAUUCAUGUAUUGGAUUUUCCCAAACGAAAAUGAAAAAUUAUUGUUUUCACCAAUAAUCUUUAUGGCCUUUCGAAAUGUAAUGACUAGAAGAGCUACUGAUAAUAAUGAUCCACAUAAAAGAGCUGCAUAGCCUAAUACCAUCAUACUUACGUGCAUCAUUAACCACUGGGAUUGGAGAGCAGGUGCUAAUAUUGCAGAUUGAUGCAUUUUGGUUAAAAGACCCGAAGUGGCAAAGCCUUGGGUAAAAAUAGCACUUGGUGCGGUUAUUGCACUUAAAUUAUUUUUGCGCUUUUUAAAUUUUAAAUAGGAAACCAUAUGAAUAAGGGAGAAACCCCAUGAAAGAAAGAUUAAUGAUUCAUAUAAAUCACUUAAUGGGAAAUGUCCUGAAUAAAUCCAACGAGUGACUAAUAAUCCUGUUAUACAGAAAAAGGUGACUAUCAUGCCCUUUUCUGAUGAAUCAUAUAGUCCUACGACUUCAUCUACUAAUAAGAAUAAGGUUAAAAAAUGAAUUGUAAUUACAAUUGAAACGACUGAAAAAGAUAUAUGAGUUAAUAUAUGCUCUAAAGUUGAAAAAAUCAUAAAAAUUAUGAAAAAAGCCUGGGUUUCAAGAUUUUAUGGAAUGGAAAUCAGGAAUGAAAUUCAUUUUCAUUAUAGGACUUAUUCUAUCUCUUUUAGAAGAUACUAUGCCGCCACUCGGACUCGAACCGAGAUGCUCUAGCACUGCUUCCUAAGAGCAGCGUGUCUACCGAUUUCACCAUAGCGGCUUGCUCGAAAUCAUAAUAACCCAUUUUUUAGUCAAUCGUCGAGAUUGAAGGUGAAGGGGUCAAUUCAAUGUAAAAUGUCAAAUUUGUUAGGAAGCAUUUCAUUUUUUAUUGAUAAAUAACAACUCGUUGAAAUAGCAAUUUGAAGGUUCAAAAGGAAUCUUUAGUAUUUAUUGUAUCAUUUUAUUUAUUUAAUUAUCCUUUCUAUUUAAUUAGGUCGUCAAUAGAGAUUUUUGUGUUUUCCUAAAAGAGAACUCCUUUAUUGGAACUAAACUAACUAGUUGUAACUUCAAUUCAUAGAUAAAAUUCAACAAAACAAAAAAGGGUUCUUUAUCAUUUUCAUUUUUUAAUGAUUCAUUUCUCAUUCUUUUGUAUGAUUUUUAUGAAUCUAUAAAAAACUAUAAAAAAUGCUUAUUAAUUGACUGAAUAAAUGAAUGAAAAAAUAUGAUUUUUAGAGAUCACAAUUUCAGCACCACACCCAACGAUUUCAAAAGAUUUAUGUAAUUUUUGUAUUAAUCGUUAGCAUUUUGCGUUUGUUUUAAGGAUUUAUCAAACCAACUAGAUAUUGGGUUGUACCCGUUACGUUAUAUGAAAAGCGUUUCGAUUCCUGUCAUAAUUGUACCAUACUUCAAAAAAGUAUUUCGAAUUCUAAAAAUAUGUCUUGAUUUAUUUUAUUACAUUUUCUUAUACAAACAUAGGAUUUCUUUAGAUCACUUCAAAUUGAUACAUUAUUUGUAUAUCCACUAAAUUAGAAAAGGGGUUUUCUCCAUUGGGUUGAAAACAGGGGAAGGAGAUAUAGUAAUUCAGAGAAAUAAUGAUUCAUAAAGUUACAAAAUUGAAACUUAAUGGGUUAGUUUCGACAAUCCAGUUAAAGCUCUUAUAUAUAUGUGCUCCGCGAUCCGCUAUAGUAUAAAUAGAAAAAAAAAUUCUUAUUCUAUUAUAUUCUAUUAUUUAAUUAUUUAUUAUUAUAAAUUGAAUAUUAUAAAAAUAACAAAUUAUUAUAACACUAACAUAACAAAUACAAAUGGGCGAUGGGGAAAAUAAGAAUCCUCCCCCCGGAAAUGAAAAAAAAGAUAUUCAAAAAUUCAAAAAAGUAAAACCUUUGUAUCCUAUUCGAGUUAAACCAAUUCAGAUUACUCCAAAUUUAUUUGGCGUACAAAAAAACUUUUUGAAUUCCCCGUAGAAAGAGAUUUGGCUAAUGAAAAAGCUUUCAAGGCCGCCCAAUAUCCUUUCUUUUUCCAAACAUUUUUUCGAAUACGCUUUUUUGAUGUAGAAGUACGUUUUUUUGGAACUGCCAUUCAAAAAAAAGUUAUUCAGUGCUAUAGUUGGAUGUCAAAGACAUCUAUUUUUAAAACAAAACGAUCGGUCUUUUGAUGUCAUUAUUUAUCUAUUCCUAUAGAUUUUAUAAAUUAUAUUAUAAUUAUAUAUAUACUACAAUACAAAUUGCAUAAAAAAUGAAUAGAGAUGGGAAAAUCGCAUAAAAUGCUUCUAUUCUAGAACAAAAAAACAAUAUAACCCCUUUUUUAUUUAUAUUCCAUACACUAUCCAGAAAAAAAAAAGAAGAAUUUGUAUUUAAUUUAUUGGUACCUUUCUUUUUUAUAUCUCCAUUCAAAUCUAUAGGAUAGAAUAGGAUCUAUAUCUAUUAUGAUAUAUAAAUCGAAUUGAUGAAAUCAAAAAAACGCAAAAAAAGUCUUUCUUUUUCUAUCUACGCCCAGUUUUUUGUUGUCUUACAUUUAUAAUUUAUACAUCUCCAUUUAUACAUGAAAACUACAUCAAAAUAAAAAGUGUAAAACCCAUUUUAUCUACCUAUGCAAACUUGAAUUUGAUUUUUUCCAUAAAUUGGUCAAGCUCGAAGAGAGGGUAUGCCUAAUUUUCAUUUUCAACCAAAUUCGAAUGAGACUCGUAGUUAAUCUGUUAAAGGAUACAUAAUUUUGAAAAAAAAAGAAUAUUUUAUUAUAUUAAUAGUCAUUUUUCUUUUAAUUAUAUGUAAAUAUAAAGAAAAUAUCGGAUAGUCUUUCCUACAAGAAAAGGUUCAUUUAUUGUAGUGGAAGACAAUCAAUCAGUUCCGCGAUGAAAAUGAACUAGUUAAUAAGUUCGAAUAAACAAACUCAAAUAAUUCGUUUUUCUUUUAAGUUCUAGGACAUCCUAUGAUUUAUAUCAUACUUUUUUGGGGGGAAUUCUUUGUAUUUUUGAUCGAUGUAUCUAACUUAUUGUAAAUAGAAAUUAUUGUAAUAUGUAAUAAUAAAUAAUAAUUGAUAUUUUCAGAAAAAUAUUACUAUAAUGAAAAAAAGAAUUCUUUUGUUUUUCAUUAUAGUAACUCGGCGAGAUCAUUUGAUUACUUCUAACUUCGAAAUUUGAAUAUUUUUGAAAUAGUUGCGAAAGAUUAAAAAAUUAAGAAUAGAAAAUUCCAGUUAACUUUGUAAUCUCUCGAUUUUUUAUUGCUCCUUUUCAAUCAUUUUAUUGCUCCUUUUCAAUCAAAAGAGAUAAGAGCCGGUGAAUCAGAAACGAUUAAUUAAGAAAGAAUAACAAAAAAGUUUUUAUGGAGCAUGCAGAUCAAUAUUCAUGGAUCAUACCUUUUGUUCCACUUCCCAUUCCUAUUUUAAUAGGAAUGGGACUCCUACUUUUUCCGACGGCAACAAAAAAUCUUCGUCGUAUGUGGGCUUUUCCCAAUAUUUUAUUGUUAAGUAUAGUUAUGAUUUUUUCGCUCGAUCUGUCUAUUCAGCAAAUAAAUGGAAGUUCUAUCUAUCAAUAUGUAUGGUCUUGGACCAUCAAUAAUGAUUUUUCUUUCGAGUUUGGCUACUUUAUUGAUUCACUUACCUCUAUUAUGUCAAUAUUAAUCACUACUGUUGGAAUUUUUGUUCUUAUUUAUAGUGACAAUUAUAUGUCUCAUGAUGAAGGAUAUUUGAGAUUUUUUGCUUAUAUGAGUUUGUUCAAUACUUCAAUGUUGGGAUUAGUUACUAGUUGUAAUUUGAUACAAAUUUAUAUUUUUUGGGAAUUAGUUGGAAUGUGUUCUUAUCUAUUAAUAGGUUUUUGGUUCACACGACCCGCUGCGGCAAACGCUUGUCAAAAAGCGUUUGUAACUAAUCGGAUAGGCGAUUUUGGUUUAUUAUUAGGAAUUUUAGGUUUUUAUUGGAUAAUGGGAAGUUUCGAAUUUCAAGAUUUGUUCAAAAUAUUUAAUAACUUGAUUUAUAAUAAUGAGGUUCAUUUUUUUAUAUGUUACUUUAUAUGCCUCUUUAUCUUAUCGACGUUGAUUCAUUAUUUUUAGCGUCUCUAAUUCAAAACCGAACAUGAAAUUUUGGUUUCAUUCGGCUCCUUUAUGGAAGAUGGAUAAAUAAAUAAAAAAGAAAUAAAUAAAAUAGAAUAUAACUAAGAUAAAGAUAAGGCAGGGACGAAAUGAAAUAAGAAUUUGGCCCAUAACAUCUAUGUUAGCUUUUCUGUCUGAAUGCAUUCAAAACAAUUCGCUUUCUAAAUGAUCCUUCUAGAAGAGUGGGAUUAGAAUAGAACAAUUUUUCUAGUUACUUCGUUCUCUAUUUCUAUUUGAGAAAAUCCUUAGGAAAAUCAUUUUGUUUCCGCCGAGCUAAAACAAGAUGUAAAUGUCUCUAAUAAACCAAAGUUAUCGUUUAAUAGCUAUUUUGCUUCAAUCUAUCCCAUCAAAAAAAAUUGAAGAUUUAGUUACGAUUAGAAAUACACUUUUCUAUCUUUAUCCAUGGAUCUUUUCCUCAUACUUAUUCAAUUGGAAGUAUUGAUCCAAUUGAAAAAAAAAAUUAUGUUUCGUAAUUUCAUAAUCCAAUUUUUCAAUUUUUAGUUAGAAUAUAAUUUAAAAAUUAUAUUUAUAUAUAAUUUAAUUGGCCUUUGGAUCCAAAUCACGAGAAUGUAUAUUCUUCCACAAAUCUUUCGUUGAGAGGUAAAGGAUUAAAUCCUUUUAAGAAAUAAAGUUUUUGCUCGGAAUAUGAAUCAAACCGAGGGACCCCUUAACUCUUAGGGGGAUUAAUAGAACAAAUCACACUUUUACCACUAAACUAUACCCGCUACAAUGCGAUUAUUGUAUUUAUUGUAUAUUUAUUGUAUAUAAAGGGACCCUUUGUCAAACAGGGGAAUUGGGCGUAAUCAAGAUAGGAUUACAAGAUAGGAGCCUAAAAAAUCCUGAAAAUUAGGGCCUUGACACCUUUUGUCAUAAGACUUGUGUUAUAGGAUUUUUGAUAGACAGGAUUCGACAAAAGGACUUAGUCUAAUCACUAGCUUACCAUAUUAUAAGGCACUUAUUAAUCGAAUACUAUGAUUCAACUAAAAUCAAUAUAUAAUUACUCCACCAUAAAGCAUUUCUUCAAUUCCAAAUACAAGGCCGAAUACAUUAUGGCAUUCCAUCAUUAUGUAAUAUAUAAAAAAUAUAUAUAUGCAUAAUACACUUCAUCUUAUUCUGCAAUAUAGCACAUAUCUUCCAAACACAAACACCAUCUUAUUCGAACUUCAAAUGAUUUUAGCACAAAGCUAUUCACACAUUUAUCAUUACAUGCUCUCGAAUAGCCAAGUCUCCAUUGAUAUUUCAUAUAACAUUCAAUAUGAUAUUUGAUGCAUUUCCACAUAUCAUUUUAUUUUCAUUUAAAUUAUACAACUAAAUAGCAUUUCAUCUAUUCCCCAAUUAAUCUUAUAUAUUUGAUUUCAAAUAUAAUCACCUCAUAGGUUCAAGGCUUACCAAGCUCAAUUUCAAACAUAAACAUAACGGCUAUUCCUCACGAACUCAAAGUAUUUACUCAUUCCACUGUCCAUGAUUACUCGAUAAAGUCGCACACUUAGUGUUAAUAGUUAUUCGAAAAUAUAUAGUAAGUUCGCACACUUAGUGCUUAAUAAUCAAACUCGCACACUUAGUGCUAUACAAUUAAACUCGCACACUUAGUGCCAAUCUCAUAAUCGUAAAUAUUUAUACCCGCACACUUAGUGCCAAAAAUCAACAACUCAAUACAUCUCACUUCUUUUUACAUUUGAUAAUUUCAUCACUACAUACAUACAUAUAUAUAUAUAUCAUUCAAUUCGGCAUAAUUACAUAGAUAUUAUGGUUAUUUAAAUCGAUAAAAAAUAUAUGCUUAAUAACUUACCUCGGAUAUCGACGGACAGAGAUUAUCGACUAGUCAACGAUUUUUUAUUUUCCCCGAUCCUUUUUGUUCUUGAUCUAUUCAAAUUCAAAUUAAGCUCAUUCAAAUAAAAUUCAAUUCAAUUAAACACCAAAACACAUAAAGGAGCAAAUUUACAUUUUGUCCCUUAUUUUUCACACUUUUACAUUAUAGUCUAAAAAUUCAUAACACAUCAAAUACACAAAAUUUAAAAAUAACAAGCUCUAGCCGAAUACUCCUCUAGAUUAUAUAAGUCUUCACAUUUCACCUAUUAUACAAACUAACCCUUAAAUUUAAUAUUUUUGCAAUUUAGCCUUAAUUACUCAAUUCCAUCAAAACUUCUAAUAAAAAUUUUGUUAAUCUAACACAUAUCUUUUAUUUUCUAUCUUUAAACACAAAAUCUAUCAAACUAUCAACAAUGGCAACUCAUGAAUAUCUCAUCAAUUUCAAAAAUUCUUACAUGGGUCUUAGAGUAUUUGAAACAACGAUCUUAAAAACGUAAAAAUUAUCAAAAACCGAGCUCAAACAUACCUUGAAUUUUGACUCAACAAUGGCCGAAUAUGCUUCUCAACAAUGGCCGAAUAUGCUUGGUCUUUCUUUCCCUUUUCUUUUUCCUAGUUUCGGCUUUGAUGAACAAAAUAAUGCAUGAUAACAUUUUAUUUUAUGUUUUUAUUUAAUAUAAUGUUAUUAAACAUUUACUAAAUUAACCUUAUUAACAAAAUAUAAAACCUUAUAAUAUAAUCAUUAAAACCGUCCAUCAUUAUUAUUCAUGGACAAAUUGCAACAUAAAGACUCCAUGUUUAAUGAACAAAGCAAUUUUGACACUUUAAUAAUUAACCAAUCACUUUUCAUUUUUUUCACGAUUAAACCCCUUUUUAUCAAAUCGAUAUCUAAACGAUAAAAUUUUUAAAUAAAACUUUCACACAAGCAUUCAUACAUUUUAAGCACAGAAAAUAAUAUUUAAAUAUUUUUCUGACUCGAAUUCGUGGUCCCGAAACCACCGUUCCGAUUAGAGUCAAAAUCAGGCUAUUACACCCUAGCUUAAAAUAUAGCUAGAAAUGGGUAGAUCAUGCUUCAAGGACUUCAAAAAUGCAAAGAACAUUAAAAACGGGGCUAGGAUGCGCUUACAAUCAAGCUUGAAAAUGUUGAACAAACCCUAGCUAUGGUGUCUUGCAAUUUUCGGCAAUGAAGGAAAAGAUGGACACCGAUUUUGACUUAUUUUUCCCUUUUUUAUUCUUUUAAUUACUAAAUGACCAAAAUGCCCUUAGGGUUUCUCUUUCACAUUUUUCUUAUGCAAGUUCAUUUUUGUGCAAAAUUAUAGAAUUUGGUAAAAUUACUAAUUAAGACCCUCUAAUUCAAUAUCUAAGGAAAUUUCAUGCUUAAAGUUUCUAGAAUGCAAGUUUUUCACUUUAUUCAAUUUGGUCCCUAAAAUGCAAUUAGACAUUUUAUGCAUAGAAUUUCUUCAUGAAACUUUCACACAAGCACAUAAACCUUAUAAGAAUCAUAAAAUGAUUAUUUCUAUCUUCAGAUUUAUGGUCUCGAAACCACUAUUUCGACUAAGCCCUAAUUCUGGAUGUUACAGGUAAUUUCCGCUAAUCAUUUCUUCAAUGGUUUUCCUUGUGGACCUUUUCACAGUGACUUCUUUACAAGAUAGUUUCUACGGAUUUUCACUUACGUACCUAAGAAAGAUACUCAUGUAUCUUUCUUGCAACAUAAUUUACAAUGAAGGAUAGAUCAUGAUAAAUACCUUCCACCAUGAGCCAUUAUUUAUGCUUGCUCUAAUGGACUCCAUUUGAUGGAUCCUUACUUUCGGCCAUAUAGUCAAGUAACAAUGUUUCGUACACUAAUCUUAGACAAAGUACUUAACUACAUAAGUAGUUUAUCCAUUUCGAAAGUCUAGGAGAAUACCCUUGUAUCCUCCCCAAAUAAAACCUAGUGGAAUGUCAUAUAUAAUAUGACUUCCUCAUAGUUUACUCAUACAUUUGGUUCGAAUGUAGAAUGUGUUAUUAACAUGAGGACUCACUCUUGGUGGACUUAUAACACUAGAUUCGAACCCCGAACGAGCUGUGAAAUGGGUCUACUCACACGAGCUAUAGAGAAUCUACAAAAAACGUAGGACCUUAGCCAUCGGUAGGACAUUCAAGACUAGCACCCGAAAUAUGAAAUCCCUAAUGACAUGUUAUUUGUAUCCUAAUAAUUAUUAAGGUUCAAACGGGAUUCGUUAUACAUCAAUUUAUCAUAGCAUUGAUACAAAUAUAUUCAGAUUCAUUUAAAUUAAAACAAUAUAGCAAUCAGUCAAUUUAACUAACAUUAUAACAAUCAUAGUUCAUACGAACUUACCUCAAUAACUAGGGUUGUAGAAGUAUAGUCGAACACUAAUCCAAAGCUUUAACUUUUUCUCGAUUUAAGUCCGAUUGUGGUUUAUCUUGAUCUAAAUAAAUAAUUUCAUUCAAUUAAGUUCUUCUAGAAUUCAAUUUAAUCCAUAAUUCAUAUUUAUGCAAAAUUAUGAAUUUACCCUCUACAUUUUUAACUUUUCACAAUUCAGUCCUUAACCUUAUAACUUAAAUAUAACUCAUUUUAGCAUAAAUCCAACCUAACCGAUGUUACAAGGGACCUUGAAACAAUCCAUAAUUACUAACAAUUCACAAAAAACCCCAUGGAUUUAUACUUUUAACAAUUUAAUCCCUAUUUCUAAAAUUCAACAAAAAUCAUUUAACAAAACAUGUUUAUUUUACAACAAAGAUUAACAAUCUAUCAACUAACAUCAAAACACAUUCAAAAAAAUCCAUGGAAAGUUCCUCAACCUUUAAUUUUUUUUUUUGUAAAAUAAACCCUAGGCUAGCUAGAUUAAGUUAAAACGAGCUCAAAAACAUAAAAAUCAUUAAAAAAAUGAGACACAAAAUUAUAUGUAUUUCUCUCAGAUCUGUCAAAUUUGGGAUUUGCAAAAGGUUUGUUUGAUGUGAACUUCGCUCAAGGGUGACACGUAUAAUCAUUUGCGGAGGUGGUAUAACGCAAGUUGAAUCAUUUUAAGGCUUUUUUUAUCAAUUUGAGACAAGCCAAAAGUAGGGUUGAUCCAUAACUAUUAAGAAUAGAUUAAAUUUUGAUUCAUGUAAUACUUAAAUAUAAUAUAUUCAAUUUUAUUCAUAAAUUUAAUAACUAAAAUUUUUUGAACCAAAUCAAAGGUAAUUUUCUUUUAAUAAAUUUUAUAUAAAAAAUAUCAAUUUCUAAAUUAAUGGAAAAAAAAGUUAAAAAUAUUAAGACAAAAAGGUAACUUUUAAAAUUUUUAAAAACUUUAGAAAAACCAGCCAUCAUAAGAUGAAAUUUAAUUCAUGUCACGUUGAAUUUUAUUUAAGUUUGAUUUUGAAAAUAAAAAUAUUGCACAUAAACUACCAAUUUUCUCUAGAACUAAACCAUUCCAAAAUGUAGUUGUUUCUAGCUUAGUCACCACUGAUGAGAUUCUUUGCCAGGAACCAUUGAUGGGUUGAUAAGCAAAUUUGGAUCCAAAAGGCAUUUGAGAAACAAAGCUAUGUAUCAUGUCUUCUCCAAUGAUAUUUGGGUGAAAAAACACACCAUAUCUACCAUUUUUAUAAUAUUUAAAUUCAAAUUCACCCAACUUUUUAAUAAUUUAAUCUAUUCAAAUUCUAUAAAUAUUUAAAUUUAAUAAAUAAAAAAUUAAAACAAAAUUUUAAAACGUAAAGUGGAUUAAUGAAUUUUUAUAUCCAAAACUAUCAUUCGCAAAAACAAUGCAAAUUUAGAUAAUUAAUAUCCGAAAAUUAAUAAUCACAUCCAUAUAGAGAAGGGAUUGUAUAAAAUUAAAAUACUACAUCAUUUGUAUCUCUUUCCAAUAAGUUAAUGACACAUCAACUUUUUUCCCUGAAUUUUAGCUUUAAACUACCGAAAAGAAGAAAUUAUUUUAUGGAACUAUCUCACCACAUCAUUUAUGGACUUUUUUUAAUUAUUUAAUGACAUUUCAAUAAUUUUUUUCAUGUCAUUCACACAUAAUUUUUGUUAAAUAUUUUACCCAAAACCCUCCUAGAACCUUAAACCCUAAAAUUGAAUUUCAAGGUUUAGGGCUCGAAUUCAAAAUUCAAGGUUCAGAGUUCAAGGUUCAAAAUUCUAGAUACAAAAUUACCAAAAUUAUGUGUCAAUGAUAUAAAAAAAUUACUAAAAUGUCAUUAAAUAAUUAGAAAGAAACCAUAAAUGAUGUGGUGAAAAAGAUCCAUAAGAUUAUUUCUCAUUGGAAAGAGAUACAAACGACGAGACAUCCCAAUUUUAUACAAUCCCUUCACAUUUUACAUAUUAUCCAAAUUUAAAAAAUAAGUCACAAAUAUCUAAAUCCGCCCUAUCCAUUACCAUAUAUCAAUCUAAAAAUGUCAAGAUGCGAUGCCACAUCUAACCACCCAUUUAUUACAACUUCACCCUAAAUUGUCGAGCUACCAAGCUUAAAAGAUAAUGCCUAUCUAGCCACCCAUUUAUUACAACUUCAAUCUAAAUGGUUAAACUUCCUGCCUUAAAAGGCAAUGCCUGUCUACGAUACAAGGACCCUUCAUUUUUCUUAAAAUACUCAUAACACCAAUGGAUAAUACGUUUGAACAUGGAUAUCGAGAUAUGAAUAUGAUUACUUUUGUUGAACGUGCAUUUGUAUCCGACGCUCAUUUUGAGUCCGGAUGACAUUGAUACCCUCUUUGAAUAAAGCCGCAAAAAUGGUUGAUUGGCUACAAAGGGUAAAAACUAAGGACCUGGGUCUCUGAGUUCAUCUCCAUGAGACUGGAAUUUCUUCCGGCGAGACCGGGGGAAGAGUAGUUGUCGGAUUUUCUUUUCAGCUGCGGCUUCAGACAUAGCCUGCAAAUUGACAUGAACCGUUGUUUUAAACCCAUAAAAAAAUUAUUUUGAAUGGCUUAUGCAUCACUAAGCUCCAAAUGCAAGAAAUCUUUAAAAAAAAAAAAAUUAAAGAUACUGACACAUACAUAUAUCCAACACUCACCUGAAUCCGAAUAACAUACCUUUUAAAUCUUGGUAUAAGUGGAGAAAUUAGGCCACUAUUAGAUGUAGCAUUGGCUUAAGUUGAUGAGCUUAAUUUAGGCAUUAAAUUGUAGGUUUUAGUGUAUAUUUGUCUCAUGAAUAUUGAAACUUACCACUAUACUUCAUUUUAAUUGACAUUUGCCAUUGUAUAUUUUGAAAAUAUGCUUUUAUGUAAUUGGACUUUACUACUAAACUUAGAUUUUUAUUAAAAUUGGCCACGAACUUUAAUUUUUUUAAUUAAUUUUUACAUCUCAAUACUAAUUUUGAUGAUUAGAAAGCAUAAUUUAGUAAGAAAAUUUCAUUCAAAUAUUUUAUUUUAAUAAUUAACAAUAAACUUAUUUAGAAAAGAUUAAAAGUUAAAUUUGAGUUUUUGUUUAAUGAGAUAAAGACUUCAAAAAUAAAAAAUACAUAUAUUCAAAAAAAAAAAGAAUUAAGUUUUUUUUUAAUAAAAUAACCAUUUUAUAUUAAUUCAAUUAUUUUGUUAAAUAUUAAAAUAAAAUAUAAAAAUAUAUAUUUAUUAAAUUUUAUCAUCAAUUUAUUUUAAAUUAAAAUUGAAUAGCAAAUUCAAUCAAUAAUCAAACUUUAGCAGCAAAAUUCAAUGAAACAAAAGUAAAGCAGCAAAUUUGAAUCAAAGUGAAGUAUAAGUUAUCUUAGGUACCUAAAUUAUAAUUGCAAAUUUGUACAAACAGUUAUCUUAGGCAUAACCUAAACCAUGAUGAAAAUGCUACAUCUUUGGAUGCAAGCUUGAAGUUAAUAUUAAUUGAAAUGGGAAUAAUAGACCUAACAAUCAAUGCAUCAACGCUAUGUCAUAAUCAUGUUUAAAGUACUAUAUAAUUUAUAAAAAAUUUCACAUUUAAUAUUUUGUAUUACUUAGCUAUUUUUUCACAUCCUAUCAUGUUUUUAUUAUUUUAUCUUGUGAUGUGUUCACAUGGGAUAAUUCAGGCCAGGAUAGAGCAGCUGAUCCAUCUGUUCAGGUUUCUUACCGGUUUCGGCCUAUUUCUCUAAAUUUUCAAUCCACCAGACCAAACAUUGUUUCAAAUCGAACCAGCUGGUCCAUUCCAGUUUUUUAAUGCAUGAGUAGACUUAUAUCAUAUGAUCUCAGAAAUGAAGCAAAUGUUUUGGAACGAAAAAGAGCAUUUUUCUUCUUGUCAAUAUCUUAUAAGUCACUUACCCGAAUUUUGAAUGGAAAACGACAAGUCCGUACUUCCACACCAGAGAAUAUUCUUACAUCAAUGCCGAGACUAUCGACUCCAAUCAAAUUAGCUUCCUAUUACAGCAAAGAUGAAUACUUCAGAUUGCAACUAAAUUAGUAGAUGAUGAUAUCAAUGUAGAAUUCUCAAGUCAUGACAAGCAUGCAAAUCUGUUAUCACUCUUCUAAACAAGUAAACACAUUUCAAACUCACGGAUGACAUACUAGUUCCUUGAAACUUAGUCAGUUUGCUUGUGUUGGAAAUGGAAUCAUGUUUUUUUUUUUUUUUUUUUUUUUUUAUCUCUUAAGUACUCGUGUCUGAUGCAUAUCAAGACAUGGGACAAGACUUUAAAAGAAUUGGACAUACUCAUGCCAAACACAUCUAAGUCCAACACUAACACCCAAAUCUGAUAAACAUAGUUUAGGGUCAUAUAUUCAUCUCCCUAUUCAUGUAUAGUAUAUAUCAAAUGCAUGUGUUGGAUGUGAGUACCGGACACGGGUGCUUAAAGAAAAAUAAAAAGCCGGAGUAAUAUAGGUCAAAAAGAUCUAAGAUUUUGUUUAGGCUAAACUAAUUGGCAGGUCUAUGUACAAUAAGUUUAUGAGCAAAUUAGUCCUACUAUAAACGUGAGUAAUUAAUCCUUGUACAUUUAAUUUCGAAGCAAUAGUUAAAUGUAUACACGGCGGUAAGGUUGAAUACUGACAAAUGGUGACUUGUCAUGUUUUAAAGUAAUGUCCAAAAAUUUGAACAUUUAGUCUUUGUUGUGUUUUGCAAAUGUUGAAUUUUAGUCUUCAUGUCACUUUUUAAACACAAAAAUCAGCAAUUUUUAACGUUCAGGUUUACAGCAUUUAAAGUUUUACCUUCUUACUUCAAAAUUGAAUGCACGGUAAUUAGUUUGUUUCACUAAAAAACAGCUUCUGUAAAAUAUUUCUUGAAAAAUGGAUUGAUUUUCUGAAAAAGUUUAUAUUUUUUUUAGUGUUUAGAUGAUUGUGCAUAAAUUAUUUUGUUUGAUAAUUUUUUCUGAAAUCAUUUUUGAAACAUGUUUUUAGUUAAACAUACACAACAUAAAUUCUAUUUGUUACAAAAUAUUAUAAAAGCAUUUUCCUUCAACAAUCGAAAUUUAUUUUAUAAUAUAAUAUUUUAUAAUAAAUAAUAUCUAAUUAAAACUUAGUUUAAAGUUAAGUAUAUUAAAUGUUAAAAUUUAUUAUUAAAAUAGGAUCGUAAUAUUCAAUAAUUUUGUUAAAAUAAUAAAUGAUAGAAAUUAUAUUAAUAAUUUAUCAUAUAAUUAAAUAUAAAUAUGUGUUUAAUAAUAUUGAAAAUUAUAAUAUUUGGGAUUAAAUUAAUAUUUUAAAUAUUUUAAAAAUUAAAAUUUUAUUAUUAAUAUAAUAAUAUUUUACUUUAUUCAAGUUAAUUAUUUUAUAAAAAUCAAGUUACUCAUAAAGAAUUGUUUUCUGAAAAAUAACUUGGGGAAAUCAUUUUCCAAACUAUUUCCACGAAAUAAAUACGGGAAAAUGCAAAAAACAUUAACACACCCUAAAUUGCUCAGCUUUAUUAUAAAGGGACUGAUUUACGCUUCAGCCUAGUACAAAGACUUGCCAAGUAAGUUAACAUUUUAUCUAUUACCUCUAUUUGAAGACCCUUUUUCUUGCAUAGAGAUUUUAGAGCAACAUUGCACCGGAUUCCCUUCUCACUGAAACGCUCCAAAAUUGCUGAAGUAGAGUGUACAAGGACAUCAGGCUCAGCAUCUUGAAAGUCUUUCAAGCUAAUUAGGGACUGCAAAUAUACCAAAAUAAAACAGAAUUACAAAUCAAAUAACCACAACUCAUGAAAUGAAAAUUUUGGUUGUUUUGAGAAACAAUGUUACUCGGACUCAAGUGUAAGUGUUGGUACGAGUACAUGUCCACCACAAGUAUUGUUAGACUUUUUCAAAGUUUCUUUCUAUAUUUGGAGAACCUUUGAAGGUUGUAUCCCAUAUUCAUGUAUUAUUAUUGUCAAACACGAAUACUUCAAGAAAAGUGAAAUGUUGAAACAACACAACUGAGAAAUCAUCUAUUUUGGGAUUGCAACAUUUUUCAAGGCAAUCACUUUAUAGAAGAAAACAAGAUUUUCAUCCCUGCUUCUGUUCAUUUGAACUAUGUAUGUCCAAUUCACCACCAUUAUGAAUCAAAUCUUACAAUUUCGUGAUAGAGAGAGUAAAUUACAUGCCUGGGCACCAUAUACAGAGAACAAUUGAAUUCGCAUUAUCUCCAACCGAUAAAGUAUUGAGCCGCUUUUACUUCCACCAUAUUUGGAACUUGGUUUUGGAGCUUCGCCAUCUACACAAGAGCAAAACCAAGAAGAUCAAAGACAAAUUAAAGAUUUCAUCAACUCUUAAUUUGCUAAACAAAAAAGUUAUAUUUCCCCUUCUGAAAGAAAAAGGCCAAAAGGUAGUAGUGUUUGCAAGCUUCCACAAGCAAACCGCUACUAGGGAGAUCUCAAAACAGCUUGAAGAAAUUCCAAAUUAAGGAAUUCCAUCUAUGUUGCUCCAAUUCUUCAAUUUUCUUGAAGUACUGUAUUUAGUGCAUGUUAGAACAUGGAUACGAGAUAUAACCCUUUAAGAAUCCUCCAAGUACAUUAAAAACUUAUAAAAAAUUAAACAUACCAUACCUAUGCAAAAGUAUACCAUGACAAACCCGAGUUUUAGUAACAGAAGUUCAAAUGAAGUUACAAAAGUCUCGUUAAGAGACUAAUUCUUGGGAUACACAUUCCAAACUGAGCUGUGUCAACAAAUUUGAUAAGGGUAUGCGUCUAACAUGAGUAUGUUUUCUUUUUACUUUUUUUAGUUUUCUUGAAGAGUCAUAUUCCCACACCCAUGUCUUAAUAUGCAUCAAACACAGGUGUUAAGACACAAAUACUACAAGAAAAAUGAAGAAUUGAGUGAUAAAGAGGUCUACUGUGCUAACAUAUGUUACUCGAAUUAGGAUCCAAGCAUUGGAUGCGGAUAGGUGUCCGACAUGAGCAUAUUCAGUUUCUCUCCAUAUCCAUGUCUGUAUAUGUCUGAUACAUAUUUCGAAUAUGAUUACUUCAAACAAAAUGAAGAGUCUGAGCAACAUAGAUUUUUUUUUUUUUUUGAGUAAAGCAACAUAGAUUCUUGAUUAUGGUAUUAGGGUGGAAAUAUAAGAAACCUUUCCAAUCUGAGGUGUAUCCUUCAUCAUAGUCAAAAUGGAAUAGCCUUCUUAGAUAUGAUUCUUCAUCAGCAAAGGCUGGUCGAAGGCAACCGACAAUCGAAACACCAUUAGAGGGAUGGUCCAUUUUCCUGUCAUGUUCUACAUGAACAGCCUGCAUGAAUGCAGAAACUAAGUGUAAACAGAGUUACCUAUAAAUUCAAAAUGCAAAUACGCAUCUACUCAUCAUCUCAUGAAUUCUCUUUGAUCCAAUUAAGGCUUCUGCCUUAUCAAACUCAUGAUAAAAACUGUCUUAGCAGCAUAUUGGAGAGAGAAAAGGAUAAAAACUCAUAAUAUCAUUCAGCGACCGAUAUAAAAUUAUAAAAUCUUAGGAGGGCCAAAGCUAACAAAUUUUGUUAAAAGGGUUUAAAUUGAAUUACUUUUUUUUUUUUUUUGGUUAGGCCAAAAAAAAAUAGAAUUACUACUUUUUUAGAGGGAAAAAUGCAAUUUUUCCAUGAAUCAAAGGUUCAAAAAUGCUUAAAUUAACUAAUUGAUUAUUACGAGGGGCUAUAACUGUAAUUAUCCUGUUUAGCCGGGGGGCAUACCGGCCUUGCUUCAUCCUUGAUAUCAUUGAACCAUGUUACUUGGAACUCUAUUUUUCUUUAAGUAUCAGUGUCCAAGACUUGUGUUUGACACAUACUCAGCAUGGACAUAAGGUAUAAUCCACCAUAUAUAUAGACAAACUAAGAAAACUUGAGCAUACCCGUGUCAGAUGCAUAACCCAUCAGUCUAGAGUCCGAGUAACAUAGUCAUUGAGUACAAUUAAAACUUAUAAUAUGACUUGUACUUAAGGGAAACCCAGGCACAAUCACCUUCAUCAAGCACUUGGCAAAAUAAAUAGGAUGAACCCAGCUGCUAUCAGCCGAAUCUGGCAUCCCCCAACGAACCGGAGCCUCGUAUAUUUCAGAAUCCAUAACCUAUUUACGUGAAUGGGACUUGAGUAGCCAAAAUUAAGAAAAGAGAAUAUCACAGAUUUCACUUCAGAAGUCAAUAAUCAGUGGUUUCUAACCUCAAAAUAUUCAUCAUCAAAAGGAACUUCGUCAUCAAUCCCGAUGUCUGAAUAGUUGAAGUCACCGACUGCCUGGUUAUUCUCUCGUACAGGAAUGUCCAUCCCAAUCAGAACAUUCUGAAAGAAAAGAAAUCAUUACAAAUUUUAGAAUAUGGCACUCAUUGAAUAGGAAUUAAAGCCAAGUGAAAAUGUAGAGCUACUUAGAAAACAUAAUUCCGUCAAUCAACUGUUAGCAUUUCCAUUUUUAACAUUUGUUGUAGUCUAUGGUGUUCUGGCUCUCUUCACUUUUCUUGAAAUAACCAUGUCCAACAUAUAUUUCGGCAAGAGUAUAACCCUCUAAGAACCCUCCAGAUACACGGAACAAACUUAAAUAUACCUAUGUUGGACACACCCUUAUUAAACACUCACACUUGAGCCUGAGUAACAUAGAUUUUGCUAUGAUAUCUCAACAAGCUUAACUAAUUACCAUUCCAUUGGAUUCUCAUACUCAUAUGAGAGCAUCGGAUACAAGUAUGUAUUUGACACGAGUAUAUUCAAUUUUUAGAAGCUUUUUCCAUGUAUUUGAAGGAUCUUUUGAGAAUCAUAUUCCAAUACCCAUGUCCAAAUAUGUGUCACACACGUAAACUUAAAAAAAGAUGAAGAGUCAAAACAACGUUGCAACGCAUGAAACUGUUACACUAGUGGCUUCUAAAUGAUUAGCCAAAUGACACGUAAUUUUGAAGUAACGAGUGGCACCAAACUUGAGCUAGAAAAUCAAAACAACAUUUGAGUAGAAAUGAUAUCCUCACCACAAGGUUACUCGCUCCGCGAUCUUUUAAGAUGUUCUCAUCAUCCAAAAUUUCAAAAAAGAUAUCUAAAUUUGAAACAAAAGAUAACACAUAAAUUAGGUUAACACAGAAAGAGAACUAAUGGUUUAAUAUAUAUAUGCAUAUGUAGGUGUGUGCUCAUUUGUAUACAUAUACAAGGAAACUGGAGACAAAUCCUAAAGCCUUGACGGGAAUAAAAGCCUAAUAGAGCUCAAAGGUGGUCUCCCAUAAACUUACCUCCAUAAUCAUCAACAACAUAUCGAAACUCAGCCCAUGAAAUCUGUUCAUGAGGUUCAGAAUGUACUGUCCCAGGAAAGACUAGCAAAGCGCUGCUGUUUGCCUAAGGCAAGCAAAAACUAGAAAAGCAUAAACAUGAAUUCUUGUUGCAGAGGAAGUUAUGUUUAUCUAUGUUGCUCCGACUCUUAACUUUUUUUCAAGUGCACAUGUCUGAGACUUAUAUUGAACACAAGCCUGUACAUAGGUAUUUGGAUAUGAACCUUGAAGAAAUCUCCAAAUACCUAAAAAAUCUUGAAAAAAUGUUUAACAUACCAGUGUUGGACACAUCCUUGCAUCUGACACUCACAACUGAGUCCAAGUAACAAGGAUGUUUAUGUCGUCAGUCUAACACACUGAUGACACUAUCAAAUAAAUUCAACUCAUUUCAAAUUGUCUAAACUAAGUUUUUUUUUUUUUUUUUCCAAUUCAGUAAUUAUAAAAUUCACCUCGACAGUUGUCCUUGCUAUUUCAGCUGAUGACAGUUGUAUCUCCUGGAUCCUUUUGCAAACUUUAAGUUCUUCAAGAGGGUGAUAACCUUGGUUGCUUUCAUAACUCGAUGAAUUAGGAACAGAAUCAGAAUAAUCCGCAGCAACUAAAACUUUUGAAAGGGAAAGAUCGCGUCCCACAGACACCCAAUGAAAUUGUGUUGAUCCAAAAAACGGGUUCCUGCAUCUGACACUGAAAUGGAAAACUGCAUCUCAACCAAUUGGAUUUAAAGACAAAUCAGCUGAGAAGACCAGAUAAUAAAAUGUCAUCCGGUGAUGACCUUCUCAUCAGAUGACAUUACAAUAAUACAUGAAACUCUCCCCGGAAAAGACCAUAACAAAACAUAUGCAAUGAUCAUUAUUUAACUCUAAGUUACUAUACUCAAGUAUGAGUGUCAUACAGGUAGUAGUCCGACACAGGCAGGUUCGAUUCUUUUUUUGAAGUUUUUCCACAUAUUAGGAGGGUUAUAUCCCCAUUUCAAUGUCCUGAAUACUCAUCAGACAUGAGCGUUGAACAUAGGUAAUUGAAUAACAAAAGUUUUACUCAAUACAGAAACGGUUUUCUCUUUUCCAGAUAAACUCAGACCUAUUUAACUAUUGCACACCUUAUGCUGGGCGAGUCUGUCACUUUGCAACCAUCAAAAGUAUGUCUGAUCCAACCAUUGUUGACACCAAGUAACGGUGAGUAAUAAGCCCCUUCUACUUGACAUAAAUGACACUGGGAAGAACCUAAUAGCAUAGUUCAACAGGAAAGAGUUAUCAAAAGAUGCCAUGAAAAUGCAAAUGCAAACAUUAGAAUUAGCCACACUAAUAAACAAAGAUGUAUGAACAAAUAUUCACGAAAUGUGCAUAACUUUAGAAUUUUAUGUCGGUGUAAGAAAGAACUUGAGUAUAAGACCUAGUAUAAUACACUGAAUCAUAUACUCUAUACAUUUUAAUCGCCCAACAUUGACAGAGGAAAUCAAGUAUAGAAUCCAGAGCAUGCAAUCAACCUGCUUGGUUAGAAAAACUGAAAUUGACCCCAAUUUAAAAUAACCGGUAACCAUGACCAUGAUAUCAUAAUUGAAAUAACCAAACUGAGUUAGUUUGGGUAGUUAUCUCGAUUAACCAACUUAGUGAGAAUGGUAAUUGGGUUGGAUUUAGAUAAAAUAUUUGUAUAUUAUAUAUUAUAUAAUUAUGUUUAAAAAUACAUAAACAUAUUUAUUAUAAGUUGGUUGAGUCAAUCAGUUUGGUUACUCAUUUCACAAUUUGAAAAAAGCCCAAAUUAACUUAUUUAAACCAAAGCUCAUAACCAACCAAGUAUGAAAUCGUUUUAAUUGAACUGAACUGACCGAAUCAUGCCAGUUCAGGUCAAUCUAGUCGGUUUAGACCGAAUUCUGCUCACCACUAUUUACCAAUUACCUAGCAAGAGGUCACUUCUUGUGAAAAUGAAAUUUAUUAUUGGUUCACUAUUAGGAAAAGCAAAUUGCUUUCCCAAUCCCUUUUCAUAAAUUUAAAAUAAUAUUAAAAGGGGGAAAAACCCAGAAAGACAACUAAAUUAAAGAACAUGAAGUGUGCCCAUUUGCAUGUAGGUAUUCUGAUGAUUUCCACAGAAAGGGUUACUGAAUCUAAUAAACCGUUCCAAGCGAAAGUUUUCUUUUUUAGCUACUUAAAUAUUAACAAAUCAUCUUUUAAAAUUCCUGAAAUAUUUAUAAAUUAUUUCCGUCUCAUUGCAUUCCCAUCCCUAAUUUGAGCAUGAACAAGAAAAGAUAGUGAAGAAAAACAAUGAUAAAACCAGACCUUGAACAAUUACACUCUUUUGCUUCAUAUUUUCAUCACAUCAACAGAAAUCAACUUGAAUAAAGAGAAAAAAACAUUACAUGCAUGUAGGCACAUUUAAGAUAAUAAAAUCUCAUCUAAUUUAAGCUUUAAACAGCCAAUCAGGCAUCGAAGAUUAGAAAUACAAAAAGGGUUUGCUUUAAAACAUGGAAAUCAGAAUGGGAACUUAACCAAAACAAUAAGAAAAAAAGAAAUCUUUGUUCUUCAUUCGUCUAUUCCCAAUUAAUCCACAAUCAUAAAAAGAAUUUGGGUGCAAGUAAAAUAAAAAGAUGGUUUUGAAUGUAAUUACCGACGGAGAAGGAAGAAGCAGCGACGAUCGCCAUGAAAUAAGAGGGAGAGAUGGGGAAAGGGAUCAGAGAAGACAGUGACAAAAUGAUUGAUCCAUCCAAACUGUUGUCAGAAAGAGUGUUCAGAGCAGAGCAUCGAGAAAAAGGACACUAAAAAUAUCGACAAAAUCGUAUUAAAGAAAUGUCUGUUACAAACCUAGACAAAACAGAUUCGAGUAGCGGACAUAACUGUCAUUUUCACUUUCGGACUAGGAUCAGGAAAAUAAAUUAUAUUAUUUUUUAUGAAAAAAUAUUAUUAGCACUUAGCUCGCUUUUUUUCCAUAUAUUAUUUACAAUUUCAAAAAUUUUGAUUUUAGGUACAAAAAAUAAAUAAGUAAUUUAGGCAUUCAUAAUAUAUAAUUUUAUCAUUUUAAUCAUUUAUGUUAAAAUAGUAAAUAAAAAUUUAAUGUCAAAUAAAAUUUUCUAUUAAAUAAUAAUAUUUUUAAAAUUACUCUUAAUAACUUCGGUUUCUUUGUUUCAUCAUCAUCACCAUAACCACCAUCAUCAUCCCAUUGUCAUCUUCUUCUCCAACAUCAACCCCUAAGAUCUCUCUAAUAAUUGUUUCUGUAACAGUAUGAUUUUUAGUGAUAUCGAAACAUUCGAUUUUAGGAUCUCAUUUUUGUAAAUAGAGUCUGUAAAUAAAAACUAAAAAUAUUUACGGAGUUAAUAUAAAAAUAUGUUGAAAAAUGUUUGAGUAAAUUAACCGAUAAAAUAGUUAAUUAAGGCUCAGUGACUGAAUUAUAAAAGUCCAAUCGUGUAACAACCUGAUUUUGGGCCUAGUCGGAACAGUAACUUCGGAACCACUAUUUUGAGGCCGGAGAAAAUUAUUUUGAUGUUAUUUUAUGUGUUAUAAUGUGUUUUUAUAAGUGCAUGUUAAUUUUGGUAUAUUAAUUUUAGCGAUUUCUAGUCCAAUUUCGAAAAAGGACUAAAUCGCGCAAAAAGUAAAAGUUAUGUUUUAAUACCUAAAGGUGUUAAAUUGCCUUGUAUCUUAAAUUGGGGGUUUUUAAUGUGAAAUUAGGCCAUUGAAAGAGUGAUGACUGACCAUGAGACAAGGAAUUAAAUGGUCAAAUAUGUUAGGUAAGAGUUCGGUGACUUAUUUGACAAAUAAGUAAUAAAAUAAAGAAAAGAAAAUAUCAUCUUUUCUUCAUCUUCUCUCCAUCGAUUUUUCCAACCAAGAAAAGGAUUUAGAAGCUGGAAAAUUUCAGCAAAGAAACUCCCAUGCUAGUAAGUGAUUUUUAAUGUCUUUAUUGAUAAUUUUUGCAUUUUUGGAACCCCUAAAGCAUGAGCUUUCAAAAGAGGGGACUAUUUUGCAAAAUGAUUAAGAGUCUAGGGUUUUUCCAUGAAAGCGUAUAUGUUGUUUUCUGACUUUUUAUGGAAGAACAUGAGUUUGGUAGUGUUAUAAACAACUUUUAUGAAAGAAGUUUGCAUGAAAACACCUAAAAUGGGGUAUUUUGCAAAGUUGUUAAAUAAGUGUAAAUAUGUGAAAUAAUUGAAUUUGUGAGUUGCUAUAGUUAUGAAAAUGGUUUGUCUAGGCUUAAUGAGUAAGAAAAUGUGAUAAAAAUCAUUUUACGAGCCUAGAGACAAUUUGGUAAUUUUGGUAAAGUAUAGGGGUGUUACAAAUCGUUAUAGAAUUUUAAUUAAGAAAACGCUUGAGGAUUCAAAUAACAAUUAUCCUACGAGGCUAAAAUGGUUAUUAAACCAAUAAAUAGCAUGAGAUAGUAGAUGUUGAUGUUAAUAUUAGCAUCCAUUUAUGUUUAAUUAUGAGAUGAAAUAUAUAUAUAAAUAUGCUUUAUUAAGGUAACUAAACAUGAUCUAUUAGACUAAUUAAGCAUUAAUUGGCCUAUAAAUAAAAAAAUUGGUGGAAAGAAAAAGAAUAUUAUCUUUUCCAUCCUUAAUCAUCCACCAUCGUUAAAAACCAAAAGGAAGUUUCAAGCUCACCUAACAUUCAUCAAGCAAAAUUUCAAGGUAACCAAGCCUUUUUCCAUGUAAUUUUUUUUAUAUUUGUGAUCAUGAGGCUUAAUUUAGCUAGCCCAUGUACCAGUUUGAUCAAUUGUUGAAAUUUUAGCAAGUUGCCAUUGUUGAUAAAUUGAUGAAUUAGGCUUGGAAUUGAUAGCUGUUGAACUUAGAUUAUGAAAAGUACAAAAUUGUAAAGUUAAUUAAGCUUGUUUGUUAACUUUGUAACAUUAGGGGCCAAAUUAAAUAAAUGAAUAAUAUGUCCUGAAAUUUUGGUAGAAAUAGAUAGUAUAGGGUCUGUAAUAAAAGAAUUUGAAAUCAUAUUUUAAUCUGAAGCUAGGAAUUCAAAGUUAUGUUUAUCUCAAGUUCAAGGAUUAAAUUGAAUAAAAUACAAAAUAUAUUUGAAAUAAAAAAUAUUAUUUAGUAUCAUGAAUCUUACGAUAUUAUUGUUGUAAACCAUUAAAUGGCUAUUGUGUGUUGUUAUGUGCUAUUAAUUAGUAUUUAUAUAUAUAAUUGUAUAAAAUCGAAACUCGAUAGAAGUGGAGCUAAUAGCUAAAAUUGCAGAAUAGGCCUUGAGAAACCUACCUAUUUUGUGUUUUGAGGAGAUAAGUUCCUUGUGUUAUAUGUUUGCUUGUGUUUAUUUUGUUAUAUCAAUGCUUGAACAUAAGUUAAGACUUGAUGGAAUUUGACAUACAUAGCUAGUAAAUGUGAUUUGAAUUGAUCUAGGCAAUUGAUGUUAUAUCUAUUGAUUAUAACUAGAAGAAUGACAAAGAUCAUUAAAUGUAUGUAUAAUUUAUGUACAAAUUUAUUCGACAAAACCCAAAAAUUUAUAUGAAUGAUUACAGGGUAUGAAAAUGCAAAUGUGAAUGAUUACAGAGGGUGAAUAUGCAAAUGUGAAUGAUUAUAACGUAUGAAUAUGCAAAUGUGAAUGAUUGAUGCCCAUGUGAACUUAGUAAAAAAGUUAGGAUACAAUUGGUAUACCAAUAAGGUCAUAUACACGCUUGUGUAUGAGAUAGUUGAUAAUAUGAAGAUAAUGACAGGUUAUUUUGAGAUCCAACAUCUAUUGUGGAUCAUUGAGUAUUCAUUAUCUCUACAAAGACCUUCGUGUGGUGGAGGGAUGUAUUUGAAUAUGUUUAAACAUUUAAUGCCUACGGGCUUUACACUUUGGUGUCUUGGUGUGGUGUAGUUUAUGCUCAUACGAGCUAUCUUGGUGUAGUGUAGUUCAUCCAUGUGUUCGAGUCCGUUUUACUAGGGUUCUGUUGGGUAAAACAUUGAAAUUGAAUCUUGAAAUUGGAAAAUGAAAUUGUAAUAGCUCAUUUUCAAUAGUACCAAAAAUGAUGGGUUUGGAACCCCAUUCUUCGACGAUCGAGUCAGUAAAUAUUAUUAUUUAAUAUUUACAAGUCAUUUAUAGUGUUAUAAUGAUUUUUAGUUUAGUAAUUUUAUUAAUUGGUUAGUUAUUGUGGAAUAAAGACUAAAUCGUAAAAAUUGAAAAAGUUAAUCACUAUUAAUUUAUAUGUGCUAAAUGAGUAACAAAACAUAUUAUAAAGGUUUUAAUGGCAAUAAUAUCAUAAUGGAUUAUAGUAGAUGGUUUGUGUGUAGAUUAAGUAAAAAAUAUGUUUCUUAUUAUAUUAAAUAAUAUAUGUUAAAACAUUAGAAAACAUCAUCACCUUCACUUUCUUUUUCUUUCACAAAUCGAAAACACUAUUGAAGGGAGCUUGAAGAAUUUGGUUUAACUUCUCUUUUGCAGUAAGCAUUUUUGAAGCUUUUUUUUUUUGUAAAUUUUAUGUUUUGGGGAUGUUGUAGCUUAAUCGAGAUAUCUCAAGGACUAUUUCAUAAUACUUUCAAAAUUUUAAAAAUUACCAUUGUUGAUUUUUAAGGUUUUUGAUGUUAAAUGGUUAAGUUUGAAGCUUUAUCAUGAAAUAAGACUAUUUUGUAAAGUGAUUUUUUUGUUAGUUUUGAGUUUAGGGACUAAAAUGAAAAUAUGUUGAAAUAGGCAUGAAAUUUCUAUAAAAAUGGAUAUUGAGUAUUGCAUAGGGAUGUGUAUGAAUUCGGUUUUAAAUUUUGGGGCUUAAGUAUGAAAAAUAUGCUUGUUAUGAUUUUAGGGACUAAAUUGAAUAAAUUGCAAAACUUUAGAGAAAUUUUGAAAAAUGAUAAUGGGAUGUCAUAUGCAUUAAAUAAGAUGUUAUAAGGUAUUUAGAACUGAUAACUUAAAAUAAAUUAUCGUAUAGAUUAAGAAACGAAUCAACUAGUUGAUAAUCGAGGAAAAGGAAAAAUAGUAGAGUAGUCCCUAACACUUCUUCUAUUGUUGUUAUUCCCUGGUAAGUUCAUACGAUAUAGGUGAGGAAAAGGAUUGAAUUGAAUAGUACUAUAUUGUUAUUUGUAUUGAGCUUGGAUGAACAUGAGAUAGGAUGCAAUUAGCAUGCUAAUAGGGUUAUUUGCACGCUAUACGGGUUUUAUAUGAGAUGACAUGUUGGCGUAUGAUAUAUAUAUUCACUGAAUGCACCAGAAUCUAGCAUUUUUUUUAAAUUACCAAGUUAUAUCCAAAAUGAUUCAGACGUAUUUUUGGGGGAGGAUGUAUAGCCUAACGACUUGGAACUUAGUGCCUAGGCUUGUUUUUGAAAGGAUGUUUAGCCUACAGGCUUGGCACUCAAUGCCUAGGCAUGUUCUUGGAUGGUAAAGCUAGGUUGAGCAAUCAGACGUGCUUUGGGUGGAUAGCUGCGUAUUCGUUUAUUAUAGUUCAUUGGGAUAAAUUGGUAUUGUUAUUGAACUAGAUGAAUGGUAAAAGUGUUAUAAUAAGAUGAAGUAAGUUAUAUAAAGUAAAAGUGCAUAUGUUCAAUGGGUUGAUGUUAUAGCUUCGAACGAGAUCAAAUUAUUUUGAAUGAAAUGUUUAUGUGAUAUAUACCUGGUGAACUCACCUAAUAAUGUGAAUUGUGGUAACAAGAAAUUUUUUUAAUUAAAUAUGUUAUAUUGAAAUUGUGGGAUUUAAGGUAAGUUUUAUUGUUCUAAACCUAUGAACUUACUAAGCUUAUUUAAAGCUUACUCUGUUUCGUUUUUUGUUUCUGGUACUUAUUCAUUUGCGAAACUCAGUGAUCUGGUCAUCUUGAAGAUCACACUAUCUAGCCACCAUUUUGGUAGACUUUUAAACAUUCAAUUCGAUUAUGUGGCAUGUAAUAGGAUUUGAAUUAUAUAUAAGUGUUUUGUUAAAGUAAAGUGAGAAUGGUAUUAUAUAAAGUAUGUGUGCUUGAUUACCUUUUGAUAUGUUUGAUCAUGGCCUGAAUUAGUAAAUCUUGAUUGUGGUUGUUAAGCAUGGAAAAAGUGAUAGAUUCAUAUGAGAGUUGGUAUGGUUAGUUAUGCUGUAUAAUGUUUGAAUAUGUGGGAUUGAGUUAGAAAAUAUGGUAUGAAUACUUGAUAAUAAAAUUUGAUGUUUUAGGUAUAAUAAGUGUAUGGUUAUAGGUAUCAAUCUCAUAGGUUGUGUAUUUGGUAUUUUGAUCAAUAAUAGGUGAGUGAAAGUUGGCAUUUUGUUUGUGAUUAGGGUAUAUGUUGGUCAUUUACUUUGUUGGUAUGAAAUGGAAUGAAAUUUGGUAUUGAUUAUUGUUUGUGAUGGUGCCUUGAGGCAUAUUGGUUAAAAUUAGGAAAAUGAUAUGUUUUGGUACCUUUUUUGUGCAUUUUGAAUAGGUUUAAGGAAUGGUCAAUUGCAUACUUAUGAUAUAUGUGAGAGUUUGGGUUAUAACUUGCAUUAUAAGUGUAAUACCCCUAACUUGUAUCUGUCGUCAGAACAGGGUUAUGGAGCAAUAUUAGAGUACAGAGAAUAAUUACAGAUAAUUCGUGUCAUUUACGAUUCAUAUCUGAAACUAAUCAUAUUGUCCCUUGAAUGGACCCUCGAGGCCCAAUUUAAACAUUAUGAACUAAUUAGGAUUAGAUCAGGAUAUCAGAGAAUUUUUCGAAAAAUUUUCAAAAUUUUUCCUAGAUACAGGGCACACAUGCCCGUGUGGUCCAGGGACACGCCCGUGCUGCAAGCCGUGUCCAACCCCGUGUAACUCUCUCUGCCCCCCCCCACCCCUGCGUAUCAUACAUGGCUGAGGCACACGCCCGUGUCUCUAUCUGUGUGUCCAAUUUUGAGCAUUCUGCUUCUCAAAUUUAAGAUGCAGGAGACACACGACCAGGCCACAUGCCCAUAUGCCAGGCCGUGUCUCACACACGGUCAAGACACACGCCCAUGUGUCUACCCAUGUGGACAAAACAAGGUAAUUUUUUAGCCUUAUUUCUCACCCAAAUUUAACUUCAACCUACAAUAACAUGUAACAACCCAUUUUUAGCUAAAUCGAAAUAGUGGUUUUGAAACCACAAAUUUGAGAUCAAAAAUUUAUUUUAAUAAUAUUUUAAAUGUUUACAGCAUGAUAACAUGUAUAUGUGAAAGUUCGUAAUUAAAUUUAUUGUUUGAAUGCUUAAUUUGAUAAAAGGACUAAAUCGUAUAAAGUGAAAAAGUGUUGUUCUAAUAGCUAAAGGUGUUAAAUAGCUAUUGAACCUUAAAGUAAGGGUCCUUAAGUAGUAAUUAGACCAUUAUAAUGGUAAGUGGACAAUAUUGGUCAUUAAAUGGAUGAUUUAAAUGGUUUUAUAAUAAGGUUAAUAUAGUAAUUUGUAAAUAUAAGUUAAAUUAAUAAAACAAAAACAUAAAAAUGUGUUUUCAUUCAUAUUUCUUAACCAUACAUAGCAAAGAAGAAAGCCAUUCUAGGGCUUUAAACAUUCAGCCAUUUCAUUGCUCAAUUGCUAAGUAAUUUUGACACCGUUUUUAAUGAUUUCUAUGUUUUUGAGAUCGUUGCAACUAGGUCUAGCUAGCCCAGGGACUAUUUUGCAAAACUGUUAAAGAUUUAGAAUGUUUCCAUUGAUGAAUAAGCUUUUGUUUUUAAGUUUCUUGAUAAAUUAUGAAUGCUUGUUGAUAGAUAUACAAGUUUUGUAAAGUGAUUUUGAGAAAAAAUGGAAAAUAGGGAUUUAUUUGUGAAAAUGUGAAAAUAUGUGGUUAAAUGUGUGAAAAGUUGAUAAAUGUAGGCUAUUAGGGGCAUUAUAGUAAUUCAACAAUCAUGGGUAUUAAAGAAAUUUCAUGAAUUUGUGAUUUUGUGUAAUAAGGACUAAAUUGUAAAAAUUGUGAAAUUCUAGGGGUAAAUGUGUAAAUGUGCUUAAAUGUGUGUUUUGGAUUAAAUUGAAUAAAGAGAUUAUUAAAUCAGUUAAUUUUGGAUAUAUUUAGAUCAAGAAAAGCAGAAUUUGGAUCUAGAUCGGAGAAAAACGAAAGUUAUCGACUAAUCGACUUAUUUUGUCGUUUUCAAAUCUGAGGUAAGUUCGUAUGUGAAAAUUUUCAUUAUAAGUGUAUUUUAAAUGCUUUGAUAUUGAACAAGUUGUGAAUACGAGACUUUGAAUAACUUCGACAAUGACUUGAUGGUAAUUCGGCAUUCGAAAUUCUGGUUGAACCUUAGGAAUAGUUUAGGAUACUAGUGACAUGUCAUUAGGGAAUACAUUGAGUUGGCUUUGGGGCAUGAUAUUAGCACUUCGGGUGUGAGUUAUACCGAUUUGGCUUCGGGCCAUGAAUAUUGGCUGAUUUGGCUUUAGGCCAUGAUAUAGGUACUUAGUAUGCGAGACUCCUGAGUAUCCGACUUCUAUUCUGAAUGGUUCAUCGGGUUAAUGAAUGAUGUGGUAGAGAAUGAGAUUGGUACGAGAUGGUACAGGUAUGUACAUAAACCAUAUUAACUUUGAAUCAAAGAAAUGGUGAAGAAAGUACAUAGUUUUGUGAAUGAGUAAUUGAAAGUUUUGUUAAUUGACGUAAAUUCGUGUACUUAUAAUCAAUUGUUGAAUUAUGUGUUUAUGAUUAUAUCAAAUUUAUUUCAUACGAGCUUACUAAGCUUUAUAGCUUACUUUGUUUAUUUUUCCCGUUGGAUUUGGGGACUGUUGUAGAUUUUGUCACACUAUCUUACAAACGAUUUGGUACCUUUAAUCUUAUGUUUUGAGUAUAUGGCAUGCAUAGGGACUUUGGUCAUGUUGGUUAUGUUUUGGUAAUGAUUUUGACCAUUUGAAUUGGCUUGUAAAUGUAAAUGUUUUGGUUUGUAUACCAUAGCCAAGAGAGUUGGCUUAUUUUGAGUUAAUUUGAUUGUGUAUAUAAUGUUGUUCAUGGCCAUGUAAGUUGACCUAUUUGGCUUAGUUGGUGAUGUAACACCCUUAACCCGUAUCCGUCGCUGGAAUAGGGCCACGAGGCAUUGUCGAUCAAUUACAUCAUACAACAUACAUUUCUCAGACAUGAAUCCAUUGUCAUAUAAACAUUAAUCAAACAUAAUCAUAAUGUCCCUUAUAAGGUUCGACGAGACCUUAAAACAUGCUUGGAAGAGGUUCAGGACUAAACUGACAACAUUUGAAAACUUUGGGAAACUUAGAAAAUUUUCAUACAUACAGGGUUCACAUGCCCAUGUGAAUAGGCCGUGUGCCUCACACAGCCACCAGACACACUCGUGUCACAGGCCGUAUGAAAACAGGGCAUACAUACUGACUUGCACCACAUGGCCAGAGACACACCCGUGUUCCAUAGCCGUGGGAAAACUAGAGGGCAUACUGACUUGGGUCACACGGCCGACCACACUCCCAUGUGUCAGCCUGUGUGCCACACACAGCUAAUAGACACGCCCGUGUGUUUAAGCCGUGUAACUCACUGACUUGUUUUAACUAGGAUACAGGGGUCACACGGUCGAUUCAAACGCCCGUGUGCUCAACCAUGUGGCACAAAAAUAGGCUUGAUUUAAGCCAUUAUUCCCACCUAUCAUUCAUGUACCUAAAAGCAUUUAUUUGGCAUCAUUUUCACAUUUCAUGCCAUUUAAAAACCAUCCAUUUCACUACUCAAAUCCCCAACCAAAAUCAUGCCAAAACAAUAUACCAUAACUGUAAUAUCCUGAUUUUGGGCCUAGUCGGAAUAGUGGUUUCGUGACCAUAAAAUCCGAGAUAGAAAUAAUUAUUUUAUGAUUAUUUUUAGGUCUAUGAUAUGAUUGCAUGAUUGUGUGAAAAUUUCGUGAAGAAAAUUUAUGCAUAAAGUGCUUAAAUUGAAAUUAGGGACUAAAUCGAAUAAUUUGUAAAACUUGCAUUCUAGAAGUUUCUAGUAUGAAAUUGUUUUGAAAUAUUAAUUAGGAGGUCUUAAAUAGAAUUUUACCAAUUUCUAAGUCUAUGGACAAAAAUUGGACAUGGAUGGAAUUUUUGGAAAGUUUAGUAGUAAGGGCAUUUUGGUCAUUUAGGGGUAAAAUGAAUUAAAAUACAAAAUUAAAAGCCAAUUUUGCUCAUCUUCAACCCCAUGGCCGAAUAUAGCAAGGAGAAACCAUGGCUAGGGUUUUUCAAGCUUCCAAGCUCGAUUGUAAGUCCGUUCUAGCCUCGUUUUUAAUGAUUUUUACGUUUUUGGAGUCCCGGUAGCUCGAUUUAGCUUAUGCUAGCAAUAAUUUAACCUAGGGUUUAUAUUUGGAAAAAUACCCAUAGGUGAAAUUUGUGUAUUUUGGUGUUUUAUGAUAGAAUAUGAGGUUUUAAAUUAUGUUAGACAACUUGUGCUACUCGGUUUUAAGUGAAAACGAGCAAAAGGGCUUAAUCAGUAAAAAUACCUAAUAGUCAUAAGUACAUGUUAGAGUGAGAAUAUGAUGUUGCCAUAGAAGGGAAAAAUGAUCAGCAUGUCAUAAAACAUAAGAAAAUAGGCUGAAGUUUAAUUUACGAGCUUUGGGGAAAAAGUGUAAAUAUGCAAAAGUUUAGGGGCAAAAUUGUAAUUUUUCCAACAUAUGAUUUUGGGUCAAUUUGAAUAAUGUGAGUCCUAAUUAGACUAUAUUUUAAAUGAUAGAGCAAGGAAAACUAAAAUUCGGGCUAAAAUGGGGAAAAUACCAAGUUGUGGACGAAAUGGUAAAAGUAGCCAUUUUCGCAUACGAGGUAAGUUCAUAUGUAAAUGUUGGUGACAUAGUUAUUAUUUUAAAUGUUUUAAUGUUAUUUAAAUGAUAUGAUAAUUAUUAUGAAAUAUUAUACUGUGAUAAUUGUUUGUUAAUAUGUCAAAUUAUGUGAUAUACUUGGAAAAUGUGAAAUACUACCGAGUAUCGGUAACGGCAUUCCGUAGAAGAUGGUUGAGACACAUGAUUGGGAAAAAGGUCCCGUUGAACCUUAGGAAUGGAUUAGGAUACAAGUGACAUGUCACUAGGAUAUUUGGGCAUCCGAACUCGUUGAGUUGAGUCCGAGUUCACUUAUGGAUGCGAAUGUCCGAACUCGUUGAGUUGAGUCCGAGUUCAUGAGAUGUAACUAGGCAUCCGAACUUAUUGAGUUGAGUCCGAGUUCACUCAUGGAUGCGAACGCCCAAGCUCGUUGAGUUGAGUCCGAGUUCGCUUAUGGGCGGGUUACAUAGUACCUUGGCUACAUAUGUGGCACUUAUGUGCAAACUUUCCAUGUAUCCGAAUUAUAUUCCGAUGUGUUCAACGGGUAAAAUUUUACUCAAGCGGAGGAAUACUGGAGAUGAAAGGGACGUAUUGGUAAGUGUUGUGAAAUGAAUACUUUGAAUAGGUAUGUACUUAACCCUCGGGUUGAAAACUUGAUAUAACAACAAUAUGGUAAGAUGAUAAAUGAAAAUGUGAUAUGAAUGUCUCGGUGAUGAUUAUGCAAAUGAUGUUUUAUGUUUGCUUAUAAAGUUGUGUUACUUGCUAUUUGCAUGUGAGCUUACUAAGAAUUUAUGCUUACUUCCUCCUUUUCAUUCCUUGUAGUGUUGACAAGCCAGCUCGAAAAUCGGGAACGGUCGGAGGCAUGCUCACACUAUAUCCGUAUACCAUCUUGGCAUAAUGGCUUGCAUAUUUUGAGUAUGGCAUGUAUAGCAUUAUAAUCAUUUUGUAUAUAUGGUCUUAUGAUAUGGUUAUUGAGUGGUAUGGAAAUGCUUGGUAAUGAUUAGCCAUUGGAAUGACUAAUCAUGAUCAUAUUUGGUGUUAUGUAUGUCAAAUUACUAGCUAAUCCAUGGAAACCAUGAAAUAGGUAAAAUUUACCAUAAAAUAGAUUCAGACAGCAGUAGUGAUGUGAAUUUGAAAAAUCAAUAAAAAUAUUAGAAAUGGAAUUAAAUAAUGAAUAAGUUAUGGAAUCGAAGCUAGAUGAGUCUACUUUCAUAUGGAAGAAGCGAAAGAGGUAUAUGAGCUAUAUUUUAUGAGAUGUUUAAAUUUUUGUGAAACAGGGCCAGAGCGAUUUUUGGAUCCCAUGUUCUGACUUUGGAAAUUCACCAUAAAUUUUUAAAAGAUAAUUAGAAGUCAUGAUUUAUAUUUACAGAUUCCUUAUUGAGUCUAGUUUUAUUAGAAACAAACGACAUAGUCAUUGAAACUCUGUACAGGGAGAUAUUUGAUUCGUAAUACAUAGAGGUCAGAGCAGUCGAACCCUGAAAUAGGGGAGACUUUAACUAAUAAACUGUACUAAUUGGCUUGAACAAAAAUUCUAGAAAAAAAUUAGUAAAUAUAUAUAUGAGUCUAGUUUCAGGAAACCUUUACGGAAUUGGAUUUUGAGUUUUGUAACUCGAGAUAUGAAUUUUUAAGCGACUAUUACGCAGAUUGUUAGCUUGACUGAAAAUUUUAAAAAUAAAUUGUUUGAGCUGUUUAAGUAAUGAAUUAAGUCUGUUAACACCUCGUGUUCGACUCCGGCGACGGUCUCGGGUACGGGACGUUACAAUAACCUUAACUUCUAUACGCAUUUUCUCACCAUCUUAUCAACUAAAUCAUGCCACAAAAUAUACCAAUUCAUCAUAUUAAAACUAAGCCACAACAUGCCAUUUCUUAACCAUUAUAUAUCAUUGAUAAUUUUCUAUUUAAGCAACCAUAUAACCAUCACAACAAUCAUACCAGACAUGCCAAAACACAAGGCAAUAUAUAUACAUUAUAUAUCACUUAUCAAACUUAUGAUUUAAGCCAACUUAAAUGGCCAAAUACACACCAACAUUUACAAGCCAAAUCUCAUGGCUAAUAUCAUAACUCAAAACAUAUCACCACAUCACUAGCCUAUACAUUCCAUAUACUAUAUUUACAUAGCAUCAAAAGUACCAACAAGUAGUCGAUAGUGUGAUGACGGUUCCUGAUGAUCCCCAAUGUCUGAGCUAGCUUCUAUAAUCUAUAAAAUAGGGAAGAACACACAAAGUAAGCUUUAAAAGCUUAGUAAGCCAUAUACAAAUAAAACCAUCUCAUGAAUCAACAUCAUUUCCAUCAAAUAAGCAAUUUAUGAAUAAGCACAUAUAAGCUUACAAACCUUCCCAAAUGUAUACAUAUUCAAUUUCAUAAGUGAAUUCAUCAAAUACUUCCCUUUUCAAUACUUGUAUGAAUUUCAUACAUAGCUAAGUUGCUUCACUCAUUUACACAUUCAUUCUCGACUUGACUUUUCUCGUUGAACCUUUCGGAAUUGUUAAGGAUAUUUGGAAAUCACAUAUAGCUCAUACAAUGCCAUAUCCCAGAUAUAGUCUUACAUGUUAUCACAUAUCGAUGCAAAUGUCCCAGACAUGAUCUUACACGAAAUCAUAUAACGAUGCCAAUGUCCCAGAUAUCGUCUUAUAUGUAAUCACCAUACAAUGCCAAUGUCCCAGACAUGAUCUUACAUGUAAUCACAUCUCGGUAAUCCUAAUGUCAUGACAUUUAUAUCCUAUACUAUUCCUAAGGUUCGUACAGGACUUUCGGGUAACAUAACUUCGUCGAUACUUGCUCGUAUUUGCUCGGUCAACAUUCAUAGCAAUUCAAUGAUAAUUAAACAUUUAUAAAUCAAUUUAAAGGUAUUUAUUUGCAUAUGAACUUACCUCGUAUAUACAAUGAAUGGAUCGGAUCGACUACUUGACAACUUUCGAUUUUCCCCGAUCUAAAUUCGAUUUCUUUCGUUCUGAUCUAUAUACAUUCAAAAUUAACUCCUUUAUUCAUCAAAUCAUUCAAUUCAAUCCACAAACACAUAUUUGGGCAUUUUUACAUUUUAACCCCUAAAGUUCCACAUUUAUUUAAUUUAGUCCUUAUUUCACAAAAAUACAAAUUACACCAAAUUUGACAAAACUCAUGCUUGGCCAAAUUACCAUAGUGCCCCUACCAACCGAUAUUUCACAUUUAAUACACAUUUAACCCCUCAAUUUAUAAUUUUCACAAUUUAAUCCUUAAAAUGCAUUUUUAGCUAAAAUCUCUUAACAAAACUUUAAUAUCUACCAUCAAACUUUCUUAUUUCAUCAUCAAUCAUUCAAAAGCUCAUGGAUUCAUCAAUAUAAUUUUACAAAAUCACCAAAAAAACUCAAAAAUUAGGGCAUGGGCUAGCUAGAAUACAAAGCAACGAUCUCAAAAACAUAAAAAUCAUCAAAAACCAAACUCAAAACAUACCUAAUUGCUUGAAAAUAGAAGUGCCGAAUCAAGAACCCUAACUUCUCUUCUUUUUCUUCUAAUUUCAGUGCACUAAGAUGAUAAUAAAUGGAAUUUUGUGUUUUUAUUAUUACUAUUAUAACAUUUUUUACAAAAUACCAUAAUUAACCUUAGUUAAAAACAUUAAAAAUCACAUAAUGGAUGUCCAUAAAUGUCAAAUUCCACUAUCAAUGGUCUAAUAACAUCAUCAGGACCUUAGAUUUAAUCAACCAUAGCAAUUAAACACAUUUAACAUAUAGAAUGUCACUUUUGCAUUUUAUGCGAUUUAGUCCUUUUUUCUCAAAUUGAACAAUUAAACGAUAAAAUUAGCUCACAAAACUUUCAAACAUACAUGCUAUCAUGCUAUAAACAUAUAAAAUAAUAUUAAAAUAAUUAUCCAACCUUGGAUUUGUGGUUUUAAAACCACAGUUCUAAUUUAGCUAAAAUCGGAUUAUUACAGGUGAUGUAUAUAUAUGUGUGCUAAUGCCAUUUUGUGAUGUGAAUAAUAUUGCUUGGUAAAGGGUUGAUUGUGGAUUAUUAGUUGAGUAGAUAAUGGUUGAAAUUGAGAUUGGUAUGCUUGUGGUUUUAGGCUAAAAAAUGUUUAGUUGAAAUGAUACAUAUGAAUGUUUUGGAAAUGUGACUUGGUAUAAUUUGAAUAGGCAAAAAAAAAAUGGUAUUAUAAGCAUGAUAAAUGUUGGCAUUGAAAUGGUAUAUAUUGUAUCUUUGGUUGUGGUUGUUUUGGUUGUUUAUAAAUGCUAUAACUUGUGCAUUUUCUAUGAUGUAGGUGCGUGCCAAAUUUGGGGUGGCAAAAUGGCUUGGUAAAUAGCCUAUUUUUGUCCACACGGGCAGAGACACUUGCAUGUGUCUUAGCCGUGUGUGACAAACAGUUAUGUUACACGGCCGUGUGUCCCCUGGUAUUGAAAUUAAAACCAAGUCAGUAUGCUCCACACGACCUCACACAAGGGCGUGUGACCUGACCGUGUGGUAUAAGUCGGUAUACCCUACAGGAUUGGCAUAGCCUAGCAUAUGGCCUAGCACAUGGAUGUGUAUGGCCAUUUUUAGGGCACAUAGGUGAACCAUAUGGGCGUGUGUGUUGGCCGUGUGACCCAAGUCAGAGAGUUACACGGGUUCGGAUACGGGCUGGGACACGACCAUGUGCUUCCAUUUUGAAUGUCCACAUGGCCUGUGACACAUACGUGUCUGUAAGACCUUUUACCCGUACCUGAGAUCGAGAUAGGAUACGAGGCAUUACCGAACACAUACACAGUUUUUCAUGCAAAAUUGGGCUAUAAAAAUUUUCUUUAAAAACAACUUCAUUCAUUCGUAUACAAAUUGUCUUUAAUAUGGGCUUACGAGGCCCAAAACAACCAUCGGAAGGGAUUCGAGACUGAAUCAAAAACUUUAGAGAAAAUUGGGAAAUUUUCCCCAAUGCGGUGCCACACACCCGUGUAGAACAAGGGACACGCUCGUGUGCUCUUGACACACCCGUGUUCUCCGGCCAUGUAGCUCUCUAACUAUGAUGUUAGCAUCAAUUAGGGUCACACGGCCGUGUCACAUGCCCGUGUCUUAGGUCACACGGCCGACAACACUUCCAUGUGUCAGCCUGUGUGCCACACACAGCUAAUAGACACGCCCUUGUGUUUAAGCCGUGUAACUCACUGACUUGUUUUAACUAGGAUACAGAGGUCACACGGUUGAUUCAAAAGCCCGUGUGCUCAACCAUGUGGCACAAAAAUAGGCUUGAUUUAAGCCAUUAUUCCCACCUAUCAUUCAUGUACCUAAAAGCAUUUAUUUGGCAUCAUUUUCACAUUUCAUGCCAUUUAAAAACCAUCCAUUUCACUACUCGAAUCCACAACCAACAUCAUGCCAAAACAAUAUACCAUAACCUUAACUUCUAUACGCAUUUUCUCACCAUCUUAUCAACUAAAUCAUGCCACAAAAUAUACCAAUUCAUCAUAUUAAAACUAAGCCACAACAUGCCAUUUCUUAACCAUUAUAUAUCAUUGAUAAUUUUCUAUUUAAGCAACCAUAUAACCAUCACAACAAUCAUACCAAACAUGCCAAAACACAAGGCAAUAUAUAUACAUUAUAUAUCACUUAUCAAACUUAUGAUUUAAGCCAACUUAAAUGGCCAAAUACACACCAACAUUUACAAGCCAAAUCUCAUGGCUAAUAUCAUAACUCAAAACAUAUCACCACAUCACUAGCCUAUACAUUCCAUAUACUAUAUUUACAUAGCAUUAAAAGUACCAACAAGUAGUCGAUAGUGUGAUGACGGUUCCUGAUGAUCCUCAAUGUCUGAGCUAGCUUCGAUAAUCUAUAAAACAGAGAAGAACACACAAAGUAAGCUUUAAAAGCUUAGUAAGCCAUAUACAAAUAAAACCAUCUCAUGAAUCAACAUCAUUUCCAUCAAAUAAGCAAUUUAUGAAUAAGCACAUAUAAGCUUAAAACCUUCCCAAAUGUAUACAUAUUCAAUUUCAUAAGUGAAUUCAUCAAAUACUUCCCUUUUCAAUACUUGUAUGAAUCUCAUACAUAGUUGAGUUGCUUCACUCAUUUACACAUUCAUUCUUGACUUGAAUUUUCUCGUUGAACCUUUCGGAAUUGUUAAGGAUAUUUGGAAAUCACAUAUAGCUCAUACAAUGCCAUAUCCCAGAUAUGGUCUUACAUGUUAUCACAUAUCGAUGCCGAUGUCCCAGACAUGGUAACGAUGCCAAUGUCCCAGACAUUGUCUUAUACGUAAUCACCAUACAAUGCCAAUAUCCCAGACAUGAUCUUACAUGUAAUCACAUCUCGACAAUCCUAAUGUCAUGACAUUUAUAUCCUAUACUAUUCCUAAGGUUCGUAUAGGACUUUCGGGUAACAUAACUUCGUCAAUACUUGCUCGUAUUUGCUCGGUCAACAUUCAUAGCAAUUCAAUGACAAUUAAACAUUUAUAAAUCAAUUUAAAGGUAUUUAUUUGGAUAUGAACUUACCUCGUAUAUACAAUGAAUGGAUUGGAUCGACUACUUGACAACUUUCGAUUUUCCCCGAUCUAAAUUCGAUUUCUUUCAUUCUGAUCUAUAUACAUUCAAAAUUAACUCCUUUAUUCAUCAAACCAUUCAAUUCAAUCCACAAACAAAUAUUUGGGCAUUUUUACAUUUUAAACCCUAAAGUUCCACAUUUAUUUAAUUUAGUCCUUAUUUCACAAAAAUACAAAUUACACUAAAUUUGACAAAAUUCAUGCUUGACCGAAUUACCAUAGUGCCCCUACCAACCGAUAUUUCACAUUUAUUACACAUUUAACCCCUCAAUUUAUAAUUUUCACAAUUUAAUCCUUAAAAUGCAUUUUUAGCUAAAAUCUCUUAACAAAACUUUAAUAUCUAUCAUCAAACUUUCUUAUUUCAUCAUCAAUCAUUAAAAAGCUCAUGGAUUCAUCAAUGGAAUUUUACAAAAUCACUAAAAAAACUCAAAAAUUAGGGCAUGGGCUAGCUAGAAUACAAAGCAACGAUCUCAAAAACAUAAAAAUCAUCAAAAACCAAACUCAAAACAUACCUAAUUGUUUGAAAAUAGAAGUGCUGAAUCAAGAACCCUAACUUCACUUCUUUUUCUUCUAAUUUCAGUGCACUAAGAUGAUAAUAAAUGGAAUUUUGUGUUUUUAUUAUUACUAUUAUAACAUUUUUUACAAAAUACCAUAAUUAACCUUAGUUAAAAACAUUAAAAAUCACAUAAUGGAUGUCCAUAAAUGUCAAAUUCCACUAUCAAUGGUCUAAUAACAUCAUCAGGACCUCAGAUUUAAUCAACCAUAGCAAUUAAACACAUUUAACAUAUAGAAUGUCACUUUUACAUUUUAUGCGAUUUAGUCCUUUUUUCUCAAAUUGAACAAUUAAACGAUAAAAUUAGCUCACAAAACUUUCAAACAUACAUGCUAUCAUGCUAUAAACAUAUAAAAUAAUAUUAAAAUAAUUAUCCAACCUUGGAUUUGUGGUUUUAAAACCACAGUUCUAAUUUAGCUAAAAUCGGAUUAUUACAGGUGAUGUAUAUAUAUGUGUGCUAAUGCCAUUUUGUGAUGUGAAUAAUAUUGCUUGGUAAAGGGUUGAUUGUGGAUUAUUAGUUGAGUAGAUAAUGGUUGAAAUUGAGAUUGGUAUGCUUGUGGUUUUAGGCUAAAAAAUGUUUAGUUGAAAUGAUACAUAUGAAUGUUUUGGAAAUGUGACUUGGUAUAAUUUGAAUAGGCAAAAAAAAAAUGGUAUUAUAAGCAUGAUAAAUGUUGGCAUUGAAAUGGUAUAUAUUGUAUCUUUGGUUGUGGUUGUUUUGGUUGUUUAUAAAUGCUAUAACUUGUGCAUUUUCUAUGAUGUAGGUGCGUGCCAAAUUUGGGGUGGCAAAAUGGCUUGGUAAAUAGCCUAUUUUUGUCCACACGGGCAGAGACACUUGCAUGUGUCUUAGCCGUGUGUGACAAACAGUUAUGUUACACGGCCGUGUGUCCCCUGGUAUUGAAAUUAAAACCAAGUCAGUAUGCUCCACACGACCUCACACAAGGGCGUGUGACCUGACCGUGUGGUAUAAGUCGGUAUACCCUACAGGAUUGGCAUAGCCUAGCAUAUGGCCUAGCACAUGGAUGUGUAUGGCCAUUUUUAGGGCACAUAGGUGAACCAUAUGGGCGUGUGUGUUGGCCGUGUGACCCAAGUCAGAGAGUUACACGGGUUCGGAUACGGGCUGGGACACGACCAUGUGCUUCCAUUUUGAAUGUCCACAUGGCCUGUGACACAUACGUGUCUGUAAGACCUUUUACCCGUACCUGAGAUCGAGAUAGGAUACGAGGCAUUACCGAACACAUACACAGUUUUUCAUGCAAAAUUGGGCUAUAAAAAUUUUCUUUAAAAACAACUUCAUUCAUUCGUAUACAAAUUGUCUUUAAUAUGGGCUUACGAGGCCCAAAACAACCAUCGGAAGGGAUUCGAGACUGAAUCAAAAACUUUAGAGAAAAUUGGGAAAUUUUCCCCAAUGCGGUGCCACACACCCGUGUGGAACAAGGGACACGCUCGUGUGCUCUUGACACGCCCGUGUUCUCCGACUGUGUAGCUCUCUAGCUAUCAUGUCAGCAUCAAUUAGGGUCACACGGCCGUGUCACAUGCCCGUGUCUUAGCCCGUGUGUUUACUACUGAGCAUACUGACUUGCAAAAUUAGGGUGCAGGGGACACACGACCAUUCAACACGCCCAUGAGGAAGACUGUGUAUCACACACGGUCUAGACACAUACUCGUGUGUCUGCCCCUGUGGACCAAUUAAGGGCUAUUUUCCAAGCCAAUAGUCAUCUUCACUCAUUUAUACAUUUAAACAUAUUUCAUAACAUGCAACAUGACAUGUUUAGGCACUCAAAGAUUCCACACCAUGGCACUCUCACAUCCUCCUAAUGUCAUCCUAUUACACAUUCAUUUUGUUACUCCAUUUAGAAGCAUUCGACACCAAUUUCAUGCAUUUGUUACCAUAACUUCAAAUAAUGCAUUCAUGUUUAUAGUCAUUUUUAAGUCAUUAGGUAAUCCCUUAUCUUUUAGCAUCUAGUCCAUACCUUAUCAUGCAUUCACCAAUCAACAACAUAUCACAUCAUCAAGGCACUAGCACACGCAUCCAUGGACAAUUAGAUUACAACACAAUGAUCAAAUAUAAGCCAUAUCACAUGGCCAUUACAAAAUGAAUCAUCAUAAUCAUAAAGCCCUUACAAAUUGGCCAAAUAGCAUGACACAUAUCACAAAAUAACCAAGUUCCCUAUACAUGGCAUACUAAAAAUAACAAUUUUAGUAUACCCAAUAAUCUUUUGAUAGUGUGAUCGAAUACUCCGACAACUUCUGAUCCUCGAGCUAGCUUGGCAAAACUACAAAGGAUGGAAAAGAAAGGGGGUAAGCAUUAAAGCUUAGUAAGUCCACCUGCAAAUAAUAUGCAAUAGUAGUAAGUAAUCAAUAUACAAGGACAUAGCAACAUAUACAUAAAGAUUAUUCAUCAUUCAAACCUUUUGGGCUUACUUAUCACAUGUACACAUAUAUAUAUACUUGCUCAUCACGAAUCGUUCUUUACCAAGGCAUUAUUCAUAGGCUUAGUGUACAUAUAUGUACUCAUCGUAGUAUAUCAUAUAACCAUACCUCUUUAUCGUGCCCUCCUCGAGACUUUCAUCGCAUCAUUCAUUAUAAUACCCGUUCAACACCUAGAAUACUAUUGGAUAAGCGAAAAUUCACACAUAAGUGCCACAUAUACAUAUGUAUCCAAAGCUAGCACAUAACAUGUAACGCUCAUGGAGGAGCUACUCACGGGCUUGCUCAUAAAAGCUAUCGGUCAAGGUGUAACUAUACGGCUACUCAAAAAAGCUGUCAGGUAUCUGACCACUCAAGGAUUACCUAGCCACCGGUAAGACACACAAGACCAUUUCCCAGAACUUAAUCACAUGUAUUGCAUCCAUUAUGAACUCGGACCACUCAAUGAGCUCGAAUGCUUGCAUCCAUAAUGAACUCGGACCUCUCAACGGCUCAGAUGCCACAUAUAUCACAAACCCGAACCAAUCAAUGACUUCAGACUUCUUAAUUCCUAGUGACAUGUCACUUGUAUCCUAAACUAUUCCUAUGGUUCAAAUGGGAUUUUUUCUCACUUGCAUAUGGUACAUUUAUCGCACUUGCUCGUGACAUCGUGGAUAACGACCAUAACAUUACUCAUGCUUUCAUAAUCAUCAAUAUGCAUAACAUUCAUAAUAAAAACAAAAUAUUUAUCAUACAAUAUCAAUAUAUUAAAACGUACUACAACAUCACAUUAUUUGCAUAUGUACUUAGCUCGGUACAAAAAUGAUGAUAAUUGAGCCUAAUCAUCGUAUACUUUAUUCUUCCCUCGAUCAAGACUCGGUUCACAUUUUUCUUGAUCUAUAUUACCAAAUUUAACUUUUUUGAUUAAUCACAUUAUUCAAAUCAAUGCAUAAUUCAUGUCGUGGUAAAAUUACCUUUUUACCCCUAACUUUUCAUUUAUUUAUGGUUUAGUCCCUAGGCUCGUAAAAUGAAAUGCAUGCAUUUUGUUUGUUACCCAAGCCUAAUCAAACCUUUACUAUGCUCAUAUCAGCCCAUAUUUUCCCUUAUUUCACAUUAUCACUACUUACUUUUACAGUUUUACAAACAAGUCCCCUUUUAGGUGUUUUCACUAAAAAUCACUUAGUAAAAGAUGUUUAUCAUACAUCAAACAUUCAUAUUCCUCCAUUAAUCAUCAAAAUACAUGCAUGUUACACACGGGUCAAAUUUCAUACAUGAACCCUAGCUCAAAAUGUAGCUAGAAAUGGGUAGAUUGUGCUUCAAGGACUUAAAAAAUACAAAGAACAUUAAAAACGGGGCUAGAGAGCACUUACAAUCAAGCUUGGAAAUGUUGAACAAACCCUAGCUAUGGUGUCUUGCAAUUUUCAGCAAUGGGAGAAAAAGAUGGACACCAAAUUUUGACUUAUUUUUCCCUUUUUAUUCUUUUAAUUACCAAAUGACUAAAAUGCCCUUAGGGUUUUUCUUUCAAAUUUUUCCUAUGCAUGUCCAUUUCUGCCUGAAAUUAUAAAAAUUGGUCAAAUUGCUAAUUAGGACCUUCUAAUUCAUAAUCUAAAGCAAUUUCAUGCUUAAAGCUUCUAGAAUGCAAGUUUUACAUCUUAUUCAAUUUGGUCCCUAAAAUUCAAUCAGACAUUUUAUGCAUAGAAUUUAUUCAUGAAACUUUCACAUAAGCAUGCAUUCAUAACUUAAACCUCAUAAGAAUCAUAUAAUAAUUAUUUCUAUCUCAGAUUUGUGGUUUCAAAACUAUUGUUCUGACUAUGCCCUAAUUCAGGAUGUUACAACUCUCCCCUCUUUAGGGAUUUUCAUCCCUGAAAAUCUUACCGAUAAAAAGGUUUGGGUAUUGUUUCCUCAUAGUCUCCUCGGGCUCCCAUGUAGCCUCUUCAACCCCAUGUCUUUGCCAUAAAAAUUUCACAAGAGCAACACUUUUGUUUUUCAGUUGUUUAACUUCCCGAGCUAAUAUCUUAACCGAUUCCUCACCAUAAGUCAUGUCCGGUCUGAUUUCAACCUCUGUCGGUACAAUCACAUGAGAAGGAUCGGAUCUAUAUUGGCGCAACAUGGAUACAUGAAAAACAUCGUGAAUCUUUUCUAGCUCAGUCGGCAAGGCCAAUCGAUAAGCAAUAGGCCCUAUUCUUUCAGUAAUCUCAUAUGGUCCUAUAAAACAAGGACUCAAUUUACCUUUUCUACCGAAUCUCAAAACCUUUUUCCAUGGAGACACUUUCAGAAAUACUUUAUCACUGACCUGAUACUCAAUUUUCUUUCUCUUCAAGUUCACGUACGACUUUUGUCUAUUCGAUGCUGCUUUUAAACAAUCAUGAAUUACCUUUACCUUUUCUUCUGUUUCCUUAAUCAAAUCUACUCCAUGAAUCUUAUUCUCCUUAAGAUUAAUCCAAUACAAUGGUGUAUGACAUUUACGUCCAUACAAUGCCUCAUAAGGUACCAUUUUCAAACUCGUCUGAUAACUAUUGUUAUAGGCAAAUUCAACCAAAGGUAGUACUUUUCCUAACAACCUUGGAAUUCAAGAACACAACACCUGAGCAUAUCUUCAAAUAUCUGAAUUACUCUCUCGGAUUGUCCAUUAGUCUCUGGAUGAAAAGCGGUACUAAAACCUAGCUUUGUACCCAAAGCUUCUUGUAAUUUCUUCUAAAAUCGCGAAGUGAACCUCAGAUUUCUAUUCGAAAUAAUCAAUAAAGGUACUCCGUUAAGUCUCACAAUCUCAGAAAUAUACAAUUUGGCUAACUUAUCAAGUGAAUAAUCAAUGCGUACCGGUAUAGAAUGAGCUGAUUUAGUCAAUCUGUCAACGACAACCCAUAUGACAUCUUUCUUUCUUGGUGUCAAUAGUAAGCCUGUCACAAAGUCCACAGUGAUUCGGUCCCAUUUCCAUUCGGGAAAUAAAAUAGUAAGCCUUUACUUGUUCACAAAUCAAACAUUUUGAUACAAAUUCAGAUAUAUCUCCUUUCAUACCAUUCUACCAAUACAUUUUUUUAAAUCAUUGUACAUUUUCGUGCUACCCGGCUAAACUGACAUACCUCUAUUAUGGACCUUAUGCAAAAUUUUCCGAAUCAACUCAGCAUCCUUCGGGACACAAAUCCUUCCACGAAAUCUCAGACAACCAUCAGAAUCUCUCUGGAAAUCUGGAAAUCUAAUUCAUUGCUCGACUCACAUUGAGCUUUCUUAGCUUGUAACCCUUUAUCAUCUUCCUGAGCAUCACAAAUAUGUUGAAGAAAAGUCAGUGUAUCUCUUAGCUCUACUAGAAUAUCACCAUCAUGAGAUAGGGUUAGUCGUGCAUUCAUAGCUGUCAAAGCAAAUAAAAACUUUCUGCUCAAGGCGACGACAACAAUAUUUGCCUUACCGGGGUGAUAAUCAAUUACAAGCUCAUAGUCUUUUAACAAUUCAAGCCAUCUUCAUUGCCUCAAAUUUAGGUCCUUUUGGGUCAUUAGAUACUUAAGAUUUUUAUGGUCUGUAUAAACAUGGCAUUUUUCCCUGAAUAGGUAAUGUCACCAAAUCUUCAAAGCAAAUACAAUGGUGGCUAAUUUUAGGUCAUGUGUAGGAUAGUUUUUCUCUUGGGGCUUCAAUUGCCUCGAAGCAUAAGCUAUUACCUUGCCUUCUUGCAUAAGAACAAAACCUAGUCCAUUUAAGGACGCAUCACUAUAAAUCACAAAUUCUUUCCCUGAUUUCGGUUGUACUAACACUGGUGUAUCGGUCAAUAACAUUUUCAACUUCUCGAAGCUCUGCUGACAUUUUUCUGACCAUUCAAACUUGACAUCUUUUUGAAGUAAUCUCGUCAUAGGAGUAGCUAUCAUAGAGAACCCUUUCACAAACCGUCUGUAAUAACCGGCUAAACCCAAAAAGCUCUUAACUUCAGUUACAUUCCUUAGUGGCUUCAAUUCGACAAUAGCAAAAAUCUUACUGGGAUCAACUCAUAUACCAUCUCCUGAAACAAUGAUAAGUCAUAAUUUAUACAUAUUUUACCCCAUUCUUAGCACAUUUUUUUGAUGAAUUAUCAUUGGAUUUGUGAAAUUUGAUGCUCCUAAUCCUUUAAUUUCAUGUUUUAUACUUAGGUGAGCAUAGGAGAGUAAAAAGAGUGAGAAUCGAGCCAAAAACAAAGAAAAUAGGCCAACAUGAGAAAUCGACACGGUCUGGACUUCUGUACACGGGUAGACCACACACCUGUGGCUAUUCAACAGACUCUAACAUGAUUUGAAGCAUUUGCACACGGGCGUGUCUCUGUCAGGCCCAAGUCUAGUUCUAAUCGGAAAAGGGCACUUUAGAGGAUUCUUAGGCAUUUUAAAGCCUAUAUAAACACCCAAGGAGAUACCUAGAAGGGAGACACGGAGUAGGAGGCAAGGAAUUACUCGAAGAAAGCCGAUUGAUCCAUCUCAGAAGCUGGAUUCUCCUUUAAGACUGAAGAUCUCCCUUCAAUUUCCUUCGAGGGUUCUUGGGAUUCUUUAUGUUUUGAUAUCAAUAUUCUUCUAAGAUGUUUUCUUUUACACUUAUGAACUAAAUCCCCUAAAUACCUAAGGAGGAUGAAACCUAAGACGGAUCUUGUUAUUAUUUUUUGAAUUAUAUGAUAAAUAUUUGACUUGUUCUUAAUUAUGAGUUCUUAAUUCUUGCUUUAAUUAUGAGUUCUUAAUUCUUGCUUUAACAUUUCAGGAUAUUGAUUCAAGUAUUGAUGUGCUUAUUCAGAGGAGCAAAAGUCCCUGACUAAAAGUAGAUCUAGCAUGAUUAAGCGGAGUUGAUUGCACCCCUAGACAUAGGGCAACAUAAUUUUGCCGGAUUAGGGUGAAACCUAAUAAGGGAAUCCAUAGAUCGAGUUAAUGCAACAUUAGGGGUUUUAAUUAGAAAAAGAUUUCAAUUAAUCAACCUAGGGUUAGACUUUUUUAGUCUCGAGAGAGAUAAUAAUAUAACUUAGGGAUUUCUACGGAUCAAGUCAAAUGAAUAAAUCGUCUAAUUCAGAGUCAAAUAACAAGUGAAGUCUAGGUGGAAUUUCCCUUAGGUAUUGUCCAAAUCAAUCAGUUUUUCCCAAAAGUAUUUCCCCAAUUUUCCUCCUGUGCAUUCUUAGUUUAGUUAAUUAAUUUAGAUAAAACAAACCCCUUUAUUUUUAGGCUAGAUAAUAAAAAGAGAGUUAAUACUAGUACUUUUAGUUCUUGUGGGUUCGACAUUUCGGUCUUGCUAUAAACUAUACUACUGUUCGAUAGGUGCGCUUGCCUUCAUCAUGAUAAUAGUUAGUUUUCAAGUACGAUCAAUCAUAAAUUUAAAACUUAUCACGCACAUCAAACAAUAUGGCCUAGGAACCCAACCUCUCGAAGCCAAAACUCACUUUUACUAAUCUUGGCAUACAACUAUUUGUCCCUCAAAGUCUGCAAAACAGUUCUUAAGUGCUCAACAUGCUCUGUCUCAUCUCUAGAAUAAAUUAGAAUAUCAUCAAUAAACACCACAACAAACUUAUCCAAAUAUGGCCGGAAAAUUUGGUUCAAUAAAUCCAUAAACAUGACAAAAGCAUUCGUUAAUCCAAAUGGUAUAGCCAGAAACUCGUAGUGGCCAUAGCUUGUUCUAAAGGCAGUCUUAGGUAUAUCUAACUCCUUAAUGCGUAACUGGCAAUAUCCGGAUCUCAAGUCUAUCUUAGAGAACCAUGUUGCUCCUUUCAGCUGGUCAAAUAAGUCAUCAAUCCUUGGAAGAGGAUACUUAUUUUUUAUUGUCACCUUAUUGAGUUGCUGGUAGUCAAUGCAUAAUCUCAUGGAACCGUUCUUCUUUUUCACGAAUAAUACGAAAGCACCCCACAGUGAAAAGCUUGGACUGUGUCUUUAAUUCUUUCAGCUAAGUCGGGACCAUCCAAUAUGGAGCAAUAGAGAUAGGUGCCGUCCCUAGCAUUAGCUCAAUACCGAAUUCAACUUCUCUAACUUAAGGUAGACCUAGAAAUUCCUCCAAAAAUACAUCCGCAAACUUACGCACAACCAGCACUGAUUCGAUUUUCAAUUCAGAUUCCUUUGUAUUCAAUAUAUAUGCAAAAUAAGCUUCAUACCCUUUUCUCAUAUAUUUCUGAGCAAUCAUUGAAGAAAUUAUCAUUGGCGACUUAUUUGCAUCAUCUGAUUCAACCCGAAGAAUUUCACCAUUUUCAUAUUUCAAUUCCAUAAAUUUCUAUUUACAAUUCACUAUAGCCUCAUGUAGUGUCAACCAAUCCUUACCCAGUAUGACAUCGAAUUUUUCAAAUGGCAACAACAUCAAGUCGGCCAGAAAACAAUUAUCUUUAACCAUCAAAUGACAUUACUUACAUACUUUAUCAACUAUCACAUGCUUUCCUAACGGGUUAGACACCUUAAUUAUAAAUUCUGUAGACUCGACAGGUAUAUUCAUACUAGAUGCCUAUUUCAUACACACAUACAAAUGAGUGGAGAUAGGGUCUAUCAAAGUAAUAACAUUAGUUUCAUAGAGAGAAAAUUUACCAGUGAUCAUAUCAAAAGAAGUUGCGUCUUCACGUACACGUAUGGCCUAGGCUCUAGCUGGAGCCUUAGCUUCAGACCUCACUACUGUAUCUCGUGUCACAUUUUUACUACCGGUCUUAUUCCCAGCGUUUCUCGAGGGCCUUCCCCUAGAAGCUGGGCCACUUGGUCUUGGAAUCUAAAAUCUUUCUUUUUCCAUUAUCUCGAAACAAUCCUUAAUAAAGUGGUCUAGAGAACCACAUCUGAAGCAAGAUCCUUCACUCACCCUACAGUUGCCAGAAUGACGUCUACCACAUUGUUGGCAUUUAGCCUUGGAAGGUUUAGCGUUACCCACACUUGCCACGGACAUAGCUUAAGAUUUAAAACCCAAAUUUUGCUUUCUACAAUUCCCGUAUGAAUGUCCAGCCAACACAUGUGAACGAGAAUACAUCUCUCUAGAUUUCUUAAACUGAGACGACAAUGACUUACUCAUGUAACUCUUUCUUGUAUCUCUUGCUUCAGACUCGACCUUCUUCUUUUCUUUAACCAAUUCUUCGGCUUUACAUGUCCGCUCAACAAGUACCACAAAUUCUUUCAACUCAAGAAUACCCACUAAUGUCUUAAUAUCCUCAUUGAGUCCAUCUUCAAAUCUUCUACACAUAUUAGCUUUGGAGGGUACGCACUCUCGAGCAUAUUUGCUAAGUCUGACAAAUUCUCUCUCAUAUUCACUAACUGUCAUAUGACCCUGUUUCAAUUCCAGGGAAUUUUUUGUGCUUUUGCUCGAUGAACAGUUCGCUAAUGUAUUUCUUUCGAAAUUCCUCUUGAAAGAAUUCCCAAGUAACCCUCUCUGGUAGUAUUACAGAUAUCAGUGUUCUCCACCAGUGAUAAGCUAAAUCUCUCAAUAGGGAUAUGACACAUUUCAAGCACUCCUUGGUGUACAUGAUAAUUCAUCAAAUACUCGUAUCGAGUUCUCUAACUAGAACUCCACUCUUUCAAGGUCAUCAUUGGCAUUUGCCCUAAAUUCUUCGGCACAUUUUUUCUGAAUUUUAUCAACAGGUGUCCUAGCAAAUCUCAUGAAAUCCAUAUGUUGAGGCAUCACAGGUGCGGGUUAGGGAUUUAGGGGAGGUGGAGGAGGUUGAGCAUUCGGGUUCAUUCGAACGAAUUUCGUAUACCAUGCUUUCAUUAUGUAGAGAAAGGCCUCUCUGCCUCCUUCUCCUCUAUUGACAGUUUCGGGCCUACUUUCAGAUGGCACCGCUUCUUCCGCUGAAGCAAGCGCGUUACUUUCUAUAUCAUCCACCACUACUCUGUCAGGAUCUAUUUGCUAUAUGAAAACACAUUUUAAUAUUGUCAAGAGUCGUCACACUAUCAUUUACAUAUAUAUACGUAUGGCAUGUAUAGCUAGACUCAAAUACGCUAGGUUAGUUUGAGAAUCGACUAAACUAUAACUCUGAUACCACUAAAUGUAACACCCCUUACUCGUAUACUAUCCCUGUCUCGGGUAUGGGUAAGGGGUGUUACAAUGUUUGUGGUCGUGUGAGACACACGAUCGAGCCACACAGGCGUGUGCCCCUUUGUGUUUGAGAAAAUUUCUUAAGUUUUCAAAAAGUUUUCAAAUUUAUCGGUUUAGUCCCGAACCACUUCCAAAGCAUGUUUAAAGCCUCUUAGGCUCGUUUAAGGGACAUUAUGAUUAGUUAUGAUUGAAUUAUAUUUGAAUUGAUAUAUUGUUUAUGAAAUGUAUGUUCAAAUAUGUUGUAAGCCUGGUAAUGCUCCGUAACCCUAUCUGGCAUUGAAUACGGGUGAGGGGUGUUACAUUUAUUGCUAUCAGAGCUACAGUUUAGUCGAUUCUAGGACUAACGUAGUGUAUGUGAGAGUCUAGCUAUACAUGCCAUAUAUAAACUAUAAUAGUUUGAUGACUCCUGACAUUUUAAAAUGUGUUUUCAUAUAGUAAAUGGAUUCCAAUCGAACUAUAGCUUAUGAGGUUGAAAGUAAUGCGCCAGCUUCCGCUCAAAGGAUAGCGUCUUCUGAAUCUAGACCCUAUCGGGUAGCCAGGAAAGAGAGGCUAAAGAAGCCUUUUUCCAAAUGAUGAACUAGUGGUUGACUCAAUAUGUUCGGACAAAUCCGGCUUCUCAACAACCUCCACCCCCUCUUAAUCCACAACUGGUUCUCGUAGCUCCUCAAGGUUUAGAACCUCUACGAUUGAAUAAGCCUCUAGUUAAUAAGAUCCGUAAACACGGGGCUGGAGAGUUCAAAGCUAAUGUUGAUGAUGAUCUCGAGAGGGCCAAUUUUUAGCUUGAAAUACUAUCAGGGUAUUUGAUGAGCUUUCUUGCACAUUGGUUGAGUGUUUAAAAUAUGAUUUAUCACUUCUAAGGGACAUUGCAUACCAGUGAUGGAAUACAUUAGUAUCAGUGGUGUCAUGAGAGAGAGUUACUUGGGAGUUCUUUCAGGCCGAGUUCCUGAAGAAAUACAUAAGUCAAUGGUUUUUGGAUCAAAAGCACAAAGAGUUUUUAAAAUUGAAACACGGCCAUAUGACUGUAACCGAGUACGAGAGAGAAUUUGUAUGGUUGAGUAAAUAUGCUCGAGAGUAUGUUUCUACCGAAGAGAUCAUGUGCAAGCGGUUUGUUAACGGUUUGAAUGAAGACAUUAAACUUCUGGUCGGGAUGUUAGAUUUGAAAGAAUUUGUUGUAUUAGUUGACCAGGCUUGUAAAGCCCAAGACUUUAGCCAGGAAAAAAGAAAAGUUGAUUCAGAGCCUAGAGAUUCGAGAAAAAGACCGAUGAAUAAACCUUAUCAUUCUUUAUCAAAGAAAUCUCGAGAUUCAUAUAGUCAAUCAAAUGCAUCAGUGGGAUACCAGAAUAGAGAUCGUGAAAAUCAACAUGUGAGUCCUAAAGCUCUAGGAACUUCCGUCUCAAGUGUUAGCAGUGUGAGAAAUAAUAAACCUGAGUGUCAACAUUGUGGGAGACAACAUUUUGGAGAAUGCUAGAAUAAAAAUAAUAAAGCUUGUUUCAAAUGUGGUUCACCGGAUCACUUUAUUCGAGAUUGUUCAGAGUUGUCUGAAAAAGAUAAAUUUUAGAAUGCAAGACUGAGUAACAUGACUGCAAGAGAAUACCACCGAGGAAUGUGGGAAAUGUGUCUAGUGGAAAAAGAGUGACAAAAGACUCUGCUGUGAGAUCUGAGGCCGGAGCAACUAUUAGAGUUUACGCUAUUCGCGUUCGCGAAAAGGCGUCAUCCCCUGAUGUUAUUACCGGUACAUUUUCUUUUUAUGACACUGAUGUAAUUGCUUUAAUUGAUCUUGGAUCGACACAUUCAUAUGUUUGUGAGAAUUUAAUGUCUAAUAAGAAAUUACCUAUUGAGUCUACAGAAUUUGUAAUUAAAGUAUCGAACCCCUUAGGCAAGUAUGUUAUAGUUGAUAAAGUUUGCAAGGAUUGCCUUUUGAUGACUCGGGGUUACUAUUUUUCGACUGACUUGAUGCUUUUACCAUUUGAUGAGUUCAAUGUGAUUCUGGGUAUGGAUUGGUUGACUCUGCAUGAUGCCUUUGUGAACUGUAGACAAAAGACUAUUGAAUUGAAAUGUUAGAAUAAUGAAAUCAUUUGAAUUGAAUCCGAUGAAUCGAAUGGUUUGCCUAUAGUGAUUUUGUUGAUGUCGGCUCAGAGAUAUGUGAGAAAGAGUUGUGAUGCAUACCUAGCAUAUGUUUUAGAUACCAAAGUGUCUAAAAUGAAGAUUGAAUCGGUGCCUAUAGUUUGUGAAUAAUCAGAUGUAUUUACAGGAGAAUUACCUGGGUUGCCACCGGUUAGAGAGGUUGAGUUUGCUAUUGCAUUAGUAGAGGGAACAUCGCCGAUAUCUAUAGCUCCAUACAGAAUGGCUCCUACUGAAUUGAAAGAGCUGAAAGUUUAGUUGUAAGAGUUAAUAGAUGAGGUUUUACACGACCUAAUUUUUGACCUUGGGGUGUGCCAGUUUUGUUCGUAAAGAAGAAAAAUGGGUCGAUAAGAAUGUGUAUUGACUAUCAACAGCUCAACAAGGUUACAAUAAAGAACAAGUAUCCAUUUUUGAGAAUAGAUGAUUUAUUUGAUCAGUUGAAAGGGGCUACAGUGUUUUCGAAAAUUGAUUUGAGAUCGAGUUAUUAUCAGUUCAGAGUUAAAAACUCAGAUGUGCUAAAAAUUGCAUUUAGAACGAGGUAUGGACAUUAUGAAUUCCUUGUUAUACCUUUUGGACUAACUAAUACUUCUGCUAUUUUUAUAGAUUUAAUGAAUCGGAUCCUUAUACAGUAUUUAGAAAAAAUUGUUGUUAUGUUCAUUGAUGACAUUCUGAUCUACUCACGAGAUGAGUCUGAACACACUGAGCAUUUGAAGAUUGUGUUACAAACCUUGAGAGAUAAGAAACUAUAUGCUAAAUUUAGUAAAUGUGAGUUUUGGUUUAGAGAAGUCAAAUUUUUUGGGCAUAUUUUUUCAGCUGAAGGUAUAUGAGUUAACCCGAGCAAGAUUUCUAUAGUUGUUGAUUGGAAGCCACCUAGAAAUGUAUCCGAAGUUAGAAGCUUUCUGGGGUUAUCUGGUUACUAUUGACUUUUUGUUAAAGGAUUCUCAAUGAUUACUACACCAAUGACUAGACUAUUACAGAAAGAUGUGAAGUUUAAGUGGUCCGAAAAGUGUCAACAGAGUUUUGAUCAAUUGAAAGCCUUAUUAACUGAAGCACCAAUAUUGGUUCAACCUGAGUUGGGUAAAGAGUUUGUUAUUUAUAGCAACGCAUCAUUGAACGGUUUGGGUUAUGUGUUAAUGCAAGAAGGAAAAGUGAUAGCUUAUGCCUUCAGACAGUUGAAGCCGCAUGAAAAGAACUAUCCGAUGCACGAUUUAGAGUUGGCCACUAUAGUUUUUGCAUUGAAAAUUUGGCAACAUCAUUUAUUUGGUGAGAAAUGCCACAUCUUUACGGAUCACAAGAGCUUUAAGUACUUAAUGACUCAGAAAGAUUUGAAUUUGCGACAACGGAGAUGGCUCGAGCUUCUAAAAGACUAUGAAUUAGUAAUUGAUUAUCAUCCAGGGAAAGCUAAUGCAGUCGCAGAUGCUUUGAGUAGAAAAUCUCUAUUUGCUUUGAGAGCGAUGAAUACAAGAUUGACCAUGUCUGAUGAUGGUUCGAUAUUAGCCGAGUUGAAAGCUAAACCAAUUUUUCUUUAGUAAAUUUGUGAAGCUCAAAAGUGCGAUAUUGAGUUGCAAGCUAAAAGAAUGCAAUGUGAGUCGAAUAGUGAUUCAGAUUACCAGAUUAGAGCUGAUGAUUGUUUAAUAUUUCAAAACAGAAUUUGUGUACCAAAUAAUUUUGAGCUCAUUCAAAAAAUUUAGCACAAAGCGCACUAUGGUUGUUUAUCUGUUCACCCGGGGAGUACCAAAAUGUAUAAUGAUUUGAAACAGUUAUAUUGGUGGUCGGGCAUGAAACAAGAGAUUUCAGAAUUUGUAUCAAGGUGUUUGAUUUUUUAGCAAGUGAAAGCAGAGUAUCAAGUGCCUUCAGGAUUACUAUAGCUAGUGAUUAUACCAGAGUGGAAAUAGAAUAGAGUUAAGAUGGAUUUCGUAUCGAGGUUACCCCUAACUCUGAAAAAGAAAGAUGUUUUCUUGGUUGUAGUUGAUAGAUUAACAAAAUUGGCACAUUUUAUACCGGUACGUACUGGUUAUUCAAUUGAUAAAUUGGCUGAAUUGUACAUCUCUGAGAUUGUUAGAUUGCACAGAGUACCAGUUUUGAUUAUUUCGGAUGGAGAUCCAAGGUUCACAUCAAGAUUUUGGAAGAAAUUGCAAGAAGCCCUGGGUAUGAAGUUGAACUUUAGUACUACAUUUCAUCCACAAAUCGAUGGUCAUUCUGAGAGAGUAAUUCAGAUUCUCGAAGAUAUGCUCCGAUGUUGUGUUUUAGAGUUUGAAGGCAACUGGGAGAAAUAUUUGCCACUGGUUGAAUUUGCAUAUAAAAAUAGUUUUCAAUUGAACAUAAAAAUGGCACCAUAUAAAAAUAGUUUUCAAUUGAAAAUUUAGUUUAAUAUUAUUUUAAGUGUUUACAGCAUGAUAGCAUGUAUAUGUGAAAGUUUCCUGAAUUAAUUUUAUCAUUUGAAUGCCGAAUUUGAUAAAAUGACUAAAUUGCGUAAAGUGCAAAAGUGUUGUUCCAAUAGCUAAAGGUGUUAAAUAGCUAUAGAACCUUAAAGUAAGGGUCCUUAAGUAGUAAUUAGACCAUUAUAAUAGAAGGUGGACAAUAUUGGUUUUUAAAUGGAUGAUUUAAAUGGUUUUAUAAUAAGGUUAAUACAGUAAUUUGUAAAUAUAAGUUAAAUUAAUAAAACAAAAACAUAAAAAUGUGUUUUCAUUCAUCUUUCUUAACCGUACAUAGCAAAGAAGAAAGCCAUUCUAGGGCUUUAAAACUUUGGCCAUUUCAUUGCUCAAUUGGUAAGUAAUUUUGACUCUAAUUUUCAUUAUUUAUAUGUUUUUGAGAUCGUUGCAACUAGGUCUAACUAGCCCAGAGACUAUUUUGCAAAACUAUUAAAGAUCUUAAAUGUUGCCAUUGAUGAAUAAGCUUGUGUUUUGAAGUUUCUUGAUGGAUUAUGAAAGCUUGUUGAUAGAUAUACAAGUUUUGUAAAGUGAUUUUGAGUAAAAAUGCAAAAUAGGGAUUUAUUUGUGAAAAUGUGUAGUUAAAUGUGUGAAAAGUUGAUAAAUGUAGGAAUAGUAAUUCAAAAAUCAUGGGUAUUAAAGAAAUUUCAUGAAUUUUUGAUUUUGUGUAAUAAGGACUAAAUUGUAAAAGUGGUGAAAUUCUAGGGGUAAAAGUGUAAAUGUUCUUAAAUGUGUGUUUUAGAUUAAAUUAAAUAGAGAUAUUAUUAAAUCAGUUAAUUUUGAAUAUAUUUAGAUCAAGAAAAGCGAAAUUCAGAUCUAGAUCGGGGGAAAAUUAAAGUUAUUGACUAAUCGACUUAUUCUGUUGUUUUCACAUUCGAGGUAAGUUCGUAUGUGAUAAAUUUCAUUAUAAGUGUAUUUUAAAUGCUUUGAUAAAGUAUAAGUUGUGAAUACGAGACUUCGAAUAAGUUCGGCAAUGACUUGAUGGUAAUUUGGCAUUCGAAAUCCCAGUUGAACCUUAGGAAUAGUUUAGGAUCUUAGUGACAUGUCAUUAGGGAAUACAUUGAGUUGGCUUUGGGGCAUGAUAUUAGCACUUCGGGUGCAAGUUAUACCGAUUUGGCUUCGGGCCAUGAAUAUUGGCUAAUUUGGCUUCAGGCCAUGGUAUAGGCACUUAGUAUGCGAGACUCCUGAGUAUCCAACUUCUAUUCUGAAUGGUUCAUCAGGUUAAUGAAUGAUGUGGUAGAGAAUGAGAUUGGUACGAGAUGGUAUAGGUAUGUACAUAAACCAUAUUAACUUUGAAUCGAAGAAAUGGUGAAGAAAGUAUAUAGUUUUGUGAAUGAGUAAUUGAAAGGUUCGUUAAUUGAUGUAAAUUCAUGUACUUAUAAUCAAUUAUUGAAUUAUGUGUUUAUGAUUAUAUUGAGUUUAUUUCAUACCAGCUUACUAAGCUUUGUAGCUUACUUUGUUUAUUUUUCCUGUGUUUUAUAGUGAAUUCAAAGUUAGCCCAGAUUCGGGGAUUGUCGGAGAUGUCGUCACAUUAUCCUACAAACGAUUUGGUACUUUUAAGCUUAUGUUUUAAGUAUAUGGCAUGUAUAAGGACUUUGGUCAUGUUCGUUAUGUUUUGUUAAUGCUUUUGGCCAUUUGAAUUGGCUUGUAAAUGUAUAUGUUUUGGUUUGUAUAUAAUAGCCAAGAGAGUUGGCUUAUUUUAAGUUAAUUUGAUUGUGUAUAUAAUGUUGUUCAUGGCAAUGUAAGUUGACCUAUUUGGCUUAGUUGGUGAUGUAUAUAUAUAUGUGGGUGCUAAUGCCAUUUUGUGAUGUGAAUUAUAUUGCUUGGUGAAGGGUUGACUGUGGAUUAUUAGUUGAGUAGCUAAUGGUUGAAAUUGAGAUUGGUGUGCUUGUGGUUUUAGGCUAAGAAAUGCUUAGUUGAAAUGAUACAUGUGAAUGCUUUGGAAAUGUGAAUUGGUAUAAUUUGAAUAGGCAAAAAAAAAGGUAUUAUAAGCAUCAUAAAUGUUGGCAUUGAAAUGGUAUAUAUUUUAUCUUUGGUUAUGGUUGUUUUGGUUGUUUAUAAAUGCUAUAAAUUGUGCAUUUGCUAUGAUGUAGGUGUGUGCAAAAUUUGGGGUGGCAAAAUGGUUUGGUAAAUAGCCUAUUUUUGUCCACACGGGCAGAGACACGGGCUUGUGUCCCAGCCGUGUGUGACAAAUGGUUAUGUUACAUGGUCGUGUGUCCCCUGGUAUUGAAAUUAAAACCAAGUCAGUAUGCUCCACACGGCCUCACACACGGGCGUGUGACUUGGCCAUGUGGCAUAAGUCUAUAUACCCUACAAGAUUGGCACGGCCUAGCAUACGGCUUGGCACAUGGGCGUGUAUGGCUAUUUUUAGGGCACACGGGCUAACCACACGAGUGUGUGUUGGCCAUGUGACCUAAGUCAUUGAGUUACAUGGGUUCGGGCACCAGCUGGGACACGACCAUGUGCUUUCAUUUCGAAUGUCCACACGGCCUGUGACAUAGGCGUGUCACACGGCCGAGCCACACGGGCUUGUGUCCCCUGUGUUUGAGAAAAUUUCUUAAGUGCUCAAAAAGUUUCCAAAGUUAUCGGUUUAGUCUCGAACCACUCCCAAAACAUGUUUAGGGUCUCGUAGGCUCAUUUAAGGGACAUUAUGAUUGGUAAUGAUUGAAUUGUAUUUGAAUUGAUAUAUUAUUUUUGAAAUGUAUAUUCAAAUGUGUUGUAAGUCCGAUAAUGCUCCGUAACCCUAUUCCGGCAUUGAAUAUGGGUGAGGGGUGUUGCAUAACAUAUGCAUAUAUUUUCCAACCAAUUCAAGUCAUAUAAAUCAAUCAAACAUCAUUAACAUUUAUGAAAUAAUAUCACAUAUUUAUAUUCUCAAACUUACCAUCUUAUAAUUACUUAUGUUUCACCUAAUCCAAUUUAACCAAACCAUACAUAUAUAUAUUAACAUGUUAUAACUUUGUAGUAGUAUACCAAAUCAAACAUCACUAGCCAUAUCAAUGGCUAGAUUACGAACAUCAUUUGCAAGUCAUUAUUGGCCAAGUUAACCUAUACAUGCCAUAACCUAUACAUGCCAUUAUACCAAAAUAAGUUUACUUUUUAUACCAAAACAAGUUGAUGGAUAGUGUGAUGUUGUUCCAACCGACCUCCAACCUUUAUGAGCUUUCGAGCACUAUAAAAUAGAGAAAAUAAAACCUAGUAAGUUUUUAAUGUUUAGUAAGUUCAUAUAACAGGAAAUAAACUUACCAAUCACAUUCAUUAUAAUAAGCAUACAAUAACAUGCUUUUUAUCAAUUUGAUAAAUUUGCCUAAUCGCAUACUCUCAAUUAAGCAAGUUAGUCAUAAUAUUCACAUAUACAUUAAGCAAGUAUAGAUGAGCUCAUCAUGUUACAAACUUUCAGGUAUUUCAAAAUCAUUUGAAAUAUAAUUUAUUUAAUCUCAUAAUUUCUCAUUUCAGGGAUUUAUCCGUUGAAUCAUUGAAAUUUUGAUGGAUACUCAGCUCUGGUAGUACAGUUAAGGUGUACAAUACUAUAAACUGUCAAUUCAUAAUUAGGGGUACCCAUUAGGGCACUUAAUCAGGAAGCACACUCUUGAGCCACAUAUCAGGAUGCUCAGUUGAGCUAUGUAACAGAACACUUAUCCGGGCUAAACAGGAAACUCAUAAGAGUUUUAAUCCGGUAGCUCCUAGAGCUUAACAGAUAACUCUGAAGAGUUAAUAUCAGGGAGCACCGGAUAUGGUAAUAGGGAGUUCAAACGAGCCAUGUCAGGAAGCCUAUAAGAGCUUAUAUCAAGACGCUCAUAUAGAGCUGCAUUUGUGUCAGCAUUAUAUGUUGGAUCACAACCGAUCAAGUCAUGUAACAGGACACUCACACAGACCUGCAUUAAUGUGCAGCACAUGCAAAAUCACUACCGAUCAAAAUGCUCGCAAGAACUGUUUAUCAGGAUGCUCGAGAGGGCUAUAUCAGGAUUACUCGUCCUAGCUAAAUCCUGUCUGCAACAUAUGUAGGAUCACAUCUACUAUGAGAAAUUACAUAUAUCCAUCGAAUUUCAUUAUUCAAACAGAAUUUGACAUUUAUUCAAGCUAUAUUGGACAUAUAAUUUAUUUCAUACUUUAAAUAUUUAUAUUUUAUACAAUCACAUAACACAUUCAACACAAGCAUAUGAAUAAACACAAUUCAGUUACACGGACUUACCUUAAUAGUCGUUCGUACAAGAAAUUCUACUAAUCUGAAACUUUUUAUUUUCCUCGAUCUAGCUUCGAAUUUGAGUUUUCUGGAUCUAUAUGAAUGAAUUUAAUCAUCAAUUUAUCACAUUUCAUAUUCAAUUUACACCCUAGGCAAAAUUACAUUUUGCCCUUAAACUUUUUAUAAAUUCAAUUUCAUCCCUAGGCUCAGAGAAAUUCGUGCAAUUUAAUCUCAUUACAAGCCGAACCGAAAUUUUAGUAUAACAUUUACAACACAUGUAUUCCAUAAAAUUCAAAAUUUUUCUUCAACUUUCACAUCUUUACAAAUUAGUCAUUAAAUCACAAUUUCAUAAAAAUUCACUUUGCAAAAGUUGUUUAUCUAUCAACAACAUUUCAUUUUCUACCAUAAAUUUCAAAUUUUCAAUAUAUUCAUCCAUGGAAAAACUUUAUUACUUUGAUAACUUUUUAAAUUAAUCCUCAAAAUAGAUAGAUUAGACUAUCCCGAUCUAAAAAAUAUAAAAAAUUACUAAAAACGAGACAAGAAAACAUACCUAAUUAAGCUUGAUUAGUUUCCUUUCUCUCUCCUAAGGUUUCCAUGCAAAUUUUGGGGAAUAUGAUGAAAAAUAAGAAGAUAUUUUCUAUUUUCAUCUUUUAAUUAAUUCAAUUUCCAAUUUAGUCCUUGCCCUUUUUCUAAUUUCCAUAGAUGAAUCAUCUAAAAAUAUCUACUAACUUUUCUUUAAUGGUCUAAUUACUAUAUAAGGACCUCAAGUUUUGAAUUCCAUAGCUAUUUGAUCCUUCUAGCUAUUAGAACUCAACUUUUGCUUUCUAUGCAAUUUGGUCCUCUCUAUAAUUAAGCACAUAAUCGAUAAAAUUUUCUUAUUAGAAUUUUCAUAUAACAUUCCUAUCAUAAUAUGAAUCAUGCAAAAAUAUUAAAAUAAUUUUGUUUUCAGCUAAGAUUUGUGGUCUCGAAACCACUAUUUCGAUUUCAUUGAAAAUGGGCUGUUACAAUAAGGCAUCUUUUGGCACACACAAGCAAGUGACACUACCGUAAGCUCUUUAUGAUUAGGGUGGUUUUGGUUAAACAUGGUCACAGUCUCUCACACGGACAUGAGAAUGGUUGUAAUAUUUUGCAUUUAGGUCUACAUGACCUCAGUGAGUUACACGGUCUAGAUACACGACUGUGUGCGUGACACUUCAUACCCAAACCAACCUCCGAAUUUGGGUAUGGAGCAUCACAGGUUGACAUCGAUUUGAAAACAAAUCUAUUUAUUUUUCUUUCUUGAAAAGUCCAUAAUCCAUUUUGGCGAAUACCCCCUUUUUCCAAAGUCGUAUUCCUAAGUAUAAGUCUAUUUAUAUUUGGAAGCACAAUUUAAAUAAAAGUUCCACUGUAUUAAAGGUGCAUGGACUAUCCAUCUUGCGACUACUUAAUCAACAUCAACGAUCAUAAAUAUUGUUAUGCCACCAAGGCCUCCAUUCAACAUUCUACAUAUUCAAAAUAUCAUUCAAUACAAAUUAAAAAUUUCAAAGUGGCAGUCUCUAACAAUUAGUCUACACCCCCAACAAAUAUAUGUUAACCCCAAAAUUAAGAAGGCUCACAAAUUGCCACAAAUAUGGUUGUGUCCCUUCAAACACCUCACUUAACCUAAGAACCUAAAAGGAAGAAAAAAUUGAGUAAGUUUGUAAGAACUUAGUGAGUUCUUGGGAAAACGAUCCCACUUUAAUUACUACCCGACAAUAAGGUAAAAGGGACUCGAUUAGUCCAUCAUGUCUAGUGGAUACAUUACUCUGACAUACAAAAUAAUUGGCAAAUGAUACAACCAAUCAACUCAACUGAUUGGCGAACUCAUAUAGAAUAAUCAUAGGCACAUCAACUUUACGAACAUGCCACUUAUGUGGAUGGCCAUUUAUGGCAGACAAGUUUACUAUUUAUGAUGUCAUGUAAUGCGCAAUACCACAUGCACCCUUUUUCUAUGUACUCUCUUCCUUGUGCUAGCUUUUAAUCCCCAAUUCUCGAAGAUAUAAUGGCCUAAAAGUCAAUGGUGUUGAAAAAUACAGUUUCAAGACUCGUUUCCUUAAACUAGACUUGUAAAUAUUUUUAUUAAAUACUUAAGGAUUUAUAUAAUGGGUGAAUUGAAUUUUGGACAGGUAAUUUUAUCGAUUAGUGAUUAGAUCCAGAGAAAUCUCUAAUUAAAGCAUGGAAAAGGGACUUAAGUGGCUAUUAAACCACUGUGCUAUUGAUAAUGGACAGUAAUGGAUGUUUUAGUGAUGAUUAGUUUGAUAAAUCUUAAAUAAAUUAAACAAAACAUUAAAAUAAAAUAAAUAUAACUAAAAUAAUAAAAGAUGGUGGAAUGAAAGUGAAAAUUAUUUUCUUCUCCAUUCAGCCAAAAAUGAGAGAAGAGAAGGAAGAAAGAAAAAAGUCGAUCUUAGGGGUUUUAAUAUUUAAAGCUUCAAUUUGGUUAGUGUUUUUUUCUUGUAAUUUUUAUGUUUUGAGAUCAUGAGAACCUAAUUUAUUCAGCCCAUGUAUUAAUUUGUAGAAUUUUUAAAGUUUUGAAAAUUACCAUGGUUAAGAAUUUAAAGUUUUAGGUGCUAAAUUGAGAGAUUUUAAGCUUUGAAGUGAAAAAGGACUAAAUUGUAAAGCUAAUUGAAAGUUUUGAGAAUUAGGAACUAAAGUGCAUAAACUGUAAAAUUGGAUGUCAAAUUAAGAACAAGAUCCUUAAUGGACUAUAGUGAAAUUGGUUUGAAAUUUGGAGUUCUAAAUUGAGAAUUAUGUUAGUCCCGAUUUUAAGGACUAAAUCGAAAAAAUAUAAAAUUUAUGUAAAUUUUCAAUUGAGUGUGGGAUUAAUUGUGUAACCAUGAAAUUGUGUGUUUAUGUUAAUCCAUAGCUAACAUAGACCCGGAUUCCUCGAAAAAGAAAGGAAAAGACAAAGUUGUCAACGAAUACUUAGAGUAUACGGUUUGUAUUUCUAUAACCCUAACCUUUUCAGUUGCUACAUUUACAAACUACGUUGCAUACUAAUAACAUAAGGUAAGAUAGAAAUGAUAGAAUGAGCUAAACUGGAUCGAUUUGAAAAUAUGAAAUACUGUUAUAAUUGUGCAAUUGAAUUCAGUUUGGGAUGAGUUAUGCUAUCACAUAUGUGAAUUGAUGAUUGGUCGAUGAAAUUAUGUUGUGAGAAUUAAGAAAUUAAUUUUUAUAAAUUGAAAUAAGGAUGGAUAGUAGAUAUCGGAUUAUAGAUUCAGAAAUGUACAAUUAGACUGUAUAAUCAAGUUAUAUAUUUUGACAUGUAGAUAGUUAUUUAAUUUGCAUUUGAAAUUUCAUUUGUUGAUUCAUGCAUUACAUAAUUUAUAUUAUGUUCUAUCAGAUAUAAAAAUACCACUGAGUUAUGCUCAACAUACAAUUGUUAUUUAUCACGCGUAGGUUAGGUUUUGAUCCUAAACACUCGUCGAAAUCAACAUCCAACUACCAUCCUAGACUCAACAAUUUGGUGAUGUUUUUGUUAAUUAAUGGUAUACCGAAGGGAGUCUUUUGGUUUCAAUGUUAUAUUUGAAUGAAACUUGAUAUUUUGGUAUUGUUGGUGCAUAUGUAAAGGUUAACCAUUAGUGGUAUGAACUAUGUGAUUAUAUGUAACACCUCUAACCCGUAUCCGUCGCCGAAAUAGGGUUAUGGAGCAUUACUGGAGUUUACAAUUCAAUUACUGUUAAUUGAAGUCAUUUACUAUUCAUUUUUGAAAAUCAAUUACAAUCAAUCAUAAUGUCCCUCAUAUGGGUCCUCGAGGCCCAAAAUACAUAUUAGAAUCAAGUCGGGACUAAACCGGAAUCACAAAAAAAAAUUUAGUCUCAUUCAAUCAAGAGGCCUAACAUAUUGCUCCCAUUAUGUAGGAGAGAUAAAAUCUUAUCUUAAUCACUCACAUCCCGAUACAAAGAUUGUGGCAUAUCCAACAUCAGUCUUUAUAGUAUAACCAUUUAUGAAAGAUGUUUAACCGUGUUAAAGCAUACGACUCAUGAUGUUGGGACUAUGAAGAUCUUAAGUCUAAGGAUCAUACAUACAAUUACAACUAUGAGAAAUCUUGUGACUAUCACAUAAUAAUCCAAGAAGCAUUUUCAGGGUAUGUCAAUCUAGUAUAUUGUUCUCUAACAUAUACUUAUGUGUUAAUUUGAUAUCUCAUAUCUAGAAAAACACAUGUCAUCAAUCAAAAACAUAUUAGCCUCAACACUUAUUAUUCUCCAAGCCCACAAUAAUACUCGAAUAAGUACAUUUAAGAAGAUUUUAUCAUUUUUUGGAUUUUAUCAUUAUACAAUUUAUUUUAACAUAGAAAUAAGUAUUGCAAACAAUAACGCAAUGUCUUUAUUAAUAAACUAGGUAAACAAGCAUGUUAUUACAAUCAUCAUAUGAUUGAUCUUUGGUUAUACUCCAACAAGUUUAACCUGUAACGCCCUGACUUUUUUUCUUAUUUCUGGAACUAUUUGACAUUAAUGUGUAUCUGCUUCAAUGGUUAAGUGUUCUGGGUAUGUGUGUGAGGUCCCAAGUUCAAGCCCUACCUUUAGCAAUUUUUGUUAAUUUUUUGGAAUUAAUUCCUACCUUUGUUCAGUGGGCUUAUAAUAAAAUGUCUAUAAUUCCAUAUCAGAAUAAGCCUACUGGUUCGAGUAGUAAGGAAGUUGGUGUGUUGGAGGUCUUAUGUUCGAAUCCCAAUGCGAGCAUGGGAAUUGAUUUUUGGUUAGUGUUGCGUUAGUGUUUCAGUAGAGUUGGAACUCUGAGGCGGUUAAGAGUUAGUAGGGGAGUGGAAGAAAAUCUACUCAUUAUUUUUUAUUAUCCCAAUUUUUAAUUUUUCUCUCUCUUCUUUUCUCCCUUUUGACGUUUUUGCACUCUCUUUUUGUCAAAAAUUUCCUCUCUAAAUCAUGGUUUUGGCUAUUCGGUUUUGUUGUUCACUUCCAAAGGUAAAUGUUGUCGUUAUGUUGGGGGAAACUUUCCUCUUUUAAUUUUACAUUGGGUUCAAGGCUUGAUUUUAUUUCGGUAACCGUUUUGGUAGGUGCGUUUGAGGAAAAUCAAGGUCCAUCGUUGCUGUAGUGGAGCUACGAGGUUACUUUUGUCAAGGGUAAGUCUGAAUCAUUUGAGUAUAAUUUUCUGUUAUGGUGUCGAAUUGUAGCCAAAACGGAAUCUCAGUUGGAUUCGUUAAUUAAAGUAAUUGUGGAUGUUUCUGUGGUUAUUCUUAGAUGUUGUUUGCUUCAAGGUCACGUUAACGUCAAAAUCAAACCAGGUGUGUACUCGAAACACAGAAAAAUGAUGGUCGAUAAAGUCGAAAAACCUUACUGUCGACGUCACACGAACGUGUGGUUACCCGUGUGGUAGACCCUGUGUAAGAACAUGGCCGUGUGGUCGAUAGAGGCCAGGCCGUGUACAAGAUACGAUCAUGUGAGGGUCGGAGUGUGGCAGUGUGAGCCGCACGGGCUAGGCCAAAUUGGGCGUGUGGGCCCAAACUAGCAUGUGGAUUCUGGGCCAAGCCGUGUGAUCUACACGAGCAAGGCCACCAUUUAUCUAAAUUUUUCCCUAGGGUUGCACGGGUCGUCCCAAACGACUAUGGGCUUACUAUAGGAUACUGAUUGUUUGAUAUACUGAUCUGAUUAGGAUACUGAUCUGAUUUUUUGAUCUAAUUUUUUGAUAUACUAAUCUGAUUAGGAUACUGAUAAACGUCUAUUUACACUAUUAUCUACAUAUAUGUUAUCUAUAUACACUUAUAUGUCAGCAUGUAAGCAUGUUAGGUUGUUUAUCUGUAUUUGUAUAUUUUUGUAUUUGAUAUUGGGGAUAGGAUGAUGUAUAUUGGAGGAAGUAUUCUGAAAGGCAAUUUACGCCUAUUAUUUGGCAGCAUGGCUGUAUUAUAUCAGUUACAUGCCGCAUCGGUAUGAUAUGGUUAUAGGGCUGAGUGGGUGUUUUAAACCCCACAUGGUGUGUAGGAAUGGUCGAAGAUGGUGUGUAGAGGAUGGGGGUAGGAUUUUGAUUUCUGAUUCUGAUUUGCACAUCUAUGUCUGUAUCUGAGCUAGGUUUAGUCCCGAAUCUAUAACUGUUUAAUUCUGAAUUUUUGAAUGUGUGCAUACUUAAAACUGUGGGGUUAUACACUGAGUUUACGUAAACUCAUUCCUUUUAGUUUGAUCUGUACAGGUAAUCUACUUGAGGUUUGACUGCGCUUUAUGAUUUUAAUAUUGCAAAACUCGAAAAAAGCUUGGAUUUUGCUAAAAGCAACUAAUUGAAUAAGAAUGUCGAAACCGAUAAAGGUGAUAAGGGUUAAUGAAUUAAUGUGGUUUUAACUUAACGACAAUGAUUUUCAAUCCCAUUUCAUAUGACACUUUCGAAUAGCCAUAACGUGUAGGCUGGGUUUGAGGUGUUACAUUUAGUGGUAUUAGAGCCUGCAGCUGUGAAUUUUGGGUUCCAAAAUUUGGUUUUAAAAAAUUACUUUUCAAAUGAUUGUAAACACUUUGAUUAACUACGUGGUAGACCGAGUCUCCAACGUCGAUUCUGUAAGUUUUCUGAAACUUAGAUUGAUUAUUCUGAAAUACUGUAGAAAGUCACUUUGAAAACACUAUUAGUAUUGUAACACCCCUUACUCGUAUCCGUCGCCGGAACAGGGUACGAGGUAUUAUUAACAAAUUAUAGUAUAUACUAUUAAAUAAAACCCAACAAAAAUAUGGCGUGCAAUUUGAUCAUGAAUCAUUGUAACAUAUGCCAUUAACAAUACAAACCAAUUUCAAAGGCUUCGUACAAAAUGAUUAGUUUGAUACUAUAAGUAGUAUUUUAAACCUAGACAAUUAUAACACGUAACAAAAUAACUAAGUCUGCUAUACAUGCCAUAUUUCAAAAUGUUGAGUUCAGAUACCAAGGGUAUUGAUAGUGCGGGCGGAUCUUCAACGAUCUCUAACUCCUGUGCUAGCUGGAUGACACUAUAAGACAAGGAGAGAAAAGAAAGUAAGCUUAUAGCUUAGUAAGUAAGUAUAUAAAUAACAGAUAAGGAAUCUAAUAUGUCUACAACAUAACUCAAAUAUAUCAUAUUUUUAAUUUUUUUACUAUUUACUCCGGUUUGAUCAAGCUGUCCCUCCUGCGUCAUGAUCACUAAAUAAAUCAUAACUCGAGUUACAAAACUAAAAAUUCAAAUCCGUAAAAUUUCCCUGAAUCUUAACUCAUAAAAAUUCUUACUAAUUUUUUUCUAGAAUUUUUGGUUCAGCCAAUUAGUACAGUUUAUUAGUUAAAGUUUCCCCUGUUACAUAGCUCAACUGAUCUAACCUCUGUUCACUACGAAUUUAAUUUCUCUCCGUAAAAAAUUCAAAUAACCAUGAAACUUGUUUCAUUUAAAACUAGACUCAAUAAGGAAUUUAUGCAUAUAAACUAUAUUUCUUAAUUUUUUUUUUAUAAUUUUUAAUGAUUUUUCAAAGUUGGAACAGGGGAUCACAUAGUCAUUCUGAGCAAGUCACACACAAUUGUAAAUAUCUCAAAAUAUAGAAUUCCUUUGCUUGCUAUGUUUCUUUUAUAUGAAAAUAUACUCAUUAAGAUUUAAUUUCACAUCUCAUUCAACCUCUAAUUAAAUUCCUUCUAUUUUUGGUGAUUUUUGAAAAUCACGUCACUGAUAUUGUCCAAAACAGUUUUAAUGCUAAUUUCACUCUUUCACACAUUCUUUGUACUAACCUCAUUUUAACUUAUAUAUAUAUAGCACAAAUAAUUUUCACUACAUUUCAUACAUCACAAGUAUAGGCCCAUGACUACAAUGUCACCAUAAAGCCGUCCCGUUGAACAAUUCGGAUUAAUCCUCGAUACUUGAUGGUUUCAGCACACAGCCCCACCAUCAUAUUUCAUUUAAUUCGGCUCUCUUGUACACAUGGUGAACACUUAGUACCACUCAUGCGACCUAGCCGAUUUGUCUCGUAGCUCUCUUGUCUACAUGGUGUCCUUCACUUGGAAUCACGCAUGCGACCUAGCUACAUUUAUCUCUCACGUAGCUCUCUUGUCUACAUGGGAUACAUCCCGUAUCACACAUGUGACCUAGCUACUACAUAGUAUCUCGUAGCUUUCUUGUACACAUGAUGUGCACUCGGCACCAUACAUGUGACCUAGCUACGCCCCCUCUAUUUUAUUCGAUCUUUCCGAAUGUUCAACCGGGAUCUCUCUCUAUUACUUAUUUCCAUUCUUCCAAUAGUCGAUUUAUACUUCAACUUCAUCUAAUAUAUAUAAUAGGUUGAAAUAUAAGAAUGUAAAUGAAAUUAAUGUAUUAUUUACAUACAAACUUACCUCGGUGCAAAAUAUGGGAAUUUUGCAAUUUAGUCCAAAACUUUCUCCUUUCCCCGUUCGAGGUCGAUUCCACUCUUUUCUUGAUCUAUAACAACAUAUUUAGUUCAUUUAACACUCGAACUAUUUAUUUUAAUUCAAAAAUCACAUUAUACAAAAAUUACAUUUUUGCCCCAAGGCUUGAAAAUUUAAUUUCAGCCCUUAUUCUUAUGUUUAAUGACCUACUGAUCAUUUUUCUCUUCUAUGGCAACAUCAAAUUCUCACUCUAACACAUAGUUAUGAACAAUAGGUAUUUUUAUCGAUAAUGCCGUUUUGCUCGUUUUCGUUAAAAAUCGCUUAGAAAAGAUCGUUCUCCUAACUUCAAACAUUCAUAUUCUACCAUCAAACAACAAAAUACAUGCCUAUCAUUCAUGGGUAAAUUUUUAAUCAUACACCCUAACUCGAAAUAAUGGUAGAAAUAAGUAAACCGAGCUAUGAGGAUUUCAAAAAUGUGAAGAACAUUAAAAACGGGGCUUGAAAUCACUUACUAUGAAGCUUGAAAAUUGAAGAAACCCUAGCUAUGGAGGAGAGCAAAUUUCGGCAGCAACUAGUGAAGAUGAUGACCAAUUUUGUGUUAUUUUUCCCAUUUUAUUUCAUUUAAUAUACAAAUGACCAAAAUACCCUUACUACUAAACUUUCCAAAAAUUCCCUGUAACACCCCGUACCCGAGACCGUUGCCGGAGUCGAACACGAGGUGCUAACCGACUUAAUUCAUUUACUUUUACAGUCCAUUUUAAAAAUUUCCAGGCAGUUGGCUAACUGUGUCACUGUCACCUUAAAAAUCAUAUCUUGAGUUCUAAAACUCUAAAAUCAGUUUCGUAAUUUUUCCCUGAAACUAGGCUCAUAUGUCCAUAUACAUAUUUUUUCUAGAAUUUUUUUUUGGGCCAAUUAGUACAGUUUAUUAGUUAAAGUCUCCCAUGUUACAGGGUACGACUACACUGACCUUCAUGCAUUACGAUUUGGAUAUCUCCCUGUACAGGGCUUCAAUACUGAUGCCGUUUGUUUCUAUAGAAACUAGACUCAAAUAGGAAUCUAUAAAUAUAUGGCAUGACUUCUAAAUGUCUCUGGUUAAUACAUAAUGAAUUUCCAAAGUCAGAUCAGGGGAUCCAGAAACCGUUCUGACCCUGUCUCACGAAAACUUUAGCAUCUCAUAAUAUACUGUUCAAAUGAAUGUUUCGUUACUUUCCUAUGAAAAUAGAUUCAUCAAGGUUCAUUUUCAUAAUUUAUUCACUAUUUAAUUCCAUUCCUACUAUUUUUAGUGAUUUUCCAAAUCUACAUCACUGCUGCUGUCAGCAUCUGCCUUUAAGGUAGACUUUACCUAUUUCAUAGUUUCCAUGAUUCAACUAGCCCUUUUAGCAUAAAUAGCACAAUUUAUGAUAGUGAUUAACCAUUCCCAUGGCCAAUCCUUGUUAAGCAUAUCCAUACCAAAUGAUUAUAACAUUAUGCUCAAACAUAUAUAAGCCAUUUUCGCAUGGCUAUCCAAAAUUAUACAAAUCCAAAGGGUCCAUGACCCACAACAAAAAGGGUAGUCCUAUACAUGCCAUUUCAAAGUUCAACCAAAAGUAUACCAAAAGGAGCUUUGAUAGUGUGGGCGACUUCGACUUCAAAAUCCCGAGUCCGAUAACUGAAGAACCAAAAUCUAUAAAACAGAGAAUCAAAGAAAUGGAGUAAGCAUUAAAUGCUUAGUAAGUUUUAAGCAAACAAAGUGUUCUCAAUCACUAUCAUUGGUCAUUCAUUUCAACUGUUCGAUGAAGUUAAUCUAGAGCUUCAUCUCGAUCUAUAAUAUCAUUAAACGCAACACUUGGCUGCCACAUAUAUACUUUCGAAUAAUAAUGACCUAGAUGGUCAAAUAUUUCCAAAGCACAUUCUUCAUCGAUUUUCAACUUUCAAUAAUCCUUUCCACUUGUUCAUAAUCACAUCCAUACUUUUAAGUAUUUCAACAUGACAAGUACUAAAUUACCAUAGGCACAUAAAGAACCAAACAUAUUCCUUAUCACAUAUACGUAAGCUUACAAAUCAUAAUCCUUACCUUGUACUGGCACAUCUAGCUCAACCCAACUCAUACUCAAAUCAUAAGGCUUUUGGGCAGAAUAUGCACUAAUACAUAAGAAUAUUUCAUCGCAUACUUUAUUAUACAACAUACCAUUACCAAUUAGAUCAUUCUCAUAUUUGGAGUUAUAAUAUUAAUCACAUUUACCUACCUCUUUGAUACUAAUAAUUCACCUCGAAAUCACUCCACCGAUGAGUAAGUAAUACGUACCUGAACAUCUUAAAUACAUAAUACUUAAUGCAGAUACUCAAUAUCAAAGUCUUACUUGAAUCCUAGCAUUUAGCCGUCGGGUCUUUAAAGCUCGGAUAUAGUACGAGCACGAAGCCUACGGACAUUAAUCAGGAUAAUAUUCUCGCAUAAAGCCUGCGGGGUUUUAACCCGGAUAUAGUACUGACACAAAUGCCCUUCGGGACUCAUCACAUUUAUUGUAACACCCCGAAUCCGAGACCGACACCGGAGUCGAACACGAGGUGUUAACAGACUUUNNNNNNNNNNNNNNNNNNNNNNNNNNNNNNNNNNNNNNNNNNNNNNNNNNNNNNNNNNNNNNNNNNNNNNNNNNNNNNNNNNNNNNNNNNNNNNNNNNNNNNNNNNNNNNNNNNNNNNNNNNNNNNNNNNNNNNNNNNNNNNNNNNNNNNNNNNNNNNNNNNNNNNNNNNNNNNNNNNNNNNNNNNNNNNNNNNNNNNNNNNNNNNNNNNNNNNNNNNNNNNNNNNNNNNNNNNNNNNNNNNNNNNNNNNNNNNNNNNNNNNNNNNNNNNNNNNNNNNNNNNNNNNNNNNNNNNNNNNNNNNNNNNNNNNNNNNNNNNNNNNNNNNNNNNNNNNNNNNNNNNNNNNNNNNNNNNNNNNNNNNNNNNNNNNNNNNNNNNNNNNNNNNNNNNNNNNNNNNNNNNNNNNNNNNNNNNNNNNNNNNNNNNNNNNNNNNNNNNNNNNNNNNNNNNNNNNNNNNNNNNNNNNNNNNNNNNNNNNNNNNNNNNNNNNNNNNNNNNNNUUAGGCCCUAAUUCGGGUUGUUACAAUUCUCCCCCUUUAGAGAUUUUCGUCCCCGAAAAUCUUACCGGUAAAGAGGUUUGGGUACUGUUUCCUCAUAGCUUCCUCAGGUUCCCACGUAGCCUCUUUUAUCCCAUGUCUGUGCCACAAUACUUUCACUAAGGCUAUACUUUUAUUUCUUAACUGUUUAAUUUCUUGAGCCAAAAUCUUUAUUGGUUCCUCCUCAUAGGUCAUAUCCGGUCAAAUCUCAAUUUCUGUUGGAGAAAUCACAUGUGAAGGAUCAGAACGAUAACGUUGCAACAUUGAUACAUGAAACACGUUAUGAAUUCUUUUUAACCUGCCGGUAAGGCCAACCGAUAUGCCACUGGUCCAAUCCUCUCAGUAAUCUCGUACGGCCCAAUAAAAUGCGGACUCAACUUGCCUUUUCAGCUAAAUCUCAGAAUCUUUUUCCAUGAUGACACCUUCAAGAACACUUUAUCACCCACCUGAAAUUCAAUCUCUUUUCUUUUUAAAUCUGCAUAUGACUUUUGUCGAUCUGAAGCAGCUUUCAAGCAAUCCCGAAUUACUUUUAUUUUCUCUUCGGUUUCUUUAACUAGAUCAACUCCGUGAAUCUGUUUCUCACUAAGUUCGGUCCAAUAUAAAGGAGUCCGACACUUACGACCGUACAAGGCUUCGUACGGUGCCAUUUGUAUACUUGACUGAUAACUGUUAUUGUAGGCAAAUUCAAUCAAAGAUAGAUAUUUCUCCCAACUACCUCCAAAUUCUAAGACACAGCAUCUAAGCAUAUCCUCGAGUACCUGGAUUACUCUUUCCGACUGACCAUCUGUUUGUGGAUGAAACGCGGUACUAAAGUUUAAUUUUGUACCCAAAGCUUCUUGUAACUUUUUCCAAAAUCUUGAGGUAAAUCUCGGAUCUCUAUUUGAUAUUAUAGACAUAGGUACUCCGUGCAACCUCACAAUUUCAGCAAUAUAUAAUUCGACUAAUUUAUCAAGUGAGUAAUCGGUACGUACUGGUAUAAAGUGGGCUGACUUUGUUAAUCUAUCAACCACUACCCAGACAGCAUCCUUCUUUUUAGGAGUCAAAGGCAAACCGGUUACAAAAUCCAUGGUAAUCUUGUCCCAUUUCCACUCAGGCACCAUUAUCGGUUGAAGUAGUCCUGAAGGUACUUGAUGUUCAGCUUUUACUUGUUGACAGAUCAAACACUUGGUUACAAAUUCAGAAAUGUCCCUUUUCAUACCUGGCCACCAAUACAACUUCUUUAAAUCAUUAUACAUUUUUGUGCUACCAGAGUGAACUGAUAAACAGCCACUGUGCGCGUCAUGUAAUAUUUUUUGAAUCAAUUCAUCGUUUUUCGGUACACAUAUCCUGUCUCGAAACAUCAAACAGUCGUCUGGUCCAACUCGAAAAUCUGAGUCGUAACCUGAUUUGCAUUGAGUUCUCUUGGUUCGCAACUCACUAUCGUUCUUUUGAGCAUCACAAAUCAGCUGGAGAAAUAACGGUUUAGCCCUCAUCUCUGCUAAGAUUGACCUAUCAUCAGACAAUGCUAACCCCGUAUUCAUGGCUCUCAAAGUAAAAAGAAAUUUCCUACUCAAGGCGUCAGCAACUACAUUUGCUGUUCCUGGAUAAUAAUCAAUCACUAGCUCAUAAUCCUUUAAUAAUUCAAGCCAUCUCCGCUGUCGUAGAUUCAAAUCCUUUUGAUUCAUCAAAUACUUCAAACUUUUGUGAUCAGUAAAAAUUCGGCAUUUUUCACCAUACAAAUAAUGUCGCCAGAUCUUCAAGGCAAAGACAAUAGCGGCCAAUUCCAAAUCAUGUGUAGGAUAUUUCUUCUCGUGCGGUUUUAACUGUCUCGAAGCAUAAGCUACCACUUUACCCUCUUGCAUCAACAUACAUCCAAGGCCUGUCAAUGAUGCAUCACUAUAAAUUACGAACUCCUUUCUUGGCUCGGGCUGUACUAAAAUUGGUGCUUCAGUCAAUCGUGCUUUCAACUUUUCAAAACUAUGCUGACAUUUAUCAGUCCAUUCAAACUUAACAUUCUUUUGCAACAACUUAGUCAUAGGAGAGGCAAUCAUCGAAAAUCCCUCAACAAAAUGUCUAUAAUACCCGGCCAAGCCUAAAAAGCUUCUAACCUCGGAUACAUUCUUUGGUGGUUUCCAAUCAACGAUCGCAGAAAUCUUGCUUGGACCCACCUGAAUACCAUCACCUGAGACUAUAUGUCCCAAAAAUCUGACUUCACGAAGCCAGAACUCACUUUUACUAAACUUAGCAAACAGUUUCUUUUCUCUCAAGAUCUGCAAUAUGGUUCUCAAGUGUUCGGCAUGUUCAGACUCAUCCCGAGAAUAAAUUAGAAUGUCAUCUAUAAACACUACUACAAACUAAUCCAAAUAUGGUCGAAAGAUCUGGUUCAUUAAGUCCAUAAAUAUAGCUGGAGCAUUUGUUAAGCCGAAAGGCAUCACAAGAAACUCAUAAUGUCCAUACCUUGUCCUAAAGGCUGUUUUCGGCACAUCCGACUCCUUAACUCUCAACUGGUAGUAACCAGACCUCAAAUCGAUCUUUGAAAACACUGUGGCCCCCUUUAACUGAUCGAAUAAAUCAUCAAUCCUCGGCAAUGGGUACUUGUUCUUUAUAGUCACCUUAUUAGCUGAUGGUAAUCAAUGCAAAGUCUCAUUGAACCAUCCUUCUUCUUUACGAACAAUACAGGAGCACCCCAGGGAGAGAAACUCGGUCUCACAAAUCCCUUAUCUGUUAACUCUUGUAACUGAGCCUUCAAUUCUUUUAAUUCAGUUGGAGCCAUUCUAUAUGGAGCAAUUGAGAUCGGUACAGUACCCGGCAACAAAUCAAUGGCAAACUCUAUCUCUCUGUUCGGAGGCAACCCAGGCAAUUCCUUUGGAAAUACAUCUGGAAACUCACAGACUAUCGGUACUGAUUCAAACUUCAGUUGAGGCAACUCAGUAUUCAUUACAUAAGCCAGAUAAGCUUCACACCCUUUCCUCAUGUAUUUUUGUGCAGACAUGUGCGAAAUCACCAUAGGCAAUUUAUUUGAUUCAUCUGUUUCAACCCACAGAAUUUCUCCAUUUUCACAUUUCAACUCUAGUGUUUUUUGUUUACAAUCUACCUUGGCAUCAAACAAUGUCAACCAGUCCAUUCCCAAGAUAACGUCAAACUCAUCCAAUGGUAACAGCAUCAGAUUAGCCGGAAAACAGUGACCUUGAAUCAUUAAUGGGCAAUUCUUGCAAACCUUGUCAACUAGCACAUAUUGGCCUAAGGGGUUCGACACUUUAAUCAUAAACUGAGUAAACUCGACAGGCAACUUUUUAUUAGAUACUAAAUUUAUGCAAAUAUAGGAAUGAGUGGAACCGGGAUCAAUCAAUGCAAUAACAAUAGUAUCAUAGAGAGAAAAUGUACCAGUAAUGACAUCGGGAGAUGAUGCAUCUUCUCGGGCACGUAUAGCAUAAGCUCUAGCAGGUGCUCUAGCUUCAGAUCUCGCCGCUGAAUCUUUCAUCGUAGUUUUACUGCUAGUCCCACCUCCAGUAUUUCUCGGUGGUUUACCUCUACUAGCGGUGGUAUUCUGUCUAGCACUCUGAAAUCUUUCUUCUUUAACUUUCUCCGGACAGCCUCUAAUAAAAUGCUCACGAGAACCGCACCUGAAACAAGCUCGCUCAUUUCCCCAACACUCACCAUAAUGUUGCCUGCCACAUUGCUGACACUCGGGCUUUCUAGGUCACACAUUACCCACACUUGCCACUGAAGUAGCUUGAGCUUUAGACCCUGAAUAUGCUCUACUACGAUCUCUGUAUGAAUCCCCAAUUGAAACUAUCAUUCGAGGGUUUGUCUCUUUGGACCUCUUUGAUUGAGAUUGAAAUGACUUGCUUAUCGGCCUUUCUCUGGCAUCUCGAGCCUCAAUAGCAGCUUUUCUUCUUUCUUUGUUUAAUUCUUCGGCUUUAAGAGCUCGGUCAACCAAUACUACAAAUUCUUUCAACUCCAAAAUUCCUACAAGUACUUUAAUGUCCUCAUUUAGCCCAUCCUCAAACCUUCUGCACAUAAUGGCCUUGGUGGACACACAUUCCUGGGCAUACUUGCUGAGUCUUACAAAUUCACGUUCAUACUUUGCCACAGACAUCUUGCCCUGCUUCAAUUCAAGGAACUCCUUCCGUUUUUUAUCAAUAAAUCGCUGACUUAUGUAUUUCUUUCUAAAUUCUUCCUGGAAGAAAUCCCAAGUAACUAUUUCUUUUGGCACCACUGCUACCAAAGUCUUCCACCAGUGGUAGGCCAAAUCUCUCAAAAGUGAUACAGCACACUUUAAGCACUCCUCGGGUGUACAUGAGAGCUCAUCAAAUACAUGGGUAGAAUUUUCAAGCCAGAACUCCGCUUUCUCAAGAUCAUCAUCGAUCUUUGCUCUAAACUCUUCGGCCCCUUGUUUUCGAAUCUUGUCAAUCGGAGGCUUGUUUGUUCUUACCAAAUCUAUGCCUUAAGCAGCUACAGGAAUCGUCUGAGGUAUGGGAGGGGGUGGAGGAGGUUGAGCAUUUGGAUUUGCUCGAAUAAAUUCAGUAUACCAAUUGUUCAUCAUUUGGAGAAAGGCAUCCCGAGCCUCAUCUCCCUGUCUCAACGUCUCAGGUCUACUUUCCACAGGCACUGUCCCUUGUGCGGGAGCCGGCGCAUUACUAGCAGCAUCAUCAGCCGCUAUUCCUUCAGGAUCCAUUACUAUAUUAAAACAAAACACAGUUUAGAAUAAUCAGGAGUCACCACACUAUCACAAUAUUUUUAUGGCAUGUAUAGCUAGACUUUUACACACACUUUAUUAGUCCGAGAACCGACUAAACCAUAGCUUUGAUACCACUAAAUGUAACACCCCUUACCCGUAUCCGUCGCCGGAAUAGGGUACGAGGUAUUAUUAACAAAUUAUAGUAAAUACUAUUAAAUAAAACCCAACAAAAAUAUGACAUGCAAUUUGAUCAUGAAUCAUUAUAACAUAUGCCAUUAACAAUACAAACCAAUUUCAAAGGCUUCGUACAAAAUGAUUAGUUUGAUACUAUAAGUAGUAUUUUAAACCUAGACAAUUAUAACACGUAACAAAAUAACUAAGUCUGCUAUACAUGCCAUAUUUCAAAAUGUUGAGUUCAGAUACCAAGGGUAUUGAUAGUGCGGGCGGAUCUUCAACGAUCUCUAACUCCUGUGCUAGCUGGAUGACACUAUAAGACAAGGAGAGAAAAGAAAGUAAGCUUAUAGCUUAGUAAGUAAGUAUAUAAAUAACAGAUAAGGAAUCUAAUAUGUCUACAACAUAACACAAUUAUAUCAUAUUUUUAAUUUUUUUUACUAUUUACUCCAGUUUGAUCAAGCUGUCCCUCCUGCAUCAUGAUCACUAAAUAAAUCAUAACUCAAGUUACGAAACUCGAAAUUUGAAUCCCUAAAAUUUCCCUGAAUCUAGACUCAUAAAAAUUCUUACUAAUUUUUUUCUAGAAUUUUUGGUUCAGCCAAUUAGUACAGUUUAUUAGUUAAAGUUUCCCUUGUUACACAGCUCAACUGAUCUGACCUCUGUUCACUACGAAUUUAAUUUCUCUCAGUACACAAUUCCAAUAACCAUGAAACCUAUUUCAUUUAAAACUAGACUCAAUAAGGAAUUUAUGCAUAUAAACUAUAUUUCUUAAUUUGUUUUUUACAAUUUUUAAUGAUUUUUCAAAUUUAGAAUAGGGGAUCACAUAGUCAUUCUGAGCAAGUCACACACAAUUGUAGAUAUAUCAAAAUAUAGAAUUCCUUUGCUUGCUCUGUUUCUUUUAUAUGAAAAUAGACUCAUUAAGCUUUAAUUUCACAUCUCAUUCAACCUCUAAUUAAAUUCCUUAUAUUUUUGGUGAGUUUUGAAAUUCACGUCACAGAUACUGUCCAAAACAGUUUUAAUGCUAAUUUCACUCUUUCACACAUUCUUUGUACUAACCUCAUUUUAACUUAUAUAUAUAGCACAAAUAAUUUUCACUACAUUUCAUACAUCACAAGUAUAGGCCCAUGACUACAAUGUCACCACAAAGCCAUCCCGUUGAACAAUUCGGAUUAAUGCUCGAUACUUGAUGGUUUCAGCACACAGCCCCACCAUCAUAUUUCAUUUAAUUCGGCUCUCUUGUACACAUGGUGAACACUUAGUACCACUCAUGUGACCUAGCCGAUUUGUCUCGUAGCUCUCUUGUUUACAUGGUGUCCUUCACUUUGAAUCACGCAUGCGACCUAGCUACAUUUAUCUCUCACGUAGCUCUCUUGUCUAUAUGGGAUACAUCCCGUAUCACACAUGUGACCUAGCUACUACAUAGUAUCUCAUAGCUUUCUUGUACACAUGAUGUGCACUCGGCACCAUACAUGUGACCUAGCUACGCCCCCUCUAUUUUAUUCGAUCUUUCCGAAUGUUCAACCGAGAUCUCUCUCUAUUACUUAUUUCCAUUCUUCCAAUAGUCGAUUUAUACUUCAACUUCAUCUAAUAUAUAUAAUAGGCUGAAAUAUAAGAAUGUAAAUGAAAUUAAUGUAUUAUUUACAUACAAACUUACCUCGGUGCAAAAUAUGGGAAUUUUGCAAUUUAGUCCAAAACUUUCUCCUUUCCCCGUUCGAGGUCGAUUCCAUGCUUUUCUUGAUCUAUAACAACAUAUUUAGCUCAUUUAACACUCGAACUAUUUAUUUUAAUUCAAAAAUCACAUUAUACAAAAAUUAAAUUUUUGCCCCCUAACUUUUACAAAAUUAUGAUUUUCCCCCAAGGCUCGGAAAUUUAAUUUCAGCCCUUAUUCUUAUGUUUAAUGACCUACCGAUCAUUUUUCUCUUCUAUGGCAACAUCAAAUUCUCACUCUAACACAUAGUUAUGAACAAUAGGUAUUUUUAUCGAUUAUGCCAUUUUGCUCGUUUUCGUUAAAAAUCGCUUAGAAAAGAUCGUUCUCCUAACUUCAAACAUUCAUAUUCUACCAUCAAACAACACAAUACAUGCCUAUCAUUCAUGGGUAAAUUUUUAAUCAUACACCCUAACUCGAAAUAAUGGUAGAAAUAAGUAAACUGAGCUACGGGGAUUUCAAAAAUGUGAAGAACAUUAAAAACGGGGCUUGAAAUCACUUACUAUGAAGCUUGAAAAUUGAAGAAACCCUAGCUAUGGAGGAGAGCAAAUUUCGGCAGCAACUAGUGAAGAUGAUGACCAAUUUUGUGUUAUUUUUCCCAUUUUAUUUCAUUUAAUAUACAAAUGACCAAAAUACCCUUACUACUAAACUUUCCAAAAAUUCCCUCCAUGUCCAACUUUUGUCCAUAACUUACGAAUGGGUCAAAUUGCUAUUUAAGACCUCCUAGUUAAUAUCCCAAAGCAAUUUCAUACUAAAAACUUCUAAAAUACGAGUUUUACAAUUUAUUCGGUUUAGUCCCUAAUCUCAACUUAAGCGCUCAAUGUAUAGAAUUUCAUCACAAAUUUUCACGAAAUCAUGAAAUCAUAUCAUAAACCCCAAAAUAAUUAUAAAACAAUUAUUUCUAUCUUGGAUUUGUGGUCUCGAAACCACUAUUCCGAUUAGGCCCUAAUUCGGGUUGUCACAAGUAUUCUCCGAAACUGUAGUGAAACAUUUAGAGACUGAAACAUCCAAAAUACACUGAACUUCUAAAAUUUUCUACAUAAAACAUUUGUUAAUAAUAAUUGAACUGAUGCAUAAAACUUUAUAAUGUAGAUAAAACUUGGAAUAGACAUGAGCGCACGCGGAAUCCGUAGACGUGGUACUCGUGGUCAUGGAAGAGGCCAUAAGAGAGCUCGAGAUGAGACUUUCUCAUUGGGCAGUAUGCCGAAUUUGGAUACGAGUGAGACACCAGUUUCGCCUACUACUGAGACUAGGUCUCAGAGCUGUUUGGCUGGGGAUGACGCACUAUCCCUAGCCAUGCUGAGGAUUUUAGAAAGGGUCGCUAGACUGCAUUCUAGACCUGGGAGCAAAGGGUCAGUAACUAAAUGACUAUGAUCUAAUGAAGAUGAGUUAUUUAGGGGUGUCACACAGUCACCCCUAACGUGGCCGAGUACUGGUUGGAGGCCACUGAGAAAAUUAUGGAUGAUCUAGACUGUACCCCUAAGCAGAAAUAAAAGGGUGCAUUUUUCUUACUUUGCGGCAAAGCAUACCAGUAGUGGUUAAAGGUUAAGAAGGGCACUCAGCUUCAUCGCCUGACUUAGGAAUUCUUUAAGACUGCAUUCCAGAACAAGUAUGAGGGACCUAGCUAUGUAGAUACACGCCGGCAUGAGUUUCUAAUCUCACGUAAGGUGGCUGAUCUGUGGCCAAGUAUGAGGCUAAAUUUUUUAGGUUGAGCCGCUACGCUCGAGGCAUGGUAGCGUCUGAGUACGAGAGGUAUGUCCGGUUUGAGGACAGCUUAAGGGACAGUUUGAGGGUACUGAUAACUCUGUAGAGGGAGCACGAGUUUUCUAUUCUGGUAAAGAAGGCAAAGAUCACUAAAGAUGUUAAGCGUGCAAAAUGCCAGAAUAGAGAUAGGGAGAGAGGUAAGAACAAGAAGGAUUCAGAGCCCUCAAGUUCUGUGCAGAGGCCUAAGAAAAAUGCCAUAUUUGAUGGGCCAAUUAGAGUGGAGGCUCCUAUUGCUUCAGUUGGGUUGUAGCAAUGUGGUGAUUGUGGUAAGUGUCAUCCAGACGAGUGUUGGAGGAGGAUUGGGGCCUGUUUGAUGUGUGGAUCUUUAGAGCAUCAUAUUAGAGACUGUCUAUAGCGGGCAGAUCAAAUGCAAGCUCCAAGUUUUGUGUAGCCUCAGAGGGUAGUUCAGUAGCAACCUAGGGGUCGUGGUCAGCCUAGGGGUGGUAAUGGUAUAGGCUGAGGGCAGAGAGCAUCAAGUAGAUGUGCUGGUCAAACAAAGGCGAGACAGCUUACACUAGUUUAUACUACACGACGCCGAAAGGAUAGAAAUGCUCUUGACGUCAUCACUGGUAUGUUCUUUAUUUCUGAUGUACCAUUCACCGCUUUGAUAGAUAUAGGGUCUACUUACUCAUAUAUAGCCAGUUCUGUUUCUGAAAACAUUAGGAUUUUCGUUGAAAGCGCUUCGAGUGAGGUCACUGUACUGAGUUCAUUGGGGCAAUCUGUUCGGGUUAGUAAACUAUAUAGAGAUGUUCUGUUGUGGUGCAAGGGACUAUUUUCCUGGCUAAUUUGAUGAAGCUUUCGUUUGGAAAGUUCGGUUUAAUCUUGGGUAUCGAUUAGUUGGUCAAGCAUCGAGUCAAUCUGGAUUGUGUGACUAAGAGGGUCGUUCUGAGGAUAAUGGAUGAUAAGAAGGUGGUAAUAAUCGGUGAGCAUCGAGAUUAUCUGUCUAAUAUAAUCUCCGUUCUUGUGGCUGAAAAACUGGUUCAAAAAGGGUUUGAGGCAUAUUAGGCGUACGCCAGUGUUUCUGCUUCUAGGGACUCUACUAUUGGAGAUAUCAGAACUGUGAGAGAUUUUCUAGACGUCUUUCCUGAGGAGUUACCGGGAUUACCUCCUAAUCAAAAAGUGGAGUUUAGGAUUGAACUUCUUCAGGGUACGGCUCUGGUGUCCAUCGCUCCAUUUCGUAUGGUACCGAAAGAGCUUACUGAGCUUAAGGCUCAACUGCAAUAGCUUUUAGACCGUGGUUUCAUCCGUCCUAGUGUGUCUCCAUGAAGAGCACCGGUUCUAUUUGUUAAUAGGAAGAAUGAGACCAUGAAUAAGUUGACCGUGAAGAAUAAGUAUCCGCUGCCGAUGAUCGACAACCUGUUUGAUCAGUUCCGAGGGGCUUCUGUGUUCUCCAAGAUUGAUCUUCAUUCUAGGUAUCAUCAGUUGAGGAUUAAAGAUGUGGAUAUUCAUAAGACAACAUUUAGGACUCAUUAUGGAGACUAAGAGUUCCUAGUUAUGCCUUUUGGUCUGACAAAUGCUCCAGCUGCAUUUAUGGAUUUGAUGAACCAUGUGUUUUAGCCUUAUUUAGAUCAGUUCGUCGUGGUUUUCAUCGACGAUAGUCUAGUAUCCUCUAAGACGGAGGAUGGGCAUGAUGAGCAUCUCAUAGUAGUGCUUCAGAUUCUUCGUGAGAAGCAGCUUUUCGCUAAGCUAAGCAAGUAUAAGUUCUGGUUACGUGAAGUGACUUUUCUGGGGCAUGUGGUUUCUGCUGAAGGGAUUCGAGUAGAUCCUCAAAAGAUCGAGGCCGUACUUGACUGGAACAACCUAACAACGUGUCUAAAAUCUGUAGCUUUCUAGGUUUGGCGGGAUACUAUCGACAUUUUGUUGAGGGAUUUUCUCUGAUUGCAGUUCCUCUUACUAAACUUCUAUGUAUGGGUGUACCGUUUUUCAGGACAGAUACGUAGCAAUCGAGUUUUAAGAAGCUCAAGUUUGUUCUGACUCAGGCUCCUGCUCUAAUACAGCCUAAAUCUAAUAAGGAGUUUGUGGUCUACAGUGAUGCUUCACACAUUAGUUUGGGAUGUGUUCUGAUAUAGGAUGGUAAGGUUGUGGCUUAUGCGUCCCGUCAACUUAAGACACAUGAAGGGAACUAUCCGGUGCAUGAUCUUAAGUUGACUGCCGUGGUUUUUAAAAGUCUGGAGGCAUUAUUUGUAUGGUGAGAGGUGUAUCAUCUAUAUCAAUCACAAGAGCCUCAAAUAACUCCUUACUCAGAAGGAGUUGAACCUUGGGCAAUGUUAUUGUAUUGAACUGCUUAAAGGUUAUGACUGCACUAUAGGGUAUCACCCUGGUAAGGCCAAUAUGGUGGUCGACGCUCUAAGCCAUAAAGUGAUGACUAAUCUGAAGGCGAUGUUUGCUCGCUUUAGUUUGUUUGAUGAUGGGAGUUUGUUAGCCGAGUUGUAAGUUAAGCUGAAUUUAAUUGAGCAGAUUCGAGAUAAACAUUUAGUAGAUGAGACUUUGAGUGUGCGGUUUCAUCAAGUUGAGAGUGGCAGCAUUUCAAAUUUUAGAUUGAAUAACGAUGGGGAAUUAUGUUUUCUAGGUCAGAUUUGUGUGCCAAAUGACUCUGAUUUGAGACAGUCGAUUCUAAAGGAGGCGUAUAGUAGCCCUUAUGCUGUGCAUCCCGGUGGUAAUAUGAUGUAUCGUGAUCUCCGUGAGUUGUAUUGGUGACUAGGGUUGAAGCGUAAGGUUAUGGAUUUUGUUAUUCAUUGUCUAACGUGUCAGUAGGUUAAAGCUGAGUAUCAGUUACCUUCGGGUUUGCUACAGCCGGUUAAGAUUCCCCUUUAGAAAUGUGAGCGAGUGACGAUGGACUUCGUUAGUGGGUUGCCUUUAACACCCACUAAGAAGGAUUCUAUUUGGGUCAUCGUGGAUCGAUUGACCAAGUCUGCUCACUUUAUUCUGGUUCGAACUUAUUAUUCUCUGUAGAAGCUAGCGAAGUUGUACAUUUUUGAGAUAGUAAGAUUGGAUGGGGUUCCGAUCUCGAUUAUUUCUAAUAGAGAUCCUCGCUUCACUUCUCGGUUCUGAAAGAAAUUACACGAGGCUCUGGGUUCAAGGUUGGACUUCAGUACUAUGUUCCAUCCUUAGACUGAUGGUCAAUCUGGAAGGGUGAUUCAAAUACUAGAGGAUAUGCUUUGGAGUUGCGUGAUUGAUUUUUGAGGUAGUUAGGAGGAUUAUCUGCCUUUAACUGAGUUCGCCUAAAAUAACAGUUUCCAAGCUAGUAUUCAGAUGGCAUCUUAUGAGACUCUGUAUAGUCGUAAGUGUCAUACUCCUUUGUGUUGGACUGAGUUAGGCGAACAUUGAAUUUUGGGUCCUGAGUUGGUUUCUAAGGCUGAGGAUAAGGUUCGAAUGAUUCGGGAUAGUUUGAAAGUGACUUUUGAUAGAUAGAAGUCUUGUGCAGAUCUAAAGAGGAGAGAGAUUGAGUACUUAGUGAGGGACUUCGUCUUUCUUAAGGAUUCUCUGUGGAAAAAGGUUCUGAGGUUCGGUUGAAAUGACAAGUUGAGCCCUAGGUUCAUUGGGUCGUAUGAGAUUCUGAAGCGUGUGGGACCGGUCGCUUAUCAGUUGGAGCUACCUCCAGAUUUAGACCGUAUCCAUGAUGUAUUCCACGUCUUGAUGUUAAGACUGUGACAGCCCUAAAGUGACCCUAGUCGGAAAGUGGUUUCGGGACCACGAAACCGAGUCUUAUAAAUAAUUAGAGGUUAUAUUCUGUGUUUAUGAUGUGAGUAAAUGCUUGUGUGAUAGUUCCAUACUUCAAUUUGGUCAGUGUAUGUGAAAAUUAUUAGUAGGGACUUAUGUGAGACAAUUUAGAAAUAUGCUAGGCAAGUGCUAAAGUGGCCUAUUAAUAUAUGUGGGAAAGUGCUUGUCCUUGCAUGUCAAAUUAGCCAAACUAUAGGUAGUGGCCGGCCAUUCUACAAAUUGUAUAAUCAAGUGUGAAUUUUAUAUUAACUUUAAUUAACUAGGUGCCAUAUUAGUAUGGAGGAUGUAAUAAAAUAAAGAAAUGAUAACUAAAGGAAGGGAUGGGUGAAAGAAAAAAAAAAGAGAUCAUCAUUCAUGUUUCUUCCUAGCCGAAUCUAAAGAAAAAAAAAAGGAACAAGAGCAUUCGGUGAUGAAAACAAGUUGUGUUACUUGGUUCUUCUUGGCCGAAUUGAAAGGAGGAAGAAGGGAGUAAAGCCAUCGGUCAUCUUAGGUCAAUAUUAAGGUAAGGUGUUCAUAUUAGUUCUUGAAAUUUUAGUUGAUCUUGAGUGAGAUAUCAAGUUUUUUUUUUUGUAACCCAUGAUGAAAUUUUGAUUUUUGGAUUGAGUAAGGUUUUCGACUAUGGUAGCUAAUAAUGGUGAGUUUUGUUGUUUCAUGUUAAAGUUAGGUGAAUGAUGAUAGAUGAGUGUUUGAACCAUAAAAAGAAUUCGGCUACCUUGUUAUGAACUAGGGCCGAUUGUGAGUUGGUUGUGGUUGAAUAUUGCAUGCUUGGUAGAAUGGUGGAUGAAAGUGCCGACUGUGGUCUUUGGUUUGGCAUGAGGUGAUAAAUAAAGGUUUAAAGGUAGCUUAAGUUAAUUGAUACUCACUAAUGAUUUCGAAUGGAAGCUUUGUUAAGUGUGAAAUGAGUGGCCGAGAGAGAGAACUAUAGACUAUUGCCGAAUGUAUGUUGGGUUGAUAGAGUCUCCAAAUUGAUUUUAUGUGAGUAUGCAUGACAGAAUAUAAUCGGCCACAUGAGUAAAGAAAUGGUUAUUUGAUAUGUGGUAAAAGUUAAGUGUUAAACGAAAUGGAAAUGAUAUCAUAUUGGAAUAUGUAUACUCGACCACAUGAAUGAACACAUAGAUUGGUGUUGCAUGUAUUCGGUUAUAAGUAAGCAUAUUGGUGGCUUAAUCUUGGCUUAGACAAUCGGCUAAAAGAGAGUGUGGGUUAAUAUGUUGAGUUGAUUCAUGAUUUCAUAUGUAUGUGACUUUAAUGUCUAAUGUAUAUGUACAUAUGGGUUAAGUACCUUGAGUUUCUCUUUUUGAUGUUCAAAUGAUUAAAUCAAUUUAUUUGUUAAAUUAAGCUCAAGAGCAAAGGGGAACUAAAUCCGAUAAAGGGAAGGAAAAAGUGAUCGAAUAGCCGUCGAAAUCGUUCGACAACAUCCGAGGUAAGUUUUCGAGUAAUGGAACUUAGUUUACGAUUUGAUUAAGUCAUGACGUAUAAUCAUAACGAAUAUAUGGUGAUAUAAUGAUUCUACUUGAAUUAUAUGUUGAGUUAAUUAGUCUAAACGUAUGAUGAGUAGCCGUAUGUGCAUAGAAAUCAUGUCAUGAAGCAAACCGAAUCAUGCUGUUCGUAUGUGGCUAUUGAGCCGAAAAUGGGAAUGCUUAAUAAUUGAUUUGUGUUUGAAUUCUAGUUAUGAAAAUGAAAUAAAGAUGUGUCAUGAUUUACUGAUAUGUGCAUGAAUAUUCGGACGCUAACGGGGUUAAGUCCCGAAGACAUUUGUGCUAGUGAUUAAUUCCGGGCUAAGUCCCGAAGGCAUUUGUGCGAGUUACUAAUUCCGGGUAAGUCCCGAAGGCAUUUGUACGAGUUACUAAUUUCGGGCUAAGUCCCGAAGGCAUUUGUGCGAGUUACUAUAUCCGGGCUAAGUCCCGAAGGCAUUUGCGCUAGUGACCAUAUCCGGGCUAAGACCCGACGGCCUUGUGCGAGUGGUUAUAUCCGGCUAAAUCCUGAAGAUAAGUGGGUUUGGGAAUGAGCGAUAUUGCUGUAAUAAUUUCAAUUAAUACGCUCGAAAAAUCCCAACAACGAGGUAUGUUUCGUAUGUGCAUUGAGAUAAUUGAUUCCUUCUAAAUAGAAUUUGGUCAAUCGAUUAACAAGCUUCCGGCUUUUAGUCAAGUUGAUUUCUUAUGUAUGAAUAUAAGGGUUGGAAAUGUGAAGUAGGUAUGAUUGUGAGAAUAUGUGUAUAUGAAAUUAUUCGUUUAGUCGUAUGAAUGCUAUACUUCAGUUGUGUAACACCCCUAUCCCGUAACCGUCGCCUGAAUAGGUAAGGGGCAUUACCGGACUUGUAACUCAUGUCAGAACAGUAAAAUUUUAAACUUUUUCUUGAAAUAAAGAUCAUUCAUUUAAAUAAGUACUAAGCACAGCCAGAGAUAAAAUUUAAACUUCACUAAGUAAACAUUCAAAAGAUGCCAUUUUCGCAUGGCUUAUAUACAUUAACCAAAAAUAUUCUUCCGCCACUAGUCUAUUCUAUACAUGCCAUAAAAUAGUUCUAAACAUAACAGUAACAAGCAGUGGAUAGUGAUAGUGUGACUAGUUGCUGACGAUCCCCGAGCCUGUAGCUUCGCAAUGAGAUCUAUAAAACAGAGGAAACAGAGUAAACGGAGUAAGCAUUACAAUGCUUAGUAAGUUUUAAGCAGUGUCAACAGAUAACAAUCAAAUUAUAACAUAGUUGUUCGUAUUUUUAUUUCACUCUUCCUUCGGGCAUACCAACCCUUUAGGGAAUAUGCACAUCUCAUCAUAUACAAUAGGUAGAUAAACUUUCACAUAAAAGUGAGCUCAUGUGACAUAGAUAUAUCGUAUGAUUUCACAUAACCUCUCACACUGAUCCGACGUCACAUAAUCAUAGGAAUAGUCUCAUAGAUUGCUCACGUAUGCAUCACAUAACUACCUUAUGAUUUAGUGCAAAUCAAGCUCACAUAUAAACUUGGAGUACAUACCUGUUUAACCUCUACUCGGAUUAUCGGUGAGACCUUUAGCUCAGACGAAAUCUCCACACAAAGUUAUCGGGUCUUACCCGGACAAAAUCUCCACACGAAGUUAUCGGGUCUUACCCGGACAAAAUCUCCACACGUAGUCAUCGGGUCUUACCCGGACAUAAUCUCCACACGUAGUCAUCGGGUCUUUAAAGCUCGGAUAUAGUACGAGCACGAAGCUUACGGACAUUAAUCAGUGAUAAUAUUCUCGCAUAAAGCCUGUGGGGUUUUAACCUGGAUAUAGUACUGACACAAAUGCCCUUCGGGACUUAUCACAUUUAUACACUUUCACAUCCAUCACGUUGGCCACUCGGCCCUAUCACAUAUAUACACUUUCACAUUCAUCACAUUGGACAUUAGGCCUUAUCACAUAUAUACACUUUCACAUUCAUCACAUCGGCCAUUAGGCCUUAUCACAUAUAUACACCUCCACAUUCAUCACAUUAGCCAUUAGGCCUUAUCACAUAUAUACACUUUCACAUUCAUCACAUCGGCUAUUAGGCCUUAUCACAUAUAUACACUUUCACAUUCAUCACAUCGGCCAUUAGGCCUUAUCACAUAUAUAUACACUUUCACAUUCAUCACAUCGGCCAUUAGGCCUUAUCACAUAUAUACACUUUCACAUUCAUCACAUCGGCCAUUAGGCCUUAUCACAUAUAUACACUUUCACAUUCAUCACAUCGGCCAUUAGGCCUUAUCACAUAUAUACACUAUCUUGGCUGAAUCUACAUCUAUCAUUUUCCAAUAUCACAAUUUAGAAUUCACUUAUGGGUUUAAUCAAUAGCUUAUAAGCAACUAAAACAAGUUUAUCAAGGUUUACAACACAAUCUCAAAUUCAGCACAAGCUGUUUUUCCUGAGCAAUAGUCACUAAAUUAUUUAUAACUAGAGCUACAAAACUCCAAAUCACUUUCCGUUAAUUUUUCCUGAAUAUAUACUCGUAUAUCUUCCAUCCAUAAAAUUUCCAUAAUUUUAGGUUUGGCCAAUCAAUACCAAUUUUUUCUUAAAGUUUCCCCUGUUUCACUGUUUGACUAAUCUGACCACUCUUCACUACGAAUCAAAUUUAUCAUUUUACAGAAUUCAAAAUGUGUUGUAUUUGAUUUCAUUUGAAAAUAGACUCAUUAAGGAGUCUAAGCAUAUAAAUUUUAUCUUAUAACCAUUUUUUUACAAUUUAUAAUGAUUUUCUGAAAACAGAACAGAGGAUUACAGUGUCAUUCUGCACUGUCUCACACAAAUUUAAGUAUCUCAUUAUCGGAAAUUCCUUUGCUUACACGGUUUCUUUUAUAAGAAACUAGACUCAUUAACCUUUAAUUUCAUGUCUCAUCCAGCCUCUAAUUCAAAUCCAUAAAUUUAUGGUGAUUUUCUAAAGUCACGUUACUGCUGCUGUCCUAAGCAGACUAUUUCAAAUUACCCUUAAUUUCCCAAUCUCAAACACUUAAGAACUUACCAUUUGAGCUUAGAACAUAUCAUGGCCACAUCAUAUCUUAUUAAAUCAACUCAUCAUGUCCUAUUAUAAUUGAAUUUACUCAACGUUUAAUCACUUAAAACUUACCUCGGAUGUUGUCGAACGAUUUCGGCGGCUAUUCGAUCACUUUUUCCUUUCCUUUAUCCAACUUUGGUCCUCUAAGCUCUUGAGCUAAUUCAAAAAAAUUUACUUCCCAAUCAAACAUAGUCAUACGGCAUCCAUAUACAUUUUAAAACCAAUUCAUUUGAAUCAAUUGACCACUUAAGUCUAUUAUCGUUCGUUUUCAAAUUUGUGUACUUGAUAAGUCACAUUAAACAAUUGUAUAUGUAACUUUAACACAUUUUUAUAUUCGAAUGUCUCACUGACACAAGGCGUAUACAUAAGGUAUCAACAUACAUAUAAAUAUAUUUUAGUCGAUUACUCAAGUUAUGCACAACAUGUAUGUAUAUACACUCUCAUAUUCAUUAUUAUAAAUGUUGCCGAAUACUCAUUUAAUAAUCAACUCAUAUAUUCAUACAUGGACGAUUUGAAGUUUCCUUUAACCAAUUAUAUAAUCGGCAAUGGCUACAAUAACUUAUCAAGCCUUAGAAACUUCUUUAACCCUUUUAACUUCAUCUUAUUACCCCUAAAGUCCGAAUGCACACAUAACAAAAUAUAAUGCCAAAACGCCAUUAACUAAUAAAAUCACACAUACACAAUUUAUAUACAAAUUUCAUCCUCACAAUGUAUAUAAUUCAUUCGGCCAUUCAUCACUCACCUAACAAAACUUCAUAUCAAGUUCCUAUGACCGAUCACACCUAUACUUACAUUCCAAUAUUCGUAAUAUUCAAAAUCACAUUCUAAAUACAAUAGUCAUGAACAAUGCCGAAUCUUUAAGUGUUCAAACAUAAAUUCUUUUACUUAAUUCAAAACAUAUAAACAACAUUUGUUCAAGACAUCAAACCUCUUUAAUUUUGGCUAUUACUAAUAUAAACAUUCACAAAUCAUAUUCUUAGGAAGACCGAUUUCUUUCCAUAACACAUUCAUCAUCAAUACUUAGAUGAAACAACCAAAAUCCCUUCCUUUAUACCCUAGCCGAAUGCUCCAAUCAUCCAUCAAAAUUACAAAUUUUAGCAUGGGCUAAGUAAGAACCAUGAUUAUUUACCUAAAACAAGUUAAAAUUUCACAAUUUAACAUAAUAUACUAACCUUUUUAAUGACUCAAGUGACCAAAAAUUCUUCUCCUCCUUUGUUUCUUCUAUUCGGCCAAGUUGAACAACAAAGAAAGAACUUUGUUUUUCUCCUCUUUCACUAGUCACGGCAAUGGGGAGUAAGGGGGAGACAACUUUGGUUUCUCCUCCCACUCACCUCAUGUUUUAUCAUUCUUAAUUCAUUCUUUUAUUUUCUAAACUCAUAGUGCUAAUAAAAGAAUUCAUAUUAUCAUCAAUGACCCAUCCAUGGCCGGCCACUACUCAUUAAUAAUGGAUAUUUGACAUGCAAACCCUUUAUUCAUAUGACAUGCACUAAUUGAUCCUUAUAGAUUAACUAUCACAUUUUAAAAGUGUCACACAUAAGUCCUUAUUAACUAAAUUCACAUGCAAUUAACUAAAUCGAAGCCUAAAACUUUCACACAUUCAUAUUCACAUAUUUUAGACAAUAAAUAUCAUAUUCACAUAAUUUGGUGACUCGGUUUAGCGGUCCCGAAACCGCUUUCCGACUAGGGUCAAUUUAGGGGUGUCACAAGUUGUGCAUGAUUUCAUUGCUCAAAACUUACUAAGCAUUAAAUGCUUAUUCCGUUUCUUUGAUUCUCGGUUUUAUAGAUUUUGGUUCGUCAGCUAUCGGACUCGGGAUUGUCGAAGUCGAAGUUGUCCACACUAUCAAAGCCCCUUUUGGUACACUUUUGGUUGAACACUGAAAAUGGCAUGUAUAGGACUACCCUUGUGUUAUUAGUCAAGUACUUUGGUGUUGUAUAUAUUUGGAUAGCCAUGCGAAAAUGGCUUAUAUAUUUUAAGCAUAGUGUUAUAAUCAUUUUGUAUGUAUAUGGUUAUUGAGAGGUGUGGAUAUGCUUGGCAAUGAUUGGCCAUUGGAAUGGUUAAUCAUGAUCAUAAUUUUUGCUAUAUAUGCUAAAGGGCUAGUUGAAUCAUGGAAACUAUGAAAUAGGUAAAGUCUACCUUAAAGGCAGAUGCUUACAACAGCAGUGGCGUAAGUUUGAAAAAUCACUAAAAAUAGUUGGAAUGGAAUUAAAUAGUGAAUAAAUUAUGUAAUCGAACCUUGAUGAAUCUAAUUUCAUACGGAAGAAACGAAACGAUCAUAUGAGUUGUAUUUUAUGGGAUAUUUAAGUUUCCGUGGAACAGGGCCAGAGCAAUUUCUGGAUCCCCUGAUCUAAAUUUGGAAAUUCAUUAUAAAUUAACCAGAGAUAAUUAGAAGUCAUUCCAUAUAUUUAUAGAUUCCUUUUUGAGUCUAGUUUCAAUAGAAACAAACAAAAUAAGUAUUGAAGCCCUGUACAGGGAUAUAUAUAAGUUGUAAUGCAAGAAGGUCAGAGAAGUCGAACCCUAUAACAGGGGAGACUUUAACUAAUAAACUGUACUAAUUGGCCCGACCAAAAAUUCUAGAAAAAAAUUUGUAGAUGGAUAUAUGAGUCUAGUUUCAUGGAAAUUUACAAAAUUGAUUUUUGAGUUUUGGAACUCAAGAUAUGAUUUUUAAGGUGAUAGUGACGCAGUUAGCCAGCUUGUCUGGAAAUUUUUAAAAUGGACUGUGAAUAAGUGAAUUAAGUCUGUUAACCCCUCGUGUCCGACUCCGGCAACGGUCUCGGGUACGGGGUGUUAUAAUUUUUAUUGGUAUCAGAGCUACGGUUUAGUCGAUUCUAGGACUACCGUAAUACGUUUGGGUCUAGCUAUACAUGUCAUUUUGUGAUUAUUUGAUAGUGUGGUGAUUUCUGACAUUUGCAAAUGUGUUUAUUUAUAGUAAUGGAUCCCGAUCCCGACCAAGCGGUAGCUGAUGAUCUUAAGAGUGUAGCGCCUGCUCCCGCACAAGGGACAGCGCUGGCGGACUCUCAACCUAUUGCUAGCAAUCCGAAUGAUGAGGCUAGGCAAGCUUUUUAUAGCGUGAUGAAUGAUUGGUUCAACCAAUACAUUCGAACUAAUACGGCUGUUCCACAACCUCCAUUCCCGACUAAUACCACCCCCGCACCUACAAUACCUCCGGCAACUGACUAAAUAAGGUCAAAUAAGCCCCCAGUUGACAGAAUCUGAAAACACGGGGCUACUGAAUUUAAAGCUACGAACAGCGAUGAUUCUGAGCAAGCUAAAUUUUGGUUGGACAACACUAUUCGGGUACUCGAUGAGCUAUCUUGCACACCCGAUGAGUGCCUAAAGUGUACAAUCUCCUUGCUACGUGAUUCUGCCUAUUAUUGGUGGAAUACGUUGACUUCUGUUGUGCCCAGAGGGCAAGUAACUUGGGAGUUUUUCCAAACCGAGUUUCGGAAAAAGUAUAUCAGUCAGAGAUUUAUGGAUCAAAAACGGAAGGAAUUUCUUGAACUUAAACAAGGUUCCAUGUCGGUUACCGACUAUGAACGAAAAUUUGUGAGGCUUAGCCAGUACGCACGAGAAUGCAUUUCCUCAGAAGCCGUAAUGUGUAAACGUUUCGAGGAUGGACUGAAUGAUGAUAUAAAGCUAUAUGUUGGCAUCUUGGAAAUCCGAGAAUUUAUGGUACUUGUCGAGCGAGCUUACAAAGCAGAGGAGCUCAGUUUGGAGAAAAGAAAAGCUGAUAUGGGAGCAAAGGAGUUUCGUAAGAGGUCUUCGGGGAGACCAUUUCAACAGUCAUCGAAGAAAUUCAGAGAUGAUUUGGGCCGAUCUAGAGACACUUCGGGUUUUUCUAGACGAGAUCGUGAUCGACCCCCUGUGAGUGCACGAGUCACUUCGGUUACCAGUAUUGGAAAUGAUCGUCGAGACAGAACGGAGUGCCAGUAUUGUGGUAAAUGGCAUUCGAGGAGUUGUAGAUUCCAUGACCGCUCCUGUUACAAGUGCGGAUCAGUUGACCACUUUAUUAAAGAUUGCCCGAGGUUGUCUGAACAAAAUGUAAAUCAGCGUGGGAAACCGGGUGCUACCACUGCUCGAGGUAGACCAUCUAGAAACACGGGAAAUCCUAGUGGUGGUCAGAGAGGAUCUAGAGAUGCAACAACCAGAUCUGAGGCUCGCGCUCCUGCUAGAGCUUACGCUAUACGCGCACGUGAGGAUGCUUCCUCGCCAAAUGUUAUUACCGGUACUUUUACUCUCUUUGAUACUAAUGUGAUUGCUUUGAUUGACCCUGGUUUUACUCAUUCUUAUAUAUGUGAAACCUUAGCACUCCAGUAAGACUCUACCUGUUGAGUCUACUGAGUUUGUAAUUCGGGUGUUAAAUCCCUUGGGUCGUUACGUGCUUGUCGAAAAAAUGUGCAAGAAAUGUCCCCUAGUAAUCCGAAGUUCCUGUUUUUUGGCCGAUUUGAUGCUUUUACGUUUGAUGAAUUUGAUGUUAUCCUCGGUAUGUAUUGGCUAACCGUUCACGAUGCAGUUGUGAAUUGCAAAAGAAAAACUAUCGAUUUGAGGUGUGCAAAUAAUGAGAUGAUUCGAGUUGAGUCUACUGACUUGAAUGGGUCACCAGCUAUAAUAUCCUCGAUGUUAGCUCAUAAAUAUGUGAGAAAGGGGUGUGAAGCGUAUCUUGCAUACGUACUUGAUAAUAAAGAGCCAGAAAAGAAACUUGAAUCUGUGCCGGUGGUUUGUGAAUACCCGAAUGUUUUUCCCGAAGAAUUACCGGGUUUACCACCUGUUCGGGGGGUAGAGUUUGGUAUUGAGCUUGUGCCUGGGACUAUGCCGAUUUCGAUAGCUCCGUAUCGUAUGGCACCAACCGAGUUAAAAGAGUUGAAAGCUCAGUUGCAAGAGUUGACGGAUAGAGGUUUCGCUCGACCAAGUUUCUCACCUUGGGGUGCACCAGUAUUGUUUGUGAAAAAGAAGGACGGAACCAUGAGGUUGUGCAUCGACUAUCGUCACCUAAAUAAGGUGACAAUAAAGAAUAAAUAUCCGAUACCGCGUAUUGACGAUUUGUUUGAUCAACUAAAGGGAGCCUCAGUGUUUUCAAAGAUAGAUUUGAGAUCAGGUUAUUAUCAGUUGCGAAUUCGAGAUUCGGAUAUACCCAAAACUGCUUUCAGAACGAGAUACGGUCACUACGAGUUCUUAGUGAUGCCGUUUGGGCUCACUAAUGCCCCUGCGGUAUUUAUGGAUGUGAUGAAUCGGAUCUUUAGACCGUAUUUGGAUCGGUUUGUAGUUGUGUUUAUCGAUGAUAUUUUGGUCUAUUCGAGAAAUGAAACCGAUCAUGCUGAACACUUGGGAUUAGUGUUGCAAAUUUUACGGGAUAAGCAGUUAUAUGCUAAGUUCAGUAAGUGUGAGUUCUGGUUAAGAGAGGUUAGCUUCUUGGGACAUGUGGUGUCUGCAUCAGGUAUUCGAGUCGAUCUGAGCAAAAUUUUAGCCAUACUUAACUGGAAGCCUCCGAGAAAUAUUACUGAGGUUCAGAGCUUUUUGGGACUUGCCGGUUAUUACCGAUGGUUUGUAAAAGGUUUCUCGAUGAUAGCCACACCAAUGACGAAACUACUUCAAAAAGAUGUUAAGUUUGAAUGGACAGAAAAGUGUCAGAAAAGUUUUGAUCAAUUGAAAACUCAUUUGACGGAAGCUUCAGUACUAGUGCAGCCCGAAUCAGGCAAGGAGUUUGUCAUUUAUAGUGAUGCAUCCCUACUUGGGUUGGGUUGCGUAUUGAUGCAAGAAGGUCAGGUUGUGGCCUAUGCGUCGAGACAAUUGAAGCCACAUGAGAAAAAUUAUCCAACCCAUGAUCUCGAAUUAGCUGCCAUCGUAUUCGCUUUGAAACUAUGGCGACAUUACUUAUUUGGUGAGAAGUGCCAUGUAUAUUUGGAUCACAAAAGUCUCAAAUAUUUGAUGACUCAAAGAGACUUGAAUCUGUGACAUAGGCGUUGGCUUGAGUUGUUGAAAGAUUAUGAGCUUGUCAUUGACUAUCACCCGGGAAAGGCUAAUGUGGUUGCGGAUGCCUUAAGUCGUAAAGCACUGUUUGCUUUACGAGCAAUGAAUGUACACUGGUCCGUUCUAUCCGACAAUGUGUUAGUGGCAGAAUUAAAGGCCAAACCAUUGUUGAUUCAUCAAAUUCGUGAAGCUCAGAAAAUCGAUGAUGAACUGGUUGCAAAACGGGCUGAAUGUGUUUCGAAUAUGGAAUCAGAGUUCCAAAUUGAUGAUGACAAUUGUUUGAGGUUCAGAAAUCGUUUGUGUGUUCCAAGAAGUUCAGAACUUAUUUUGAUGAUUCUGAACGAAGCUCAUUGUAGCCGAAUGUCAAUUCACCCGGGGAGUACGAAAAUGUACAACGAUCUGAGACGUCAGUUUUGGUGGCAUGGUAUGAAACGAGACAUUUCCGACUUUGUUUCGAAGUGUUUAAUAUGUCAGCAAGUGAAGGCGGAACAUCAAGUGCCUACGGGUUUACUUUAGCCGAUCAUGAUACCUGAAUGGAAAUGGGAUCGAGUCACGAUGGAUUUUGUAUCUGGGUUGCCAGUGUCGGCAAGUAAGAAAGAUGCGAUUUGGGUUGUUAUUGAUAGACUGACUAAGUCGGCUCAUUUUAUUCCCGUGCGUACGGAUUAUUCACUGGAUAAACUGGCUGAAUUGUAUGUUUCUCAGAUUGUGAGAUUACACGAGGUACCCAUUUCUAUUGUGUCGGAUAGAGAUCCGAGAUUCACCUCGCGAUUUUGGAAGAAAUUGCAAGAAGCUUUAGGUACCAAGUUGCAUUUUAGCACCGCUUUUCACCCCCAAACCGAUGGUCAAUCCGAGCGGAUAAUUUAGAUACUUGAGGAUAUGUUGAGGUGUUGCAUCCUCGAGUUUAGUGGUUCAUGGGAGCGGUAUUUACCUUUAAUUGAAUUCGCUUACAACAACAGUUUUCAAUCAAGUAUUAAGAUGGCACCUUACGAGGCUUUGUACGGUCGUAAAUGCCGUACACCAUUGUUUUGGACCGAGCUCGGCGAAAGUAAAAUUUUCGGAGUUGAUUUGAUUAAAGAUGCUGAACAGAAAGUAAAAGUAAUCCAUGAAAGUCUGAAGGCAGCCACAGAUCGUCAGAAAUCGUAUGCGGAUUUGAAACGAAAAGACAUUGAAUAUCAGGUGGGAGAUAAAGUGUUUCUUAAAGUUUCGCCUUGGAAAAAGAUACUCAGAUUUGGCCGUAAGGGCAAGUUGAGUCCGAGAUUCAUUGGGCCGUACGAAAUCUCCGAACGAGUUGGUCCAGUUGCGUAUAGAUUGAUUUUUCCCCCUGAACUUGAAAAGAUUCACGACGUCUUUCAUGUUUCGAUGCUUCGACGUUAUAGAUCUGAUCCGUCACACGUGAUUAAUCCAUCAGAGGUUGAAAUUCAAUCCGAUAUGAGUUAUGAAGAAGAACCGAUUCGUAUCCUAGCUCGUGAAGUGAAAGAGUUACGAAACAAAAAGGUUCCUUUAGUAAAAGUGUUAUGGCUCAAACACGGGAUAGAAGAAGCUACUUGGGAACCCGAGAACUCCAUGAAAGAACGAUACCCAAACCUAUUUAUUGGUAAGAUUUUCGGGGACGAAAAUUUCUUAAGUGGGGGAGAGUUGUGACAGCCCUAAAGUGACCCUAGUCAGAAAGUGGUUUCGGGACCACGAAACCGAGUCUUAUAAAUAAUUAAAGGUUAUAUUCUGUGUUUAUGAUGUGAGUAAAUGCUUGUGUGAUAGUUCCAUACUUCAAUUUGGUCAGUGUAUGUGAAAAUUAUUAGUAGGGACUUAUGUGAGACAAUUUAGAAAUAUGCUAGGCAAGUGCUAAAGUGGCCUAUUAAUAUAUGUGGGAAAGUGCUUGUCCUUGCAUGUCAAAUUAUCCAAACUAUAGGUAAUGGCCGGCCAUGCUACAAAUUGUAUAAUCAAGUGUGAAUUUUAUAUUAACUUUAAUUAACUAGGUGCCAUAUUAGUAUGGAGGAUGUAAUAAAAUAAAGAAAUGAUAACUAAAGGAAGGGAUGGGUGAAAGAAAAAAAAAAGAGAUCAUCAUUCAUGUUUCUUCCUAGCCGAAUCUAAAGAAAAAAAAAAGGAACAAGAGCAUUCGGUGAUGAAAACAAGUUGUGUUCCUUGGUUCUUCUUGGCCGAAUUGAAAGGAGGAAGAAGGGAGUGAAGCCAUCGGUCAUCUUAGGUCAAUAUUAAGGUAAGGUGUUCAUAUUAGUUCUUGAAAUUUUAGUUGAUCUUGAGUGAGAUAUCAAGUUUUUUUUUUUUUGUAACCCAUGAUGAAAUUUUGAUUUUUGGAUUGAGUAAGGUUUUCGACUAUGGUAGCUAAUAAUGGUGAGUUUUGUUGUUUCAUGUUAAAGUUAGGUGAAUGAUGAUAGAUGAGUGUUUGAACCAUAAAAAGAAUUCGGCUACCUUGUUAUGAACUAGGGCCGAUUGUGAGUUGGUUGUGGUUGAAUAUUACAUGCUUGGUAGAAUGGUGGAUGAAAGUGCCGAAUGUGGUCUUUGGUUUGGCAUGAGGUGAUAAAUAAAGGUUUAAAGGUAGCUUAAGUUAAUUGAUACUCACUAAUGAUUUCGAAUGGAAGCUUUGUUAAGUGUGAAAUGAGUGGCCGAGAGAGAGAACUAUAGACUAUUGCCGAAUGUAUGUUGGGUUGAUAGAGUCUCCAAAUUGAUUUUAUGUGAGUAUGCAUGACCGAAUAUAAUCGACCACAUGAGUAAAGAAAUGGUUAUUUGAUAUGUGGUAAAAGUUAAGUGUUAAACGAAAUGGAAAUGAUAUCAUAUUGGAAUAUGUAUACUCGACCACAUGAAUGAACACAUAGAUUGGUGUUGCAUGUAUUCGGUUAUAAGUAAGCAUAUUGGUGGCUUAAUCUUGGCUUAGACAAUCGGCUAAAAGAGAGUGUGGGUUAAUAUGUUGAGUUGAUUCAUGAUUUCAUAUGUAUGUGACUUUAAUGUCUAAUGUAUAUGUACAUAUGGGUUAAGUACCUUGAGUUUCUCUUUUUGAUGUUCAAAUGAUUAAAUCAAUUUAUUUGUUAAAUUAAGCUCAAGAGCAAAGGGGAACUAAAUCCGAUAAAGGGAAGGAAAAAAUGAUCGAAUAGCCGUCGAAAUCGUUCGACAACAUCCGAGGUAAGUUUUUGAGUAAUGGAACUUAGUUUACGAUUUGAUUAAGUCAUGACGUAUAAUCAUAACGAAUAUACGGUGAUAUAAUGAUUCUACUUGAAUUAUAUGUUGAGUUAAUUAGUCUAAACGUAUGAUGAGUAGUCGUAUGUGCAUAGAAAUCAUGUGAUGAAGCAAACCGAAUCAUGCUGUUCGUAUGUGGCUAUUGAGCCGAAAAUGGGAAUGCUUAAUAAUUGAUUUGUGUUUGAAUUCUAGUUAUGAAAAUGAAAUAAAGAUGUGUCAUGAUUUACUGAUAUAUGCAUGGAUAUUCGGACGCUAACGGGGUUAAGUCCCGAAGACAUUUGUGCUAGUGAUUAAUUCCGGGCUAAGUCCCGAAGGCAUUUGUGCGAGUUACUAAUUCCGGGCUAAGUCCCGAAGGCAUUUGUGCGAGUUACUAUAUCCGGGCUAAGUCCCGAAGGCAUUUGCGCUAGUGACCAUAUCUGGGCUAAGACCUGACGGCCUUGUGCAAGUGGUUAUAUCCGGUUAAAUCCCGAAGAUAAGUGGGUUUGGGAAUGAGCGAUCUUGCUGUAAUAAUUUCAAUUAAUACGCUCGAAAAAUCCCAACGAUGAGGUAUGUUUCGUAUGUGCAUUGAGAUAAUUGAUUCCUUCUAAAUAGAAUUUGCUCAAUCGAUUAACAAGCUUCCGGCUUUUAGUCAAGUUGAUUUCUUACGUAUGAAUAUAAGGGUUGGAAAUGUGAAGUAGGUAUGAUUGUGAGAAUAUGUGUAUAUGAAAUUAUUCGUUUAGUCGUAUGAAUGCUAUACUUCAGUUGUGCACGGUUUCAUUGCUCAAAACUUACUAAGCAUUAAAUGCUUAUUCCGUUUCUUUGAUUCUCGGUUUUAUAGAUUUUGGUUUGUCAGCUAUCGGACUCGGGAUUGUCGAAGUCAAAGUCGUCCACACUAUCAAAGCCCCUUUUGGUACACUUUUGGUUGAACUCUGAAAAUGGCAUGUAUAGGACUGCCCUUGUGUUAUUAGUCAAGUACUUUAGUGUUGUAUAUAUUUGGAUAGCCAUGCGAAAAUGGCUUAUAUAUUUUAAGCAUAGUGUUAUAAUCAUUUUGUAUGUAUAUGGUUAUUGAGAGGUGUGGAUAUGCUUGGCAAUGAUUGGCCAUUGGAAUGGUUAAUCAUGAUCAUAAUUUUUGCUAUAUAUGCUAAAGGGCUAGUUGAAUCAUGGAAACUAUGAAAUAGGUAAAGUCUACCUUAAAGGCAGAUGCUGACAGCAGCAGUGGCGUAAGUUUGAAAAAUCACUAAAAAUAGUGGGAAUGGAAUUAAAUAGUUAAUAAAUUAUGUAAUCGAACCUUGAUGAAUCUACUUUCAUACGGAAGAAACGAAAUGAUCAUAUGAGUUGUAUUUUAAGGGAUAUUUAAGUUUCCGUGGAACAGGGCCAGAGCGAUUUCUGGAUCCUCUGAUCUGACUUUGGAAAUUCAUUAUAAAUUAACCAGAGAUAAUUAGAAGUCAUGCCAUAUAUGUAUAGAUUCAUUUUUGAGUCUAGUUUCAAUAGAAACAAACGGCAUAAGUAUUGAAUCCCUGUACAGGUAGAUAUAUAAGUUGUAAUGCAAGAAGGUCAGAGCAGUCGAACCCUGUAACAGGGGAGACUUUAACUAAUAAACUGUACUAAUUGGCCUGACCAAAAAUUAUAGAAAAAAAUUUGUAGAUGGAUAUAUGAGUCUAGUUUCAGGGAAAAUUUACGAAACUGAUUUUCGAGUUUUGGAACUCAAUAUAUGAUUUUUAAGGUGACAGUGACGCAGUUAGCCAGCUUGUCUGGAAAUUUUUAAAAUGGACUGUGAAUAAGUGAAUUAAGUCUGUUAACCCCUCGUGUUCGACUCCGGCAACGGUCUUGGGUACGGGGUGUUACAAAGACGAUACUGACCUGAUUCAUCUCAUGUUGUUUCUGUUGAGGAGAUCGAGGUUAGUUCGGAUUUGACUUUUGAGGAGUAGCCGAUUUAAAUUCUGGAUCACGACAUUAAAGUGCUGAGGAGGAAGUCUGUACCGUUAGUGAAGGUUCUGUGAUGGAAUCAUGGCACUAAGGAGGCCACGUAGGAAACUGAGGACUCAAUGCAUCAGCAGUAUCCUCAUCUGUUCUGACCAGGUAAAUUUUGAGGUUGAAAUUUCUUUUAGGGGGUAGAGUUGUAACGCCCUAACUUUUUUUUUAUUUCUAGAAAUAUUUGACAUUAAUGUAUAUCUGCUUCAGUGGUUAAGUAUUCUAGGUAUGUGUUAGAGGUCUCAAGUUUAAGCCCUACGUUUAACAAUUUUUGUUAUUUUUUUAGAAUUAAGCCCUACUUUUGUUCAGUGGGCUUAUAUUAAACUGUUUGUAAUUCCAUAUCAGAAUGCUCAUUAUUUUUUAUUAUCCCAAUUUUUAAUUUUUCUCUCUCUUCCUUUCUCCCUUUUGACAUUUCUGCACUCUUUUUUUUUGUCAAAAAUUUUCUCUCCAAAUCGUGGUUUUGGCUGCUCAGUUUCUGUUGUUCGCUUCCAAAGGUAAGGGUUGUCGUUAUGUUGGGGGAAACUUCUCUUUUACUUUUACAUUGGGUUCAAGUCUUGAUUUUGUUUCGGUAACCAUUUUGGUAGGUGCGCUUGAGGAAAAACAAAGUCCACUGGUGCUGUAGUGGAGCUACGAGGUUGCUUUUGUCAAGGGUAAGUCUGGAUCGUUUGAGUACAAUUUUCUGUUGUGGUGUCGAAUUGUAGCCAAAAGGGAAUCUCAGUUGGAUUCGUUAAUUAAAGUAAUUGUGGAUGUUUCUGUGGUUAUUUUUAGGUGCUGUUUGCUUCGAGGUCGUGUUAACGUUAAAAUCGAACUAUGUGUGUACCCGAAAUACAGAAAAAUGAUGGUCAGCAAAAGCUAAAAAACCUUGCUGUCGACAUCACACGAGAGUGUGGUCACCAGUGUGGUAGACCGUGUGGUCAACGGAGGCUAGCCCAUGUACAAGACACGGUCGUGUAAGGGUCAGAGUGUGGCCGUGUGAGCCACACGGGCUAGCCAAAUUGGGCGUGUGGGCCCAUUUAUCUGAAAUUUUCCCUAGAGUUGCACGGGUCGUCCCAAAUGACCGUGGGCCUAUUGUAGGGUCGGUAAGGGCUAAACAAACCCUAAACUGGAUGAUCUGAUUGUUUGAUUUAUUAAUCUGAUUAAGAUAUUGAUGGACGUCUACUUGCACUAUUAUUGUAACACCCCGUACCCGAGACCGUUGCCGGAGUCGGACACGAGGGGUUCACAGACUAAAUUCGCUUACUAUCGCAGUCCAUUUUAAAUUUUUCCAGACAGCUGGUUAACUGUGUCGCUGUCACCUUAAAAAUCAUAUCUUCAGUUUCACAACUCGAAAAUCAGUUUCGUGAUUUUUCCCUGAAACUAAACUCCUAUGUCCAUCUACAUAUUUUUUUCUAGAAUUUUUGGUCGGGCCAAUUAGUACAGUUUAUUAGUUAAAGUCUCCCCUGUUACAGGGUGCGACUACACUGACCUUCAUGCAUUACAAUUUGGAUAUCUCCCUGUACAGGGCUUCAAUACUGAUGUCGUUUGUUUCUGUAGAAACUAGACUCAGAGAGGAAUCUAUACAUAUAUUACAUGACUCCUAAUUAUCUCUGGUUAAUUUAUAAUGAAUUUCCAAAGUCGGAACAGGGAAUCCAGAAACCGUUCUGGCCCUGUCUCACGAAAACCUAAUUAUCUCUUAACAUACCACUCAUAUGACCGUUUCGUUUCUUCCAUAUGAAAUUGGAUUCAUCAAGGUUCAUUUAAAUAAUUUAUUCACUAUUUAAUUCUAUUCCUACUAUUUUUAGUGAUUUUCCAAAUCUACAUCACUGCUGCUGUCAGCAUCUGCCUUUAAGGUAGACUUUACCUAUUUCAUAGUUUCCAUGAUUCAACUAGCCCUUUUAGCAUAAAUAGCACAAAUUAUGAUAGUGAUUAACCAUUCCCAUGGCCAAUCCUUGUUAAGCAUAUCCACACCUCUCAAUAACCAUAUCCAUACCAAAUGAUUAUAACAUUAUGCUCAAACAUAUAUAAGCCAUUUUCGCAUGGCUAUCCAAAAUUAUACAAAUCCAAAGGGUCCAUGACCCACUACAAAAAGGGUAGUCCUAUACAUGCCAUUUUCAGAGUUCAACCAAAAGUGUACCAAAAGGGCUUUGAUAGUGUGGGCGACUUCGACUUCAAUAAUCCCGAGUCCCAUAGCUGACGAACCAAAAUCUAUAAAACAGAGAUUCAAAGAAUGGAGUAAGCAUUUAAUGCUUAGUAAGUUUUAAGCAAGACAAAGUGUUCUCAAUCACUAUUAUUGGUCAUUCAUUUCAACUGUUCGAUGAAGUUAAUUUAGAGCUUCAUCUCGAUCUAUAAUAUCAUUAAACGCAACACUUGGCUGCCACAUAUAUACUUUCGAAUAAUAAUGACCUAGAUGGUCAAAUAUUUCCAAAGCACAUUCUUCAUCGAUUUUCAACUUUCAAUAAUCCUUUCCACUUGUUCAUAAUCACAUCCAUACUUUUAAGUAUUUCAACAUGACAAGUACUAAAUUACCAUAGGCACAUAAAGAACCAACAUAUUCCUUAUCACAUAUAUGUAAGCUUACAAAUCAUAAUCCUUACCUUGUACUGGCACAUCUAGCUCAACCCAACCCAUACUCAGAUCAUAAGGCUUUUGGGCAGAAUAUGCACUAAUACAUUAGAAUAUUUCAUCGCAUACUUUAUUAUACAAACAUACCAUUACCAAUUAGAUCAUUCUCACAUUUGGAGUUAUAAUAUUAAUCACAUUUACCUACCUCUUUGAUACUAAUAAUUCACCUCGAAAUCACUCCACCGAUGAGUAAGUAAUACGUACCUGAACAUCUUGAAUACAUAAUACUUAUUUGAUGGUAACUUAAUGCAGAUACUCAAUAUCAAAGUCUUACUUGAAUCCUAGCAUUUAGCCGUCGGGUCUUUAAAGCUCGGAUAUAGUACGAGCACGAAGCCUACGGACAUUAAUCAGGAUAAUAUUCUCGCAUAAAGCCUGCGGGGUUUUAACCCGGAUAUAGUACUGACACAAUUGCCCUUCGGGACUUAUCACAUUUAUACACUUCCACAUCCGUCACAUUGGCCAUUCGGCCUUAUCACAUAUAUACACUUUCACAUUCAUCACAUUGGCCAUUCGGCCUUAUCUCAUAUAUGCAUGUUCACAUUCAUCACAUUGGCCAUUCGGCCUUAUCACACAUACACAUGUUCACAUUCAUCACAUUGGCCAUUCAGCCUUAUCACACAUACACAUGUUCACAUUCAUCACAUUGGCCAUUCGGCCUUAUCACACAUACACAUGUUCACCUUCAUCACAUUGGCCAUUCGGCCUUAUCACGCAUAUAUAUACUUUCACAUUCAUCACAUUGGCCACUCGGCCCUAUCACAUAUAUACUUGUACAUCAAUUUCAUCAUAACAAAAUUGACUAGGUAUACUAGUCAUUUGUGGCUUAUAGCUUCACUUUAAUACGAAUUUGGUACUUUGAUUACCAAUGUUUAAUCGAUAGCUUAUAAGCAACUCAAAUGGUUUUAUUAAGGUUUACAACAAAAUCCCAAAUUCAGCACAAGCUGUUUUUUUUCUGAGCAACAGUCAUUAAAUUAUUCGUAAAUGGAGCUACGAAACUCCAAAUGGAGUACCGUUAAUUUUCCCUGGAAAUAGACUCAUACAUAUCUUAUCCAGAAAAUUUUCAGAAUUUUUGGUUUGGCCAAUCAAUACCAGAUUUUUCUUAAAGCUUCCCCUGUUUCACUGUUUGACUAAUCUAACCACUCUUCACUACGAAUCAAAUUUCUCAUUGUACGGAAUUAAAAAUGUGUUCUAUUUGAUUUCAUUUGAAACUAGACUCAUUAAGGAGUCUAGGCAUAUAAAUUUUAUCUUAUAACCAUUUUUGUACAAAUUAUAAAGAUUUUUCUAAAAACAGAACAGGGGAUUUCGGAGUCAUUCUGACACUGUCCCACACAACUUUAAAUAUCUCUUUAUAGGAAAUUUCUUUACUUCCACGGUCUCUUUUAUAAGAAACUAGACUAAAUAAGCUUUGAUUACAUAUUUUAUUCAGCCUAUAAUUCCACACCAACAAUUUAUAGUGAUUUUCUAAAAUCACGUUGCUGCUGCUGUCUAAAGCAAAUUAUUACAAUUUGCUCUUAAAUUUCCAAGUCCAAACACUUAUGAACUUACCAUUUGAGUUUAAGACAUAUCAUGGCCACAUCAUAUCUUAUUAAAUCAACUCAUUAUGUCCUAUUAUGACUGAAUUUACUCAACGUUUAAUCACUUAAAACUUACCUCGGAUGUGGUCGAACGAUUUCGGCGGCUAUUCGAUCACUUUUUUCCUUCCCUUUAUCGGAUUUAGUUCCCCUUUGCUCUUGAGCUUAAUUUAACAAAUAAAUUGAUUUAAUCAUUUGAACAUCGAAAAGAGAAAAUCAAGGUACUUAACCCAUAUAUAUAUACAUUAGACAUUAAAGUCACAUACAUAUGAAAUCAUGAAUCAACUCAACAUAUUAACCCACACUCUCUUUUAGCCGAUUGUCUAAGCCAAGAUUAAGCCACCAAUAUGCUUACUUAUGGCCGAACAUACACAUCAACUUAUGUACUCAUUCAUGUGGCCGAACAUACAUGUCUAUGUUGAGGCCGAUUGCAACACUUAAUACAUUCUACAAGUAUGGUCACUUGUAUUGACUAAACACCAUUUUGUUUCAAGUUCAAAACUUGGCCAAUACACAUAUAUACACUAGUAAAGCAUCCUCUCCCUUUCCAUCAAUUCAACACAUGCAUUACUCAUUAAUAUACAAAAUUAUAUUCGGCCUUAGCACACAACUUGCUAGCCGGUUCUUCUCCAUCUAGCAACUAAUGCACAUAUGUGCUCAUUUGUUAGACUCUACUUCAUCUAACAACAACCAUAUUUUCCCUUCUACUUCCUACCAUGGCCGGAUGCUCAAGAUACCUCAAUAUCGAAACUUUUAGCUUGGAUUGCUUAAAGAACUUGGUGAUGAGUUCAAAUUUACCUAACACCUCAAGCCUCAUAACACAUCUAUAUAGCUAACAUGCUAAUAGUCUCAAGGCUUCAACUAAAACUUUUGAAGCCUCUUAGUCGAAUACUAACUCUCUAAUAAUCCCAAAUCCAUCCAUGAGAUAGUUAGAAUUUAGACUAAUCAUCCAAGGGAUGUAUGAACUUUCAAAGCAACACUAAACAUACCUUAAUCUAGUGAGCCUUCAUAGCCGAUUUUUCUCCAAGCUCAUUCCCUUCCUUUCUUUCUUCUAUUCGGCCAAAGAUGUUCAAGGAUGAACACUUUUUUUUCUUUGUUUCCUUUCUUCCAUUCACGGCAAAGGGGGGGGGCAUGGAUAAGACCAUUUUUUUUUCAUCACUCCACCUUUUUGCAUUACUUUAAUCCUAACCCCUUUUUUUUUAUUCUUUCUAACAUAACUCACUAACACAACAUGUUUACAACAUGUUUCCACCCAUAGCAUGGCCGGCCACUAUGCUUUAAUUUUGGGUAAUUUGACAUGCAAACCCAUCAUUUCACAACAUGCAUUAUUAGGCCACUUUACAUUUUCCUAGCACAUUUCCAAAUUUUCUCACAUACGUCCUAUUUGAUAAAAUUCACUUACUAUUAACAAAAUUCAAACAUGAAAAUUUCACACAUGCAUAUGUACAUAUAAUGAGCAUCAACUAUGACGGUUAAUUAUCUUUAUGACUCGGUUUAGUGGUCCCGAAACCACUUUCCGACUAGGGUCACUUUAGGGGUGUCACAAUUAUCUACAUAUCUGUUAUCUAUGUACGCUUAUAUGUAAGCAUGUGAGCGUGUUAGACUGUUUAUCUGUAUUUGUAUAUUUCUGUAUCUGAUAUUGAGGAUGGAUGAUGUAUAUUAGAGGAAGUGUUCUGAAAGGCAAUUUACGCCUAUUAUCUGGUAGCAUGGCUGCAUUAUAUAUGUUAUGUGCCACAUCGGUACGGAUGGUGUGUAAGGAUGGUCGGAGAUGGUGUAUAGAGGACGGAGGUAGGAUUCUGAUUUCUGAUUUUUGAUUUCUGAUUCUAAUUCUGAUUUGCACAUCUAUGUCUGUAUCUGAGCUGGGCUUAUGCUCGUAUCUGUAUCUGUCUGAUUUUGAAUUUAUGUAUGUGUGCAUGCUUAAUUUUGUGGGGUUAUACACUGAGUUUACGUAAACUCACUCCUUUUAGUUUGAUUUGUACAGGUAAUCCACAGUCUUAGGCGGAUCGGUGUAACGGAGGACUCAACGGUGACCACAUGUCAUGGACUGAUUUUGGUUAUGGUUUUUACUUUAAAUUCUCGAUUCUUUUCUGAGUAUUUUUGUAAAAUAUGGACUUUUCGGAUUGUUGUUACUACUUGGGAUAUGACUGUACUUUAUGAUUUUAAUAUUGCAAAACUCGACAAAACCUCGAAUUUUACCAAAAGCAACUGAUUGAAUAAGAAUGUCAAAACUGAUAAAGGUGAUAAGGGUUAAUGAAUUAAUGUGGUUUUAACUUAACAACAACGAUUUUUAACCCCAUUUCAUGUGACACUUCUAGAUUCAACCAUAACGUCUAGGCUGAGUUUGAGGUGUUACAUAACCUAUGGUAUUCUAUUUAGUGUUUGUUAGUGAUGGCAUGUACAUAAAGACUUAAACCUUUCAAAGAGUUAUAUUUAGGAUGUUUUACAAUUUUAAGUGAAAAAUGUAUUCAAUUUGAUUAUUUGUAAGUUAUAACUUAGCUUUAAUUUACUUUGAGCUUUGUUAUGCAUUAAAUGUUAGUUUUAAAUCUCAUUUGAAUGUGCUUGUAAUGUUUUGGAACUUGUUGGAAUGAUUGGGUAGUGUUUGGAGGGGGUGAAAUAUAGUGUUUAGGUCUAGGGGUCCUUAGUAGAGAUACUUGCCUUGUGGUGUUGCAAUAAGUCAAAUUGUGAGCAAAAUGCUACAAUACUAGGUAGUUGUUUGAUUACUUCUCUAGAGUUACCUAUACCUUUGCUCUAGUUUGCCCACUACACUAUUUUGGGAUCAUUUUUCAGUCUCGAACACCUCGAAACCAUUGCUAAAUAAUUUUAAGAUGUUUCUAAAGCCUUCAAAAUGAUUUAUACUAAAUUUUAUGGUUUUAUUUAAUUAUUUUAGAGUGUGAUUUCUUAAACGGUUUCAAGACUUACGUUAUGCUAUGUGCUCUAGACUUGUGCCCACUUGUAUUUGAGGACUUUAAAUGAUUUCAAACUAUUUCCGAACCCUUUAAAUGUGGUCAACUUGUUUUAAACACAAGAAUGUGUCAUAAAAAGACUUAUUAUUAUUAUUAUUAUUAUUAUAUAAAAACAUGAUUUUGAAUAGGCUUUAAAAUGUCAUUGUAGCAUCUCCUAUCCGUACCAAUCGUCGAUACAGCUAAGGUAUUACAUAAAUUUCCUUAUAAUUACUAGAGGGUAUAAUAUUACCCUAGUAAUUACAUUUUCUUCCAAUUCCUUAGUUUAUUGGUUAAGAUGGAGGCCCUAAGUUCUUGAGCACCUAAAUUCAAAUUCCACUAUAUGCAAUUGUGAUAUGUGGGUCUACAAUCCUAUAAUGUGCAUGCCAUGUAUGGAUUUUAUCCAGUUCUUUUUCAUUCUUCGUUCGUUGAGUUUUAUAUUGAUUUAAUUCUUCAUUAUAGUUGGUCGAAUAUAUAUAUAUAUUUGCUCUUGUUAAUGUACUCUAUCUGUAAUAGUAAAACUUAAAAAAAAAUCAAACUAACAAAAUAGGAUAAACUUGGACAACUCCCUUAAAAAUAAACCCGCAUGACAAAACUUGAAUAUAAAACCUCAAGUAUAGAGAAGGUAUAUUAAAAAUAAACCUGCAUAACAAAACUUGAGUAUAAAACCUCAAGUAUAGAGAAGGUAUAUGACAAGUUCGUUCUUUUAGAUUCUUAUAGAAAAUGUAUAUUUAAAAAAUAAAAGUUGAUUUAAAAUUAAUAAAUAUGACAAUUUUGUUAAUCUUGAGUCACGAUUUUCAGUAUUAGAUUGACCACUAAUUUUAAGUUCAAUUGUUCUAAUUACAGGUCAAAUCGAUCACGGUUAAAAAAGAAGAAAAAUUUGUUUCUUUUAAAAACUUCAAAUUAUCGCAAUUUUCUUCUUGAGGAUAUUUUAUUGGCUUGAAUGUUUGGCGAAUUUUGAAGUGAAGAAAAUGAAUUAGGAUAGUAAGAGAAACCAUUUUCUUUUACAAAAUUCCUUUUUCUUCCUUCACCCAUAUUUCCUCCAACAAAUGUUUCCCUAAUUUGAAAGUCCUUAAGCACCAUGUUUCCUCCAAUGAUGGCGGUGGCGGCAAAGGUUGAGGCUGAAGAAAACAAAAGCAAGGCAGCUGACAUCAACAAUAAAGACGAAAGAAAGAGCAAACCUGUUUUACUUUUUUAUUUUUAUUUGUUCUAUUUUGCUGGGUUGGGUUUACUAAAUUUAAAGGGAUUUAGGGUGGUGGUUGUUGUUUUUGGGCCAGGAAAUUUGGCCCCCAUUUUUUAACGGUUCAUUUUUUUUAGGCUUGAAUUAAAAUUUCUUAAUAAAAAUAUAUAAAUAUUAAUAUAAAAAAGAUUUUGGUAAAAAUAUAUUAAUCCCUCUCAAUUUUGAUAUUAUGCAAAUUGGUCUUUCUAAAACAAAACAAUAAUUUCUAUCAAUUUUAAAAGUGACAACUAAAAACAAUUAAUCACAAUAUUAAUAUUUUUUGGUCAACUGUACACAUUUUUUAUUGGUAUAAUAAAAAAUUUUAGCACUCAAUUUUUAUAAAUUUUGUGCGAAUGUUGAUAUAAUGUGUAAAUUUUCCAUGAUAGAUUUGUUAAAUUAGGACCAAAUUAAUAGAAUGUAUAAAUAUUGCGGGCUAAAUUUGUUAAAUAAAGAUUAAAUUGAUAAAAUAUGUAAAUUUUGAAGACUACAUUUAUUAUUAUACCAAUAAAAAAUAUAUAAAAUUAAUAAAAACAAUAAUUUUGUCACUAAUUCUCCUUAGUUGUGUACUUUUAAAAUUGACAAGAUUAUUAUAAGAGAAACUAAUUUUCCCAAUUUGGAGGGACCAAAGACGUGUUUUUACCAAUGAUUUUUAUUUAAAUUCGAGUGAUAUUUAAACGAAACAUGCUGCAGUCCGACCUGACCCGAUCCGGGUCUAUUUCUAAUUGCGACAGUCGGUAGUAAUUCAAGUAAUCGACCAACAAUCUUCAGGCAGGCGGGAGAUUAAAUUAAUUUUUCUUUCAAAAAAAAAAAUGGCGGAGCCGAUGGAGAUUUCUUCUUCAUCCGAAUCUCUCAAUCUUCAAUCAAUUCGCAGGUAUUUUCUCUCUUUUUAACACACUGAAGUAAAAUUGUUAUACAUAAUUUUCUAAAAUUUAACUUUUGUUUUUAGCCGAAUGAAUGACCUCUCAGAGAUUCAUAAUAGAAAUAAAAAUGAUGUUGGGACUGAAGCUCUCUCCUCGGAUUCGGAGAAGCUGCUCAAAGACUGCAGUUUUCAUUUUCAGGUGAUUCUCCAAAUUUUUUUUUGUACAUUCUUACAAUUUAGGGUUUUUUUGAAAAAAAACUUGGAGAGUGGAUUUAUGCAGAGUAAAGUGAAGCAAAUUAUUGAAGAGUAUUCUGACGUGGGUUUCUUAGGCAUUGAAGAUUUAGGUAUGUUUCCUUUCAGCUAUUAAAAUUUUUUUUGGUUAAUUUUCUUAAAAGUAUAUUGCCUAUAUGCAUGUACAAUUGAACUUGAACAGAAUACCCAUUUGUUUUUCCCCCUUGGGUUAUUGUACCCUUUUGUUUUCAAGACCUUUAAUGGAGUAUUAUUACGUUUGGGAGAGGUUAUCCUAUUAAGUGGCAACUUCUUUAACUCGUUUUAGUAGUCAGGUUGUAUGGAUUUUAGUGAUGAAGUUGUAUUUUUUUCUUUCUUGUGGAAAAUCUUUGGGUUUAGUGGAAUAUGAAUUUAAAACGGUUUUUAGAUACUGAUAAGGUUUCUGAUAUGGAAUAGAGUGGAUGGUUUAGGAUCCAUUUAAAGUUUUUGAUGCUCUUUUGGAUAAUAUGUCCGAUAUGUAAUUAUUGGAACAGUGUGUCUGUGCAAUGCAAGUAUUUUACAAAUUAAAAGAAUUGAGGCGAAAUGCAACAUCAUUUGAAAAGGAGUGCUAAAAGAUGAAUACCUAGCUCAUCAUAGGAAAAUAUCUCUUGGUAGCAAUGCAAGGUUGUGUUGAUACUGGAUUGAUUCUUUUUUCUUAAUUAUUCAUAAGAUAAAUACCUAGCAUACUUGAAAGAGGAGCUUAAUCAAGUGGAGGCUGAAAGUGCUAAGAUUUCUAAUGAAAUUGAGGAUCUUUCAAGAAAUCAUAUUGAAGGUGAGACUUCAUCAACUUAGGUUUGAAUUUCAUUUGCAAUUACUCUUAACCGCUCUUAUGCUGAUUUAUCUUGAAGUACUUUUUUACAGAAUCAAAUAUGCUGGAAGACAAUCUUGAAGGCUUGAAAUGUGCAUUGGAUUCUAUUGCAUCUCAAGUUGGUUCUUCUAUGUUAUUUCAUUUUGAAAUAAAUUUGGAAGUCAAACUUCAACAGUUAGCUUUUUCACUUUUUUGUUGUAGGAGAGAGAAGAAGAGGAUCCAGGCUUCGGCUCUUCUAUGAAUGGUGAAAAUCAGUUAAAUGUGCUAGAUGCAAAUGAAGGGCAAAAGUUUGAGGUUCUUUUGUUUGUUUUCCCUUUCUUCUUGAAUACUACAUUAGAUUUAAACUGAUAGCUGAACUUUAAGAAUUGUAGCAUUGGUUUCUCGCUUUGUAAGCAUCUUUACAAGAAUCUCUUUUCUUUGGUGACUUCCUAAGUUCUAACUUCCUUAUAGAUACCUAAGAUGUUUGGUAUACUCAAUUAGGAUAUUAAUCAUUCUUCGAGUUGUUAAUGGUACCAUGCAUUUUACUUCAUUGAGCAUUCAAUUUCCUUCUACAUAUGUGUUUCAGAUUUUGGAACUAGAGAGUCAGAUUGAGAAGAACAACUUAAUUUUGAAGUCUUUGCAGGAUCUUGAUUCUACAUUCAAAAGGUAGUUUGAUUUUUUUCCCCUUUAAUUAUACGUAUUCUAUACCAUUUACCUUUUACCAACUUUGUCCUUUUCUUUUAUUUUUAGAUUAGAUGCCUUAGAACAGAUUGAAGAUGCAUUGACAGGCUUGAAAGUCAUUGGUUUUGAUGGAAACUGCAUUAGGCUGUCAUUACAGACAUAUAUUCCAAAAGUAGAGGGUGUUUUGUGCCAAAACAUGAUUGAGGAUAUUUCUGAGCCAUCUGAAAUGAAUCAUGAAUUGCUGGUAGAAAUUGUGGAUGGAAUCAUGGAGGUCAAGAACGUUGAAGUAUGACUAACUAUUUUCUUAAAAGUUACUAUAAUAUAUUUCCUCUUUGGAUGAGAAAUUUCAUUCAUUAUUUUCACUCCAUGUUCUCUUUUUGGCUCAAGUUAAACAGGCAUUAGAAAAGCUGUAUUUUCUUCUGAAAGAAGAAUCAUAUUGGUUCUUCAUGUCUUUUUGUUUAAUUGUAUUGAAAUGCUCAUUCAUGUAUCUUUGAUGUUCAGAUGUUCCCAAAUGAUGUUUACAUAGGCGAUAUAGUUGACGCUGCAAAGUCUUUCAGGUUUGGUUUUGCAAUUUCUCUGACUUAAAGGCUGAAUUCUAAUUUUCCUGUUUAUUUUUGCUUGCAUGUGUGCUCGUGUAGUGGUAGAAGGCCAUUAAAGGGAAUGUAAUUUGUCAGUUUUGUACAGACUAAUAUAUUGAACCCAUGUGUGAUUUUUUGAAAUGCAAGUCUUCUGAAGGACAAGCUACUUGUUUCUUUCAGUUUUCAAUGUCUUAGUUUCGAUACCUAAGAUUAACUGCAUCUCUUUUCUCAUCCUUUCUGCCAUCUGCUCUAAAUAGAGUAUAAAACCUUACAACCCUCUUUUAUACAUCUGUUUAUCCAUCAUUUUGAGGCUAUUAUCAAAUUAUGGUCCUAUCAUAUUAAUUCAUCCUUUAGCAACCAAAAAUCUUCAUUCAGACUUUCAGUUUUUUUUUAUCUAGAGCAGUCAUUUGAACCUUUAACUUCCCAUCUUUACCUCCAUAUUAGGUCCUGUUUUACAAGGCAAUCACCCUUACGCAUAAGCUUUAUUAAUCCUUGUUGUUUUUGUGCUAAAAGUACUGUUCACACUUCACGGCAUUUAGUUCCUUCUCCCUUUUACUGAGCUGUUUGUGUUAUUGCUUUAUAUACAUCUAUUAUUUAUAUAAAUGUACAUUUCCUUUGGCCUUAAUAAACCUGUCAUGUAGAGAUUGCUAGUAGCUUAAUUUAACCUGACAGGAAACAUUAUUUCUAUUGAGUUUGAAGACAAUAGACCUAGAUUUGAAUUCCUUAUUUAAAGGGUGUGAUCUAUUGAAAUGUUGUAGGCAACUAUUCGCUAACUUAGUGGCACCAGAGACACGGUCUUCAUUGGAGUGGCUUGUGGGGAAAGUGCAAGAUAGGAUUAUCUUAAGUACUUUGAGACGAUUUGCUGUGAAGAGUACAAAUAAAUCCAGGUGAAACUCAAGAAAAAGUUUAAACAGUGUUAAUAUAAUAUUUUCAGAAGUUUCAAAGUAGCUUAUCAGUUGUGUUUGAAAAGUAGGCAAAAAGAGAAGCUUUUAUAUUUGAAUAGUACCUAAUGCAGGCAUUGCUUUGAGUACUUAGAGAGAGAUGAGACCAUUAUAGCUCAUUUGGCUGGGGGAAUUGAUGCAUUUAUAAAGGUGUCUCAAGGUUGGCCACUGUCAAAAUCUCCACUAAAAUUGUUAUCUGUCAAGAGCUCAGAUCAUCAUUCAAGGGGAAUUUCAUUGAGCUUGCUUUGCAAGGUUGAGGUAAGUGGCAUUUAUUUAGUUUAUAAGUGCAGUUUGAAGGUUCUAUUAAUGUUAAACUUCUCCAAAGUGGAAACAUUCCUUACUCAAAACCAGAAUCUAAUUUAAAUACAUAUUUCAUUAAAAUUUUAUUGUUUUUCUAUCUUUUUGGAGGCUACAACACAGAAUGGUGGCGUCCAAUUAGUUUUUUGGCUUAAUUGAGCUGAGUUGUUUCUUUAACGUUUUACUUGUUAUCUUUUUGUUUCUAGUUUCAUGGCACGGAAAAACAUUUAACAACGAUCCCAUUUGUCAUAGGAUGAGAAAAGACUUUGUCAGCUUUUCUGUUUCUGUUUUUGCUAUAGUGAAUUUGAUGAAUACCAUACUUAAUUGUUUUCAGUUUAUUCUUUUUCCUUAAUUUCAAUUAUUAGGAAAUGGCUAAUUCCUUGGACAUGAACAUUCGGCUAAAUUUAUCAACUUUUGUGGAUACUGUUGAGAAGUUGCUUUUAGAACAGAUGCGCUUAGAACUUCGAUCUGAUGAUGCCUCUACUAAUUGACCAUGAUGCAGCCUGUCACUUGGUAAGUUUGAAUGUCAAUGUCGUAUAUAAUCUUUAAGAUUUGCCAACUCCAUUCCAAAUUCUCAGGAAAUCUUCAGUCAAGAUCUUGCCAGGAUCAAAUCCCUCUACGACAUACAAAUUGGCAACAUCCUGUAAAAAUGGCUAGCUAUUGUUCUCUAGCUUUUGUAAUCUACUGAAAUUUUAAUGACAUAAAUCAGUCUUGUAGAACACCAAGAAUUUGCUUAUGGUAAUUGAUUUGCUUAUUAAAAUGCACAUGAAACGUUUUUUAUGCCUACUAUAUUGUUUUCUAAUAUAUCAUAGUUUUGGUCUUUUGAAAAUUAUCAAUUAAGGUGUAUUAUGAACUGAUAAAGGGCAUUUUUAUAAGCCAAAUAUGUUUUACUUUUCGGCCAAGAACAUUAUGAUACAUAAUGUCUCUAAAGGAUCCAAUCAUAUUCAUAUUCAAAUGGUUAAAUUUUGCUAUUAGUCCUUAUAUAUUACGAAAGUUGUAGAUUUAGUCUCUAUAUUUUAAUUUGAUCAUUUUUAAAAUUUUAGUCUUUACCAAACGAUUACUGAUAAAUUCAUUAGGUUUUGUUAUUUCUAAAAAUUUGAUGCAACAAACAUGUUAUCAUAUGUAAUAUUAUGUUAUCUUGUUACUUUCACAUAUUACUCGUUACAGAUUUUGUUAAUGAGUGUUAUUUGUAUCGAGAUUGAAAUUUUAAAAUUCAAAGAGUAUUAGGACUUAGAAUGAUUCAGAUAGAGAAUAUGGAUUAAAUCUAUAACUAUACAUAUAAUAUAGGACUAGUAAUCGAAUUUAACCAAAUGAAUUUAACUCUUACUAUUUGAGUUAGUUUAAAAUUUCAAAAUUGAUGAAUUAAAAAAGCAUAUGGAUUAAAAUAAGAAUAUAAGGAGUAAAUUUAUAACUUUUGUAAAGACAAAGCAUAUUCAAAUAUAUGUAGUAAUUUGAAGAAGAUAAUGAACGCAUAUCUGGGAGAAAUCAAGCCAUUUGGCCCAAAUAGUGAUGAUGGUUCAAGACUCCGAAUGAAGGUUUCAACAGAGAUAAUUUACAGCUCUCGUCAAAAUAAGACACUACUAAUAGAUAAAGAAAUCGAUAUAAAUAUUUAUUUAUAUUAACUAUAUCCGAUUCAUUCGCAUUCCAACCUAACAUAAACACUGAUUCAACAAUGCAGAAAAAUAAAAGCUAGUCUUAUACUUUUAAUAAACUACCUUUCCUCUCUUGGUUAAGUAUGUUUAUCAUUAUUGUUUCUUAAGAUACUUGUCCUGACAUCAAUAUUUGAAAAUAAUAAUAAUAAUUCAUCAAAAAAAAAUUGACAAUAAUAUUGGUAUAAAAGUAUGAUAUUUUUUAAAUACAUAGAUUUAAAAAAAAAUUACGUUUUCGUAUCAAAGUAAAAGCAUUAUAGGAGCUUUUAUACUAUAAGUUAGAUUGUAUUUUGCUCCUACUAAAAAAAUGGACAAAUUGAUCUAUGUACAUUAGAUCAAAGAGCAAAUUAUUAUUUAUUUCUUCUAGAAGGAAAUCAUAGAAACUUUGACUGGUUAGAGUCAAUUUAUUUUAUGCUUUUAUGUGAUAGUAUAAUGAGAUUUAAAUUGAUUGACAAUUAUGUUCAUACAUAUGUAUGAUAAGUAUGUCAUAUAGCUUAGGAAAAGUAUGCCACAUGUACUUGUCAUGACAUUUUAAUUAUUCAUGAUUGAAACUAGAAAUAAAAACCUUGCAUGUUUUCAAAAAGAUUGAGCGGGCGAAAAUCCCUAAACAAGACCUACGACCUCCAUCAGUGGUCUCUUAUGAUUGCAUGACAAAUUGCCGGCCUUGAGGUAGGUAUUAUCAUGUGGAUUUUAGUGAGGAGAUUUCCUUAAAAGAGAACUAAUUUGUGAUGACAUAUGAUACUUUGUAGACUCUAAGGUAGGUAUUAUUAUAUGAAUCCGCUAAGGAAGUUUUCCUUUUAAAGACGAAAACUGGUUAUACAUGUUACUAAUUGAGAUUUUCCCACAAUGACUCAUUCGUAGUACAUGUUAUGAUUGAUAUUGAGUUGAUGGUUAUAUACUCAAGAUCAUUCUAGUUUAGUAACUUCCUACAAAGUUCUACCGAAGUUAGAAUGAUGACCAAACGUGAAACGAUUAUUAGUACAUGUGAAUGUGUAAGGAAUUAGGUUCACGUAUAAAUUGGAUGGAAACCUAUGUUCUUACUAGUUGAUUAAGAUUGCCCUAAGGUGACUUAAUUCAAUUGUUGUAAGAAUUAUCGUUAUAAUGUCUUACAAGUGUUGUUCAUGGUUUAAUGUAAGACACAUGCAUCAUGUUAAUGCAUAUUGUAUAUUGCAAAAGAUUUUCAAAUUUUUUUUUGAUACAAAGAUAUUAAUGAAUGGAUGGUUUUAUUUUCAGUUCAAAAAUGGUAUCAAAAUCCCUUACUAAAUAUCCUUAUUGAGAUCAAUUGAAUGAAAAUAAUUAUAAAGAAUGGAAAAGGAACCUUAUGAUUAUCCCAAGCUAUGAGAAACUUAAGGUGGUUCUUGAUAAUAAAUGCUUACUAGCCAAUCAAGCUAAGAUUAGAGCUCAUUUGAAAGAAUUUGAUGAGGUAGCUCGUCAUUACAUGCUGGUAAGCGUGACCAACACAUUGUUUAAGCUACCAGAGAUUUAUGAUUCUGCUAAAGUAAUAUUGGACAAACUAGAGGACAUGUUCGGAGGCCAAGUUUCUUUGGCUCAACAGUCAGCUAUAAUUAGUUUGAUGAAUGCCCAACAAAAACAUGUUACUUCGAUCAAAAAACCAAAUGAUUACUCUUAUAAGCUACUUUGCCGAGGCCAAGGAUAAAGAGACCAAUUUGGACUAGAAUACAUAUAUUGAAAUUGUGUUCAAAAGCUUGUUUAAGGAUCUUACUUGUUACCUCUAUCUUUGAAAGCAAUCAAAUAAUCAUUUUUUAAAUAAAGUAAUGUCAUAUACAAUAAUAAAAACAGAGAAAAUAAAUAUACUUUUUAAUGCAAUGUAAAAGGUAAUAGAAAAAUCCUCAGUAUUGAUUAUGAAAUUUAAUGUAAAAAAUGUAUCAGCUUGUUUUUCAGUGGUGCCAAAAAUAAUGCUUUUGGAACCCCAAUUCUAACGAGUGAGUUCGUAAAUAUUAUUUAUUAUUUAAUAUUUACGAGUCAAAUAUGAUGUUAUAGUUAAUCUUGAUUCGAUAAAGUUUACUAAUAGAGGAAUUAAAUUGCAAUACAAGUGGUUUGUACUGAAAGUUAGUGAUUUUGGAAAAUAAGGCAUCAAGAUCUCAUUUCUGUAAACCUAGCUCGUAAAUUUUUUUAUUAAAUAUUUACGGAGCUAUUGUAAGGUGAAUUGAGAUUUAGUCAGGAAAUUUUGAUGUUUAGAUAAGUAAUUAAAGGAAAAUGAUUAAAUCGUAACAACCACCAAAGUUAAUCAUUAUUGAUUACUAUUAGUUAAAUGGUUUAGAUGGUAAAAGUGGGAGGACAUAUAUUUAGACCAACAAUGUUAAAGUUUAUAAUUUAAUUAAAUUAUACAAUAAUAAAGCGUAAAACAAAAGAAGAAAAAGUUGUCUUCUUCAUUUCUUAUUUUUCUUCUAAAACCCAAUUUCACCAUUAAAUAAAGACCAAAGAUUCGAUCAACUUUUCUCCUUUUUCACGUAAGUCAAAAUUAAACACGUUUAUUGUAAUUUUUAUGUUUCUGAUAUCGCUGUACCUUAAUUUAGUUAAACUGUAUCUCCGUUUUCAAAACUAUUAAAGUUUUAAAAAAAUUUUAUUGAUGUUUCUGAAGCUUUUUGAAUGAUUAAGGGUAGUUUUGUAAGCUUGAAGAUGUUUAAGGACUAUUUCAUAAAGUGAUUUUGUUAAUUUUUGCAUUUAGAGACUAAAUUGUGAAUAUGUCAAAAGUGGCAUUAAAUUUCUAUAAAUUUGGAUUUUUGAGGGCUAUAGAAGGACAUAAUUAAAAUCAAAAUGAAAAACAAAGUUCAAUUGUGGAAGUUAUAUUUGUUUCGGUUUUAGGGACUAAAUUGAAUAAAAUGUAAAAGCUUAAGAAAAUUGUGUAAAAUAAAAUUAAAAGGUCAUAUGCAUGAAUUUGAGUAUAAUAAUGUAUUUGGAAUUGAUAUUUUGAAUUUAAUUAACAUAUAGAUCAAAGAUCGUAUCAAUUUGUUAAUAAUCGGGGAAAAAGGAAAACUGCAGAAUAGUCCUUACAUUUCAGUUCGUUAGCUAAUUAUUUUAGGUAAGUUCAUACAAAUUUUAGUCAUUAUAAAUGUUGAUUAACUGUGUUAUAAAUACUUGUAUAUACUUAAUGAUUCUUGAAUGAAAUAACAUUGAUAUAAAAGUAGGUUUUGAACUUAAAUGAAAGGUAUUUAGAUAUGUAUGAGAUGAUUAAAUUCUGUGUAGAGUAUUGCACGAUAUUGAGAUGAAUUUGAUGCAUGCUUUAUUUAUUGGAAGUUUUUUGAUGACAUGAAUGUCCUAAAUCUCGAAUAAGUUCUCUUGAUAGUACAUUCGUACCCCUAAUAGCAUUACGGUGCUUCUGAUAGCACUACGGUGCUUUUGAUAGCACAUUUGCGCUCUUAUUAUCACUACAGUGCUUCUGAUAGCAUAUUCAUGCUCCUGUUUGCAUUACGAUGCCCUGAUUGCACAUUUGUGCCCUAUUAUGCACUCCGGUGUCCUGACAAAAACUUCGGUGCUCUUAUAUGCACUUUCAUGCCCUGUUUAACAUCUUAGUGUUUCUCGAUAUCGUAACCGGUGUAACCAAACUCUUUUAUUAAUGUUCAUCGAACUGUCUUGAUUAAAAAAAGAGAAGUGAAUGACUUAAUGACUUGAAUAUGUAUUCCUGUUACAUGAGUACAUGACAAACUCACUUGUUUCUUGUAACACCCCUUACCCGAGACCGUCGUCGGAGUCGAGCACGAGGCGUUCCCAGACUUAUCUUACUUGUUAGGGGCAAAAAAAUUACUUAAAAAAAAUUUAAUUCGCUCACAUUCAUCCAACAAAUCCCUAUAAAGGGCCCUCGAGGCCUUAAAACGUGCAAUUGGAAUGGUUUGGGACGAAACCGGUAACAUUUAAAAAUUUUCCAAUUAUUUAGACAAAUCAAAACAAUUUAUUUCACUAUUCAUAAUAAAAUUGUCCAUCUACAUAAUAGUCACUAAAUUAAUUAUAACUCGAGUUACGAAACUCAAAAUUUAAAUCCAUAAAUUUUCCCUGAAACUAGACUCAUAUUCUUACCAUAAUUUUUUCAAAAUUUUUGGUUUGGCCAAUUUGUACAGUUUAUUCAUUAAAUGUUCCCCUAUUUUGUAGUUCAACGGACUUGACCUCUCUUCACUAAAAAUUGAUUAUCUCAUUAUAAAGAAAUCAGAUAAUUUUUCCGUUUGUUUCCAAUGAAGAUAGACUCACUAAGGAGUCUAGACAUAUAAAAUUUGACUUAUAAUUAUUUUUGUAAAAUUUAUAGUGAUUUUCCAAAUUUGGAAUAGGGGAUCACGAAGUCAUUCUGAACCAGUCUUACAGAAAUUUAAAUAUCUCAGAAUAUAGACUUCCUUUGCUUGCUCUGUUUCUUUCCUAUAAAAAUAGACUCAAUAAGAUUUAAUUCUAUAUCUCAUUAAAAUAGACUGAAUAAGAUUUAAUUCUAUAUCUCAUUCACCAUUUAAUUCUAGUUCUACAAUUUUUAGUGAUUUUUCAAAAACACAUCACUGCUGCUGUUUCCUAACUGUUCUAUGGCCAAAUCUUACUCUUUCUUAGUUUCAUUGCAUCAAACCUCAUUUAGGCAUACAUAAUACAAAACAUGUUCUUAUUUGGCUAUAUCAUAAGCUAAUCGUUACCAAGUAUUCACAUGCCAUUCUUUAAUCAUAUCAUAAGGACAUACACACAAAAUAGCCAAGUCCCUAUACAUGUCAUAACUUAAAGUAUUUCUAGUCACAAAAUACAGAGUAACUCGUUGAUAGUGUGAGGUGAUCUCCGACAUCCUUACAAUUUUCUGAGUUGGCUUUGCGAUACUAUAAAAAAGAGAGAAAAGAAAGGGAGUAAGCAUAAAGCUUAGUAAGUUUGCAUGUAAAUAAAUAACAACAUUCUAAAUGAAUUAUCAAGAUAACCUGAACCUUUCGAACAUGGACCUAUCUUACCUUCCCUUUGGUACACUCUUCGAAAUUUUCGUUGAACCAUUUGGAAUACUAAGGAUACACGGGUAUCUUUCCUUUUUAAACUUACCAUUGCCCUGUCUUGACAUGGUCUUACAUGGUAUCCUUGCCUUAUGAACUCACCAUUGCCAUGCCUUAGCAUGGUCUUAGAUAGGAUCUUUGCCUUAUAAUAGUUUAUCAAUGCCAUGUCUUGACAUGGUCAUACAUGAUUUCCUUGCCUUGUAAAACUUACCAAUGCCAUGCCUUCGCAUGGUCUUACUUGGUAUCCUUAAACCCUAGUGUCAUGACAUUUGUAUCCUACACAUUCCUAAGGUUCAACCGGGACUUUUAAGUAUCAUUUCUCCGUCAAUUCUUACUUGAAUCAUCAAGGAAUAAAUUUACAAAAUAAAUAUAUAGAUGCUGAAAAAUAACAUCAUUAAUUAUAAAUAAUAAAACAUUGCAUUUAUUUAUCGCAAACUUACCUCGAUACAAAAUACGAUCAAAUAUUUUGAUUUAGUCCUCAACCGUUUUCUUUCCUCGUUCUAACCCUGAAUUACGUUCUUCUUGAUCUAUAAUAACAAAUUUAACUUAUUUAAUAUUCACAUUUAUAAAACAAUCCUUAACUCUAACUUUGGUAAAAUUAUGAUUUUUCCCUUAAACUUUUACAUAUUUACACUUUUGCCCCAAAGCUUGGAAAUGAAACUUUAUCCCUUAUUUUUAUGUUUUAUGACAUGCUGAUCAUUUAUUUACCUACAGCAACAUCAAAUUCCCACUCUAACAUGUACUUAUGAUCAUUAGGUAUUUUUACCGAUCAUGUCGUUUUACUCAUUUUCGCUUAAAAUCGCUUAGCUCAAGUUGUUUAACAUACUUUCAAGCUUCAUAUUCUACCAUAAAACAUCCACCUAUGUGUAUUUUUCCAAAUAUGAACCCUAGGUUAAAUUAUUGCUAGAAUAAGCUAAAUCAAGUGUUAGAAUUGUGUGACCCAAAUUCUAAGAGAUUGCUUGCAAGUCAAGUUAAACAAAAAUAUAUAUUCUUUCUAGAAGAUUUAGUAUUUAUUAGUAUAAUAUAUUUAGCAUUUAUUAGUAUAGUUUAUUUUGACUUACUAAUUUAGCCUAUAAAUAGGCUCCUUUACAAUCUUAGAAUUAAGAGACACCCAUUAGAUUAGAACUCAUAACACAUUCAGAGAAUUUUGUGUUUACGUUUGAGGGUUCUUUGUUUUUCGGGUUUUCGGGGUUUAGUUUUUAUCUCCAUCUUUUGUACUCUUCAUUCUUUUGCCAUUAUAGUAAAAUUAUCUUUGCCCGUGGUUUUUUAUCCUCUUUUGAGGGGUUUUUCCACGUUAAAUUUGUGUGUUCAUCUUCUCAAUUUCUUCUACUAUUUUUACUUGUUCGUUACUUAAUCGGGACGAUCCUAACAAGUGGUAUCAAAGCUAGUUUAACUUUCAUAGAUCAGCCCGGUCAGAGAUGGCAGCAACAAGGUUUGAAAUGGAGAAGUUCGAUGGUGAGACAAAUUUCAAUCUGUGGCAAGUUCGGAUGAUGGCAAUUCUAGUUCAAAAUGGCUUGAAAAAGGUUGUUACAGGGAAAAAGCCUGAGAAUCUAAAUCAAACAGAAUGGGAAGAGCUUGAUGAAAAGGCCUUGUCUGCAAUCCAGUUGUGCCUCGCGAAUACAGUAUUGCAGGAGGUAUUGAUGGAGAAGACCUCAUUCGCCUUGUGGAAAAGGUUAGAAACUCUUUAUGCGACUAAGUCUCUGGCUAACCGUUUAGUGUUGAAACAACGUCUAUUUACGUUUCGCAUGAACGAAGGUGAGCUUCUUAAAGAUCACAUCAGUCAAUUCAUUACUCUUUUAAAUGAUUUAAAGAACGUUGAGGUUCAUAUUGACGAUGAAGAUCAAGCUAUGCUAUUAUUGUGCUCUUUACCCUCUUCAUACAAGUCUUUCAGGGAGACCCUGAUUUAUGGUAGAGACAAACUCUCGUUCGAAGAUGUGAAGGGUCAUUUGUUGAGUAGAGACAAACUCGACAAUGAGUUUGAUUUGAAUAGCAAAGCGGAUAGACAAGCUUCCGUUUUGGUAGCAUCAAAGAAACGAGACAAAAGGUGUCGCUAUUGCAAAAAGUUAGGUCACGUCAAAGCAGACUGUUAUAAACUGCGAAAUAAAAGAGCUGCUGAGAGUAAAGAGGAAGAUGUAGCUGGUGCUAAUUUGGUCGAUGAAGGCGGUGAUGAUUUCUUGUUAGUGUCAACGAGUGAUAACUCCAAGCUUACGUCUGAGUGGAUCCUAGAUUCAGGAUGUUCUUUCCACAUGUGUCCCAAUAGAGAAUGGUUCUCCACAUACAGUUCAGUUGAAGGUGGAGUUGUGCACAUGGGAAACGAUUCAUCUAGUAAAAUAAUCGGUAUUGGUACUGUUAAAAUUAGGAUACACGAUGGGACGAUUAGGACACUCUCAGAUGUCAGGUAUGUACCUGAUUUACGAAAGAAUCUCAUCUCCUUGAGUAUUUUAGACUUGAAAGGAUGCAGAAUCAACAUCGAGUCGAGCAACAUUAAAGUAUCUCGUGGAGCUCUCGUUUUGUUAAAAGGUAAAAGAACCGGCAGUCUUUAUAUUCUGGAAGGUUCUACAGUGACCGGUGAAAUCGGACGUCCCUCGUCCGUUACGGAGUCAAAGUCAACUCAUUUGAAGCGGAGGCAACUUGGUCAUAGGAGGGAAAAAGGUAUGACCGUUUCGUUGAAGAGAGGUUCUCUUUUGGAUGCAGGUUUUGAAAAGUUAGGGCACUGUAUUCGUGAAAAUCAGACCCGGGUUAGUUUUGAUUUGGCAGUGCACAAGUCGAAGGCUAGAAGUCUUCCAGCUUCUAAGCAUAGAUUCGACUCAGUUAAUUCCCUGCAUAGUUCAAGAUAGGCCCGUGGCGGGUUUUGGCAAAGAUGGCAUUGAAAGAAUUCAUGUCAAGGUGGAAAUUGUUAGAAUUGUGUGACCCAAAUUCUAAGAGAUUGCUUGCAAGUCAAGUUAAACAAAAAUAUAUAUUCUUUCUAGAAGAUUUAGUAUUUAUUAGUAUAAUAUAUUUAGCAUUUAUUAGUAUAGUUUAUUUGACUAACUAAUUUAGCCUAUAAAUAGGCUCCUUUACAAUCUUAGAAUUAAGAGACACCCAUUAGAUUAGAACUCAUAACACAUUCAGAGAAUUUUGUGUUUACGUUUGAGGGUUCUUUAUUUUUCGGGUUUUCGGGGUUUAGUUUUUAUCUCCAUCUUUUGUACUCUUCAUUCUUUUGCCAUUAUAGUAAAAUUAUCUUUGCCCGUGGUUUUUUAUCCUCCUUUGAGGGGUUUUUCCACGUUAAAUUUGUGUGUUCAUCUUCUCAAUUUCUUCUACUAUUUUUACUUGUUCGUUGCUUAAUCGGGACGAUCCUAACAUCAAGUUACCGAGACUUCAAAAACGUAAAGAACAUUAAAAACGGGGCUUAGAAUCACUUACUAUGAAGCUUGGAAGCUUGAAAAAACCCUAGCUAUGAAGAAACCUUGAAAUUUCAGCCUAAUGAAGAAGAUGAGCACAUUUUUCCAUCUUUUUUCCUUUUUUAAUCUUUUAAUUACCAAAUGACUAAAUACCCUUCAUUAAAACUUUAGUUAUUUUUAUCUAUGUAUGUCCAUUUUUGUCCAUGUACCGUUUAAGGACCUCUACUUCAAUUAUACUCUUCAAUUUAAUUCUUUAGCAUCUAAAACUCAUAUUUAUUAACUUUUGCAAUUAAGCCCUAGUAGGCAAAUUAAGCAUGCUAUCUGUAAAAUUUUCCAUCGAUACUCUAACACAUGCACCUAAUCAUUCGGUAAAUUAUAAAAGUUAAUCGAAAUAAACUUUUCCAUCUCGAAUUCGCGGUUUCGCAACUACUGUUCCAUUUAGGCCCUAUUUUGGGAUGUUACAUUUCUUGUGAAAUGAAAUGCCAAGAUUGAAAAUUUCAUUAAUACAUAUUUAUAUAAUUGUAUUUCUCAUUGAUAAGGUAAGUUGAUGUACAUGUUUUAUAUAAAAUUACCAUGCUUUCAUAAAGCUUAUUGGUUUUGUUUCCUGUUUCUUGUAGUUGACAUUUUCCGGAACACGAUCGUCGGAUCUCUUCAAACUCACACUAUUCAGCAUCUGUCUUGGUAGUUCUUUUGAAUGAUUUGGUAACAAGAUAGUUUAACUAAAAUGUUGUUUUGUUUGAGUUGAUGAUACACAUGUUAGUUUAUGGUAGAUUAAGUUUAAAACUUAUGAAUGGCUAUAUAUGUUGAAUGUAAAUGGUUGAGUAAAUUGGUGUGAAAAAUAUACGUGAAUUGGGUAUAGUCAUGUGAUAGUAGUAUUACAUGGUUGAAUUAAAAUGAAUGAAUAUAGAAUGUAUGCUUAAUGAAAAUGUAUUGAAAUCUUGAAAUGUGACUUACAUGUUAGAGUAUGUAUAACAUAGAUGGAAUUAAUUAUAUUAGUGCAUUGAUGAAUGAUUUAUAUGAAAUGUUUAGUUGCUCAUCUAGGUACCAAAUAAGAUUUGGUAAGCUAGUUGCAAAUCAUGUUUAAAUGUUGAUUUUUGGAAUGGUUUAUAACAAGUCUUAUGCUGGUAUUGAAUGUAUCUAAGUCAUGCUUUGAUGAAGUUUAAAAAGUUGUACAUGAAUCGUGAUUUCAAACUUGUGAUUUUUAACCUAGCUGGGUAAAAGGAUCGAUACUAGGGACAAAGGUAUCAGUACUUUACCAAAUGAAUAGUUUUCAAAAUCGAUAGAAUGCAUAGAAGGUAUCAAUACUUAAUUAGUAAUGUACCUAACACAAAAAUAUUUGUAACACCCCUCGCCCAUAUCCGAUGCCGAGAUAUGGUUCAAGGUGUUACCUGACUUAACUCAAUCAACUAUACUAAACCGGGCCGUAAAAUUUUGAUAAAUUUUAAAACUUUUACUUCCAUAAACAAUUUGUUCCUUAAAUGGGCUUACAAGGCCCAAAACAUACAUUCGAAAUGAUUUAGACUUAACUGAGAAUUUAAGAAAAACCUAGUGAAAUUCAUGCUUUAGGGUUCCACAUGCCCGUGUGACUCAGGACACGCCCAUGUCCUUAGCUCGUGUACGACACUAACUUUAGGGCAAGGCCAUGACACACGCCCGUAUGGCUUAUGUAACACCCCGAAAAUUUAUACAGUAAGAUAUUACUCUUAAUAUAGUAAAAUAAGGAAAUAAAGUGACAAGAAAAGGAAAAUUGAGUUAUGUCACUGGGAAGUAUAUUAUGACAUAUUGAUUUAAGAAAGGACUAAAUUGUAGAAAUGAGAAAAGUUUUGUGGCACAAGAGUAAAUACUCAAAAUAUGAGGGAUUAAAGUGUAAAUAUGAAAAAAUUGAAGGGCUAAUAGUGAAAAUAUUUUAAGGGUGGAAGGAUCUAGAAACCAAGGAAAAAUUGAUGAAUUAGGACCAAAUUGAAUAGGUGAAGAAUUAUGAGGGACUAAAUUGUAAUUUUACCAAAAUUAAGUGAUGACUCAAUAAUGAAAUUUUAAAAGAUCACAAAGGGAAAAAUAGUCAAUUGGAAGAGAGAGAAAUCUAGAAAGUAAUGAUGACGUUAGAGAUAUUUUAGAUUAAUUAAUUAAUUAAAUAUUAUUUAUUAAUAUUUUAAUUUGAUUUUUUAUAUGAUAUUUUUUAUUAUUUUAUUAGUAUAUAUAAAGAAAGAAAGAUGAGGAAAUUAUCAUCCAUUUCCAUGCAUUCACGUUAGGAAGAAGAGAAGAGAAGAAAGAAACUUUUCAUUCUUUACAAUUUAGUCCUUUUACCAAAAAUUCACCAUUACCUAGAAAUCAAAAGAAUUUCCAUAGCCACCAAGGGAGAAAAAUGUUAAGGAGACUAUGAGGAGUUAGAAUAUCAAAUUGGAUUCAAGGAAUAGAAGCUAGAGGAGAGAGAAAAUCAAAUUAAAGAUUGGAAUCAAUAGAACAAGGUAAGUACAUCAAUAUUUCAAUAUAUUUUUAAGUUUGUUAUUAUUGAGAAAACAUGGAAAUAAUGUUAUAGUAGAGUCUUCUUAUAUAAGGUUCUAUGAUCUUGAAGAGUUAGUGAAGAGAAAUAGGAGAAAGUGAUGGAAAAUAUUGUAGAGAAAGGGAAUAAGGGUGUUAUAAACAUGGUAAAUAAUAUCUUGCACUAAAACAGUUUUGGACAGCAGCAGUAGGCUAACUUUGAAAAAUCACCAAAAAUUGUGAAAGUUGAAUUAGAGGUUUUAUAAAACUUGAAAUUAAAUAAUAUUGAGUCUAGUUUCUUAUAGAAGAAACAAUGUAAGCAAUGAAAUUGUAAACUAUGAAACAUGAUAAAUUUUGUGAGACAAGGGCAGAAUGAUUUUGGGUUCCCCUGUUCUGACUUUGGAAAAUCAUAAAAAAUUGAAGAAAAAUAAUUAGGGGCUUAAAUUUAUAUUUUUAGAAUCCUAAAUUAGUCUAUUUUCAAGAGAAACAAACAAGAAUAUCAUUUGAAUUCUGUACGAGGAGAUAAUUAAUUUUUAGUAAAGAAUGGUCAGAACUAUUAGACAGCAGAAUAGAAGUCACUUUAAAGAAUAAACUGUACUUAUUGGCUAAGCCAAAAAUUCUGAAAAUUUUAUGGUCUGUAAGUCUAGUUUUAUGGAAAAUUAACCGAUCUUAAUUUUGAGGCCUGUAGCUCAAGAUAUAAAUAAUUUAGUGACUAUGACGCAAAUGGACAGUUUUGAAUAUACAUAUAAGUGAAUAGUGAAAGUAUUGAUAAUGUUACUUGUAGCAUGUUAUAUAAAUUAAGGGUGAGGAAUGGAGAGGAGGAGGAGGAGAAUAUGUAUGAAUAUUCAACUAGCAUGGCUAAUUUGUAUGUUUUAGGCUCAGAGACUAAAUUGAAUAAAAGUAAAAUUUUAGGGGCAAUUUUGAUAAAAAAUGACCAAUUGGAAGGAAAUGAAUUGACUUAUUGUCUAAAUUAAUAAAUUAAAUGGAAUUAUCAAUUUAGAUCAAGAUCGGAUGAAAAUCGGGGAAAAUGAAAAAUUACCAAAAUACCCCUAAAUCUGGGUAUUUUUGCAAUUUUGUCAGGUAAAUUUGUGUAUCAUAAUUGAGCAUGAAAAUAUGUUAAAUUGUAUGUUAUAUUGGAUUGAAUGUGAAAUAUUAGUACAUUCGUAUAAUAUGAAACUAUAUGAAUACGAAAUGAAUUAUUACCAUAUAUGCUUGAAGUAUAUAUAUAAUAAUUUGUACAUGUUAUAUGGACACAUGGUGUGGAAAGUAUGUGCAUAUAGAAUUUGAUUUAUGUUAAGUUUGAUAUGAAUUAUUAUCGGAAUAAAUAUACGUGAAAUAUAUGAAAAUUAUGGUACAUGAAAUUUUAAUAUAAUGAAAUAAAUGAUUUUAAAUGGUAAGAGAAUGAUAUAUUUCAUGACAUGUACAUAUAUGAUUUUCUUUGAUUUAUUGAUACAAGGAAAUUAUGUAGGUGGAGAUAAUUAUUAAACUCAAGUGUGACGUGUUGAGAAAAUAAGCAUAUCAAUGUUGGAUUUAUAUGAAAUAUGUACUAGUGUACUAACAAUGUUGUUGUUUGAUGCCUAUACAAGUGCCAAGCUAUUGAUUGAAUGGUAAUAUAUUUAUUUAUAUGAUGCAUUGAAUCGGUAAGUAUUUAAUUGAAUUUUUUUAGUGAUCUGUAAAUUUUAGUAAUGCUCCAAAACCCUAUUUUGAUGGCAGAUACCGGUUAGGGGUGUUACAGCCUACCUGUGGGCAAUACUGACUUAUAGACACGGCUAUGGCACACACCCGUGUGGCCUAACUGUGGAAAUACUGAUUUAAAAGUUUAAGUGAAAGGGGACACACGGCCAUAACACACACCCAUGGGGGUGAGCCGUGUGUCACACACGGUCUAAACACACGCCCGUGUGUCUUGCCCGUGUGGACAAACUAGGCUAUCUUCCAAGCCAUUUUGAUGCCCAAUUUGCACAACCUACACAAGAUCAUUUUAAUAUGCUAAUUCCAUCCCAAAAGACAUCAAUUCAUCCAUAGAAGGAACAUCAUAUACAUUUACCAAGAUGAAUAAUAGCCAUUAUCUAGGCUUAAUACAAAAUGAAGGGCUUUUAUCUUAAGCCAAUAUACAUAAACAAUUUCUCAAUAAUACAACUCCCUAGUCUAGCCCUAUACAUGCCAUAAUCAAAAAUAUAAAUCCAACUAUACCGAGUAUUAUGGCUGAUAGUGUGAUCGAUAUCUCUGACUUCAAGGGAUCCUCGAGCAAAAUGGCAGUACUGAAAGAAAAGGGAAAGGAAAGAGAGUAAGCAUAAAGCUUAGUAAGUUGCAUAUAAAUAUAUAUACAACAACAACUUCACCAUUUAUCACUUAUGCUCAUAGCUCAAAGGUAAGUAUAAAGUGGACUUACUCAUUACCAUCAACUCAAAUCAUAUUUUCUAAUCGAGCUCAUUACUCAUGCAUACCAAAUAGGUACCUGUAACACUUACAACAUUAUCAUACUUUCCUUAUUAAAUCUCUUUCUUAACUCUUACAGUUGAACCUUUUGGAAUACUACCGGAUAUUCUAUAAGCCUCAAACAUGGGUUAAGUUGCCGCUGCCAUGUCCCAGAUAUGGUCUUACGCUGGCUAUCUCCAUCGAGGCCGAUGCCAUGUCCUAGACAUGGUCUUACACUAGCUCUCGUGUAUACGUGCUGAUGCAUGUCCCAAACAUGUCUUACACUAGCAUGAAACUUAGCCGAUACAUGUCCCAGACACGUCUUACACUGGCUAUCAUCAUCGAGGCUGAUGCAUGUCCCAGACAUGUCUUACACUAUCACUCAUCUCUACACCGAUGCCAUGUCCCAGAUAUGGUCUUACACUGGCUAUCAUAAUGUGGCUGAUGCAUGUCCCAGACAUGUCUUACACUAGCCCUCGUCUCAAUGCCGAUGCCAUGUCCCAGACACGGUCUUAUACUGGCUCUCACAUAACCUAAUGUCAUGACAUGAAUAUCCGGUUUGUUUCCUGGGGUUCUUACUGGAUCUUUCGACUUUCUCAAUCAUAAAUACAUAUACUUAGUUCAAAUUCUGAAAACUCAUGCUAUAUCAAAUCAAUAACAAUCGAAUACAUGCAUUUAAUGAUAUAGUUGUAUUAUUUACAUACAACUUACCUCGGUUUACAAAAAGUACUUGACUAGCCAGCUUAAUCGGAUUGCUUGGCUUUGUCUCGGUCUAGGCUCGGUUUUGGCAAAUCUUGAUCUAUAACAACAAGAUGCACUCAUUAAGACAUUAAACACAAUUAGGCUAUCUAAAAUUUACAUCUUUAGUAAAAUGACCAUUUUGCCCCUAGACUUUAGCUAAAUGACCAUUUUACCCCUAUACUUAAAAUUCGAUUUUUAUUGAAUUUAUUCGUAUUUCAAGCCUAGAUAAACUCUUUUUACUACUAGAGAAAUUCCAAAUUCUCACUAUUCUACACACUUAUUACUUAAUUUGCAACUUAUGCAAAAUAGUCCCUUUAGGUUUUUUUAUGCUAACACCCUUCAUAAAAGUUGUUUAUAACACAACUAGGACUCAUAUUCCUCCAUAAAAAAUCAGCAUAUAUCACAAAUACAUCCAUGGAAAAAUCCUAAACUCUUGACCAUUUUGUAAGAUAUCACCCUCAUUUGAAAGCUCAUACUUCAAGGGUCUCAAAAAUGUAAAAAUCUUGAAGAAAACUCAUUAAAAUUACUUACUUAUGAGUGCUUUAAGUUGCUGCAGGUUUAUGAUCUUUCAAACCUCCAUUUUGGCUAAUAUUUUUGGUGGUAUAGAAGAAGAUGAGAAGGUGAUAUCAUCUUUUUCUUAUUUUAUUUCUAUUUUAGUCAAAUUAGCCACCAAACCCAACCAAACUUGGACUUUUUGACCAAUUUGUCUCCCAUGGUCGGCCAAGCAUUCUAAAAAGGGUCUAAUUGCCCUUUAAAAGCCCUCAAUUAUAAUUCUUUAGCUAAUUAACACAUUUGGGUACUAAAAUGUAACUUUUGCCUUUUUUUACGAUUUAGUCCUUUUUCGCAAUCGGGCUUGAAAACAUUAAAAUUAACUCACCAAAUUUUUCAUGCACUAAUAUAAUCGUACUAUAACCUCAUAAAAAUAAUAAAAAUAAUUUUUCUAGCUUUAGAUUUGUGGUCUCAAGACCACUGUUCCGACUAGGCCCUAAAUCGGGCUGUUACAAUAUUGAUUCUAAUUUCCUUAGUGUCAAUACCUUGUUCAAAGUUUUAAAUUUUUACAGAUUGGUCCAUAUUUAUGCUCGAAUGUAAUCAUUAUAGUUAAAAGCUUGUUUAUUCUUGUUUACAUCUGUAAUUUCUUAAUAUGUUUAUAAAUGUAAUGAUUUGAUGUUGUAAAUUACAGGUGAAUGUUUGGGAUGAGUAGUAGUGUAACACCCCUGACCUGUAUCUAUCGCCAGAUUAGGGUUACAGAGUAUUAUCGUACUGUAACACCCCGUACCCAAGACCGUCGCCGGAGUCGAACACGAGGUGUUAAUAGACUUAAUUCAUUACUUAAACAGCUCAAACAAUUUAUUUUUAAAAUUUUUAGUCAAGCUAACAAUCUGCAUCAUAAUCGCUUAAAAAUUCAUAUCUCGAGUUAAGAAACUCGAAAUCCAAUUUAUUAAAUUUUCCCUGAAACUAGACUCAUAUAUCUAUUUAAUAAUUUUUUAUAGAAUUUUUGGUCAAGAAAAUUAGUACAGUUUAUUAGUUAAAGUCUCUCCUGUUUCAGAGUUUGACUGCUCUGACAUCUGUGUAUUACAAAUCAGAUAUCUCCCUGUACAGAGUUUCAAUGACUAUGACGUUUGUUUCUAAUAAAACUAGACUCAAUAAAAAAUCUGUACAUAUAAAUCAUGACUUCUAAUUAUCUUUGAAAAAUUUAUGGUGGAUUUCCAAAGUCAGAACAGGGGAUCCAGAAAUCGCUCUGGCCCUAUUUCACAAAAAAUUAAACAUCUCAUAAAAUAUAACUCAUAUACCUGUUUUGUUCCAUCCAUAUGAAAAUAGACUCAUAAUUCUUCAAUUCCAUAUUUUAUUCAUCAUCUAAUUGUAUCUAUACUAUUUUUAGUGAUUUUUCAAACUCACGUCACUGCUGCUGUCUGAAUCUAUUUUAUGGUAAAUUUUACCUAUUUCAUGGUUUCCAUGGAUUAGCUAGCAAUUUAGCAUACAUAACACCAAAUAUGAUCAUGAUUAGCCAUUCCAAUGGCUAAUCAUUACCAAGUAUUUCCAUACCACUCAAUAACCAUAUCAUAAGACCAUAUACACAAAAUGAUUAUAAUGCUAUACAUGCCAUACUCAAAAUAUACAAGCCAUUAUGCCAAGAUGGUAUACGGAUAGUGUGAGCGUGCCUCCGACCAUUUUCGAUUUCCGAGCUGGCUUGUCAACACUACAAGGAAUGAAAAGGAGGGAGUAAGCAUAAAUGCUUAGUAAGUUCACAUGCAAAUAGCAAGUAACAUAACUAUAUAAGCAAACAUAAAACAUCAUUUGCAUAAUCAUCACCGAGACAUUCGUAUCACAUUUUCGUUUAUCAUCUUACCAUAUUGUUGUUAUAUCGAGUUUUCAACGCGAGGGUUAAGUACAUACCUAUUCAAAGUAUUCAUUUCACAACACUUACCAAUAUGUCCCUUUCAUCUCGAGUAUUCCUCCGCUUGAGUAGAAUUUUACUCGUUGAACACAUCCGAAUAUAAUUCGGAUACGUGGAAAGUUUGCACAUAAGUGCUACAUAUGUAGCCAAGCUACCAUGUAACCCGCCCAUAAGUGAACUCGAACUCAACUCAACGAGCUCGGGCAUUCGCAUCCAUAAGUGAACUCGGACUCAACUCAACGAGCUCGGAUGCUUAGUUACAUCUCUCAAACUCGGACUCAACUCAACGAGUUCGGACAUUCGCAUCCAUAAGUGAACUCGGACUCAACUCAGCGAGUUCGGAUGCCCAAACAUCCUAGUGACAUGUCACUUGUAUCCUAAUCCAUUCCUAAGGUUCAACGGGACCUUUUUUCCAAUCAUGUGUCUCAACCAUCUCCUACGGAAUGUCGAUACCAAUACUCGGUAGUAUUUCACAUUUUCCAAGUAUAUCACAUAAUUUGACAUAUUAUCAAACAAUUAUCACGAGUAUAAUAUUUCAUAAUAAUUAUCAUAUCAUUUAAAUAACAUAAAAACAUUUAAAAUAAUAACUAUGUUACCAACAUUUACAUAUGAACUUACCUCGUAUGCGAAAAUGGCUACUUUUACCAUUUCGUCCACAACUUGGUAUUUUCCCAAUUUUAGUCUGAAUUUCAGUUUUCCUUGCUCUAUCAUUUAAAAUAUAGUCUAAUUAGGACUCACAUUAUUCAAAUUGACCCAAAAAUCAUAUUUUGGCAAAAUUACAGUUUUGCCCCUAAACUUUCACAUAUUUACACUUUUUCCCCAAAGCUUGUAAAUUAAAAUUCAGCCUAUUUUCUUAUGUUUUAUGACAUGCUGAUCAUUUUUCCAUUCUAUGGCAACAUCAAAUUCUCACUCUAACAUGUACUUAUGACUAUUAGGUAUUUUUACCGAUUAAGCCCUUUUGCUAGUUUUCGCUUAAAACCGAGUAGCACAAGUUGUCUAACAUAAUUUAAAACCUCAUAUUCUAUCAUAAAACACCAAAAUACACAAAUUUCACCUAUGGGUAUUUUUCCAAAUAUAAACCCUAGGUUAAAUUAUUGCUAGCAUAAGCUAAAUCGAGCUACCGGGACUCUAAAAACGUAAAAAUCAUUAAAAAUGAGGCUAGAACGGACUUACAAUCGAGCUUGGAAGCUUGAAAAACCCUAGCCAUGGUUUCUCCUUGCUAUAUUCGGCCAUGGGGUUGAAGAUGAGCAAAAUUGGCUUUUAAUUUUGUAUUUUAAUUCGUUUUGCCCCUAAAUGACCAAAAUGCCCUUACUACUAAACUUUCCAAAAAUUCCAUCCAUGUCCAAUUUUUGUCCAUAGACUUAGAAAUUGGUAAAAUUGCUAUUUAAAACCUCCUAAUUAAUAUUUCAAAACAAUUUCAUACUAGAAACUUCUAGAAUGCAAGUUUUGCAAAUUAUUCGAUUUAGUCUCUAAUUUCAAUUUAAGCACUUUAUGCAUAAAAUUUCUUCACGAAAUUUUCACACAAUCAUGCAAUCAUAUCAUAGACCUCAAAAUAAUUAUAAAAUAAUUAUUUCUAUCUCGGAUUUUGUGGUCACGAAACCACUAUUCUGACUAGGCCCAAAAUUAGGAUAUUACACGUACAAUCGAAAACACUUAAACAAUAUUUCAUUCACUAACAUAAACGUAUCAUAUAUCAAUCAUACAUACAUGUUUCGUCCCUAAAUCAAGACCUCGAGGCCCUAGAAAUACCUUAGAAACAAUUUAGGACUAAAUUGAAAACGUUUGGAAAGUCUAAGAAAAAGUUACAAAAAUUUGGGUACAGGGGUCACACAACCGUGUCCAAGCCCGUGUCCUCAUCCGUGUAACUCUCUGAGUAGGGUCACACAGCUGUGUCACUUGCCCGUGAGCCAGGCUGUGUAACUCUCAAAAUUGUAACACCCCAAACCUGGCCCAGACGUUAUGGCCGAAUCUAACAAUGUCACAUGAUAGGGUGUUUGAAAACUUAGUUUCUACAAUAAAUCCAUUUCCGUUUAAUUACUUUUCUUAUCUCUUAUUAAUUCCAAAAUCCUUACUCGUUUAAUCGAUUAUUUUCAACAUAAUUCAUUGCUGAAGCUUUUAAAACCGUUUUGAGAAAAAUCAUGCGUUUAGAGAAAACUUUGCCUUUUCAAAAACAUAAUUUUCCUACAUCUAGCAGUUAUAAAUCCAUAAAAAUAAAUAAAAACCAAAUUUAAGCAAAAGUCCUAAAAAAUCCCCAAAUUACAUCCAGAUAAACCACAAUAACUAAAACCAUAAAUCAUAAGUUAUAAAUCGCAAAUGUCCAAAAACUAUGGUCACCAUCGAGUCUUCUGCAGCCCGAUCCAUUUAGGUCUGGGGAUUACCUGUGCACAUUAAAUAGAGAGGGGUGAAUUUAUGUAAACUUAGUGUGUAAUCCCACAAAAAACAAACAACAGUAAACACAGUGCACAGUCAAAAAAAAGUCUUAGGCCUAAGCCCCUUUAGUAACAGUAUCAGUAUGCACAAAGGCCUUAGCCCAUCACAGUAUCAGUAAUAGAUAUGUAGUAUUCAGAAACCAAGUCCUACCCAACCAACCUUUACACACCAUCUCCGUCAAACCCUACACUCCAUGUGGGGGUUAAAUCAACCCACUAAUCCCUACACUCCAUGUAGUACCGAAUACGGUACAAAAUAGUAGUUUGCAGCUGAGCUGCCAGUAUAUUAGGCUUAAGAGCCUUUCAGUACAUUUCCUCCAAAUAAAAUCAACCCAAUCCCCUUACACAGCAAUAUACAAUACAUGAUAUGCUAUCUCAUGAUAUCAGUACAUAUAAUCAGUAAAUGCACACAUGCAUACUAUCAUCAUACUCAAUAUUUAUAUAUAUAUCCAUUUGUCAAUCAGUCAGUUCAUACAAUUAAGGGUCUAAGUAAUGCUUACCAACCCUACAAUAGGUUUACAGUCGACUUGGGCGACCCGUGCAAUCUUAGUACUCAAUUCAGUGAAAAUGGGCUUACACGCCCAUGUGGCCUGCCCGUGUGGCCCCACAUGCUCGUGUGGCCUAUACUAUCCAAAUUUUCCUUAGCCGUGUGAUCCCAAAAAUUCCACAUGCCCGUGUGGAUCCACACGCCUGUAUGGCCCACAUGGCCCAAAUUAGUCCAGCCCGUGUGUCGCACACAGCCUGCCUGGCCAUCACAAGGCAGUGUCAUGCGCGCACGGCUUGGCCUCGUUAAGCACACGCCUGUGUUAGGGCACACGGCCUACCACACAGGCAACCACAUGCCCAUGUGACAUUGACAGUGGGGUUUUUGGCUUUCAUUGAAACCCAGUUUUCUAUGUUUUCGGGUACACACUUGAUAUCGAUUUGAUGCAAAACCACUCUCGAGCCUCCCAGAACCUAAAAAUUGACAUAUCAACAGUCAAUUUUCAGUCUUUAGUCUUUAUGCCCGAUUAAACCGAAACCCAACAUUGACAACAGUCCAAAAAGGGCAUUCAACACUUACCCUUAACCAUCCCGGAUGAUUGCGAUCACGUUUUCGCCCACAGCAGACCUCUUUCUUCCUGAUUUGCUGCUGUCAAGAUAGCGAAUUAGAUUCUAAUAGAAAGAAUCUAAAAGAACCAAAGAACGAACGAAAAGAGAAAACCCCUAAUCAAGCCGCAACAAUGCUUACUUACCACGUAAAAACACAAGCCGCAAUAGGAAGAACAAGCCUUGUUGGAAUGGAAAAUAAAACAAAAUAUUUUUAUUUGAAAGAAAAGGGAAAACAGAGGAGGAAGGAAGGUGAACGUCAGUUUUUUCUGCAGGAGAGAUUUUUUUUUUUGGGAAAAUUGAUUACCCAAAUCCCACUAAUUCUCAUCCUAACCACCCACUACUCAGAAUUCCACUACCACUGGAACUUUAAUGCAAAGUCGAGCAAAAAUAAAACUCCCUCACUCGCGCAGGGAUUCAAGCACAGGACCUCCAGCCCUCUAAUACUUCACCUAACCACCAGACCAGCAAACCCAUUCUGAUAUGGAAUUACAAGUAAUUAAGUAUAAGCCUGCUGGACUAGCACAUGGCUUAAAUCAGAAAAAAUACCAAAAUUUUCCAAAUGCAAGGCUUGAACUUAGGACCUCACACACAUACCCAGUACACUUAAACACUAAAGCAGAUAUAGAUUUGUGUCACAUUUUAAUAGAACAAAAAUAAAAUUUUAGGGCGUUACAACUCUAGCCCCCUAAAAGAAAAUUUCGGCCUCGAAAUUUACUUGAUCAGAACAUAUGAGGAUACUGCUGCCGUAUCGCAUCCUCAGGCUCCCAUAUGACCUCCUCGUGCUAUGAUUUCACCACAGCACUUUUACUAAUGGGAUAGACUUCUUCCUAAGAACUUUUACAUUAUGGUCCAGAAUUUGAACCGGCUUUUCCUUGAAGGUCAAGUCUGGCCUAACCUCAAUCUUCUCAGUAGGGACAAUAUGCGAAGGAUCAGAGCGGUAGCGCCUCAACAUUGAGACGUGGAAUACAUCGUGAAUACGGUCUGACUUUGGAGGUAGAUCUAACUGAUAUGCGACCGAUCCCACUCGCUUCAGAAUUUGAUAAGGCCCAAUAAACCUAGGGCUUAACUUGCCCUUACGACCGAACCUCAGAACCUUCUUCCAUGGCGAGACUUUAAGAGAUACAAAGUCCCCCAUAGAAUAUAUAAUCUCACAUCUCUUCAGAUCAGCAUAAGAUUUCUGUCUGUUCAAUGCAGCUUUUAGUCGAUCCCGAAUCAAUCUGACCUUAUCUUCAGUCUCAAAAACCAACUCAGGACCCAAAACUUGAUGCUCACCCAAUUCAGUCCAACAUAAAGGAGUACGACACUUACGACCAUACAGUGCCUCGUAAGGUGCCAUCUAAAUGCUAGACUGGAAGCUGUUAUUAUAAGCAAACUCCGCUAGCGGCAAAUAAUCCUCUCAAUUGCCUCAGAAAUCAAUAACACAACUCCUCAACAUAUCUUCUAGUAUCUGAAUCACCCUUUCCGAUUGACCAUCGGUCUAAGGAUGAAACGCAGUACUGAAGUCCAACCAUGAACCUAGAACCUCAUGUAGUAUUUUUUAAAAUCGAGACGUGAAGCGAGGAUCCCUAUCAGAGAUAAUCGAAACCGAUACCCCAUGUAGUCUCACUAUCUCAGAAAUAUAAAGCUUUGACAACUUCUGAAGAGAAUAGUCUGUCCUAACCGGAAUGAAGUAAGCAGACUUGGUCAAUCGAUCCACGAUGACCCAUACUGCAUCCUUCUUAGUGGGUGUCAAGGGCAACCCACUAAUGAAAUCCAUCGUUACUCGCUCCCACUUUCAUAGCGGAAUCUUAACCAGCUGCAGCAAACCCGAAGGUAACUGAUGCUCAGCCUUAACCUGCUGGCACGUCAGACACCUAACCAUAAAAUCAGUAACCUCUUGCUUCAACCAUGGCCACCAAUACAACUUUCAAAGAUCUCGGUACAUCUUAUUCUCACUAGGGUGCAUAGCAUAAGGGCUAUUUUGUGCCUCUCUCAAUAUAGAUUGUCUCAAAUCAGAAUCAUUCAGCACAUAUAUUCGACCUCGGAAACACAACACACCCUCCAAAGUCCGUAGUGUUACCACUCUCGAUCUAUCGGAAUUGAAGACCUAAAGACUCAUCCUCCAGCUAUUUACCCUUAAUAUGCUCGAUCAAAGUUGGUUUGAUUUGCAGCUUAGCCAACAAACUCCCAUCAUCGAACAGGCUAAGUCGAGCAAACAUCACUCUUAGAUCUUACAUAGCCCUACGACUCAAUGCAUCGACCACCAUAUUGGCUUUGCCAGGGUGGUUCUCAAUGGUACAGUCGUAAUCCUUAAGCAGCUCAAUCCAUCUAUGCUACCUAAGAUUUAACUCCUUCUGAGUCAGGAGGUAUUUAAGGCUUUUGUGAUCAGUAUAGAUAAUGCAGUUCUCACCGUACAAAUAGUGCCUCCAACUUUUCAAAGAGAAAACAACGAUGGCCAAUUCCAAAUCAUGUGUCAGAUAGUUAGCCUCAUACAUCUUGAGCUAACGAGACGCAUAUGCUACAACCUUACCGUCUUGCAUUAGUACGCAACCCAAACCAACAUGCGAUGCAUCACUGUACACUACAAACUCCUUUCCUGAUUCCGACUGUAUCAGAAUAGGAGCUUGAGUCAAAACAAACUUGAGCUUCUCAAAGCUCUCUUGCUGUGCAUCAGCCCAGACAAAUGGUACACCCUUAUUUAGUAGCUUCCACAAACCGUCGGUAAUAACUUACCAGCCUUAGAAUGCUGCGGAUCUCAGGCACAUUCUUAGGCUACUUCCAAUCCAGUACAACCUCAAUCUUUCGAGGAUCGACUCGAAUCCCCUCAAUAGACACCACAUGACACAGAAAUGUUACUUCACGUAACCAGAAAUCGCACUUGCUGAACUUCGCAUAGAGCUUCUUUUCCCUCAAAAUCUGAAGAACAAUCCUAAGGUGCUCGUCAUGCUCAUCCUCAAUCCUCGAAUAAACCAAUAUGUCAUGGAUGAACACCACCACAAAUCGGUGCAGAUAGGGUUGAAAUACUCAGUUCAUCAGAUCCAUGAAAGCUGUCGGUGCAUUAGUCAGUCUAAAUGGUAACACUAGGAACUCGUAGUGACCAUAACAAGUCCUAAAUGCCAUCUUAUGCACAUCAGCCUCCUUAACCCUCAACUAAUGAUACCGAGAAUGCAAGUCAAUCUUAGAGAACACAGACACCCCUCGAAACUGGUCAAACAAAUCAUUAAUCCUUGGAAGUGGAUACUUGUUCUUAAUAGUCAACUUAUUUAGUUAUCAGUAGUCAAUACACAUCCUCAUGGAUCCAUCCUUCUUCUUAACAAACAAUACCGGUGCUCUCUAUGAAGACAUACUAGGGCAGAUGAGCCUACGAUCCAACAAUUCCUGAAUCUGAGCCUUAAGCUCCGUAAGCUCCUUUCGUGCCAUUCGAUAGGGAGCGAUAGACACUGGAGCUAUACCUAGAAGAAGCUCAAUCCCAAACUCCACUUUUUGAUUUGGAGGUAAACCUAGUAGCUCCUCAGGGAAGACAUCCAAAAAAUCCCUUACAGUGCAGAUAUCCUUUACAGUAGAGUCUCCAGAAGCGAAAACAUUUAUGUAGGCCAAGUACGCCUCACAUCCCUUGUGAACUAGUUUUUCAACUACCGGUGCAGAGAUCACGUUAGAUAAGUAGUUCUGACGUUCCUUAAUCACGACUACCUCAUCAUCCUCCUUAGUUCUCAAAAUGACCCUCUUAGUCGCACAAUCCAAGCUUACACGAUGCUUGACCAACCAAUCCAUCCCCAAUAUCAUAUUGAACUCCUCAAAUGGAAGCUCCAUCAAGUCAACCAGAAAUACCGUCCCUUGAACCUCUAAAGGAACAUCCCUAUACAGUUUACUAAGUCUAAUCGAUUGCCCCAGUGAGUUCAGUACGGUCACCUCACUUGAGGUACUCUCAAUAGGAAUCCCUAAGGUUUCAGACACAAUACUGGCUACAAAAGAAUGUGUAGACCCUAUAUCUAUCAAUACAGUGUAAGACACAUCAUAAAUAAGAAAUGUACCCGUAAUGACGUCUGGAGCAUCUCUUUCCUCUCAACGAUAUGCAGCAUAUACAAGAGCAAGCUACCUCACCUCGGUCUGUCUAGCAGCUCUGCCAGGUGCUCUCUAGCUAUCCCUAACCUGACCACGGCCUCUCAGUGGCUGCUGUGCUACCCUCUAUGGCUAUAUAAUACUAGUACUCUGAGCUUCCAUCUGAUUGGCUCUCAAUGGACAUUCCCUAAUACAGAGAUCCAAUGAUCCACACCUCAGUCACACCCUCAUCCUCCUUCAACAUUCACCCAGAUGGUGUCUACCACAGUCGACACAUGGUUGAAGUCCAGUAGCAGUAACAGGGGGCUCAGCUCUAACUGGCCCAUCAAAUUUGCCUUUUUUCUUAAGCCUCUACACAGAACUCGAGGGCUCCGAAUCCUUCUUGUUAUUACCUUUCUAUAUGUCACGGUUUUGGUGUUCAACGCGCUUAAUCUCUAAAGCGAUCUUCGCCUUCUCAAUCAGUGAGGAAAAAUCAUGCUCCCUCUGCGAAGCUAUCGGGACUCUCAAAUUAUCCUUGAGGCCAUCCUCAAAGCGGACACAUUUCUCUUACUUAGUAUCCACCAUACCUCACGCAUAGUGGCUCAGUCGUAGGAAUUUGGCCUCAUACUCGGCCACAGAUCGAUCUCCCUGAAUAAGGUUCAGGAACUCCCUCUUACGGGCAUCCACAUAGCUCACCCCCACAUAUUUCCCCUAGAAGGUAGUCUUAAAGAACUCGCAGGUUAGACAUUUGGGUUGAGUGCCCUCCUUAACAGCUAGCCACCACUGAUAAGCCUUAUCCCGCAGCAGUGAGACUGCACCCUUUAAAUUCUACUCGAGGGUGCAAUCUAGAUCAUCCAUGAUCCCCUCCGUCCCCUCAAUCCAGUAUUCAGCCACAUUAGGGGCGACCCUAGUGACACCUCUGAAGAGCUCAACUCCAUUGGACCAGAGUUGUUCCGUAAUCAACCCUCGACCCCCAGAUCCAGUAUUGGUCCCAAUGAGCCUCUCCAAUAUCCUUAACAUAGCUUGGGACAAUGCGUCGUCCCUAGCCAUGCGAUCUUGAGACCCAGUCUCAGUAACAGGUGAUAUUGGCAUCUCACUCGACUUCAAAUUCAGUAUACUACCUAGGGAAAAGGACUCAGCUCGAACCCCUCUACGGCCUCCACCUCGCCUUUUGGUACCUCGUCCGUAGAUACCUCGUGCACUUAUGACUAAUCAAAUUUAUCUGUAUUACAAAUUUUAUGAAUCAGUUACGAUUUCAGUGUUUAUUAACAAGUAUUUUAUGUAUAGCAGUACUAGAAGUUCAGAAUUUGUUUUCGUUUGUCUUAGUCUCUAGUAGUUACUAUAGUUUUAGUUUAACUACAGUUUCCAAUAUGUAUUAACUAGAGUUUUCUCAUAGCUUACUACCUACAAUAUUUUUAGAAUACCAUAACAUUUUCAACUUAAACAAAAAUCAGUUUCAAAAUACUUACAGGAUCGACGCCGGAGACUCGAUGUACCACAUACUCAGUUAAAUCAUUUCAAAUCAUUUGAAAAUCAGUUCUCAAAACAAGGUUUAAAAACCAAAAUCCCUACUCGAGUUUUGCAACUUGGCUCUAAUACCACUAAAUGUAACACUCCAAACACGGCCCAGACGUUAUGGUCGAAUCUGGCAAUGUCAUAUGAUAGGGUGUUUGAAAAUUAUGUUUCUACGAUAAAUCCAUAUUGUUUAAUUACUUUUCUUCUCUCUUAUUAAUUCCAAAAUCCUUACUCUUUUAAUCGAUUGUUUUCAACAUAAUUCAUUGCGGAAGCUUUUAAAACCGUUUUGAGUAAUCGUGCGUUUAGAGAAAACUUUGCCUUUUCAAAACUUGAGUUUUCCUAUGUUUAGUAGUUAUAAAUCCAUAAAAAUAAAUAAAAAUCAAAUUUAAGCAAAGUUCCCUAAAUUACAUCCAGAUAAACCACAGUAACUAAAACCAUAAAUCAUAAGUUAUAAAUCGCAAAUGUCGAAAAACUUUGGUCACCAUCGAGUCCUCCGCUGCCCGAUUUGUUUAGUUUUGGGGAUUAAUUAUGCACAUUAAAUAGAGAAGGGUGGGUUUACGUAAACUCAGUGUGUAAUCCCACAGAAAACAAACAACAGUAAAUACAGUGCACAGUCAAAAAUAGUCUUGGGCCUAAGCCCCUUUCAGUAACAGUAUUAGUAUGCACAAGGGCCUUAGCCCAUCACAGUAUCAGUAACAGAUAUGCAAUAUUCAGUAACCAAGUCCUACCUAACCAACCUCUACACACCAUCUCCGUCCAACCCUACACUCCAUGUGGGGAUUAAAUCAACCCACCCAUCCCUACACUCCAGGUAGUACCGAAUGCGGCACAAAACAGUAGUUUACAGCUGAGCUACCAGUAUAUUAGGCUUAAGAGCCUUUCAGUACAUUCUCUCCAAAUAAAAUCAACCCAAUCCCCAUGCAAAGCAACAUACAAUACAUGACAUGCUAUCUCAUGAUAUCAGUACAUGAAAUCAGUAAAUGCACACAUGCAUAUUAUCAUCAUACUCAAUAUAUAUACCCAUCCAUCAAUGAGUCAGUUCACACAAUUAAGGGUCUAAGUAAUGCUUACCAACCCUACAGUAGGUUCAUAGUCGACUUGGUCGACCCGUGCAAUCUUAGCAAUUAGCCCACACAACCUAAAUCAGUCUAGCCCGUGUAACACUGCUUACUCGUACCUGAGAUUGGGACCAGGUAUGAGGUGUUACCAGAUAUAUACUUAGACAUUUUCAAAAAUACGAGUCAUAAAUCCAAAUUAAAACCAAUUAAACAACAUCUUAGUGUCCCUAAUAUGGGCCUACAAGACCCAAAACAUACAUUGAGAAUGGUCCGGGACUAAACCGAGAACCUAAGAAAAUUUUAGGAAAAUUUUUUAGGUUAAGCCUUACACGUCCGUGUGGAGACAAUGCACAUGCCCGUGUGCUUAGGGACACGCUUGUGUCCCUAAUCCGUGUUGAAUUAUUAGAAUUUAUUUUUUAUUUCGAACCUAUAAGGGUUUUCACACGGUUGAGCACACGCCCGUGUCCUUGGCCCGUAUCCCUCACACGGCCUAGAUACGCUCGUGUCCAAAAACCCAGACAUUCUGUUUAUGAUGUUAUCAUUUAUUUUGAGGGACACAGCCAAGGCACACUCCGUGUACUAGGCUGUGUCCUCCACACGGUUGAGACACACUACCAUGUGUCUGCCCAUGUGUUUACUACCAUGCAAACUGACCUAAAUUUUCAGGUGCGGGGGACACACGGCCAGGCAACACACCCAUGGGGAUUGACCGUGUGUCACACACGGCCUAGACACAUGCCCGUGUCUCUACCCGUGUGAACCUUUUUAUGGCUAUUUUUCAAGCCUUUGGUCACCCUUUAUUGUCCAUACACCUUUAGGGACUUCAAUGGUAUGUAACAUGGCUUAAUUAUACUCUCAAACAAUCUUAACAUAACUCAUUGCAUGUUAAGCUCAUCUCAUCGGUUUAACACAUGCGAGGUUAUCCACUUUGCUUUAGAGAUUAACAUUAUGCAUUUUACCCUUAGUAUGCUAUGUCCACUCUCAAUUUAUUAGGUCCCAUUUUUAGCAUUCAUCCAUAAUAAACCUCAUCAUCAUAUCUCAUGAAACAUUAAAAUAUAAAUAUGCAUCAUUAGUAGGAUUAUGACCUACAUCAAUAUGAGUCAUAUCUCAUGGCCAUAUACAAAAGAAUAAGUAUACUAUUUAAGCCCUUACAUUGGCUAGCCAAAUGAUACAUAUAACAAAAUAACGAAAAACCCUAUACAUGCCAUUAACAAAAUAAAAGUAUCUACAAUACCAAAGCGAGACAAGUCGAUAGUGUUGACAAUACUCCAACCGUCUUCCAAUCUUCACGAGUCCACGAGCUCUGUAAGACAGGGAAAAUAAAAGGGGGUAAGUAUUUAUAUGCUUAGUAAGCUCGAAUAACUGGAAAGUAAACUUACCGAUUAAUUAGCAUACAAUCAUGUUAAGCAACCAAUCUAAUAAAUAUAGGAUAGCCUCCUAAUACAUGCACUCAAACAUCAAGUUAGUCCCAUAAUAAUUCAUAAUGUAAUUUGUCUUAGAUGAGCUCAUCAUUCAACAUUUUCAUUUCUAUAUCUCAUGUUAAUCCCAUUGAGUACCUUGGAAAUCUCGAUAGAUUGCGUACCUUGCAUCUUACGGUGGGAUUACCAAUCCAGGCUAAAUCCCCCGUAAUAUAAACUCGUGGAGUGUUCCCGGGAUUACCAGUCCAGGCUAAAUCCCUUGCAGUGGCAAACACCCUUAAUGAGCUCGGAUCUAAAUUGCCAGUCCAGGCUAAAUUCAGACCCUAAUUAGAUUACCCGUCCGGACUAAAUCCUCAAUGCACAUAUAUUCUUUGGGAGGCUCGAUCACUCAAUGAACACCCGUCUGGGCUAGAUCCUUUCUAUAUUUGAGAUCAACAGAUUACCCGUCCGGGCUAAAUCCUUUUCUGCAGCACAUGCAGGAUCUCAUGUCACGUAAGACAUGGUUUAUCCAUCGAAUUUCCCCUUUUAAUUUCAACUGAGACAUUUAUCAUCUUGUCAUUAUUAUUAUUAACACAUUCACGAAUUUUCAUGUCAUCAUUAUAUACAACUAUCACACAUUCAUAAAACAUGUAUGUAGGCAUAUUAUGGGUUUACUUUAAGUUAUUCGAACUUACUUGGUAUUUGCGUCAGUUUUGCGUUAAAGGUUUUUCCGAAACCUUUCGUUUUCCUCGAUCGACCUCCAAAAUUUGUUCCUCGGGGUCUAUAACAAUAAAAAUGAACUAUCAAUAUCUCACAUUACUCUUUUCGUCCCUAAAUUUCACUCUCGGACCAAAUGACUAUUUUUCCCCUAACCUUUUACAUUAUUUACGAUUUAAUCCCUAGGUUCUUAAAACGAUAUACAUGCAAUUCCUUGAUUACCCAAGCCUAGCCAAAUGCAUUAUAAACUCAUACUAGCCCACAUUUUCUUCUAUUUCACAUUUCUACCUCAUAUUUUGUACCUUUUGCAAAAAGGUCAUUUUAGGGGUUUUUCAUGAAAAUCAUUUAGGAAAAGAUGUUUAACACACAUCUAACUUUCAUAUUCCCCCAUAAAACAUCAAAGAACAAACUUGUCAGACAUGGGUCACUUUGCAUACAUGAACCCUAACUUAAAAUAUAGGUAGAAAUGGAGAGAACAUGUUACAAGGAUCUCAAAAAUACAAAGAACAUUAAAAAUGGGGCUAGUAGUCACUUACUAUUAAGCUUGAAAAUGUUGAAAACCCUAGCUAUGGAGGGCUUGAGAAUUUUGGUUGGUACAAGGGAGAAGAUGGUUGAUUUUUGCCUUCAUUUUCCCUUUUUAUUGAUUUUAUUACCAAAUGACCAAAAUGCCCCUCCUUAUAAAACUUCUAAAUUUUUCCAUGUAUACCCAUUUUUGUCCAAAAACUUAGAAAUUGGGCAAAUUGCUAUUUAAGACCUUAUAGUUAAUAAUCUAAAUCAAUUUCAUGCAAAUUGCUUCUAGAAUCCAAGUUUUGCAAUUUAUUUAAUUUGGUCCUUAUUUUCCAAUUGGACACCUUAUUCAUAAAAUUUCUUCAUGAAACUUUAACGCAUGCAUAUUUUUAUAUUCUAGGCCUCAUAAUAAUAAUCAUAAAAUAAAUAUUUCAACAUUAGAUUUGUGGUCUUGAAACCAUUGUUUCGACUAGGCCCUAUUUCAGGAUGUUACAUUUCUCCCCCUUUAGGGACUUUCGUCCUCGAAAGUCUUACCAGUAAACAAAUGUUGCCUUUUGGACACCAUGUCGAUGCCAUAAAACUUUUACUAAAGCCACAUCUUUAUUCCUCAGUUGUUUAACCUCACGAGCCAAAAUCUUGACCGGUUCUUCACCAGAAGUCAUGUUCGGUCUAAUUUCAAUCUCCGUCGGCGAAAUCACAUGAGAGGGGUCUGAUCGACAUCGCCUUAACAUAGAUACAUGAAACACAUCGUGAAUCUUUUCCAAUUCUGGUGGCAAUGCCAAACAAUAGGUUAAUGGUCCAACUCUUUUAGUGAUCUUGUAUGGUCCGAUAAAUCGCGGAAUCAGUUUGCCUUUUCGGCCAAAUCUCAAUACUUUUUUCCAUGAAGAUACUUUCAAAAAUACUCUAUCCCUAACUUGAAAUUCGAUCUCUCUCCUUUUUAGAUCAGCAUAUGGCUUUUGCCUAUCCGAUGCCGCUUUUAAGCAGUCACGUAUCACUUUAACCUGUCAGUUUCCUUGAUCAGGUCAACUCCGUGAAUCUGACUCUCUUUGAGUUCUGUCCAAUACAAUGGAGUUCGACACUUUCUGCCAUACAAGGCCUUAUAAGGUGCCAUCUUCAAACUCGUUUGAAAACUGUUGUUGUAGGUGAACUCUACCAAUGGCAGGUAUUUUUCCCAGCUACCCUGAAAUUCGAGGAUGCAAUAUCGUAACAUAUCCUUAAGAAUCUGAAUCAUCUGCUCGAACUGACCAUCAGUCUGCAGGUGAAAGGCUGUACUAAAGCUCAACCUAAUACCCAAAGCUUCUUGUAGCUUCUUCUAGAAUCUCGAAGUGAAUCUCGGGUCUCUAUCUAAAAUAACCGAUAGCGGUACCCCGUGUAAUCUCACAAUCUCAGAUAUAUACAAGUCAGCCAACUUAUCAAGUGAAUAAUCUGUUCUUACCGGGAUAAAAUGUGCUGACUUUGUUAACUUAUCCACCACAACCAUAUAGCAUAUUUCUUUUUCGGGGUCAAUGGUAAUCCUGUCAUGAAGUCCAUAGUAAUUCUAUUCCACUUCUAUUCGGGGACCAUCACAGCUUGUAACAGACCUGAAGGUACUUGAUGUUCAACUUUGACUUACUGACAUAUCAAGUAUUUUGGUACAAAUUCGGAGAUGUCCCUUUUCAUGCCAUUCCACUAGUACAUUUUCUUCAAAUCAUUUUACAUUUUGGCAUUUCCAGGAUGAAUAGACAAACGGCUAUCAUGUGCCUCUUGCAAAAUUAUUCAAAUAAUUUCAUCGUUCCUUGGUACACAUGCUCUGUCUUUGAACAUCAAACAUCCAUCAAAACCAAUCUAAAAAUUUGAUUCGAUGCCCGACUCAGAUUGAGUUCUUUUAGCUUGCAGGUCACUAUCAUUAAUUUGAGCCUCAUAAAUUUCCUGAAGAAAUGUCGAACUAGGUCUUAGCUCAGAUAAGACCGAACCAUCAUCAAAUAAUGCCAAUUGAGCAUUCAUGGCCCUCAAUGCAAACAAAGAUUUUCUGCUUAGUGCAUGGCGACCACAUUCGCCUUUCCCGGGUGGUAAUCGAUGAUCAGCUCGUAAUCUUUAAUUAAUUCUAACCAUCUCCGUUGUCUCAGAUUCAAUUCCUUUUUAGUCAUCAAAUACUUCAAACCCUUGUGGUCUGUGAAUAUACGACAAGUCUCACCAUAUAAAUAAUGGCUCCAAUUUUUCAAGGCAAAAACAAUGGCGACAAGCUCUAAGUUGUGCGUCGGAUAAUUCUUCUCGUGUGGCUUCAAUUGCUGCGAAGCAUAAGCUAUCACCUUGCCAUUUUGCAUAAGCACACAAUCCAGUCCAUUUAAGGAUGCAUCGCUGUAGACCACAAACUCUUUUCCCGACUCGAGUAACAUUAGAACUAGAGCCUUAGUCAGCAAUGUCUUCAACUUCCCAAAACUCUGCUUAGGGGUGUUCAAUCGGUUAACCGACCCGAAAUAACAUUAACCGAAUUAACCGACCUUUCAAAACUUUUAACCGUUAACUGAACCGAAAUUUUUUCGGUUAAUUCAGUCGGUUAACCGAAUUAACUAAAAAUUAUAUGUUUUUUUAAUUUUUGGUUAAAAUAAGUAUAAAAUUAACUGAAUUAAUCGAAUUAACCGAAUUACCCGAAUUACCCGAAUUACCCGAAUUAACUGAAUUAACCGAAUUAUUUGUAUAAAAUUAUAUGUUUUUUAUUUUUAUUUAUUAAAUUAUUUGUAAUUUUUAUGAUUGGGUUGGGUAAUUGGGUUGGGUUGGAUACUUGGGUUAAUAUAUAUUAGAUUGGGUAUUUGAGUUUAUGUUGGAUUGGGUUUGAGUGAAUAGUGGGCUAUUUAUAUAUUAUAAUUUUAUUUAUUAAUUUUUUGGUUAAACCAAAAAAAUUCGAUUAACCGACGUGUUUCGAACCGAAUUAACUAUUAAUCGAAAACUCAAAAUAUUAUUAAUCGACCCCCGACCGAAUUAAUUCAAUUAACAGACUGAUAAACCAAAUUCGGUCAGUUAACCAAAUUUUUUCGGUUUUACCCGAAUUUUGCGCACCCCUAACAUUGCUGACAUUUUUCUGACCAUUCAAACUUAAUGUCUUUCUGUAGCAACCUCGUCAUUGGAGUUGCUAUCAUGAAGAAUCCUUUCACAAAUCUUCGGUCGUAACCGACUAAGCCCAAAAAGCUUCUAACCUCAGUUACAUUUUUGGGUGGUUUCCAUUUAAUGAUAGCAGAUAUCUUACUUGGAUCAACUCGAAUGCUAUCACCCGAAACAAUAUGACCCCAAAACCCUACCUCUUGAAGCCAAAACUCACUCUUGCUAAACUUAGCAUACAAUUGUUUUUCUCGUAAGGUCUGCAACACAGUCCUCAAAUGCUUCACAUGUUCUAUCUCAUCCUUGGAAUAAAUCAAAAUGUCAUCAAUGAACAAACCGACAAACUUGUCCAAGUAUGACCGAAAUAUCCUAUUCAUUAGGUCCAUAAAUACGGCCGGUGCAUUCGUCAACCCAAACGACAUAACAAGAAAUUCAUAGUGGCUAUACCUCGUCCUGAAAGCUAUCUUAGGCACGUCUGAUUCCUUAACUCGCAAUUGAUAAUAGCUGGAUCUCAGGUCUACCUUAGAGAAUACAGUGGCUCCUUUCAACUGGUUAAACAAAUCAUCGAUCCUUGGCAAAGGAUACUUAUCCUUGAUAGUUACCUUGUUCAGUUGCCAAUAAUCUAUACAUAGCCUUAUUGACCAAUCUUUUUUCUUUACAAAUAAUACGGGAGCACCCCAAGGCGAAAAGCUUAGCCUAGCAAAACCUUUAUCCAUCAGUUCUUGCAACUGUGCUUUUAACUCUUUCAACUCAGCUGGUGCCAUCCUAUACGGAGCAAUAGAAAUAGGAGCUGUUCCUGGCACCAGUUCAAUGCCAAACUCUAUCUCUCUAUCGGGAGGUAAUCCGGAUAAUUCCUUCGGGAACACGUUUGGAUAUUCACGUACUGUUGGUAUGGACUCAAUCUUCAACUCCGUUUCCUUAGUGUUCAGUAGAAAAGCAAGGUAGGCUUCGUACCCUUUCCUCAUAUAUCUUUGAGCCAUCACUGAUGUAAUUACAACCGGUGGAGUACCCAAUUCGCUUAAAUCAAUCCGGAGAAUCUCACCAUCUGAGCAUUUCAAUUUGAUAUACUUGCUACCGCAAUUUACAAUCACAUCAUACACAGCUUACCAAUCCAUGCCAAGUAUUACAUCAAAUUCAUCAAAUGGAAAUAACAUAAGGUUAGCUAGAAAACAAUAACCUUAAAUCAUUAAGGGACAAUUCCUAUAGACUUUAUCAACUAGAACAGACUUGCCUAGGGGAUUAGACACCUUAAUCUCGAACUCUCUAGGUUCUACAGAUAUAUUCAAGCUAGACAUUAAUUUCAUGGAAAUAUAUGAAUGGGUCGAUCCUGGGUCAAUCAAGGUAAUAACAUGUACAUCAUGAAGAGAGUGACAUCAAGGGCAGAGGCUUCCUUUCGAACAAGAAUUGCAUAAGUUCUUGCCGGGGCUCAAGCAUAUGAUUUUGUAGUGCAUUUGGCUGUAACUCGACUGCCGCUAGCACUUCUAGGAUAUCUCAGAGGUCUGCCUCGAGAAAUAGGAGCACUCGACUUCAGAGCUAAUUCUAUCUCUUUAUUGGCUCGCUCUGGGUAGUCUCUGAGGAAGUGGUCAAGAGAACUACAUCUAUAGCAUGCACCGCUUUUCAUUCGGCACUCUCCGAAGUGAAAUUUAUUGCAGCUUUGACACUUCGGCUUUUGGUCAACUACACUCCCCACGCUAGUCACCAUAGAGGAGGAAGGCUUCUAGUUACGUCGUUUGGAGCUUUAUGCUCUCCGCGAAUAUCCUAUCGAUGAAGUGGAGCAUUCAUGCUGGCUUCUUAACUUCUUAUUAGGAAAUGAGAGUGUCUUGCCACUGGACCUUUUGCUCGAAACUCGAGCUUCUCUCUUAGCUUGCUUCCUUUCAUUAUUGAGCUCCUCGGCCUUCUUGGCCCGAUCAGCUAAAGCAGCAAACUCUCAAAUCUCAAGGAUCCCAAUUAACAGCUUGAUUUCCUCAUUUAGACCUUCCUUGAAGCAUUUUCACAUUUCUGACUCUAUUUGAAUCCAUUCAGUCGCAUACUGACUUAGUCUUAUGAAUUCCCUUUCUUAUUCCGCUACAGUUUUUUUCCUUGUUUGAUUUCUAGGAACUCCUUUCGCUUCGAGUCCAAGAACCUUUGACUAAUGUAUUUUUUCCUAAACUCUGCUUGGAAAAAUUCCCAAGUGAUGUUUUCCUUUUGCACCACUGAAGAUACAUCUUCCACCAAUGGUAUGUAGUAUCUUUCAGAAGAGAUACAACACACUUUACACACUCCUCAGGCGUGGACGAUAACUCGUCCAAUACUCGUGUAGUGUUCUUAAGCAAGAACUUAGCUCGUUCAGCAUCAUCAUCAAUCUUAGCUAUAAAUUAUUCAGCCCCAUACUUCCUAAGCUUAUCCACCGGGGCUUUACCAAUUCCUUGUGGCACUUUGGAACUACAGAAAAAUGUGCAAGUGUGCUCAAUCGCAACAAGUAAUAAAGUGACAAGUAAAUGUCGAGUUAUCGUACCCACAAGGACUGUAAAAUAAUUAUUUAUGAAAUUAACUGUAAAACACUUUUGUGAGGUAAAAUUAAUUUGGCUUUAAAAGAUGGUCAAAAACUAUUUAAAAACUAAGUAAAUAAUUAAAAAUAACAAAGGAGUUCUAAUGCACGAUUUCAAAUCAGAUUUAAUCAAUGUAACAUACUUGUGUUGGAUUAAUUAUAUUUCUUGAACUCAGAAUUAUUGAACUCAUGUUUAUACUAUUACAAAUAAAUUCACAGCAACCCGGUAGUUUGCUAACUUAUGAACAAACUUACAUACAAAAAUCCAUUCAUCUCUUGACAUAUCCCUAUGUCAAUUCAACCGACUACCCAGAUUCUAGCAAGUAAACAUGCUAUUGCACAUACAUAAUCAUUAAAUUGAACCAAUCUCUUGCAUAUCCCUAUGCUAAUUCAAACGAUUAAUUAAACCUAAUAAGCAUAUAAAAGACUUUGUGAAGUAAAAAGGCAUCCCUACCUUGAAAGAAUUUAAUCACAAUAUUCUUGGAAGUUAUGCAAGGCAAUAAUAUCGCCAGAUACAUUGCUAAUUUACCCUUCAGCUACCUUAGAAGAAUAAACAUGUACUGAUUAAGUACUAUGUCAAUUAAUUAUAAUUUCAAUCCGUUUAAAUAAUUAAUUUAUUAGUUACCUCACAGUCGUAACGCAAGGAUAACUUAGGCAUGAUUUUACUUAACCAAGCAAUUUACGGAGGCUUAUAACAGCAUAAACAUCAUUUUAACAAUUCAAGCAGGUAGAAUAUAAUCAACCCAACACAAACAUAAUUUAAGCUGAAUUGAUUAAAAUAACCAUUUCAAUAGCAUAAAUAUUCAUAAACAUGUUCGUCAAAACAAAAAUAAUAAUUAAAUAGUUAGGGAACAAGAGGCAAAUCCGGUGUUUCUCCGUGGCUUGACUAGUUGCUCCGUUCUUCGUUGUUCGUUGGCCUUGGCUAUCAAGGUGGCUUAUGAACACCUAAUUGCAACUCCGAAUGGCUGAUAGAAGCCUAUUUCCCAAGAGAAGAAAUCGCACUUGAACAAGAGGGAAUGGAAUGGAAAAAAUGAGAGAAAAGUGAGAGAGGAGAAGAGAGAAUGAUGUGAAGUGAGUGAUGGAUGAGGGAUGAUUUGAAUGAUCAGAAAGGGGUGGCUUUUAUAGCUGAAUAUGGCAGCUAAAAAUAGAAAAAAGAAUCAGCCUAAGAAACCUCCCUUGGCCAGCCACACACAUGGCAAAGUUGAGAGUUUCAACUUUGCUAUUUUAGGCUUAGGGCAAUUUCAUAAAGCCAUAAUUAAAGGAGGGAUUUGAAUGCAUUUUGAAAGUUCUUCAAGGACCUUUUUGCAAGCAUAUUUAAUCAGCUAAAAUUCUGAUUUGGGCCAGCCUAUGGAUGGUUCUUGGCUGCCCAUUUAGUGGUUGGUUUCGUUCAUUCAAUAUGGUUCGACCAAUGCGGUUCAACUGGACCCUUUCUCCAUAAUAAUUAAAAAUAAUUUAUUUAACCCAAAUUAAAUGGGGAAUAAAUUAAAAUUAAUUAAAUUAUGAAUUAAAAUAUAUUUCUGGACCGUCUUAUGCUUGAAAUUAAUGUGCCUCGAUACUUCAAAUUGCUUUUCGGUUUUGUGCUUUCAGCAGUCAGUCGAGCCAAUUUUCGCCUUUGCACGAAUCUUCGAAAAAUAGUCAAAAUUAAUCAAAAUUAAGUAUAAUUUUAAUAAAAUUCACCAUGUUGAUAUUUUUAACACAAUUUUAUUAUUUUAUAAAAUUUAAUUAUUUUUCGAUAAGAAUUUAACCGGAUUUGCAUGAAUUUAAGUAAAAAUGGGUAUGAAAAAGUAUAUAAAUUUUUGUGUUUCCACACCCCCAAACUUAAUUCAUUGCUCGUCUCGAGUAAUGCAAAAAUUUUGAAAAGAAUUUCUCAGAAACACCUUUGAAAAAUUCCCUCAGAACAACAUUUUUCCCAAAAUUAUGAAUGUAAAAUACUUAUGCUCAAAAACAAGAAAUCUAAUAGUUACGCUACUUAAGUAUACAUAUUGUUCAAAUUAAAUUCAACAACUUAUUAUAAUAGCUAAAUUUAGACUAGACGCUUUUGUAACAAAGACGUGUUAACCCUUACCACUGUAAUUUUAUUCCCUUUAUUCAAGAUUAAGCUGCAAUCAUUAAGUUUAACUUAUGCCUUCAUAUGUUGUACGUAGCAAUUUCUCUCCACUAAUGUAGGUAGCAUUGGAACGUUGAAUCAAUAGGCCUUUAACAAGGUUGUAGCGUGGCUGGGCUUAAGGGUAGGUAAAGAUAGAUAAACUUAGGCUUUUAAACCCUAGACUCAGCUUGCAUCGAACCUUCGAAAUAAUUACCUUUAAUACAUCAACUUUCUUUACUUUCACAUGCUCUUUUGUACAUCUUAUUUUAAGAACUCAUGCUCUCUCUUUUUUUUUUGACACGAGCAUUUUACUGAAUAUACUACGAUUUUGGAAAUUUGAUAUUUCUUUUCAACUCCCCCAAACUUAUUUUCAAAGAAUACUUUGAAUAGUACUGAGUCUAGUGUUUGGAAAAAUUUUAAGAUAGUUAAGAGAGAAGUGAUGCUAAAUUUGCAAGGGUUCAAAUAAAAUUAGGCCAUAUAGUCUCAAAGUUGGGUUUCAAAGGAUAAAAACUUCAUCAUGGUUGGCUUGAAAGGCUCAAACAGUCCAAACAGUAGUUGCCUAAAUCAUUUCCAAUGUUCCAUGCUCCCUAGGAUUUCGCCCCAAGAAACUACUAAGUCAAUUCUAGAGACUUAAACUUUCAUGCAUACCUAACUUUCCUAAAGAACUAAAAAAUUUUAUGGUACGAAUUUGCAUGCUUUAUUAAAAAUACAUUCAUGUCAUUAUUAAUCUAACAUAAUAAUUUAUUGAAAUAAUAAAACUUUAUUCAUACUCAAAUUGAGCAUACUUAACAAAAUUCAAAUUUUUUAACGAAAUAAAUCCUAAUCAUAAUUAAAAGAAAAAUUUUAUUUUGAGUGGAAAUAAUUCAAAUUUUCGAUCCCCCCAACUUAAAAUGAACAAUGUCUUCAUUGUUUAAAGUGAACAGAUACUAUACGCCAGGUAGGAUUUUAGAAAAGAGCAGGUGAGUCAAUUUGACUGCUUAAGUACCAAGCUCUUUCUAAAUCCAAUCCUAGACAUGUAUAUAUCUAUUACCACACUUUAUACUUUGUGGCUUGCUCACAUUUUAUUAGUGAUUUUCCUCUCCUAUUUUAUUAUGCAAAAAAAAAUAAAAGAUUCCUAAUUAAACUUAAUCCAAAAAAUAGUCUAAGAACAAAAAUAAAGUAAAGUCAAGAUACCCCAUUUAUUUAUUUGCAAAUUCUUUCGAAUUCGACUCGUCUUUUGCUCCAUUAUCUUUGUUUUUGCAUGAAUCGCUUCACUCCCUCUUUGAUAGUGGACUCCAUGGUUCAAAUAUGAAAUCUAGAAACUCAGGCACAAAAAUAAAUGGGUUAUGAAAUAUAUACUUUUUAAAUGCAUAUCUGAUUGAGUCAUCCUGUAUUUUUUAGUAUCUCCAGUAAUCUUGUUGUUGCAACUACAUGUGUUGCAACAUAGCCAUUAUACCAAACUAUUCACUUCGUGGAAUGGUGCUAGUUAAAGGGACUCUCAGAGUCAAACUUAGAAAUUUGUUAAGCAUGGUUUCAAUUUUGGGCAGGUGGGUGAGUAGCUGAGGGUAAGGUUUUAAGUCGAAGAGGGUGGCGAUUUUAAGGAUAGUCUAGGUGCAGUUGUUGGUGACUUUGAAUGAAGGUGUUUGGGGUGGUGAUUCAGAGUGUUAAGGGCUGCAACAUUAAAGGGUUAAGUGAGAUGCACUAUUGGGCUACUUGGGAGUGGUGGUGGAGCAAGUUAAGGGCUGUAGGUUUAUGCAGAAAAGUUUUGACUAUUUCUCUUCUUAGUAGUGUCUUAAGCCCAAUGGCAGCUCCUUUUUGGAUCCUAGGCUCUUAUACUGAAAAUAAACUAAAAAAACACUCAAAGAAAUUAGUGCUUGGGUUAAAAGUUGGACCUUUAUUUAACAAAACAAAUACUUAAAUUCUUUGGGCUACUUAGAAAAAUAUAUUUUUUUAAAUUACAUUAAAUUAAACUCCCAGGAAAGACUGGAGGGGUCAAGGAUGGUCCCGCUUAAGUCCCAAUCUCCUAGAUAGAGUUUUAAUUAAUGUAAUGAACUAAAGAAAAUUUUAUCUAAGUCUACCAUUUUAUUCAAAUGAGGAAAAAAAAACUAAAAAUGAAAAAUAAUGGUAGAGAAAGUGAAUAGAACUCCCUCUAUUUUAUUUAGGAUCAUCAUUGACCAUGGUGGCGUCAAAUGUGUAACGCCCCAAACCUAGCCUGGACGUUAUGGCCAAGUCUGACGUGUCACAUUGACUUACGACUGAUUGUGUUCUUUGUUUAUGGUAAUCAGGGUGAUUUUGUAAAACAAUGGCUAAUUGUUGACUAAGAAGAAAAAAAAACACCGAUUAAUUAAGUCUUUAGGUUAUCCAUUUGUUACGCUCGUUGUGUUUUGAAAUCGUUUAUUAAUUUUGGACAAAAACUUACACAGCCUGAAUCUAACAGUUUAAAUCGAGUAUACGUAAAACAAUUAAUAAAACCAUAAAAUUUACGAGUGGCCUUAUUACAACUUAAGACCCAAAACAAUUAAAGUAAGUAAAGGCUGAUCAAAACACAUGAAGAAAACUGAAUUUGCAAAACAUGUGGCCACUCCGAAUCCCUCACAGCUCCAAGUCCACUAUGGUUAGGGAUUUCCUGCAUGGAUGAAAUCAAGGGGUGAGUUUGAAAAACUCAGUGUGUAAAAUAACCCAACCAUAGUCCAAAUCAGAACAAACCACAGAAACAGAUUAAGUUGGGCCUUAGCCCUAUAGAAAAUUCAGAAUGAAGCCCAUAGGCCCAUAAAAGAUACAGAACAGAUAUUUCAUGUAUGCAGAAAACCCAAUCCAUAUCCAUCUGUAUACACCCCCGUACCAACCUUACACCAUGUGGGGAGACAACUCGACCCACCCAUCCGCUACACACCACAGAAAUUGCAGCAUGGCUGCCAGAACAGAUAUUGUGACAGAGUCAACAGAUACAGAUAUUGUGGCAGAGCCACCAGAAUAGAUAUUUGUGGCAUAGCCACCAGAACGCUUCCUCCAUCAAUAUAACCCAUAUCCUAUGCAACAGAUAUACAUGUCAUGGCAUACAACAUACAGAAUCAGAAUAUCAUGCAUUUCAGUCAAAAUUAACCCUAGGGGUAUAACGGUCACUUUGCACUUAGGGGUAGAAUGGUAAUUUCAUACUUAGGGGUAUUUUAGUAAAUUUACUAUUUUAGGGUUUUCAUGCAUAUUAUAGCCAUUAACGUAUUAACAGAAACACUUACCGAGCAUUUUUACGGAAUUGGGCCCGUUAGGCCAUUAACCCGAUUAACAAACAAACUAUCUCAUGAGUGCUCACACGCUUGUAAGUUCACAAAAUGCCGGCUUUUCGGCAUUGACUUUUCGACUUUUGCCGAUCCAGUCUAUAAGUGGGUGUCGUUUACACACUUGUUUUGCGACAAAUUGACGACGGGAUCCCCUUACGAUAUCCUACAAUCGAUUACCCACAUGUUAGAAUACAAGUCAAUAACUAUCAUGUAUUAAACUCCUUACCAUAUUCGGCCAUUAACACCUUAGGCCCUAAAGUUCUUACCUUUGCCGAAAUUUGGACUAGAUCUAGAUGUCCAACAGUGUUAGCCUUCGAAGCCCUUUGCUGAAAGUCCCCCUUGUCCACACUAGCGCACACAAAACCAAAAGAAGGAGGCCAAUAUGCCCUUGUUCACCCUUAGUUGAUAGGGAUUUCAGCUUUUACCAUAAAACAAGAGUAACUAAUGAAAGAUUCGAGCACUUACCUAAAACGUUAUGACACUACUCCCGAUCUACUGUAGAUCCAACCACCGCACAAGAAGAGAAAAGUAUAAUCAAAGAUUCGGCUUCUGAAGUACCUCAGUGUAGAAAAGUUUCAAUUUGAAAGAAAGGAUGAGAGGUUCGGCUUCAAUGGAGAUUCGGCUAACCAGCUUUGAUAAGGGUUAAUGAGGAAAAGAAGAAGAGAAAUAUGGAGGAUAUAGGUUCGGCUAAGGAGAAAUCGACAGUAGGUAUUUGGUUUUGAGGGAAAACAAAGGUGAAGAAGAUAAGGGUCGAUAAGAAAAGAGGAAAGAAGAGGGGAGGAGAUGAGAGAAUUCGGUUUUGAAGAAGAGAAAGGAUGAUAGCUUUAUCUUACACAAGUCGGCACAAGUGUAGGAUGUAGGUUUCGGCUUCUAGCAAAAGAAAGAAAAAGAGAAAAACCUAAGAUACCCUACCCUAUUUCGGCAAAACAGGAGAAUGACCAAACAAAUCUCGAAAAUGCACAAAAAGAAUUCGACAACCACUAAUCCAAAUGCCGAGAUUGCAAACACUAAGAGACCUAGCCGAAUUUGCACUUACAAAGUCCCCUAUACGGCCAACUCUUGCUUCCUAUUCAGACUCCUUGAUUUUCUCCCCUUAUCUCUCCUUUACUCAAUCCCUUGAACAACUCAAACUCUUCCUGACAAAGUUCCACCUGAGUUCCAUCACAUACCAUUCCUGCUCAUAAAAAAAAUAAUACCUUUAUUUGCUUAUCUUGUGACUUGAACCUUAGCUCCCCCUCUGACUUCCACACGCCACCUUUUUAGUACCUCAGUGGCAUUACCCUGCCACUUUACCACGGGUCUUCUUGUGGCCUAUUCUACCAAUUUAAUCUUAAAGGCCCAAUACACUAAAACCACCUUCUCUUUUAAAAUCAAAAUUUAUUAAAUCUACCAGGUUUUAACUUAGACUUGGGCCUUCUAGAGGCCCACUAACAUUCUUAAACAUUAUUUAUACAAUCAGAUCAUACAAAAAUCAAGAUUCACCAAAACUCAUAGAAAUCUUGAAAAGUCCCGAAAAUCAGGGUGUUACAACUCUACCCUCCCUAAAAAAAUUUCAUCCUCGAAAUGUACCUGUCCAAAUAGAUGAGGGUAUUGUUGACGCAUCGCCUCUUCUGGCUCCCAAGUAGCUUCCUCUCUUCCAUGAUUACGCCAGAGUACCUUUACCAAUGGAACUGACUUCCUUCUUAGAACCUUAACAUCUCGAUCCAAUAUCUGUACAGGCUCUUCCUCGAAAGUCAAAUCAGGCUGCACUUCAAUCUCUGCAAUUGGCACGACAUGAGUAGGGUCAGAACGAUAUCGCCUUAACAUGGAAACGUGAAAAUUUUCGUGAAUCCUGUCUAACUCUAGAGGUAAUUCCAAUUGGUAAGCCACUAGACCUACUCGCUUAAGAACCCAAUAAAGCUCGAUGAAUCGAGGUCUCAACUUGCCCAUCUUACCAAACCUUAAUAUCUUCUUCCAAGGAGAAACCUUCAAGAAGACCAUAUCACCCACUGAGUACUCAAUCUCCUUACGCUUCGAAUCUGCAUACGACUUUUGCCUAUCAGAUGCUUUUUUUAACUGAUCUCUGAUUAUUCUAACCUUAUCUUCAGUAUUCACUACCAACUCAGGUCCAAGAACCUGUCGUUCUCCUAAUUCAGUCCAACAACUAGGUGUACGACACCUACGUCCAUACAUCGCUUCAUAUGGUGCUAUUCGGAUACUCACCUGAUAACUGUUGUUAUACGCAAACUCUGACAAUGGCAAGUAAACUUCCCAACUACCUCAGAAGUCAAUAACGGAUCCCCUCAACAUGUCUUCUAAAAUCUGAAUAACCCUUUCCGACUGACCAUCAGUCUAAGGAUGAAAAGCCGUGCUAAAGUUCAAUCGCAUUCCAAACACCUCAUACAACUUUUUCCAGAACCAAGAUGUGAACCUAGGAUCCCGGUCAGAAAUAAUUGAGACUGGGAUUCCAUGAAGUCGAACGAUCUCCACCACAUACAACUUAGCUAACUUUUGAAGUGAAUAAUCAGUGCGGACAGGUAUGAAAUGAGCAGAUUUUGUCAACCUAUCCACAAUCACCCAAACUGAGUCCUUCUUCGUCGGUGUCAAAGGUAGCCCACUCACAAAGUCCAUGGUUACCCUCUCCCACUUCCAAAGUGGUAUCUUCAGUGGCUGUAAAAGUCCGGAAGGUAGUUGAUGCUUAGCUUUCACUUGCUGGCAUGUCAGGCAUUUCCCCACGAAAUUCGUUACUUCUCAUUUAAGCCCAGGCCACCAAUACAAUUCUCGCAAGUUGUAAAACAAAUUAUUCCCUCCAGGAUGCAUAGCAAAAAGUCCUCCAUGAGCUUCUUUCAGUAUUGACUGCCUUAAGUCAGAGUCCUUCGGAAUGCAAACUCUUCCUCGAAAACACAGAACUCCUUCACUAUUCAACCCAAACUCAAAACCCUUUCUUAACUUGUUGGAAUCGAGAAACUAAAGACUCAUCCUUCAACUACUUUUCCCUAAUCUGAUCCACCUAAGUUGGCCUUACUUGUAACUUAGCCAACAAACUACCAUCAUCAUACAGACUCAGACGAGUAGACAUUACCCUUUGAUCAGAUACAGCUCUACGGCUUAGGGCAUCGGCUACCACAUUAGCCUUGCCUGGGUGAUACUCAAUCGAACAGUCAAGUAACUCUAUCCAUCUUCGUUGCCUAAGGUUCAACUCCUUCUGAGUCAGCAAGUACUGAAGACUCUUAUGAUCCGUGUAUAUGACACACCUUUCUCCGUACAAGUAGUGUCUCUAAAUCUUAAGUGCAAAGAUUACUGCUGCCAAUUCUAAAUCGUGAGUAGGAUAGUUUACUUCGCGAGGCUUAAGCUAUCGUGAUGCAUAAGCAACCACCUUGCCCCCUUGCAUCAACACACAGCCCAAACCCACAUGUGAUGCGUCACUGUACAUGGAAAAAUCCUUCCCAGACUCUGGCUGAAUUAAUACAGGUGCCUCAGUUAGAACUUUCUUCAAUUUCUCAAAAGCUUCCUGCUGCUUCUCGAUCCAAAAAAACAGUGCUCCUUUCCUUAUAAGCUUUGUCAAUGGUGCUGCCAACAUAGAAAAACCUUCCACAAACCUUCUGUAGUACUCUGCCAAACCCAGGAAACUCUAAAUUUCCGACACCGACCUAGGUGGCUUCCACUCCAGAAUCGCUUUAACCUUUCAAGGGUCCACCUUGAUCCCCUCAGUAGAACAACAUGACCUAAGAAGCUUACCUCCUUCAACCAGAAUUUACACUUACUGAAUUUCGCAUAAAGUUCAUUCUCCCUCAACACUUGCAGCAUAAUGCGGAGAUGUUCAACAUGCUUCUCUUCAGUUUCAAAAUAUAUUAGAAUAUCAUCAAUAAAAACGACUACGAAUCAAUCUAAAAAUGGUUGGAAUACACAAUUCAUCAGAUCCAUGAAUGCUGCAGGAGCGUUCGUCAGUCCAAAUGACAUAACCAGAAACUCUUAAUGACCAUACAGAGUCCUGAAUGUCGUCUUAUGAAUAUCUACCUCCUUGACCCAUAACUGAUGAUAUCCAGAUCGAAGAUCUAUCUUGGAGAAUACCAGAGCUCCUCUAAGUUGGUCAAACAAAUCGUCGAUUCUUGGCAGAGGGUACUUAUUCUUAAUUGUCAGUUUGUUCGACUGCUGAUAAUCGAUGCACAUCUGCAUCGUACCAUCCCUUUUUUUCACAAACAACACUGGUGCUCCCCACAGAGACACACUCAGCCUAAUAAAGCCUCUAUCCAACAACUCUUGAAUCUGUGCUUUCAGCUCUACUAACUCCUUCAGUGCCAUCCUGUAUGGUGCGAUGGACAUUGGUGCCAUUCCAGGCAACAAGUCGAUUUCAAACUCGACUUCUCGAUUCGGAGGUAAUCCCGGAAGCUCCUCUGGAAAAUAUCUUGGAAUUCCUUAACGGUUCUAACCUUAUCCACCGUCAGUCCCUCAGUCUCCAACUGACUUACAAAUGCCAAAUAAGCCUCAUAACCCUUACGAAUCCACUUCUCGGCUCUCAACGCCGACACCAUAUUGGACAAAUAAUCCCUUCGCUCACCUAUCACCAUAACCUCCUCACCCUCUGCAGUCUUUAACACCAUUCGCUUAGCGCCACAAUCCAGAGUUUCCCUAUGCUUAACAAGCCAGUCCAUUCCCAGAAUGAGGUCGAAUUCUCCAAACGAUAACUCCAUCAAGUCUCCAGAGAAAAUCUUACCUUGAGUUUCUAAAGGCACGUCUCUAUAUAGUUUGUCUACCCUAACCGAGUGGCCCAAAGGACUUAGUACCGAUACCCUACUCACAGUCUCCUCAGAGUGCACACCCAACGACCCAGAUAUGGCACAUGCAACAUACGAAUGAGUAAAUCCAAUAUCUAUCAAAGCAGUGUACGGCAUGCUAGAAAUCAAGAACGUACCGGUUAUGACGUCGGGUGCAUCACCCUCCUCUCGACGAUGAGCUGCAUACACCAACACUGGCUGACGAGCCUCAGCAUUUUCGGCACCUCUGUCAGGUACUCCUCGACCCUGACCAUUUCCAUUACCGCCCCUACCUUGUCCACAUCCUCUCGGUGGUUGCGGUCCACCUCUCACUGGUUGAGCAACCCUCUGAUCUGCAACUUGAACCUGAUCUAUUUUCUGAGGACAGUCCUUGACUUUAUGCUCCAUAGAUCUGCACCGGAAACAAGCACCAGAACGUCUCCUACACUCGCCCAGAUGUAACUUACCAUAGUCCCCACAAACUUGUGGUCUAACAACAUUCAUCGAAACUGCUCGAACUGGCUCUUCCACUCUUGCUCUUUUAACAUUCCUAUUUGUACCACCCGAAGGUCCUGAAUCCCUCCGAAAACUGUUUCGAUCCUUCUCAUGAUUCUGUCUUUCAGUACGCUUCACCUCCUCAGCUAUCUUAGCUUUCUCCACCAAAGCAGCAAAGUCAUGCUCCCUCUGGUGAGCAAUCAAAAAUAGUGUGGGCCUGAGCCCAUUCUAGUAACAGUAUCAGUAAGGCCUAAGCCCAUUACAGGAUCAGUGCAAUAUGCAAUCAGAAAAUCCUACCCAAUCCAUCUGCUACACACCAUCUCCGUAUCAGCCCUACACACUAUGUGGCGAUAAAAUCGACCCACCCAACCCUACACACCAAGUAGCACCGGUUGCAGCACUAAAAUAGUAUUGUAGCAAAGUUGCCAUUAUAGUAGGAUUUAAGCCAUCAGUAAGUCCACAGUCGUCUUGCACGACCCAUGCGACCACAUCAGUACAGUACAGUUCCUCCAAAAUCAUAUAUCCCACCCCAUGCAAUGCAACAUAAUAUCAUACAUGGAUGCAACAUACAUAUAACGUGGCAUGCUCAAAUGUAGUCAUACACAUUGUAGUACAAAUCUGUCAUUUUACCUUAUAGGGGUAUUAUAGCCAUUUUACCCUAUGGGGGUAUUUCAAUCAUUUUACCUUAUAAGGGAAAAAUAGUCAUUUCAAUACAUUGGGGUUUAGGUAUACUUACCGACCCAACAGAAGGUCACAGUCUUCUUGUGUGACCCAUGCAACCUUAAUAGUCCAACAGUGAAAAAUGGGCCCAAGGCCCAUUAUGUGGCCCAUGUAGGCCCACACGCCCGUGUGACCCACAAGCCCAAAAAUGGCAUUGGUCGUGUAAACAGCCUAGCCCAAAAAUCACCACAUGUCUGUGUGGUUUACCCAUGUAGGGCCCACAAGCCCGUGGGGCCCACAUAGACCAGUCUAGCCCAACGUGUCCCAGAACGGCCUAAGUCCAUGGUAUCACCCAUGGUGGCCUCUCGUACCAUGUUAAUGCAUUCAGGGUUACCACAUGAGUGAUUACAUGCCCAUGUGGCAUCAACGGUCCUAUUUUCUGGCUUUUCUCGAUUUACGGUUAAGACAAUGUUUUACACACCUGUUAACGAGAGAAUACCAACCUCCACGAACUCUAACCUAUUUCAAUAAAAGCUUUGGUUAGACACCUAACUCACGAGUUGAAAGAAACCCUAACCGAACUUGAACAAAAAUCACUUACUAUCGCCUUGCUUGAACAAUAUGGUUUAAGCCCACCUCUAACUCUAACGAAAGUCAAUAUCAGACACUUCGGUGGUUAUCUGCAUGAUAAGUGAAUUCAUUAAACAUGCUACUUAUACUCAAAGGUUGAACAUCGCAUUCCAACCCAAAGAUGAUUGGAAGGAGUAUGCGGGUAUGAUCAAAAAACCUCAAACCAAAUUGCCUCAUUCGAUCAAAUGCCAUGAAUAUUGUUACCUUAGAAUGAAAGAUGAGAGGUUGGUUUUGAUCGUUUCAGAAUCCUGGCUAACUCCCUCAUUCCUCGUAAAACCAGAAACAAAAGGAACCAUGAUCAAUGAGAGAAGAGAUAACAGUCGGCAUUAGGAAUUAAGAGAAAGAAUAACCGAAAGAACAGAGACAAUAGAGACUUACCACAAGGAGAUGUCAGUUGUAGGGGUAACAUAGUCGGCCUAUCACCUUGUUAUGAAAUUGAGUCCCAAUAGAACAAGGGGACUUCGGUAAACCUUCAGCAAGAAAUAGCCAAGGAAUAGUAAAGAAAGAAGAUGGUCAGACCUUGAUAAGAUUCGACUAAAGCAAAAAGGACAGAAGAGUCAAGAAAAAGAGAGAAGGAGAGGGAAAGAAUAGGCCCACCAGCAAGGCUAACCACCGAAAAGAUUUGUGAGAGGGAGAGCAAAUGCUAUUCGGCCAAAGAGAAGAAUACUAAAUGAAAAAGAGGGGUGAAAAAUAGAAAUCGGUGGACUAGAGUCUUGAGAGAAAAGUAGAAUCUAACCUACUAAAAACUGAGAGGGUGCCCAAGACCAAAAAUCUAGACAAUGCACAGCUUCAACAACAACAAAAACCAAAAAUGCCAAGACCCGAAGUGAACAGCAAGGGAAAAUCCCCAACUCAAAGCUGAAUUUCCUAAGACAAAAUUCCCUAUUCGGCUACAACUCCUGCUCCUUCCUAAUCCCACAAAAUUCUCCUCAAAACACUCCUCUAUUCCCUUACUUGACCAAUUCAAAUUCUCUCCACUACAAGACUUCAAAUUCAGCACAACUACCCCCACACCUCAAUCUCUACUAUUUUUUCCCCUUAUCCCUCUCCUAAAAUCUCUCCACUACAUCCUCAAACUGAUCACCACCCAAUUCCCCUUUCUUCUCUUCAAUUUCGGCUAACAUGAUCCCUUACUUCACUCAACAACUCAACCGACCAAGAAAUAGAGUCCCACUGCCCUACCACCUCCUACCCCACAGCUUGCAAAAAUAAACGCACUUGCACGUAGCAAGACUCGAACCCCAAUCUUCUAGCAAUAAAUACACACCACUAACCCCUUGACCAGCAAUCUUUUUAUGUUAAACAACCCUCACAAUAAUUUAAAAGUACACUAGCUGGAGACAAGGGGUAACGCAAGUAGAAGCUCAAAUUUUGCUCAAGGCAAGGCUUGAACCCAUGACUCCCCAUACACUCCCUAAGAGCUAAACCACUAAGUCAGACAUACAUCCAUGCCAUAACACACAAAACUAAUUUUAACUGGUAUUUCAGGAUUUUAGGCGUUACAACUAACUGCACUCACUUAAGACUUAAAACUUCUAGGCCCAAAAUUUGGGGCGCUACACUCGUACCAUAUUUCAACAUUGAAUACGGGCAAGGUGUUUACAUUUAGUGUAUCAGAACUAUGGUUUAGUCGAUUCUCAAACUAACAUAGUGUACAUGAGUCUAGCUAUACAUGCCAUAUUACCACAUGUGAUAGUGUGAUAUCUCCUAACUCUGACGAGAACUGUCUUGCUGAGACAGAGAUACUUUCCAACCGAGCUAUUUUCGAUAGUGCUAAAAGUGAUAUUGAGAUAUUUGAAAUGUGUUUAUGAUGAGACAGAACUUAGAAAUGUAUGAAUAGAAGUUCAUGAUAUGUAUCUGACAAUGUACGAAAUGAGAUAACCAUAAGUUGAGAAAUGUGGAAAUGUGGAAUGAAAUGAAAGUUUAUAUGGUGAUAAGUCCAUCCAUGUUUGUUUAGCAUUCAUAUAAUGUUAUGUGCCCAACAUAUUUGAUUAAGUGAAUAUAAUAAGUACAUUUACACAAAUUGAUGGAAUGUGUGUUUAUGUACACUUGUUUGAAUAAGUGUAAUCAGUAUGUUUAUAUGGUUAAAUCUUAUGUUUAAUUGUUAAAUUAGAGAUAAUAUAAUGUUUUGUUUUAUGUCUUUGUUAUUAAACCUUUAAUAUUAUAAUAGUAUGAAAAAUUAAAUUGGAAGAUCAAAUUGAGUAGAAUGCAGGAAAUGAGUUCAAUCGUUCAAUGAUGAAUUGACGGACAAGACCAUGGUUGGACCAUAGCAAAGUACGGAAUGUAAGACCAUAGCUGGGCUAUGGCAUUUCAGUGAAAAGACCAUAACUGGGUUAUGGCAUUAUGAACGUAAUGUGUGCAUGUGUAAGACCAUAGUUGCACUAUGGCAUCAUAAUAACAUGUAAGACCAUAGCUGGGUUAUGGCAUCGUAAUGACAUGUAAGACCAUAGCAGGGCUAUGGCAUUGUGAUACGUGUAUGACCCAGGCAGGGCCAUGGAAAAAUAUGCGUAAGACCAUAGUUGGAAUAUGGCGUCAAGUAAACAACGUACUCGAAUCCGUAAGAAAUUCUCUAAUUUGACAAGUGUUGGUAAGUGAUACUGAAGUUAAGUGUUGGAAUUUAAUUAGAUAUUGAUGUUGAAUUUAAUGAAGUAACUUCAUCAUUUGAAACUAUGGAUGACAAAAAAUAUUUGUAAAAUAAAUAAGUAUAUUAAAUUACUUAGAGUAAAUUAUGUGAUUAUGAUGAUAUUACGUUGAUGAUGAAUGCAAAGUCAUAUGUGUGUAUUUAUGAGAGUCAAGUUAGAGGCUUUACGACCUCACCCCCUUACCAGUGUUGCUUUGUAACAAAAAUUCACGAGAAUCAUGUUGAAUAAGUCCAUAAGUAUGAAACUAAAGAGUUCAGUGGUGAAAUAAUUAGUAAUGCAUACAGAGAUGAGAAUAGUUUGGAAAGUGAAAAAAGUUUUGGAAGAAACAUCAGAAUAUUUUAAAGAUUAUACAGAUUAUGCAAUGUCACGAAUAAAGAAGGAGUUAGUCUCGGCUGAUCGACUCAAUUAGGUAUGAAGUCUAAAGAUAUGUUUGCUGAAAUUUCUCCCGAAUUGGUUUUCGUUAGUGAGCAGAAGAAUACGGGGUUCAUGAUAACAGAAUUAGUCAGAGAAAUGAUGUCUAAAUUGUAAAGAUGUCUGAGCGUAGUAAUUAUGGUUGAAUAGAUUACAAUGAUCUCUUCUGAGUACUCUAUAUAUAUAUUUAUUCAUCCUCAAGGGUUUAUGUGAUUGUUCGUUAUCUGAUGAAAUCUUUAUCGAGUGAGAAUGUUAGCUAACUCUAAUGUUAGAUGAAAGCACUGAUGGUCUGUUUAUUUUAUGAUUGGCAUUACCUUAUCUUUUCGGGAUUCUAUUUUAAAAUGUUAAAGUAAAAACGAUGGUAAAAAUUUAUGUGAGGUUAUUCUUUUGUUUCUACUGGAUGUUGUUCUGUCUUAUAUAUAAAUAUUUGGAAAGUGUACUAACUCUGUUAUGAUGGAAUUCUAAAGCUGGUAACUAUUGUUUUACUUCUGGUUUUCGCUGAGAAAUUAUCCAGAUCUUUAUUAUUAUUUUCUUAUGAGUUAUGUUCUCGGACUCCCGGUAUGGUAUCGUAUUCGGGUUUUCUUAUCAUCUUUAUUGUGUAAAUUAUCGAACAUAGCUCAUCUUUAAAGUAUGUUCUUUGGUCAGUGAUGGCUAUGUUUAUUAUGAUUGUAUUUCUGGAUCCAAUAAUAGGAAUGUGGUGAUUCUGUAUCAAGAUUUCACUAAUUUUCGUGGAAGAAAUUGACAUCUACAAGGAUAUAAAUGGUGAUAGCACAAGCUUAAAUUGUAUAGUAGUUUUCUUUCCUCAAGUAAGUUUGAUUAAAGUCGAUGAGUUCAACCAGGAUAGUUGUUUCCUCUAGCUAAUAUGAUUGAAAACAUCUUUGAUUAGUAUGUUAAGAGAAUUUUGAAAGAUUGUCUGUUUGAGCUAUUUUCUCAGCAUGAAGAAAAGAGCAUUUUGAUAUGUUAUUCUUCGAUAGUUAAAAUCAACUCAGUUGUUUUUAUUAGGGUGAACUGAUUUGUUGAGAUGUAAUUUGAGUUAUAUGUAUUUAAACAUGUCCUCAGUUAAGAGAAUAAAUUUUGUGCAUUCACGAGUAUGAAGACGGACAGACGGAAUGAAAAAUCUAUAUUUUAGCAAGUAUGAUAUAGAGAUAUAUUUAUUGGAUUACUUUAAACGAAUGAUGUUAUUACAAGUUAAAGCUAUUCCAAUUGAGAAUAUUAUCACAGCUAUGAAAGUUUGAAUGGUCUGUUGCAUGUUAGCAAAGUUGAAAACAGUUGAAGGUAUUAUUAACUGAAGCACUGGUUCUUAGUUCAGUCUGAAUUAAGAGAAGAAUUUGUGAUUUUUUAGUGAUGUACUAUUAACAGAUUGGAAUAUGUUUUAAUACAAGAAUAAAAAGUGAUAGUUUGUAUUUUCAGACGGUUCAAGUCACAUUAAAAAAAAAACUGUUCGACUGGUGAUUUAGAGAUGGCCACUUCUAUGUUUGGGUUGUGAAUUUGAUGACUUCAUAUGUUUGACGGGAAAUGUCACGUACUUAUUGGUCAAAAAGGAUUAAGUGCCUAAUGUUGCAGAAAGAUCUAAAUUUAAGACAGUGUGAAGGUUUUAAGAUGCUAAAGCACUGUAACAGUCUGGUUUAGACCUUAGUCGGAAUAGUGGUUUCGGGACCACAAAUUUGAGUUUAAAAAAUAUUUUAAUAUUAUUUUUUGUGUCUGUGAUAUAAGAAUUUAUAUUUGCGAAAUUUCUGUGAUUUAAUUUGUCUGUUUCUGUGCUUAAUUAUGAAUAAGGACUUAAUCACGUAAAACGCAAAAGUUGCAUGCUAAUUGUUAAAGUGCCUAUUUGGCUUGGCUUUCUAUAGUAAAGGUCCCUAAGUUGUUAUUAAACCAUUGGAAACAUGAGUGGCUAUUAUGGCCUUAUUAUAUUGAUUUAUUAAUGGCUUAAUAAAUGGGGCAAAAUUGGUAUUUAGCAUUUUAUGUUAAUUAAAGUAAACAAAAUGCAUGAAAUUAGCCAUUUCCCAUGUGCUCUUGCCAAAAAUUCCAAGCAAAACAAAAAGAAAAAGACCCUUAAGGUUUCGGCAUUUGCAAGCAUCAAUUAGGUAUGUAUUUUUGAUCGAUUUUUCAUAAUUUCUACGUUUCUGUGAUCGUUGCUUCGUGUUCUUCAAAGCCCAUGUUUGAAUUUUUAUUUCUAUUAAAUAUUUCAUGAAAUGCCAUUAUUUAUAUCAUGAGUUUUGUGAUGUUUUUGGAUGAAUUAUGAAGGCUUGGUAGAUGAGUUAUAAGUUUUGUCUUUGAAUUUUGAUGAAAUAGACCUAUUUGAGCUAAUUUGUGAAAAUAGGGUUUUAAAGGACUAAAUUAUAUAUUAAAUAUGUUAUUUGGGCUUGUAUAGAAGCCAUGUAUAUUCAGCCAAGCUCUAGUCUUGAUGAAUUUUGCAUAUUUGUGAUUUUGUGAAAAAUGGACUAAAUUGUCAAAGUGUGAAAUUGCAAGGGCUAAAAUGAAAAGUUCCCUAAAUAUAUGUAUAUGGAUUAAAUUGAAUGUAAUAAUGAUUGAAUGGUUGAAAUUGUAUUGUAUUAGAUCAAGAACAAAGAAAAUCGGACUUAGAUCGGGGGAAGUCCAAAUUAGUCGAAUAGUCAACUCGUUCAGUCCGAAACCCGUCCAAGGUAAGUCAAAUUAAAAUUUUGUGUUAAUUUGAAUAAAUUCUGCAAAUAUAAACUGUAAUCUAUAUUGGAUUGCCUUGAGUGCCAGAUGAAUAUCUUUGGAAUAAAGUAUAAUAAUAUGUUAGUAUCCGAAGAGCUCUGUAUACUUCUAAAAGAAAGUUGACAUCUAUCUGAGAUAUCGUGUAAGACCGUGUCUAGGACACAGGCCUCUAUUGAGAUUUACGUAUAAGACCAUGUCUGGGACAUCAACAUCGUAUCUGAUUUCAUGUAAGACCUUGUCUAGGACAGAGGCAUCGACAUUGAAUUACAUGUAAGACCACGUCCGGGACGUCAACAUUGUACCUAUUUAUGAUUAUCUGUGUCAUUUCUGAACCAUCUAAGGAUUGAGUACAAGAUAUAGGAAUGAAUGUAUUAUGAAAUGUAUAAUCUAUACAGGUACGUAUGUAUCGUACUAAGUCUCUAAAUAUGAAAGACUUGAUUCUGUGAAGUAUGUAUGAAACCAUGAAUUACUUCCUGAAAUAACUCUGAAAUUCUUACUAUUGAUUUUACUUAUAUGUUUUAAUAGAUAGACUAGCUGUAUUUGACUUCCUAAGCUCUUUGUAACUUACUUUGUGUGAUUUCUGUCUGUUUUACAGUUAUCGUAGCUACUGAAGGCUCGGGAUAGUCGAGGAUCGUCACCACACUAUCGAACUCAUUUUAGUACUUUUGAAAGUGUAAAUAUUUUUUUAAGUAUGGCAUGUAUAGGCUAGAAUGUUUAAGUAAGUAAGCUUGAUAUGUAUAUAUGUUAUGCCAUGUGAAUUGGCUAAUAAAUGAUAAGCUUGUGCAUAGUUUUGGUGUAUGUUUGUAAUGUGUUAUGUUCUAAUGUGUUUGGGUCAUCUUUAAGCAUGUUUUGAGCAUGGAAUUGGUUGACAAUUUUGGUAUGAAUGUUGUAUAUUAUUGUUUGAAGGAUUGGCCCUUAGAGAAGUGGAAAAUUGGCUUAAACCAAGCCUGCAUUGUGCCACACAGUUACGGAACACGGAUGUGCCUUAUGGCCGUGGGCUUAAGUUAAUAGCUAGCUAAGUACCAUACGGCCAUGGCACACUGUUGUGCCUAUUGGCCAUGUGAAAAAGUCAGUAUUGGACCUAUUUUUGGCAUGGCUGGUUCACAUGGGUGUGUCUAAUGCCCAUGUGUGCCACACGGCCUAGUCACAUGGGUGUAUGACUUUAAUAGUUUUAGAAAAUUGGUUAAGUUCUGAAAAUUCUGAAUAGGUUCGGUUUAGUUUCGACCUUUCCUUAAAUGUAUGUUUUAGGUCUCGUAGACCACAUUGAUGAAUGAAUUGGUGAUGAAUGCUUCUGUAUUAAUGAUAUAUGAUAUUUGUGAUUCUAAAAUGUUUGGUCCGUCCGGUGAUGCCCUUACCUAUUCCGGCGAUGGUUAUGGGAUAAGGGUGUUACAUUUUAUUGGUAUCAGAGCUAUGGUUUAAUCGGUUCUAGGACUACCAUAGCGUAUGUGAGUCUAGCUAUACAUGCCAUAUAUCUGAAUCUGUGAUAGUGUGAUGACUUCUAACAUUGAACUUUGCUUUUAUAUAUCAAAUGGAUUCUGAUAGAGCUGUAGCUGACGAUAUUGAAAGCAAUGCACUUUCUCCCGCGCAAGGGACGGUGCAAGCUGAUUCUAGACAGGCUACGAGUAGCCGUGAUGGUAAGGCUAAGCAAGCCUUCUAUCAGAUGAUGAAUGAAUGGUUCACUCAAUACAUUAGAACCAAACCUACUGUACAACAACCUCCACCCCCGGUUAAUCCUUCUCAAACUUCUGAUAUGCCACGAGUAAAUCUGGUACAGUUGAGUAGACCACCAAUUCAUAAAUGAUACGAGUCACAAAGGCCCAACCCAAGCUCAAGAAGGUGAUGGGCUCAAAUCAAGAAAAUCAAGAUUCACUUUCUUGUUUUCAAGAAAAUCAAGAAACCGAAUCUUGGCCCAAUUAUGCUGUUCGAAGAGAUUUCAAGAAUCAAGAAAAUCAAGAUUUCAAAUCUUGGAAAUCUUGGUCCAAGAAACCAAAUCUUACAGCCAACAUGCAUUGGAUCUCCGUUACGAGCAUCAACGACCUAAUUUCGGAAGGAGAUGGAUCACAAGCCCAAAUUCUUGAAGGCGAGGCCCAAUAACCAAAAUCCAGCCCAAUCAAGAAAUUUCUUCAUACUUAGUUGAAAAUCAGGCCAAAAUGUCAAAGGGCCCAAUUUGUAAACAUCUUACUUGUUUAAUUUAAUUUUUUAAUCUUUAGGAGCAUUACAUGUAAAAUUCGGCCCAAAACAGCCUAUAUAAGUGCAUGGCCGAAUUUACCUUGUUAUUUUAUUAAUUAGGUUUAAUUUUUUAUUAGUUACUUGUGAGAUUAAGAUUUGUUGGAAGCCUAUAUAAGCAUUGGCCAGCCACCCUUUGUAAAAACAUCUUAUUAUUAUUUUUUCUAUCAAAUUUCAGAUUUGUUGAGUGCAGAAUUUUCCUUGGGGUUUUCUCCAAGAAUUCUCUCUUGAGCUUUCUUUAGAAUUUGUUUUAACAAUCUUUUGAUUGUGGGAGCCAUCUUCAACCUUCUUCUUGCCAUCGAUAUUCUUUGGAGGGGAGAUUAGAGCCGUUUGAAGAGAUUUGUGAAAUCUUUUGGGAUUUCAAGGAUCUUUAGGACUUAUCCUUUAAUUUUUGCUGUUCAAUUUCUUUUAUUUAAUUCUACUUGUGCCGAAUCUCAAUUCUAAUCUAUUUGCUAUUUUAUUUGUGUUUCCAGCCCUCGUUUAUCUUAAAGAAUUGAUCAAUUUCACUUUUUGCUGGAGUUCGACAACCAGCCCUAAAUCCCCAAAUUCUAGGGUUCUUGCCGAAUGCACACUUAUUCUUCUUGGGUGAAUUUGGUUGUGGAAACUUAGGGGAAACUUUCGUGGUGGUCAAUUGAGCAGAUCGCCCUCGCUUUCUCAGCCUCAAUAGCCGUUUUAUGCCUUCAAUUUCUUUCUUUCUCAUUGACGCAUAAACCCUAAUUUGUUUCAAGAAAUUCUGGUCGAUCUAAUUUGCUUGCUGAUUUGGUGUUCUUUGACAGAUUCGGCUUGUGGGAGUUCAUUCUUGGGAAUCAAUUUCGUGUUCUUGGUUUCAAGAAACCUCUUUCAUAAGUGUUUCGUUCCUUGAUUAGAUCUUGCUGAUUUUUAGGGUUCUUAUUCCAGAUUUUAAUUUUCCAGAUUUAAUCUCGUUCUUUGUUUGAUUUCAUAUCUGUUCAUUUAGAGCUUUCGUAGGAGUUUCCCGUGACUUGGCAACUCGAUCUUGGUCCGCGCGCAACCCUGUAUCAAUAAGAUUAGAAAGUAUGGGGCUGAAGAGUUUCGAGCUACAACGAAUGAUGAUGCUGAAAGAGCCGAAUUCUGGUUAGAAAAUACAAUACAAGUGUUUGAUGAAAUGUCUUUAAGUCCUGAGGAAUGUGUUAAAUGCGCCGUUUCACUUCUGAGAGAUAUAGUGUAUCAUUGGUGGAAAACUUUAAUAUUUGUAGUCCCAAGUGAAUGGGUUACUUGGGAUUUCUUUCAAUCUGAAUUCCGGAAGAAAUAUAUCAGUCAAAGAUUCAUCGAUCAGAAACACAAAGAGUUUUUCGAGCUUAAACAGGGUCGUAUGUCUGUUACUGAAUACGAACGUGAAUUUGUGAGAUUGAGCCAGUAUACUCGGAAAUGUGUAUUGAAUAGAGCAAUAAUGUGCAAAAGGUUUGAAGAUAGACUAAACGAAGAUAUCCAUCUGUUAGUUGGGAUUCUGGAAAUUAAAGAAAUGGUAGUGCUCGUUGAGCGAGCAUGUAAAGCUGGAGAAUUAAGUAAAGAGAAAAGAAAAGUUGAUUCUGAAGCUAAAGAUGCUAGAAAGAGAUCUUCAAGUAGAUCAUUUCUAUCUAUGUCAAAGAAAUUCUGAGAUGAUCAAAGCCGUCCAAAUGCUAAUGUGGGACAUUCAAACGGAGAUCGAGCUAGAUCGCAUUCAAACUUCAGAGUCUCUGCUACUUCUGUUGCAAGUGUCGGGAAUGUCCGAUCUGAGAAACUUGAAUGUAAACAUUGUGGUAAAAGACAUCUAGGAAUUUUUAGAUUGAAUGACCGAGCUUGUUUUCGAUGUGAAUCUCUGGAUCAUUUUGUAAUAGAUUGUUCUGAACCUGUUGAGCAAGAAAAUGUACAAAAUCCGAGAUCGAGUAACACCUCAGCUAAAGGUAGACCUUUCAGAAAUUUGAGAAAUGCAAGUGGUGGUCAAAGAGUUACUGGGGAUACUGCUGUUAGAUCUGAGGCCAGAGCACCUGCCAGAGCCUAUGCUAUCCGAGCUCGUGAGGAAGCUUCGUCACCAGACGUGAUUACCUGUACUUUUACUCUUUAUGAUACUUAUGUGAUUGCUUUGAUAGAUCAUGGAUCAACACAUUCGUAUAUAUGUAUGAACCUAGUGAACAGUAAGACUUUUUCUGUAGAGUCUAUUGAAUUUGUGAUUAGAGUUUCAAACCCUCUAGGUAGAUGUGUUCUAGUUGAUAAAGUCUGUAAGAAUUGUCCGUUAAUGUUUUGAGAUAAUUGUUUUCCAGCUGAUAUGAUGAUAUUACCUUUUGAUGAGUUUGAUAUUAUUCUAGGAAUGGAUUGGUUAACUUUGCAUGAUGCUGUAGUGAAUUGAAAACAGAAAAGUAUUAAUUUGAGAUGCAAGAAUGAUGAAAUAGUCAGAGUUGAAUCUAGUGAUUUAAAUGGGUUACCUACUAUGAUAUCUUCGAUGAAAGCUUUGAAUAUUGUGAGAAAGGGUUGUAAAGCCUACCAUGCUUACGUUAUUGAUUCGAAAGUGUUAGAAAAGAAAAUAGAAUCUGUACCUGUUGUCUGUGAGUUCUCUGAUGUGUUUCCUGAAGAACUUUCGAGAUUACCUCCAAUUAGAGAAGUAGAAUUUGGCAUAGAAUUGGUACCUGGUACUACUCCGAUUUCAAUAGCUCUGUAUAGAAUGGCUCCGACCAAAUUAAAGGAAUUGAAAUCUCAGUUACAAGAAUUGACCGAUCGAGGAUUUGCUAGACCGAGUUUCUCACCUUAGGGUGCUCCUGUUCUGUUUGUGAAAAAGAAAGAUGGCACAAUGAGAAUGUGUAUUGAUUGCCGUCAACUUAAUAAAGUUACUGUAAAGAACAAAUACCCUCUACCUAGAAUUGAUGAUUUAUUCAAUCAGUUGAAAGGUGCUACUAUGUUUUCUAAGAUAGAUCUGAGACCGGGUUACUACCAGUUACGAGUAAAGGAUUCUGAUAUUCUGAAAGCUAUUUUUAGAACAAGGUACGGGCAUUAUGAAUUUUUAGUUAUGCCUUUUGGACUAACGAAUGCACCUGCUAUUUUUAUGGAUUUGAUGAAUAUAAUUUUCAGAUCGUAUUUAGAUCAAUGUGUGGUUGUAUUCAUUGAUGACAUAUUGAUUUAUUCACGAGAUGAAACUGAACAUGCCAAGCAUUUAAGAAUAGUGCUAUAGACUCUGCGAGAUAAACAGUUAUAUGCAAAGUUCAGUAAAUGUGAGUUCUUGCUGAGAGAAGUUUGUUUUCUAGGUCAUAUCGUAUCAGCCUCCGGUAUCCGAGUUGAUCCGAGCAAAAUUUCAGCUAUUUUGGACUGAAAACCUCCAAGGAAUGUAUCUGAAGUCUGUAGUUUUCUAGGACUUGCUGGUUACUAUAUAAGAUUUUUAAAAGGUUUCUCGAUGAUUGCAACUCUGUUGACAAAGUGUCUCCAGAAAGAUGUGAAGUUUGAGUGGUCUGAAAGAUGUCAGAAUAGCUUUGAUCAAUUGAAAACUUUAUUGACUGAAGCUCCGGUAUUAAUACAACCUGAAUCGGGUAAAGAAUUUAUAAUUUACAGUGAUGUUUCGUUGAUUAGUCUGGGAUGUGUUCUAAUGCAAGAAGAAAAAGUUAUUGCUUAUGCUUCGAGACAGUUAAAGCUGCAUGAAAAGAACUAUCCGAUAGACGAUCUUGAGUUAGCUGCAAUUGUGUUUGCCUUGAAGAUUUGGCGUCACUAUUUGUUUGGUGAGAAAUGUCAUGUAUUUUCUGAUCAUAAAAGUCUGAAGUAUUUAAUGACGCAAAAAGACUUGAAUCUGCGACAGAGAAGAUGGUUAGAAUUGUUAAAAGACUACGAACUUGUGAUUGAUUAUCAUCCGGGCAAAGCUAAUGUUGUUGCUAAUGCUCUGAGUAGGAAAUCGUUGUCUGCGUUGCGUGCUAUGAACGCUCAUCUAACACUGUCUGAUGAUACCUUGGUUUGUGCUAAAUUGAAAGCAAAACCCUUGUUUAUACAAUAGAUCUGUGAGGCUCAGAAAUAUGAUAAUAAAUUGAUAGAAAAAUAAACUCUUUGUAAUUCUGAAUUCCGGGUUGAUGUUGAUGGCUGUUUGAGAUUUAGAAAUAGACUUUGUGUCCCGAGAAAUUCAGAGCUAAUUCAGAUAAUUUUGAAUAAGGCUCACAGUAGUAGAUUUUCUGUAUAUCUGGGAAGUACGAAAAUGUAUAACGAUUUGAAACAACUAUACUGGUAACCAGGAAUGAAAAGAGAUAUUUCUGAUUUUGUUUCUAAAUGUUUGAUCUGUCAACAAGUUAAAGCUAAACAUAAGGUGCCAUCUGGUUUAUUACAACCGAUUAUCAUUCCGGAGUGGAAAUGAGAUCGUGUGACCAUGGACUUUGUGUCAGGUUUAUCUCUGUCUCCAAAAAAGAAAGAUUCGAUCUGGGUUGUAGUUGACAGGUUGACAAAUUCAGCUUAUUUUAUUCCAGUACGAUCUAAUUUUUCACUCGAUAAAUUGGCUGAGUUAUAUAUUUUUGAAAUUGUGAGAUUGCAUGGUGUGCCCUUCUCGAUAGUGUCAGAUAGAGACUCGAGAUUUACAUCGGAUUCUGGAAGAAAUUGCAAGAUGCUCUGGGUACUAAAUUACAAUUUAGCACUGCAUUUCAUCUGCAAACAGAUGGUCAAUUUGAACGGAUUAUUCAGAUUCUUGAGGAUAUGUUGAGAUGUUGUAUUCUUGAGUUUGAAGGUACGUGGGAACAGUAUCUACCCUUGAUUGAAUUUGCUUAUAAUAACAGUUUUCAGUCGAGCAUCAAAAUGGCACCGUACGAAGCUUUAUAUGAUAGAAAGUGUAGAACUCCGUUAUACUGGUCUAAGCUCUGUGAGAAUAAGAUUUACGCUAUUGAUCUGAUAAAAGAAACUGAACAGAAAGUCAAAGUAAUCCGAGAUAGUCUGAAAGAUGUCUCUGAUCGUCAGAAAUCUUAUACGGAUUUAAAACGAAAGGAUAUCAAAUUUGAGAUCGGCGAUAAAGUGUUUCUGAAAGUAUCUCCGUGGAAGAAACUGCUUUGAUUUGGUAAAAAGGGCAAGUUAAGUCCAACGUUUAUCGGACCGUAUGAAAUCAUUGAGCGAAUUGAGCCGGUUGCUUAUAGAUUAAAAUUACCAUCUGAGUUAGAAAAGAUACAUAAUGUGUUUCACGUAUUGAUGCUUCAACGAUACAGAUCUGAUCCUUCGCAUGUAAUUUCUCCAUCUGAUAUUGAAAUCCAUUCUGAUAUGACUUAUGAAGAAAAGUCAAUUCAUAUUCUGUCUCAUGAGAUCAAAGAAUUACGUAAUAAGAGACUUCCGUUAGUCAAAGUGCUAUGGCAUAGACAUUGAGUAGAAUAGGCUACAUAGGAGCCUGAAGAUGUAACGAAACAACAAUAUUCGAAUCUGUUUAACGGUAAGAUUUUCGGGGACGAAAAUCCCUAAGGGGGGAGAAUUAUAAUAGUCUGGUUUAGACCUUAGUCAGAAUAGUGGUUUCGGGACCACAAAUUCGAGUUCGAAAAAUAUUUUAAUAUUAUUUUCUGUGUCUGUGAUAUGUGAAUUUAUAUCUGCGAAAUUUCUGUGAUUUAAUUUGUCUGUUUCUAUGCUUAAUUAUGAAUAAGGACUUAAUCGCGUAAAACGCAAAAGUUGCAUGCUAAUUGUUAAAGUGCCUAUUUGGCUUGCCUUUCUAUAGUAAAGGUCCUUAAUUUGUUAUUAAACCAUUAGAAACAUGAGUGGACUAUUAUGGCCUUAUUAUAUUGAUUUAUUAAUGGCUUAAUAAAUGGGGCAAAUUUGGUAUUUAGUAUUUUAUGUUAAUUAAAGUAAACAAAAUGCAUGAAAUUAGCCAUUUCCCAUGUGUUCUUGCCGAAAAUACCAAGCAAAAUAAAAAGAAAAAGAGCCUUAGGGUUUCGGCAUUUGCAAGCAUCAAUUAGGUAGUAUUUUUUAUUAGUUUUUAUAAUUUCUACGUUUCUGUGAUCGUUGCUUCGUGUUCUUCAAAGCCCAUGUCUGAAUUUCUAUUUCUGUUAAAGAUUUCAUGAAAUGCCAUUGUUGAUAUCAUGAGCUUUGUGAUGUUUUUGGAUGAAUUAUGAAGGUUUGGUAGAUGAGUUAUAAGUUUUGUCUUUGAAUUUUGAUGAAAUUGAGCUAUUUGAGCUAAUUUGUGAAAAUAGGGUUUUAAAAGACUAAAUUACAAAUUAAAUAUGUUAUUUGGGCUUGUAUAGAAGCCAUGUAUAUUCGGCCAAGCUAUAGUCUUGGUGAAUUUUGCAUAUUUGUGAUUUUGUGAAAAUGGACUAAAUUGUCAAAGCGUGAAAUUAUAAGGGCUAAAAUAAAAAUUUCCCUAAAUAUAUGUAUAUGGAUUAAAUUGAAUGUAAUAAAUGAUUUAAUGGUUGAAAUUUUAUUGUAUUAGAUCAAGAACAAAGAAAAUCAGACUUAGAUCGGGGGCAGUCCAAAUUAGCCGAAUAGUCAACUCGUUCCGUCCGAAAUCCGUCCAAGGUAAGUCUAAUUAAAAUUUUGUGUUAAUUUGAAUAAAUUCUGCACAUAUAAACUUUAAUCUGUAUUGGAUGGCCUUGAGUGCCAGAUGAAUAUCUUUGGAAUAAAGUAUACUAAUAUGUUAGUAUCCGAAAAGCUCUGUAUACUUCUAAAGGAAAUUUGACAUCUAUUUGAGAUAUCGUGUAAGACCGUGUCUGGGACACAGGCCUCGAUUGAGAUUUACGUAUAAGACCAUGUCUGGGACAUCGGCAUCGUAUCUGAUUUCGUGUAAGACCUUAUCUGGGACAGAGGCAUCGACAUUGAAUUACAUGUAAGACCACGUCCAGGACGUCGGCAUUGUACCUGUUUAUGAUUAUCUGUUUCAUUUCUGAACCAUCUGAGGAUUAAGUACGAGAUAUGGGAAUGAAUGUAUUAUGAAAUGUAUAAUCUAUAUAGUUAAGUAUGUAUCAUACUAAGUCUCUGAAUAUAAAAAACUCGGUUCUGUGAAGUAUGUACGAAACCAUGAAUUACUUCCUGAAAUAACUCUGAAAUUCUUACUAUUGAUUUUACUUAUAUGUUUUAAUAGAUGGACUAGCUGUAUGUGACUUCCUAAGCUCUUUGUAGCUUACUCUGUGUGAUUUCUGUCUGUUUUACAGUUAUCGUAGCUACUAAAGGCUCGGGAUAGUCGAGGAUCUUCACCACACUAUCGAACUCAUUUUAGUACUUUUGAAAGUGUAAAUAUUUUUUUUAAGUAUGGCAUGUAUAGGCUAGAAUGUUUAAGUAAGUAAGCUUGAUAUGUAUAUAUGUUAUGCCAUGUGAAUUGGCUAAUAAAUGAUAAGUUUGUGCAUAGUUUUGGUGUAUGUUUGUAAUGUGUUAUGUUCUAAUGUGUUUUGGUCAUCUUUAAGCAUGUUUUGAGCAUGAAAUUGGUUGAAAAUUUUGGUAUGAAUGUUGUAUAUUAUUACUUGAAGGAUUGGCCCUUAGAGAAGUGGCAAAUUGGCUUAAACCAAGCCUGCAUUGUGCCACACGGUUAGGGAACACGUGCGUGCCUGAUGGCCGUGGGCUUAAGUUAGUAGCUAGCUAAGUACCACACGGCCGUGUCUAUUGGCCUUGGAAAAAGUCAGUAUUGGACCUAUUUUUGGCACAGCUGGUUCACAUGGGUGUGUCUAAUGCCCGUGUGUGCCACACGGCCUAGUCACACAGGCGUGUGACUUUAACUAUUUUAGAAGAUUUGGUUAAGUUCUAAAAAUUCUAAAUAGGUUCAGUUUAGUUCCGACCUUUCCUUAAAUGUAUGUUUUAGGUCUUGUAGACCACAUUGAUGAAUGAAUUGGUGAUGAAUGCUUCUGUAUUAAUGAUAUAUGAUAUCUAUGAUUCUGAAAUGUUUGGUCCGUCCGGUGAUGCCCUUACCUAUUCCAGCGACGGUUACGGGAUAGGGGUGUUACAAGGACUUGAGUAGUUAUUGAUUAACCUUUGGGAAAGUAAGUAUAAUUACAGAUGCCUGAAUUGAAAAUUCUUUAUUUAUUUUAUGAUUAUUGGUUACAUGAUUAAUCUUAUUGAUGAUGGUCUGAUUCUAGCUAAGUUAAAAGCUAAAUCAAUGCUUUCCUUGCGAGUUUAAGAAGCUCAGAAAUGUGUUAGUGAAUGGCAAGCUAAAUGAGUACAGUAUGAGUCAAUUUUUGAUUCUGAAUUUUAGGUCUGACUUGAUGACUGAUGUUAUUGUUUUGAGAUAGAUAUUGCAUGCAAAUGAAUCUAAAGCUUAUGCAGAAGUCUUUGUACGAGGCUCAGUAGUAUCACGUCUGUUCAUCCAAGAGUAAUAAAAUGUACAGUUAUAUGAAGUAGACAUUCUGGUGAUUGAGUAUGUACCAUGAUAUUUAGAAUUUAUGUUUAGAUGUCUAUUUGUUAGCAAGUAAGCCGAACAUCAAGAGCAUUCAGGACUAUUGCAGUCAGUGAUAAUACUAGUAUGUUAUAUGAUAGAGUCAUUAUAGAUUUCAUAUCGAGACUACCUCUAUUCCCGAAAUGGACGAUGUUGUUUGAAUGUUGAUCAUUUGAUAAAAUCCACAUGAUUGUUUCAGUAUCUACCGAGUUCUUAUUUGACAGAUCAACUGAGUAUAUGGGUUCUUAAGAGAGUAAUUUAGAUCUUUGACAAUAUACUUCAGCACUGUGUGCUAAAUUUCAGAGGUUACUGGAAAAAGAUAUACGAGGUUAAAUCGAUUUGUGAUUCUGAGAAGUUAGUGAAAGUGUUUCAUGAGAGUUGAAAACUGUAACGCCUCGUACCCGAGACCGUUUCCGGAGUCGAACACGAGGUGUUAACGGACUUAAUUCAUUUCUUAAACAGCUCAUACAAUUCAUUUUAAAAUUCCAGACAAGCUGGCUAACUGCAUCACAGUCUCUUUAAAAAUCAUAUCUCGAGUUUCAAAACUCGAAAUCCAGUUUCGUAAAUUUUUCCUGAAACUAGACUCAUACAUAUAUCUACUAAUUUUUUUUUCAGAAUUUUUGGUCGGGCCAAUUAGUACAGUUUAUUAGUUAAAGUCUCCCCUGUUUCAGGGUUUGACUACUCUGACCUCUUUGUAUUACGAAUUAGAUAUCUCCCUGUACAGAGCUAAAAUGACUAUGCCGUUUGUCUAAAAUAAAACUAGACUCAAUACUGAAUCUGUACAUAUAAAUCAUGACUUAUAAUUAUCUUUUUAAAAUUUAUGGUGAAUUUCCAAAGUCAUAACAGGGGAUCCAGAAAUCGCUCUAGCCCUGUCUCACAAAAAUUUAAACAUCUCAUAAAAUAUAGCUCAUAUACCUGUUUUGCUUCUUCCAUAUGAAAAUAGACUCAUCAGGAUUCGAUUCCAUAACUUAUUCAUUAUUUAAUUUCAUUUCUACUAUUUUUAGUGAUUUUUCAAAUUCACGUCACUACUGCUGUCUGAAUCUAUUUUGUGGUAAAUUUUACCUAUUUCAUGGUUUCUAUGGAUUAGCUAGCAAUUUGACAUACAUAGCACCAAAUAUGAUCAUGAUUAGCCAUUACAAUGGCUAAUCAUUACCAAGCAUUUCCAUACCACUCAAUAACCAUAUCAUAAGACCAUAUAUACAAAAUGAUUAUAAUGCUAUACUCAAAAUAUACAAGCCAUUUUCGCAUGGCUAUACGAAUAUACAUUACCAAAAGAUACUUAAUUAACAACAAAGGUCAGUCCUAUACAUGCCAUUAUCAAAGUUCAACUAAAAGAGUACCAAAAAGGGGCUUAGAUAGUGUGGAUGACUUCGACUUUGAGAUCCCUGAAAACCGUAGCUGACGAACAAAAUCUACAAAACAUAGAAUUAAGACAACAAAGUAAGCAUUAACAUGCUUAGUAAGUUUUAAGCAUUUAAUUUAAAAUCAAACAUUAAGUAUCGCUAAGUUCAUACUUAAACUGUAAAUCAUUUGACCGGUUGAACACAAGCUACUAGUUAUAAGGCUGAUUGGCCUAAUACAUACAUGUAUACUCACAAGGCUUUUAGCACAUACUUUACCGUACUAUUUAGCUCAUACAAUUAAAUUUAGACAUAUACUUCCUUAUAACAAUGAACAUCAACCAAAUAGACCAUUCUCUUAUUCGUAGAUACGGUACUCAUCCACACACAUACAUAUAUAUAUACAAACUGAUAAAUACAUAUGUAUAUAUAUAUCUAAUUAUCAUUCUUUAUAUUAAUAGUUUGUUUUAAAAACAUCAAUCGACAUAUGAGUACGCAGUACGUACCUGGCUAUCUUAGUGUAUCAUACCAAAUCAAUAGUGGUUUUCUCGAAUAUUCAAAUUCACGAUUUUACUCAAAUCACCGGCGUUAAGCCUGCUAGGUUUAAAACCCGAGUCCGAUCACUAGCAUAAAGCCUUCGGGACUAUUAGCCCGGAUAUAAUUCCAGCACAUAGCCGGCGAACCCGAAGUUCGAAUAUGAUUCCCGCAUAUAGCCUACGGACUUUAAGUCCGGAUAUAAUUCCUGCAUAUAGCCUCCCGCAUAUAGCCUACGGACCUUAAGUCCGGAUAUAAUUCCCGCAUAUAGCCUACGGACCUUAAGUCCGGAUAUAAUCACCAUAUAUCAUGUAUAUAUAUUCAUAUUUUACCACAUCUCAUUCUACAUAUCACAACAGCAGUCAUUUCCACAUUCAAAAUAAGCUUCAUACGAGUACCAUUGUUAAUAUUACGGUUCAAACAUCAUAGAAAAUUCUCACAUACUCCUUCUAUCAUUCAACUUAUCCUAUAAUGAUCAAUCAUCUAUGAAUCAUAUAAAUAAGUUAUUAAUCAUACACUUUAUUCAAAUAAGACUAAAAGAUCCAGCUUUACACUUAUCCAAGUAUCAUCAAUCAUUUACUAAAGGUGAUUACUCAAAACUUACCUCGGUGUUUUGAACAGUUGUGGAUAAUCUACUCGGCUGCUUUCUCCUUUCCCCUAUCUGAUUGAGACCCCUUUUGCUCUUGAGCUUAAUUUAGAACAAAUAAAUUUAUUUAAAUUACUUACUCGACUUUACUUUUUAGUAGUCACAAUAGACAAUCAUAUAAACUUCAAUACAUAUACAUAAUGCAUGCUUUUAAUAUAAAAAUUAAUGUUAAAUGUCAUCAAUAAAUAAAGCCAUACACACACAGCUUAUAAGCAAAUUUCAUCCUUACAUAGCCUAUAGUUCUCUCGGCCACUCAUUCCACAACCUAACAAAACUUCAAUUCGAAAUCAUUAGUCGAAUAUCAAUUGACUUAAGCUACCUUUAAACUUUUACUUAUCCCCUCAUACCAAACUAUCAAAAUGAACUAAUUAUAAUUAUAUAAGUACUACCAAAACCGAAACCUAUGCAUAAUAUUAUUUCUUAUGCCCAAACCAAAGACCACAUUCGGCAACUUUCAUCCACCAUUCUACCAAGCACAACCGAUUACCCAUUCUCUUCUUAAAUCUAAAUUUGGCACCUCCAAACAAAAUAAGUUAAAAUUUUCAACUUUUAUGCUAACAUAACCAGCAACUUAACACAUCCACAUAACUAACAUGCUAAUAGCAUCAAGGCAUCAACUAAAAUUUUUAAGCUUCUUAGCCGAAUCCUAACUCUCCAACAACCCCAAAUCCAACCAUGAGAUAGAUAGAAUUUAGACUAAUCAUCCAAAGGAUGUAUAAACUUCCAAAAGUAACAUUGAACAUACCUUAAUCUAGAGAACCACCUUGGCCGAAUUUUUCUUCUUCUUCUUCCUCUAGUUACGGCAAUGGAGGAGCAACAUAAGCUAACUUUGGUUUCUCCUCCCACUAACCACUAUUAUUUUAUUAUCCAUAUUCUUUAUUUUAUUUUUUUUAACACAAAAUAUUAACAUAAAAUAUUUAUAAUAUGUUUUAAUCCAUAACAUGGCCGGCCACUAUCUAAAAUUUGGCUAAUUUGACAUGCAAGUACAAGCAUUUUCUAACAUGCAUUAAUAGGCCACUUUAACAUUUGCCUAGCACAUUUCUAAAUUUUCUCACACAAGUCCUAUUUAAUAAAUUUCACAUACUAUAUACAAAAUUUAAGCAUGAAAUUUUCACACAUGCAUAUUCAUAUAUAAUAAGCAUCAAAUAUGACUGUUAAUUAUUUUUUUAUGACUCGGUUUCAUGGUCUCGAAACCACUUUCCGACUAGGGUCAAUUUAGGGUUGUCACAAAAACAACUUCUUCUGCUAAGAUUUUCGGGGACGAAAAUCCCUAAAGGGGGGAGAGUUGUAAUAGCCUGAUUUUGAAUCUAGUCGAAAUAGUAGUUUCGGGGCCACAAAUUCAACGUGAUAAAAUUCAUUUUUAUUAUAUUUUUAUGGUCUAAAGUUUUACGGAAUGAUUUCGUGAAAAUUUCGUUUGAAAAUUUCGACGUUUGGGCACUCAAUUUAGUCAAAAGGACUAAAUUGUUAAAGUGUAAAGUUGAGUUCUACAUGUUAGAGGUGUCCAAUUGUUAUGAAAUUUUAAAUUGGAGGUCCUUAAAUGGUAAUUAGACCAUUGGUUAAGUUGGUGGACAAAAAUGGACAUUGUUUGAUAUAUUUCUAAAGUUUUUCAUUAAGGGCAAUUUGGUCAUUUGGUAAUUAAAAUGAAUUAAAAACAAAAUUAAAAGCCAAUUUUUUUCCAUCUUCAACCCCAUGGCCGAAUUUCACAAGGGUAAACCAUGCCUAGGGUUUUUCAAGCUUCUAAGCUCGAUUGUAAGUCCGUUCUAGCCUCGUUUUUAAUGUUUUUUUACGUUUUUGAAAUCUUCAUGACAAGAUCUACCUAUUUCUACCACUGAUUUGAAGAGAUGUCAAAGUUUAAAUUUUUACCCAUGUUGAAUAUUUGUGUAUUUUGGUGUUUGAUGGUAGAAAUUGCAUGUUAGUUGUUUGUUAAACGACUUUUGCUAAGUGAUUUUCGGUGAAAAUGCCUAAAAGGACUUAAUUUGUAAAAGUUAUAAAAUAUGUAGUAAAAGUGAGUUUUAAUGGAAAUUGUGGGCUGUUAUGGUUAUGAAAAUGAUUUGGCUAGGCUUGUAUGUUAAACAAAUUGAAUAAAUUUCAUUUUUCGAGUUUAGGGGCAAAAAUGUAAAUAUGUGAAACUUUAGGGGCAAAAAUGUAAUUUUGUCAUAAUAUGAUUUUUGGGUCACAUUGAAUAAUGUGACUAAUAAAUAAGCUAAAUGUGAUAUUAUAGAUCAAGGAAAAUGAGGUUCGGACCUAGGACAGGGGAAAAACGAGUAUUCGGCGGUUAGAUCCCUUUUUGUUAUCAUUGGUAUCGAGGUAAGUUCGUUUGUAAAUAAUGAAACUUUAUAUUAUGUAUUUAAUUUUUUGAUAUUGCAUGAAUUGUACAAUAAUCAUUAUGGAUACGUUCGACGAAGAUUCGAUACGGUGAAAUUCCCAGUUGAACCUUAGGAAUAGAUAGGAUACAAAUGUCAUGACAUUAGGGUUAAUGAGAUUACGUGUAAGACUAUAUCUAGGAUAUGGCAUCGAUAUGAGACUUCGUGUAAGACCAUAUCUGGGAUAUGGCAUUGAUAUGAGACUUCGUGUAAGACUAUAGCUAGGCUAUUGGCAUCGAUAUGAGAUUCCAUGUGAGACCGUAUCUGGGAUAUGGCAUUGGAACGAUACUAUAUGUACGAGAUUCCCGAGUAUCCUUUAGUAUUCCAAGUGGUUCAAUGGGAAAUUAAAUGGGUAUGUCAAAGAAGAGAAAGAGCCUGUAAGUAUUACGAAUUCUGUACAAGUAUGUACAUAAAUUAUACGCAUUGAUUUUAAGAUAUGGUGAGUUCAUGAUUUCAAUGAGAAUGUAUGGUAAAUUCAAUUGGCGAUCGUGUAAUUGGCUUUCGGGCCAAAUUGAGUUAUGAUCUAGCAUGUUUGAUUCACACAAAUUGUGAUUUAUCGAAUAUGAAGAAAAAGGAAAGAUUGGCAUAAUUGUGUAUUAAAAUGAUUAUGGGAUGAUAUGAGCUUUGAAAAAUUGAAAGAUGUUAAAGUAUAUGCUCGAAAUGUAAAUACUCAUAUUUAAUAUGCAUGUUUAUUAUGUGGUUUAAAAUGAUUUGUUAAUUGUUGUAAUAUGUUACAACGAAAAGAUUUCAGUUGUUGGGCUAAUGCUUGAAUAUGUUAAAUUAUGCUUAUAAGUUGAUAGAGCAAACAUUAUGACUGAAUAAAAUUAUAACCAUGAGAUUAUGGUAGAUUAUCAUAAAUUGUGUUCACAUUGUUGAAUAUGAUAAACACUUGGUAAGAUGUAAAUGAGUAAGUUAUAUUUAUGAGACUUAAAUGAUAUUCGUAUGGUUUUACAUUAUGUUAAUUGUAUGAUAUAUGUAUGGUUGAGGUUGCUUAUUGUUUACAUAUGAACUUACUAAGCUAUAUAGCUUACCCAUUUCCUUUCCUAUGUUUUAUAGAGCCAGGAAGCUAGCUCGAGUUGGAGAUCGCUGGAGAUCCUAUCACACUAUCAAGCUAUCACUACGGGUAUUGAUGAAUUCAAGUUGUUUGAGUCUAUGGCAUGUAUGGGGACUUGGUCAUUUGGUUAUAUGUGUCUUUAUGAUUGUAGCCAAUAUAUUGGUUUGCAAUUGUCAAAGGCUUGUUUGAUAUUUGGCCAUGUAAAUUGACUUAUUUUUGGGCUAACAUGGUUGUGAACCUAAGUAUAUUUAUAUAUGUGCCAAUGGCUUUGGUGACUGUGCUUGAUGAAUGAUGGAAGAAUGAUUUAUGACAUGAAUGUAAAUUGUUAGGCAUGUGUUAGUCAUGAUUUUGGAUGUUUUGGUUGCAUAAGUAUGCUAUGUUUUGUGCCUUUGAAUUUAUGUGAGCGCAUGUAUGAAUAAGGGUGCCAAAUGGCUUGGUAAACAGCCUUAUUAUUGUCCACACGGGUAGACACACGGGCGUGUGUCUAGGCCGUGUGUGACACACGGUCAGCCCCGUGAGCGUGUGAUCUAGCCGUGUGUCCCCUGCACCUUAAUUUAGGCAAAACAAAAUGUCCAGAAUUAUGCACACAGGCAGAGACACGGGCGUGUGUCUCAACCGUGUGUGCUACAUGGCCUAGCACACGGGCAUGUGACUUGGUCAUGUUACCUCAUUUCGAUGAUGAGGUUAUAAAUAGAAUGCCCCCUAUUUUGAACACAGCCUGAAGCACGGAAGUGUCUUAGGGUCACACGGGCGUGUCUUGAGCCCACACAGGCGUGUGACCCCUUUUGCAUGAAAAUUUUUUUAAGUUUCGCAAAAGUUUCCAAAGUUCUCAGUUUAGUCCCGAACCACUCCUAAUGUAUGUUUUGCACCUCGUAGGCUCUUUUAAGGGACGAUAUGAAUGCAUGUGAAAGGUUUUAAAUUUGAGUGGAAAUUCAUGUCUCGAUUUUGAAUGUUUAUUUGAGUUUAAGUCCGGUAAUGCCUCGUACCUUGUUCCCGCGUCGAAUACGAGUAAGAGAUGUUACAACUAAUCUGUUUGAAAAAAUUACAAGUUCACAAUCAAAUAUACUACACUCAGGGCAUUAGAUCCAACAACCCAUACAUUAUUUUGCAAAACUGUUAAAGUUUUGAAAGUUGCUAACAUUGCCUCCUCGGCAACAGCGCGAACAACUUGAUCGCCUCCAGACGUACUAACGUCCAAAGUGUGAAUACUACAACUAAAUGUAUGGAACUGAGGCGGUGUCUGCAAGUAUACAGGUUAGGUUACAAUAUAGUUACAAUGAAGUAAGUGAGUGCUCCAAGAGUAGUACCCAAAAGAGGUGAGUACUAAAUUAAAGUUAGCCAAAAUGUGAAUAGAAGUAAUUAGUAAUUUAAAUAAAUUAUAUUACGAAAAAACAUAAAUAAGUAUUUUUGGAUUUUAUAAAUAAAGAAUUAAAAAUGACUUAAACAAAAGAGACUUCGGAAAACUAAUAGAAUUAAAAAUGACAUAAACAAAAGAGACUUCAGAAAUCUAACUUAUAAACUUAGCCAAAUCUAAACAUGGAUGAUUAGCUCACUUCAGUGGUCAUAACUAAUUCUUAUUUCGGGUUUUUAUUCAAUCAACUAGUCGUUGCCCUAGCAGAAUCUCCCAAUCUUUUACUAAACUAACGAGUCAGCAAAAACUACUUAUCUCUUGACCUUACAGUCCAGAUUAGUUCAGGGCUAAGGUGUUCACUGAUAUGUCAUACCAAUUUUGGGUUAAUUCUCACCUAAAUGACUUCCUAAAGUCGUCAAGCCUAGGGUUUAAGUUCUUUCUCUCCCAAUUAGCUAAUCCGCUAAGAAAACCCUACAAAGCAAUUAGUUAACCACACCUCCACUCACUAAUCCCCCAUAAGAGGAUUAGUUCCUCAUGGAUCUCAUAAACAUAAUGAACUUGAUAAAUAAGAUCAACAUUAAGAACAAAUCAAGAAAAAAUUUUAAGAAGAAUCCUGGAAUGUAUUUGAAUGAAGCACGAAAACCACAAUAACAUUUGAUCUCGUUUACAAGUUACAUUCUUUGAACACAAAUGAAAAGAACUGAAAAUAAACAUUGUCAAUUUUGGCAACUUGAAUACUAAGGAAGUGGUUUGUGAGGUAGUGAAAGGGAUAUUGCACCGCUUGUGAUUUAGUUCCAAGAUAAACUUGCGAAUAUUGUUGAAGGGAAUACUCAGCUUCCUAUUGUCAGAAGGGAGUUGCCUAGAUAGGUAAACUAUUGAAGGUUGUUUCUUCUUUUUUUUUUCUUUGACAUUCUAAUUUUUUUCUAUGUAGUACGGAGAAAAAUCCACAUUUCACUUAACCCCUUCAAAAUGACAAACAAUAGCAAAAAAAACUUGAAGCUAAACAAAACCCAAUCCCUAGAAAAUGCUUAUUUUUCAUCAAAGAAUGCAAAAAGUAAAAAAGGGAAAACAGAGAAAAGGAAAAACCUCGAUGACAAAGAUGGCAGACCCUAUCAUAGAUGAGGAUGCAUGGUUAAAGGAGAUCAGGCAGAAGAGGCUUGACGAUGGUUGAUACAGGUGGGCCUGAGUACACCAGAUCGCUUUCUCUAGAAAUAUCGACGACAUCAGUGGCAAUGCCGGCAAGGAUUUGUUCUUAAGCAAAAGAAAGGGAAGGAAUGGAAAAUAUUAGAAAGUUUUUUAAAAAGGUGAGGAGGGUUUAGCUGUGGUUUUAUCAUUCCCCGUUUAUGAAGCAUCAAACACUUAAAACAUUUUGGAGUUGAAUUUAAUUCAUUUUAAUUCUUUCAUUUGAUUACAUUUUUGGUAAUUGAAAUUGAGUUACAUGGUUCCAAGUUGGCAUGUGAAAGCAGGAUGCCGUUAGCCGUCGGAUAUAAUGGCAGCGAUGAUGGAUACAAUAUAGAACUAAGGAAACUGUCUGUUGGGCAUCGUCAGCUUACUUGCUUCUCACUGAAAUUCGGGCCCAACCAUUAACAGAUACUGCUCAACUCCCGAAAUUAAAAUAACUAAUGCAAUAAUUAAAAUUAAAUUUCGUUAAUAUUAAAUCUUUCACAAUUCCUUUCCUCUUCAUUUAAAUACACUCUGGCUAAAAUUGAUAAAAGGCACAAGCUUUGUAUCUUAAAUAUAUAUAUUUAAAUAAGAAUUUUCUAUUAUUGUUAUAUACGGAUUUUAGUUUACUUAGUUAAUUUUAACUUGAAUUCUUCCCUUGUAAUUAUUUGAUUUUACACUUUGUCCAUCUUUACUAAAAUAAUUUGAUCUUAGGUUCCCACAACAAUCUGUAGAAUAAGGGUUUAAAAUAAAACCAAAAUGUAUGCCAUUUGAUUUUGAUAUCCCCAUUAACAUGCCUCUGAUAUUUGCAUUGCUCCAUUGAAGAGCUGAGCUUGAAGGCCAACAACAACAUGAUCUUCUGGGGUUUAAAUGCAAAAUUUUGCACCUACACAAGAUCAAAAUUUUAGCCAAAGAGUGACAAAAUCCUAGACCUCAUUCGUGUUUUAUAAAUAUAUUCCAUAACAAACCAAAAAAACUUCUGCCAGCACAAUCAAUGAGUUAGGCCAACUCCUGGAUUUGACCUUCUGCAAGGGUUAGAAAGAUCUCAUAAACAUCCAGCAAUUAAUUGAUCUUGAUAAAUACCAAAAUGGUUCAAACCAAACCUCACCAGCAAGUUUGACAGCCAAAUUGGCCUCAGCAUCAGCCUCGCCAUUCAAUUCCUUUCACAGAGGUGAGCAAGAAAGGUUAAAAUCAUGCAAUGCAAUAAAAAGACAAAAAAGUGACCAAAGAUCUUAUUCAUGAGAAUGCAUUUUCGGAGUAAUUGAUUUGACUAAAUUAGAAUACACAAUGAAAGGUAAGAAACAACAGUAAAAUAGCAUUAUUGCAAAGACUCGUCUAAGUUGUUUAGAUUUGAGACUUGAGAAUUAUUGGUAAGACUGAUCAAAAUUGAUGUUUUAACACUGCAAAUUAUUUACAAGGUCUUAUUUUUUAUUCUGUGUUAUCCAAGAGAAAUACAAAUUUAUCCAAGAGAAAUACAAAUGGCAUUAAAAACAAACAUCAGCCAUCAAUUUAUGUUCUACAGGUUCCAAGCUAAAAAGCUGGUACAAUAGCCAAAGCAUGCACUACCCAUAAAAGAGCUUAAAUAUAAGUAAAAAGAAAAUUGUAGAUGCAAGCAAUGAUCCAAACUUUAAAAAUAACAUCAUAAAGACCUAACAAUGCUGGCACAACAAAGAGGCCAUAGUAGUCAUAAGAAAAAUAAAUUUUGCCCAUUACUUUGCUAUCAAGUAUAAAAAUUGGUCAUACCCUUAAAACGUGAUUGAUCUGAAAUGAAAGAAACUUAUCCUUCAGUUUCAUUGCUUGCUCACACAGCUCAGACAUGUGCUCAUGUUUGACUUUCCAUAAACCCUGCAGCUGUUCAACAACAAAACAGAAGCUAAGCUCCUUAACUUGAAAUGACAAUACUUCAAUAAAAUGAAAAUAAACAACACAGCUCCUAGAUUUAGGCACUAUUAUUAUUUUGGUCAACCAAGAUUUAGGCCAUUAUUGAAGCCCGGGAAUAGCAACAGUUGAGCUAUAAUUUGUCCAGAGACAGUUUAGUUUGUCCCAGCUGACAGACCAGCCAAAAGAGAAGAAAAAUUUUCUUAUUUUGGGGGAAAAAUAUUGGGUUUAGAAAGCAUGACAGAGGUAGAGAACAGGUGUGCAUUCUAAUAGGAAACUCCAUUAAUCAUAUUAAAUACUCAUCCCUUUUAGAACCAAGUUAAGAAGGAAAAUUAUAAAACUUUCUUGUUUGGAAAAUUUUUAGGAAAAAGAGAGAAGGGACAGUGCUUCCAUGCAGAACCAAGUUGCUAAGGAGACAAAUUGCCCGGAGGCUAAAACUCUGAAGCAUUAACCUAGUUUCAGCAUUAUCAUCCAGAUUUUUCUUUCUGAGAAAAAUAACAUCGACAAAGCAACAGUAAACAGAUAGAAAGUUGGAUUACCUGCAUACAAACGAGUUUCGAGUCACCUCGGACAUGAAUGUUUGUAUAACCUUUUCUAAGAGCAUGUUUCAACCCUAAAAUUAGGGCGCGAUAUUCAGCAGCAUUAUUGGUUGCUAUGCCCAAACCCUCGCGCAAUUUGCAGAUCUGUUCAAACUCAAGGUUUCCAGCAUCAUGGAAAGAUUAAUGUGUGGAAAAGGUCUAAUUUUUAAAUGUUUAAUUGCAUACCACGUUUCCAGCAUUAGUUUUCAAUACAGCUGCUGCACCAGCAGGUCCAGGAUUUCCUUUUGAUGCACCAUCAAACUCAAGAGUACAAGAUUGCUGCCAUAAAGACACAAGUACGGGCACAAAAGCCUAUUUUCAGAGCAAAAAAGCAUCACUUAAUCUUGUUAAAUUAAUUCAGACACCCUUCUCUCUCUCACAAGAAACCCUCUUAUGCUGUUUGAGGAACUAUAUUCAAUCAUCUUGAAUAAAAUGAUAAAAAGAAACAAUGGCCUUCAAGACUAUAUGUUCAAUUCUGUGAAUGAAAUUAAUGUCAAUAUUCACCAACAUAAUCAACUGUCACUACCAAAUCUACUUACAUGACCAGAGGAUGUUAUUUGAGCCCCAGCAUGCGGAUCCAACUUGACAUGCUUUCUCGCAAGAUCAGCUACGGCUAUUGAACCAAGUGAUCCCAGUCCUUACAAAAGGUUAAAGGUAAAAUACUGAAAAAUAAUGUCACACCCAAACUCGUUUGAUUUUAAUAAUGAUGUGCUCAGGGAACAUUAAAACAACUAACCUACCCCAUACUCUAACUGAAGCAUAUCCUGUGGUCUCUUUUUGGUUGCAUCAUUAUGAGAUGUUUCACCUUUAGAAGAAGAUGGCUCCUGAAACAUAAUAAAUAGAAACAUUAGCCUUCAAAUCUAUAAAAGUCAAUAUCUUCACCUUCUCUGGAUGGUAUAAAACAGCUUUUGUGAUACAGUUAACAUGUGAAAGAAUGAAACUAAUCAAAGAACAAAUAGAUUGAUCAUCGAUGGCCUCAAAACCUCCAAGCAGAUCACAUUAAUUGGGAGAUGCAAGUUUUAGGUGCAAUUGUUGUCACAGGAACACAUUCAAGCAAACAGAGACAUGGGUGCAGGCGCAGAAAAAAAGAAAGACAACAUCAAAAUCUUUUCUUUCCUUUUCUUUUCUUUUUUUCGAUAGACUUGUUCAACCAAACAGCAAAUUUGCAGUAUGCAUAAGGUUUAUGCGCAAGGUCUCACCUGAAAAGGGCAGGGCAUGAGCGCUCCAAAAAUAUCCUCUUUCACAUCUGCAGCUCUAAUAGUGUAGCGAGCAUUCUUAAGCCCAUAGGAAGAAAGAUAUAUUUCAGUUUCCUUUGUUAAAGAGUAGCCUUUGUAAACACUGACCGGAGGAUCACAUAUCUACUCCAAAAGAAUAAUAACAUGUCAAAGUUAACAGAACAACGAAAAAGAAGAAACACAGAAUCUAAAUUUGAAAGAUUACUAUGAUAUUUGCAUUACAAUUAUGUCAUUUCAUUGAAAUCUAAAAAGCACAUAACUAUCAAUAUUGCAAUUUGAAUAACACAGUAUAGCACAAAAUUAGCCUAAAAGUAAAUCAACAUUAGGCGACAUUAAAAAAAGGAAGAAGAAUUACUGAGGAUCCAACUUGGGUCUGACAAUCAGCAAAGCUCUUGAAAACACCAACAACAUCUCCCUUUCUCACUACAAAGAAUGCAUCUUUCUCGUUUUCCAUCACCUUUGGUUGUUCUGGAUCAAAUUUUUUAGUCCUGGAUGUUUUUUUUGUACUACUACUACUUUUCCGGGAAGAGUAACACUGAGUGCGAAAUCUUGUCAACAAGAACUCUAAAUCCACAGUCUUAACACUCGCGUGCUCAAAAUUUCUUUUCCAUAAGGGAACAUGGCAUUGGUUCAAAGAAGUUGAAAUGAAAUUACCAGCCUUUCUAAAUAAAGCUGAACCAUAAGUAUGCACGUGUGGCGGGCAGUUCAUCAGAAAGUAAAAGUGCUCCACAGUUCCUAAAUUAAUAGAGUUAAAACAAAUAUAAGUUUCCAACUAAAUAACUGAUAUACUGAAUAUCCGUGUUGAACGAAUAUCCAUGUCCAACACUCGGAUAACAUAUUUGUUAAAUCGUAUAAAGGUUAGGGGGAAAAUUUCCUAUCAUACAAUCCUAAACCUUAACUAAACAAACUUAACAAAAACAAUGCCAAAACCAGACCAAAAUCAUUAGAAAAGAAUGCUGAAUACUUUACUUUUCUUAUUAGUACAAAAUGAAACAUCAAAAUAACCAAAAUCUCAUUUUGAAAAGGAAUAAAUCAAUCGAUAAGGAAACAUGUAGAAAGCAGGAAGAACCCAAAUUUUAAUUUCUUUGAUAAGCCCAAAGGACAACUAAUUCAAACCAGUUCAAAUUGAUUUUUAUUAACUUCAUUUUCUAUUUGUGCUUUUCACUUUGGAAAAUUAUACAAACCCUAGGUCAUUAAAUCCUACAGUCCCAAAGAAAAAAAAAAGAACCCCAAAAAGGGAGAAAAGAAAUCUAGGCUAGAAAUCCUAUGGGUCAAUCUUGAUUUUUCCUAUUCAUUUCCCAGAAUUUCUCAACAAUCAAACAGAAUUUCGUAAUUAUGAAUUUCCAUUUAGAUAUCUCACCAGCACUUUUCGUCUCCAUCCUAAGUUAAUAAAAGAUUAAAAAUUUUUUUAAUAAAAUUUAAAUAAAUAAAUAAAAACAUUGCUUUCAUGGGAUAAACAACUCAAUUAUCAAAUAAAUUAUACUUACAUGCUCAUUAAAUAUACUGAUGCAUAUAUUUGGGAGAUAGUCCAAACAUAUACACAUACUGCCAUACGAAUAUCCUAAACCCUAAUAUAUGCAUAUCAAGUACCUACUGUCAGAUCAUUAAGCAAUAUGAAAGACUGGUUCUUAUGUAAAGCUUAAAAUAUGGAUUAAAACUUAGAGAAAAGAAAACCUGUCUAUUAACAAAAGUCAAUUAAUACACUAUUGCAAGUAUAUAUGUUUUUUACGCUCUUAGAUAUCAUAGUAAACUCCAAUAACGAGUAAAGAAUCAUGUGUAACUCUCACAAUCUUGUCUGAGAUUAGUGAUCUCAAAUCAUGUGUAAUACAAAAGAAAAAGAAAACAAAAGAUGGUGCUCUCUUUUAUCUUUUCUCCGGUUUUGAUAAAAAUAGAACUUAUUCCAUGAAACUGAAACCCCCUAAAUCUUCAUGAAUUCGAUUUAAAAUCCUAUUAAUUAAUGUUUGCAAAGUUUUUUUUUUUUUUAAAAAAAAAUCGGUAUUAUUUUAAAAUCCAAUAAUAAUAAUAACUAUAUAUUAUAAUUAUUAUUAUUCUUAUUAUUGUUGUUAUUAUUGUUAUUGUUCUUCUUUUUCUUCUUGUUAUUGUUAUUGUUGUUAUUAUUCUUCUUAUUCUUCUUAUUCUUAUUGUUACUGCUUACAGAUUACCAAACCAGUGCAAAAUGAGAGGGAAAGGGAGAUUACAGUGGGAUCCUCCCUAAUGCACCACUGUUUCGUUUGUUCUUUCAGGGAUUUUACUUUGGGAAAUCAAGGAACUUCAAGAUUCUAUCAAACUUCAAAGCAAUAAUAAACGAAUUUGUCAUUCACAUAGCAGAAUAUACACUGUUAUCCCACUUUUUUCUCUGUACAUUAUCAUGCUGGAAAUUCCAAAGUUCAUACCAACAAAAAUAUAUAUAUCUGCAGCAAACAACUAUUGAGUUUGAUAUUUACAUAACAUACAAAUUAAGCACAAAGGGAUAAAAGAUGGGCCCAUAACAGUGAAAUGCUAGGUCAAGUUUGCACCCGACAACCAAAAUUAAGUUUAAGUCUAGUCAUCAGAGAAAUACUGGCAACUUGGAAGGAUGGUGAUGAUAUUUAAAGCCUUACCUGAGUUGGGUUCAAGUUCUCAGUCCUGCCACAACAGUGGAAGCAAGCAACAGAGGAAGCAGAAGACAGGGAUUGGGGCUGAAAUCAGGUGGGCGCUGGCGAUAAAGGAAGUGGGAGACGAAGUGGCAGCCGGAGUGGAGACGGCUGUCGACGGAACUAAUUUGGGAUUAAGGGGGAGGGGAAGGGAGGGGAGGUGACUCGAUGGGAGGCUGGGAGGUAUACCUAAACAUUAAAGUAAUUAAAAUAUCAGUAUUAAAAAUUUGGUCCGGGCCUGAGCCAAAAUCAUACCCAAAGUCUGGUCCAUUUUGAAAAUGGGUUUCGUAUUCCAUUUUUCGAAUGAAAAAAAAAACUUAAUCAAGAAAUUAAACAAACUCUGAAAGAGAAAGCGUGAAAGGGAUAAAAACUCACAAUGGGUUUUGAUGAAUGAAUCCUUAACUUGCUAUUUUAUUCUGAGAAAUUUCUUAAAUUUCAAUCUCCAAAUCCGUUUUUCCAAGAAUUUAAUCAUCUUUAUAUGAAUAGAGAUUACAGCAGGUAUCAGUUUAUGCAGUAUCAUAAUUCUAUUAUACAUAACUGCUUUAAAAUCUCAACCCGUAUGCAUAAUUGCUUUAAAUUUUGAAUAUCUCUUUAAACCAAAGUAUUACUACUAUCCGAAUUAAAAUAUGAAUUAAUAAAAUUAUUUAUGGAAUAUCUAAUUUUGUUAAAUAUUCUAAUUUAGUCAAGUCAAAUAAUGAAUUCCAAUCCGUUAUUUGUAGAAGUCAAGUAGAUCCAGAUCACUCCCCAAAAAUUUUAGAAAUUUUUAUUUUUUUCCCUUUAAAUUUAUUUAAAAUUUUAAUUUACAUUAUUCCUUUUAAUUUUUUUAAAUUUAAGCUCAUUUAUUUUUUUAAAGUUUUUUAAAAUUUUAAUUAUAUCUUUAAUUUUUUAAAAACAAUCUUAUUAAACUCCUAAAAUUUUAGUCAAACUUCCCAAAAUUUAGUCUCAAAAUUCAUCACUGAUUUGAGGAUUAUUUUAUCUUUAAUCAAUGAUAACAUGUGGAUUGUAAAUUAAAUAGUCAAAUGUUAGAUAGACUUUGAUCGAGUCCAUCAAUGUAAAGUUAGUAGUACAAUUGGAUUCAAGGAAGCUAAACUAUAAAUAGAGAGUUUUCCCCUCUUUUGUAAUCGGCCAUUGAAUUCAUUUUUAAUCCUAAUGUAACACCCCUUACCCGUAUUCGACACUGGAACAGGGUAUGAGGCAUUACCAGACUUAAACAUAAGCAAACAUACAAAACCGAAAUGUAAAUUUCCAUCCAAAUUUAAAACUUUUCAUAUACAUUCAAAUUGUCCUUAAAACGAGCCUAAGAGGCCCAAAAUAUGCAUUGAAAGUAGUUCAGGACUAAACCGAGAGCUUUGGAAAAUUUCACAACACUUAGAAAUUUUUUCAUAUUUUAAAAGCCACAUGCCUGUGUGGUUUGGGACACGCCCGUAUGGGCAGGCUGUAUGGUCACACACGCCCGUGUCCCUAACCCGUGUAACUCUCUGUUUGACAUCCAAGAAUAAAUUGAAGUCACACGGCAAAGGCACACGCCCGUGUGUUUAGGCCGUGUGGUCGAUUUAAUUUUCAUAAUUUCUCAUAAAAUAGGUGCAGACUUCACACGCCCAGGGCAACGCCCGUGUCUCUACCCGUGUGCUCAAUAUUGAGCAUUCUGUUUUGCAACAAUUAAGGUGUAGGGGACACAAGGCUGGAUCACACGCUCAUGGGGCGAGUUGCGUGUCACACACGAUAUAGACACACGCUCUUGUGUCUACCAGUGUGGACAAAAAUAAGGCUAUUUUCCAAGCCAUAUUGUCACUCUUCCAUGCACAAACCUACACAACAAAACAUAGCACCAUUCCAAGUAUAUGCAUUCAACCAAAUCAACCACAACCAAGGCAUCAAUACCUCAUUCACAUACUAUCAUUUAUCAUACACAAACAUCACAUAUAUUUCAACUCAAAUCAUGCAAUUUUCCACAUCCAUGAAAGACAUCAUCUUAUGCAUAUAUACUUAAAUCAAUAUUAGUCAAUUUCAAUAGCCAUUUACAAAAUGAAUUAUCAACCAUCAUAAGCCCACACAUUCGGCCAAUCAAUUAUGACACAUAACAAAACGACCAAGUCCCUGUACAUGCUAUAAGUCAAAAUGUUAAAAUCAUUGGUACCCAAAAUAAUAAGUUGACAGUGUGACUGGAUCUCCGACAAUCUCCAAUCCCCGAGCUGGCUUGGUGACAUUAUAAGACAAGGGAAAAAGAAAGAGGAGUGGACUUUAAAGCUUAAUAAGUUCCCAUGCAAAUAAUAAGCAACAAAUAAUAAGCAUUAUAAACUCACAUUUAACAUACAAUUAACUUGAAGUAAAUUAACAUAAAUGUCAUUAUAAAUCUCACAAUCCAACUUACUCAAUCGCAACCUUACCGAGGGAUUAAUCAUAUAUCAAGCUUAUUAAGCAUGAGUUUUAUGUACAUACUUGUAUCAAUUUACAGCAUACUAUAGUCUUUCACAACUUUGACAUUCUCGUUUCAUUUCCCAUUGAACCACUUGCAAUACUAAAGGAUACUCGAGUAUCUCACGCACAUAGUACCACACCAGUGCCAUAUCUAAGAUAUGGUCUUAUAUAAGAUCUCGUUUCGAUGCCAAUAGCCCAGCUAUGGUCUUACACAAAAUCUCAUAUCGAUGUUAUAUCCCAGAUAUGGUCUUACACGAAAUCUCAUAAUGAUGUCAUAUCCCAGAUAUGGUCUUACACAAAGUCUCAGUAACCCUAAUGUCAUGACAUUUGUAUCCCAUCUAUUCCUAAGGUUCAAUUGGGAUUUCAAGAUUGUCGUAACUUUGUCGAACACACUCAAUGGUCAAUCAUAAUUCAUAUAAUAGUAAAGCAUACAAAACAUAAUUAAAACAAUGCAUUAUUUACAUAAGAACUUACCUCGGUACAAAAAUAGUAGAAAUGAGACCUAAUCGUCAAAUACUUUGUUUUUCCCCCGAUCUAGGUCCAAACCUCAUUUCUCUUGAUCUAUAAUAGCAAAUUUAACUCACUUAUUAUUCACAUUACUCAAUUUAGUCCAAAAAUUACAUUAUGGCAAAAUUACAUUUGUCCCUUAAACUUUGACAUAUUUACAUUUUAGUCUUUAAGCUCAUAAAUUGAAAUGUAUUCAAUUUCUUUGUUACCCAAACCUAGCUGACUCAUAUACAUACUCAUAUUAGCCUACAUUUUUCAUUAAAUCACAUCUUUACAACACAUUUUAUAAUUUUUUACAAAUAGGUCCUUUUAUGUAUUUUCAUCAAAAAUCACUUAGUAAAAGUUGUUUAUUACACAUCAAACUUUCAUUUUUUUUACCAUAAAAAAUCAAAAAACAUGCAUGCCAUACAUGGGUAAAAUUUUAAACAUGAACCCUACUUCAAAACAAUGGUAGAAAUAGAAAGAUCAGGUGAAUACGACUUCAAAAACAUAAAGAGCAUUAAAAAUGGGGCUAGGAUGUACUUACAAUCAAGCUUGAAAGAUGACAAAACCCUAGCUAUGGUGUUCUUCCAAGUUUCAGGCAAGGUUGAAGAAAGAUGAGCAAAUUUUGGCUUUAUUUUCCCUUUUUAUUCUUUUAUUAACCAAAUGACCAAAAUACCCUUCUCCCACAUCACUAAAAUUCUCUUACCUCAUGUUCAUUUUUGUACACUAACUUAACAAAUGGUCUAAUUAUCAUAUAAGGACCUCUAAUUUAAAAUCCCAUAGCAAUUGGACACCUUUAACAUGUAGAAAUCAACUUUUUCACUUAUUGCAAGUUAGUCCUUUCGACUAAAUUGAGUGCUCAAACGUCAAAAUUUUCGAACAGAAUUUUCACGAAAUCAUUCCGUAAAACUGUAGACCAUAAAAAUAUAAUAAAAAUAAAUUUUUCUAUGUUGGAUUUGUGGUCUCGAACCACUAUUCUAACUAGCCCAAAAUCAGGCUGUUACACUUCUUUAAUAAGGGAAUGCUAAUUGAGAGCAUUUACUCAAACACUUGGUGUGCUUUUACUUUAUUGUGGUUAUUUUGUUCUUUUGAGUUGCUUCCACCAUAUUGUCGAUGCCUUAGAGAAAUUCUGCGAUAAUCCUAACUUUGUAAGAGUUAGGCUGACUUAGGCUCAUUUGAAUUGAAGAAAUCACUUAAAGCCACAUGAAUUGAGAAACAAAAGGUCUAACCCCAUGACACUAAGACCAUUUUUUAAAAAUUAAACUACAAUAGAGGUCACCCAAUUAUGAAUGGUUCUUUUUCUCACUCAAUUAUGAAAAGUUAAAAAAUGAUCACUCAACUAUUCAAUUUUGUUUUUUUUAUUACUAACAAGAUAAUAUAUAAAUGGAAUCACCCAAAACUCUCAGAUAUUUAAGUGACCAAAAAAGAUAAAAUUGAAUAGUUAAGCGAUCAUUUUGUAACUUUUCAUAUUUAGGAGACAAAAAAAUCAUGGUUUGAUGACUACUAAUGCAGUUUACUCUAAAAACUUAUAAAAUAAAUAUAUGGUUUAAUGGUGUAAAAAGCUCUCAAAAUUUUUAAAAGAAAGCAACUAGUCAUGCUUUUUUUUUUACUUCAAUUGCCGAAAUCCAUCAAAAAUACUCUUUGAUUAUUAAUUUUAGCAGUUGACCAUUAAAGUUAACGAUCCUCCAUUAUUUUAGUUAACUCUACCAUGUGACGAAAAAUGAUGAAAAUCAAUAAAAAUUAGAAAACAAAUCUAAAAACUAUAGAAAUUUAUUAAAAUAUAGAAAUGUUUAUAAAAAAACAUAAUUUUUCCCUUAUAAAUGUAAUUGGCUACAUUUUAUAAAUUUUAAAGUUAUUUUUUGCGCCAUGUGUCACGUCGUGAUUGUAACAUGUGUGAAAAAGAUAAAAAUUAUUAAAAUCAAUAAAAAUGAUAAAAAUACAUAUAUAGAUAUAAAGUUAUUAAAACUUUGUAAAAAAAUAUUUAAAAUGUCAAAAAAUAUUUAAAAUUUAUUAAAAUAUAGAAAAAAUUUUAGAAUCUUUUAAAAUUUCGUAAGUGUUCAUACAAUUUGUAAGACAUAUAAAAAAAUUUAAUCAUCUUAAACAUAAAAAAUAGUGGCAUUAUCUAAUUGGCCUGUGAUUACUCCCCACCACAACCAUUUUUUAAGUUGUUAUUCAAUGAUGGGGUAGGCUUGAUAGAUUUCAGUCUAGGUACUUUGAAAUCGUUGGUGAUGGAGAAGAAGUUGGAAGCAAGUUUUAUGAGACCUAGGCUGAAGCCUAUCAAAUCUGCUCCAUGUUGUGUAACAGCCCAAUUUUGGGCCUAGUCGGAACAGUGGUUUCAGAACCACUAAUCAAAAGUCAGAGGAAUUAUUUUAAUAUUAUUUUAUAUGUAAUAGCAUGGUUAUAUGAAUGUUUGAAAAUUUUAAUGAACUAAUUUUAGCGAUUGCUUACUUAAUUUCGAAAAAAGACUAAAUUGCAUAAAGUGCGAAAGAUUUGUUUUACUAGAUAAAGGUGUCAAAUAGCUAUGGAACAUUAAGGUAGAGGUCCUUAUUGAGUAAAUAAACCAAUAAAAUGUUAGUGGUUGGACAUGAAGCCUUAAUUCAUGGAAUGGUAAACGGUUAGGUGACUUAAUUGAUAAUAAAAUAAUAAACCUAAAGGCUAUCUAUCAUCUUUUUCAUUUUCCUUUCUCUCCACCGAAAAUUUCAACAAAGAAGUGGUUUUUGAGAGCUCAAAAUUUCAGCAACUUCUAUCCCUUGCAAGUAAGUGAUUUUGAUGGUCAUUUUUGUUGAUUUUUGUGUUUUUGUAACCCUUAUAGCUUAAUCUACCUAAUGAGGAGACUAUUUUGCAAAAUAAUUGAAAGUCUAGAGUUUUACCAUAAGAGUAUUCAUGUUGUUUGCUGAAUUUUUAUAGAAGAAAAUGAAUCAUGGUUGUUAAAUAAACAACUUUUGUGAAGUGGUUUUCAUGAAAACACCUAAAAUGAUCAUUUUGUGAAGUUUAUAAAAUAAGUUGCAAAUGUGUGAAAUAAUUGAAAUUGUGAGAUGCUAUAAGCUUAAAGUAGUUUUGGCUAGGUUUGGUUAAUGAGGAAAUUCGAUGAAAAUCGUUUUAUGAGCCUAGGGACAAAAUCAUAAUUUUGUGAAAGUCUAAGGGCAAAACAAUCAUUUUACCAAAGUAGGAAUUUUGAAAUGUCUUGAUUAAUGUGAUGAUUAAAUAAAUAAAUUUUUUCAUUAUAGAUCAAGAAAUACGGAAUCCAGACUUAGACCGGGGGAAAACUAAGCUGUGGACUAAAUCAAACUAGUCGCCUGUAUUUUGUAUGCUAAGGUAAGUUGCAUGUAAAUAUCACAAUUCUAUUGUUAUUAUGCAUUAAAUAAUUGAUAAUGAAUGAAAUGUUUGAUUUUGUUAUGAAUAUACAUGACGAGGUUUGAUAUGGUAAAACUCCCAGUUGAACCGUAGGAAUAGAUCGGAUAUCCAUGCCGUGAUACUAGGGUUAUGUGAGCCAGUAUAAGACCAUGUUUGGAACAUGACAUCGACAUUAAUAUGAGAGCUAGUGUAAGACCAUGUCUGGGACAUGGCACCGGCCUCGAUAUGUGAGCUAGUGUACAACCAUGUUUGGAACAUGGCAUCAGCAUCGAUAUAAGAGCUAGUGUAAGACCAUGUCUGGGACAUGGCAUCGACCUCGAUAUAUGAGCUAGUGUAAGACUAUGUUUGGAACAUGGAAUCGGUAUUGAUAUAUGAGAACUAGUGUAAGACUAUGUCUGGGAGAUGGCAUUGGCAUCUUACCCUUUGUAUGAGGCUUAUCGGGUAUCCAUUUAUUAUUCCAACUAGUUCAACGAGUGAUUUAAAGAUUAUAUCAUGAUUGAGAAAGUUACGAUUAUGUUGCAAGUGGUACAGGUACCUAAAUGAAACUCAUAAGAAUGAGCUCAGGUUGUGUAUAUGAGAAGUAAGGAUGAAAAUAAGUAAGUUAUGUCUAUAGUUAUUCAAGAAUCUUGUGCAAGUGUAUGAUAUGUUAUGAGUAUGGUAUUACUUGGUAAAGUGAUGUUAAUUAUUUACUUGUGAUUUACUAAGCUUUAUGCUUACUUCCUCUCUUUUCUAUUUUCUUAUAGUACCGCCAAGCUAGCUCGGGAAUCAAGGGACGUCAGAGGCAUUGAUCACACUAUCACCUAAAGUUUUUGAUAUAAUUAGUUUAAAUGUUUUGAGCGUGGCAUGUAUAGGGACUUGGUUUUUUUGUUUAGUGUCAUGUUGGUUUAGCCAUAAGUGUUGGCUCAUAUGGAUGUGGUAUUCAUUGUGUAUAGGCUAUUGAUGUUGGCUAAUAUUAUUUAUUAUUAAAUGCAUUUGAUGAGAAUUCUCAUGGUUGUGUUUGUUGCAUGGGUUGUGUUGAUAAGUAGGAGAUGUUGUAUGUGAUAGGAAAUAGCUUGGAAAUGAUGUAUGGAUGCCUAGGUAUUAGCUGAUAUGGUCAUGUGUUUAUGUGGUAUUGGUAUUGUUUGAUGUUUUUAUAGGUGGGUGUAAGUAAGAGUGACAAAUAGGCUUAGUAAAUAGUCUUGUUUUUGUCCACACGGGUAGACACACAAGUAUGUGUCUAGACAGUGUGUGACACACGGUCUGCCCUAUGGGCGUGUAGUCAGGCCGUGUGUCCUCUACACCUAAAUUUGGCAAAACAGAAUGCGCAGUAGUAACCACACGGGUGGAGACACGGCCGUGUGUCUCAACUGUAUGGAGGACACAGCCUAGCACACGGGCGGUGCCUUGGCUGUGUGCCCCUAAAUGGUUGAUGACGUCAGAAAUAGAAUGUUAAGGUUUUUGUUCACGAGCUGAGACACGAGCGUGUCGUGGCCGUGUGAGGGAUAUGGGCCAUAGACACGGGCGUGUCAAGCUGUGUGAAAACUUCUGUAGGUUCAAAUUAAGAAAUAAAUCCACACGGGCUAGGGACAGGGCGUGUCCCGAUAUGUUCAAGCCAUGUAAACUUCACGGGCCUUCAACAUGGCCAUGUUAAGAUGACACACAAGCGUGUAGCUAUUCCACAUGGGCGUAUGCCCCUGUUUGCGUUGAAAAUUUUCAAAGUUUUUCUAAAGUGUUUAGUUUAUUCCUGAACCAUUUCCAAUGGGUGAUUUGGGCCUCGUAGGUCCAUAUUAGGGACGUUAAGAGGAAGUUUGAAAGUUUUAAAAUUUGAGCAAAAUUUUAUGACUCGAAAAUGUUUGUAUGCAUGAGUUUAAGUACAGUAACAUCUUAUACCCUGUCCCGACGUAGGAUACAGAUAAAGGGUGUUAUAUUUAGUGGUAUCAGAGCUAUAUUUUAGUCGAUUCUCGGACUAACUUAGCUUGUGUACCAGUCUAGCUAUACAUGCCAUAUAAGUAAUAUGAUAGUAUGACGACUCCUAACAAACUUAAAUUGUGUUUUCAUUUAGUAAAUAGAUCUCGACAGAGCAGUGGCGGAUGAUGUAGAGAGUAAUAUGCUAACUCUAGCUGAGAGGACCGCGCUAGUCGAGAGUGGGCCCGUGACACUGUAUCAGGGCGGAGGGGCUAGAGAAGCCUACCUUCAUAUGAUGGAUGCUUGGUAUUCAGAGUUUGUUCAUGAAAAUCUGAAACUCCACCUCUUCCACCCCCUCCAAUCCCCUAGUCUAGCCCUGUAGCUCCCCAAAUGGUAGAGAUGUUAAGAAGGGAAAAACUUCCAGUUGACAGAAUUCAAAAGAAAGGGGCUGAGGAAUUUAGAGUGAAUAUAGAUGAUGACCUAGAGAGGGCAGAGUUCUGGCUAGAAAAUACCAUUAGGGUAUUCGAUGAAUUAUCUUGCACACCUAAAGAGUGCAUAAAGUGUGUUGUGUCACUCCUGCGAGACUCGGCCUACCAAUGGUAGAACACCCUUGUGUCGGUUGUACUAAGGGAAAUAAUUACAUGAGAGUUUUUCUUAGAGGAAUUCUAAAAGAAGUAUAUUAGUUAGAGGUUUAUAGACCAGAAGAGAAAGGAGUUUCUAGAAUUAAAGCAAGGCCGAAUGAUAGUAACAGAAUAUGAGCGUGAGUUCGUGAGGCUCAGCAAAUGUGUUAGGGAAAGCGUAUCUAUCGAAGCCAUCAUGUAGAAGAGAUUUGAGGAUGAAAUGAACGAAGACAUCCAAUUAUUAGUUGGCAUCUUAAAGUUAAGGGAAUUUGUGAUGCUUGUUGAGAGAGCUUGCAAGGCAGAAGAGUUGGUCAAAGAGAAGAGAAAAGCUAAUAACGAGUCUCGUGACUCAAAGAAAAGACAAAUGGGAAGAUCAUUUCAGACCUCAUCCAAGAGAUCGAGGGAGUUUCCUACUCGAUCAAAUGCGUUAGUAGGAUUCUCAAGUAGAAAUAAGAAUAAGCAGUAUACAAUGUCUAAAGCUCAAACCACUUCUAUAAUGAGUGUUGGUAGUCCUCGACCGAACAGACCAGAAUGUUCACAGUGUGGUAGACGUCAUUUUGGUGAGUGCCAAGGAAAUGAAAGAGGCUAUUUCAAAUGUGGGUCGUUAGACUAUUUUAUCCGUAGCUUUCUCGAGAUGGUCGAGAAAGAUAGAGAUCAAGGUAUGAGAUCGGGUAACGCUCCUAGGAGUAGACCACAAAAGAACCGAGAAGUGGGGUUAGCAGCAGAGGUGCGCCUAGAGAUUCCGCCAUGAAGUCCGAGGGCCGAGCGUCUACAAGGACUUAUGCCAUUCGCGCUAGCGAAGAGGCAUCGUCACCAUAUGUGAUUGCGGGUACUUUUUCUCUUCACGAUAUUUCUGUUGUUGCUUUGAUUGAUCCGGGGUCUACCCAUUCGUAUACUUGUGUGAAAUUGGUAUCUAGCAUGAAUAUGCCUAUUGAGUCUACAGAAUUUGUGAUAAAAGUGUCAAACCCAUUAGGCAAGGAUGUGAUAGUUGAAAAAUUGUGUAGAAACUGUCCUUUGAUGAUUAGAGGUCAUUGUUUUUCAGCUAACCUCAUACUAUUACUGUUUGAUUAAUUUGACCUAAUUCUUGGCAUGGAUUGGUUGACUAUUCAUAACGUGUUUGUAAACUGUGGUAGCAAGUUUAUUGAACUGAAAUAUGAAAAUAGGGAUAUUAUUCUGGUAGAAUCAGGUGAACCGGAUAGCUUACCUGUACUGAUUUCUUCUAUGACUACUAAGAAAUACAUACGAAAAAGGUAUGAGUCCUAUCUUGCUUUUGUGUUGAAUACCCAAGAGUCGGAAGUAAAGAUUGAGUCAGCGCCUGUGGUAUGUGAGUACCUGGAUGUGUUUCCGGAAGAGUUGCCUGGAUUGCCUCCAACUAGGGAAGUCGAGUUUGGUAUUGAGUUAGUCCCUGAUACGCGCCUAUAUCAAUUGCCCCGUAUAGGAUGGCACCAUUGGAGUUAAAAGAGUUGAAGGUUCAGCUAUAAGAGUUAACGGAUAAGGGUUUUGCGAGGCCGAGCUAUUCUCCGUGGGGUGCUCUGGUACUUUUUGUGAAAAAGAAAGACGGGUCGAUAAGGUUAUGUAUAGACUACAGACAGCUCAACAAGGUGAUUGUGAAGAAUAAGUAUCCUUUACCAAGGAUCGAUGAUCUGUUUGACCAAUUGAAAGGAGCCACGGUGUUUUCUAAGAUAGACUUAAGGUUCGAUUAUUACCAACUAAGAGUUAAGGAGCAAGAUGUACCGAAAAUCACGUUUCAGAUGAUGUAUGCGCACUAUGAGUUCCUUGUCAUGCCCUUUGGCUUAACAAAUGCUCCUGCCAUAUUUAUGGAUUUGAUGAAUAAUAUUUUUUGAUUGUACUUGGAUAAGUUCAUUGUUGUUUUUAUCGAUGAUAUAUUAAUUUAUUCUCGUGAUGAGAGUGAGCAUGUAGAGCAUUUGAGAACUGUUUUGUAGCCUUUAAGUGAUAAUCAGUUGUAUGCCAAGUUUAGUAAAAGUGAGUUUUGGCUCCGAGAGGUCGGAUUCUUAGGACACAUCGUGUUAGGUGAUGGAAUUAGAGUUGACCCUAGUAAGAUCUCGGCUAUUGUUAAGUAGAAACCGCUGAAGAAUUAGAAGUUUUCUAGGCUUAGCGGGUUACUACAGACGAUUCGUUAAAGGAUUCUCCAUGAUUGCUACUUUGAUUAUGAGGUUGCUACAGAAAGAUGUCAAGUUUGAAUGGACGGAAACAUGCCAACAGAGUUUUGAGAAACUAAAAACGUUCUUGACUAAAGCUCCAAUUUUAGUGUAAUUGAAACCGAGAAAAGAAUUCGUAGUGUAUAGCGAUGCAUCCUUGAACGGAUUGGGAUACGUGCUUAUGCAAGAAGGCAAGGUAAUAAUAUAUGCCUCAAGACAACUGAAGCCGCAUGAGAAAAACUAUCUGGCUCACAACUUAGAGUUAGUGGCCAUAGUGUUCGCACUGAAGAUUUGGAGACACCAUUUGUAUGGCUAGAGAUACCGAGUAUUCACCAAGCAUAAAAGUCUAAAUUAUUUGAUGACUCAAAAGGAACUAAACCUUCACCAAUGGAGAUGGCUAAAACUUAUAAAAUAUUACAAACUAGUGAUCGACUAUCACUCGGGGAAGGCGAACGUGGUCUUCGAUGCUUUGAGUAAGAAGUCAUUGUUUGCCUUGAGGGCUAUGAACACUCAGUUGUUAGUAACUGACAAUGGUUUAAUUUUAGCUGAGUUGAGAGCGAAACCAAUGUUUUUGCAAGAGAUCUACGAAGCUCAGAAAGGUGAUAAAGAAUUGCAAGCUAAAAUAACUCAGUGCAAGAUGAGUAUAUAAUCAGACUUUCGGAUUGGUUCAGAUGGCUAUUUAAUGUUUCGAGAUAGAAUUUGUGUACCCAAAGACGAUGAGCUUAUUCGGAAAAUCUUGUAUGAAGCGGAUAGCAGUUGUAUGUCUAUCCAUCCGAGUAGUGUGAAAAUGUACAAUGACUUGAAGAAAAUGUAUUGGUGGUUGGGAAUGAAAAGAGACAUUUCAGAGUGUUUCUCUAAGUGUCUAAUUUGUCAACAAGUGAAAGCUGAACAGCAAGAACCUUCGGGUUUACUUCAGCCUGUGAUGGUUCUUGAAUGAAAAUGGGAUCGUAUUACUAUGAAUUUUGUGUCCGGGUUGCCUUGGACGCCAAGAAAGAAAGAUGUCGUAUGGGUUGUGGUUGAUAGGCUAACAAAGUCAGCUCAUUUUAUACCGGUGCGUAUGGUUUAUCCGCUUGAAAAAUUGGCUGAUUUGUAUGUUUCUGAAAUUGUAAGACUCCACCAGAGUGCCCUUGUCGAUUAUUUUGGAUAGAAAUCCGAGGUUUACCUCGCGGUCUUAGAAAAAGUUACAAACAACUUUUGGGGACAAAGUUGAAUUUUAGCACGGUUUUCCAUCCUCAAACUGAUAGUCAAUCGGAGAGAGUAAUUCAGAUUCUUGAAGACAUGUUGCGGUGUUGUGUCAUUGAAUUCCAAGGUAGUUGGGAAAAGUAUUUACCGCUGGUAGAGUUUGCCUACAACAAUAGCUAUCAGUCGAAUUUGGAAAUGGCGCCUUAUGAGGCUUUGUAUGGGCAUAAGUGUCGAACGCCUUUGUAUUGGACCGAACUCAGAGAAAAUUAGAUUCACGGUGUUGACUUAGUCAAAGAGAUCGAAGUGAAAGUAAAGGUAAUUUGUGACUGUUUGAAGGCCAUUUCAGAUAGACAGAAAUCCUACGCGAUUUUAAAACGAAAAGAAAUUGAGUUUCAAGUCGGUAAUAAGGUGUUUUUGAAAGUAUCUCCGUGGAAGAAAGUCCUCAGAUUCGGUAAGAAAGGAAAAUUAAGUCCACGUUUUAUUGGACCCUAUGAAGUGAUUGAGAAAAUUGGAUCGGUAGCAUAUCGAUUAGCUUUACCGUCUGAGUUAGAGAAGAUCCAUGACGUAUUCUAUGUGUUAAUGUUACGCCGUUACUGUUCUGACCCUUCGCACGUUCUUUCACCAACAGAGAUUUAGAUUCAGACAGAUAUGGCUUAUGGCGAAAAAUCGGUUAAGAUUUUAGUUCGAAAGUUUAAACAAUUGAGGAAUAAGAGUAUAGCACUUGUGAAGGUAUUAUUGCAUAGACAUGGGGUUGAAGAGGCCACAUGAGAGCCUGGGGAGGCCAUAAAAGACCAAUACCCAAAUCUUUUCACUGGUAAGAUUUUCAGGGACAAAAAUCCCUAAGGGGGGAGAAUUGUAACAGCCUGAUUUUGGGCCUAAUCGGAACAGUGGUUUCGGAACCACUAAUCUGAAGUCGGAGAAAUUAUUUUAAUAUUAUUUUAUGUGUUAUAGCAUGGUUAUAUGAAUGUUUGAAAAUUUUGGUGAACUAAUUUUAGCGAUUGCUUACUUAAUUUCGAAAAAGGACUAAAUCACAUAAAGUGCGAAAGAUUUGUUUUACUAGCUAAAGGUGUCAAAUAGCUAUGGAACAUUAAAGUAGAGGUCCUUAUUGAGUAAAUAGACCAAUAAAAUGUUAGUGGCUGGACAUGGAGCCUUAAUUCAUGGAACGGUCAAAGGUUAGGUGACUUAAUUGAUAAUAAAAUAAUAAACCUAAAGGCUAGCGAUCAUCUUUUUAAUUUUCCUUUCUCUCCAUCAAAAAUUUCAACAAAGAAGAGGUUUUUGAGAGCUCAAAAUUUUAGCAACUUCCAUCCCUUGCAAGUAAGUGAUUUUAAUGGUCAUUUUUGUUGAUUUUUGUGUUUUUGGAACUCUUAUAGCUUAAUCUAGCUAAUGAGGGGACUAUUUGUCAAAAUGGUUGAAAGUCUAGGGUUUUACCAUGAGAGUAUUCAUGUUGUUUGCUAAAUUUUUAUAGAAGAAAAUGAAUCAUGGUUGUUAAAUAAACAACUUUUGUGAAGUGGUUUUCAUGAAAAUACCUAAAAGGAUCAUUUUGUGAAGUUUAUGAAAUAGGUUGCAAAUCUGUGAAAUACUUGAAAUUGUGAGAUGCUAUAGGCUUAAAGUAGUUUCGGCUAAGCUUGGUUAAUGUGGAAAUUCAAUGAAAAUUAUUUUACGAGCCUAAGGGAAAAAUCAUAAUUUUAUGAAAGUCUAAGGGCAAAACGAUCAUUUUACCAAAGUAGAAAUUUUGGAAUGUCUUGAUUAAUGUGAUGAUUAAAUAAAUAUUGUCAUUAUAGAUUAAGAAAUACGAAAUCCAGACUUAGACUAGAGGAAAACCAAGCUAUUGGACGAAAUCAAACUAGUCGCCCAUAUUUUGUAUACCGAGGUAAGUUGCACGUAAAUAUCACAAUUCUAUUGUUAUUAUACAUUAAAUAAUUGAUAUUGCAUGAAAUGUUUGAUUUUGUUAUGAAUAUGCAUGGCGAGAUUUGAUGUGGUAAAACUCGCGGUGGAACCAUAGGAAUAGAUAAGAUAUCUAUGCCGUGAUACUAGGGUUAUGUGAGCCAGUGUAAGACCAUGUUUGGAACAUGGCAUUUACAUUAAUAUGAGAGCUAGUGUAAGACCAUGUUUGGGACAUGGCAUCGGCCUCGAUAUGUGAGCUAGUGUAAGACUAUGUUUGGAACAUGGCAUCGGCAUUGAUAUAAGAGCUAGUAUAAGACCAUGUCUGGGACAUGGCAUCGACCUCGAUAUGUGAGCUAGUGUAAGACUAUGUUUGGAACAUGGCAUCGGCAUUAAUAUGAGAGCUAGUGUAAGACCAUGCCUGGGACAUGCAUUUGCCUCGAUAUGUGAGCUAAUAUAAGACCAUGUUUGGAACAUGCCAUCGGCACUGAUAUAUGAGAGCUAGUGUAAGACCAUGUCUGGGACAUGGCAUCGGCAUCUUACCCUUUUGUAUAAGGCUUAUUGGGUAUCCAUUUAUUAUUCUAACUGGUUUAACGGAUGAUUUAAAGAUUAUAUCACGAUUGAGACAAGUUACGAUUAUGUUACAAGUGGUACAAGUAACUACACGAAACUCAUAAGAAUGAGCUCGGGUUGUGUAUAUGAGUAGUAAGGUUGAAAAUAAGUAAGUUAUGUCUAUAGUUAUUUGAGAAUCUUAUGCAAGUAUAUGAUAUGUUAUGAGUAUGAUAUUACUUGGUAAAGUGAUGUUAUUUAUUUACUUGUGAUUUACUAAGUUUUAUGCUUACUUCCUCUCUUUUCCAUUUUCUUAUAGUGCCGCUAAGCUAGCUCGGGAAUCAAGGGACGUCAGAGGCAUUGAUCACACUAUCACUUAAAGUUUUCGGUAUAGUUAGUUUAAAUGUUUUGAGCGUGGCAUGUAUAGGGACUUGGUCUUUUUGUUUAUUGUUAUGUUGGUUUAGCCAUAAGUGUUGGCUCAUAUGGAUGUGAUAUUCAUUUUGUAUAGGCUAUUGAUGUUAGCUAAUAUUGAUUAUUAUUAAAUGCAUUUGAUGAGAAUUCUCAUGGAUUUGUUUGUUGCAUGGGUUGUGUUGAUAAGUAGGAGAUGUUGUAUGUGAUAGGAAAUAGCUUGGAAAUGAUGUAUGGAUGCCUAGGUAUUGGCUGAUAUGGUCAUGUGUUUAUGUGGUAUUGGUAUUGUUUGAUGUUUUUGUAAGUGGGUGUAAGUAAGGGUGACAAAAAGGCUUGGUAAAUAGUCUUGUUUUUUUCCAUACGGGUAGACACACAGGCAUGUGUCUAGACAGUGUGUGACACACGGUCUUCCCCAUGGGCGUGUAGUCAGGCCGUGUGUCCUCUGCACCUAAAUUUGGCAAAACAGAAUGCCCAGUAGUAACCACACGGGUGGAGACACGGCCGUGUGUCUCAACCGUGUGGAGGACAUGGCCUAGCACACGGGCGGUGCCUUUGCUGUGUGCCUCUAAAUGGUUGAUGACGUCAAAAACAGAAUGUUAAGGUUUUUGUACACGAGCUGAGACACGGCAUGUCAUGGCCAUGUGAGGGACACGGACAUGUGCCGGGCUGUGUGAAAACCCCUGUAGGUUUGGAUUGAGAAAUAAAUCCACACGGGCUAGGGAUACAGGCGUGUCUCGAUAUGUUCAGGCCAUGUGAACUACACGGGUCUUCAACAUGGCCAUGUUAAGAGGACAAACGGCCGUGUCGCCCUUCCACACGGGCGUGUGCCCUUGUUUGCAUUGAAAUUUUUCAAAGUUUUCUAAAGUGUUUAGAUUAGUCCCGAACCGUUUCCAAAGGGUGAUUUGGGCCUCGUAGGUCCAUAUUAGGGACGUUAAGAGGAAGUUUGAAAGUUUUAAAAUUUGAACGAAAUUUGAUGACCCGAAAAUGUUUGUAUGCAUGUGUUUAAGUACAAUAACGUUUCAUACCCUGUCCCAAUGUAGGAUACGAGUAAGAGAUGUUAUAUGUUGAAUAACGACUUGAAAUAUGGUCACAAUAGGGAGUAAUCAUAAGCCAUUUAGGUGAUGUCAUUUUUUUUAUGUUUGAGAUGAUUAAGUUAUACUUAUGUAUCUUACAAUUUUAUGAUUUUUUAUAAUUUUUUAUUUUACUAUAAUUUUCUGUUUUAUAAUAUAUAUUUUUUCUAAAAAUUUUAAUAAUUUUUAAUAAUUUUCUAUAUAUUUUUAUAAUUUUUAAUAACUUAUUUUCUAUAUUCUUAUUGUUUUUAUUCAUUUUAGUCAAUUUUUUUAUGUUUUCCGUCCACAAUUCAUAACCACAACAUGACACAUGGUGGAGAGAAUAACUUUAAAUUUUAUAAAAAUGUAGUAAAGUACAUUUUAAGGAAAACUUUUAUGAAAUUUUUAUAUUUUAUAAUAUUUUUGAUAUAUUUUUAAUAAUUUUUAUAAUUUUAUCUAAAUUAAAUACUUUUCUAUUUUUUUAUAAAUUUUUAUAUUUUUAUAAUUUUUAUUAAUUUUUUUAAGUUGAUAAUUUUUUCGCCAUGUGUCACAACUAAAGUGGCGGAGUUAAUUGAAAAUGAACAAAUUGGGGGCUAGUAAAUUUAAUAAUUGACGGUUAAAGUUAAUGAUUAAAAAUUUUUUGAUGCAUUUUAACAGUUCAAGUACCUAAAUAUGCUAAAUUACCAGCAUUUCACAAAAAAAUUAUUUCAAGUACCGAAAUAUGAGCCUAGAAAUUUGUCUAAGCCCAGCUUGAAAUAAAAUUGUUAAGCUCGAGCCCGGCCCGGCCCAGCUUAUAUUAAUUUUUUUAAGCUUAUUUCAUUAAAUAAAAAAUUUUAAAAUAUAAUAAAUCAAAUACAUUUAAAAACAUAAAAACAAAUAUUAAAACAAGAAAGAAAUAAAAAAUGAGACUAAAAUAAUUCUUAAAACAAUACACAAAUUGAAAAUAUAAUAAAAAGUGGUUAUAUUCAAAUUGAAAAUAAAAUGUAAAUAUGAUUAAAAAUAAAAUUAUAUAUAUUUAGUAUAUAAUUCGGGCCAGGCUGGGCCGGGACCAAGCCAAAAAAGUUUUACCCGAGGCUCAGCCCAUUUCCUAAACGGGCCUCAUUUUUUGCCCAAACUCAUAUUUCGGGCCUAUAUUUUUACUCGAACCCUCCCAUUUUUCGGGCGGGCCCCCGGCCUGGCCCAUGCACACCUUUAUCCAUGUGUUAGCUAUAGACUUGGGUUUCUCUAGUUCUUAAUUAUAUUGAUAAACUGAACCUAGGUGUUUGGUCAUGGGUUGUUUGUUAAUUAAAAAAAUACUCUCAAUGAGUUUCCUCUUGGUUAUGGAAAAGAUAAUGAGAGAUUGAUUGCUAGACGUAUCGUUGGUAACGAUAACCAAUUUAUCAUAGAAUAUCGAAAUUAUCUAUGCAUUGAUGAUCAAACCCAUGAAUCUAGACUAAUAUUUUACUUUUGCCUAGAUUCUCAUCACAUUGAUUUUCGUAUAUUUUAUUUUGCAAUCUUUCUUUUGAUAGUUUUAAUUUUAAAUUUUGUUUUUAAAUUCAAAACCCCUUUAUUUAUAUUUUACAUGUUUUUAUUAAAGAAAUAAGAAAUUAUUAUUCUAGAAAAUAGGUUUAAUAGUUGAAAAUAAAUUCUCUCUAUUUUCGGGCAAAGUAACAAUAUCUAAAAGUUGUAUUAAUAGUGCUACCAAUGCCAUCUAUUUUUAGAGAGAGAAACAGAAUCCUUGUUCAAUUAUGGAAGUCUACUCCAACUAGAAAAAUGUUUUCUUACUGUAAAGUAGGAGUAAGGGGCAACAACCCUAGGUAUUCCUACCAGGGUUUGUAAUAUCAGGGGCUUUCAAGCCUCUUUCGUAUCGAAUCUAAUUACAAUUGCUUCCCAAACCUUUAACCAAGUAUUUUGUAAUUCGAUCCAACCUAGUAUUAGUUUUUCUAUUUCCCAAAAUAAACUUCAAUAUAUAUUUCCAAUUUAAAAAAUUUUCUUAACUCAAUUCUAGUUUUCAUUAAAAUCAUGAUAAUUUUACCAUAAAAGAAUCUAUGAGAAAAUAUAUUUAAUAUUUUUUUAUUCAACGAUUCACUAUGACCAAAUGAUUUAUUUCUAUUUUUGAACUUUAAUUAAUUAAAAAAUAUAAAUUUAUUUUCAGGUAAUUUUUGAGAAAUCCAUGUUAAUUUCCAAAUGAUUCCAUUUUUUUCAUUUUCAUUUUGAAGAAAAUCAUAAUUAUUUCCAAAUGUUUCCCAUUUCUUUAUUUUCUCAAUUUCUAUCAUCUAUUUAUUUCAAUUCAAACACGCAAUUCAUUUUUGGUUUCAAUAAGUUAGCAGAGAGAUUGAUUGGACAUAUGUAAUUAGGGCUCAAAUGAUUUAUAAUCAAGUUUCAACUUUUUGCCUAUUAAUUAUAAAUCCAUUUAGUCACGAAGUCAUUCCACUAUAGUAUCGUGAUUGAACUCUUCCUAAUGACAUACCAUUACGAAAGUAGCUCGACUAGUGCUUGUACAAUGACCUUAUCAUAAGUGUAUUACUCUUACAGGAUAUCCUUAAUCUCUUGGGGAUAAUAUACGCUCUCUCAAUAUAAUCUUAUUUUAUCUCAUAAUAACCAUUAUAUCUUCUUUUCAUGAAAAGUCAAUUACUAUCAAGUAGUAAUCUAGUUAUCUAUCACAAAGACAAAUGACCCGUAGCCACCUUUGUUUUUUGUCAAUCAUGUAAUGUCAAUAAGAGGAUAUCAUAUACCCCUGUCUUGGGCUAUAAAUUCCACUGUUGUGAAUGAUGCUACAUACUGCAGAAGUCAUAUACCUAAUCCAUCAACUUUCGGUUCAUUAUCUAUUUGAACACAAGUUUUUACUUACAUCAAAGUAGACGAGUCACGUAUAUAUAGUCUGUCAUAUACUUAGGAUUUAGGUAUAUCACACUAUGAAUGUCACAAGUGAAUAAGUUCAUAAACAGAUUCAGGAUCUAUUUUGUUUGGGCCCUGUCCGAUGUACUGUUAGUUCAGUCAGUCACAUUUUUGUCUUUAUCUUUUAAGAGUCGCUCACUCCAAUACUUAAGAUAAAACAUCUCCCUAAUUGGACUUGAUAGAAAACAUAUUAGUCUUUCAAUCGGUUUGCUCAUUUCUGGUUAGACCAGUGACAUGUUUAAGUUCGUUUACUAAUACAAACUGUCUUUUCGUAUUAGGACCGGACCACGUAAUACCGCUCAGUAUCAAUUUAAACAUUAGACAACCAAUAAGCAAUAUUUGCUUUCAUUUUACUUUGCGUGCAAAAACCAUAUGAUGACAAUAAUAUAGGGUAUAUAUUAAUGUAAUCAAUGAAUUUGUUUUAUCAACCAAUCUGUUUGAAAAAAAUUACAAGUUUACAAACAAAUAUACUAUAAUAUGGGCACCAUAUCUAACAGUUUCCCACAUGCCCUAAUGAAGUAGAUGAGUCAUAUUCUGCAUUCCUAUGCUCUCCACGUGUUUUUCAAAACUUUUAGCUAGUAAAUUUUUGGUAAAUGGGUCCGCAAGUUUGUCAUCAGAUGCGAUUUUGACUACAUCCACAAUUCUGUCUACAACUGCCUCUCUUAUGAUAUGAUAUAUCCUAUCAAUAUGUUUCGUACUCUUGUGGUUUUUCGUCUAUUUGAUAUUAGGCUAUUAUUGCACUGUUGUCACAAUAUAGUGUGAUAAUUUUUCUCAUACCAGGAAUGACUUCAAUAUCAGUGAGGAACUUCUGAAGCCAUAUUGUUUAUUUGGUAGCCUCAGAAGCAACCACAUAUUUGACUUGCAUAGUGGAGUCAACAAUACAACUCUGCUUUACACUUCUCUACACAAUAGACCCGUUGUCUAGGACAAAAAUAUAGUCCGAGGUUGAUUUCCUCAAAUCCCAACACAUUUGGAAGUCAGUGUUAGUAUAUCAGAUAGGAGUAAGAUCUCAUUUGGAAUACACAAGAAUAUAAUCCAUUGUUCUCUAGAAAUACUUGAGUAUAUACUUAACUACCUGCUAGUGUCUUGGUCUUGGAUUCUUUUGAUAUCGACUCACUAAUCCUAUCGUGAAAUAGAUAUCUAAGCAUGUGCAUAACAUAGCAUACACGAGACUUCCUACUGUCGAAGUGUAAGGAAUCGUUCAUAUGUUUUCUUUCUUCCACUAUCUUAGGACAAUCCUCUAUAGUUAGUUACCUUUCUUUGAAUCGGUCAUUGCAUAACGCUCCAGUAUCUUGUCUAUAUAUGAAGCCUAAGAUAGUGCUAUCACUUUAUUCUUUUGAUCACUUAGGAUUCAAAUGCCUAAAUACAAAAUUAACUUCACCCAAAUCCUUUAUGCUAAACUGUUGGGUUAACACAAUUUAACCGAUGACUAUGUCUCUUCAUCAUUUCCAAUGAGUAGAAUGAUAUCGACAUAUAGAAUGAGAAAGACCACAUUUCCAUCCCUAAACAUUUGUAAACACAAGAUUCAUCUACAUUUUUCUCAAAUCUAACAAUUUUUAUUGCUUGAUCAAAUUUUUGUUUCCAUGAGUAGGAUGCUUACUUAAAUCCAUAUAUGAAUCUCAACAGUUUGCAAAAUUUAUACUCAUUUCCUUUAGUUAUAUAUCUGAUGGGUUUCAUCAUAUAGAUACUCUCUUCAAUAUAGCCUUUCAAAAAUGCUAUCUUAACGUCCAUUUGUUAAAUUUCGUAAUUGAAAGUCAUUGUAAUGGAUAGUAAUAUGCGGAUUGACUUGAGCAUGGCAACCAGAAAGAAAAUUUCUUCAUAAUCGAUACAUUUUUUUUAAGUAUAAUAUUCUACUCCAAGUCAGGCCUUAUAAGUUUUCAUUUUUUUAUCCGCAUUUUUUUCUCGUAGGUUUACUUACACCCUAUAAGUUUUAUCCCUUACAGUAAGUGUUGAAAAAAAUCCAGUUUAAAAAUGAUUUUCUUGCACAGCGAAAAACUAAAAUUUUACAAAUUUACUCGAUUUGUGAUAUUUAAAGCAAUAAAUCUUAGACCGAAAUCGUACCUGUGUUUUUUGAUAAGCGAAUCCUUGAUUUCAGCUUUCAACCAAAUGAUCUUCUUCACUAUUCUCAUACCACGAACUGCUUCAAGUGUGGGUUUGAACCAAUUGAAUCAAAAUACAAAACUAGAAAAAAUUUUCUUUUUUUUUUUUCUGGUGAAAAUAAAAAUUCUCUCUUCUUUAAUAGAAACUGGUAGAAUUGUUAAUUUGGAAAAAUAUAUUUAAUAGUUGAUAAUAAAUUUUCUCUAUUUUUUGACAGAUUAACAAUCUCUCAAAGUUUUGUGUUAAUAGCUCAACCGGUGCCAUCUAUUUAUAUGAAGAGAAGGUAGAACCCUUGUUGAAAUGUAGAAGUUUAUUUCAACUAGAAAAACUUCUUACUUAGAGUAGGAGUAUGGUGGACAACAUCCCCUAGUAUUCCUACUAGGGAUGCCACCCUUUCAUAUUAUAUUAGGGGAUUUUGAGCCUCUCUUAUAUAUCCUAUUACACAUAUAAUCACCUAACACUCAAUCAUAUAUCACAAUAUUUAAAACAUCUUUAUAGAUAAAUUGCAUAAUGGUCACAUACUCAUUUAGGCAUAUAUCACAUUACAUAUAUAUACAUUUUAAGACAAUUUGGCAAUUGUUAUGAAACAUAAAAACGAGCUCUAUCAUCACUCAUUGGAUACACAAAUUUCCAACACACCAUAUAGACUAAUAGAGUCAAAUAUGUCCCAAAAGUGAAGUAUAAAGCUAAUACUCUCCUUAUUUCCUUUCACAUGUCCCGUUGAAUGGAGCUUAGCUCAUAUUCCUUAUCCCUCCAAUAUGUCUCAGGGCCUCAAUGCCUAAAAUUAUUGUACAUAUAAGUGAGUACUCACAAUUCUGUGACAAGCCAACUAUAUCCAACGAUUUCAAGAUCACAGGUUAAAAUAUUCGAAACAAACACAUAUCACUUACCGAUUAUUCGUGCACUAUCACUGCAUAUUUGUAUCUUUAGCAAAAUUUUUUCACUAACAUUUAACAUAUAGAUAACAUGUAAACGUUUAGACUUUCACAAUAGUUAUCAUAUCCACAUAUCACAUGCUAUAUCAUCUCAUCUUAGUUCACAAAUUCAUAUUCACAUAAGUAUAUAAAUCACAAGAUAAACAUAAGUAUGAGAAAGCUUACGCUUGAAAUUUAAAGUAGGGGUUUAGGCUACUACUAAAUUCCCAAAUAACGUAUUGAAUCAUGUCCACAAGUAAUUAUUCCAAACACUCACCAAUUAUGCUUUUGCCGAUUAAAUUCGAAAACUCAAACUAACUUUUUCUUGCCUUUAUCUCUACUUGUAGAAGGUCCUAUUGAAUCCGAAACUUCAAAACAACAAUUCACACAACAAUACAUUCAAAAUUCAGCCAAGGACUCACCACAAGCAAUCAAACACAUAAGCCUAAACUAAGUUCCUAUGUAAUCGAAACCUUUAACAUGAAAAACUUAAAAUUCGAAUAUCUCUGUCUAUACCUAAUCUUUUUGCCUAAAACCAAUUUCGUUCAUCUUAUAAUUCACCUACGACUAAUUCUCAACCUUUAAAAUACACAAAGCUACUCAAUUUAUGGUAUUGACUUUUUCGACAUGUUUGAUUGUUAUUUUUCAAAAAUUCAUUAAAACGUUAGAAAUCUUUAACGAAACUUCAAAGUAAGUUUAGAAACCUUCUAAUCAUGUUAAAUCUUUUAAUUAUGUUUUAUGGCUAAAGGUACGCCUCAUUAGAGUGAGAAGUUUUAAGUCUUUUAUUCGAUAUUUCAGUCUUAAGCAGUGUAUAUAUAUUUGAUUUGAUAAAAUAGAGAUUAUUAAAAUACAUUACAGAUAAGAUUGUGAUUUCUAAAUAUUACAAUUUCAUUAUUAAAAGUAAUGAUCAAGCCGUCUUUAUAUAAACAUGCAACAGAAAUUAAGUUUCUUUUGAGACAUGAUACAUAGAAACGUGUAACAUCCCUCACUUGUCUUCGUCACUAAAUUAGGGUUACGAGAUGCUACAGUAAAUAAUAGAACAUGAACAAGUAGUUUUAAGUAAAAAAUUCAUUAAAAUACUCAUUAAUCAUCAAACAUUCAAUUAAAACAUGUUAUACAUGCAUGAUUGGGCCUAAAUUGAGCUUAAGAAAGCUCUAAAAACAAUUCAAAACUAAGCAUAGACUAAUUUGAAAAUUUUCAGAAAAGUGUGGUAAAAAUGCAAAACAUGGGUCACUCGACCGUGUGGUCAAACCGUGUGACAGGCUUAGGCCGUAUGAAAUUGAACCACACAGUCGUGUACUCUAACCAUGUACAAGGCUAAUGCCAUGUAAUAUAAGGUGACACGGCUGUUACUAGGCCAUGCAACAAACUAUGACUGUGUGGACAUAACUGUAAAACAUUGUAAACAUUUAUACGGUCAUGUGGUUGGGCCGUUUGAGAAACUCAAACCGUGUCAAUAGUCCUGCAUCUAAGUUACCAAUGUUUACCAUAUAAAUAUUAAGCCAACAACUAACCUUAUAUCAUACAUCAAACAAUCAACCAUUCAUCAAGAAUUACCAAUUCAUAAUCUACCAUGAUUCAAGGAUAAACAUAUCAUCACUACACAUACUAUCAUCAUUUAUCAAAUGUGUACCAUAAGAAUCAUUAAAUUCAACCUUAUACAUAUUAAUCAUUAUAAAACAUUACAACUUAAGCUUAUAACUUUAAACCAUCAAUAGAAAAUAGCCUAUAUAUAUGCAAAAAAAUCAAAAUAAAACAAAUCAAAAUCUACCGAGACUAAAGCUUGAUAAUGUGAGCCUUGAAUUUUAUCCAACUACCUUGUUCUACAAAACAUCAACUACAGUAAACAGGAAAUGAAACAAGCUAACCUUAUAAUAGCUUAGUAAGUUCAAAGCUAAAUUAUAAACCAAAUCUCCUCAAUCAAGCAAUUGAAAUUUAAACAAGUAUUAUAAAGAUGACAACCUGAUAUUCAAUUUACAUGUGAGUUUUGCACAAGUUCAAAUCACAAGGUAAUCCCAUUUGUAUUAAUAGUACAAUCAAGAUUAUUCAUAUGCAUUCACAUAUAUCAACAAGUCAAUUGAUAAUUAAUCAACAAGUCAAUUGAUUAUUCAUGUUUUACUAGCUCGAGUAGCUACACCAUACUAAGGAACACUGUAGUGCUAUCAGAGGCACGAUUAUGCAAUUAGAGGUAUCGAAGUGCAAAUAGGGGCACAAUUUUACAAUUAGAGGCACCAAAGUGCAAACAGAGGUAUGAUUGUGCAAUUAGAGGCAUCGAAGUACAAACCCGUACAAGCACACAUUCCAACCCUUUUGCAUGCUAAUCAUAUCCUAAUCAUUUACUAAGUUUAAACGGGUACUUAAACAAGAUUCGUAGCAGUUACAAAUUAGGUCACUUCCAUGUUAUCAAUACACAUGCUGUAAAUACGUUACGUUCUUUCAAAAAUCCAUAUGAAUCACAUUCACCAGUAUUGAAUCAUUUUUAAUUUAAUCAUUACCUUAGCAUUUGUUUAUAACAUUUCCAUUACAACUCACAAUAUUAACAACAUAUAUAAACAUAAUUCAAUAGCAAACAACAUAUAUAAGUACACUUCAUUACACUCUGAACUUACCUAUUAUAUUUGGUUAUCGAGUUGAUUCGUAAGGACAAUUCUGCAGUUUUCUCUUUUCCUUGAAUUUCCUUUGUAUGAUUCAAUCUUUGAUCUAUGUAAUAGUUAAAUUCAAUUUAUCAAUUCCAGUUGUAUUAUCAUACUUAUUUUCAUGAAUAUGACCUAUUAAUUUCAUUUUACAAAGUUUCAUAAACUUUUACGCUUUAUUCAAUUUAAUCUCUAAAGUCGGAACUAUUAUAUCUUUCACAUUUAAACACCAAAAUUAAAACUGAUUGUAUAUUCAACCCUAACUAGCCUUCAAAUACUAAAAUUUAUAGAAAUUUCAUGCUAAAAUUAACAUAUUUUCAUAUUAGUUCGUAAGCUCAAAAUUAACAAAAAUUCCAUUAUAAAGUAAUCCUAUUUAACAACCAAGCUCAUAAUUCUACCAUUUAACUUCAAGAACAUCUAAAAAUCAUUAAUGGAAAGUUUCAAACCUUUAAUAGUUUUAUGAAAUAGUCCUUGGGUUAAUUAGAUUGAACUACAACGAUCUUAAAAACAUAAAAUUCACUAAAAACAGAAUAAAAAAUCACUUACAUGAAAUGGACUAAGCUUGAACGAUUCUCUUUUGUUCAAAAAUGGUGUUUUUCAAUUGGGAAAUUUAGAAUGAAGAAGAUGGUGACUUUGAUUUCAUUAGUUUAUGUUUUUAUUUACUUAAUUACCAAUUUACCGUUGUAGUUAAUUCAAAAUUUCCACCCAAGACUUGCAUGAACCGUCCACCAAUGCUUCACUGUGGUCUAAAUACCAUAUGAGUCCUCUCACAUUUACUAAAUAAGCCACUUAACUAAUAAAAUUUAAUAGUGAUUAAGUUUUACGUAAUUUAUGAUUUAAUCCUUUUUUUCUUAACUAACUAUUCAGUCGCUUAAAUUAGUGGAUCAAGACUUAAUAUAAUUCUAUAAUAGACUCGUUUAUAAUAUUUACUAACUCGAUUAUCGAAAAUCAGGGUUCUGAAACCAUUAUUUUUGGGACCACUAAAAAAUGGGUUGUUACAAAACGUCUCUUAAAAUAAUCUUCCUAAAUUAUCAAAAUAAAGAUGUAUAUUUCCCACUACUUUAGUUACCACACUUGUCUUAUUCCCGGUUCACAAUGAUAAGUUCUUAUCUCUAAGGUCUUUCAUUUCCUCAAGCCUUUGUAAAGCAGCACAAACAUAAUUAGCGACUUCCGACUCAAUGACCUAGUGGUCUAUUGAAUCCUCCACUAAACAAGUUUCUAUAAUUAAGAGUUACAUACCUUUGCCUUUAGUAGCCAGGUAUUUUUUUCCACUCUUUACAGUUCACCUUAAAGUGUCCUUUCUUGCUACAGAAGAAGCAUUUAAACUUAGAUAAGUCUUUAGGCUUCCUCAUUCUCUUCCUUUCCACUUGUGGUGCCCUAGAGACAUUAGCCUUGCUUUUCUUAGCGCAUUUUCCUUUCCCUUCCAAGGAAGAAACGGUAACUAUGUUUGCUUCUACACUUCAGAUGCCAUUCAAUAUCAACUCAUAGGAUUGUAACACCAUCUCAAUUUGAGUGUUCUGGUCCAAAUUGGUCUCAUUAUCUAUGGUCUUGGCAAAGUAUCCUAUAGUAGUAAUCAUAUGGUAUUUGACUGAAAUGUCUAGUUUUUACUGGGCAUUCAUCAAGCUAGUUAUAGUAGACUGUCGAGCUAAGGCAGCUUGGCAUCUAACAAUGUCUUCUAGCUUAUCCAAAAUUACUUUGGUAAUCUUACAACUCUUCAAUUGCUUAUAUAAGUUGCUGGUUAUGUUUGCUAGCAUAUAGUAAUGAGCUAUCUUAUCAAACUCCUCCUAGAGUUUUCUAGCCUCAGCUUGAGUGGUCGGUGUGCCCUUAUUAUUAAGAAUUGUUUUAAGUUUUCCAUAGCUUAGGAAAAUUAUUAGGUUCUUUUUUCAUUUCUUAUAGUUAUUUUUGUUCUAUUUAUUUGCAAUGAGUAUGUUCAAUAAGGGAGUUGGUGUCAUUUUCGAACUGAAAAUAAAGCAAUCAUAUAUUAAUAUCUUUGUAUUAAGAAAAUGUUUGAAAACGUUUUCCUACAUUUCAAUAUGCAUUAAGAUGAUGCAUGUGUCUUACAUUAAACAUUGAAAACAUUUGUAAGCUGGUUCAACAAUAAUUCCUACACCCAUUGAAUCAAGCCACCUUGGGGUGAUCAUGAUCAACUAGUAAGAACAUGGAUUUUUAUCCAAUUAGUACAUGAACCUAAUUCUUUGGGCAUCCACACGUAUUAAUAAUUAUGUAACGUUUGAACAUCAUUCUAACUUAAGCAUAGCUCAUUGGAGAGUUACUUAACUAGAUGAUUUUGAGUGUAUAACCAUCAACUCAACACCUAUCGCAUGAUAAUACCUACUAUAGAGGCUGGUCUAACUAUCAUACGAUCAUAAGAAAAAUUCUGUAUACUUUCAGGAAAUUUCUUCAGUGAGAUCCAUAUCACAAUGUCUACUUUGGGCCAAGUCUGUCUCAUGCAACCACAAAAGACCAUUGAUGGAGGCUCUAACACUUCAAACCUGACCGAGUAGGUUCGACCCGAAUCCGACGUGCCACAUUAACCACCAAAUUUACUCUCUAUUAACUUCCAACCUAACCUCUAACACACCACUGACUUGCGACAAAUAAUAUGAUAAUUCAUAAAACAAUAGCGAAAAUAUUCAACACAGAAUGUAGACAUGCGAGCUUACAAAAAUAAACAAAAGGAAGGUUUGCCUACUGUAAUAUAGGUUCGUUAAAUAGUUCACAUAUUAUAUAACUUCGCAAAUAAAUAGAUUUUGUAACAAAGGGAAAACGUACAUGCAUGGGUUAUCAUGCUUUAAUAGGGUUCGUAUAAAUACAUGGGUUCACAUACAUAUAUGGAUUCGCACAUUCUACCUGGGUUAUCAUAUUAUAGGGGUAUGCAUGUAAUUUUUGAGGUAGCAGAAAAUAGUAGUUUGUAGAAAAUAAUAAACCUGGCUUGUACAUUAUGACAAAGGAAAUACGUACACUUAUGCAUGAAUAAACAUCAAACUUUAUUCUAAGAUGUGGUUCACAAAAAACUUAAACUUAAAUAACAUUAUCUCAAAGAGAGUUAACUCAUGGUAAUUCUAAACCCACAUAACUAAUAUAACCCCAUCACCUAUUUUCCCAAGUUCGCUAAUAUUUGUUUAUAAAUGAGCUUCGUUAAGUUAUCUACCUUGCCACUGCCAUUUGUGACCAACUUACCUAUGAAGUAAGAGAGGAGUGGAUGAGUUCAUUGCAAACUUAGUGAAUAAUUAGAAAUCAAUAGAGUAUGUUUAAAACCAGAGUUUAAAAUAGAAAAAAGACUUAAUUUGAAAAUCGUUUCAAGUGUUGCGUUCGCGGAGAAGGUCAUGAGACGUAGUUUGCCCAUCUUAUUUGUCAGAAAACAUAAGUUUUUAAAAAUAAUUUCACAUAACUUACUGAAAAUCAAACUUAAAAAACUUAGCUUGUGCUCAUUUGAAAAUAAAACUUAUAUAGCAUGAGGCAUGCCCACGAACUUAAGUCCCAGAGCAUCAACACCUAAAAUCACAAAAAUUGAGAGGUGAGUACUUAUAAUCCUUUGGUAUACCAAUAGAUAAUAAUAUAACUUAAGUCUCGUUGGAUAUGCAGAUCUCCUUAUAAUGCCUUAAAGUGACUCAAAGAGUCCUUAUAAUAUGUCUCAUAAGUGCAGCGAAGCAAUACACUCUUUUGUAUAGCAACAUGUCCUGGUGAAUAGAGUAUAGCUCGAUAUUCCCUUAUCUCUCCAUAUGUUUUAGAGCCUCAAUGCCCAAUAUCACAGAAACUGAGAGGUAAGCACUCACAAUCCUUUGGUAUGCCAACAUAAGGCUCUAAGCACUCACAAUCCUUUGGUAUACCAACAUAAGGCUCUCGAAGGAGCACAUACAAAGACUUAUCAUAGAAAGCUCGCAUAUGGAGCUUGCUUGAAAACACUUGUAUAAAGCUCAUAUAAAAGCUCGUAAAACACAAUUUAUAAAUUCAUACUUUAAAACAUACAUUAAAAUAUUAGCUCAUUUAUGAGCUUACAUCAAACUUAGUUUAAAAAUAUAGCUUAAAACUAUAUCUUGAAAAUAAAGCCUCAGAGUUUGAAAAUAGACGAAAACUUACUAUUGAGACUUAGCUUUUAAAAACAAAGUUCUUGAAAACCAUUGUAGUUUGCACACAAGAUAUGAACCUUCAAACAUUCUUACUAAAAAACAUAUUAGUGAACAUACUAGUUCGCAAUAUAGAUACACAUAAAGAUUACUUAAACAGAAAAACCUACAGAAUUCAAACAUGCAAGCGAACCUAGCUUUCUAGACAAUCAAACUUAACAGGGUAGAGACUUAACUUGGGUGUAACGAACUUAGUUCAGAACAAAGACUUGAUGGUAGAAUAUUCAAUGAAAGACUUCUCAUGAAUUAAGGGUCAUAUUUAUAAACCUAAAUGUCCUGGAUAUCGUAGUAUACCCUACUUGACUUAGGAAAGGUAUUCCUUGCACAAAAAGUAUUCUUAGAUACACCAUAUCACUAUUUCCUAAUUUGAGUCUGACUCAAUCUUUUAUUGGCGAACUUCCAAUUCGCAACUCAACUGGAAAACUCCAGUUCGCCAAACACACUGGUGAACCCAACUUGGCAAUGAAUUUGGUAAACCCCUUACCAUAUUUUUUGGCGUACAUUGCUAAGCUGAAAUAUUAGCGAACUCCUCGCCGACACUCUUUUGGCAAACUUUCCUGCUCGCCAAAGUACUUGUUCGUCCCAAUAUUGGUGAACCUUCACUUGCAAGGCCAAAACUGCCAGGCCCGAUCUCGAGAUGUUACAGAUGUCGUAGGUAUUGUUUAAGAACCUUUUCCAACUCAAUAGUUUAAAAACAUGCAAGGUUUUUAAUUUUUGAUUUCAAUCAUGAGGGAUUAAUAUAUACAUGACAAAUACAUGUGUUAUUCUUCCCAAGUCUAUAUGGAAUGCUCAUAUCAUAUAUACAUGAACAUACAUUCGUAGUCAUAUAAAUAUCAUUAUGCUUACCUUAUAAAUAUACAAGCACAAAAUUUAAAUGAGUCUGAUCAAUCAAAGUUUUCAUAAUUCCAUCUUAAAAAAAUAAUUAAAUUAUAAAAUUACAAAAUUCACCCUAAAGCAUACUUUCGGUCUUCAAUGUUGCCACCACGGUCUUUUGUUGCGGUACUGGUUUACGUUUCCAUCGUCACAGCCUUUUUGUCGUCGUUUCUACGUCACUGUCAUCGUCGACCACCAUUGGGUCAUUGUUGACCACCAUUGGGCCAUCAUCGACCACAGUCGUUGGACCACUAUCAGCCAUCAUUGUCAGACCACCGUCGACUCUACUAGGUCAGGUUUUUCUCAUAUUGUUUUUCGAGUUUUGUUAGGAAAGAAUUAGGUUACAAAAUUCCUAUGUUCAUUUUUGGCUCAAAUAUUUUAUUCUAAAUAAAUAAAUAAUAAAAUAAAAUCCUACGUGGAGUUGAUAAUCCAUGAUCUAAUAUAUAUACCUUAAAAACAAAUUAAAUUAUAAAUAAAUUUCUAAGAAUCAUGAAUUUGGAAAAAUUACUUUAUCAUUCAUAACAAUAAGAAAAUUAUAUACAUUCAUUCACAAACAUUCCCCUAAACAUGCAAAGAAUUAUAAGAAUGCGGCUUCUUAUCAAAUAUUAAUCAAACAAGAUGAAGAGAGAGAUUCAAUCUCAGUUUACACUAAAAACAUAGUACAACUUGGAGCUCUGAUACAAAUUGGUGGAAAAAAUUUAGUUUGAAACGAUUUUCUUGCACAACAAAAAAUUAAAAUUUUGAAAAUCAACUCGGUUUGUGAUAUUUAGAGCAAUAAACCUUAGAUUGAAAUCGUACCUGUGUUUUUGGAUUAACGAAUCCUUAUUCUAACUUUCAACUAAAUGAUCUUUUCCGCUAUUCUCAUAGCAUGAUUGCUUUAAGUGUGGGCUCGAACCAAUUGAAUAAAAAUAAAGAAUUAGAAAAAAAUUUCUUUUCUUUUUCGGGUGAAAAUAAAAGUUUUCUCUUCUUUAAUAGAAAUCAGUAGAAUUGUUAAUUUGGAAAAUAUAUUUAAUAGUUGAGAAUAAAUUCUCUCUAUUUUUCGACAGAGUAACAAUUUUUCAAAGUUUUGUGUUAAUAGAGCCAUCUAUUUAUAGGAAGAGAAGGUAGAACUCUUGUUGAGUUGUAGAAGUUUAUUUCAAUUAGAAAAACAACUUUCUCCUUUAAGUAGGAUUAGAGUGGACGACAUCCCCUAGAAUUCCUACUAGGGUCACCUCUUCAUAUUACAUUAGAGGAUUUUGAGUCUCUUUCACAUCGGGUUCAAUGACGAGUACUUUUCGGACUUUUCGACUCAGUACUUUGUAAUUUGAUCUAACCUAACUCUAUUUUUCUAUUUCCCAAAAUAAACUUCAAUAUUUUAUAUUAAAUAAUUUUCUCAUUCCAAUUUUACCCUCGAUAAAAUUAUGAUGAUUUUACCCUUAAUAAAAUUUCUAAAAAAAUUUGUUUAAUAUUUCACCAUUUAACAUGUCCACCAUGACUGAAUGAAUUGUUUUUAUUUUCGGGCUUUAAAAUAGCUAAAAAACAUAAACUCAUACUUCUGAUCAUUUUUGAGCAAUCCAUGUACAUUUUCGAAUGUAUAAUUUCUCAUUUUCAUUUCUAAUUUGAGAAACCUACAUUCAUUUCCAAAUUAUUCUAUUUCUCCAUUUCGAAUAAAAUCAUAAUCAUUCCUAAAUGUUUCCUAUUUCUUUAUUUCUAUUCAUCUCAUGCAUUUCGAUUAAAACACGUAAUUUAUUUCUGGUUUCAAUGAGCUGACGGAGAGGGCUAAUUGAGCAUAUGCAAUUGAGGCUCAAAUGAUUUUUAAUUAAGUUCUAGCUUUUCACCUAUUAAUUAUAAACUCAUUUAGUUAAGAAGUCAUUCCACUAUAAUAUUGUGACUGAGCUCUCCCCAAUGACAUACCAUUACGAAAGUAACUCAAUCAGUGUUCGUCUAAUGACAUUGUCAUAAGUGUAUUACCUUCAUAAGAUAUCCUUGAUCUCUUUGGGAUAAUAUUUGUUCUCCUAAUAUGAUCCUAUUUUAUCUCAUGGUAAUCAUUACAUCUUUCUUCAUGAAAAUUCAAUUAGUAUCAAAUUGUUUGCUCUGAAGGAUCAACUCGAGAUCGUCGAUAGGGAGGCUGAAUUAGCCUUUGAGAAAUUGUGGUGGAAGUAAUGAAAAAUAUGCAAUAAAGAACAUAAGGAUUUAUAGUGGUUCGACCCAAAUUGCCUACUCCACUACCUUAGCUUACCACAAUUAAGGAUUUCCCCAAAUUUACUAAUUUGGAAACCUUUGAGGACAAUGUUUAACCUUACAAUCUCUCUUAAGUUUUAUGCCUCAAAAUCCUAAGAUACAAUUCUCUUAAGGUUUCUACCCAAACCUUAAGGAUUAACCUUUCGUCUCAAAGAGAAACAAAUGAUCAAACAAAGAAAUAAUCCUUAUAAGAUCAGGAUGUUUGCCAAUGAAGCAAAAAUACAAAGAACACUUGAGCUAGAUGAAUACAAUGAAAGCUCACAAGUGUUUACAAGAAAAUGUAUGAAAGAAUUAAGCUUUAGGUUGUUUUAAUUGAUCUUUAAGCUUUUCACAUUACUCUUGUUGUUGCUAGACCUUUGGAAGAUGGUAUUUAUAUCUUCUAAUUGAUUUCCAUCUAUUGUGGUUGUUGUAGAAGUGAAUGUAGUCAUUGGAGAUGAAAUACCAGGUUAUUAACUGCACUUGCAACAAUGAGUAUUGAAACCUACUAAAAGGGUAUCGAUAUUUUUUUGUAAUUAAUAUAGAUUUCAGUGACAGUUGGAGUAGGAAUAUCUAUACCUUUAGGAAAUAUAUCGAUACCUUAAGAAAAUUAUCGAUACUGAAUCGAUACCUACUAGGGUUUGAAAGAAACAUAAUGUCAAUUUGGUAUCGAUUAUUAGAAGGGUAUCGAUAUCUUGUAAAAUAUUGAUACUUUUUUUCCUGGAGCAAUUCUAACUUGUUCGAAAAUGGCUAAAACAUAUUUGAAAAUGUUUGACUCAAUUGAAACCAUUUCAACUUGAUUUUAUCAAAUUGUUGAUAUUUACCCAUAUCUUAGGCUAUGAAUUUCACUGUUGUGAAUGAUGUUACAUACUGCAGAAGUCAUACACCCAACACACUACUUUUUGAAUUAUUAUCUAUUUGAACUCAGGCUUUUAUUUACAUCAAAGUGUACGAGUCACACAUACAUAGUCCGUCAUCUACUCAGGAUUUUGGUAUGUCACACUAUGAACGUCAUGAGUGAAUAAAUCCAAAAAUUUUAUUGAUCUAUUUUGCUUGGGACCAGUCCGAUGUACUGUCAGUCCAACUAGUCACAUCUAUGCCUCUAUCUUCUAGGAGUCGUUCACUCUGAUGCUUAAGGCAAAGCAUCUCUUGAAUUGGACUUGAUAGACAACAUAUUAGUAUUUCACUCAGUUUGUUCAUUUUUUAUUAGACUAAGUUGUCUUUCUGUAUUAUGACCCAACUACAUAAUACCGCGUAGGAUUAGUUAAACAUUAGACAACUAGAGAGCAACAUUUACUUCAUUUUGCUUUACGUGCAAAAACCAUAUGAUGACAAUAUACAAAGUAUUAACGUAAUUCUUGAAUAGUUUUAUUAACCAAUCUGUUUAAAAAACUACAAGUGUACUUAGAUAAAAUUACUACACUUAGGGAACCAGAUCCAACAACAAGUUUCCACACUGAAUUGGAAUCCAUAUAAUCCAUCUUAGCUUUCAUUGCUAUUUCCUAAAGCUUGGAAUCAACACUCUGCAUCACUUCAUCAUAUGUGAGUGGGUCAUCAUCUUCCUUUUUAGCAGACUCAGUGUUAAAAACUUUUCCUCCAGAUUGGAAGAACUUAGGCUUACGAGAGACCCUUCCACUACGACGAAGCACCAUAUGCUGCUGAUUGUUUGCAGGUCUACUAUUAGGAGUUGAUCCUAGAUCUAUUUCUAUUGGGUUUUGUAUAUUUCUCGAAAUUUCCUUGAGUACCUCUUUACCUUGAGGUAUAAAGUCAUUCAUGUAAAUUUCUUCAGGGAAAGUAGCAUGUGUUGACACUAUAAUAGUUUGCUCUUUCGGGUUAUAAAACAAACCACCCUUUGUUCCCUUUGGAUAUCCUACAAACAUACAUAAUUCUGUCUGUAAAUCCAACUUUCUCUCAUUUUUGUCCAUUACUUGGGUUAGACAUUCCCAAAUCCUUUUGUGAUUUAGAUUUGGCUUCCUGCCAUGCCACAAUCAUAUAGAGGUUUCGACGUUGCUUUAGUUGGCACAUCAUUUAGAAUUUAGCAAGUUAUUUGUAACACCCCUAUCCCGUAACCGUCGCCGGAAUAGGUAAGGGGCAUUACCGGACUUGUAACUCAUGUCAGAACAGUAAAAUUUUGAACUUUUUCUUGAAAUAAAGAUCGUUCAUUUAAAUAAGUACUAAGCACAGCCAGGGAUAAAAUUUAAACUUCUCUAAGUAAACAUUCAAAAGAUGCCAUUUUCGCAUGGCUUAUAUACAUUAACCAAAGUAUCCUCUCACUACUAGUCUAUUCUAUACAUGCCAUAAGAUAAUCCAAAACGUAGCAGUACGAAACAAUGGAUAGUGGUAGUGUGACUAGUUGCUGAUGAUCCCCGAGCCUGUAGCUUCGCAAUGAGAUCUAUAAAACAGAGGAAAAAGAGUAAACGGAGUAAGCAUUACAAUGCUUAGUAAGUUUUAAGCAGUGUCAACAGAUAACAAUCAAAUUAUAACAUAGUUGUUCGUAUUUUUAUUUCACUCUUCCUUCGGGCAUACCAUCCCUUUACCGAAUAUGCACAUCUCAUCAUAUACAAUAGGCAGAUAAACUUUCACAUAAAAGUGAGCUCAUGUGACAUAGAUAUAUCGUAUGAUUUCACAUAACCUCUCACACUGAUCCGAUGUCACAUAAUCAUAGGAAUAGUCUCAUAGAUUGCUCUCGUAUGCAUCACAUAACUACCUUAUGAUUUAGUGCAAAUCAAGCUCACAUAUAAACUUGGAGUACAUACCUGUUUAACCUUUCGCAUUGAAUAUAUUUAUAAGCAAUUCUUAUUACGAAGUCUUACCCGGACAUAAUCUCCACACGAAGUUAUCGGGUCUUACCCGGACAAAAUCCCCACACGUAGUCAUCGGGUCUUUAGAGCUUGGAUAUAGUACGAGCACGAAGCUUACGGACAUUAAUCAGUGAUAAUAUUCUCGCAUAAAGCCUGCGGGGUUUUAACCCGGAUAUAGUACUGACACAAAUGCCCUUCGGGACUUAUCACAUUUAUACACUUUCACAUCCAUCACGUUGGCCACUCGGCCCUGUCACAUAUAUACACUUUCACAUUCAUCACAUUGGCCAUUAGGCCUUAUCAUAUAUACACUUUCACAUUCAUCACAUCGGCCAUUAGGCCUUAUCACAUAUAUACACUUUCACAUUCAUCACAUCGGCUAUUAGGCCUUAUCACAUAUAUACACUUUCACAUUCAUCACAUCUAUACACUUUCACAUUCAUCACAUCGGCCAUUAGGCCUUAUCACAUAUAUAUACACACUUUCACAUUCAUCACAUCGGCCAUUAGGCCUUAUCACAUAUAUAUACACUUUCACAUUCAUCACAUCGGCCAUUAGGCCUUAUCACAUAUAUACACUUUCACAUUCAUCACAUCGGCCAUUAGGCCUUAUCACAUAUAUACACUUUCACAUUCAUCACAUCGGCCAUUAGGCCUUAUCUCAUAUAUACACUUUCACAUUCAUCACAUCGGCCAUUAGGCCUUAUCACAUAUAUACACUUUCACGUAUACACACUGUCUUGGCUGAAUCUACAUCUAUCAUUUUCCAAUAUCACAAUUUAGAAUUCACGUAUGGGUUUAAUCAAUAGCUUAUGAGCAACUAAAACAAGUUUAUCAAGGUUUACAACACAAUCUCAAAUUCAGCACAAGCUGUUUUUCCUGAGCAAUAGUCACUAAAUUAUUUAUAACUGGAGCUACAAAACUCCAAAUCACUUUCCGUUAAUUUUUCAUAAAUAUAAACUUGUAUAUCUUCCAUCCAUAAAAUUUCCAGAAUUUUAGGUUUGGCCAAUCAAUACCAGAUUUUUCUUAAAGUUUCCCCUGUUUCACUGUUUGACUGAUCUGACCACUCUUCACUACGAAUCAAAUUUCUCAUUUUACAGAAUUAAAAAUGUGUUGUAUUUGAUUUCAUUUGAAACUAGACUCAUUAAGGAGUCUAAGCAUAUAAAUUUUAUCUUAUAACCAUUUUUGUAAAAUUUAUAAUGAUUUUCUAAAAACAGAACAGAGGAUUACAGUGUCAUUCUGCGCUGUCUCACACAACUUUAAGUAUCUCAUUAUCGGAAAUUCCUUUGCUUACACGGUUUCUUUUAUAAGAAACUAGACUCAUUAAGAUUUAAUUUCAUGUCUCAUUCAGCCUCUAAUUCAAAUCCAUAAAUUUAUGGUGAUUUUCUAAAGUCACGUUACUGCUGCUGUCCUAAGCAGACUAUUUCAAAUUACCCUUAAAUUCCCAAGCUCAAACACUUAAGAACUUACCAUUUGAGCUUAGAACAUAUCAUGGACACAUCAUAUCUUAUUAAAUCAACUCAUCAUGUCCUAUUAUAAUUGAAUUUACUCAACGUUUAAUCAAUUAAAACUUACCUCGGAUGUUGUUGAACGAUUUCGGCGGCUAUUCGAUCACUUUUUCAUUUCCUUUAUCCAACUUUGGUCCUCUUUACUCUUGAGCUUAAUUAAACAAAUAAAUUGAUUUAAUCAUUUGAGCAUCGAAAAGAGGAACACAAGGCACUUAGCCCAUAUUUAUACAUUAGACAUUAAAGUCACAUACAUGUGAAAUCAUGCAUCAACUCAACAUAUUAACCCACACUCCCUUUUAGCCGAUUGUCCUAACCAAGAUAAAGGCAUCAAUAUGCUUGCCUCUAACCGAAUGCAUGCAACACUAAUCUUCUCAUGUGGUCGAGUAUGCAUGUAUAUGUUGAGGCCAAUUAUAUGCUUAAUACUUCCCACAAGUAUGGUUACUUGUAUUGGUUAUAUACCGUUUCGUUUCAAAUUCAAAACUCGGCUAAUACGCAUUUAUACACUAGUAAUCAAAUACUAACAUUUUGCAUUUUAUCUUACUACCAUUUCACAUCUACUUUCUACCAUGGCCGAAUGCAUCAAGACACCAUUUACCCUUGCAAGGCAUAAAUUUCAUCAUCAAAACUAACAAGCUUAUAAUCCCAUGACCGAAACCUCUAACAACACCAAUUAAAAUACUUCAUGGGUUUGAGGUAAAACCAAGAAAGAAACUCAUGAAUAUCGAGAUAUAAGCACUAACAUUGUUCAUCUAGAUUUAGCAUGACACAACAUCCAUCACCCUUAUAUUUACCAUAGCCGAAAACCUUACUCAUUCCAAAAAUUCAAAUCUCAACUUGGUCACAAAAAUAACUUGAUAUCUCACCAACACAACAUCAACACCAAGCAAGAAUGAUGCAUCCAUGGCCGAGUGUCAUUUCCAUCACAUAGCAAGAUUUAGACCAUGGGCUAGGUAGAACUCAAGCUAACAACUAAAACAUGCAUGCAUCUCAUGGAACAUCAUCAAACAUACCUUAGCCUAGUUACAUGCAUGGCCGAACCUCUUCAACCUUUCUUCUUCAUUCCUCCUUAAAAUUUUCGGCCAAGGAUGAACCAAAUGAUGAACACUUUUUUUUUUGUUUUUCUUUCCUUCAACUCACGGCAAUGGGGGGACAAUCACACAUAUCCUUUCUUUUUUUUUUGUUUCUCAUCCUACUAACACUAAUAUUUUAUUGCCCAUGCUCUUUAUUUUAUUGUUUCCUCCCAUGAUGCACCAACACAACAUGUCUAUGACAUGUUUUGCCCAUCACCCUUUGUCCAUCCUAAUGUCAUGGCCGGCCACUACUAGAUGGGGGGAAAUUGACAUGCAAGUCCCCCCUUUUUCAACAUGCACUAAUAGGUCCUUAUGUUUUGAUCUAUCACAUUUCAAAAAUGUCACACAUAAGUCCUAUUGACUAAAUUCACAUGCAAUUUACUAAAUCGAAGCUUAAAAUUUUCACACAUUUAUUUUAGACAAUAAAUAUCAUAUUCAAAUAAUUUGGUGACUCGGUUUAGCGGUCCCGAAACCGCUUUCCGACUAGGGUCACUUUAGGGCUGUCACAUUAUUUGUACCGCAUAUCCUCAAAAAAAGAUUGGCAGCUUCAAAUAACUUAACAUCGAAUGUACCAUGUUUAACAACAUUCGAUUCCUUCUCUUUGCCACGCUAUUCUGUUGUGGAGUGCCCGACGCGAUUAAUUAGGAUAAGAUCUCAUUCUCUAUGAGGUAUGUUAAGAACUCACCCGAAAAAUAUUCUCCACCUCGAUUAGACCAAAGUGCUUUUAUGGAUAAAUCUAGUUGUUUCUCCAAUUUCGCACGAAACUCUUUGAAUUUAUCAAAGAUUUCACUCUUAUGGUGCAUUAGAUAUGAAUACCCAUAUCUGGAAUAAUCAUCAAUAAAGGUGUGGCCACAUACGUUAGUGUGCACAAGUUCUAGGGGUUUUUCAGCCCUCGUUUUUUUUUGUAUUAAAAGAUCGCUAAUUAUUAUCUGGAAUAAUCCAAUGUUUUUUUUAGUUAUUUAAUAUUGAUUAUUGAUUGAUAAUAACAGUCAUAAAUUUGAUAAUUUAUUAUAUAUGAGAAUAUCAUGAAUUAAUUGUGUAUUAUAUAAUGUUUAUUUAAAAAUUCUAUAUAUUUGGUUAUGGAAAUAUUAUGUAAAAAAACUUAAUCACAAUUAGUGAUGCAUUAAAUAAAAUUUAAAAAAAAACUCUUAACAUAUUCAAGGGAUUUUAAAUAAUAAUUUUUAGGAUUAAAAUGUAAAAUAUUUAAAAUACAUUGGAUUAAUUUUUUUUAAUACAAAUUGCAUUGGAAGAAUUUUGUAUUGGAAAAAAAAAUAAAAUUUAAUAUUACAACACUGACAAUUUUGUAUAACAAUAUAUAAAAAGUCAAUAUAAAUAAUGGAAAUUUCAUAAUACUAUUUAUGUAAAAGAAGUUUCAUACCAUUAGAGAUUUAAAUAUAAAAAUAAUAAAAGAUCAUAUUUACUUUGAUUCAUCCCCUUCUUCUUCAAUAUCAAACAUGCAUGGAAAAACAAUUUUCAGCCACAUUAGAAAUUCAUAUACAGAAGAAAAUACAUCACUUAUUUCUUUUAAACAUAAAUAUUUUCAUUUGUUAAACAUAAAGUUAUCAUAUUGAUACCUAAAUUUUAUUUUAAUCAGAAUUAGUUAUUAAAUUAUAUUUUUGUUUUCCAAAUCAAUAUCAUUGUUAGGUUCUAUUAAAAAAGCCAAUCAUAAAUUAAAAGUUAUCAUGUGGCACAAAAGAUCACAUAAGCACUCUAUGUAUAUAUAUCAAAUAAUUUCAAAAAGGAAAAUUUUAUAAAAUUUAAAAUAAUAUUUUUAAAAUAUAUUAAUUAUAUAAUAUUAAAAAAUAUAUAUAUAGAUAUAUAUAACUUUUAAAAAAAUUUAAAAAAAUUCAAAUGUUCUAAAUGAAAGUUUAAAAAUUUAAUUUUUUAAUUCAUGAAAUUUUAUUAUAUAAAAUAAAAAUUUAUAUAUAAUUAUUUAAUAUAAAAAUAAUUCAAAAUACAUAUAAAUAAAAAAUAUUCGAAUUAAAAGUUGAUUGAUUAAAGCUAAUCAAUGUUAGCCAAUGUUGGGUUAACUCUUGAACAAUUAAUGACAGUGUUUAUACCACGUGCUAUUGUGUGAUUAAGUCAUGUCAUUAAUGACUAUUGUUGACUAAUGAUGAAUUGAUGAAAUAAUAGUUAUUUAAGAAUCAUUUCUAAUGAAAAUAAGAAUUGAAGUAUAAAAUUGAAAAAAAAAUACAUAAUAUAGAUACCAAUUUAUCAAUAAACUUUUCGUAAACGAUAUCUUUCAUAGAAUCAUAAUUGAAGUGUUAACUAAUAACAUAUCGACAUAUUGUUACCACAAAGAAGUCCUGUCUCGUAUAACAUGAGUCCUCGUCAAUCUAAAAGAUUGGCUUCAUCGUUGUCUCAGCUUGCUUUCCAACAGCUCAAUUGUAUCACAUCUUGUAAUAGUUUGAAAUGAGUUUAGUCAUCCAUUCUAUGCAUGUAGAUCGAUCUGUCCAAAUAUUUAGAUAUUAUUUUAUGAUAAUAAGUAGUAAAAUGUAAAUAAAUAAAAUAAUUGGAUUCUAAAAUUAAUCAUGCAUUCAAACUAACUAUAUUACAUUGGUGGUAAAAUAUGUUGUAAUUUGCUUUACAUAAUAGAUUACAACUCAAGGAUAAGUUAUUUUGUUACAAAAGAUAUCACGUUAUGUUGGUAAGAAAUUCUGUAAUAUAUUCUAACUCAUAUAAGAUAUUUUAUAAUAUAAUAUUUCAUUUUGUAAUGACUUGUUACAUUAAAUGGGUAAAAGCUUAGGCUAAACUUUUUGUAUAAGAGCUUGCACUAGAAAUCCCCACAAACUAGCCUCAUGACCCUUUUCAACUUAUUUUUACCAUCAGAUUUAAAUAGUAGGAAACGUAUUUUAAGUUCUAUGUUGAAAUCCCUAGCAUAGAGAAAUCUAGAGAAGAGCAGCCCUUUUUAGCUCAGCCUUGAGCUUAAAUACUUGACCCUCGGGCAAAGUUAGGUUUACCAAAUAUCUUGGUUCACAUUCAUUUUCAGCAGCGGAACCGUGCGGCAGCGGAAAAAUCAAAACUGCUCCUUCAUCACCCACACAUUGGAUUGAAUAAUAUGCCAACUUUGGCUUUUCUCCAUUCAACUCCAAUUCAUAUAAACCUGCAUUUUCUAAGUUCACAAAUGUUAAAUUUGAUCCAUACAUGAUAUAAUCUGUACACCCAUUAUCUUUCUCCACUGCGGCUUCAAUCUUGUUUCUUUCAUCACACACUUGAUCUUGAUCAUUGGCGAUCAACGUUGCUAACUUGUUCAAAUCCGAUUCACCGACCAAGAAGCUUGCCUUGAUUGAUCUUAUAAUUUGAUUGUUACCAAGAACAUUGCUAUCGUCAUGGCAUGGAUCUUUUCUACAAACGGUAAUAAUUUGUGGCUCAAAUCCUUCCCUGACUUUGGCUAUCGCUCGCCAAAGUAGGGCACAAAUUGAGUCGAAAGCCGAAACCGAACCAAUCUUGGCUUGCAAGUUUGAUAAAUGUUUUGUGGUCAAGUUGAAAGAAAAAGUUUCCAUUUUGCAGUUAUUGGCAAGCACCCAAAGGUCUCCCACAUGGUUCACUUGCUUUGCAGAAAGUGGUUCACUGGGUGCCUCAGGUUUUGCAGUAUUGGUUAGGGAUCUUGGUGCGAGGGCUGGGGAACUAUUGACAUUGACCUUAGCCAUGUGUUGGCCCCAAUUUGUUGAUGAAAUUAGAGACUGAAAAUGCAUCUCCAAGGAUAUGAGCCCAACUCAGCCCUAGUGAAAUUCCACCACAUUUGAACAGAGUAACCUGCACAAAGAUGCACAAAAUUUUCAAUAUCGAAUUGUUGUUGGAUGUGUUAUUUUUGUUAGUAUAUAAAGCUUUUGUUGAAUUGUUGUAUCUUAUCAAUCAUAAGUUGAAAGUAAUUAUAUCUUUUUUUAUAUUUUGAUAACAUAUAAUGAAAAUUGCAAGAUUUUGAACCCAUAAUAUUCAUUAUUUCAAUUUUACCAUUUUAAUUAAACUAACAUUUUGUUUUAUUUCAAUUUUCUAUAAAUUUGCAUAAGUGUUUAUGUUUAUCAUUUUGACUUUAUCUGCAUUGUUUUAAUAUUUUCUAUAUAUUCGUAGUUUAUUUUCAUUUUUUAAUAAGAUAUAUGAAUUAAAUAUAUAUUUUUUUAAAAAUAUCGGUGAAAGUUCUAUCUUAUCCACCCCGAAUUUCAUUUAUUAAAAAUAUAUAAAUAUUAAUCUAAAAUAUUACAUUUUUAAUAUUUUAUUAUUUUAAAAUAAUGAUAUGGAUAAGCAUGAGCUUAGGUUUAGAAUUUUUUUUUUCAAAUCAAGCCUUAAUCCUAUUCUGUCCAUGGCUACUUUUAGUCUUGAGUACUCAAGUUUAAGACCUCUGAAUCUUAUUAUCUAUUUUUAUCAUGUGUGAGUUUUAGUUUAGUUAUUAAUUCUAAUAUGGAUUGUUUCAACUCUUUUAUCUAUUUAUAUUAUAAUUGUUUAAUUCUACACUUUUCUCUGUUCAUCUGUAUUGUAGUUGACUGAUUCUAAACUUUAUAGUUACUUGAAUAUAUAUUUAUAUUUGUACUUUCUUUAUACUUAUAAACUUUGAAUAAAUAUAUAAAUUAAAAUUAUGUAUUGAUGUCACAUAUUAUUUGUCAUAUUUUUAUUAAUCUGUACUAUAUAUAACUACUUACCACCAACUCAAUAAUAACUAAAAUGUUAUUGUUUUGUAAAAUAAAUUAUAUUAUUUUAAAAUUUUUUAAUAAUUUAUAUAUAAAAAAGAAUACACAUAAAUGGAGUUUGAUCUAAAGACAUAAUGAUUUUAAACAUUUAAUUUACCAUUUCAAUUAAAGUUUUAUUUAUUUUUUUCAUAUAAAUAUUUUAUAAAUAUAGUAUAUUUGGUACAAAAAUUUAGUGGACAAAAAUUCAGUUAAAUAGAUUACAAAAUUAGGGAUACUUUUUGAUAUUUUUCAUGAUUAAUACUUGAAAUUCGUAAUUACUCCUUUAGAAAAAUAACCACCAAAAAAAUAUUAUAAGCAUGAAGUAUGGAGGAAAAAAAUUAUUUUCUCACCAUAUAGUUAGCCAAAGAUAAUCUAGUUUUAUCUUAAUAUAAUCGUAAAGUGAUUUAAUAAUGUUUAAAGAAAAUCGCCUUUUGAGCUUUAGGUAAGUUGAUAUUGUAAAUAUUGUAUUAGUAAAGCGACUUAAAUGUUUUUUUUUUUCGAUUUAUAUAUAUAUAUAUAAUUUAAAGGUUAAGAUGAAUUUUGGUAGAAAAAGGAUACCUGCAAGUAAACUAAAGGAGAAAAGGGCAACUCAGGGCCGAUGGCUCGAUGAUAAACAAGCAAAUUCCUCUUAGAAUCGUCGUCAGUUUCAAGCCAUUCAUCCACAGUUUCAUCGCAAACACCUUCCACGAACCUUAUGCCGCAGUCAUUACACUUUAUGUACGGCCGACCCGAAGACUCCGACCGCUUGAUCCGCCCACAGGUGAUGUAGUAAUCGUUAAGCAGGUAAAAUAUGGCUUCUUUCAUGUUCAUGACAGUUAGCCCUUCCACUGCAUGGCUGGAAAAGAAGUAAACCGCUUUGAGGUAAUGGAGUUUCAUGGUCAAGUCCAGGCCGCUUAGGUCAUGAAUCACGUCCGAACCGGUGACACAACCUGGUCCAACCGAUGAGAGCCUAAGGUUAUAGACAAGAUCAUGGUCUUGUUGGGGGGGGAACCAUGGUUUGCUUUCAAACUUGACUACUGGGAGAUGGAACUGAAACUAUGGUUGGAAAAUUUUAUGGUUUUCCGAAAUGAGGUUUUUGGGGUUUAUAAAUUGGUUCUUAAAUCAUGAGCGGUGGGUGAGUUAAUGGGGGAACAUUUAAUAGGGUCAUUUUCAUUUGUUUGUUGGAUGUAAAACAGCUGGAUACUUCGACUUUGCAUUAAAUCUUCAUUGGUUUGAAAUAGGAAUUCAUUCAAUUACUAACCAGAUUUGAGAAGAUGAUUAUUAGCGUAGGGUAGAGGAAAAGAUUGCUCUUAUGGGUAUUUCUUGGGGAGUUGGGUAGACUUACCAUCACGUAUUGUUUAACAAAUAUUCAUUAAGAAGAUUGUACCACAUAUGUCUAGAUUAUUUUACUCCAUAUAAAUUUUUUUUUAAUCUGAUUGAGUAAUUUUUUCAAGGAACUCUAUAUCUUUUUGGGAUUUUAAAUCAUUCAGGGAUUUUCAUAUAAAUUUCACUAUCAAGUGUGUUAUAUAAAUAGGAAGUAACAACAUCCAUUAGAUGCAUGUCAACUUUUUCACAUACUGCCAGAUUAAUAAGAUAUCUAAAUGUGAUUGUAUCCAUCAUUAGAGAAUAUGUCUCUUCAUAAUCAAUGCCGGGCCUUUGUGAAAAUCCUUGUGCUACAAGGCGAGCUUUAUAUCUUACGACUUCAUCAAUUUCAUUUUGUUUUCACAUAAAUACCUAUUUAUAUCCUAUCAGCUUUUACAGCUUUAGGUGUUUGGACUACAGGUCCAAAAACUUCACGUUUAGAAAGUGAACUCAGUUCUGCUUGAAUUGCAUCUUUCCAUUUUGGCCAAUCUUUUCUAUUUUUACAUUCCUUAGUAGAUUUAGGCUAAAGAUCCUCAUUUUCUUUUAUUAUUUUAAUAGCAAUAUUAUAAGUAAAAUUGUUGUUGACAACUUUUUUUCGGUUUCAUUUUUUUCUCGUAUUAACAUAAUUUAUCGAGAUCUCUUCAUUUUCAUCAUUCCCAUUUUCCCUUUUAGGUACCUGAAUCUCUUCUUGAGUUUUAUAAUUAAUUAUGUCAUGAGUCUUUUAAGGAAUCCUGCCUCCACUAUAUGACCAUCUUGAAUGUUUGCUCAUUUACUAUAUGACCAUCUUAUUUUUUAGAUGUACAAUAGAUACAUAACCAAUGACUUUUCAUACAUAAGUUUUCUCCCUUGUAAGUUCUCAUCAGUAAUAUUUUACCACGUAAUUUUAAUUGAGAACUAAUUCUGAAUAUUGUAGAGAUAUACUCACAGUUUUUAAAAAAACUUGCAACUUUAGGUGCAUCCAACCAUAAUAAGCUUUAGAUAGAAUUAUCAUAUUCUAUUGCUCAUAAGUAUAUCUUUCAUAGUCAAAUAUUUUGUUUUCGGCUAUUUAAUAGGGAUGAUGACAAAAGAAUAUCAUAAAGAUUAUAAAAUAAAUAUAAAUUAAUAACCCAAUUCCCUUUUUUAUUCAUAUGAAAUAUAAUAUUUUCCUCAUUCACAAUCUCAAUAUGAGAUCCAUUACAAAUAACUUUUAAAAGUAAUGUAUUAACCAUCACAAAUUUUGUGCUUUUUAGAUGGUGAUAUAUUAGCUCUUCUGGAGCUUUCAACUAAUUUUGUACUAUCGAAUAUUGGAAUAAUAUUUGUUUGUUUUAAUACCAAAUAAGAUAAAUAUUUUCUAUUUGUAAUGAUAGAAUUCAUUACUAUAUUUUCAUAUUAUUCCUCAAAGAAUAUUAACAGAAAUAAAAUAUUUGGGCAUAUGCCACAUAUGUGACCACUAAUCUUUCAUAUCAGAUUGAUAACAUAAGUUAUCUUUACCCUUUGAAAAGUUAUCUUGAGAACUCUCACUGUUCUUUUAUUUAUUAGUAUGUUCCCACUUUUAGUGGUACAUGAGUAUAUCUUUUAUUUUCUUUAUAUUUACAUUCACUUCAAGGAAUGCAAUAGAUUUACUAGGACAAACUUAUAAACGUCUCAAUUGAUUCUUUAUUUCAUAAUCACCGUCGCAAACAUGCGUGGAUUUUAAAUUAGAAUUUAUCUAUUCAUGUUGUCAUGAUUAGUCUCCAAUUAUAAUAAACAUAAUAUAAUAAAUAAAAUAUAGUAAAAUAUACAUGAAGAUCUUUAACAUCAUCAUCAUCACCUUGACAAAUCUAUUCUUUACCUAUACUUGUAAAAUUAUAAAUCAAAGAUCAGGUUUAAGAACCAUAAUCCAUUCUGAGAUUGAAUCUUUCAACAUCCUAAAGAUGAAGUUGUAAGGAAGAAAGUUUAAGGUGAAAAGGAAUUUUAUUUGUGGGAUGACUUCGAAAGAUUUUGAAAAAAAUCGAGAAUCAUUGUGCUGAUAAUGAGUUAUAAAAUAAAGAGAGACGGAGAGAAUAAAGAACAAAGAAAAUAUGAAAGCAAUAAAUAAUGUACGUUAUUGAUCAAAUGGAUGAUUUACAAUGCUUCAUCAAAGUCUCUAUUUAUAGGCAUAAGAAGUAUAAAAGAAGUAGAUAUCUAAUUCUAAUGACUAUUAGAAUUUAAAGUAUAUCAAAACUUUAUCUUAAUCAUGAUGGACAUCCACUUAAUAAGAUAUUCAUAACAAAAAUUUCAUUAUAUAUGAGUAUUUAUUGAUUUGUCAAAAUUUAAAAAGAUAAAAAUAUCUUUAUAAGAAUAUAACUUAUUUUAUAAAAAAAUGAUUUUUUAAUCAUUUUUUAAUAAAAUUGGUACUCGAUUGCAGGGGCAUAGUUAAGGGGCUGGUAGGGGGGUCUCUACCACUCGUAAAAUGGAAAAAUUUUCAUUUAGGCUCUUUAAAAUUUUAAAUUAACAAAGGUAAAAUUACACUUUGCCCCCCUAAAAUGAUAAAAUUUUGAUUUAAUCCUUUAAAAACUAUAAAAUAUAGAUUAUUAAGAUGAUGAAAUUGUAUUUUUACUAUUGUAAAAAUAACAAUUAAUUUUGGCCCCCCUAAAUUUUUUUUUGACUUCUCCUGUGCUUGAUUGACUUGUGAUACCAACAGGUUUUAAGUAUAAUACAUAUUUAUCUAAAUUUUAUCCAUUCAAUAUAUGAACUUCAAGUUUUGUUUAAAUGUAUUCAAAUUUGUAUACUGUUAAACCAAAUUUAUUUAGAUUUAUAUUGUUUUUCUAAUUCUUUUAAAAUAUGUUAUUUUUAAUUUUAUUUAACAUUUAACAUUUAAUAAUUUUAUAUAAUUUUGUUUUUAAUUAUAAUUACAAUUAAUACAUCUAUAACUAAAAUUAGAAUUUGAGAAAGGAAAAUAAAUCUUUAUGCCUACAACCAAAAUCAAUUAUUACGAUGUAAAAACAAACAUUCAGACUUAGAUCAGACUAAAUUUAGAUAAAAUUCAAAUAUGAUAGUGCUUAAAUUAGAAUAAAAUCUAGAUGGAUAACUUACAUAUGAUAUUUGCGUUUGGUGGAACUCAAACAUAAGAUCUAAAAUUUAGCAAGACUUCAAUCAUACCAUUGAACCAAGGACUCAACUAUUAUUAUUGGUACAAUCUCCACUGAUAUAUUAAUGAAUUGUUUUUUAUAAAAUAUCUGGAACUACCCAUAAUCUUUCCUUGACCUUUAAAUAAGAAGUUAAAUGUAUUUCAGCAUAUUCGAACUCAGGUUCUUUUACACUGACAACAAUGUCAUGCCAAUAGAACUAAGACUUAACCAACAUAUUAAUGAAUUGUUAAAAUAAAUACUUAUCAUUCCAUCAUUACAUAUAAUGAAUAGUUUUAUUUUUUAAUAUAUUCAAUUGAUAUUAUUUGAAUACUAAAAUUUCAUGGUACUCAUUUCCUGAAUGGUGAAAAAUAUAUAUUUUUAAAAAUAAUAACAAUGUUAUUAUAUAAAAAAUUGAAAAUUGAAAAUAAAAAAAUAAAAGGAAAAUGAGAAAAAAAAGUUAUUUAUUAUUAUUAUUAUUAUUAUGGUAAAUGAAGAGCUACAAGGCAAGUUUAUUUAAAUGUGCUAAAAAAAAUUGAGAAAGUAUGCCAUUUUUUAAAAGUUUAUCGAUCUAUACUGUUUUUUGGAAACAGAAAGAAAAAUGUGUCCUAUAAGGUGCAUUUUCACUGAAUUGGCAGAGAAAAUGCGCCACAUAGGACGCGUUUUCCCUAGGGGUGAGCGUUCGAUCGAAUCGAAUCGAAUCAAAUGAAAAAAUUUCGAGUUAAUCGAGUUAACGAAUCAUUUUUUAUCAUCCUAAUUUGAUUUGAAAUUUUCUCGAAUCGAGUCGAGUGAGAUGGAAUUCGAAUUGAAUCGAAUCGAAUAUAUUUAUUCGAGUUAAAUUUUAGAAAAAAUUUUGGGUCCUUGUAACCACUGUCACCCAUCGUAAUAAAAUUUGUCCACUAUAAUCAAAUUUUUUAUUACCUUUCAUCACCUCAUAAUUUAUUUAUUAAUCUUUUAUAUACGGGUUAGCUUCUUUGCUUUCUUAGUUGUUUCAAUUAUCUUCAUAUUCUUGUCACUAUAUAUUUUGGAAUUAAAAAACAUAUUAAAUAGAAAAAUAUGAUUUUUUUUAAUAAAAGUUAUUUUAAAGAUAAAAUGUGAAAUUGAUACCAAUAUAAAAUUUUAACAUGAAUAUUUUAUGGCAUCAUUAAUAAUUCAAUUUUAAUAUAAAUAUUCAAUAUGACUAAACAAUUCAAUAAUAUAAAUAAUAUAAAAUGUGAAAUUUAAUUUAAUAAUAUAAAUAGUAGAUAUAAAUAAAAUUAUUACUAUUUAUGUUUAGGGAUUUUUUUUAGAUAAUUUUGAUUUUUUAUUUGCGAGUAAAGAAUGAGAAGUAAAAGUUUAGGGGAAAAAUAAAAAAGUUUUGGAGAGUAAAAGUUUGAGGGAAAGUAAAUAGGGGAGUAAAAUUUUGGAGGGAAAAUAUUAAAAAAAAUAGGGGGGAUGAGUUUGGGGUAGAUUUGGGGCGGGAUGGGAAUGAAGUAAAAGUUUUGGGGGAAGUGGGAGGAAGUAAAAAUUUAGGGGGAAAAUAAAAAGUUUUCAGGGUUUUUGGGAGUAAAAUUUUGAGGAAAAGUAAAUGGGAGAGUAAAAUUUUGGUGGGAAAUGGAUUUUGGGUAGAUGGGGGGGGUUGAGAUAGGAGGGGAGUAAAAGUUUUGGAGGAAAAGUGAGAAGGAGUAAAAGUUUUGAGGGAAAAAUAAAAAAGUUUGGGAAUUUGGGGUAAAAAUGUAAAAUAUUAUAGUUUGAUAUUCGAAUUUGAAAACUCAACUAGAUUCAAACUCAAAAUUCGAAAAAAAAUUCGAGUUGACUUGAAUAACUCGAUUAACUCGAAUAACUCAAUUCGUUUAACUUAAAAUUUGAAUUUUUUUUCGAUUUUUUGAGUCGAAUCGAAUUUUGCUCACCCCUAGUUUUCCCCCAUCCAAAAAAAGCGUCCUACAUCGUGUGUUUUCUUUGCCAGUUCAACGAAAACACACCUUGUAAGACGUGUUUUCUCUCCAAUGGUAAGUUUUCUCAACAGGCAGAAAUCCCAAUGGUUAUGGGACCCCAACAACCAUUUUUUCCCCUAUAUAAACCUUCAAAUUCUCAUUUUUUCAACUCAACUCUCAACUCUCAAUUUGUACAAUUUGAUUCUCAAUUUUCUUAUUCUUGAUUUGUUAUUCUCAAUUGUUAAUUCUUGAUUUUUGAAUCCAAAUUCCCAAUUCCAAACUUCUUUUUAAUUUUUUUCUUAAUUCUUUGAUUUUAUUUUAUUAAUUCUUCAAUGGUAUAUCAGUUUAUUAAUUUGGAAGACCAACACAUAUCCGACGUUCAAUUACAAAUGAUAAGAAAAUAUUAUUUAAUUAUUUCAUUUUAAUCCUUUAAUUAUUAUGAUGUUAUUAAAAUAUUAUCAAAUUAUUUAAUUUUAAAUAGUUAAUUAUUAUAUUGUUCAGAUUAAUAAUUUUUUAUGUUUAUAUAAUCAAGCCAAACAUUGAAUUUAGGAGACGUACAUAAACAACUUAAGUGAAGGUGUACUAGAGGUCAUUCAUGGACACUAGCGAGAUGUAAGCUUUUUAUACGUAACUCGCAUGCUCGGGGAGACUAAAUUGGAUCCCCUAUUCAUCAGUGCUUUGGUCAAGAGAUGGAGAUCAGAGAUGCACACGUUCCAUCUCCCAUGUGGAGAGUGUACAAUUACACUCGAGGACGUCAGUUUACAGCUUGAUCUACCGAUCGAUGGGGAUGUCGUUGCGGGGCCAGUUGUUAGUGUCGAUUGGAGUGCAACAUGCGAGCAACUAUUGGGCAAUGUGCUGAACAGGUUUAGGGGUAGCCAAAUCGAGAUGAUAUGGUUGGAGGACAACUUCCAAAUUAUCGAGGCUUCAGUGAGCGACAUUGGAAAGGAGCAAUUCACGUGCACAUUCAUCUUAAGGUUGAUCAGGUGUUUGCAAAUGCCAGAUAAAUCUCGCAAUUUGGUACACUUGAAUUGGCUACUACUACUAGCUGACUUGAGAGAAACGGGAUGACUUAGUUGGGGAUCGACAACAUUGGCAAUAUUUUACUGAGAAAUGUGUCGAGUGACGAUAUUGGGAAAAUCUAAAAUAGUGGUUGCAUACUCCUUCUUCAAUUGUGGGCAUGGUAUCUGUAACAGCCCGAUUUAGACCCUAAUCGAAACGGUGGUUUCGGGACCACGAAUCUAAGUCAGAAAAAUAUUUUAAAAUUAUUUUCUGUGUUUAUUUUGUGCGAAUUUAUAUAUAUGAAAUUUUCGUGAUUUAAUUUUAUUGUUUGAGUGUCCGAUUAAAUAAAAGGACUUAAUCGCGUAAAAUGAAAAUUUAGGGGUUAUUUCUAAAAGGGGUUGAAUUGUUAGUGGCUUUCUAAAUUGAAGCCUUAAAGUGGUAAAUAGGCCAUAUUUAAUAUUGGUGGACGGUAGUGGCCAUAUUUGAUAAUAGUUUAAUGUUAUAAUAAUAAGGUUAUAUAGGUAAUUUAGUUAGUAAACUUAUAUUAAAUAAAACCAAAGUUAAAAUACAUGUUAUUUCAUUUGUUCAUCCACCGAAACAACAAAUAAGAAAGAAAAAAAAGAAAAGAACUAGGGUUCGAAUUCAAUCAAACUCAAUCAAGGUAAGAGUUUAGCUCGGUUUUUGAUAAUUUUUAAGUUUUUCAGAUCGUUGCUAAGUAAUCUUCAAGAUCCAUGCUUUAAUUUUUGAUUUCGAUGAAUAUUUUGAGUUAUGCCAUUGAUGAGAGCUUGUGAUUUUUGUUGUUUGAUGAUGAAAUAUGAAAAAAAUGUUUUAGAUUAACAUGUUUUGUAUUGGAGUUUUUGAUUAUUUUGAGUAAUUUGGACUAAAUUGCAAAAAUAAUAAUUUGAGGGACUAAUGUGAAAUAAAUGAAUUAUAUGGGCUUUUAUAGAUAUGGGUAAUAUUCAGCCUAACUUGGGUAUAGAGAAAUUUUGUGCAUUUUGUGUUUUGUGCAAUAGGGACUAAAUUGUAAAAAGCGUAAAUGUCAGCGGUAAAUGGUAAUUUGCCCAUUUAUGUGUUUUUGGACUAAAUUAAAUGAAAACAUGUUUGAAUAAGCUUAAUUUGAAUAUGUUUAGAUCAAGAACCAAAGAAAUCAGAUUUGGAUCAGGGGAAAACGAAAGUUGUCGACUAGCUGCCCUGUUCCGUUUUAUAAUGUCCGAGGUAAGUUUAUAAGCAAAUAGACGUACUAGUUUUAAUUAAAUGUAAAAUAUAUAUGCUGAAAUGAAAGUUAUAAUUUUAUUUAUGUUAUAGCCGAAUAUGAUUAAGCGUGAUCACUAUGUUUCUGAAUUGGUUUCGACCGAGUUACAACGUCCGAAAGCCCCGUAUGAACCUUAGGAAUAGUUAGGAUACAUAUGUCAUGAUAUAGGACUCCGAUUUAUGUGUGUGAGUAAGACCAUGACAUCGAUAUGUGAUUCUGAUAUAUGUGUGCGAGUAAGACCCAGUCUGGGACAGUGGCAUCGAUAUGUGAUUACAUGUAAGACCACGUCUGGGACAUUGGCAAUGUAUGUUAUAUGUGUGAUUAUCCGAGUGUCCUACCCAAUUUCGAAUGGUUCAUCAGGAAAAGACAAGUUGUGCGAAUGUGUAAGAUAAGCUAUUUGGCCAGGUAUGAAUUAGGUAAGUGCAUUCGGCCUUGUGAAUAGUAUUAAAGUGAGUUUAAAUUAUAUGUAUGUAUAAAUACAUGUAUUCGACUAUCUAAUAAAAAUGUAUAUGAAAUUAUAUGAUGAUACAUGAGUUUGUGUAUUUGUGAGCAUGUGAACUAGGUUGAUAUUAAUUAUUUGGCUUUGGAAGUUAAUUGAUAAUUAGUUAACAUGGAUAUAUAAGUAUUCGGCCAAGUGACAAAUAUGAAUGAAUAUAUAUUUAUAAUAUAGAUUUUAUAUGAUUAAAUCUAAAUGUUUUAUAAUACUAUGCUUUGGUUUAGUUUAAUUAAAUUGAUGAUAUAUUUUGGGUUGUUCAUUUUCUUAUGACUUACUAAGCUAUAAAUAGUUUACUCUAUGUAUAUGUGUGUUUCUGUUUUAUAGAUUUUGGAGUCAAGCUACAAGUUCAGGGAUUGUCAGUGAAGUUUCAUCACUCUAUCGGCUAUUUUGAUACCUUUACAAGUUAAACUUGAAUUAUGGUAUGUAUAGGCUGGAAUGUGUUUUGAAUAUUGAAAUUCGGAUAUGCAAAAUUAAAUCCAUGCGAAAUGGCUUAUUUCUAAGUUUAGUUUUGAUUGUGCUUGAUUGUAGUUUAAAAUGUGUUAGUGAUUAUGCUAUGAAAUGUGAAUGAGUGGCAUAGGUUAUGGAUCGUAGAUGUUUUGGAAAUGGACGAGUAGUGAUAUGAGUUUGAGCAUUAAAAUUAGUUAAUGAACUUGAAGGUGGUAUAAAUGAAUCGGCUAUAAAUAAUAUUUGUUUGGUUUGGAUGUGUCUUAUACUAAAAUAUGUAUAUAGGUGAACAUGCUAUUUAUGCUUAGUUUUGACCUAGUAUGUUCUUAGAUUUAAUGUUUAAUAUGUUAGGUGUUAUAAUUCGCUGAUGGAAAUUUUGGUGCGGUCAUGGUAUAAAUAUAUGUACUUGUUUAAAGUAUAUUAAUUGAUUCGAACAUGGUAUCUAUAUAUAUAUAUUAUCGAAUGAGUGACUAGUCAAUUCGGUUUGGUUUGUAUGGAUGUGAAAAUACAUAUAUUAUAUUUUAAAUAAUUGAUAAUCAGUGUUUGAAUUAUAUGCUUGUAAGACAAAAAUGUUUGAAGUAAGGUGAUUAGUAAUUCGGAUAUAAUCUAUGUACUUUGCUAAGCAUGAAACAUAUGUAUUUAGUAUUAUAUAUGUUCGGUUACCAUGACAAAUCAUUUCUUUUAAGUCAUAAGAGAUAGUUUUAUAAAUGAACCAUUACAUGGUGUUAAUAUGCAUAAAUGUACGGCACUAAUUGGGAUUGUCACUUUAUAAAUAUAUAUAUUAAGAUAUGUAUUGGAACAAUGUUUUGACAUGUGACUGUAAGUAUAACUUUAAUUAUUAUUAGACAUUUAAGUGAUGCUUGAGCUUGGAAUUUAGUAAUGAUUUCAUUAAUUAAUUUAAUAGUCAAUAUAUACUCAUGCAUUAUAAUAAUUGGAUUAUUCAUUUAGAUUUAUAAUCUAUCUUUGUUAAGAUCGGCAUAUGCGUUAAUGUUUUAAAUAAUAUAUUAUAUAUUAUUUCUUAUAAAUGAUAUGACUGUGUAUAUAUAUGUAUGAUGUGAAAUGUUUCAAAUUUAAGAGCUGUGUUAGUUUAUGAAAUAAAUUCUGACUGAUCAUCGAGACCUAUUCAUGUGUAUAUAUAUAAUUGUUAGAAAAUUGUGUUUUAUUCUGUAAUGCUUUAUGACCCUAAUCCGGCGACGGAUACGGGUUAGAGGUGUUACAGUAUCUACUACUAUUUUAACUCCUCUGUAUGCAUGUCCCUUACGAAUUCCCACUCGUAACAUGUUAAAAUUCAUUUGAUAAUAUUGUUACCGUUUUGGAACUUUUACUGUUGUAAUUUUGAAAUAACAUAUUUUUUUAAUAGGUGAACAAUCUCGCGAGCCAUAGUGGUAUACUGACUGAGCUCGAGGAUGUCUGACUUGUUGGAACGCUGGUGCCUCCAAGGCACAGCGGAAAAAUAAAAUAAUUAAAAACAUUCCGGCGAUCCAAACCAUGGAUCCAUGUGUAAGGAACGUAUUGGGGUGAUAAAAGGUUUCGAAAUUAUCGAAACUUCAAUCUGAGUAGACAGCGACGCCUAGGCAACGGGAAUCCUGAGCCACUAUCGAACCAAGCCACAACCUUUCUGAUGUCGGCCUCUACGUAGUCCACCCAGUUGACAAUGAACGAUAGAAAAAUCUCAGAAACUAUUUCAGUGAUUUUUAUGCUUGACGGCUACUAGACCCUUUUGCAUAGUUUUGGGCUUAUUUAUAUAUUAUCUCUUUAGGGUUUUUACCCUUGCCAUAUAUAACACCCUUUUAAUUGGUAUAUCUUUUUAAUGAAUAUUAAUUCAUUAAAAUUAAUCUGAACAUAAUAGUCAUCAUUAAAAUAAAUAUAAUAAUGUUUAAUUGAAAAUUAUAAUUACAUUAAUUAUACUAAAGAUUUCGGUAAACUAUAUUUAUUUAAACUUAUAUACGAACCAAAUUCAUAUACUAAUGAAAUUAUGUUCUGAUUAUGUGUACAACAUCCUUGUACGUAUAGUAUGUUCAACAAUUUGAUUGCCUAAUUAAAUUAAUUCUAUAAUUAAUUUAAUUCAUCUGACAAUCAGAAUACAAUACCAACUAUGUUUUACUCCGUUCAUUUCAACCAUAGGGUGUGACCCUAUAGGUUCUUGUAACGUUAGCAGUAAUAUUAGAACGAUUCUAAUGUUACAAACAAUGAGUGGCAUCUAGCAAUGAAUCAUUGCUACCUAAGUUAUAAGAAGUCAUGAUUCGACAUAACCUUUUGUGAUUAACCUUUCAUGCAUUAAUCCUUAAGUCCUAUAUCUUUGGAAUGGACACAAGUCAUGGAAUAGUCACACUUGCAUAGUCCAUCCCAUGUUUCUUGAUACCUUAAGUGAACUAUGAUACACAAAUAAGUAUGACAUCUCAUAUCAACUUAUUUGAGCAUGGCCAUGCAUUUCUAGUCUCACUCAAUCAAGUGGUCUAAGAUAUUACUCCCAUUAUAUAGGAGGGAUUAUCCUAUAUUGAUCAACCAUAUCCCUCUACAUAGAUUGUGGUAUAUCCAACAUUAGUCUUUAUAGAACAACCAGUUACGAUGUUCGUUUGACUAUAUCAAAAUAUACAACUCACGAUGUUGGGAUAAUGAUGAUCUCAAGUAUGAGGAUCAUAUACAUAUUAAUCACUAUGAGUAACGUUGUGACAAUUACAUAAUAAUUCAAGAAACAUACUCAUAGCAGGUCAGUCCAAUAUGUUGUUCUCUAACACAUAUAUUCAUGCAUUGAUUUUGACACUCCAUAUCAAUGAUAAUUCUUUAUCAUCAAUCAACUACAUGUUAGUCUUAAUGCAUUAUUGUUGUCCUAGCCAACAAUAAUACUUGACUAAGGAUCUUUUAAGAAUAAUCAUAUUAUUCUCAGGACAUUAUUAUAAAAUAGUUUAUUUAUGUACACAGAAAAGAAAUUGAAAUAAUAAUGGCAAUGCCUUAUAUCAAUAAACAUGAUAAAUCAAGUAUGUUAUUACAACCAUCUCGUGAUUGAUCUUUGGGCAUACUCUUACAUGACUAGCUUUAGAUAAAGAAACCGAGGAUGAGGUUAGUUUAUGAAUUUCAUAGUUACCUAUUUUUUAUUCCAGCAUUUGAAAUUAAAUAUUAGGAACUUGUUGAAAUUUAUAAAUUCGUAUUGCAAUUCGUGUGGAUGCCAUACGUGGAACUGAGGAUUCAAGAAUGUGUUUCGAAGGAAUUUUUGGCCAAUCGCAAUAUCUGGCAUGUGAAAGUAUCAUUGGUCAUUUUUACAAUGGUCGAGAUGAUGAAUCUAACUGAAUGAUGCGACAGUUCGAGUGUACACAAUGUAUUCAGUGGCAACCUUAGGAGCUCGAUAACCUGCACAUGAUCGACAUGCGGGGGAGAUCGGAUUAAAAUUGGGCAACAUUCCAUAAGAAAUAUGGCAACAUAGUUACGAUUACUUGUCAACGCGUGAACCUUACUUGACGCCAAAAUUGGUGACAUCUUCAGAUUACAUGAAUUGGUUCAAGCAUCACGGGAAGCCAUAUCUAUUGAUGGAUUUAGAAAGGAGUAGGUAACGUCAUCGUAAGAGGCCAAGACGAGGGCCCAUCAAUCCCAGGUCGGGAGGACAUGCCGUGGACGAAUUGAUAACUGCUCCACUUGCACACGCAGACCUGGUUCUCAUGCAACCUCCCGGUCAAUAUGGUCCAUUUAUUCCUGUCACUAACCCAUUUUAUUUUACACCAUCAUCACAACACGCACCGAUUUAUUUUACACCUACACCACAACAUGUGCAAUCAUUCAUUGCACCAACAUAAUCAUCACCAGUUUAUUUUACACAAGCACCACAACACGCACAAUCAUUUUCUGCACCUACAUCUUCUCCAGGGAUAUAUUUCGCACAACCACCACCUUCGCAUCGUAUUACACGCCCCAUGUGCCAUCACCCCAUGCGACACCAUAUAGUGGCCCGCUGAUAGUGUCACAAACACCCUUAUUAUCAUUGUUCUUCUAAUUUGGUUUGUCCUUGCAAACGCCAACUCGGUUAGGGAGGAUGCACUAUAAGCUGUUGUGACACAGUCAUAGUCAUCCACGGAGGGAGGAGAUGAGGUCACCGUUCAACCUCGACGUGCAUAUGAAGACGAGACCGAACAUCAACCCUGACAUGCACAUGAAGACGAGGCUGAAGAUCAACUUCAACGUGUACAUGAGAUGAGGCCGAAGAUCAACCCCAACAUGGACAUGAAGAUGAGGCUGAAGAUCAACCUUGACGUGCACAUGAAGACAAGGCUGAAGUCCCAGUGGAGUCGCCAACCCAAACAGUGUGACAAAUCCCUAGGUGUACCCGACGCGCACUCGGUUGUGGAACACAUUCAGGGGAUCGAUGAUUAUGUCUAUUUUUAAUUUUAUAAAGUUGUUUACUUUGUUUUACAUUCACAAUUUACACUUAUUUAAAAAAUAUAUAUUUUGUUUACUACAACUGGGAUGCAUGUACAUAAAUUUUUAAGUUAAGGAUUUUGAAUAUGUUGGGUCAUGUUUCAAACAUUGGAAUUCUUGAAGGAUUUAAAUGAAAAUUUAGUAAAUUAAUGCUGUAUAUGGUUUGUGUGUCUUUUACAGUGAAAAAAAGGUAAAUUCAAACAUACCUUAAAACUAUAACAACUUUUAUCUCAAAUGCCGGAUAAAUUUACAAUUUUUUAAUUUUAAAACAAGAAAAAAGCAAUUUCUAUUAAAGAAAACAUGUCCUACAGGGCAUGUUUCACUGAACUAGCAGGGAAAAUGCCCCACGCAAGACGCAUUUUUUUAGAUGGGUGAAAACAAGCCCUAUGUGGCAAGUUUUCUCUACCAGUUCAGUGAAAACGCACCUUGUAAGAUGUGUUUUCCUUUCUCUCUCCAAAAACAACAUAGAUCGAUAAUUUUUUUUUAAAAAAAUGGCAUACUUUCUCAAUUUUUAUUUUUUUUCAUCAUAUUUAAAUAAAUUUGCUGAGCUACAAACUAGCAAAUAAACAUGAAAUCACAUUUAAUUACUAAAUAAGUAACAUCUAACACGGGAAAUCACAUUUAAUUCCUAAUAUAACACCUAAGGCAUCACCAUGUAAAUUUGUUUCAAUGCUUACUAGUUGGUUUUAAAGAACAUAUAAUUUUGGAGCAUCCAUCAUUGCAAAUCCUUCCAUUAAGUCGGUUGCUCAACUUACUUCUUAGUAAGCAUGACAAAAACAAGGUUGUACCUCCUCUAUGUGUACUUUCUAUAUGUCUUUAAUAGGCGAAUCACAUAUUAUAUAUUUUUCUUUGUUGAACAAAUUUUCUACCGAGCAGAUUCUAGUUCACAGUCAACACUGUGGCAGACUUUUGCAAGACAACCUUUGUUGAUAGCAUGUGGGAUCUUAGACUCAUUUAUUACUCAGCUAUCUUAAGAAGUCAUAUCCUUGAUCUAAGACAUCACAACACCACCACUACAAGAAGACAAGGUAUAAUUCUAUUGUCCGUAAACCCAAUAUGGGUGGAUUCCAUUUUGUUCCAUAUAUAAGCCCAACCAUAACAUCUAAGAAGGCAAAGUGAUAGAAAGAAAACAAGAUACUAGAUUCCAUCUAAACCAAUCCACCAAACAACCACUUAAUCCACUAGAACUAGUGGCUCUCCACCCUAGCCAAAGGUAAACCAUUUCCAUUAUAUCUUUCUCCUCCCCCUUUUUGAUUUUACUUGUCAACAAACAAAUCUCUUAGUCCCUGCAACAUAGGUCUUUAAUUCACCUAACUAAGCAAAGAUCCUUAACUCCAUCGAUAACCCUUUUAGCAUGUUAACCACUUGUAAAUAGAAACUCUAAAAAAUAAUUAUCAUGAGACCCUUUGUAACACCAUUACCCGUAUUCAAUGCCGGAACAGGAUAUGAGGCAUUAUCAGACGUAGACACAAGCAAACAUACAUUUCCUAGACAUAAAUUUCCAGCCAAAUUUAAAACUUUUCACAUACAUUCAUAUCCUUCCUAAAAUGAACCUACGAGGCCCAAAACAUGCAUUGGAAACAGUUCGGGACUAAACCGAGAACUUUAUAAAAUUAUACAACACUUAGAAAAUUUUUGCUAAAAUAGGGGUCACACACUCAUAUGGCUUGGGACAUGCCCGUGUGGGCAGACAGUGUAGUCACACACGCCUGUGUCCCUAACUCGUGUAACUCUCUAUUUGUCACCCAAGAACAAAUUGAAGUCACACGGCCAAGAUACAUGCCCUUGUCCCGAGGCCGUGUCCUUCAUACUGCUAUGACACAUGACCGUGUCUCAUGCUUGUGUGCUUGAUACUGAGCAUUCUAUUUUGCAACAAUUUAGGUGCAGGGGACACACGACCGGAUCACACGCCCAUGGGGCUGAUCAUGUGUCACACACGACCUAGACACACACCCGUAUGUCUACCCAUGUGGACAAUAAUAAGGCUAUUUACCAAGCCUUUUGCCACCCUUACUUGCAUAUAUCUACUCAACAUCACAUGGCACAAACUCAAGCAUGAAGAGCAACCAAAUAAUCACAACCAAGACAAUAACAUUUCAUUCUCAUGCCAUUUUUAAACAUGCUUAAAACAUCAGCCUUUCCACAUCAAAUUAUGCAAGUUUCCACAUUCACAAAUGACAUUAAUUCAAAUAUACUCAUAACCAACAUUAGCCAACUUUCAAGGCUAUAUACAAAUUGAACCAUGAACCAUUCACAUACCAGUACCAUAUCAACAUCUAUCAUACACACAACAUUUAUCAUGCCAUAAAUCACAUUGCCAAAUAUUUCACAUUCACCAAGAACACCAUGAUCAUAUCACCAUAGACAUUGACACAUAUAUGAAUAUACUUAGGCUUACAACCAUGUUGCCAAAAUAAGCCAACUUACAUGGCCAAAUAGCAGAACAAGCCUUUGAUGAUUACAAGCCAUUACAUUAGCUAAAAUCAUAUGAUGCAUAUAACAAAAUGACCAAAUCCUUAUACAUGCCAUAACUCAAAAUACUUGAAUUCAUUAAUACCCAAAAUGAUAGCUUGAUAGUGUGAUAGGAUCUCCGGCGAUCUCCAACCCAAGCUAGCUUGACGACAUUAUAAAACAUGGGCAAGGAAGGGGGGGUAAGCUAUAUAGCUUAGUAAGUCCGUACGAAAAUAAUAAGCAACUCUUACCAAUCUUUUAUCAAGUCCAACAAUAUAAACACAAGAUAAUACAAAUUGUUAUGAAUCUCACAGUUAUAAUUUUAGUCAGUUACAAUGUUUACUCUAGAACUUAUAAGCAUAAUUUAACAUAUUUUGGCAUUAGCCUAACAACCGUAAUCUCUCCUUUGUAACAUAUUAUAGCAAUUAACAAAUCAUUUCAAACCUCAUAGUAAACAUGCACAUUGAUUAUGUGUACUCAUAUUUCCAAGCAUAUAUCUUAAUAUCUUUCAAUUACCUAAACUUUUAUCUUCCUGUACUUUCAUAACCAUUUUAAUAGGCAAAUAUGCCAAUCUUUUCUUAUUCCGAUAUCCGAUAAAUCACAAUUUAAGUGAAUAAAACACGCUAUUUCACAACUCCAUUUGGCCUGAAAUCCAAGCACAUGAUCUUCAACUGAAUUUAUCAUGAAUUUCAUACAUCACAAGUAUAGACCAAUAAUCAUAAGGUUUUCACAAAAUCAUUCUCGUGGAAAUCAUGAACUCAAAAUUUCAUGAAGUCAAUGCUUAUAAACUUUACGUACAUACAUGUACCAAUUCAUAAUACUUACAUGCUCUUUCUCUUCUUUGACAUACCCAUUAAAUUACCCGUUUAACCACUUGGAAUACUAAAGGAUACUCGGGAAUCUCGUACUUACAGUACCGUACCAUGCCAUAUCCCAAAUAUGGUCUUACAUGUAAUCUUGUAUCGAUGCCAAUAGCCUAGCUAUGGUCUUACACAAAGUCUCAUAUUGAUGCCAUAUCCCAGAUAUGGUCUUACACAUAAUCUUAUGAACCUUAAUGUCAUGAAAUUUGUAUCCUAUCUAUUCCUAAGGUUCAAUCGAGAUUUCACGCUUGUCAAAACUUUAUCGAAUAUGUCCAAAGGUUAAUCACCAUUCAUACAAUAAUAAAGCAUUUAAAACAUAAUUAAAACGAUGCAUUAUUUACAUAUGAACUUACCUCGGCAUAAAAAUGGCGAAUAGGAUCUAACCGUCAAAUACUCGUUUUUCCCCUGUUUUAAUUCCGAACCUCAUUUUUCUUGAUCUAUAUUAUCACAUUUAACUUAUUUAAUCAUUAUACUAUUCAAAUCAUCCCAAAAUCACAUUAUGAAAAAAAUUACAUUUUUCCCCUAAAGUUUUACAUUUUUAAAUUUUAGUCCCUAGGCUCGUAAAAUGAAAUGUAUUCAAUUUCUUCAAUACCCAUGCCUAGCCGAACCUUAUACAUGCUUAUAUCAGCCCACAUUUUUCUUUUAUUCACAUUUUAAUACCCAUUUUACAACUUUUUACAAAUAGGUCCUUUUUAGGCAUUUUCAUCGAAAAUCACUUAGCAAAAGUCGUUUAUCAAACAACUAACAUGCAUUUUCUACCAUUAAACAUCAAAAUAGAAAAAUAUCCAUCAUGGGUAAAAUUUUAGACUUUGAUUAUGUCUUAAAUUAGUGGUAGAAAUAGAUAGAUCAUGUUACAAGGAUUUCAAAAACAUAAAAAUCAUUAAAAAUGGGGCUAGAAUGGACUUACAAUCGAGCUUGGAAGCUUGAAAAACCCUAGUCAUGGUUUCUUCUUGUAAAAUUCGGCCAUGGGAGGAAGAUGAGCAAAAAUUGGCUUUCAAUUUGGCUUUUUAAUUCAUUUAAUUACCAAAUUACUAAAAUGCCCUUAAUGAAAAACUUUAGAAACAUACCUAACCAUGUCCAUUUUUGUCCAAAAACUUAACCAAUGGUCUAAUUACCAUUUAAGGACCUACAGUUUAAAAUUUCAUAGCAAUCAGACACCUCUAACAUAUAGAACUUAACUUUUAUACUUUUUACAAUUUAGUCCUUUUGACUAAAUUGAGUGCCCAAACGUCACAAUUUUUGAACGAAAUUUUCACGAAAUCAUUCCAUAAAAUUUUAGACCAUAAAAUAUAAUAAAAAUAAAUUUUUCUACGUCAGAUUUGUGGUCUCAAAACCAUUGUUCUAACUAUAACCAUAUUUUAACUAUAACCAUAAAGCCAAUUGUCGCACCAAUCACACAUCAAGCCUAUUGUUGCAUCUUUGGAAAAUUCCUCUAUCACAACACCAUAAGUUGUUAUUUUCAUCCAUCUCUCCUUAGGCUUAGUCCAAGUCACCAUCAUUGAUCCUUUCUCUGCUCUAAGCCAUUCCACCAUACCUGUGGAAGAAUUUUGUGGCUAAAUUUAAGCUAUGAGAGACUAUUUCAUAUCAGUUGAAGUUAUCUUUACAAAAAAUGACUAAGUUUAUUUAGUGCCAAAGGUUCUAACAAAUAAAUUAGAAGAGAAUGUCUUCGUCAACUCCAUCGAAUUUAUGAAAGUCCUUGUUUUGAAUAUUCAUAGCAACACAAUCUCAAAGAGGGAUUGGACACAUUUCUAGCUUGCCUUCACCGUAAGAAAGUCUCUAAGAAUAUGCAACUUAAAUUCUAGAUUAUAGCCACACAAAUUACAAUUGCAAUCAUUGCUCAUACCUUUCUUAAAAUUUUUUAUUAGUUAGCAACUAGUUAUUAAAAAUGAUCCACAAAAAUUAUCGAAUACAUUGUGUGUUGGAAAAAAAAAUCCUGUUUAAACAUAAUUUUCUUGCACAAUAAAAAAAUUAAAAAUUUGAAAACUGACCUGGUUUGUGAUAUUUAUAGCAAUAAACCCUAAUUGAAUUCAUACCUGUGUCUGCUUUGCUAUUCUUGUUUCAUGAAUUGCUUUGAGUGUGGGCUUGAACCAAUUGAAUCAAAAUACAAAACUAGCAAAAUUUUUUUCUCUUUUAUAUGGGGUGAAAAUGAAAAGUCUCUCUUCUUUAAUAGAAACAAAUAGAAUUGUUAUUUUGGAAAAAUAUAUUUAAUAGUUGAGAAUAAAUUCUCUCUAUUUUCGACAGAGUAACAAUAUCUUCAAGUUGUAUUUUAUUCCUUACCGAUGCCAUCUAUUUAAUUUAACUAGAAAAACAACUUUCAACUUAGAGUAGCAGUGGGUUGGACAGCACACCCUAGUAUUUCUACUAGGGUUGUCACCCUAUUCAUGUUAUAUUAGGGGUUUUGGGCUUCUCUCACAUCAGGUCCAAUUACAAUACUUCUUGGGCUUUUUGACCCAGUACUAUGUAAAGUGAUCCAAUCUGAUUCGGUUUUUCAAUUUCCAAAAUAACCUUUAAUAUUCUAUGUUAAAAAAAAUUUCAUCCUUAUUUUACCCCCAGUAAAAUUUUGACGAUUUUACCCUUGGUAAAAUUUUGAGAAACUAUGUUUAAUAUUUCACAAAUCAACAUGUUUGCUGUGACCGAAUGAUUUAUUUUCAUUUUCGGGAUUCAAAACAACUCAAAAGCAUAAACUUAUUCUUCCGAUCAUUUUAAGUAAUCUUUAUAGAAUUGCAAAUGAAUCAUUUCUAUUUCCAUUUCCAAUUCCAUUUUUGAAACCUGCAUUCAUUUCCAAAUGAUUCAAUUUUUCCAUUUCGAAGAAAAUCAUAAUCAUUCUUGAAUGUUUCCCAUUUUUUCUAUUCAUUCUAUUCAUUUCUAUUCAAACACGAAAUUCUUUUCUGGUUUCAACGAGCUAGCGAAGGGAUCGAUUGGACAUAUGUAAUUAGGACUCAAGUGAUUUAUUGUUAAGUUCGGCUUUUCACCUAUUAAUUAUAAAAUCAUUUAGUUUCGAAGUAAUUCCACUAUAGUAUUGUGAUUGAGCUCUCUCUAAUGACAUACCAUUAAGAAAACAACUACUCAGUGCUCAUCCAAUGACAUUGUCAUAAGUGUGUUACCCUUAUAGGAUAUCCUUGAUAUCUUUGGGAGAAUAUCCAUUCUCCCAAUAUGAUCCUAUUUUAUCUCAUGGUAACCAUUACAUUUUUUUCAUGAAAAGUCAAUUACUAUCGAAUAGUAAUGACAAAGAUGAAAGACUCGUGGCCAUGUUUACUUUUCAUCAACCAUGUAAUACCAAUGAGAGGAUAUCAUUUACCCAUGUCUUAGGCCAUGAAGUCCAUUAUUGUGAAUGAUAUUACGUACUACAGAAGUCGUACACCCAAUGCACCAUCUUUUGGUUCCUUAUCUAUUCGAACUCAGGCUUUUACUUACAUCAAAGUGUACGAGUCACACAGACAUAGCUCGUCAUCCACUCAGGAUUUAGGUAUGUCACACUAUGAACAUCACAAGUGAAUAAAUCCAUAAACAAAUUUAGGAUCUAUUCUACUUGGAUCCAGUCCAAUGUACUAUCAGUCCAGUCAGACACAUCUAUGUGUCUAUCUUCUAGGAGUCAUUUGCUCCGAUGCCCAAGACAAAGCAUCUCCCCAAUCGAAUUUGACAGAUGACAUAUUAAUGUUUUAAUCGAUUUGCUUAUUUCCAGUUAGACUAAGACAUGUUUAGGUUUGUCUACUAAUAUAAGUUGUCUUUUUGUAUUACGAUCUGACCACGUAAUACCACUUAAUAUUAGUUAAACAUUAAACAACCAGUAAGCAACAUUUGCUUCCAUUUUUCUUUGUGUGCAAAAACCAUGUGAGGAUAAUAUAUAAUGUAUUAAUGUAAUUCAUGAAUAAUUUUAUUAACCCAUCUGUUCGAAAAAUUACAAGUGUACUUAGAUGAAAAGACUACACUUAGGGCACCCGUUUCAACAUUAUGUUCUUUUAAAUUUCUAUGUGACUAACUAUAUCUCACCCUUUAGUUUCCAAUUACUUUAGGUUAAGUGUCUUUGUGCAUCAACAAUCGAACAAUAGCCAUUGGGUAUUCAACACCAAACACAUAAAUUCGGUUUUAGCAUAUCUUGUAGUAGUGGAAUACCUCCCAUCAAUUGUAGAACAUGCUGUGGUAAAACAUCAUCUAGUGUUGCCUAUGACUAACUGCUCUGUUUGUCUUCCAUAUCAACCACCAUACAAUUCAUAUAUCUUGCUGAAAGUUGCAAGAAAUAGUUUGUUAAAAGCCCCAUCACUAGUAUCCAAUUAUUAUGCCAAAGUUCUUUGUUCUACCAUUACCAAUUGAUCAAUUAAUGUGACAGCCCUAGUGUGACCCUAGUCGGAAAGUGGUUUCGGGACCACAAAACCGAGUCAUAAAAAUAAUUAAUUGCUAUAUUCUAUGCUUAUUAUGUGUGUACAUGAGUAUGUGGAAGUUUCAUUCUCUAAUUUUGCCAAUUGCAUGAGAAAUUAUUAAAUAGGGAUCGAUAUGAGACAUGGUGAAAUAUGAUAGGCUAAUUUAAAAUGGUCUAUUAGUGCAUGUACCAAAAAGGGUGGUUUUGCAUGUCAAUUUACCCAAAAGAUGAAGAGUGGCCGGCCAAGGGGUGAUGGUGCUCCACUUAUUCUAAUUUAAUAUGUUUUGUUUAGUUAACAAAUGGCUUAAAAUAAUUAUAAUAAAAUUGAAUAAAAGAGAAAAAGGGAAGAGGAGUGUUCAUCUUCUUCUCCAUCUUGCCAAAACCGAAACAAAAAGGAAAGAAAUAGGGAAGUUUUCAUUAAGGCAAUUCGGCAACCCUUUUUCUAGUUGGAGGUAAGUUUUGAAAUGUUGGUUUUAACUUCCUUUGUAUGUUGAGCUAAUUGUUAAAAUGCAUUUCGACAAUGUCAUGAAAAAUCAAACUUUUAUGAUGGUUUGGGCAUUAAGCCGUAUAUCAAGAGGUUAGGAGUAGAGGUUGUUUUAUGUUGUAAUGAAUAAGUAGAGAUUAUUAUGAGGUUGAAAUUUGUGGAAUUUUAGUUAAGUAAUGCUUGGUACAUUCGGCCAUAUGGGUUAAUGGAAUGUUUAUUUUAUUUGUUAAUUUCUUUUAUGAGAAAUGGGUAAUUGUUAAAGCCGAAUGAGUUAUGGAAGUUUUUAUAAAUGUAUGAAGUUCAAGGUGCAAAAUUUUAGUCUUGAUGUUAUGGAUAAUUCGGUUGAGAUAUGGGGAGAGGGAGUUGUCAUUUAGGUUAAGAUCAAAGGGAUGAGCAAUAGGCAUUAAAAGGUGAAAUGUUUGAAACUUAAAGUGUAAAAACCUAUAUGUAAUUACAUAGGAAAUGUUAAAAAACUAACAUGGUAUAUUCGGCCAUGUAGAGUACAUCCUAGAGAUAUUAUAUUUAAUUCCCUACAAUCGACUAAAUGGGUGAUUAGUAAGGGUGAUUGCCGAAUAUACUAACAUACAUAUGCAUGUGUAAUUGGAUUGUAAAUAUUUAGCAAGGUGGUUAAACUAGUUGAUUUAUUGAUUAAGCUCAAGGAGUUAAAGGAGGAGAAUCAAGCAAAGGCAAAGAAAAGAUCAUCGAGUAGCCGAGUUGGAACCGUCUUACCCAACACAAGGUAAGUCACCAAGCAUAUAUUUUGUAUUGAUCUAAAUAGACAUAUUGUCUAUGUAAUUAUGCCGAAAGGAAUUAUAAAUUUAUAUACAUGUAUGCAUGUGGUGAUGAAAGUGUUGAAUGAAAAGAAAAGAGGUGAUAUGUAUUGAGUUGUUGAUCUCGGCACUAAGUGUGCGGGUAUAAACAUUUAUGAUCAUGAGAUUGGCACUAAGUGUGCGGGUUUAAAUUGUACAGCACUAAGUGUACGAGUUUGAUUAUAUAGCACUAAGUGUGCGAGUUGAUUAUAUAGCACUGAGUGUGCGGACUUAAUAUAUAUUUUUGAAUCACUAUGGACACUAAGUGUGCGACAUUAUUGAGUUGAUCACGGACAGCGGAUCGGGUAAGUACCUUGAGUUCAGGGCUAAUAGGCGCUAUGUUUAUAUUUGGAGUUGAGCUUUGUAAGUUUGAACCUAUGUGACAAUUAUAAUUGAAGUCACGUACAUAAGAUUUAUCGUGGAAUAGGUGAAAGGUCGUUUAGUUGUAUGAUUGUAACGAAAAUAAAAUGAUGUAUGAAAAUGCCUCAAAUAUCCUAUUGAUUAGUAUAUGGAAUGUGAAUGCAUGACUUGGUAUGAGAUUGAACCGAUAGGUCUAAGGAACUAUGGUAUGGUUCGGUAUGGAUGGAGUAACUAGCCUUGUUCCAUUUUGUUUCCUCUUGUGAUAAUGUUAUUAAUGAAUGGUAGUGCAUUGCUUAUGACUUACUGAGUUAUAUACUCACUCGGUGUUUCCUUGUCACCUAUUUUAGGUUUCUUGGACUCGUCUCUUUUUGCGUGAUCGGGCCGUCAUCGAAGUCAUUACACCGGCUAGCAACUUUUGGUAUCUUCUUUUUAGUCGGUCUAGGAGAACAUUUCGGCAUGUAUAGGCUAAUAUGUUUUGUUGAAAUUUGGUAUGUAAACUUUUAGCCAUGCGAAAAUGGCAUAAAUGUUCGGUUGGAUUUGGUUCUAUAAUGUUAGGUCGUAAGUCUUGGUAAUUCGAUUUUUAUGCCAUAUGUCAUGGUUGAUUAUUUUUGGUGUUAAAAUUCAUGAUAUGGCAAUAGUGUAGUAGGGAGAUGUUUGAAAACGAUUAGCCUUUGGCAUGGCUAGUCAUGAUCAUAAUUUGUGAUAUGUAUGAUGAAUUACUAGUUAGCUCAAGGAGAAAUCACGAAAUAAGCAUAGUUGCUUUAGUAACAGAUGCUGGCAGCAGCAGUGACGUGAGAUUGAAAAAUCACUAAAAAUAGUAGGAAUGGAAUUAAUUAAUGAAUAAAUUAUGUAAUCGAAGCUCGAUGAGUCUAUUUUCAUACAGAAGAAACGAAACGACCAUAUGAGCUGUAUGUUAGGAGAUAAUUAAACUCUUGUGAAACAGGGCCAGAGCGAUUUCUGGAUCCUUUGUUCCGACUUUGGAAAUUCAUUAUAAAUUAACCAGAGAUAAUUAUAAGUCAUUCCAUAUGUGCAUAGAUUCCCCUUUGAGUCUAGUUUCUAUAGAAACAAACGAAAUCAGUAUUGAAGCCCUGUACAGGGAGAUAUCCAAGUCGGAAUGCGCAAAGGUCAGUGUAGUCGAUCCCUGUAACAUGGGAGACUUUGACUAAUAAACUGUACUAAUUGGCCCAACAAAAAAUUCUAGAAAAAAAUAUGUAGAUGGACAUAUGAGUUUAGUUUCAGAUAAAAAUUACGGAACUGGAUUUCGAGUUUCAGAACUCAAGAUAUGAUUUUUAAAGCGACUAGUAUGCAGAUUGGCAGCUUGUCUGGGAAAUUUUUUUAUAAGUGGUUUGAAGUCUGUUAACACCUCGUGUUCGACUCCGGCGACGGUCUCGGGUUCGGGGUGUUACAAUUAAUAUCUCCCUUAAGUUAUCCCAUAUUUUUGUAAUGGACUUUCAUACAAAAGAAGCAUUUGUUCUUUCAAUAUAUGUUGGACAACUACCUUCAACCUUACACCUAUUUUUAAGUACUUUCCCAUAAAUCAUCAAUUUUAGUAAUGGUUUCAAGCCCCAAUUUGAGUUAAAAAAUAAUAAUUUUGGUUCUUCAAUAUUAAAAAGCCCAAUCCUCUAUUAUUAGGCAAUUGAUAAUAUUGGUCCCAAAUAAUCUAAGAUGGUUUUCUCUUCUCACUAGGGAAUCUCCAAACAAGCUUUCGUGCAACCUUUUCAAUUUUGUUGUACACAUUAACAAGUAGUAAAGCACAUUACAUGAAUAGUUAGGAACUAUGAGUAAAUUUGACUUAACCAAGGUGAUACAUUCCGUCAAAGAAAGUAGCUUAGCAUCCUAUCCAUUAAGUCUCCCUUGAACUUUGUCAAUAAUAAAGAUUUAUGUUUCCUUAGUAACCCUCUUGUGGAAUAGAGGCCCACCUAAGUAUUUACCAAAAGUCAUUAACGUUGGUAAAUUCUAGUUUACUGCAAAUUUGAGUAGUGCAAUUGUCCUCUAAUUUCUUCAAAUAAUUUUCUUAAGUUUUCAUGACAUUGAUCUUAUGUCUAAAGAAGUAACUAAAUUAUAGGAGUAUAUUAUUCACCACAUUGGCAUGUUGUACAUAGACUUCACAAAAAAAAUAUAAAUCAUCGGUAAAGAAAAGAUGAGAAAGUGGCACCCCUAUUCCUUUUCAAGUGUAUUGCUUUCCAAAUCCCACCUCUCGCUACACUAUUGAUACAAUGACCUAAUGUUUUAAUACCCAUAACAAAAAGGUAAUUACAUAAUGGAACACCUUGAAAAAGUCUUCUAGAUGGUUGAAAUUUGGUUGUUAAGGAACCAUUCUGAAGGACUUGAAUGGAAGAAGACAAAAUACAAUAGAUAAUGAUAUUACCUAAUAGAGUGGGUAGCCCUACCUCACCCAAACAAUCCUACAUGAAAUUCCAACGAAUUUGAUCAUAAGCCUUUUCCGAAUUGACUUUGAUAUUCAUCUAACCUUUUUUACCUUUCCUCAUCUGUAUGGAAUGAAUGGCUUCAUCUGCUAUCAAAAUAUUGUUGUUAAUGUUCCUUUCCAGGAUGAAGCAAACUUGAUUAGAAGUUAUGAGGGAAGGCAAAAUUCUUCUUAAUCUACUCACAAUUACCUUGGUGAUCGCUUUAUACAGAAAAAAAAACACAAGCUAAUAGGUCAAAACUGUGAUAGGGACUCUAGGUUAUCAAUUUUAGGGAUAAGCACAAUUAAUGUUUAAUUAUGACUUGUAUUGAUUGGCCUUCCUUAAAAGGCAUCUCUAAUCAUCAGACAUAUUGAAUCAUCUACAAUAUCCCAUCUACUAUGAUAAAAUUGUGCAUGGAAUCCAUCAACCCAGAGUAUUCAGUAGGGCCAUUUUUAGGCUAGUAUGCCUUGUGACGUCUCGAGAAAAUUAAUCUAUGAUGACAACCCAUGUAUCCCCGUACGAAGAAUAAAUCAAAAAGGUAAAAAAUAUGCCUAAACCAAUAUGAGUAAAUAGUAUACACUUUUGUAAGAAGUGUUGUAAUCCUCAAUUAAAACUAGUUGCAACGAUUUUCACUCCUACUCCUACCCACCCAGAAGGAAAAUGAUUUGAAAAGCUCUCCUCUUUUCAGAGAACUUUCAAAUUUUCACCACUUGUUGCUAGGCUAGUGAAAAAUAGUCAAGAAAUAAUUUAGGAAAAUUAAGAGAGCUGUCUUUUCUUAUUCAAAACAUCAUUUUCUGAAUUUGGGACAAAUUUAGAAAAAAGGAUUUUAGGAUUAAAUUCAUAAAUAUGAUAUACUUCCAAAAUUAUAUCCAUUCUUUUAAUCCUUUUAAUCCUUCUUUGAUUGGAAUUAUUAAAUAGACUAUUUAAUAAAUAAGUUAAAUUAGAUUUAACAAAAAUAAAAACAUGUGAAACAUAUUUCAGAAUACUUUAAUUGGACCCGUUUUUAUAUGUGUGAAAAGCAAGCAUACAUGUAACUUUCCGCCUGAUGAAGCCCUGGAAUUUCGAGUGUUGUUUAUAGAAAUAAGGCUUAUGGAGUAAGUUCUGAAUGUUUAAUGUUAGGAUUUGAUUAAGUGUAGGAACUCUUCAAGUGUGCCUGUAAUGCCCUAGUCAUAAAAAGCAUGAUUGGAAAAGUAGUAUUUGCCUAAAAGUCCUUUUCAUCGUAUAGAGUGGGCGGACUCCAAUAUGAAAAUAAAAGAAUAAGGUUUCAAACCAAAUUUCUAUAAGUGGAAGAACAAGAUUUGUGGUUAAGAAAAAUGAUUUUUAGGGUAUGACUUUACGCUAGUGGUAUAAUAUACCCUAUAACAAUUGUGGUCCUUUGCCAAUUAAGUUACAAGGCAAGCUAGUUUAGGAACUAACUAAACAUGACCUAAGAUAAGUUAAAAGCUAAAGGAAUAAUCGAGUGGGUUUCAUGGAAGUGACAGAUUUUGGAAAAGACAACUCAGUAUUGAUGUGACGUUUACCAAGUACCGAUAAGGACUUGGGUUAGGUUAAAAUGAGUAUUCAAGUUUGGUUAAGGAGAUUGAUCUUCUUCCCUCUUACCUCUAAAAGUAUUAAGAUUGAGAGGCUAAAAGAAGGUAGAAACAUUUUCUUUAACCUGAGUCUGAAACCCCGAAUUUUUUCUAGUGAUUUUACUAACAUCAAGGCAGAGGCGACUACAGCAUCUUACUGAAUGAUGGAUUGGAGUCCAAGCUAUUGAUUGCACAAGGAAAUACUUGAUCGAGAGUUUGGAGCCUUAGAUGAUGAAAGUCAAAUGAGUCCCUAAGCCGAAUCUUGCAUGUAUGUUAUGUGUUCUAGAGACUUCUAUGAAAAAUGAUUGAAACAUGAAACAAAAGCUAGAUGAGUAUGCUAUGACGGUUUUGAUGUAAAAGGAGUAUUUGGUAGACCUUAUGUAACAACCCUAACCCGUAUCCUUCGUCAGAAUAGGGUUAUAAAGCAUUAUCAGACUUAUAACACAAUCGAAAAUAAAUUUUUCAAACAAUUAUCAAAUUCAAAUACAAGUCAUUCAUAAUUAUUCAUCAAGAUCCUAAUACGAGCCUACGAGGCCUAAAACAUGCUUUAGAAGUGGUUUGGGACUAAACCGAUAUCUUAAAAUUUUUUUAGAAAACAUAGAAAAUUUUACAAAAUACAGGGGACACACACCCGUGUGUUUCACACGGCCAAAGACACGCUCGUGUCACAGAUCGUGUGGACAUUCAAAAUGGGAUCACAUGGCCACGUCCCAGCCCGUGUCUGACCCCGUGUAACUCUCUGACUUGGGUCACAUGGCCAAUCACAAGCCCGUGUGACCAGCCCGUGUGCCCUUCGAAAUGGCUUCACACGCUCGUGUGCCUGGCCGUGUGCUAGGCCGUGCCAAACCUGUAGGGUAUACUGACUUAUGCCUCACGGCCAAGUCACACGCCUGUGUGUUAGGCUAUGUGGAGCAUACUGACUUGGUUUCUAAUUAAACACCAGGGGGCACACGGCCGUGACACUAGACCGUGUGUCAUACACGGCUGAGACACAUGCCCAUGUGGAUAAAAAUAGGCUAUUUACCAAGCCAUCUUUCUCACCCAAAUUUCAACCAGCUAAAAACAUCAAUUGGCAUACUGCAUAGCAUCAAUAGACAUUCAAACCAAUCUCAACCAAGCAUAAUUCAUGCCAUUUCAAUACCAUCAACUACAAGGCAUACAAGUACCACAAUAUGCUAUUCAAUUUUAUACCAAAAUAAUAUUCUUAAUUCACUUGGCUAGUUAACUUUAUAUAUGCACUUUCUUACCUCUAAUCACAAGCAUACCAAAUCUUGAAAUUUCAACCAUAUAGUACUCUAAAUACCAAUUCACAACAAGCAUAUAAAUGGCAAUAUUACACAACAUAACAAAGGCUAUUUGAUCAAAUAUUUACAUCACCAAAUAUACCAAAAUAAGCCAACUCUCAUGGUUAUACACAAAACCAAACACUUAACUUUUACAGGCCAACUCAAAUGGGUAAAAUCCAUUACUAGAAUAUACCAAAAUGACCAUAAUUCCUAUACAUGCCACAAAACCAAAACACAAAUUCAAAAGUACCAAAGUAGAAGCUUGAUAGUGAGAUGCAAUCUCCGACGACUCCCAAUCCGACUUAGCUUCGAAAUUUACUAUAGAACACGAAAAAGUAAACAGAGUAAGCUAUAAAGCUUAGUAAGCUUGUAUGAUAAAUAAGUAAACUUACCAACCAACAAUUCAAUAACAUAAAUAUCAUAUAAUGCACUUCAAAUUUGAAGCAUAACUUAACACAUGAAUUCAAUCCAAAGAUUAAACACAAUUUCCAUCAACUUAUUCAAUUUAAUGAUUGUAUAGUUCGCGUACAUACCUGUACAAGCUAGUAUUGAUCUUAUACUUAUCCAUAUCUUUGAUAUACCUAUUGAACCAUUUAGAAUACUAUAGGAUACUCGGGAAUCUUUCACCCUAAGUGCCAGUACAUAUUAAUCUCAUAUCACAUAUAAUGCUCACUCUCAAGCUAUCAAUGGGUCUGCUUACACAAGCUUAUGGUCAUUACGUAGCUACAUGGUGCUGCUCACACAAGCUGACGAGAAUCUGCAACACAUGCCAGAUAACCACUGGUAGGACGUACGGACCAACACCCAGAUCACAUAACCCCUAAUGACAUGUCAUUCUUAUCCUAAUCUAUUCCUAAGGUUCAACCUGGAUUUCACAUUUGCUGAAUCAUCGUCGAACAUAUCCGCAAGGUCGUAUUCAUAGAUAAUUCAAUAAUAAAAAGAAAUUACAUUAAUGCUUAUUAACAUACGAACUUACCUCGAAUGCAAAAACGAUGAAAUGAGUCAAUUAUUCCAACACUUUGUAAUCUAGAUCCGAAUUUCACUUUUCUUAAUCUAUAUGUAAUCAAAUUUAGCUUAUUUAAUUAUCAUUCUAUUCAAUUUAUCCCAAAAUGCAUAUUAUGUCAACUUUAUACUUUUUCCCCUAUUAUUUCAAAAUUUUUACAAUUUAGUCCUUAUCUCAUAAAAACACAAAUGCAUGCAAUUAGGUCCCUAUCCAUGCUAGCUGAAUUUCAUAUAGACCCAUAGCAGCCCAUAUUUUUCAUUUAUUUCACAAUUCAACCACAAAAUUUACACAUUUCAUAAUUUAACCUCUAAUUGACAUUUUUACCAAAAAUCACUUUACAAAUGUUCUUUAUCUAUUAAUAAGCAUACAUUUUCUAUCAUUAAACAUCAAAAUACACAUGUAUUCAUCAAUGGAAAAACCCUAAACCUUUAAAAAUUUUGCAAAUUAGUCACUGGGCUAGCUAGAUUAAGCUACAACAAUCUCAAAAACAUAUAAAUCAUUAAAAACGGGACAAAAAUCACUUACCUAAUAGCAAGAUGAAGUUGUUGAAAGUUGGAGCAUAAAAAUGGCUUCCUCAACCCAAAUUUUCUGUUGUAAAAUGGAGAAGAAAGAUGGUAUCUUUCUUUUGUUUUAUUUAAUUCAUAUUGUUUUAUUCAUUUACCAAUUUAACCUUUAUUAUAAACCAUUAAAAACACUUAAAAGACGUCUAUCUUUGUCCACUAACAUUAAAAAUGGUAUAAUUACCACAUAAGGACCUCCACUUUAAAGUUCUAUAGCUAUUAAACACCUUCAGCUAAUAGAACACAAGUUUUACACUUUAUGCAAUUUAGUCCUUUUUAUCAAAUUAGGCAUUUAAACGAUAAAAUUUCUUAAUGAAAUUUUCACACAAUCACACUAUCAUGCUGUAGAAAUUAAAAUAAUAACAAAUUAAAUAUUUUAACCUCAUAUUUGUGGUCUCAAAACCACUGUUUUGAUUUGGCUAAAAACGGGUUGUUACACUUUUUAUGUAUAGAGAGUAUGGGAUUUGACUGGUCUAAGUCGUGAUAUGAAUCUUGAGCCUAAAGGAUGAUUGCUUAUGAAUGGUUGAAAUGUACAUGUGUAUGUGUCUUGAAAACAUGCUAUGGAAUGUGUCUGUUAUGAAUGAGUCAGUAUGUGUGAUGAGUCUAUGUCGUCUCCACAGAGACUUCUAUAAGGAAAAGUCCAUGACACCAUAUCAUGUAAAAACAUAGCUGGUGGGUUAUGGCAUCAUAUGGAAAGAACUAAAGGAAGGUUAUUUCCUAAUGGUGUUUCUGCGAGACCUAAAUGAUGAGGGGCAAACCUCACGUAGGAUGAGUCUAGGCAAAUCCCUAUCACAAAAACACCAGGAAAAGAAAAAACUUCGUGGUAAACCUCUGCAAAGGAAAACCUCUAUGGAGAACCUUUGAAAAUAAAAGUGUAACACCCCUAACAUGUCUCUAUUGUCAGAUUAGGGUUACGGAGUAUUAUGACACAUAUAAAAAAAUACAUCAUUAAACCAUUCAUUUAUUAAUUUAAAUAACAAUUUUCAAAUCUACAUUUCAUUUAGAGCAUAAUCACAUUUACUGGCCUUAAAACGAGUUUACAAGGCCCUAAAAAUAGUUUGGGAUCAAUCAGGGACUAAUUUGAAUCAAAACAGAAAAAUAUGGAAAAUUUUAAAAAAUUUUGAAACAAGAAUCACACAGCCGUGUGACAGAGUCCAGAUCGUGUUACUUAGGGACAUGGCCGUAUGACUGCCCUACAUGCCCCUAUGCUCUGACCGUGUAACUAACUGUGUCCAUGUGAAAAGUCUGAAACCUAAAAUUAAUAAGGCACACAACUAUGUGAGUAGGCCGUGUGUGGCACACGAUCGUGUGAUAGCCCAUGUCUCAGGCCGUGUGUACCUUAAAAAGCUUCGAAAACAAGGCAAACUUUCAUCCAAAACUUACGUACCAGGCUACAUCAAAAUCAACCAUUUCCAUAAUUUAAAAACACAUUUAAACAAGCUUAAAACAUGCCAAAACAUUAAACCUAAGUGGCAAACCAAUGUAUCCUCAUUGACACCACAAUUCAAUUAUUAACCUCAAUUCACAUGUCACACCAAACUGAUUUGCAUUCAAGUUCAUAAGUUCAUACAUAAAACUUAUGCCAAACUUACGAUUUCUUCUUAUUCAUUCACAUUCAUUCAUACCAUGAUUCAAACACUUAAAUAAAUUUUAUAUCAAAUGACCGAAACAACAUUAUACAAACAUAUUCACACCAAGAUUAAAGACACAUACACUAGCAAGCUAAUACCAUGCUUAAGAAUCUUUGCAUCAAUCUUAUAUACAACACAUGUAGUAAAUGUUCAAAACAUUUACAAAACACACCUAUUACAUGCCAUAUAACCCAAAAUAAAUGUAUCAAAAUCUACCAAAAUGUAUCUAAAUAGUGUGAUCUUCAAGUUGAUCCAAUCACCCAACUCUACAAAAAGUUAUCUAUAAGGAACAUGAAAAGCGACAUGAGUAAGCUUUAAUAGAGCUUAGUAAGUUCAAUGGCUGAAAAAAUAAAACUUACCGCAUAAACAUAGCAGUUUCAUUAACAAGAUUAGCAAAUAAUAAAUCCUAUCAUUCACAGUCACUUAACAAGUGAGUUUAUACAUGUACACAUACAAGUUGAAAAAUAUAUCCGAUCACAUAAGAUCACUCAAUAUCAAGUCACGAUAUACAUUCAAAAGACUAUGCAGACACAUAUAAGAUUUAAUAACAUGUCAUAUAACCAUUUGAAACUUUCCCGAUAAAUGGUAUAAAUAGAUUCGUAUACGCGGUUAACCAUCCAAAACACACCAAAACGUUUAAAUGAGCCAAGCCAACCGAAAACACACAUGUGCACUUAUAUGUCUAAUUUUUAUAGGUUUAUUUAACACCUUUUUACUCUUAAUUCAUGCAAAUUCCGAGCAUGUGGAUAGCUAAUUGGAUCAUUUUAGUUCAUAUAUAGGCAUUGUGCAUAAUUUUAGUAAAGUAUGUAAUUUUAUGAAAUUUAGUAUUAAUUUUUCAUAAUUUUACUAUUUUAUGCUACAUGUUAAUUUUUACUCAAUUUGCUACAGUUGGACCACUAAAUUAAUUAAUGUGGGAGUCAAUAAAAACACACAUGCAUAUGAGCUAAAAUCCACCUCAUUUGGAUGACUAGAUGAUGAAUUGGGCUCAGAAAUAUUACCUUGACCCAACUUAAAGAUGGUUGCUAAAGAGAAUUAAAUUGCUUCUUAAUUGGGUUACCAAAAUCGUCCAAUAAGGGGAAGAAAAGCCCAAAUUCGGCAAGCCAUCAAGAGCAGCCAAAAUUAACUUUGGGAUAAUUAAAUUGAAGGCCCUCACACUUGUGGAAAAAUCACAAAUCAGCCUCCAACUUGAGCUUGAUUGCCAUCCAACCUAUGCCAUGAAUCAAGGUAGAACCGACCAUCAAAUCAAAUAACCACCAACCUCUCAUCCCACAUUUCAUGGUCGGCCAAGCAAAGGAGCAAUCUAAAGGAUUCGUAAGUUAUUUUUAGCAAACUUCCAUACCACUCCUCUACUAUAAACACCACCCUUCAUUUCCCAUUAGAAUCAUCUCUCAUCAUUAAUAUAUCCCUUAACUCUCAUCUUUUUCUCAUCUUUCUUUCCUCUCUUCCACGCAUAAGCCAUCCAUUUCCCCACUUCCCUUUAGCUAGAAUUUCCUUUGAGGAAAACCACUCUUUGCCGGCCACCUUCAGGAGCAUUUUGCAAAGGAGCAAUCAUUAGAAUUGGAGGAAGCCCCCACGAUCGAUCUUCGGAGAACCACCAAAAUCAUCAAGAGUUUCUUCUUCCCUAUUCUUUAGUUUUGUUCUUAGUUAUUCAACAUGUUUGCAAAUUGUUUUAAUGAUUUUUCAUUGACAAUGAUGACUUAAUUUUGUUUUAACUGGAAUGAUUGCAUUAAUUUGAUGAAGUUCAUUUGAUUCAUGUUUAUGAUGUUUUGUGCCUCAAUUGUUCAUGCUUCCAAUUAAAAUCACACUAUAUGAAUUUAAGGUUUUAGUGGCGUUUUUAGUGGUGUUUGAAUGGAAAACACCGCAAAUAUUAUACAUUAGUGGCACUAACGGAAAAUGCCGCAAUAGGUAAAGCAGUAGCAACGUUUAUGAGAAAAAAACUCCAAAAGGUUAAGCAUUAGCGGCAUUUAUGAGAAAAACACCACAAAAGGUCAAGCAUUAGCUGUGCUAUGAGAAAAAUGCCGCAAAAGGUCAAGCAUUAGUAGCGUUAUGAGAAAAACGCUGCAAAGUAUGACUUUAUUUUAAACGAAAUGGAGUUGUUUUGCUCUGCUCAGUUUUAUCCCAACUCAUAUCCCUAAAAUCCCUUAUUUUUUCCCUAAACAUUUUCCCCAAAUCCCUAAAUUUAUUCCCCAAAUCAAAAUCCCAAAAUUUUUCCCCGUCCAUUUGCUGCAUCAUCGUCAAAUGUCCCCUCUACUGCAUCAUCGUCAACAUUCCUCUGUCACAACCAAUCGGUAAGUUUUUUCUAUUUGUUUCUAGAGAAAAAUUAGAAAAAAAGUCGAGCAUUUUAUUUCUUUUUUGAUUUUGAUGGGAAAAAGGAAUGAUAAGCAUGUUUUAUUUCAUUUCUCAACUUGUUUGUUCUUGCAUUUAGAAGUCCUUUAUUUUCUGAUUUUGUCUCUAUUAGCUCAAUUUUUAUUAUUUCAUUUAACAAAAUCCUGUCCCUAUCGAAACUCAGAUAUAUUAUGUUACGUAGUCAUACCUUUAAAAAAAUGGUCAAGUAGUUAUUUUAUUGAAGUAAUAAUUUUCUGUGUUCGAUGAUUUUGAGAUUUUGGAUGAUAUAUUAAUGGUUAGAAUUGUGUGGUAAAAUUUUCAAAAAGAUAUGUCUAUAUAUACAAACAUGUAGCACUAAUAGUAUCCAUAUAUCUUGUUUGUUUUACAUAUUUCAAAACUUAGAAUUGAUUUAACAAGAAAGAUGAUGAUUAGUAUUAGUGAAGAAGGUGUUGAACAAUAAACAAACUAAAGAUAAGUCAAAGAUCAGAAAUCUAAGAUUUGAGAGAAAAAAAAUCUGAAACUAUGAAUCUUUGCCUUAUCUUAUUAUUUAUUUGUUUAAUUAAUCUUUGGUUAGCCAUAAUUCCUAUUAUUGAAUAAGAGAUAAACACAAUACAUGAGUUGUACCAGUAAGCUAUGAAUUUAAUUAUAUAUUUUAGGUGAAAUUCCAAAAAAUAUUACAGACAUAACUUCUCUUAAAUUCAUUGAUUUUUCUAAUAACAACUUAACAUAUAAAUAUGAUUUUCUACUUUCAGUUGUUAUAUAUUUUUAAUUAGUGUACAAAUUUUUUAAUUUCUUAAUAUAAUACUUUUGACUUAAACAUCCAUAGAUCGUUAUCUUGCAAAUGGAUGUAUUAUCCCAACUUUAUGUCUUAAACAUGAUUUGUCUUAUACCCUUUCCUUACAAUCAAAAUAUUAACCCAAAUUUAUGGAAAAAAACUAGCUUCCUCUCCUUUUUUAAGUUUGUGCUGCUAUUUGCAGUUUUUGGAUUAUUUAUUUGGAAAUUUUGAUUAAUUUAAUUAUAUGUUUCAGGUGAAAUUCCUUCUGUUAUUGAAAAAUUGACUUCUCUCUAAACAUUUUCUCUUACCAAUAAGAAGUUAAUAGAUAUGAUUUCAUCUUUCUUAUCUUAUAUUCUUUCUAUUAAAUUUAUGCAUUCCGUAAUUAAAAUAAAAGUUAUCUCAAGUUUACGUUGAAAGAUAAUUGUAGUAGUUUCCUUUUAAUAGAUCAAAAUCUUAGAGUCUUUCUUAUACAUCUAGAAAAUGCAAGUGUUGUAAAGUAAAUUAAUCUAUCAUUUUAUUGGCUCACUUCAAUAAAUAUCUUGAAAAACUAUAAAAAUAUCAUGUUAUACAUUACAUGUGAUAAUUAAAUGAUAACAAAUUAAUUCAACUAUUUAUUAAUGAUUAAAUUAAUAAAUAAUUAGCUUUUUUUAAGAAAUGCAAUAAGGUGGCAUAAUUUGAUUGAAAAAGGCCUAUGCUAAUGUGAUGUAAUUAUUUUAUGCAAUACUAUCUCUAUAAUUUAUUACAUUAUUAUGUUUAAUCAGUUUUUAUUGAGUUGUGGCCUUAAUUAUAAGUGCAACUAUUGACCAAGUCUUUCAUUUUGUGUUGUGUAAAAUUGUGGUUAGAGUGCAAUUGAAGGUGCUCAUAAGCUUGAAUCUAUCCUAUUUAAAUUUUUUACAGCAAAAUUAGGUCAGGUCAGGCCAUUAUAAAGUUGAAAAAACUAAAGUUGAUUCCAACCCAUAGCAAGCUGAGUCACCUUGCUCAUGAACACUUUUAAGUGCAAUACUUGCUUGCAAUUUUUUACUUAAAUUGUGAGUCAUGAGAUGUUGUGCCUAGAUCCUUAGAAUAAAAACUUUAAAGUAUUGAAGAUUGAUUAAAAAUUAUUAAAUUCAGUUAUUCCUCUCCUUUUGGUUUGCCUUAUACCUACACUAAACUUUACUGUAGAAAUCUUGGCUUUUGAUCCAUCAUUUUUCUUUGGUUUUGAUAUUUGUUCAACCAUAACUAUUGUUUGUUCUUGACUUGAAUUAAUCAAAUAAAGAUUUUUUUUGCGUUAGAUGAUUUUGAGAAUUUGGGUGAUAUAUUGAUACUGACCUUUGUGUGUUAAAAUUUUUAGUACCAGUAAUAGUACACAAUUUCAAUGGGUUCGCCAGGAUGUGGAUGAAGAUAUUUAUGAAUCAUGAUGUAGUAAGAUUUUAUGAUUUUUUAAUUAUAUGUAAUAUUAUAAUUUAAAUCUUGAUCUUGUUAAAUAUUUCAACUAUUUUAUAUGUACUAUUAUUGUUGUAAUUAGUUACUAAUAUUUCGACUAUUUUAUGUGUAUUGUAGAUAAAAUGCUUAGAAGAAGAUUGCAAGAUCUAAGUAUUAUUAAAAAUCCUCCAAAUUCAGAAGAAACAAAUAGUGAACAAUAGACUGCUAUUGGAUCUUCGAAUGUUCCGAAUACAACUGACUAACCUGCAGAAAUUCAAAGUAAUGGUUACUUUAAUUUACAUUCAUGUUGACUUUUACUAUUGAAUUUUGUUUCAAAUUCUUGUAUUAUAAUAUACCAUUUUUUUUAGUUGAAAGUGGUGAGAGGUGCAAAACUUGACGAUGUACGCUAUUAAAAGACUUAUAUGAGUUAAAUUCUAUCGAGCAUGUCAAAGUAGCUAGAAAUAGUCAUGGUCAGCCUAUUGGAUCAGAAGCUCGACUUUUAGUAGGAUACUUGGGCAUUAUAGCACGAAAUGCCAAUCUGUUGCCUAUCAACUAAGAGUCAUGGCAUCAUAUGCCUGAUAGUAACAAAAAUCAAGCUCUAGAUAAUAUUAAUGUAAUAACGUGAAUGUAAUUUAUAAUACUUUGGUUUAAGUUUCAUUUAUAUUUACUUUCUAAACUUGUGUUAUUUGCAGAAGAGAUUUGCUUUAGAGGUCUCGGAUAAUUAUGUGAAGAAGACAUUGGGAAAAAAAUGGAGAGACCAUAAAAGUGAUUUAAAGAAGGAAUAUUUUAAGAAAAAUAUAAGCCUCGAAGAGAAAUUGCGAAAUGUCCUGUCGGGAAUGUUGAGGUACCAAUGGGAAGAUACAAUUAGAUUUUGGAAUUCAAAGAAAGGAGAGGUAUUACGUACCGGUUUAUAGUAUUUACUAUAUAUGUAAUAAUAAUUUCAUAAUGUAGGAUUGUGAGCGAGUUGGAACUACCGGUAGGCAAAAACAAAAAUUCACGCACACAGUUGGGUCAAAAAGUUUUGCUUGUGUAGUUGAUGACAAGAUAUUUUGAAUUUAUUAAUUGUGUCAAAUAUUAAUUACUUUCUACUAAAUAAUAUUUUUCCUACUAUAUCGUAGGAACUGUCAUUUGGUCAAAAAGUUGGACACCUCAACUUUUUGACAUUACACGUAGAAAGAAAGAUGGACCUCCUAUGACUACUAAAGCUGCAGAAAUUAUGGUAUAUUUACUUAAUAAAAUUUGAAUUAUUUUAAAUAUUUAUCAUGUUUAAUUAUAAUGGUUUAAUUCAUCAUUUGUAAUGCAAAUAAUGUUAAGUUAUGUUGCAUUUGUUUUGAUUAUCUAUUUCGUUUCUAACUCUUUGACUGAUUUAUUAGGAGAAACUAAAGUAUAAACGGGCGGAGUAUGAAGCGAUCGCUUCAAGUGAUAGUUCUAUUAAUCUUGACGAAAUUGAUAACUGAAUUAUUAUUGAAGUUUUGGGUCUUGAAAGGUAUGGUCGGGUUCAAUUUCAAGGAUCUUUUGUUAACCCAACUGUAACACCUUUAACUCGUAUCUGUCACCGAAACAGGGUUACGGAGCAUUACCAAAAUUUAUAGAUCAAAUAUAGAUAUUUCAUAACAUUUAACAUUCAUAUCAAAAAUCAUUCAUAAUUAAUCAUAUUGUCCCUUAAAUUAGCCCUCGAGGCCCAAAAUAUGCAUUAGAAACAAGUCUGGAGUAAACCAGGUAUUCAAAUUUUUUUUUUUGCAAAAUUUCAAAAGUUUUCCAAGAUACAGGGAACACACGCUCAUGAGGUCAGGAGACACGUUCGUGUCUUAGGCCGUGUUGUCAUUCGAAGUAGGGUACAUAGCCAUGUCCCAGCCCGUGUCCAUACCUGUGUAACUCUCUAGCUUAGGUCACAUGGCCAAGUCACACUCCCGUGUGCUAGGCCGUGUGAACAUAAUAAUUUUCAUUAAAUAGGUGCAGAGGUUACACGGCCAAGCCACACGCCCAUGUGAUCAAUAUUGAGCAUUCUAUUUUGAAAAUUUUAAGAUGAAGGGGACAUAUGGCCAAAAUAGACGCCUAUGUGCUAGGUCGUGUGUCACACACAACUGAGACACAUGCCCAUGUCUCUACCUGUGUGAACAAAAUAAUGCCAUUUCCUAGCCAUAUUUCUCACCCAAACUUGUCUUCCACCUACAAUAACACUUAAAUACAUUCCUAAACCAAUAGAAAACAUUUGAACCAAGCCAAAAUCAAGUCUUAUGCAUGACAUAUCACUCCAUAAAUCUAUAUAUCCAAACUUACCUAUUUGACCAAAAAUGCAGAGAGACAUACUUAUGAAGUUUACUAUCAAUUAACCAUACUAAACACUCAUAUCAAACAAGACAUUAUCUCAUAUAUAUACAUCAAAAUACAUUCAUCACAAGCCAUUCCAAUGGCUAAUUACAACCAAAACAUUUAUAUGCCAAUAUUGGCUGUUUAAACCUAUAAAUGCCAUUAUAACCAAAAUUAAUUUACUAUUUAUACCGAAAUGAGCCGAUGGAUAGUGUGAUGUGUCUCCGAUCAGCUUCCAACCUUAUCGAGCUUCCGUACUAUUAUAAAAUAAAGGAAGUAAAAUAGAGUAACCAUAUUAUGCUUAGUAAGUUCGUAUAAUAGGAAAUUAACUUAUCGAUUAAUUUACAUUUAAGGUAAGUAAAUAAACAUGCUCAAACCGAUUUGGCCUGUAACGUCCCGUACCCGAGACCGUUUCCGGAGUCGAACACGAGGUGUUAACGAACUUAAUUCAUUACUUAAAUAGCUCAUACAAUUCAUUUUAAAAUUUCCAGACAAGUUGGCUAACUGCAUCACAGUCGCUUUAAAAAUCUUAUCUCGAGUUCCAAAACUUAAAAUCCAAUUCCGUUUAUUUUUCCUGAAACUAGACUCAUAUAUCUAUCUACUAAUUUUUUUCUAGAAUUUUUGGUCGGGCCAAUUAGUACAGUUUAUUAGUUAAAGUCUCCCCUAUUUCAGGGUUUGACUACUCUAACCUCUGUGUAUUAUGAAUCAGAUAUCUCCCUGUACAGAGCUUCAAUGACUAUGCUAUUUGUCUCUAAUAAAACUAGGCUCAAUAAGGAAUCUGUACAUAUAAAGUAUAACUUCUAAUUAUCUUUGUAAAAUUUAUGGUGAAUUUCCAAAUUUAGAACAGGAGAUCCAGAAAUCGCUCUGGCCCUGUUUCACAAAAAUUUAAACAUCUCAUAAAAUAUAGCUCAUAUACCUAUUUUGCUUAUUCCAUAUGAAAAUAGACUCAUCAAGAUUCGAUUCCAUAACUUAUUCAUUAUUUAAUUCCAUUUCUACUAUUUUUAGUGAUUUUUCAAAUUCACGUCACUACUGCUGUCUGAAUCUAUUUUAUGGUAAAUUUUACCUAUUUCAUGGUUUCCAUGGAUUAGCUAGCAAUUUGACAUACAUAACACCAAAUAUGAUCAUGAUUAGCCAUUCCAAUGGCUAAUCAUUACCAAGCAUUUCCAUACCACUCAAUAACCAUAUCAUAAGACUAUAUAUACAAAAUUAUUAUAAUGCUAUACAUGCCAUACUCAAAAUAUACAAGCCAUUAUGCCAAGAUAGUAUACGGAUAGUGUGAGCGAGACUCCGACCGUUCCCGAUUUCCGAGCUAGCUUGUCAAAACUACAAGGAAUGAAAAGGAGGGAGUAAGCAUAAAUGCUUAAUAAGUUCACAUGCAAAUAGCAAGUAACAUAACCAUAUAAGCAAACAUAAAACAUCAUUUGCAUAAUCAUCACCAAGACAUUCAUAUCACAUUUUCAUUUAUCAUCUUACCAUAUUGUUGUUAUAUCGAUUUUUCAACCUGAGGGUUAAGUACAUACCUGUUCAAAGUACCCAUUUCACAACACUUACCAAUACGUCCCUUUCAUCUUGAGUAUUCCUCCAUUUCAGUAGAACUUUACCCGUUGAACACAUCGGAAUAUAAUUCGGAUACAUGGAAAGUUUGCACAUAAGUGCCACAUAUGUAGCCAAGCUACCAUGUAACCCGCCCAUAAGUGAACUCGGACUCAACUCAACGAGCUCGGGCGUUCACAUCCAUAAGUGAACUCGGACUCAACUCAACGAGCUCGGAUGCCUAGUUACAUCUCUCGAACUCGGACUCAACUCAACGAGUUCGGAUGCUCAACCAUCCUAGUGACAUGUCACUUGUAUCCUAAUCUAUUCCUAAGGUUCAAACGGGAUUUUUCCCUCGAUCUCACAUUUUUCCUCUUCCAUGGAAUAUCGGAACCGAUACUCGGUAGCAAUUCAUAUUUAUAAAGUAGUAAACAUAAUUUGCAUAUUACUCAACAUUAAUUACAAAGCAUAAUAUUUCACGAUAAAAAAAUCAGCAUACCAUAUAAUUAACAUCAAUAACUUAAAAAUAACAAUUAUGCUACAUUAUUUACACAUGAACUUACCUCGUAUGCGAAAAUGGCUACUUUUACCAUUUCGUCCACAACUUGGUAUUUUCCCCAUUUUAGCCAGAAUUUUAGUUUUCCUUGCUAAUCGAGCUUGGAAGCUUGAAAAACCCUAGCCAUGGUUUCUCCUUGCUAUAUUCUGCCAUGGGGUUGAAGAUGAGCAAAAUUGGCUUUUAAUUUAGUAUUUUAAUUCAUUUUACCCCUAAAUGACCAAAAUGCCCUUUCUACUAAACUUUCCAAAAAUUCCAUCCAUGUCCAAUUUUUGUCCAUAGACUUAGAAAUUGGUAAAAUUGCUAUUUAAGACCUCCUAAUUAAUAUUUCAAAACAAUUUCAUACUAGAAACUUCUAGAAUACAAGUUUUGCAAAUUAUUCAAUUUAGUCCCUAAUUUCAAUUUAAGCACUUUAUGCAUAAAAUUUCUUCACGAAAUUUUCGCACAAUCAUGCAAUCAUAUCAUAGACCUUAAAAUAGUCAUAAAAUAAUUAUUUCUAUCUCAGAUUUUGUGGUCACGAAACCACUAUUCUGACUAGGCCCAAAAUCAGGAUAUUACAUGGCCAAUUGCCUAAACUCAUAUCCUCAUCAAGCUUGUUAGUCAUGUAAUUCACAUAAAUACUAAGAAAUAAGAAUGAGCUCAUCAAUAUUCAAUUUCCACAUAUAUAUAUUUAUCACUUCAAGUGUCCAUGAACAUGUACAUAUCAUAUCUUUGUAUUUCAAGUAUUUCUCAUAAUAAUUCAUCUUGUAUUCAUAUAAUCUCAUAUUGAAACUUUACCUGCUAAAUCAUUAAAAAUAUCGAUGGAUACAAGGGUAGUGCACUUGAAGUGUACAAAACUGUAAUCCGUCAAUUCAUAUUCGGGAAUGCUCAUACAAGCACAUAAAUGGGAACUCUCUCUCUUGAGCCAUAUAACUGGAAGCUCAUGCGAGUUGUAAAACGGAAGCUUAUCCAGGCUGUAUAAUAGGAAGCUCAUAAGAGCCAUAUUCAGGAAGCUCAUGCGAACCAAUAAUGGGUAGCCUUGAAGAGCCAUUAAUUAGGAAGCUCCGAAUAGCCAUAUAUCGGGAAGUUCAAGCAAGCCAUAUCGAGAAGCUCCGGAGAGCCAUUAAUUAGGAAGCUCACAAAGAGCCUUUAGUCUAGAAGCUCACAAAGAGCCAUAUAUCGGGGCACUCAUAAGGGAUGUGGUGUAUCUACAACACAUGCAAAGUCAACCAAAUCGGGAUGCUCUGAAGAGCUAUUAACGAGAAGCUCGCAUGAACCAUAUAGCGAGAAGCUCGAGAGGUCCAUAAAUAGGAUGCUCAUGAGAGUUAAUAAUGGGGCACUCUUUCAAGGUGUGGUGUGUCUGCAACAUAUGCAGGACCACAACCAAUUCGGGUACACUGUAUCCAUCGAAUUUCAUUUAUUCAAUCAGGACUUAAUACUGAUCGAGCAUUAUGGAAAUGUUACCGAUUUUUAUACAUGUCAAUUAUACAAUACAUAUACACAACAUUCAAUUUAAAACAUAUAAAUAUGCAAUUUAAUUACACGAACUUACCCGACAAAUGUUCUUGUACGCAAAAUCUACUAAUCCGAUACUUAUUUUCUUUUCCUUGAUCUAACUUCAUUUUUUAUCUAUCCGAAUCUAAUUAAGCCAAAAUAGUUUGCUUGAGUUCAACACCAAUAACUAGGGUUUCCAUGCCUUUAAUUUGGGAAGGAUGAUAUAAAGUGAUGAUAUUUCUUAUUUAUUUAAAAUAUCAUCUUUUAUUAUUUCAUCUUUCCAAUUUAAUCCUUUUCAUUAUUUAAUUUUCCAUGGAUGAAUCAUCAUUCUUAUCUACUAACUCCUCUUAAUGGUCUAUUUGCAUAUAAUGACCUCAAAUUUUGAAUUCGAUAGCUAUUUGAUACUUAUACUUACUAGAACUCAACUUUUGCAUUUCAUGCAAUUUGGUCCUUUUAUCAAUUAAACAUGUAAUCGGUAAAAUUUUCUUAACGAAAUUUUCAUACGACAUUCCUAUCAUAAUGCAAACCAUGCAAUAAUAUUAAAAUAUAUUUUCCUUCUAAACUCGAAUUUGUGGUCUCGAAACCACUGUUCUAAUUUCACUGAAAACGGGCGUCACAACUCUCCUCCCUCAAAUAAUUUUCAUCCUUGAAAAUCUUACCAUUAAAGAGGUUCGAAUACAACUUUCCCAUUGUUUUCUCAAGUUCCCAAGUAUCUUAUUCUAUUCUAUGCCGUUGCUAGAGGACUUUUACUAAAGCUACCUUUUUAUUUCUUAACUCUUUUAUCUCGUCCGCCAGAAUUUUGAUUAGUUCUUCACUUCUUAACAUCUGUCGGAGAAAUAAUAUGUGAAGGAUCUGAUCGAUAUCGUCGUAACAUGAAAGACAUUGUGAAUCUUUUCUAGUUCUGGUGGUAAAGCUGAUCAGUAUGCAACGAGUCUGAUUCUCUCAGUGAUCUCAUAUGGCCCGAUAAAUUGUGGACUCAGUUUUCCUUUACGACCAAACUGAAGAACUUUCUUCCAAGGUGAUACUUUCAAGAAUACCUUGUCACCAACUUGGAAAUCUAUCUCUUUUCGUUUAAGAUUCGCAUAGGAUUUCUGACGAUCAGAAGCUGCUUUGAAACUGUCUCGGAUCACCUUCACUUUUUAUUCAGUUUCACAGAUCAAAUCAACUCCAUGUAUCUUUUUCUCACUGAGCUCAGUCUAAUAUAAUGGAGUUCUACAUUUACGACCAUACAAAGCUUCGUACGGUGCCAUCUUAAUGCUUGACUGAUAGCUGUUAUUAUAUGCGAAUCCGACUAAUGGCAGAUAUUUUUCCCAAUUACCUUUAAAUUCCAAAAUACAACACUGAAGCAUAUCUUCUAAAAUCUAUAUUACACGUUCUGAUUGACCGUCAGUCUGAGGAUGGAAUGCAAUACUGAAAUGUAAUUGCAUACCUAGAGCCUCUUGCAACUUGUUCCAGAAUUAGGAUGUGAACUGAGGAUCACUAUAAAAAAUAAUGGAGACCGGCACUCCAUGUAACCUGACAAUUUCUGAAACAUACAACUCUGCUAAUUUGUCCAAGGAGAAAUCCAUACGUACCGGAAUAAAGUGUGCCGACUUCAUCAAACGGUCAACGAUUACCCAAAUGAAAUUUUUAUUUUUUAGAGAUAGGGGUAACCUUGACACAAAAUCCAUGGUAACUCAUUCCCAAUUCCAUUCUGAUAUUGUCACUGGCUGUAAUAAUUUUGAAGGUACCUAAUGUUCAGCUUUAACUUGCUAACAUAUCAAACAUCUAGGUACAAAUUUUGAGAUAUCACGCUUCAUUCUCGGCCACCAGUACACCUUUUUCAAGUCAUUAUACAUUUUAUUACUCCCCGGAUGAAUAGACAUAAUACUAUUAUGAGUUUCAUGGAAAAUCUUCUGUAUAAGCUCCUAAUUUGUAAGAUCCUAAUUUUGGGCCUAGUCAGAAUAGUGGUUUCGAGACCACAAAUUCGAAGUAGAAAUAUUUGUUUUAUGAUUUUUUUUAGGCCCAUGACAUGUUUGCAUGAUUGUGUGAAAGUUUUAUGAUGAGAUUUUAUUGAUAAAGUGUCUAAUUUGACAUUUAGGACUAAAUUGCAAAAGUUGCAAAAUGUGAGUUCUAGAAGCUUUAAGCAUGAAAUUGCAUGGAUUAUGAAGUAGAGGUCCUUAAAUACAAAUUUUCCUAAUUUCUAAUUUUAUGGACAAAAAUGGGCAUGCAUGGAUAAAAUUUGAAAGUUUAGUAAACGGGCAUUUUGGUCAUUUGGUUAAUAGAAGAAUAAAAAGGGAAAAAUAAGUCAAAAUGUCAAAAUUUCCAUGCUUACGAUAGCUAGGGUUUCUCCAACUUUCAAGCUCAAUAAUCAAGAAAAAUAGAGUCCAGGCCUAAACCGAGGAAAGAACAAAGUUGUGGACUAAAUCGAAUAGUUAGCCAUAUUUUGGCAUCGAGGUAAGUAUGUGUGUAAAUAAUUCAACAUUAUGUUAUUAUGUAUAUAAUGAUUUGAUAUUGCAUGAAAUGUAUAUUUGUCUCUAUGGAUUUGGUUGUUGAUGACUCGAUGAUGAUCCGACGAAGAUUUGGUACUACGAAAUCCCGGUUGAACCUUAGGAAUAGAUAGGGUACAAAUGUCAUGAAAAUAGAGUUAUGUGUGGUUUCGUUUAAGACCAUAUCUGGGAUAUGGCCUCGAUAUGUGAUCCCAUGUAAGACCAUAUCUAGGAUAUGGCAUUGGCAUCUUACUAUGUGUAUGAGAUUUCCCGGGUAUCCUUUAGUAUUCCAAGUGGUUCAACGGGUAAUUCAAAGAUUAUGUCAAAGAAAUGACAAGGUAUGAUCAUGUCGGAAGGGUACAGGUAUGUACAUAAAGCUUAUAAAUAUUGAGAUUAUGAAUCGAUGAGACCUUGGUAAGAAGUGAAUGAAUGAAUCAUGAUCAUGAGUAUUGUACACUAUGUAAACAACAUGAUUUAAGAUGUAUCUAUGAUACUUGAUUACAUUGUGAUAAAUAUUAUUAUGUUAUGUGUAUAAUAAUGCAUGACUAAUGUUAUUAAUUAUUUACAUGCUAACUUACUAAGCUUUAUGCUUACAUUUUCCUUAUAGUAUCGCCAAGCUAGCUUAGGGAUCGAAGGAUGUCGGAGCUCAAUUCACACUAUCAAACUAAUCUUUUGGGUAUAGUAAAUUUAAGUAUUUUGAGUAUGGCAUGUAUAGGGGACUUGGUCAUUUUGUUAUGUGUCAUAUUGGUUAGCCAAAAGUGUUGGCUUAUGAUAAUAUUAUAAUUUCAUUUUAUACAUGGCCAUGAGAUAUGACUUAUAUUGAUUAUUAAGUUAUAAACCUAUUUAUUCACACAUGCAUGUGCCUAUGCAAUUGUGAUGUGGUUGGUGGUUGUGUGGAUGUGAUAAGUUAUUUUGUGCCUAUGAAUGCAUGAUGAUUAAAUUGGGAUUCGUUUAAUAUGAUGAUAACCAUGGCUUGAAUGAGAAUUGGUAAGUUGGGCUUGACAACGUAUGGUGUCUUAUGCAUAUAUAAGAUAAUACGAUAUUGCCAUAACCAUGACUUGUUUGAGGAUGAUUAAGUACUUAAUUAUGCCAUGUUAAGUGCCUUUGAAGUCUUGUAUGUGUUUGUGCAAAUAAGGGUGGCAAUUGGCUUGGAAAAUAGCAUCAAAGUUGUUCACAUGGGUAUACACACGAGCAUGUGUCUAAGCCGUGUGUGACAUAUGAUCUGCCCCAUGGGCGUGUGAUACGACUGUGUGUCCCCUGCACCUUAAUUAUGUAAAACAGAAUGCCCAACAGUAAACACACGGGUAGAGACAUGGCCGUGUGUCUCGGCCAUGGGAGAGGCACGGCUUGGGACAUGGGCGUGCACCCUGGUCGUGUGAAGUCUACACCUUAUUUAUGAAAAUUCAUGAAAAUUAAAUUCGUCACACGGCUUAGCACAUGGGCAUGUGACUUGGCCGUGUGACCCUAUUAUGUUGAUGAUGUCAUAAACAUAGAGUUACACGGGCUGAGGACACGGGCGUGUCCCAAGCCACAAGGGUGUGUGACCCUCCAAACCAAGAAAAUUUACGUUCCAGUACUGCCUUGUACCUUGUUCCGACGUCGAAUACGGGUAAGGGGUGUUACAAUGAAUGUAUGUGAAAAGUUUUAACUUUGGAUGGAAAUUUACGUUUGGUUUUGUAUGUUUGCUUGUGUUUUAGUCCGGUAAUGCCUCGUACCUUGUUCCGACGUCAAAUAUGGGUAAGGGGUGUUACAGAAUUCUUCGGUACACAUACUCUGCCUCUAGAUAAUAAACAAUCAUCGGAUCCAAUCUGAAAUUCUGAAUAAAAAACUGAUUCACACUAUAUUCGUUUAGCUUGCAACUCUUUAUCACUUUUCUGACCUUCACAAAUCUACUGUAGAAACGUUGGUUUAACUUUUAGCACAGCCGAGAUUGAACCAUCAUAUAACUUUUGAAUAUAAUAUAUUUUGUUAUUUCAUUUAUUAAUUUAGAUCAUAGACAUAUUUCUUUCGUUAGAUUUGAAGUAUCAUUUAGAUUUGCAGUUUUUGGUUGGAUUUGAUGUUACAUGAAAUUAUGUUGAUAAUUCGGGUUCUAUAUGAAUGAAAAUGGGUUGGUAAAAAUCUGAUAAAGUUAGUGGCGUUUUUCCUCAAAUGCCGCCAAAGUAUAUGACUUUUACUAAAAAUGCCGCUAAAGAGCAAGACCUUUAGCCACGUUUUUGGGAAAAGCAUUGCUAAAGGUCAUGUUCUUUAGCGGCGUUUGUGGGGAAAGUACCGCUAAAGGUCAUGUCCUUUAGCAGUGUUUGUGGGGAAAGCGCUGCUAAAGGUCAUGCUUUGUAGCGGCGUUUUUGUGAGAAAACCACUAAAGGUCAUGUUCUAUAGUGGUGCUUUUCCACAUAAACGUUGCAAAAUUUAGCGGGGUUAUCUGUAACUGUAUUUUUUGCAGCUCUUAUCAAAACGCUGCAAAUUGUUUUAGCGGUGCUUAUAAGCCCAAAAAAAUGCCGCUAAAAACCUGUUUUGCUUGGUGUCAUUUAUGUAUUUCAUGCAUUAAAAUAUGUUUGAAUGCAUUGAAAUUAGUUGAUCAAUCCCAACUAGAUGGCGAAUAAUGACUCAAUAAUUGGAAGGUGCAUACUUAAUUUAGAUCUUAACCUGAUUAAAUUAAAGGUUCGUAAUAACUUGAAAGAGCUCUAUUACCUUGCAUAGCUUUUAGAUUUGUGUGAUUAAAUUGUUUCAAAUCUAACCCAUCCCUGUUACUUCAUAUAAAUUAUAAAGAAUCCUUAGUUAAAUAUGGACAUAGAAAUAUACAUGUUUUUCUAAGUAUGAGAUUUCGAAAGAAAUUAUAUUAGAUUCCAAGUUAAUGAAUGAUCGAGUUGCCAUGGAAUUUUUUUGAAACAUUGUUAACAUGAUGAAAAAUGAAUUGAGUCAAAUGUUGUAAUUAUUCUAGCUUAUUCAUGUUAUUGUUGUUAAACUUGUGAAAUUGUUUCCAAACCAUCUCAUUGCAUUUCUUGCAUCUAGGUCAAUUUGCAUUUAGUUAAUUAGUUUAAUUUAACAUUCAUCACCCCAAAAUAUUAUGUUUUUCUUACCAACUUGUAAAUUCAUAAUUUUGCAAUUAUUUGAUUAAAAAAUUUAGUCCCUGGGAGAUGAUUAAUUCUUUUACUUACUUAUUACUUGAUAACGAAUGUGUACACUUGCGCAUUUUGUUGUGAACUAGGCACCAAGUGCCAAGCCCGUAGGCUAACAUCCCUACGAAACACACUUGGGCACCAAGUGCCAAGCUCGUACGCCUUACAACUGCCCCUAAAAACACAUCAAAAUCACUGUAAAUAUAACACAAUAGUCAGCAACAAAUGCUGGACAUCGGUAUAUUUAGUGGAAAAUAAAAAAUCAAAAUUCAUCAUCUCAUCGCAAGUCAACCCCGUACCACGUGCAAUAUAUUCUAGUGGCAUGCCAAUUGUAUCUUAUCCUAUGUUCAUUUGGCCUCAAUACAAGUAACCGUGUAACAUUUUUUUUUAAUUUAUUGUCUCGCAUUGUAUCAGUUUGUAACAAUUCCAACAUAUAAAGAUAUAUUUAACAUAUCACAACUCAAGAUUCAAUAUAAUAUUGAAAAUUAUAUCUAGUAAAAUCGUAUGAGCAAACUGCAGAGUUAGUAGAAGUUCAAAGACUAAUCAAUAACUCUCCCUUUUCUUCGAUUAUUAGCUUGAUAUUGAUCUAUAAAGUAGUUUAUUUCAAUUUAUUAGAUUCAAUUUCAUAUAUUAUUCAAUUUUAAAAAAUACAUAUUCCUUCUUAUUUACAAUUUUUCACAAUUGCCCCAAACUUUUACACUUUCUUCAAUUUAAUCCCUAAUAUUAAAACAAGUCAAUUUUCAGAAUUACCUCAUAUACCAAUUUUUGCCAAAAAUUCAACCCUAUAUAAACAACCCCUAAAUUUUGAAUUUUUUCAAUAAUAUCCUUCCAAUUUCACAUUUUAUCUAUUUAAUCCCUAAACUUAAAACUAUACAAAUUUACUUGACAAAAUAGUUCAAAUCCGUCAUCAAGCUUCAAGCUCAAGCAUAAACAUUAAGAAAUCUUGAAAAACAACAAUGGUGAUUUUUUAAAACUUUAACAGUAUUACAAAAGUCCUUAAACUAGCUAGAUAUCAUUACAACGAUCCCAAAAACGUAAAAUUCAUGAAAAGAAAUGUCAAAUACUAUUACAUGGAAAGGAAAUCGCAAAAUCGAAGCUUGAAGGCUUAAAAUCUAUAGAGUUUCGGUGGAGAGACUUAGAAUGGAAGAGAUGAUAACAUGUUCUUUUUUUUCUUUUAAUUAUUUUAACUUUAUUUUAAUUAAAAUUCCUUACCUAACUUACCUAAUGCCAUCCACUAUCACCACUUAUGGUAUAUUUUCCAUUAAGAUCUUUCAUUUAACUAUUUAAAUUUUUUAACUAAUAAUAAUUAAUAUUGAUUAACUUAUACAACCUUUACAAUUUAGUCAUUUUUCUUUAAUUAACCUAUCAAACAUCAAAAUUUCUUAACCAAAUUUUACUACUAUACUAAUGACCUCGUAAAUAUUAAAUAAUAAAUAUUUAUGGACUACCACGUUAGAAUUGUGGUCUUGAAACCACUAUUUCCGACACCAGUGGAAAACAAGUUGUUACAAAAAGCCCUUGUAGCCAACCUUUGUAAAGGAAAGCCUUUGUGGCGAACCUUUAAAAAUAAAAUCUUUUGUGGAAAAGCUCUACAAAUGAGAACCUUUAUGGAAAACCUCUAAAAGGAAAGCCUUUGUGGCAAACUCCCAAAGAGAGCCUUUGUGGCAAACCUCUAAAAAGGAGAGCUUUAGUGGUGAACCUCUGAAAGGAAAUCCUUUAUGGUGAACCUCUGAAAUGAAAAGCCUUUGUGGCAAACCUCUGCAAAGGAGAGCCUUUUUGUAGAACCUCUAAACGGAAAGCCUUUGUGGCAAACCUCUGUAAAGAAAGCCUUUGUGGCAACCUCUGACAAAGGAAGCCUUGUGGCAAUCUCUGGAAUGAAAAGCCUCUAUGGCAAUUCAUGAAAGGAAAGCCUUAAUGGCACAAUCUGAAUGAAAAUCCUUUAGGGUGAUUCAUGAAAGCAAAUGCCUUCGUGGGAUAAUGUGAAAGGAAAGCUUUUGAGCAGAACUCGGAAGAAACUGUAUGUAUGACGAAGUCCUAAGGGUCGAAUUUUGUAGUAAGCCAUUAAAUAAAUUGAUAUGGCACAACUAGUAAGACUCAUAAGAGUAAUUAGUAUAAUUUACAUGAUUUAGAAUCACUGCACUUCAGUAAAGUAGAAUACUAGAUUGUGUUCGGAUAAGGAUAACAUAUUGAAAGUAGAUAGAGAAGUUAUAAGCUAGCUAAUAGAAGCAUAUUUUCAAUAAAGGAUUUUAAACCGUGUAAUUUGAAAGAGUUGUAACACCCCUAACCUGUAUCCGUCGCCGGACUAGGGUUAUGAGACAUUACCGAUCAUACAAAUUACUUAUACGAAUAUUUAUUAAUAUAAAUGUCUAUACCGACUUUAUUAAUAAAUCGGGAACAUUUCAUACGAUAGUAUAAACUUUACACACAAUUAUCCCUAUCAAAGUUCGAAACAUUUUGAACACCUAAAAUAAAUGAGACAAGAUAAAUUGUACUUAAACCACUAAAUUAGCUAAAUUAUGUUCAAUCAUUUUAUGCAUCCAUAUUAAAUCAUUGGUGCGGCUUUUAUUCCUAAAUUUUUAUCAACUUUUCAUGUAUUAUAUAAUUACACAAACUAAAGUCAAACAUUUAGGAAUAUACAAAGAAAAUCUGUUCCAUUCUAUAGCUAUUCGGCUAUCACAAGCUAAAUUGCAUAAUUUCGUAGCUUUACAAAAAAAAUUCAACGAAUCAAUAUAAUCAUUCAUGUUUGCAACCCAAUCAUAAUACAAGCAUUUAUAAAUAUAUAUAACAAGACAUACAAGGAUCCAUCCGUAUGUCAUGAUCAAAUACCCAGUCAUAUAUAUCCCAUUUAUAAUAUCCAACUAACUUAAUUUUUUAACUACUUAAUACUAAGGUUGAUUUAACCCAUACGGCCACCUCAUAAAUACACAUAAUAUGCAUGCAAAUAUAUUAAUUUAUCUAAAUGACAUUCUCGUAUAUAUGUAUAGAUAUAUAAUCCCAUACAAAAUAUCAAAACCAAACCAAUAAAAUUAUGUACACAUAAAAUAUAUGUCUUACCCGCAGUAAAGACCUUACUUAACAUAAAGUAUAUAACUUUUAAACACAUCAGUUGUCCACAAAAUAUCUGUACACUAUUUAUCAUCAAUCAAACUUAGUGAACAAUCAAUCCCAUUUGCAUAAACCGAAUAGUAACAUAACAAUAUCCAUAUUUCAGCACACGCAACACCUAACACAAGUGCAUGCAAACAUGUCAUAUAAUUAUAAGGAAGAGUGGGCAAAGAUCGAGCUUAACACAGAUAAUUUUUAAGGAUAAUUGCUUAGCCAUUUUUGCAUGGAUUUAUAUACAACCCCCAAAUUAACAUUUCCAAAACAUACUUUAGCUUAUACAUGCCAUAAUUUCUAAUUCAACUUAUAAAAGUACCCAAAGUAGUGGAUAGUGUGAUGAGCUUCAUAUACGAUCCCCGAGCUUGUAACUUGAUUUUCCAAAAUCUAUAAAACAGAAACAAACAUUCACACGAUAAUUUCAGUUUAGUAAGUUAUAAGCGAAUAAAUAACUCAAUGAUAUUAACAGAAUUAGCAAAACUAAUCAGAAUAUUUUAUCAUUUUACAUUUAAAUCCAAUCAUUUAUAGGUACAUUCAUAUGUAUUAUUUUUAAGCAUAUAUAAUUAUUUCCUAUUAUAAUUCCAUUUAACCAAAUGUAUAAAUAGUCAAAACCAACAUAGUAUCAUUUAUCCACCAAAGCCGAAUAUUCCUUUUACACUUAGUUCCCCUACACAAAAUGCAAAACUCUCAUAUUUAAUAAAAUUUUACUAUAUAAGUUAACCAUAUAACUGCAUAUAUACAUUAUCACUCAUACAUAUAUACACAAGAGCUAUUCAUAGUAUAUUUACUACCCAUUCACAAGUCAACUAUACACAUUUAUAUAAGCUCAAAGAUCCGGUUAUAUGAUCAUGUACAUAAUUUACUUUCAUAGCCGAAUAUUCAUAGGCACAUAUAAAUGCAAUUAAAGAAUCAUUUCCAUAAUAGAUACACCAUUCGUUCAAGGAAGAAAACACAUAUUUGAACCAAGGAAGUUUAUCCUUUAUAUCAUAUAUAACACAUUUUAUCAAUAAGUCACAUACUUACCUUAUCAUCGAUAACCAAUAAACUAAAACAUACCUAUCCCCUUUUGCUCAUCUAACACAUCCAAUUAUGUUUUCCUUCUCCCGAUGAACCACUCAGAAUUAGGUAGGACACUCAAAUAAUUCACACAUAUAUCAUACAAUGCCAACGUCCCCGAUGUAGUCUUACAUGCAGCCACAUAUUGAUAGCACUGUCCUAGACAGGGUCUUACUAGUAAACACAUAUCGAAAUCACAAAUUGAUGUCAUGGACUUACUCGCACUCAUAUAUCGGAAUCCUAUGUCAUGACAUAUGUAUCCUAGCUAUUCCUAAGGUUCAUACGGGGCUUUAGGACGUCGUAACUUGGUCGAAUCGAACUCGGAAGUGUAAUAGCCACAUUCAAUCACAUUCGGCCAUAAUAUAUUUAGUUUCUAACAUUUCAAAACAGCAAGUAAAUGUAACAUUAAGUUACCAAAAAACAUGUCUAUUUGCUUAUAAACUUACCUCGGACGUCGUAAAAUGGGACGGGGCUGCUAGUCGAUAACUUUCAUUUUUCCCUGAUCCAAAUAUGAUUUCUUUGGUUCUUGAUCAAAAAAGAUUCAAAUUAAGCUCAUUCAAACAUAUUUUCAUUCAAUUUAGUCCAAAACACAUAAAUGGGUAAAUUACCAUUUUACCCCUAAUAUUUAUAAUUUUUACAAUUUAGUCCCUAUUACACAAAACACAAAAUACAUCAAAUUUCUCCACACCCAAGCUAGGCCGAAUAUUACCCAUGUCCAUACAAGCCCUUAUAAUUUAUUAAUUUCAAAUUUUAGUCCCCCAAAUUAUUAUUUUUGCAAUUAAGUCCUAAUUACUCAAAAUCAUCAAAAACUCCAAUACAAAAUAUGUUAAUCUAAAAUACAUGUUUCAUUUUUCAUCAUCAAACAACAAAUAUCACAAGUUAUCAACAAUGGCACAACUCAAAAUAUCCAUCAAAAUAAAAAAUUCAAGCAUGGGUUUUGUAGUACUUGAAGCAACGAUCUCAAAAACGUAGAAAUUAUCAAAAACCGACAAAGAAGGAACCUUGAUUUUUGCUUGGAAGAUGGCCGAACCUACUCUUGUGCUAUUUCUUUUUCUUUUUGUUUAUAUUCAGUGCAAGAGAGAAUGAAAAACAUAGUUUAUUUUAUGAUAUUAUAUCAUAUAUAUGCUUUAAUAAUUAACUUACUUUUAUAACCUUAAUAAUUUAAUAUUAAAAACCACAUAUUAUAAGUCUUUAACCAUCCCACUAAUUUCUUUAUAGGUUAUUUACAACAUAAAUCCCUCAUCCUUAAAAGCCACUAACAAUUCGGCCCUUUAUAAAUUAAACUACCAAAUUUUCAAUUUACGCGAUUUAGGUCUUUUUUUUAAUCGAAUACCUAAACGACGAAAUUAAUUCACGAAAAUUUCACCAAUAUAAAUUCACACAAAAUAAAAACAGAAAAUAAUUUUAAAAUAUUUUUCGAGUCAAAUUCGUGGUCCCGAAACCACCGUUUUGAUUAGGGUCUAAAUCGAGCUGUUACAACUCUCCUCCCUUUUGGAUUUUCAUCCUCGAAAAUCUUACUAGUGAAUAGGUUCGAAUAGCAUUCUCUCAUUGCAUCUUCUGAUUCCCAUGUUGCUUCCUCAACACUGUGCUUAUGCCACAAUACUUUAACUAACAGAAUUUUCUUAUUCCACAACUCUUUAACCUCAUGAGUCAAAAUACGAAUUGGUUUCCCUUCGUAGGUCAUAUCAGGCUGAAUUUCAAUCUCAGACGGGCUAAUCACAUGUGAAGGAUCAGAUCGAUACCUCCGAAGCAUUGAAACGUGAAAUACAUUGUGGAUCUUUUCUAACUCAGGUGGCAAUGAUAGUCUAUAAGCAACCGGCCCGAUACGUUCUAUAACCUCAUACGGCCGAGUAAAUCUCGGACUGAAUUUGCCUUUAUGACCGAAUUUGAGUAUUUUCUUCCACAGUGAGACUUUCAAGAAGACUUUGUCUCUGAUCUGAAACUCUAUAUCUUUACGUUUCAAAUCCACAUAAGAUUUCUGACGAUCUGACGCUGCUUUCAGACUUUCAUAGAUCACUUUCACUUUCUGCUCAGUCUCUCUGAUCAAGUCAACCCCGUGUAUCUUAUUUUCACCGAGCUCAGUCCAGUACAAUGGUGUACAACAUUUACAAUCGUACAAAGGCUCAUAAGGUUCCAUUUUGAUACUCGAGUGGUAGCUUUUAUUAUAUGCAAAUUCAAUCAGAGGUAAGUAUCGUUCCCACGUACCUUCAAACUCAAGAAUGCAACAUCUCAACAUAUCCUCAAGUAUUUGAAUGAUUCGCUCAAACUGGCCAUCUGUUUGUGGAUGGAAAGUAGUACUGAAAUGUAAUUUCGUACCUAGUGCAUCUUGCUAUUUCUUCCAAAAUCACGAUGUAAACCUCGGGUCUCUAUCCGAAACAAUAGAUAUAAGCACACCAUGUAGUCUUACAAUCUAAGAAACAUACAAUUCAGCCAGCGUAUCAAGUGAAUAGUCUGUACAUAUCGGAACAAAAUGAGCUGACUUAGUCAGUCUAUCAACAACAACCCAGAUUGCAUCUUUCUUGCUCGGUGUCAAUGGUAAACUAGAUACAAAAUCUAUCGUGACUCUGUCCCACUUCCAUUCUGGUAUCAUAAUCGGCUGAAGUAACCCUGAAGGUACCUGAUUCUUGGCUUUCACUUAUUGACAGACUAAACAUUUUGAAAUAAAGUUAGAGAUGCCUCGUUUCAUACCAUGCCAACAGUAAAGCUGUUUCAAAUUAUUAUACAUCUUUGUACUACCUGGAUGAACAGAUAACCGACUACUAUGAGCUUCAUUCAAAAUUAUCCGAAUCAACUCUGAAUUCCUUGGAACGCAUAUUCGGUCUCUGAAUCUCAGACAAUCAUCAACAUCAAUUCUGAAUUCUGAAUCAGUAUCUGUCUCGCACUGAACUCGUUUUGUAAUCAAUACCUUCUGGGCAUCACAUAUUUGUUGAACGAAUAAUGGUCUUGCUUUCAAUUCAGUUACUAUCGAACCAUCCUCAGACAUAGUCAUAUGCGCAUUCAUUGUACGCAAAGUAAAUAGUGAUUUUUGGCUUAAAGCAUCAGCAACAACGUUAGCCUUUCCUGGGUGAUAGUCAAUCACAAGCUCGUAGUCUUUUAACAGUUCUAACCAUAGGCGUUGUCUCAAAUUUAGAUCUUUCUGAGUCAUCAAGUAUUUCAGGCUUUUAUGAUCAGAAUAAACAUGACAUUUCUCACCAAACAGGUAAUGACGCCAAAUUUUUAAUGCGAACACAAUAGCUGCCAAUUCCAGGUUAUGUGUCGGAUAGUUUCUUUCAUGUGGCUUUAACUGUCUCGAGGCAUAAGCUAUCACUCUGCCUUCCUGCAUCAAAACAUAGCCCAAACCGUUUGAUGAUGCAUCACUAUAAAUAAAAAAUUCUUUACCUGAUUCUGGUUGAACUAGUACUGGAGCUUCGGUCAAAAGGGCUUUUAACCUAUCAAAGCUUUUCUGGCACUUCUUUGACCACUCAAACUUAACAUCUUUCUGCAAUAGCUUUGUCAUCAGGGCUACAAUCAUAGAGAAACCUUUCACGAACCGUCUAUAAUAACCAGCAAGUCCCAGAAAGCUUCGAACUUCAGAAACAUUCUUCGGAGGUUUCCAAUCCAGUAUAGUUGAAAUUUUACUCGGAUCCACCCGAAUACCUGAUGUUGAUACUGCAUGGCCCAGAAAACUAACUUCACUUAACCAGAACUCACAUUUACUAAAUUUCGUAUACAACUGCUUAUCUCGUAAUGUUUGCAAUACAAGUCUCAAAUGUUCGGCAUGUUUAGCUUCACUACGAGAGUAGAUCAGAAUGUCUUCUAUAAACACAACCACGAACCAGUCCAGAUAUGGUCUGAAUAUUUGAUCAUCAAAUCCACGAAAAAAAAGUUGCAUUAGUGACUCCGAAAGGCAUAACUAAAAACUCAUAAUGUUCGUACCUCGUUCUGAAAGCACUCUUUGGCACAUCUGAAUCUUUAACUCGCAACUGAUAGUAACCUGAUCUCAAAUCUAUCUUCGAAAAUACUGUGGCCCCUUUCAGUUGAUCAAAUAGAUCAUUAAUCCGUGGCAACGGAUACUUAUUCUUUAUAGUAACCUUAUUAAGCUUUCUAUAAACAAUGUACAUUCUCAUAGUUCCAUCUUUCCUUUUCACAAACAACACAGGUGCACCCCACAGAGAGAAACUCGGUCGCGCGAAACCUCUAUAUAUCAAUUCUUGCAACUAAACUUUCAAUUCUUUUAAUUCUGUAGGUGCCAUUCUAUAUAGAGCUAUGGAUAUUGGAGUCGUCCAGGCACUAACUCAAUACCAAACUCUACUUCCCGAAUAGGUGGCGCACCUAGUAAUUCUUCUGGAAACACAUCUGGAUACUCACACACAAUAGGUACUGAUUCAAUGUUUCUUUCAGUCAUUUUACUGUCGAGCACGUAGGCAAAGUAAGCUUCACACCCUUUUCUCACAUAUUUAUGAGCUAGCAUCGAAGAAAUCACUGUUGGUAAACCAUACAAAUCACUAGAUUCGAUCCGAAUAACUUCAUCAUUCUGGCUCCGUAGAUCAAUGGUCUUUCUUUUACAGUUCAUAAUAGCAUCAUGUAAAGCCAGCCAAUCCAUACCCAGAAUUAUAUCGAACUCAUCGAAUGACAGCAACAUUAAAUCAAUUGGAAAGCAUAGAUCUCGAACCAUCAAGGGACAAUUCUUAUACACUUUAUCAACCAUAACAUAUCGGCCCAAGGGGUUUGACACUCUGAUCACAAACUCAAAAGACUCAACAGGUAGAGUCUUGUUGAAUACUAAUGUCUCACACAUAUAAGAAUGAGUAGAACUAGGAUAAAUCAAUGCAAUUACAUUAGUAUCAUAAAGAGUGAAUAUACCAAUAAUAACAUUUGGGGAUGAAGCCUCCUCUCGCGCGCGAAUAGCAUAGGCUCUGGCAGGUGCAUGAGCCACAGAUCUGGCUGCUGUAUCUUUAGUCCCUCUCUGACUGCCACUCGUAUUAUCAGCAUUCCUGGGUGGUCUACCUCGAGCUGCAGUAUUACCCGAUCUCGUAUUUUGCACUGGAUUUUCUUCAGCUAACAUUGGGCAAUCUCGAAUAUAAUGAUCUGUCGAUCCGCAUUUAAAACAGGCCCGAUCAUGCAAUUUGCAACUGCAAGGAUGUCGUUUACCAUAGUGUUUACACUCGGGUUGAUUUGAUCUGAAAUUACCCACACUCACUACCAAAGUAGCUCUCGAGCUCACUGGUGGUCUAUUCUGAUCCUGUCUGGAAUAACCUGAAGUGGCUUUAGAACAACUGAAAUCAUCUCAAAACUUCUUUGAUGUCGACUGGAAUGACUUACUGGGUGUCCUUUUGCGUGCAUCUCUAGCUUCAAAGUCAGCUUUUCUUUUCUCUUUCCCGAGCUCUUCAGCUUUGCAGGCUCGCUCAACCAGUACCACGAACUCUUUUAUCUCAAGUAUGCCAACUAACAGUUUAAUGUCUUCAUUCAGCCCAUCUUCGAAUCUUUUACACAUUAUGGCUUCAGUGGAAACACACUCUCUGGCAUACCGACCGAGUCUCACGAAUUUUCAUUCGUACUCCGUCACGGUCAUCCAAACUUGUUUCAGCUCCAGAAAUUCUUUACGCUUCUAAUCAAUAAAUCUCUGGCUGAUAUAUUUCUUAUGGAACUCAGUCUGAAAGAAUUCCCAGGUCACCUGCUCUAUCGAAACCAUUGAUACUAGGGUAUUCCACCAGUGGUAUGCCAUGUCUCGAAGUAAAGAUAUGGCACAUUUUAAGCACUCAUCUGGUGUACAGGACAACUAAUCAAACACACGGAUGGUAUUAUCAAGCCAGAACUCAGCCCGCUCAGCGUCAUCCUCAUCGGUAGCUUUAAAUUCUUCAUCCCUAUGUUUCCUGAUUUUAUCAAUAGCUGGCCUAUAUAAUCUCAACGAAUCACUUACUUGAGGUACAACAGGCAUCGAAGAUGGAUUAGUUGGGGGUGGAGGUUGUUGUGCAGCCGGGCUAGUCCGGAUAUAUUGAGUAAACCAAUCAUUCAUAAUCUGAUAGAAGUCUUGUUUAGCCUCACUUUCUUGAUUACUCAAAGUCGGUAGAGAAUCAGCAGGCGCUGUCCCUUGCACGGGAGUAGGCGCUACACUCUCGACAUCAUCAGCUACAGCUCUAUCGGGAUCCAUUUACUAUAUGAAAACACAUUUCAAAUGUCAGAAGUCAUCACACUAUCACAGUAUAUAAUUAUGGCAUGUAUAGUUAAACUCACACACGCUACGUUAAUCCUAGAACUGACUAUAUCGUAGCUCUGAUACUAAUAAAAUGUAACACACCUAACCCGUAUUCGUUGCUGGACUAGGGUUACGAGACAUUACCAAUCAUACAAAUUACUUAUACAAAUAUUUAUUAAUAUAAAUGUCUAUACCGACUUCAUUAAUAAAUCGGGACCAUUUCAUACAAUAGUGUAAACUUUACACACAAUUAUCCCUAUCAAAGUUCGAGACAUUUUGAACGCCUAAAAUAAAUGAGACAAGAUAAAUUGUACUUAAACCACUAAAUUACCUAAAUUAUGUUCGAUCAUUUUAUGCAUCCAUAUUAAAUCAUUAGUGCGGCUUUUAUUCCUAGAUUUUUAUCAACUUUGCAUGUAUUAUAUAAUUACACAAACUAAAGUCAAACGUUUAGGAAUAUACAAAGAAAAUCCAUUCCAUUCUAUAGCUAUUCGGCUAUCACAAGCUAAAUUGCAUAAUUUCGUAGCUUUACAAAAAAAUUCAAUGAAUCAAUAUAAUCAUGCAUGUUUGCAACCCAAUCAUAAUACAAACAUCUAUAAAUAUAUAUAACAAGACAUACAAGGAUCCAUCCGUAUGUCAUGAUCAAAUACUCAGUCACAUAUAUCCAUUUCUAAUAUCCAACUAACUUAAAUUUUUAACUACCUAAUACUAAGGUUGAUUUAACCCAUACGACGACCUCAUAAAUACACAAAAUAUGCAUGCAAAUAUAUUAAUUUAUCUAAAUGACAUUCUCAUAUAUAUAUAUAAUCCCAUACAAAAUAUCAAAACCAAACCAAUAAAAUAAGGUACACAUAAAAUAUAUGUGUCUUACCCGCAGUAGAGACCUUACUUAACAUAAAGUAUAUAAUUUUAAACACAUCAGUUGUCCACAAAAUAUCUAUACACUAUUUAUCAUCAAUCAAACUUAGUGAACAUUCAAUACCAUUUGCAUAAACCGAAUAGGAACAUGGCAAUAUUCAUAUUUCAGCACAUGCAAUACCUAACACAAGUGCAUGCAAACAUGACACAUAAUUUUUUAAGGCAGAGUGGGCAAAGAUCGAGCUUAACACAGAUAAUUUUUAAGGAUAAUUGCUUAGCCAUUUUUGCAUGGCUUUAUAUACAACCCCCAAAUUAACAUUUCCAAAACAUACUUUAGCUUAUACAUGCCAUAAUUUCUAAUUCAACUUAUAAAAGUACCCAAAGUAGUGGAUAGUGUGAUGAGCUUCAUAGACGAUCCCUGAGCUUGUAACUUGAUUUUCCAAAAUCUAUAAAAUAGAAACAAACAUUCACACAAUAAGAUAUUUCAACUUAGUAAGUUAUAAGUGAAUAAAUAACUCAAUGAUAAUAACGAAUUAGUAAAACUAAUCCGAAUAUUUUAUCAUUGUACAUUUAAAUAUAAUCAUUUAUAGGUACGUUCAUAUGCAGUAUUUUUAAGCAUAUAUAAUUAUUUCCUUUUAUAAUUCCAUUUAACCGAAUGUAUGAAUAGUUAAAACCAACAUAGUAUCAUUUAACCACCAAAGUCGAAUAUACCUAUUACACUUAGUUCCCCUACACAAAAUGCAAAACUCUUAUCUUUAAUAAAAUUUUACUAUAUAAGUUAACCAUAUAAUUGCAUAUAUACAUUAUCACUCAUGCAUAUAUACACAAGAGCUAUUCAUAGUAUGUUUACUACUCAUUCACAAGUCAACUAUACACAUUUAUAUAAGCUCAAAGGUCCGGUUAUAUGGUCAUGUACAUAAUUUACUUUGAUAGUCGAAUAUUCAUAGGCACAUAUAAAUGUAAUUAAAGAAUCAUUUCCAUAAUAGAUACACCAUUCGUUCAAGGCCAAAAACACAUAUUUGAACCAACGAAGUUUAUCCUUUAUAUCAUACAUAACACAUUUUAUCAAUAAGUCACAUACUUACCUUAUCAUUGAUAACCAAUAAACUAAAACAUACCUGUCCCCUUUUGCUCAUCCAACACAUCUGAUUAUGUUUACCUUUGCCCGAUGAACCACUUGGAAUUAGGUAGGACACUCGGAUAAUUCACAUAUAUAUCGUACAAUGCCAACAUCCUCGACGUGGUCUUACAUGUAGCCACAUAUCAAUUGCACUGUCCCAGACAGGGUCUUACUCAUAAACAGAUAUCGAAAUCACAAAUUGAUGCCAUGGACUUACUCGCACUCUUAUAUCAGAAUCCUAUGUCAUGACAUAUGUAUCCUAGCUAUUCUUAAGGUUCAUACGGGGCUUUCGGACGUCGUAACUCGGUCGAAUCAAACUCGGAAGUGUAAUAGCCACAUUCAAUCACAUUCGACCAUAAUAUAUUUAGUUUCUAACAUUUCAAAACAGCAAGUAAAUGUAACAUUAAGUUACCAAUAAACAUGUCUAUUUGCUUAUAAACUUACCUCGGACGUCGUAAAAUGGGACGGGGCUACUAGUCGAUAACUUUCAUUUUUCCCUGAUCCAAAUCUGAUUUCUUUGGUUCUUGAUCAAAAAAGAUUCAAAUUAAGCUCAUUCAAACAUAUUUUCAUUCAAUUUAGUCCAAAACACAUAAAUGGGUAAAUUACCAUUUUACCCCUAAUAUUUACAAUUUUACAAUUUAGUCCCUAUUACACAAAACACAAAAUACAUCAAAUUUCUCCACACCCAAGCUAGGCCGAAUAUUAUCCAUGUCCAUACAAGCCCUUAUAAUUUAUUAAUUUCACAUUUUAGUCCCCCAAAUUAUUAUUUUUACAAUUAAGUCCUAAUUACUCAAAAUCAUCAAAAACUCCAAUACAAAAUAUGUUAAUCUAAAAUAUAUCUUUCAUUUUUCAUCAUCAAACAAAAAAUAUCACAAGUUAUCAACAAUGGCACAACUUAAAAUAUCCAUCAAAAUAAAAAAUUCAGGCAUGGGUUUUGUAGUACUCAAAGUAACGAUUUCAAAAACGUAGAAAUUAUCAAAAACUGACAAAGAACGAACCUUGAUUUUUGCUUGGAAGAUGGUCGAACCUAGUCUUGUCCUAUUUCCUUUUCUUUUUGUUUAUAUUCAGUGCAAGAGAGAAUGAAAAACAUAGUUUAUUUUAUGAUAUUAUAUCAUAUAUAUGCUUUAAUAAUUAACUUACUUUUAUAACCUUAAUAAUUUAAUAUUAAAAACCACAUAUUAUAAGUAUUUAACUGUCUCACUAAUAUCUUUAUAGGUUAUUUACAACAUAAAUCCCUCAACCUUAAAAGCCACUAACAAUUCGACCCUUUGUAAAUUAAACUACCAAAAUUUCAAUUUAUGCGAUUUAAGUCCUUUUUUUUAAUCGGACACCUAAACGACGAAAUUAAUUCACAAAAAUUUCACCAAUAUAAAUACACACAAAAUAAACACAUAAAAUAAUUUUAAAAUAUUUUUUGGCUUAGAUUCAUGGUCCCGAAACCACCAUUCUGAUUAGGGUCUAAAUCGGGCUAUUACAAGAGUAUUGACUAACUAUGGGUAAUCGUUAAAGGGUUUCAAUGAGACAACAACCAAGGGUUGAUGAAUGCUGAAAUGGCAAUGUUUUGGGUGAAUAGAUCUUUUACAAGGAAUAAAUAAACAAAUUAGUUGAGUAUUCUCUAGAGUAUGUGGCGAACACAAAAGAAUGAGUCAUUUAAGCUUGAAUGACUAAAUUGAGUAAGGGAUAUGUCUGACAAGAUAUGAAUGAAAGAUCUAUGAGUGUCUAUAAACUCCAUGAAUAGUUAAAGAAACGAUGUUUUAGAAUAGGAACGUAAAAACAAUAGUACUCUGCCUAAAUGGAUUUUUGAAAUGAGUCUAGUUAAGGAAAACAUGAGAAGGUGAAGUGAUGAACGUGAGUAUUGCAUAAGGAAAUGAACAAAUCUAAGGUAUGAUGUUAGGGUAAGGCACAACAUUACGGUAUAAAGAAGAAAAAACCUAGAACAAUAUAUGCCAAAGUUAAGUUGAAGAAUAAGUAUAAGGAGGUGGAUAAAGGAAGUGUAAAAUACAAUUCAGGUAAUUGAUGUUUGCCUCACUAAGAUCACAUGAACUUAUUUCUAUGCCUUAUGUUUUAGGUGAGCUAAAUUGGGUCUACGCCUGGAGGGACGAUGCCAAGAAUAUGCCAAAAAAGUGGCAAGAUGGGGCUAUUACGUUGGAAAAUCGGGUUUGUAACACCCCUUGACCCGUAUCCAUCAUUGGAAUAGGGUUAUGAGGCAUUAUUGAACAAUACAAAUCAUUCAUAUACAUAAUACAUACAUUUAUGCAUUCCUUAAUCAAAUACAUUCAACAUAUUCACAUUGUCCCUUAUAAGGCCUUACAUGUGACAGCCCUAAUUUGGCCCCAGUAGGAAAGUGGUUUCGGGAUCACAAAACUGAGUCACAAAAAUAAUUAGAUGUUAUAUUUUGUGUUUGUUUCAUGUGAAAGUGCAUGUGUGAAAAUUUCAUGCUUUGAUUUUGUCAAUUGUGAGUGAAAUUAUGAAACAGGACUUAUGUGAAAAUUUCUGAAAAUGCUAUAGGCUAAUUUGUAGUGGCCAAAUAAUUUGUAGAGCAAAAUAGGAGGAUUUGCAUGUCAAACCUCCCAUUUUAUGUGUAGUGGCCACCCAUCAUGUUGGUGGUAGACAACAUGUGCACUUGAUAAUAAUAAAUUAAGACAUGAAGUUAUGGUACUAAUUGAUAUGUGUCAUUUUAUGUCAUAAAUAAAGAGUAAUAAAAUAACAAAAGGAAGGGAAGGACAAAGUUUUGUCCAUCUUUGUUCAUCAUAGCCGAAAAUAGGAGAGCAAGAGAGGAGAAAGCUCUUGACAAAUUCGGUCACUAGGGGGAAGAAGGUGCAAGGUAAGUUCAUGGUAGUUUGCUUUUAUCUUGAUGUUCAUGAGUUCUUCUUGAUUCUACCUUAACUCAUGAAGCAUAUUUUGAUUUUUUGGUUGUGUUGUGAGCAUUCGGUCAUGAAUUGAAAUGAGAGAAAUGGUUGUUGUUUCAUGUUCUUUUGAUGAAAAUUGGAAGAUAGGUGAAGUUGAGCCAAGUAAAUGAGCAUGCAUGUGCCUUAGAUGCUAAGGGGGAAAAUCGGCUAAUAUGUUGUGUGUAUUAUGGCAGAAUGUGAACUUGGAUAAUAUUGAGUAAUGUUUGUGCUUUAAAAUGAUGAAAUAGAGAUUAUGCUUAAGUGAAAUCAUAGGUAUGUGAUGAUUGAUUUGUGAUAUGCAUGUUUAAAUAACAUGCAUGCAAGGUGUGUGUGAAAGAGUGAUUUGGUAAUAAAUCUGCUUGGGACAGUAGCAGUAAUGUGAUUUUGGAAAAUCACCAUAAAUUGUGGGAGAUGAGUUAGAAGAAUAAUAAAUUAUUUAAUUAAAGCUUAAUGAGUCUAGCUUCUUAUAAAAGAAACCGUGUAAGCAAAAGAAUUUCCGAUAAUGAGAUAUUUGAAGUGAUGUGGGACAGGGUCAAAAUGACUUCUAGAUCCUCUGUUCUGUUUUUAUAAAAUAAUUAUAAAUUGUAAAAAAAAUGGUUACACGAUUAAGUUUAUAUGCUUAGACUCCUUAAUGAGUCUAGUUUCAAAUGAAAUAAACGAGAACAUAUUUUGAAUUCUGUACAAUGAGAAAUUCGAUUCGUAGUGAAGAGUGGUCAGAUUAGUCAAACAGUGAAACAAGGGAAACUUUAAGAAAAAUCUGGUAUUGAUUGGCCAAACAAAAAAUUCUGAAAAUUUUAUGGAUGGAAUGUGUAUGAGUCUAUUUUCAGGGAAAAUUAAUGGCAAUUAAUUUGGGGUUUCGUAACUCCAAUUAUAAAUGAUUUAGUGACUAUUUCUCAGGAAGACAGCUUACAGUGAAAUUUUGAUUAUGUGGUAAACAUUGACAAAAAUUUGUUAAUGAGUUGCUUAUUGAUUUCUUAUAAGCUUACUAUGAUCUGUAGGUGUGGAAGUCAAAUAUAUAUAUAAUAUUUUGAAAGUGAUGCUUGAAUAGUUGAAUAAUGACUAAGUUUAAAAUUGUUGAAUUUAAGCUCAAGAGCAUAGAAGGCCAAAUUCGGAUAAGGGAAAAGAGAAAGUAAUCGAAUAGUCGUUGUAAUCGUUCGGAAACAUUCGAGGUAAGUUUUUAAGUGUUUAAGCUUGAUUCCUUUUUAUAUGCCUAAGAGUUAAAUUAAUAUGGCAAAGAGAAUGUAAAUUUUAUUUAGUUAAUGUGCCGAAUAUGUAAUGAUUUAAGGCUAUAAGCCGAUUAUGGCUAUUAUGCUUAAGUUGAAUUGGAUUUGGAAAUUUGAUGCACUAAAUGAGUGUGACAAUGAAUAAACUAUGCCGUAUAUGUGUUGGUAGAGAUAUUACGAUAUGUGGAUUCGUUCCGUAAAGUAAAUUAUUCAUGUACGAACAACCUAAUUAAGUACAUGUGAAUUAAAUGAAUUUGAUGAUUGAUGUGAAUCGAACAUAUAAGAAAUGGUUUCAUGUUUAUGUUCAACUAUGAGACCUUGUGUUAAAUCGACAAUCGAUUUUGUUCAAUACAUUAAGUUGGUCAGGUAUGCGAUAUGUACUUAUGCAUGUUAAAUCGAUUGGAAUUGAAUCAUGAAUGUGAAUUGAGAAGCAUAGGUGAAAAUGCCUAUGUCAUAUAGGUGAGUAAGGGUAAAACCAUCGUAAAUUAUCGAUAAGGAUGGGCUAUGUGCGGAACCAUCUUAUAAUUGCUAAUUUGAAUGGUUGCGUGCGAAUCAGUGAGCAAGAUGUAUUGUAUUGAGAUGAUGCUUCAGUGAAAAUAUACAUAUGUUCUUUGUAUUGAAUGAACAUUAAAUUUAAGUUAUGAGCCGUAUGUGACUAGCAUAUCUAGUCGAAUUUGAUACUAUUAACUGAUGUACUAAGAUAUGUAUUCCAAUGUGAAAUUAAACCCUAUGUGGUUGAAAGGAUGAAAAUCUUUGUUCAUAGAUAUGUGUUUCAGUUAUACAUGACUGAAGUAUAAGUUAUGAAAGUGGGAAAGAACAGGUGAAUUGUUUAUCGAAAUAUGAUAUCCGGGUUAAAUCCCGCAGGCUUCGUGCUGGUAUUAUAUCCGGGUUAAAUCCCGCAGGCUUCGUGCUGGUAAUAUAUCCAGGUUAAAUCCCGCAGGCUUCGUGCUGGUAUUAUAUCCGGGUUAAAUCCCACAGGCCUAGUGCUGGUAUUAUAUUCGGGCCUUUGAGCCUAGCAGACUAUUAUACCGGUGAGACAUUAUUCGGGCCUUUCGAGCCUAGCAGGCUAUAAUGCCGGUGAAAUGAUAUCGGGCCUCGAGCCUAGCAGGCGAAAUUUCGGUGAAUGAAUAAAAGUCUAAGGUUAAGGCACCUCGUAUUAGUUUGACAAAUGAAUACAUUCAAUACGUUAAGUGGGCUAGGUACGCAUUAUGUACUCAUAUGUGAGUUCGAUUUGAAUGGAAUCAUGAGCGUAUAAUGUGAUACAUAUGUGAAUAAAUGUUAUAACUAUAUCUAUGACCAUGAUACAUUCGGUCAAGGUGUGAAAGUAUUUGAUUUAUUUAUAUUAUAUGAAUUCAGAUUAAAUGUUAUAAGAAUGCUGAAUGUGCAUUAUGUGCUUGUGUAUAUUCGGCCAAAUGGUAAUAUACCUAGAAAAUGGCCUUUUGAGAAAUUGAAUAAUCGAAGUAUAAUUGCAUUUAAUUGUUUGCACUUCUUAAAACUUACUAAGCUUAUGAAAGCUUACUCCGUUUGUUAUGUUCUCUAUUUUGUAGAUUGUUGGCUCUAGUUACUUGCUCGGGUUGGAGUUCGCCGGAGAUAUUAUCACACUGUCGAGCUCAUGCUAUUGGUGUAAGUAAAUCCUAGUAUUUCGAGUCUAUGGUAUGUAUAGGGUUUUAAUGUUGAGUAUAUGAUAUUAUAAUUUAGCCAAAGGUGGUGGCUUGUAUUGAUAAAGUGUUUUGGCCAUGUAAAUAGGCCUAUGUUGGCUAUUGAUGUUUUGGGCCUCGUAAGCCCAUAUAUGGACAGAUUACAUGUGAAAAGAAAAGUUUUAAAUUGAUUGAAAUUUUUCGGCAUGGUUUUUGUGUGAUUGACUGAGUUUAAGUUGGGUAACACCUUGAACCCUGUUCCAGCAAAGGAUACGGGCGAGGGGUGUUACAUUACAAGACCUUAAAACAUGCUUAAAAAAGGUUGGAGACUAAAUCGAUAACAUUUGAAAACUUUAGGGAAACACCCUUGUGAACAGGCUGUGUGCCUCAUAUGGCCACCAGAGACGCCCGUGUCACAGACAGUGUGAAAAUAGGGCAUACAUAGUAACUUGCACCACACGACUGGAGAGAUGCCCAUGUGCUAUGGCAGUGGAAAAACUGAAGGGGUUACUGACUUGAGUCACACGGGCAGUCACACGCCCAUGUGCUAGCCCGUGUGCCACACACUGCCAGAAGACACGCCCUUGGGUCUAGGCCAUGCCAAACCUGUAGGGUAUACUGACUUAAUUCGAAGGGUUAUCCCAGGGGACACACGGCCGUGCACCAAAGCCAUGUGUCACACACGGUCAAGCCACAUGCCUGUGUGCUCGACCGUGCAGAGUGAAAAUAGGCUUGGUUGAAGCCACAUUUCUCACCCUUUCUCAAGCAUACUUAAACCACAACAUUUGUACCAAUUAAAUACAUUAAUAGGCAACCGAAACAUGCUAUUUCAUACAAAUUUCAUGCUAUUUAAAAACCAUCCUCUUAACUACUCAAAUCCAUAGCCAAAACAUACCAAAUCAAUAUGCCAAAAUCAUCAAAUUUACAUAACAUCUAAAUGCAUUUCCUCAUCAUCUUAUCAUCUAUUUCAUGCUUCAAAACAUACCAUUUCAUCAUCUCAAAAUCAAGCCACAACAUAUCAUCUUUCAAGCAUUAGCUCACCAAAUGACAACCAGCUACUUGAACAAUCAUAUAACCAUACCAAACAUACUAAAACAUAACGCAACUUAUACAUCAUGUAUUACUUACCAAACACCUAAUUCAAACCAACUUAAAUGGCCAUACACACCAACAUUUACAUCAUUUCAUAAUCCAGCACACAUGGCUAAUAUCAUAUCUCAAAACUUAUCAUCAACUCACUAGCCUAUACAUGCCAGAUACAAUAUUUACAAAGCAUUCAAAAAUACCAACAAGUAGUCGAUAGUGUGAUGAUGUUUCUGAUGAUUCCUAACGUCCGAGCUAGCUUUGAUUAUCUAUAAAAUAGGGAAAUAACAAAUAAAGUAAGCUUUAAAAGCUUAGUAAGCCAUAUACAAAUAAAAUUACCACAUGAAUCAACAUUAUUUCCAUCAAUAGGAAAAAUAAAAUUAAACACAUAUAAGUUUACAAAACCUUUCUCAAUGGAUACUUAUUCAAAUUCACAUGUAAUUUCAUCAAAUACUUCCUUUUUCAAUACUCGUAUGAAUCUCAUAGUACCUGUGUCUCUUAAUUCAAUCUCAUAAUCUUUCUUGUCUUGACUUUACCUGUUGAACCAUUUGGAAUCAUUAAGGAUACUCAGAAAUCACAUAUAGCUCGCACAACACCAUAUCCUAGAUGUGAUCUUACAUGAUGUCACAUAUCGAUGCCACUGUCCUAGACAGGGUCUUACAAAAAAUCAUAUAACGAUGCCAAUGUCCCAGACAUGGUCUUACACGUAAUCAUAAUACAAUGUCAAUGUCCCAAACAUGGUUUUACAUGUAAUCACAUCUCGGUAAUCCAAAUGUCAUGACAUUUGUAUCAUAUACUAUUUCUAAGGUUCGUACGGGAAUUUCAAAUAUUGUAACUUCGUUGAUUCUUACUUGUAUUUGCUCGUUCAAAAUCCAUAGAAAUUCAAUGACAAAUAAACUUAUAUAAAUCAAUUUAAAAGCAUUCAUUUGUAUAUGAAGUUACCUCAUAGUCAAAAUAGAGGGACUGGAUUGAUUAUUCGAUAACAUUCGAUUUUCCCCGAUCUAAAUCUAAUUUCUUUCGUUCUUGAUUUAUAUAUAUUCAAAAUUAACUCAUUUAUUCAUCAAAUUACCCAAUUUAGUCUACAAACACAUAUUGGGCAUUUUUACACUUUAGCCCCUAAAGUUUCAUAUUUUUACAUUUUAGUCCUUAUAUCAUAAAAACACAAAUUACACAAAAGCUCAAUAUUCCAUGCUAACCCAAAUUACCCUUAAGCGCCUAGCAGCCCAUAUUUAUCAACAUUCCACACAUUUAACCACACAUUUUACAAAUUUCACAAUUUAAUCCUAUUUAAGCAUUUUCAUCAAAAAUCACUUUACAAAACAUGAAAACUUAUCAAUAAUUUUUCAUUUUCCAUCAUCAACAUUCAAAAACAUCAAGAUAUUAGUAAUGGCACUUCAUGAAAUCAUCAACAACUUCAAAAAUUAGGACAUGGGUUAGCUAGAACACGAAGCAACGAUCACAAAAACAUAAAAAUCAUCAAAAACUGAGCUCAAAACAUACCUUAAUCAAGAAUACAAAAAGCUAAACCCUAAAAUGCCUCCAAACUCUCUUUUCUUUCUUUUUAUUCGGUUAAGGAAGACAAAGAUGGACUAAAUUUGGCUUUAUUUUUAUUUAAUUAACCUUUAUUUUCACAAUUACCAAAAUAUCCUUAAUUAAAACAUUAAUCAAACUUAUAAUGGAUGACCAUUUAUGUCAUAAUCCACUAAUUAUGGUCUAAUCAUAUCAUAAGGACCUCACAUUUAAUAAAUCAUAGCAAUUAAACACAUUUAAUAUAUAGAAUGCCACUUUUGCAUUUUACGCGAUUGAGUCAUUUUCUCUAAUUAAGCAUUCAAAUGCUAAAAUUAUUUCACGAAACUUUCACACACAUAUAAUCACAUGCUAUAAACACCAAAAAUAAUAUUAAAAUAUUUUUUUACCUCAAAUUUGUGAUUCCAAAACCACUGUUCCGAUUUAGCUAAAAUCGGGCUGUUAUAAGGUUUGGAAAACGCAUCGGAAAAUAAAUUUAGGGAAAAAUGAGAGUUUUAAUUUUUUUUUCUAAAACAAGAACUUAGUUGUGAUAUCUAAAGUAAUAAACCCUUAAUCAAAAUGACACCUUUUUUAUUUUUUUAAAAUGAACGCUUCGACCGAGUGGUCUUUUUUGCAAUCCUCAAGGUCAUGUCUGUCGAGUGUGGGCUCGUAACGAAUCAUAAAUUUUUUCAAAAAAUUACUAGUGGGGUAGUUUCACAAUUUCUCUAAACUUUUGAGCCAAAUUGUAAAUAAGAAAAAUACCUUUAGAAAUUUUCUCUCAACUCUCUUGAAUUCAAGUGUGUAAAUAAUGACCCAAUGCUUUCUUUAUAUAUGGAUAGUUUAGAGAGUUCAACUAUGAUUAAACUUAAUCUUUAAUAUUAAAUUAAUAGAAUAUUUAUCUACAAGAUAAACAUUAAAGAAAAUUUAAUAUUAAGAUAUUCACCUUAAUAUUAAAUUAAUAAAAUAAUAUUAAGAUUAGUACUAAAUUAAAUUAAAUAUUAAACCUAUUAAAAUAAUAUUAUUUUUGAAAUAGUUAAUCUGAAAUCAAAUUCUCUGAUAGAGUCCUAGUAGGAGUGUAAUUCUUCUACUGCUCAACCACUGAAGACCCACCCUCGCUGAUCAUUUUUCGGCUACCGUCAUAGCCAUCGAUAGCCCGAGCAGGUUUUGUUGCUGUCGGUUCGGUCCUGGGUCAGUGACAACUCGACCGAUCAAGUCCAGCCACCUGUUGGACCAUCGACUCGAUUUCGCAUACGAAGCCCUAUUCAACAAAUUUUUGUGUCUUGGUCUCAGUUUUGGCCACCUAUGCCCAAUUUACAAUAACAGGUCCAAUUUUCAAGUUCAAUUACCCAAGCAAAUUGUCUGACUUGAAAAUUAAUUUCCAAAAAUAUCAUAUUAACUUUAAUUAAUUUGAUUAAUUUAAUUUUACUUGAUCAAAAUUAAUUUUCCAAAAAUCUCUAAGAUUUUCCAAAUUAAAUUUUCAAGAAAAUUCUCUAAUCAAAUUCUCUAGUUGAACAAUUCUUACGAUCACCCAAUUUAAUUCCACAUCGAAUAAAUCAACUCAAUUAAAUUAUUUUUGAAGUCGUAGAAUUUUCUUCUAAUUCAAAAGCAGUUUGAUCAAGCUUUUAUUGAGCUAGUAGAGGGAUCAAUCAAACAUAUACAAUUAAGGUCUAGUAAUUGCAAUUAUGCCCAGAAGCAUUGUUCUGAUAAUUCGUAAUUACUUAAUCAUGGAGUCAGUGCAUAAGAAGUACCAUGAUUAAAAACUACAUAUUGUAUACUUUUCAUGAAAGUAAUUCAUCCAACUACUCUGUCCAAUGACCUCGUCAUGUGUGUGUUACCCUUAUAAGAUAUCUUUGAUUCCUUUGAGUUAAAUCCGUUCACUCAAUACAAUCUUAUUUCUCAUUGUCAUCAUUAUGUCUUAAUGUUUAAUAUGUUCACUAUCAAUAAAUGACUGUGAUAAAUUGAUCGUUCGAGAGCAAGCAAUCUAUGGACACGAUCCAUAUUUAUUAAUUCACACAAUUCCAAUGAGAAUAUAUCAUUAACUCUUUAAUUUAGCUAUAAAUUCUAUUGUUUCUAGUAAAGCCUUGUACCCAACAUACCAGUUAUCGGCUAGAUCAUCUUUAGAGCAUAAGCCUCCACUUAUAUCAAAGCACAUGAGUUACAUACGCAUGGUUAGUGGCUAACUCAGGAUUUAGGUAAAUCACACCAUGAACAUCAUAAGUGAAUUAAUUCACAAAUGGGUUUAGAAUUAAUUCAUCUUGGGUUCAGUUUAAUGUAUCAUUCUACCAAUAAAUACAUCUAUGUCUCUACCUGUGGAGUCAACUGCUUUGAUGGCCAAGACUAGCCAUCUCCUCAAAUGGAAUCUUAGACGACAUAAAAAUCAUUCUCAGUAUUUGAAUCAAAUGCUCACUUUGAUUCUUUUACGGAAUUACGGACUCGAUUAGAUUAUCUAAUGAAGUAAGUUGUCUUUCUGGCAAUGUAAAUGUUCUUGCAAUGCCACUUAUAAUCAGUUUGAACUUAGACAAUCAAUGAGCUAAUAUUUGCUUGUUACAAUUUUGCUAGCAUGCAAAAUAUGAAAGACAGAAGUAGAAAAGACAUAAUAGUGAAAUGUGAAAUUUAUUUAUUCAUCAUUCAAAUACAUAGAAAACAAUUACAUGUUUACUACAAUACGGACACAUUUCCCAACAAAUGUUACAUAAAUUUCGUGGCAAACUGAUCAUUUACUAACCCUAUUCAAUUUAACUAACAAUACUUAACUUAUUUAAUUACUAAACAUAUUUCACAUAUUUCUAUGUUUAAUAAACUUAAAAUUUCAUAAGCAAAACAUUUUACAGUUGUAAAAGCCUAUUUUUUAGCAGCGUCAGAAAUAGUGGUUUCGGGAUUACAAAUCUGAUGAAUGAGUUCAUAAAUAUUAUCAUUUAAAAUUUAUGAGUCAAUUGUAAUAUUAUAUUGAAUGCUGGUUUAAUAAUUUUUGCAAAAUGAACGAAUAGUUAAAGUACAAGUGGUUGUCCCUAAAGUCAAGUGGUUUUAGAAAAUGAGGUAUCAGGACCUCAUUUCUAUAAAUCGAGCUCGUAAAAUUUUGAUUAAAUAUUUAUAGAGUUAAAAUUUAGGUAUAUUAAAAUUUGGUCCAAAAAUUUUGGUAAUUUGAUAGUUAAUUAAAGAAAAAGGACUAAAUCGUAAAACCUGCAAAAGUUAAUUGCUAUUAAUUAUUAUGGGUUAAUUGAGCAUAGAAACAUAUUUAAAUGGCUUUAUAUGGUAAUUUAGCCAUAAUUAUUAAUAUUGGACGGUUUGCCCAUGCAUGGUUGUAAUAUUUAGUUGUUAACAAAAGUUAAUUUUGUAAUUUAAUCAUCGAUUUAAGAAAAUAAAAUGUAAAAAUGCUAUCAUCUUUCUCUAUUGACCGAAAUUGAAGGAAAGAAAGCCAUAAAACUCCAUUUUUGAAUGCUUGAGAUUCGACCAAGUUUAUAAUUCAUGCAUGGUAAACUUUUUCAAUUCCACUUUUAGUGAUUUUUAUGUUUUGAGAUCGUUGUAGCUUCUAUCCCAAGGACUAAUUCGUAAGAAUUUUAAAUGUUUUAAAUUAUUCCAUUAAUGAAUUGGUGAUGUUUUUGAAUUUUUAUGAUAGAUUUAUAAGCUUGAUAGUUAAAUGGGACAAUUUUGUAAAGUGAUUUUGGUUAAUUUUUAUGUUAAAGGACUAAAUUGAUAAAAAUAGUAAAGUUAUAUGAUAUUAUUGUAAAAAUAUGAUGAAUAUGGGCUGUAUGGGAAUUAUAUAAAAUUCUACUGGCCUUGUUUGGAUUAAUUUAUGAUUGAAUUGAAUAUUUCGGGUUUAGCAACUAAAUUGAAUAAAAAGUAAAAGUUUGUGGUAAAAGUUUAAAAUAAUGAUUAAGGGUCAUAUAUAUGAAUUUCAUUAUUUUAUGAUGUUUGAAUGGAUUAAUUGAACAAAAAUAUUAUUUAGAUCAAGGAACAAAAUAAUCAAACUUGAUUCAUGGAAAAGUUAAAUUAACAAAUUAAUCAUCGGCCUUGUUUUUGCAACGAUUUUUGUCUAGGUAAGUUCAUACUAUCUUCCGUAAUUACAAUCAAUUAUUAGAUGUUUCUAAUUAAUUGUAUAUAAAUUUAUAAAAUUGGAAAUUAGACUAUGUGUUAAUAAAUCAAAUUCUGAGAUAAUUCCGAUGGAUCGGGUAAAAGUCUCAUACACGAGGUUCUAUAUAAUUCCCAUUUUGGAUCGAGCUCCAACAUUUAUUGUAGACUCGGAUAUACAUGUGACAUGAAUUUAGCCUGGAUUGGUAAUCUGUUGUCAUUUUAAAGGUUUAGCUUGGACUGGUAACCUUACAUGUAUACAUAGCCCUGGCCAGGUUAUUUUUUGGUGUUGUCACUAGUUUACCCCGGACGGGUUACCUGACACUUAAUUUUAUAUAUCUGAUUAGCUCAUACAAGCAUAAUUUGUUUCCCAAACUUGUGUAUUGAGUUCUUUUACAAGGUUCCAUCGGAAAAAUAAAUGAUGUACAGUGCUAAAUUGUUUUAUUAAAGUGAACAAAAUUAUGAAUUCUGAAUAUUCGUAUAAUUGUUGUUUACUGACUUGGAAAAUGUUGAAUCAUGUAGAGAUAAGGUCGAAAAUUGAAAUGAGUAUAUCUAAAUUUAUUUAUGUAAGAAACAAUUAUGAAAUUGCUAUAUGGUAUCUAGCUUUGAAUGGAAUGUGUCACAUAUUAUAGAUUGAAAGGGGUGAUUGAAUUGCAAUUGUUAUUUAUGAACAUUAUAUGAUAUGAUAUGCUUUAAGUUCUUAUAUAUGUAAAAUGAAAAGAAUAUGCAAUAGCUACAGGAAUCAUUCAUUGAAAGGAGAAAUUGGACAUGGUUUAAAAAUAUGGAAUGUGAUUUACCAUUUGAUUAUGAGUUGGAAGAAUUGAUUGGAAAAUAUAGCAUUUGAAUGUUUUUGCUAUAGUAUGCUCAAGUUUCAUGUAUAUAUGAGAACUCACUAACUUAUGAGAAUUGUUGUGUGUGUAGGAAAUGAAUGAAUUCAUAAGAUUGUUAAUGAAAUUAUGCAUGAAAUGUAUAAAAUGAUUCAAAUUUGGUAAGUUUAAUUUCUGUUAUGUACUAUCUUACUAAGCAUUGAUUUGCUUACAUUUGUUGUUUUCUUUCUUUGUAGAUCAUCGGAAAUCUCGAUCAGUUGGAAAUUCAAGUUGGAGCAUACACAUUAUCUGUUCCCAAACUGGCAGAAGUUUUAAUCAUUUUGAAAUUGGGUUAUAAAUGACAUGUACUAAGAGUUUCAAAUUUAACAAUCUAUAAUGAUGUUGUUUUAAACUUUGGUUAAGUGAGGUUUGAUGAUGUGUAUAGAUUUGGUAAUUUGGCUCAUGUAUGUUCAUAUGAGUGAUUUGGUUGUUUGGUUCAUGCCUUAUGAAAGUGUUGACGAUAUGGUAUAAUGGAUGUGUUGAAAUGGAUGAAUUGGUAUGUCGGUAUAUCUUUAAGGUAUUAACUUGAGAUGAUUCAAUGUGUGUUUAGUUUGGUGUACAAAAUGUGGUGCUAAUGAGGGCAUAUUGUUUAGGCACUUAAGUUGAAUGUUUUAAUAUGUUUUAAGCUUGUUUGAAUAUGUUUUGAAGAUAUGAUAAUGGAUGAUUCUUGUUUGGCUUGGCACCUAAGGAAUGGGAAAUGUUUUGGCUUGUUUUAAAAGUCAUUUUAGGUGCACACGACUUGGGACAUGGGCUGCCACAUGGUCAUGUGUCAUACACAAUCACUCCACAUAAAUGCGUGACCCUAUUUCGAAUCGCACAUGAUUUGGCACAUGGUUUGCGACACAACUGUGUGACCCUAUUUUCGAACUGUACAUGAUUUGGCCACAUGGUCGUGUGACCCCUAUUUUUAGUUAUUUUUUCUACAGUUUUCUAUUUUGUUUCAAGUUAGUCCCUGUGUGUUCCCAAAUUGAUUUUAAGGUUCUGUAGGCUCGGUUUAAGGCCAUUUAUGUAUAAAUGUUAUGAUUAUUGUAUGGACAUUGAUUUAUGAUAUUUUUAAUGAUUCUUUAAAUUGUUUUUAAGUAUUAUCAAAUUUGUUAUCAUCGUAAUAUACCAUAACCCUUUUUCAAUGAUGAAGAUGGAUUAGGGGUGUUACAACAGGGUUUUGUAAGGUAAUAAUCGUUUUGGUAUUAUUGCAUAUUUAAUCCCUACAAGGUUAAACAUACACCACAGAAGUAUUUUUUCAAUGAAUUAAAACCUUGUUCAAAUUAAUAAAUUCAUUCAUACAUUUCUUCACAUUAAACAUGCAUAAGAAACUUAAUCAUGAUUUUACUUGCAUGAAUAAAUAGAUCAAAAGCAUAGAACACCUUUUAACAUAAUUGAAAAAAAUGGAAAUUAGAUUAUUCUAACACUAAUAAAUUUAAGCAAUCAUGAUUAUAUCAAAAAUCAAAUACUUAAUUGAGAUUAUGAUUAUGAAUUCAACAAAAUAAAAGAUCAAAAGGGAAUAAGAAAAUCUAGCCAAUUCUGGAAGAUCUCGAGGCAUAAAUUACUUGCUCCUUCUUUUAUUCUUCUUUCUUGUCGUCACAACUAUACCAAAAAACUCUCUGUAAUGCCCCGAAUUUGGGCCUAGAAGGAUUGGGCCUUGAGCGUGGGAAAACACAAAAGUUUAUUUGUGUGAGAAAUAUCGCAAAUUGUAUGUUGACUUUAGUGGCUAAGUAUUUGGGCAUAUUUGGGAGUGUCGGAGAAGUCCUGGGUUCAAACCUGGGCUUUAGCUAAAUUUUUGUUUUAGUGAAUAAAACCCUUGGUGCUUGGAAGUAGGGUUUUUAAAUAUUUGUGGUUAAAAUAUAUCAUAAAAGGAGCUUGUGGUCUAGUGGCAAGGUGGUGUGUGUGGUGUGCAUGAGGUCUAAGGUUCAAUUCGUGGCAUAGGUAAAGGAAUUAUUUAUUUUACUGGUUGAGCUUGGAAAGAGGUGGAGUUGGACUGAAGUUGAAUUGGUCAUGAGUGUUUUAAGGAAAGUUGAAUUGGAUGUUGAGUGAUUUAGGGUGAAAAUCAAGGAAUUUGAAAUAGGAGAGUUGCAUAGGAGGAGUGUUUGUGCCGAAUUGGGAUGGUGGAAAGGGAGAAUUUUGGCCGGGGGAAAUUGUGGUCACAUUUCGAUUUUUCUUUGCUCAAUUUCACGUUUUUGGUGGUGUUUGACAUCUAGUUUUGGUUUCUACUCCUUGUGUGCUGAAUUCUCUGUUACUUUUUCUCUUGUUUUUCUUGCUCAAUUUUUAGGAUCGAAUAUUGACUUUUUUUCUUACUUUGGCUGAAUAGGCACUCUCAUUUUGAGUAUUCUUAUUGCUUUCUUUAAGCCGAAUUUGGUUUCUUCGUCUCAAUCUUUUCUCUUAAUUGCCUAAUCUCUGCUCUCCUCCUCCUCUGAUAUUUCCUUUUCAAUCAUUGGCCGAAUACUCCUUCUUUUUCCCCUCUCAAACCCCUUUCGGUUUAGCCUUGGUUUAAUGGAUUCUCCACUUCUACAUCCCAUACUCUCUCCAUUUCUAUUCUUGAUUUGGCAAGUAAUCUCUGAUAAUCGAACUUGUGAUGAGCAAAGUGGGUUUUAGCAAUAAAGUGAUGAUAGUGGUGCUGAAUGGGAGUGGACACGUAGCCUUUGCCCCUAAAUUUAAGCGUCGUAAAGUAUUAACAGUUCAGGACUUUUUGCCAGGUUGCGGAAGGGUGACUGCACCAAACUUUGGAUUAAGUGGGCAAAUCACAGUUGACCGUUCGAGUCAAGGCAAGUGGUAGUCGAUCCUUUGGCUAGGGGUUUGGUUAAUAUUCUUUUAACUUUAUUGAUAAGUGAUUAACCGUUGUUAUGUUUGAAUAGGUUCUGGCGCUCGGGAAUUCUUAGUACUCUACGUGAUCAUGUGUGUAACCGUAUGCUAUGUUUAAUGAUCGGCUGAAAAGCAGAAAGUGUGUGUAUUUGUAUGCGAUUUUCGAUAAUCGUUUAAAAGUCGAAAGUAUGUGUUGUUUACACUGCUAUGACUAUAGAUCGGCAAAAUACCAAAAAGUCAAAAAUAUGGUGGAUGAUGCCACACGAGUGUGCGAUAGUACAUGUUGUGAACCGAGCCCACGAACAUGGGCAUUAGUUUGUAGAGGCCACCACGAGCGCUCUCGUGGUCUUGGGAUGUUUUGGGCCUCGUUGGGCCGAAAUGGGCCGUAUGGGCGAGUAGGCUUGUGGGCCCAUACGAAUAAAAUGUAUGUGAUGUGGUAAGUGUUGUUUGGACUGUGACGUUUGCAUUGUUGUGCCUAUUUCUGGGCUAAAUGGGCCACAUGAGUGUGUGGGCCCCUAUGGGCCAAGUAUGGGCCUUAGGCCCAUUUACACCGUUAGGACUGUUUAGGUUACUUAAGUAGCUUGAGGCGACGGUGGACCUUUUGUUAGGUUGUUAAGACACCAGUUUGUAGAAUUAACAAAAUACUCCUGGUUUGUUAAAUUAUUGAAAUACCCUCGAUUUGUAAAAUUACCGAAAUAUCCCCGAUUUGUAAAAUUAUUGAAAUACCCUUGUAGUGUAAAAUUACCAAAAUAUCCCUAUAGGGCAAAAUGACUGUUUUACUCUUGUGGGUAAAUGACCGGCUUAGACUAUGAAUUUGACUGAUUUGAUUGUGAUUGUAUGACUGUGUUUUAACUGACUUAACUGUGGUUGUAAAACUGAUAUGCUUUUAAUAUAUGUUUAAAUGACUGUUACUGAGCAUGACCAUUCUACAUACAUGUGUGAUGAUUGAGCAUGACAUAACGAUAUAUUGCAUAGGGUUGGGACAUUGAUAUGGAGGAAGUACUAUUCUGAACGGGUCGCACGAGAUGACUGUGGACUGACAGACGGCUUAAUGCCACUUAAUCUGAUUAUGGCACUGUGCCAACCUAAAUAUUGCUUUCUAGCAUCUUGUUUAUGGCUUUGUGCUAAUCGUAUUUACCUGUGGCUAUAUGCCUAUCAUAUUUAUUGAUGACUCUGUGUCAACCAUAUUUACCCAUGGCUAUGUGCCGAUCAUAUUAUAGCAACUGAUGGCUUUGUACCGAUCAAAUUACCGCUACUGAUGGAUGUAAGCAGUGUAUAUAUCUGGCAGCUUUGCUGCGUUAUCAUUUCUGGCAGCUAUGCUGCGAUAUUGGUGUGAUGGCUGGGUAGGUCAAUUUUAUCCCUAUGUGGAUGUUGGUUGGUACGGGUGGUGUGUUGGCUGGAUUGGGAUGGAUUGCAUUAUUGCACUGUUGCAUUUCUGUUAUGGAUACUGUCACUGUAAUGGGUUAGGCUCACAUGUUUUCUGUUUCUGAUUCUGUUGCUGUAUGGGGCUAAGGCUCACAUUGUUCUGUUACUAAAAAGGGCUCUGGUCCAGACUGCUUCUGCAUUCUGUCAUCUUACUGAUUGUUUUUAUUUUAGGGGAUUACACAUUGAGUUUUUGUAAACUCACCCCAUUUUUAAUUGUGUAGGUAAUUCCCAGCCUUAGAUGAUUCAGAGCCGUGAGGGACUCAGAGGUGGCUACGACCGCAGCUUUUAAUGCUUAACUUUAUUUAUAUUUGAAAUUUCACUUUGGGUUUUGAUUCUGUAAUAAGGCCUCUUAAACUUAAGUUAUUUUAUUUGUGCUUUAUUUAUUUGAUACAUAACUGAUAGUGAUAGAACGCUGGUUUUCAAAAAGAUUAACUGUUUUCAAACACUAUGUUUUUGCAACAUUUUUGGAUAUUGCUUCCGUAACAAACAAUGUUUUUAAAGUAAAUACGUUUUAAAUGGUUAAUAUUUUUUUGAGUUUUUAACAAAGAGAUUUCAACUUAGAAACACAUUUCUACCUUCAAGUCCAAUUUUUGAAAGACACUUCUACAUGACACGCCAGAUUCGGCCAUAAUGUCCAUGCCGGGUUUGGGAUGUUACACUCUCAAUAUACCCGAAUAGGGAUGCUCUCAAGGCUGUGCAAAGCUCUUUUUCAAGUGGAAAAAAAUAGGGAAUGGAAAAUGAGAGAAAUAAAGACGAAUAAGAGAAGAAAGAAUGAGAAAUGGAUCAGUGGCUUGGAUGAUUUUGAAAGGCAAGUAGGGGUCCUAUUUAUAUUAGAUUGGGAUGGCUAAAAAAUUUUAGGAGCCUUAAUUUUCUCCCUCAAAUGGUCAAUCUUUAUUGAAAGAAGAAGUAGUUGAAUGGUUUUCUAAAAUUAGCUUGGUGCUUGAAAAGGAAAGGCUUAAAAAGUGGGGGGCAGUUGGAAUGAUCAUGUGGAGAAGUCUAGGGGCUAUUUUUUUAUAAAUAUUUUUAAUUAGCUUUGGAUGCUGAUUUAGGAAAGUGAAUGGACAGUUUGGGCUGCUGUUGGGCUUGUGAUUCUUUUCUCUUCAAUUGGACACUUUAGGCCUCUUCGUUUGCAUCAGGCUGUAAAAUUUCAUCAACCCAAUUUUCUAACUGAAAAUGAAUUAAGAGAGUCCAAGAAAGUUAAUUUGAGCAUUUGUGGCUAUCUAACAAUCAAAUCUUUCUUUUAUGAUGAAGAUGCUUCAAUAAUUUGAUCUUCCCAAGGUGACUUCAAGGUUGGUUUUCCUUCUGUUGCAUAAAAUUACUUAAAAUUGACAGAAUUUUGUAUGUUUAGCAUAGAAAUAGAUGAAAGUAGCAAUUUGUCCAAGUUAGAUAUUUUGUAAUAAAAUUAUAAAAAUAUGUGAAAAAGAACUCAGAAUUUACAAGAAUUGUCAAUCAAAAGGUGCUGAAAAAGUCUUUAUAUUUUCAAGUUUCCAGUAGGACUAUUAGAAUUAGCUCAUUUUUUCCAUCAAAUUUUGACCAUCCUCUAUAGACUUCAAUAUAGACUUCAAUGCCAAAUGUUGCACAAAAACCAUGUGAAUCUACUCCAGCAAAUUUUAUUGGGAAUCCAGUAAUACCAUAAUUCUAAAGCCAUAUAGGUCCUUUCUAUUUUUACCAAGAUUACUACAACCAUUCUUAAUUUGUUUCCUUUUUUUUUUGAUCAACUACAAUAUGUGGCCUGCGUGUCUCUAUAGUUGUUUGAGAAUCCAUUUCAUCAGAAUAGUAAUUUUUGGUGAUGUUUUGCCAUAUCAUUUAGUUUGAUUAGUAGGGUUCACCUCUUUGAUAUGCUUAAAACAACAAAGCUUUUGAUAAAUUCGGGUAAUCAAAUUGUAACGCCUUAAAAUUCUUAUAUCUAGUUUUGUGAAAAUCUGACACAAUUAGGUAUCUGCUGUAGUGGUUUAAGUGUUCUGGGAGUGUUUGAGACGUCCCAAGUUCAAGCACUGCCUUUGGUAAAUUUUGGUAUUUAUCUGAUAUAAGCCUUAUACUUGUUCAGUGGGCUUCUAUUAAUUUAUUUGUAGAACCAUAUCAGAAUGUGCCUUCUAGUCUGAGUGGUAAGGGUUUUGGUGUGUUGGGGGUCUUGCGUUCGAAUCCCUGCGCGAACAAGAGAGUUUAUUUUUUCUCAUUUGAUUGAGAGAGUUUUGGUCAAACUGGAAGUAUGAGGAAGUUAUGUGUAGUGGGAUUUGUGGGAGUAAAAUUAGGGGAAAGUAGUUUUCUAAUUUAAUUUUUGUUCCUUUCCCAAAAAUUUUCUUUUCUUCUCUAAACAUUUUCUUCUCCUUUUCUUACUAUUGUUAUUUCUUUUCUCUCUUCCCACUUCUAAAUUCGAGUUCUCCUUUUUGAAUUGCUGUCGUUUUCCUUGGUUGAAUUGUUUCUAUUGCAGGGGUUCUUAAAUCGGUUUGGUAAGUGAAGGUUUUACUAUUAGCAAUUAGGUUUUAAGUCUGGGCAAUAUUAUGAUAAGCAUUAGUUGGUGAGUAAUUGAUAUUUUUGUGUAUAGGUGAAGGCGGUGAAGCAUAGAUUUUCACUUUAGUGGACUGAUUUGAAGUCGUGGUCAUUUUAGUAAGCGUUAAGGUUGAUGAUUGUGUAGUUGCGUAACCGUAUUAAACUCAUAAUUUUGUUGCUAAGGGUUUGAAUACUCUAUUGUUAGGUUUUGGAAGGCCCGAGAGUCAUUUUGCAUCGAAUCGUUACCAGGUGUGUACCCAAAAUGCAAGAAAAUGAGGUUUCGGUAAAAAGCAAAAACCUCACUGUCGACGCCACACGGCCAUGUGGUAGGCCGUGUGAGACAACAUAGCCGUGUGAUCGACGAAGGCUAGGCCGUGCGCAAGACACGACCGUGUGAUGGCCAGGGUGUGGCCGUGUAGGCCACAAGGGCUAUGCCAAUUUGAAGUCUGGGCUACACAGGCAUGAGGGCCCACACGGGCUUGUCUAUUUGGGCCAGGCCGUGUGAUCCAGACUGGCAAGGUCAAUUUGGACGUGUGGGCCACAUGGGUGUGUGGACCUAUUAUACUGAAAUUUUUCAUAGGGUAGCAUGGGUCGUUCCAAUUGACUGUGGGCCUACCAUAGGGUCGAUAAACACUAUCCAACCCUAAAACUAAGUGAUAUGUUAGGCUGAGAUAUGACCAUGAGCAUGCCUAAGAUUGUAUAUCUAUACUAAUAUGAUUUGUUUGUUAAUUCUGUAUGUAUGAUCUGAUAUUGUGAUUGGGGUGGGAUGAUAUAUAUUGGAGGAAGUGUUCUGAAAGGUAGGUUAUACCUAUUAUUUGGCAGCUCUGCUGCAUUAUAUUUGGUAUGUGCCGUAGUAGGUACAGCAUGGUGUGUAGGGUUGGGUGGGUGUUUUAAACCCCACAUGGUGUGUAGGGAUGACCGAAGAUGGUGUGUAGAGGCUGGAGGUAGGAUCCUAAUUUCUUUUUCUAAUGGCAUAGUUGUAUGUGUAUCUUAGAUAGGCCAAGGCCCAAAUCUGCAUCUGAAUCUGUAAUGGGCUUAGGCCCAAGAUAGUAUCUGACUGAUAUCUGUUAUUCUGUAUGUGUGCAUGUUUAACUCUGCUGGGUUACAUACUGAGUUUACGUAAACUCACCCCUUUUCUAUUCAUCUGUACAGGUAAGCCAUAGUCUUAGGCGGAUCGGAGUUGUGGAGUCCUUCCGUGACCUCAUGUUUAGACUGGUUUAAGUUUUAACCAAUUUAUAUGUUCUAGUUUAUUAUAGGUUUGUUUUAUGUAAAUUGGGCUUUAUGGACUGUUUUAUUUUAAAUUGGGCUAGACUGCGAAUUUAUGAUUUAAUAACUACAAGACACUUUUUAACUUGGAUUUUAUCAGAAGCAUGGAUUUUUUUAAACCUUGAAUGAUUUUCUAAAAAUAACAACUUUUAAAGCUUCUACUAUGAAUUACGUUUUAUCGUUAGAUAAUUAAAUGAAAGAAGGUUUUGAAAUUGAAAACGAUGAAAAAGGGUAUACGAACUAGAAAGGAUUUUUAGUUUAACAACAACGGUUUUUCAACUCAUUGCAUGUGACACUUCCGGAUUCAACAAUAGCGUCUAGGCCGGGAUUGAGGUGUUAUAUUUAAUGGUAUCAGAGCCAGGUUGUAAAAUUCGGCUGUAGAUUUUCAGUUUCAAAAUUUAUUUUAAAAAAUCAAUUUUCAAAUUAUUUAAAAUUUCUUUCUAAUUUUUUUGAUUAAGUAUGUGGUACAUUGAGUCUCCGGCGCCUAUCCUGUAAGUAUUUCUGAUUUUGAUAGAAAAAUUUUGAAAACUUUACUGAUAGUUUACUUGGAAACACUAUAGUAGUACACUCUGAAACUGUAUUGAAAUUGAUUGAGACUAAAACCUUCGAAAACAACUCUGAAUUUCUAAUACUUUAUGAAUAAAACAUCUGUUAAUAAAAACUGAAACUGAUGCAUAAAAUUCUUAAUAUAGAUAAAGUUUGAAAUCACAAUGAGCGCCUGAGGUAUUUGUGAACGUGUUACUCGAGGUCGAGGUAGAGGCCGUAGGGGGCUCGAGGGCAAUAUGUCGAAUCUGAACACAAGUGAGACACUUGUGUCACUUGCUGCUAAGACUGGGUCUCAAAGUCGAUCGGCUGGGGAUGACGCACUGUCCCGAGCCAUGCUAAAGAUAUUAGAGAGGGUCGUUGGGCCCAAUUCAGGAUCUGGGGCGAAGGGUUAGUAACUAAGCGACUCUAGACUAAUAGAGCUGAGUUGUUUAGGGCGUCAUAGAAGUCGCCCCUAAUGCGGCUGAGUACUGGUUGGAGGCCACAGAAAGGAUUAUAGAUGAUCUACACUGUAUCCUUGAGCAAAAAUUGAAGGGUCAACCUCCUUACUUCGCGAUGAGGCUUUGUAGUGGUGGUUGACUAUUAAGGAAGGCACUCAGCUUGACCGUUUGACUUGGGAGUUCUGUAAGUCUACUUUCUAGAGUAAAUAUGUGGGACCGAGCUAUAAGGAUGCUUGUAGGUGUGAGUUUCUAAACCUCACGCAACGUGAUUGAUUUGUGGCCAAGUAUGAGGCCGAAUUCCUAAGGCUGAGCCGCUAUGCUCGAGGCAUGGUGGCGGAUAAGUAUGAGAGGUGUGUCCGAUCUGAGGAUGGCUUAAGAGAUAAUCUAAGGGUGCUGAUAGCUCUAUAGAGGGAGUGCGAGUUUUCUAUCCUGGUAGAGAAGGCGAAGAUCGUCAAGAAGGUUAAGCGCACUGAGUGUUAGAAUAGAGACAGGAAGAGAGGUAAGAACAAAAGGGAUUCAGAGCCCUCAAGUUCUUUGCAGUUGCCUAAGAAAAAAGCUAGAUUUGAUGGGCCAGUGAGAGUGGGGGCCCCUGUUGCUUCUACUGGGAUACUGCCUUGUAGAGACUAUAGUAGGCGUAAUUUGGGUGAGUGUUGAAGGACGAUUGGGGCUUGGUUGAGAUGUGCGUCCCUUGAGCAUUGCAUUUGGGAGUGUCCAUUGAGGGUUGAUCAGGUGCAAGCUCCGGCAUCGGGUCUUGUGCAGUCACAAAGAGUAGUUCAGCAGCCAUCUAGGGGCCGUGGUCAGGCUAGGGGUGGUAAUAGUUUGGGUCGUGGGCAGAGAGCACUGGGCAGAGGUGCCGGUCAGGCUAAGGCAAGAUAGCCUGCUUUGGUUUAUGCUCCACGUCACCAUGAGGAUAAAUAUUCUCCUAAAGUCAUCACUGGUAUGUUCCUUAUUUUUUAUGUACCAUAUCUUCCUCUGAUAGACAUAGGAUCUACUCAUUCCUAAAUAUCCUGUUUUAUUUCUGAAACUCUGGGGAUAUCAGUUGAGAGCAAUAUGAGUGAGUUCACUGUACUAAGUCCGUUGGGACAAUCUAUUUAGGUUAGCAAACUCUAUAGGGAUGUACCCUUAGUGGUACAAGGAACUAUUCUUCUCGUGGAUCUGAUGGAGCUUCCGUUUGGGGAGUUCGAUAUAAUUUUGGGAAUGGAUUGGAUGGUUAAGCACUGGGUUAGUCUGGAUUGUGCGACUAAGAGGGUCAUUUUGAGAACUGAGGAGAAGGAAGAGGUGGUUUAAUUGAAGAGCGUUUGGAUUAUCUGUGGAAUGUGAUCUCAGCACUGAUAGCUAAGAAACUGGUCCGAAAAGGGUGCGAGGCGUACUUGGCUUACGUUAAUACUACUGCCUGUGGGAACUCUUCGAUUAGGGAUAUCAAAACUAUGAGGGAUUUUUUGGAUGUUUUUCCUGAUGAGCUACUGGAAUUGCCUCUAGAUUGAAAGGUUGAAUUUGGGAUCAAGCUUCUUUUGGGUACAGCUCUGGUGUCCAUCGCUCCCUAUCGAAUGGCACCGAAAGAGCUUGUGGAACUUAAGGCUCAACUGUAGGAGUUUUUGGACCGUGACUUUAUCUGUCUGAGUGUGUCUCCAUGGGGAGCACCAAUACUAUUUGUUAAAAAGAAGGAUGGGACCAUGAGGAUGUGCAUAGACUAUCGGCAGUCGGACAAGCUUACUAUUAAGAAUAAGUAUCCACUUCCGAGGAUCGACGACUUAUUUGAUCAAUUUCGAGGGCUUCUGUGUUCUCUAAGAUAGAUCUUCAUUCUGGGUACCAUCAGCUCAGAAUUAAGGAUGUCGAUAUUCAUAAGACUACUUUUUGGACACAUUAUGGGCAUUACGAGAUUCUAGUUAUACCUUUCAGAGUUGACGAAUGCACUAGUAGUAUUUAUGGAUCUGAUGAACUGAAUGUUUCAGCCCUGUUUGGAUCAAUUCGUCGUAGUUUUCAUCGACGACAUUCUGGUUUACUCUAAGACUGAAGAUGAGCAUGAUGAGCAUCUAAGAGUAGUGCUUCAGAUUCUGCGUGAGAAGUAAUAUGACAGCCCUGAAGUGACCCUAGUCGGAAAGCAGUUUUGGGACCGCUAAACCGAGUCACACAAUUAUUUAAAUAUGAUAUUUAUUGUCUAAAAUAUGUUAAUAUGAAUGUGUAAAAGUUUAAAGCUUCGAUUUAGUUAAUUGCAUGUGAAUUUAGUUAAUAGGACUUAUGUGUGACACUUUUGAAAUGUGAUAGGUUAAUCUAUAAGGAUCUAUUAGUGCAUGUAAUUAAAAGGGUGGACUUCCAUGUCAAUUUCCCCCCCUAAUUAGUAGUGGCCGACCAUGAGCAUGAGGGUGGACAAAAUGUUAUGGCUAAAACAUGUCAUAAACAUGUUGGGUUAAUGCUUUAUGUUAGGAAUAAUAAAAUAAAGAACAUGGGAAAUAAAAUAUUAGUGUUAGUAGGAGGAGAAACAAAAAAAAAAUGUGUGUGGUUGUUCCCCCAUUGUGCCGUACCUAAAAGAAAAAAAAAAGAAAAAGGCUUCAUCCUCCUUGUUCUUCUUGACCGAAAAAUCAAAGGAAGAAGAAAGGAGUCUUCUUGCUUCAAGUUCGGUUGGUUGGUGUUUUAGAAGGAGGUAUGUUUGACGAUGUUCCAUGAGAUGCAUGCAUGUUUUAGUUGUUAGCUUGAGUUCUACCUAGCCCAUUGUCUAAAUCUUACUAUGUGAUGGAGAUGACACUUGGCCAUGGAUGUAUCAUUCUUGCUUGGUGUUGAUGUUGUGUUGAUGAGAUAUCAAGUUAUUUUUGUGACCCAAGUUGAGAUUUGGAUUUUGGAAUGAGUAAGGUUUUCGGCUAUGGUAAUUAUAAGGGUGAUGGAUGUUGUUUCAUGCUAAAUCUAGAUGAACAAUGUUAGUGCUUAUAUCUUGAUAUUUAUAAGUUUCUUUCUUGGUUUUACCUCAAACCCAUGAAGUAUUUUUAAUUGGUGUUGUUAGAGGUUUCGGUCAUGGGAUUAUAAGCUUGUUAGUUUUGAUGGUGAAAUUUAUGCCUUGUAAGGGUAAAUAGUUCAAAGGAACAUUUGGCCAUGAUGUAAAAAUUAUGGUGAAGUAAUGUUAAAUGCUUUGAAUAUUGAGUAUAUAUAUAUUGUUAUAAGUUGAAUUUAAGGUUUGCUAAAUUGUCUUUGUCAUUGCCGAAUGUGUGUACAGUUAAAGAGAAUUUGCUUAAGUGCUUAGUUAAUUGAUAUUGAGUUAAUGAUAUGUGUAUUCGGUCAUAAAGUUGCACAUGAGGAAAUGUUAGAUUAAUGGUAUUAAAUUGCUUAAUGUGAUUAAAAAUGCGUAUGAUCAUUUUGUAUUUGGGCUAAAGGUGGCCAUAUGACCUAUCAAAUUCAUUGUCAUAUUCGGCCAUAAGCUAGCAUAAUGAGACUUUAAUAGGUUAAAUUUGUUUGAAUUAGCUCAAGAGCUUAGAGGACCAAAGUUGGAUAAGGGAAAGGAAAAAGUGAUCGAAUAACCGUCGAAAUCGUUCGACAACAUCCGAGGUAAGUUUUCGAGUAAUGAAACUUAGAUUAUGAUUCGAUUAGAUUAUGUUAUAAGCAAAUCAAAAUCAUGCCCUUUGUAUGUAGAUUUUGAGCUGAAAAUGAUAAUGCUUGAUAAGUGACUUGUGUUUGAAUUCUAGUUACGAAAGUGAAAUAUUGAUGUGUCAUGAUUUAUUUAUAUGUGCAUGGAUAUUCGGAUUGAUAACAGGGCUAAGCCCGAAGGCAUUUGUGCGAGUUACUAUAUCCGAGCUAAGUCCCGAAUGCAUUUGUGCGAGUUACUAUAACAGGGCCAAGUCCCGAAGGCAAUUGUACGAGUUACUAUAACCGGGCUAAGUCUCGAAGGCAAGUGUGCGAGUUACUAUAAUCGGGCUAAGUCCCGAAGGCAUUUGAGCGAGAAGCUAUAUCCGGCUAAACCCCGAAGGUACUUGGUUUGGGAAUGAGCGAUCUUGCUGUAAUAAUUUCAAUUAAUACGCUCGUAAAAUCCCAACGAUAAGGUAUGUUUCGUAAAUGCAUUGGAGUAGUGAUUUCGUUUAAAUAUUAUCCGCUCAGUCGAUUAGUGAGCUUUCGGGCCUUUGGGUAAGUUGAUCCCUUAUGUAUGAAUAUAAUGGUUGGAAAUGUGAAGUAGGACUGAUUUUGAGAAUAUGUAUAUAUGAAGUUAUCCGUUUAGUUAUAUGAAUGCUAUACUUCAGUUGUGCCUAAUUUUAUUGCUCAAAACUUACUAAGCAUUAAAUGCUUACUCCGUUCUUUGAUUCUCUGUUUUAUAGAUUUUGGUUCGUCAGCUAUCGGACUCGGGAUUGUCGAAGUCGAAGUCGUCCACACUAUCAAAUCUCUUUUGGUACACUUUUGGUUGAACUCUGAAAAUGGCAUGUAUAGGACUACCCUUUUUGUUGUUGGUCAUGUACCCUUUGGUUUUGUAUAAAUUUGGAUAGCCAUGCGAAAAUGGCUUAUAUACACUUUGAGCAUAGCAUUAUAAUCGUCUUGUAUGUUGUUCAUUGAGAGGUAUGGAAAUUUUUGGUAACGAUUAGCCAUUGGGAAUGGUUAAUUAUGAUUAUUUUGAUGCUAUGUAUGACAAACUCUAGUUGAUUCAUGGAAAACCAUGAAAUAGGUAAGGUUUACCUUAAAAACAGAUGCUGACAGCAGCAGUGGGGUGGAUUUGAAAAAUCACUAAAAAUAGUAAGAAUGGAAUUAAAGAGUGAAUAAAUUAUGUAAUUGAACCUUGAUGAAUCUAUUUUCAUUGGGAAGUAAUGAAACAAUCAUAUGAACAGUAUUUUAUGAGAUUUUAAAGUUUUCGUGAAAUAGGGCCAGAGCGGUUUCUGGAUUCCCUAUUUGGACUUAGGAAAUUCAUUAUAAAUUAACCAGAGAUAGUUAGAAGUCAUUCCAUAGAUGUAUAGAUUUCUUUUCGAGUCUAGUUUCUUUAGAAACAAACGGCAUAAGUAUUGAAGCCCUGUACAGGGAGAUAUAUAAGUCUUAAUGCAUGAAGGUCAGAGCAGUCAAACCCUGAAACAGGAGAGACUUUAACUAAUAAAAUUUAAUAAUUGGCCUGACCAAAAAUUAUAGAAACAAAUUUGUAGAUGGAUAUAUGAGUCUAGUUUCAGGGAAAAUUUACAAAACUGAUUUUUGAGUUUUGAAACUCAAGAUAUGAUUUUUAAGGUGACAGUGACGCAGUUAGCUAGCUAGUCUGGAAAUUUUUAAAAUGGACUGUAAAAAUAAGGGAAUUAAGUCUGUUAACCCCUCGUGUCCGACUCCGGCAACAGUCUCGGGUACGGGGUGUUACAAUUUUAUUGGUAUCAGAGCUACGGUUUAGUCGAUUCUAGGACUACCGUAAUACGUUUGGGUCUAGCUAUACAUGCCAUUUUGUGAUUAUUUGAUAGUGUGGCGAUUUCUGACAUUUGAAAAUGUGUUUAUUUAUAGUAAUGGAUCCCGAUCCCGACCGAGCGGUAGCUGAUGAUCUUGAGAGUGUAGCACCUGCUCCCGCACAAGGGACAGCGCCGGCGGACUCUCAACCUAUUGCUAGCAAUCCGAAUGAUGAGGCUAGGGAAGCUUUUUAUAGCGUGAUGAAUGAUUGGUUUAACCAAUACAUUCGAACUAAUACGGCUGUUCCAUAACCUCCAUUCCCGACUAAUACCAUCCCCGCACCUACAAUACCUCCGGUAACUGACCAAAUAAGGUCAAAUAAGCCCCCAGUUGACAGAAUCUGAAAACACGGGGCUACCGAAUUUAAAGCUACUGACAGCGAUGAUGCCGAGCAAGCUGAACUUUCGUUGGACAACACCACACCCGAUGAGUGCCUAAAGUGUACUAUCUCCUUGCUACGUGAUUCUGCCUACUAUUGGUGGAAUACGUUGAUUUUUGUUGUGCCCCGAGAGCAAGUAACUUGGGAGUUUUUCCAAACUGAGUUUCGAAAGAAGUAUAUCAGUUAGAGAUUCAUUGACCAAAAACGGAAGGAAUUUCUUGAACUUAAACAAGGUUCCAUGUCGGUUACCGACUAUGAACGAAAGUUUGUAAGGCUUAGCCGGUACGCUCGAGAAUGCAUUUCUUCAGAAGCCGUAAUGUGUAAACGUUUCGAGGAUGGACUGAAUGAUGAUAUAAAGCUGUAUGUUGGCAUUUUGGAAAUCCGAGAAUUUGUGGUACUUGUUGAGCGAGCUUGCAAAGCCGAGGAGCUCAGUAUGGAGAAAAGAAAAGCUGAUAUGGGAGCAAAGGAGUUUCGUAAGAGGUCUUCGGGGAGGCCCUUUUAACAGUCAUCGAAGAAAUUUAGAGAUGAUUUGGGCCGAUCUAGAGACACUUUGGGUUUUUCUAGACGAGAUCGUGAUCGACCCCCUAUGAGUGCACGAGUCACUUCGGUCGCCAGUGUUGGAAAUGAUCGUCGAGAUAGAACGGAGUGUUAGUAUUAUGGUAAAUGGCAUUCGGGGAGUUGUAGAUUCCAUGACCGCUCCUAUUACAAGUGCGGAUCAGUUGACCACUUUAUUAAAGAUUGCUUGAGGUUGUCUGAACAAAAUGUAAAUUAGAGUGGGAAACCAGGGGCUACUACUGCUCGGGGUAGACCGUCCAGAAACACGGGAAAUGCUAGUGGCGGUCAGAGAGGAUCUAGAGAUGCUACAACCAGAUCUGAGGCUCGUGCUCCCGCUAGAGCUUAUGCCAUACGCGCACGCGAGGAUGCUUCCUCGCCAGAUGUUAUUACCGGUACUUUUAGUCUCUUUGAUACUAAUGUGAUUGCUUUGAUUGACCCUGGUUCUACUCAUUCUUAUAUAUGUGAAACCUUAGCAUCCAGUAAGACUCUACCUGUAGAGUCUACUGAGUUUUUAAUUCGGGUGUCAAAUCCUUUGGGUCGUUACGUGCUUGUCGAUAAAGUGUGUAAGAAAUGUCCCUUAGAAAUCAGAGGUUCCUGUUUUCCGGCCGAUUUGAUGCUUUUACCGUUUGACGAAUUUGAUGUUAUCCUCAGUAUGGAUUGGUUGACCGUACAUGAUGCAAUUGUAAAUUGCAAAAGAAAAACCAUCGAUCUGAGGUGUGUAAAUAACGAGAUAAUCCGAGUUGAGUCUACUGACUUAAAUAGGUUGCCAGCUGUAAUAUCAUCAAUGUUGGCUCAGAAAUAUGCAAGAAAGGGGUGCGAAGCAUACCUUGCGUAUGUACUUGAUGACAAAGUGUUAGAAAAGAAGCCUGAAUCUGUGCCAGUGGUUUGUGAAUACCCAAAUGUUUUUCUCGAAGAAUUACCGGGUUUACCACCUGUUCGGGAGGUAAAGUUUGGCAUUGAGCUUGUACCUGGGACUACACCGAUUUCGAUAGCUCCGUAUCGUAUAGCACUAAUGGAAUUAAAGGAAUUGAAAGCUCAGUUGCAAGAGUUGACGGAUAGAGGUUUCGCUCGACCAAGUUUCUCACCUUGGGGUGCACCAGUAUUGGUUGUGAAAAAGAUGGACGGAACCAUGAGGUUGUGCAUCGACUAUCGUCAGCUGAAUAAGGUGACAAUAAAGAAUAAAUAUCCGAUACCACGCAUUGAUGAUUUGUUUGAUCAACUAAAGGGAGCCUCAGUGUUUUCAAAGAUAGAUUUGAGAUCGGGUUAUUAUCAGUUGCGAAUUCGAGAUUCGGAUAUACCCAAAACUGCUUUCAGAACGAGAUACGGUCACUACGAGUUCGUAGUGAUGCCGUUUGGGCUCACAACUGCCCCUGCGGUAUUUAUGGAUUUGAUGAAUCAAAUCUUUAGACCGUAUUUGGACCGGUUUGUAGUUGUGUUUAUUGAUGACAUCUUGGUCUACUCAAGAGAUGAAACCGAGCAUGCUAAACACCUGAGAUUAGUGUUGCAGAUUUUAUGAGAUAAGCAGUUAUAUGCUAAGUUCAGUAAGUGUGAGUUCUGGUUAAGAGAGGUUAGCUUCCUGGGUCACGUGGUAUCUGCAUCGGGCAUUCGAGUCGAUCCGAGCAAAAUUUCAACCAUACUUAACUGGAAGCCUCCGAGAAAUAUUACUGAAGUUCGGAGCUUUUUGGGACUUGCCGGUUACUACCGACGGUUUGUAAAAUGUUUCUCGAUGAUAGCCACACCAAUAACGAAGCUACUUCAGAAAGAUGUUAAGUUUGAAUGGACGGAAAGGUGUCAGAAAAGUUUCGAUCAAUUGAAAACCCAUUUGACGGAAGCUCCAGUACUAGUGCAGCCCGAAUCAGGCAAGGAGUUCGUCAUUUAUAGUGAUGCAUCCUUACUUGGGUUGGGUUGUGUAUUGAUGCAAGAAGGUCGAGUUGUAGCUUAUGCGUCGAGGCAACUGAAGCCACAUGAGAAAAAUUAUCCAACCCAUGAUCUCGAAUUAGCUGCCAUCGUAUUCGCUUUGAAAAUAUGGCGACAUUACUUAUUGGGUGAGAAGUGCCAUGUAUUUUCGGAUCACAAAAGUCUCAAAUAUUUGAUGACUCAAAAAGACUUGAAUCUGCGAAAAAGGCGUUGGCUUGAGCUGUUGAAAGAUUAUGAGCUUGUCAUUGAUUAUCACCCGGGAAAGGCUAAUGUGGUUGCGGAUGCCUUAAGCCGAAAAUCACUGCUUGCUUUACGAGUGAUGAAUGUACACUUGUCUGUUCUACCCGACAAUGUGUUAAUAGCUGAAUUAAAGGCCAAACCAUUAUUGAUUCAUCAAAUUCGUGAAAGCUCAGAAAGUCGAUGAUGAAUUGGUUGCAAAACGGGCUGAAUGUGUUUCGAACAUGGAAUCAGAGUUUCAAAUUGACGAUGACGAUUGUUUGAGGUUCAGAAGUCGUUUGUGUCUCCCAAGAAAUUCAGAACUUAUUAUGAUGAUUCUGAACGAAGCUUAUUGUAGCCGAAUGUCAAUUCACCGGGGAGUACGAAAAUGUACAACGACCUGAGACGUCAGUUUUGGUGGCAUGGUAUGAAACGAGACAUUUCCGAUUUUUUUUCGAAGUAUUUAAUAUGUCAGCAAGUGAAGGCGGAACAUCAAGUGCCUACGGGUUUACUCCAACCGAUCAUGGUACCUGAAUGGAAAUGGGAUCGAGUCACGAUGGAUUUUGUGUCUGGGUUGCCAUUGUCGACAAGUAAGAAAGAUGCGAUUUGGGUUGUUGUUGAUAGACUGACUAAGUCGGCUCAUUUUAUUCCCGUACGUACGGAUUUUUCAUUGGAUAAACUAGCUGAAUUGUAUGUUUCUCAGAUUGUGAGAUUACACGGGGUGCCCAUUUCUAUUGUGUCGGAUAGAGAUCCGAGAUUCACCUCGCGAUUUUGGAAGAAAUUGCAAGAAGCUUUGGGUACCAAGUUGCAUUUUAGCACCGCUUUUCAUCCCCAAACCGAUGGUCAAUUCGAGCGGAUAAUUCAGAUACUCAAGGAUAUGUUGAGAUGCUGCAUCCUUGAGUUUAGUGGUUCAUGGGAACGGUAUCUACCUUUGAUUGAGUUCGCUUACAACAAUAGUUUUCAGUCAAGCAUUAAGAUGGCGUCUUAUGAGGCUUUGUACGGUCGAAAAUUCCGUACACCAUUGUUUUGGACCGAGCUCGGUGAAAGUAGAAUUUUCGGAGUUGAUUUAAUCAAAGAUGCUGAACAGAAAGUAAAGAUAAUUCGUGAAAGUCUAAAGGCAGCAUCAGAUCAUCAGAAGUCGUACGCGGAUUUAAAACGAAGAGAUAUUGAGUAUCAGGUGGGAGACAAAGUAUUUCUUAAGGUGUCACCUUAGAAAAAGAUACUCAGAUUUGGCCGUAAGGGAAAACUGAGUCCAAGGUUCAUAGGGCCAUAUGAAGUAUCCGAACGAAUUGGUCCAGUUGCGUAUAGAUUGAUUUUGCCCCCUAAACUUGAAAAGAUUCACGACGACUUUCAUGUUUCGAUGCUUCGACGUUAUAGAUCUGAUCCAUCACACGUAAUUAAUCCAUCAGAGGAUGAAAUUCAAUCCGACAUGAGUUAUGAAGAAGAACCGAUUCGUAUCCUAGCUCGUGAAGUGAAAGAGUUGCGAAACAAAAGGGUUCCGUUAGUAAAAGUGUUAUGGCUGAAACACGGAAUCGAAGAAGCUACUUGGGAAACCGAGAACUCUAUGAAAGAACGUUACCCAAACCUAUUUACCGAUAAGAUUUUCGGGGAUGAAAAUUUCUUAAGUGGGGGAGAGUUGUGACAGCCCUAAAGUGACCCUAGUCGGAAAGCGGUUUCGGGACCGCUAAACCGAGUCACCAAAUUAUUUAAAUAUGAUAUUUAUUGUCUAAAAUAUGUGAAUAUGAAUGUCUGAAAGUUUAAAGCUUCGAUUUAGUUAAUUGCAUGUGAAUUUAGUUAAUAGGACUUAUGUGUGACACUUUUGAAAUGUGAUAGGUUAAUCUAUAAGGAUCUAUUAGUGCAUGUAAUUAAAAGGGUGGACUUGCAUGUCAAUUCCCCCCCUAAUUAGUAGUGGCCGGCCAUGAGCAUGAGGGUGGACAAAAUGUUAUGGCUAAAACAUGUCAUAAACAUGUUGGGUUAAUGCUUUAUGUUAGGAAUAAUAAAAUAAAGAACAUGGGCAAUAAAAUAUUAGUGUUAGUAGGAGGAGAAACAAAAAAAAAUGUGUGUGGUUGUUCCCCCAUUGUGCCGUACCUAAAAGAAAAAAAAAGAAAAAGGCUUCAUCCUCCUUGUUCUUCUUGACCGAAAAAUCAAAGGAAGAAGAAAGGAGUCUUCUUGCUUCAAGUUCGGUUGGUUGGUGUUUUAGGAGGAGGUAUGUUUGAUGAUGUUCCAUGAGAUGCAUGCAUGUUUUAGUUGUUAUCUUGAGUUCUACCUAGCCCAUGGUCUAAAUCUUGCUAUGUGAUGGAGAUGACACUCGGCCAUGGAUGUAUCAUUCUUGCUUGGUGUUGAUGUUGUGUUGAUGAGAUAUCAAGUUAUUUUUGUGACCCAAGUUGAGAUUUGGAUUUUGGAAUGAGUAAGGUUUUUGGCUAUGGUAAUUAUAAGGGUGAUGGAUGUUGUUUCAUGCUAAAUCUAGAUGAACAAUGUUAGUGCUUAUAUCUCGAUAUUUAUGAGUUUCUUUCUUGGUUUUACCUCAAACCCAUGAAGUAUUUUUAAUUGGUGUUGUUAGAGGUUUCGGUCAUGGGAUUAUAAGCUUGUUAGUUUUGAUGGUGAAAUUUAUGCCUUGUAAGGGUAAAUGGUUCAAAGGAACAUUUGGCCAUAAUGUAAAAAUUAUGGUGAAGUGAUGUUAAAUGCUUUGAAUAUUGAGUAUAUAUAUAUUGUUAUAAGUUGAAUUUAAGGUUUGCUAAAUUGUCUUUGUCAUUGCCGAAUGUGUGUAUAGUUAAAGAGAAUUUGUUUAAGUGCUUAGUUAAUUGAUAUUGAGUUAAUGAUAUGUGUAUUCGGUCAUAAAGUUGCACAUGAGGAAAUGUUAGAUUAAUGGUAUUAAAUUGCUUAAUGUGAUUAAAAAUGCGUAUGACCAUUUUGUAUUUGAGCUAAAGGUGGUCAUAUGACCUAUCAAAUUCAUUGUCAUAUUCGGCCAUAAGCUAGCAUAAUGAGACUUUGAUAGGUUAAAUUUGUUUGAAUUAGCUCAAGAGCUUAGAGGACCAAAGUUGGAUAAGGGAAAGGAAAAAGUGAUCGAAUAACCGUCGAAAUCGUUCGACAACAUCCGAGGUAAGUUUUCGAGUAAUGAAACUUAGAUUAUGAUUCGAUUAGAUUAUGUUAUAAGCAAAUCAAAAUCAUGCCCUUUGUAUGUAGCUUUUGAGCUGAAAAUGAUAAUGCUUGAUAAGUGACUUGUGUUUGAAUUCUAGUUACGAAAGUGAAAUAUUGAUGUGUCAUGAUUUAUUUAUAUGUGCAUGGAUAUUCGGAUUGAUAACCGGGCUAAGCCCGAAGGCAUUUGUGCGAGUUACUAUAUCCGGGCUAAGUCCCGAAUGCAUUUGUGCGAGUUACUAUAACCGGGCCAAGUCCCGAAGGCAAUUGUGCGAGUUACUAUAACCGGGCUAAGUCCCGAAGACAAUUGUGCGAGUUACUAUAACUGGGCUAAGUCCCGAAGGCAUUUGAGCGAGAAGCUAUAUCCGGCUAAACCCCGAAGGUACUUGGUUUGGGAAUGAGCGAUCAUGCUGUAAUAAUUUCAAUUAAUAUGCUCGUAAAAUCCCAACGAUAAGGUACGUUUCGUAUAUGCAUUGGAGUAGUGAUUUCGUUUAAAUAUUAUCCGCUCAGUCGAUUAGUGAGCUUUCGGGCCUUUGGGUAAGUUGAUCCCUUAUGUAUGAAUAUAAGGGUUGGAAAUGUGAAGUAGGACUGAUUUUGAGAAUAUGUAUAUAUGAAGUUAUCCGUUUAGUUAUAUGAAUGCUAUACUUCACUUGUGCCUAAUUUUAUUGCUCAAAACUUACUAAGCAUUAAAUGCUUACUCCGUUCUUUGAAUCUCUGUUUUAUAGAUUUUGGUUCAUCAGCUAUCGGACUCGGGAUUGUCGAAGUCGAAGUCGUCCACACUAUUAAAGCCCUUUUGGUACACUUUUGGUUGAACUCUAAAAAUGGCAUGUAUAGGACUACCCUUUUUGUUGUUGGUCAUGUACCCUUUGGUUUUGUAUAAAUUUGGAUAGCCAUGCGAAAAUGGCUUAUAUACACUUUGAGCAUAGCAUUAUAAUCGUCUUGUAUGUUGUUCAUUGAGAGGUAUGGAAAUGUUUGGUAACGAUUAGCCAUUGGGAAUGGUUAAUUAUGAUUAUUUUGAUGCUAUGUAUGACAAACUCUAGUUGAUUCAUGGAAAACCAUGAAAUAGGUAAGGUUUACCUUAAAAACAGAUGCUGACAGCAGCAGUGGUGUGGAUUUGAAAAAUCACUAAAAAUAGUAAGAAUGGAAUUAAAGAGUGAAUAAAUUAUGUAAUUGAACCCUGAUGAAUUUAUUUUCAUAGGGAAGUAAUGAAACAAUCAUAUGAACUGUAUUUUAUGAGAUUUUAAAGUUUUCGUGAAACAGGGCCAGAGCAGUUUCUGGAUUCCCUGUUCAGACUUAGGAAAUUCAUUAUAAAUUAACCAAAGAUAGUUAUAAGUCAUGCCAUAUAUUUAUAGAUUCCUUUUCGAGUCUAGUUUCUUUAGAAACAAACGGCAUAAGUAUUGAAGCCCUGUACAGGUAGAUAUAUAAGUCGUAAUGCAUGAAGGUCAGAGCAGUCGAACCCUGAAACAGGAGAGACUUUAACUAAUAAACUGUACUAAUUGGCCCGACCAAAAAUUCUAGAAAAAAAUUUUUAGAUGGAUAUAUGAGUCUAGUUUCAGGAAAAAUUUACGACACUGAUUUUCUAGUUUUGGAACUCAAGAUAUGAUUUUUAAGGUGAGAGUGACGCAGUUAGUCAGCUAGUCUGGAAAUUUUUAAAAUGGACUGUAAAAAUAAGGGAAUUAAGUCUGUUAACCCCUCGUGUCCGACUCCGGCAACGGUCUCAGGUACGGGGUGUUACAAGUAACUCUACGCUAAAUUCAGUAAGGGUGAGUUCUGGCUUCGUAAAGUCACUUUUUCUGGGCCGUGUAAUGUCUGCUGAGGGGAUCCAAGUCGAUCCUAGGAAGAUUGAGGCUGUACUGGAUUGGAAAUAGCCAAAGAAUGUUCUGAGAUCUGCAAUUUUUUGGGUUUGGCAGGUUAUUAUUGGCGAUUUGUGGAAGGCUUCUCACUGAUCGCAACGCCCUUAACUAAGCUGUUACAUAAGGGUGUUACCAUUUGUCUUGUAACACCCCUAACCCGUAACUGUCGCUGAAAUAGGUUAAGAGGCAUUACUGGACUUGUAACUCAUUUUAGUAACUAUCAUUCAAUCACAUUCAAUAUGUACUUAAAUCGAGCAUACAAAGCUUAAAACAUACAUUCGGGACUAAAUUGAUAACAUAUUAAAAUUUUGGAAACUUACAAAAUUUUCAACAUUUCAAGUAUCACAUGCCCGUGUGAAUAGGCCGUGUGCCUCACAUGGCUAGUAGACACACCCGUGUCUUAGACCAUGUGAAAACAGGGCAUACAUAUUGACUUGUGUCACACGGCCGAGGCACGCCCGUGUGCCAUGGCCGUGGGAAAACUAAAGAGGUUAUUGACUUGGGUCACACGGCCAGUCACACGCCUAUGUGCCAGCCCGUGUGCCACACACGCCAGUAGACAUGCCUGUGUGUCUAAGCCAUGCCAAACCUGUAGGGUAUACUGACUUAAUUCGAAAAGGUACUCGACCAUGCAGCAUGAUCGUGUGUUGCACACGGUUGAGACACACACCCGUGUCUCUGUCCGUGUGGACAAAAAUAGGCCAUUUGUAAAGCCAUUUUGCCACCCUAUAAACACAAGCAUGCACAAGCAUAAAUGACUAUAUUUUACAACUCAAUUGACAGCCAAAAUAACCAUUGCAAUACACAUUAUUAGCCACAUCAAAACCUAACAAUUACAUACCCAAUACCUAUUCAACAUCAUACAUAAUCCAUUCAUUUAACAACUAUAUAACAAGACUUCAUUAGGACAUUUUGAUUUCCUUCAUUCCUUGCCAAAACAUACCAUCAUUAAACACAUAUAUAUACACAAUCAAAAUAUGAUACCAACAUAAGCCAAAUCACAUGACUUAACUAAUACACAAAACAUACCAAAAUCAUGAUAUCAAUUAACAUAACCAUCAUCUUUUUAACUAGCCUAUACAUGCCUACAAUAUCCACAAGUUCAAAAGUACCAAUCGGAAUUUGGAUAGUGUGAUGUGCAACUCUAACUUGUCCGAAACGAGCGAGCUAGCAAGCCUCUAUAAAACAUAGAAAAAGAAAUAGAGUAAGCUUUAUAGCUUAGUAAGCCCGUAAAAUUUAGAAUUAAACUUACCAUUUAUACAUAAUCGAAGCAAUACUUAAAGUGCAACCAAUUCAAUUGAUAAACUCCUAAUCACAAGUAUUCAUUACAUGCUAGUCAUUGUAGAAAUAUAUGGAACUAUCCAUUAAUUCAAUACUUUGCAUCAUUCCAAAUUUCAUAUAUUAUAUAUAACAUUAGUAUCAUUUAUAAACCAUAACUCAUUCGUAUAAACAUUAUUUAUAUCCGUUGAACCUAUUAGAAACUAAAAGGAUACUCGAGUGAACAACGUUAGUAAUCCAUCAAUUCAUUAUCAUAUAUGCCCUUUUGAAACAUGAUCGAUAAGCUCCUCCUGAGCUGAAACGGUAAGGUCUAUCGAGCUGAACAGUAAGCUCUAAUGAGCUGAACCGAUAAGCUCCAAUGAGCUAAAGUCAGUAAGCUCUUACGAGUUGAUAUAUAGGUAAGCUCAUACGAGCUGUGGUGAGUCCGCAACAAAUGCAGGAGAUCGACCAAAAUGGUAAUUCCAUUAACUUGUCACUCGUAUCCAAUGAAUCUAUUCAGUUCAAAUAGGACUCAAUAAAAAAUACAUUAUAUCAAUAAGACAUUUAUACUUCAAAUGUUUCUAUUAUACACAUUCAUUUCAAUAAUUACAAGUAUAUAAAAAUUCGGUUCUAAUUAUACGAACUUACCUUGAGUUGCUCGGAUGGAAAUUAUCAUUUAUUUGGCAACCUUUCUUUUUCCCCGAUCUAGUUCCGGUAUUUGCUUAUCUUGAUCUAUAAUAUAUCAAAAUUAACCCAUUCAAUAAUUAUUCAAUUCAAUUAAGCCCAUAUUUCCUAAUUUUGGAAAAUUACACAUUUGCCCCUAAUUUUUUACAUUUUUUACAAUUUAGUCACUAAGCUCGUAAAAAUGAAAUUCAUUCAAUUUUCAUGAAACCCAAGUCUAGCCGAAUUUAUUAUACAAUACGAGCAGCCCAUAUUUUUACUUUAUUCACACUUUUAACCACAAUAUUUUACAAUUUCACAAUUUAAUCCCUAUUUUGCAUUUUUGUCGAAAAUCACUUUACAAAACUAGUUUAACUAUUAUCAAACUUCCAUAACCUAUUAUUAAUCAUCAAAGAACUCAAGUAUUCAACAAGGGAACUUUACAAAAUCAUAAACAAAUUCAAAAAUUAAGGUACGGGCUAGCUAGAAUACAAAGUAACGAUAUCAAAAACGUAAAAAUCAUCAAAAACUAAGCUCAAACCGUACCUCAAUCAAGCCAAACCCUAAUAUCUCUUCCUUGGCUUCUUUUUCUUUUGUUAUUCGGUUAUGAAGGAGAAAAUAUGAUGAUAAUAUGGCUUUUUUUAUUCAAUCUUUACUUAAUAUGCAUUUUACUAAUUUAACCUUGUAAUAACAACUUAUAAAUCACUUAAAUCAUGGACAUAAUUGUCCACUAACCUUAAUCUUGGUAUAAUAACAUUAUAAGAACAUUUAAUUUUCUAAAUCAUAGCUAUUAGGUACAUUAAACCAAUAGCACAGAAGUUUUACACUUUACGCAAUUUAGUCCUUUUUACCAAAAUAAGCAUUUAAACGGUAAAAUUUCUUUACGAAACUUUCACAUAAUUAAUCUGUCCUACUGUAGACCUUAUUAAAAUAAUAAAAUAAAUAUUUUGAAUUUAUAUUUGUGGUCACGAAACCACUAUUCUGAUUUGACCUAAAAAUGGGUUGUUACAUGUCUAGACUGAUGCACAGCAAGAGAGUUUUAAAAAGCUCAAGACUAUUCUGACUGAGGCUCCUAUUUUGAUAUAGCCUAAACCUGGAAAAGAUUUUGUAGUAUACAGUGAUGCAUUGCAUAUUGGGUUGGGUUCCGUUCUAAUGCAGAAUAGUAAGGUGGUAGCUUAUGCGUCUCAUCAGCUUAAGACGCAUGAAGUAAAUUAUCUGACGCAUGAUCAUAAAUUGGCUGUGGUAGUCAUUCCAUUAAAAAUCUGGAGGCAUUAUCUGUAUUGUGAGAGGUACAUCAUCUACACCGAUCACAAAACUUUCAAGUAUCUCCUUACUCAGAAGGAGUUGAACCUUAGAUAGCAUCAAUAGAUUGAGCUACUCAAGGAUUAUGAUUGCACCAUUGAGUAUCAUCCUGGUAAGGCCAAUGUGGUGGCCGACGCUCUAAGUCGAAGAGUGAUGUUUAAUUUGAGGGCGAUGUUUGCUCGCCUUAGUCUAUUCGAUGAUGGGAGUUUGUUAGCCGAGUUGCAGGUUAAACUGAAUUAGAUUGAUCAGAUUCAAGAUAAAUAGUUAGUGGAUGAGACUCUGGGUGUACGAUUCUGUCAGGUAAAGAGUGGUAGUACUUCUGAUUUUGGGUUGAAUAAUGAUGAUAUUCUGUGUUUUCAAGGCCGGAUUUGUAUGCCAAACGAUUCUGAUCUAAGGCAGUCUAUUUUGAGGGAGGCACAUAGUAGCCUUUAUGCUAUGCAUCUCGAUGGUAAUAAGAUGUAUCGCCAUCUCCGCGAGUUGUACUGGUGGUCGAGAUUGAAGUGUAAGGUUACAAACUUCGUUGCUCAAUGUUUGACAUGUCAACAGGUUAAGGCUGAGCAUCAGCUACCUUCGGGUUUUCUACAACCAGUUAAGAUUCCUUUGUGGAAAUGGAAGCAAGUAACAAUGGAUUUCAUUAAUGGGUUUCCCUUGACACCCACUAAGAAGGAUUCUAUUUGGAUCAUCAUGGAUCGAUUGACCAAGUAUGCCCAAUUCAUUCUGGUUUUUGGACGAACUUUUCUCUUUAGAAGUUGGCGAAAUUGUAUAUCUCUGAGAUAGCUAGACUGCAUGGGGUUCCAGUGUCAGAGAUCCUCACUUUACUUCUCGGUUCUAGAAGAAAUUACACGAGGCUCUGGGUUCAAGGAUGGACUUCAGUACUGCAUUCCAUCCUCAGACCGAUGGUCAAUCUAGGAGGGUGAUUUAGAUACUGGAGGAUAUGCUUCGGAGCUACGUGAUAUAUUUUUGAGGUAGUUGGGAGGAUUAUCUAACUUUAGCAGAGUUCGCCUACAAUAACAGUUUCUAAAAAAGUAUCAAGAUGGCACCUUACGAGGCUCUGUAUGGUUGUAAGUGUCAUACUCCUUUGUGUUGGACUGAGUUGGGCGAACAUUGUGUGUUGGGUAUUGAAUUACUUUUGAAGACUGAUUCAGAAUCAUUUGAAGGCAGCAGAAGUCUUAUGCGGAUCUGAAGAGACAUGAGAUUGAGUAUGCUGUGGGGGACUUAGUGUUUCUGAAGGUCUCUCCAUGGAAGAAGAUUUUGAGGUUUGGUCGUAAGGGCAAGCUACGCCCUAGAUUUAUUGGGCCGUACCAGAUUUUGAAAUGUGUGGGACCAGUUGCCUAUCAAUUAGAGUUACGUCCAGAGUUGGACCAUAUCCAUGAUGUUUUUCACGUCUUAAUAUUGAGGCGAUAUCUGUCUGAUCCAUCUCACGUUGUUUCUGUUGAGGAGAUCGAGGUUAGGCUAGAUUUGACCUUUGAGGAGGAGCCAGUUCAGAUUCUGGAUCAUGAUGUUAAGGUUUUGGGGAAGAAGUCCAUUUCGUUAGUGAAGGUUAUGUGGCAGAAUCAUAGCACUGAGGAGGCCAUGUGGGAACCUGAGUUCUCGAUGCGUCAACAGUGUCCUCAUUUAUCUUGAUCAGGUAAAUUUUGAGGUCAAAAUUUAUUUUAGGGGAAUGCCCCAAAAUUCUUAUAUCUACUUUUGGGAAAAUCUGACACAAUUGGGUAUAUGCUAUAGUGAUUAAGUGUUCUGGGAGUGUCUGAGGGGUUCCAAGUUCAAGCCCUGCCUUUGGUAAAUUUUGGUAUUUAUAUGAUAUAAGCCUUAUACUUGUUCAGUGGGCUUAUAUUAAUUUAUUUGUAGAACUAUAUUAGAAUGAGCCUGCUGGUUCGAGUGGUAAGGGUGUUCGUGUGUUGGGGGUCUUAUCUUCGAAUCCUUGCACGAGCGAGGCAGUUUAUUUUUGCUCAUUUGACCGAGAGAGUUUCAGUCAAACUGGAAGUAUGAGGAAGUUAUGUGUAGUGGGAUUUGUGGAAGUAAAAUUAGAGGAAAGUUGUUUCCUAAUUUGAUUUUUGUUCUUUUCCUAAAUAGUUCCUUUUCUUCUCUAAACGUUUUCUUCUCCUUUUCUUGCUGUUAUUAUUUCUUUUCUUUCUCUCCACAUCCAAAUUCAGGUUCUUCUUGAAUCGCUGUCGUUUUCCUUGGUUGAAUUGUUUCUAUUGCAAGGGUUCUUGAAUCGACUUGGUAAGUUAAGGUUUUACUAUUAGCAAUUGGGUUUUGAGUCUGGGCAAUAUUAUGAUAAACAUACUUGGUGAGUAAUUGAUAUUUUUGUGCGUAGGUAAAGGUGGUCAAACAUAGUUUUUCAUUUUAACGGAUUGGUUCGAAGUCGUGGUCAUUUUUGGUAAGUGUUAAGGUGAUGAUUACGUAGUUGCAUAACCCUAUCAAACUCAUAAUUUGGUUGCUAAGGGUUUGAAUACUCUGUUGUUAGGUUUUGGAAGGCUCGAGAUUGGUUUUGCAUCGAAUCGUUACCAGGUGUGUACCCGAAAUGCAAGAAAAUAAGGUUUCGAAAAAUGCCAAAAACCUCAUUGUCGAUGGCACGCAGCCGUGUGAUCGAUAAGGCCGGGCAGUGCACAAGACACAGCUAUGUGUUGGCCAGGGUAUGGCCGUGUGGGCCACACGGGCUACGCCAAUUUGGGCGUAUAGGCCACACAGGCAUAUGUUAUUUGGGCCAGGCUGUAUGAUCCGCAAGGGCAAGGUCAAUUUGGGCGUGUGGACCACACGGGUGUGUGGACCCAUUAUACUAAAAUUUUUCAUAGCUUCGCACAGGUCGUUCCAACCUACUGUGGGCCUACCCUAGGGUCAGUAAACACUAUCCAACCCUAAAAUUAAGUCAUAUGUUAGGCUGAGAUAUGACUAUGAGCAUGCCUAAGAUUGUAUAUCUAUAUUUGUUUAUAUAAGCAUGCUAAGUAUGGUUUUUCUGUUAAUUCUGUAUUAUGAUCUGAUACUAUGAUUGGGGUGGGAUGAUAUAUUGGAGGAAGUGUUCUGAAAGGUAGAUUAUGCCUAUUAUCUAGCAUCUCAGCUACAUUAUAUACUAUAUGUGCUGCAGUCGGUAUAACAUGGUGUGUAGGGCUGGGUGGGUGUUUUAAACCCCUUAUGGUGUGCAAGUAUGAAUGGAGAUGGUGUGUAGUGGCUGGGUUAGGAUCUUGAUAUCUUUUUAUAACUGCAUAUCUGUAUCUGUAUCUAUAUAUGUAUCUGAAAUAGGCCAAGGCCCAAAUCUGCAUCUGAAUCUGUAAUGGGCUUAGGCCCAAGACUGUAUUUGACUGGUAUCUAUUUUCUAUAUGUGUGCAUGCUUAACUCUGCUGGGUUACACAUUGAGUUUACGUAAACUCACCCAUUUUCUGUUCAUCUGUACAGGUAACUCACAAUCUUAGGUGGAUCGAAGCUGCAGAGUCUCUCGAUGACCAGUUGUUCAGACUAGUUUAAGUUUUAACCAAUUUAUAUGUUCUGGUUUAUUCUGGGUUUGUUUUAUGUAAAUUGGACUUUAUGGACUGUUUUACUUUAAAUUGGGUUAGACUACAAUUUUAUGAUUUAAUAACUAUAAGACACAUUUUAACUCAGAUUUUAUCAGAAGAUGGAUUUUCUUAAACCUUAAACGGUUUUCAAAAAACAACGACUUUUAAAGCUUUCGCUACGAAUUACAUUUUAUCGUUAGAUAAUUAAAUGAAAGAAAGUUUUGAAAUUAAUAACGGUGAAAAAGGGUACACAGACUGAAAAGGAUUUUUAGUUUAAUGACAACAGUUUUUCAACUCAUUCAAUGUGACGCUUCCGAAUUCGACCAUAACGACAAACCCAAACAACAACUUUGUUGGGGAAAUAUUUCAAAGUAGAAAGAGUCAUCGACCAUGGUUUUAUUGUUAAGUAUUGACCAAACACUACACAACUUCUUGUUGGAACAUUUUCAAAAAAUAUAUAAUGUUUCAAUAGUUUCAAAUGAAAAGUUAUAAGUAAUCAAAAGUUAUGCCAGUUGGGUAUUAACCAAAAGUUAUCACUAUUUAUAGUGAAGAGUUAUUACUUUUAAAUUCAAAAGCUAUGUCACUUGAUUAUUAAAAAAUAGUCAUAAUUAUUCAAGUAGAUAUCUAUUGAGAUAUGACUAACUGCUUUGGAUAGUUAUAUCCCUAUAAAGAGACAUGACACCUCCUAUAAAUAAGAGUGAACUUUCAUUUGUAUGACACAACCAAAACCAUAGAAUCAAAGUUUCUUUCUAUUCUUCCAUCAUCUUUUAUAUUUCUAGAUUAUUUUAGAAAGAAUUGCUACAUAAAUUCUUUAUAGGAAUUGAUAUCCUUGCUAUGCUUCUCUUAGUGCUUAGUGGAUUGUUUUCUUCAAUGAAAAAUGUAAACAAUCAUUGGGCUUCAUUAUAUCCUCGAGGUUCAUUUACUAGUAACUCUAUUGCCUAUCGUAAAAUAGGUGGGGGUGAAUAGAACCUUAAAAAAAGUGACAUUAGUACACGCCUUGAAGCUUUCGUUAAUUUUUCAUAAGCUUAUUUAUCCUCCAAACUCCAAAAAUUUUAAGGUUCUGUUUUUGCAAUUUAUGAGAAAUUUCACCGUGCAUUCACAUGCUACUACAAACAUGGUACUAUGAGGAUGAAUAUUGGAAAAUGUGGUUGCAUCUAGGUCAGUGACUUUCUCAAAUUUUAAUUUAGAAGAAAUGUUUAUCACAAUAAAAUGUAUGUCAAAUUUAUUAUUUUACACUUAUUGCAUGAAUUAGAUUUCAAUUGUUAUGUGUUUAUUGAAUUGUAUUAUGCAAAAUAUGUAGGUGUUAUAUGCAGCAAUUACUUGACAAAUAUCAAAUGCUAGUUCAUUGUAUGCAUGACAUUUUAAUAUGCAUGAUUAUGAUUGAUAUAGAAUUAUAUAAUAUAUAUUAUAUAUCAAGCAAGAAAGAAUGAAUGAAAGAAGUUGGAUGAAAUGAAAAUUCACGGUUAGCAAAUGAUCUAUUAAUGGAUCAAAAAAAUAUUUUUAUUUCACAUGGUAAUGACAUGGUUCAAACAUUAGUUGAAUAGACUUCUAUCUAAUAGAAGCCAAAAAGUUGUGUUAUUGAAUCCAACAGUUACUUUUAGAAGAUUGAGUUGAAAUGGUUUCUUAAAACCGAAAAGUGCAACUUGAAAAGUGAUUUUUUAAAUCAGUGCAUUAUAAAUAAAUAAUAUGUUUGGAGAAUUGACAUUUAAUUCAUUCAAUCUAAUUUGUGAGUGAAUUUUUUAGUAUAAAAGUUUUCUUUCCUUUUUUAUGAUAUAUAUUCAAUUCGAGAUAUAUAUUUUUAUUUAAAUUAUGAUAUUAGUAACUAGCAUUUGGAUGAUAUUGAUGAAACACUAUUUUCAUUGCUAAAAAUGAAAGUUUGUAGAUGAUCAUAUAAUAUAAAGAAUUUUGGUUGUUUUUUUUCAAGUUACCAUAAGCUAAAUGAGUUUUAUAUAUGAUUGCACAUUUUGUCUAUGUUAUAAAGUUCAAACUAGAAGUGAUUUUGACUAGAAAUGAAAUAAGCCAUAUGUAUAUGCAUGGUUAAUUUUUCUAGUCAAUAUAGAAUUGUGAAAAACAUUUGCUUUUUUAAUAAGAUCACUAUUCUUGUAUGAAAACUUCUUGUGAGAAUAUAUAAUGUGACAAUCAUAUAUUUGACUUCGAGGUCAUACUAUGCAUAUUUCCAAUGGUGCAUGUGGCUUUUUAUAUAUGGCUUGGAUAUGAUCUAUAAUCUUGUGGUUCUGUAAAAUUUUGAGAUGUAUAGUACAUUUUGAAAGUUAAUUAGAAAGCCAUGAAUCAAAGAUCUUGUGAGUAUGAAAAUAGCAAUAUAAAUGCUAUUUGAGCCAUUUAGGUGAUGCAUAUGAUUUUGAUCAUAGUCAAAAAAUGUGUAAUUGAUUGUGUAAUUGAUGGUCCUCUAAUAUGAAUAUAUAUGUUACACCAUUUUAUAUAUACGGUGAAUUAAGAAAAAUGAAUACAAAAAAAGAGUUUUAAAGUCAUGUAUUGACUUUGAAAAGAAGCUAUGACAAAUAGAAAAUAUGUUGUCUAAUUUCACCAAUGAAUUCGAGGCCACUUUGAUACAACUUACUUGGUGAAAAAGACAUGAUGUAUGGUUUCAUAAAUUUUUUAUUGUUAAAUUAAUUUCUUGGGUAUCAAAAAAAAAUUAAAGUAGCCAAAUAUGAAAUUUUCAUGAUAAGAAAAGAUAAAGUGAUCACUAUAAUUUGACAAUAGUAGAAAUGAUAUCCUUGAUACUAUUCUUUUGAGAAGAAUGGGUAAUUAAACAUGGUAGGGAUGUUGGUCUUGCGAAUUUUUAAGACAAAUAAUUAUAAAGUUUCACCAUAUGGUAUAGAUAAUUAACAUAGCUAUGUUGAAAAUUUGGAAAAUUAGGGAUGAUGUACAAGCCUAUAAUAUUUGAGUCUCCCAGAUGGAAAAACAACUCAACAUUUUGUAUAACGUCAAGUCUUGAGUUCAAUGAGACAAAGUACAUCAUCAGUGUGUGAUUGAUAGCACUAUAAAAUAAUAUGUGUAAAAAGUGUUAGGUACACGUAAUGAAAAGGGGAAGGAUGAGUAUUAUACUCUUAAUAGACCCAUGACAUAAAUAUGUUAGAGUGCUACACUUAUAGGAAUACUCUUGAUUGGAUCUACCUAUGUGAAUGGAUGUAACGCCCUAAACUUGACCUAGAAGUUUAGACCAAAUUUUCGGAGGUCACAUUGAUCACCGAAGUGAUCGAUGGAAAGUUUUACAAAACAAGUUGUGACAACGAACCAAAAACAUUUAAUCGUUUAGAACUCAGUCAGAAGCAUUACGAUUAAGUUUAAUAUAUGAACAAAAUAAAAUGUUCAAGCGAAAAACAAAACAUUCCAAACAGAACUUGUACCAUAAUUUUAUAAAACCCUAUAGAUCAAAGUGGUAAAUCAAAAUGAAAACUGAAAAGAUAACUGAAAUAUUUUUUUUCAACUAAGACUGUCCGAGACCUCCAUAUAUUGCGUCCAGCGUUAGAGUUCAAAAACAUACCUAUAAGGGGAGACACUAAGGGGGUGAGCUACAUGAGCUCAAUGUGAGUUCAAAAUGAGUAACAACAUAUUUUUGGAAACUGAUUUGAAAGAAAAACAUAUAUACAGAACCAGAAAGUGAAAUUGGAACCAACGUCCCAAUAGAAUGAAACAAUCAGAUAGAACACAGUCAAAUAAUCUUCACCCAGAACAUUCAAACAAAUGAGUAUGAAUCCAAUCAAGUAAUAAUACCUACCCAUUCAGCUAACACCCCUCUCUAUCCCCCGAUCACACCCCAUAAGAGCUGAUUAAGCUCAUCCAACCAAACACCACAUAGGACCUUGAAAGGCCAAUCCAACCCUACACACCAUGUAUGUGGACUAAGUCACUUAGAUAUUAAUACGCAGUAGGGCUGGCUUAUAUACAGUAUAAUGCAAUGUGGUAAUCCACUAUACAGACAUGUUGCAGUUUAAACUGCCAGAUCAAAUAAUAGUACGCAGCAAAGCUGACGUACACGCGGUACAGUAUAGUAAACCGCUGUACAAAUAAGUUACAGUAGAACUGCCAGAUCAGAUCUGAAUCAAUCUCCCUUCUCUUCGAAUCUAACCCAAAAUUUUACUUUAUGCAAGUGUAUGUAUGGAUACAAUCUCAUAGAAACAAUGAACACAACAACAGGCAGUUAAAUAGAAUAGAUAUGCACACACACUCAACUAACCGGGUUCAGAAUCAGUCAUCUCACACAAUCAGUCACAAAUAACACAUAAGCCGAAGCCCAGAUCAGAGUGUUAACUACCCUAACUAAAGUUUAGCCAAGGGUUGAAACAUACAGACACAUUUUUAGAUAAAAAAACACAUACAGAACCCAAAUAAGUGCCUUAAGACCAUACGACCGUGUGCUCCGGCUUUGUGGAAAAACCUAGGCCGUGUGGGGGUCAAAAUGCCUGUGUGAAAGAAGGCAAAUAGCUAUGUGGCAGAGGCACAUGCUCGUGUGGGCCAGGGACAUGGUUGUGUAACUCUUUGUCCAUUUGUGCUAAAAUAGAGUGCAGGGCAUACACGGUCGUGUGAGGGUCUCACAUGCCCGUGUGCCCACCAGACAUGGCUGUAUAUCCAAAACACACGCCCAUGUGGGAUCCCUAAAUCCCUAAAUUAGCCACACGGCUGUAUGGUACCAAAUCAUUAAAUCGCUAGUUCCCAAACACACACGCCCAUGUGUCCAGGGAACACGGGCGUGUGAAAAAUGACAAAAAACCCCAAAUUGGCCACACAACCGUAUGACACCAAAUUUUGUCUCGAAACCUUAAUUCCUAAUUGCACACGGCUAUUUGAACCGGCACACGCCCGUGUGGCCACCCGUGUGGUCACGAAACCACCCUAAAAUAGCCUAAAAAACAUGUUUUCACCCUCGAAGCACUUUUUUGCCCUCGAUAACUCGAGAUUAUACCAAAACUAAUAGUUCUAAGCAUAAAACAACAGUACAACUUCAAAAAUAACCGAUUUACGAACACACACACACAAACUGUUAACUUUUCACAGAUUCGCAUCGAAAAUCAUAAGUAAAUUAGAAAAAGGUACUAAACCCACACCUGAUUCACAAUCAGAGAUGCCCAGACACUGACUCGACGGUGGAGGAGCAAAAUUCCUGAAAUUAGCUAGCAAAAUCGUUUUUGAAAACUUCUUAAGAAAAAAUAAAAAAGAACAAAAGGAAGAGAAAUAGGGAGAAAAAAGAAGAAGAAGAGGAGAACCUCCAAGACAGAAAGAAAAAGAAAUAAAAAUAAAUAAGUAAUCAUAUAUUUUAAUUUAAAACAAAAGAAAAAAAAUGGAAUAAAAAUAUUCCUCCAAAACGAACACACAAUGACUCAAACGCGGAACCUAAAGACAAAUUAACACACAACAAACCACCAGACCAGUAGGCCCAUUCUGCCACUUAAAUGCACAACUAAACACAAUAGCACACCUCUCUCUUUGACCGUUACCAUAAAACUCAAAACUUCUAGCCCUAAAAUUCAGGAUGUUACAGUGGAAGUGUGGCUGCUUCUAGGAGCUCAAGGGCUUGGCUCUGACAACACUAAUGAAAAGAGGUUACAUAGACAUGGCCACAAUACGUCAUGUCCCUCAAUACUGUGCAUUGACUAGUGUUAAAAUCAUUGUGUGAGAUGUGCUUGGUUAAUCAAAUGAAAUAUUUGGUUCAAAGCAUAAUCUACCAUGCAGUUUCGAUUAACUUUAACAUCUUUUCGCUAAGGGAAGGUUCAAUCGUAAGACACAUUCAUUUAUGCAACUGAUUUCAAAGAUUAUCAAAAUCUAAAAUAUUUUGAAAAUGGGGGAGAUUGUUGGAACAUUUUCAAAAUAUAAAUAGUGUUCCAAUAAUUUCAAAUGAAAAAUUAUAAGUAACCAAAAGUUAUGGUUACUAACCAAAAGUUGUCACUAUUUGUUAUACCUAGCUUUAUUUGAUAAUAUGUUUUGAUAUAACAAAUUAAAAUGUUUUUGAAUAAAAGUUAAAGUUGAACAAAAUUAGAAAAAUGAUAAAAUCAAGUUAAAAUGGUUUCAAUUGAGUUAUACAUUUUCAAUCAAGAGAAAACUAUUUUAAAACAAGUCAGUAUUUCUCUAGGCAAAAAAGUAUCAAUAAUUUUUGGCUAAGUAUCGCUAGUUUUCAAAAUAUCAAUACCUUUUCUAAAAUCGAUACCAAAUUGACAUUCUAUUUUCAAUCAAUUACAAAAAAGUAUCAACAGCUUUUCGAAAAGUAUCAAUACCUUUUACUAGAUAUCAGUAAAUUGUCUUUGGCAUCAUUGUAAACUAACUUUAAUGGUCACUGAAUUUGGCAUUAAAUGUUAAUAGUAUCGAUACUCAUAGAAAAAGUAUCGAUACUUUUUACUGUAGGUGAAGUUAAUGAUAUGGUAUUUUCAUCCCCAACGACUCUAUUGAUAUUUCCAACAAACACAACAGUUGGAAAUGAAUAAGAGGGUAUAAUACCAUCUUCCCAAGGUCUUACAACAACAACAAAAAUCAUCAAGCCAAAAGAUCAAUCAAUACAACCUUAGUGUUUAAUUCUUUCAUAUACAACCUUAGUGUUUAAUUCUUUCAUACUUUUCUUGUACACACUUGUGAGCCUUCAUUGUUACUCUUUAGCUCAAGUCUAUUCUUAUUUGUUUGAGCUCAAUUGACAAACAUUCUUAUAUUGUAGGGAUUAGUUCUUAGUUUGCUAUUUGUAUAUACUCUUUGAGUGGGUUGAGUCUUAAGGUCUGGGUAGAAACCAUAAGGGAGUUGCAAUAUUAAGAUUUUCGGUAGAAAUCUUAAGGGAGAUUGUAAGGUUAAACCUUUUCUUCAAAGGUUAUCAAAUUAGUGAAUUUGGGGAAAUCCUUAGUUAUGUAAAUCUAAUGCAAUGGAGUAGACAAUUGGGGCUGAACCACUCUAAAUACUUAUAUUUAUUUCUCUAUCCUUUCUUUUUAGCUUUCAAAAAUUUUUUAAAUGCCAAUUCACCCCUCUUGGCAAUUUCGGUUUGAUCUUUUGAGCUAGCAAUUAGUAUCAAAGCUAGUUUCUAAAUAUGGUUUAACAACUAAGAGAAGAUUCUUGGAGAAGCUCAAAUGAUCAUUAACUCAUUCUACAACAAUGGUAAUUACUUCAGGGUCAAUUUUCUUUGGCUAGUCUCAAUCUAUCUCCAAACCUCAUUAUUUCAAUGAUGCUAACUAUUCUUAUUGGAAUACUAGGAUGAUGUUGUUAAUUUAUGAAAAUAAUCUUGUCGUAUGAGACAUUAUUAUGGAUGGUCCUUCAAUUAUAUCCAAACAAGAAAGACAACUUUUAGUUCUUAAAAUCAAGAAGGAACGGAAUGAGGAAGAUAAGAGAAACAUUCAACUCAAUUCCAAGACAAUGCACAUUCUAUUUUAUACACUUGGUCUGAAUGAGUAUAGUAGAGUUUCAUCUUGUUCAAACACCAAGGAGAUAUGGGACAAGCUUAGCUUUACCCCGAUCUAAAUUCAUACGAGGUUUAUCUUGAUCAUGCAAGCAAAACAAAGCAACUGAACUCUAUCUCCUCUUUCCCUUGAAGAAACAGUUAAAGAAAAAUAAAUGGAAGAAGAUGAGUCUUUUUCUUACUUAAUUUUUUAUCUUUAUUUACCAAUUUACUUAUUUUACUUAAUUACAAAUUUAACCUUAACAACUUAUUAAAAUUUAAAUAAAACCAUACCAUGUUUGUCCACUAACACAUAAAUGGUAUAAUUACCAUAUAAGUACUCUUACAUUAAAGUUCUAUAGAUAUUUGAUACAUUUAGCUACUAAAACUCAACUUUUACACCUUUUAUGAUUUAGUCAUUGUUACUUAAUUGAGCAUACAAAUGUUAAAAUUUCUUAAUGAAAAUUUUAUACGACGCUACUAACAUACCAUAGACAUUAAAUUAAUAAUAAAAUAAUUAUUUACUCGUCAAAUUUGUGGUCUCGAAACUACUGUUUUGAUUUCACUGAAAACAGGCUGUAACAUUUCUUAUGUUUCAUAUUCUAGAGCCUUUUUUACUCUUGUUCGUGAAAUUUGGGAGAAUAAAAAAAUUUUGACACGAAAAAUUCCUAUUUUCCCUUCUACCCAAAAUAUCCCUAAACACCAUAUUUAACCCAUUUUUCAUCUUUUUACCAACUUUGGUGAAGAUAAAAUUUCUUUAAAAAAAUACCCCCAAACACCUUUUAAACCUAUUUCCUCCCUUUUGCCACAACGUCUUUGAAAUUCUUGAUUGUGUUCUGUUAGUUCUAUUUAGAAUCGAGAGAAUAACUUUUGAGAGGUAAAAGGCACAAGUGAUUGAGAUUAUUCGAGAAUCGAGUGAAACACAAAUGGAGUGAUUUUUUGAGUGAAUCUGUGAGGUUUGUUUUGGUAAGGUAUUCAUUUUUCUACUUUAAAUUCUUUUUUUUUCUAAUCCUUUUGAUAAAUCAUGUCACGAGAACUUUUCAAUUUUGAACUACAAAGUUUGAUGAAAGAAAUACAACGGAUGAUGCGAGUCGAGUUGGAGCCUAUUCAUAAAUGGCUUGAUAACAUGAAGGAACGUUCGCAACAAGGUCGUUCAUUUCAGGGUUCUAAUCUAUAGGGUGAUUGAAUGGUUAUGAGGUAUAAGCAUGAUAGUACACAAAUUAAAACUGCAUAUACUACCUCUUGCAUGCCAAAAUGUUCAUCUACAUCCACAAGGAGGGGUGAAUAUGUUCUCGAUGAUGAUCUUCCAUUUCGAGUCCAAAGGAAGUCCAUCCAUAUAGAAUCAUGUGUUUCUACAUCACUUGAUAAAGAUCAAGCCCGAUUGGUGUGACAAAAAGAACUCGAGUCCAAAUAUCUUUCCAAAAGAACUGAUGAGGGUUGAACCCCAUUUGUUUUAACAUCAAUGAAGAGUAAACUGACUUAGUCGUGAACGAACCUAGAGGGUAGUGGAACCACAUCACUCUAUCGCGUUAGCAUUUAUCACCAAUAAGCAAAUUGCAAAUUUGAUCCCCCAAGUCUUGCCCGUACAACUCACACACUCUUGCAUUGUUCCAUCUCUUAAUAUUUUCGAUCCAUAAGUCUUUCUUGUUGUUUUCAUUAGGGUUCAAAAUGUUGGAGUUAAUAGCCUUACCAUUUAAAUUUUCAAGCCUCCAAUUAUUGGUCCAAAUAUUGAUACAAUCACCACUGCCAACCAAAACCAUUCUUAAGAGCUUUAGCUGCUUCAGCAAUACUCAACCAAGUGAACGAAGCUUUGUCCACUAUUUUGGGAUGAAAAAUAUUACCUUCGGGGGCAUUUUUUGAGCUCACCAUCUUGUAACAUAAGGUAUCUUUGUUGUUUAAGAUCCCCCACAUCUGACACCCAAGGAAAGCCAAUUUGAAGAGCCGAAUGUCCCUAAAGCCAAGCCCUCUCAUGCCCUUUGGGUGGCAUAAGCUCUUCUAGGACAACAUCAUCCAAAAUCUUCCCCUCUCCUUACUUGUCUACCAUGUCCUACAAAUCUUAGCUUGCAUGUCUUCUAUAACAACCUUAAAAGCCAAGAAAAUCGAAAAGGCAUAAGUUAGAAAGGAUUGAAGAACAGCUUUGAUAAAGAUUUCUUUACCACCGAAGGAGAGAAGUCUCUUUGACCAACUGUUUAUCCUACAAGAAAACCGAUUAAUGCUCUCUUAGAAAGCCAAAGUUUUCUUCUUGCCAAUCGAGAAAGGUAAUUCAAGGUAGUUGUCCAAUUUAUCCACCACCUUUAUACCAAGUAAAUCACCAAAAAGUUGUCUUUGCACCCUAGGAGUGUUUGGGUUAAAAAGAAUCAUAGACUUUUCAAAAUUGAUUUCUUGACCAGAAACAUUAGCAAAAUCCUUCAGAAUAUUUAGAAGGCAUCAACAUCACAUUCCUUAUUCCUCAUAAAAAGAAGGGCAUCAUUAGCAAAAAAGAGUUGGUUAAUCCGAGGGCCAUUUAUACUGGCCCAGGUCCCUCUCAAACAAUUAUUUCCCUAUGCAUGUAUGAGCAUCCUCAAAAGUGCCUCCAUGAAAAAUAAGAAAAGAUAAGGGGAGACGAGAUCCCCUUGACGAAGUCCUGGUUCAAUUAAUUGUUGCUGUCCAGAAUGAGGGAUGAAUAAUGCUUUUGGAUGUUUUUCUAGAAGGAGUCUUUUGAUGUUUCCAUGCACAUUAAAGCCACCGUCCACCAAGGGGGGAAGAUGAAGACUUUUGAAGAUUACUUCAUCCUGAAGAAUGCAUGAAUUUGUCCCAACAACUUAAUGAGCAAGUACCAUCAUUUACUUCAAGUGCAUGGACGAUCAUGGAUCAUGUAUUUGUGUUUAAAACCGCAUUUAAGUCAUGUACUUUACAUUAACUUGCAUACCUAGGUCUAUAUAUAUGUCGUUUAUGUCAUUUUGUAAAGGUUAUAAUCAGAUUUGAGAUAAUUCUCUUUGUUCUUCAAGAACUUACGAACUUAUCAAGAACUUGUUCGUGUGGCAUUCAACAAAAUUGAUCUUAUCACUUUCACAAGUGUGGAAAUCAAAUCCUUAUACCUUUGGUUCCUAUCUCCCUAUAGGUAGCGGGUCAAAGUCUUUAUUUUUCUUCCAAACUUUCGAGUGUUAACAACAAUAUAAAAAAUGGGUCGCUUUGUUAUAUAGCAUCAGUUCUUUUUUGGUUGUCUAUAUUUGCAAGGAAUAUCUGAAACCUAUCCUUUGUUUUAUCCUUUGUUCCAUAAUUCACCCAAAUUUUGUGCAAGUACCUAUUUAGACGAUCAGGACACUUAAAUCGUGAAUAAACUCAUAACUGAGUUCGCAUCAGUUCGAGCUCACACUCGAAGUAAUUUGUGGUACUAGAAUAGCGAAGAAGGCUAUUCAGUUGAAAGUCGAGAAUGACAAGGAUCCAUCUCGCACAAAGCAUAGGUACUUUUCAAGAAAUUUUUAUUGCUAUAAAUAUCACAAACCGACCCAAUUUUCAAAUUUUGUAUUUUUCCCCCGUGACAGAAAAUUGUUUUCAAACCAGAAUUUUUUUCCAACACCAUCACAAUGCUGCUUCACUAUUUUAUGAAAAGCGAGCCCUCCAUGACUUGUGUAUAGUGCGGGACACUUCGGAACACCUAUAAUUUGAUUCAAAAUGAUUUUAACAAGCUUCUAAAAUUAUAAAAUUUAUUUUAUCUAUUUUCUUUGAUUUUAUAAAAAUGUUUUAAUAUUUAAUUUAUUAAAUAAAUUCAUAAUUUUGUGUCAUUGAAGUGUUCCAAUAAAAUCUCGUAUCCGUAUUGGUGGUCGAGACAGGUGAAAGUUGUUACACCAGUAAAGCUUGGGCGAUUGUCUUGAGCACUACCUCUUUGCCGUGUGGCGAAUGCAACAGAUUCUUCCAACUAAAAAUGUGCUUACAGAGACGAUCCCGAAUGAAAAAGAACACCUGCUUCUAAUUCUGCCUAAUGAGAGAUGGGAGGCCCAAUUAACGACUUCGAUCAAUAGGAGCAAAGACAUCCAAAAUUGAAUGCACCAUCUACCUAAUAUCCAAAUGAAUAUUCGAGUUGAACAUGACACUUGACUUGUGCAAAUUAACAGCUUGGCCAGAAGCGGAUUCAUAAGUGGCGAAAAUACGCUUCACAACACGACAUUCCGACUCCUCUACCCAAAAAAGAAAAAAUUGUAAUCAACUAAGGGUAUAUGAGAGGCUACUAGGCUAUUACGACAGACACAAAUCUCUUCUAGUUCCCAGAUAAUUAUUAUAAAUUCAUAAUUUAUUUAUAUAUAAAAAUUAAUAUAUUAUAUGUAGUUAAAUGUGUAUAUUUAUUAUUUUUAUAAUAUAAUAUAAUAUAUUAAAUAUAAUUAUGUUAUAUAAUAAAAUAAAUUCAUUUUAUAAUAUUAUUUUAAUUUUAAUUUUUUUUUGUUUUAAAGUAAUUUAACUAAGUUGAUUAAAUAAUAAAGUAGAUAAUUACAAAUUUAGGAAUUCUGAUGAUCUUUCUCCUUAUUUAGUUUGGUUUAUGAUUAGAAAAUAAUAUAAUUUAAGAGAAACUAAAUAAGAUUUAAGAGAAUAAAAUACGAAAAGACUAAUAAAAAAUUUACUUUGUAUAAAUUAUAAUCAGUGUUUAACAUAAGCAUUGAUAAUUAUAUAUAAAACAACUUAUAUUCAAACUUUAUUGGAUGCAAUUAUUUUGUAACCAAUAUCCAAAUAUACAAUUAUAAGAAUCUGAAUUCCAAUAAUAAAUAUUUGAAGAGAUAUUAUCAACAUUGUAUAAUGGGUAAUCCCAAUUAGGAUCCUUAUUCCAACAGAUAACCUAUUUUCAUAAAAGACGUUCGUGACCUAACCUGACACGUACUAUUACCCACUCGAUUUUGACCAAUUUAAUUGCAAGAACCGACUAACUACCAAAGAAUUAAAGAGGUGCAGAUUCCGUGGGAGUAGGAACAUGUGAUAUGUGCCUUUCAAGUAAAGGGUGGAGCAGGGAUUUCCAAGUGCAACUCAAAAUAGAUUGUCCCCCUUCUUCCCAUGAAUUUUAUGCUUGAAACUUGGAAUCAUGCUUCUUGCGUUCGGGUUUCCUUUUGUGCAGUACUUUAAGCUUUCCACAUCCACAUUUAAAGGAAACAACAACAAAAGUUUAACUUGGGUAAAUAUGGUGUUACUUUUUUUUGGUACAUAGGUAAAUACGGUAAUAUUACGCAUAAAAUUUCAUGCUAUAAAUAUAAUAUAUGUAUAAUGACUUAUUUGACUCUCUAAUUUUAUAAAAAAAAAGUCAUUUUAAUUCUUUAUUUAAUUUUUCAACUUGAAUUGUUUGUUAAAUCACCUCUAAAUGGAUGGAAAAAUUAACGUUUGUUAAAUUUACUGUCGUGACAUCCACCUGACAGUCCACAUGUAUGUCAUGUAAGCAAUUAAUUAAUUUUUUAAAAAUUAUAAAUAUUUUUUAUACUUUUUAAAUAAUUUAAAAUUUUUAUCAUUUUCUAAUUUUUUAAAUUUUAAAAAUUAAUUAAUUGUUGAAGUGACAUCCACAUGUAUGUUACACUAGUAAUGUAAACAUGUAUUAACCUUUUCAUCUAUUUUUGGAUGAUAUUAACAAACAACUUGGAGGGUCAAAUAAUAAUUGAAACAUGGUAUAAAUAGUAAAUAAAUCUCCAAGUGUCUUUAAAUUUACAUAAUAUAAAUUAUUAAUCUAUAAAGUUUACAAAAAUAUAAAUAUUAUUAAAUACAUUUAUAAUAGACAUGAUGACUUAUUCUGUAACACCCCUUACCCGUGUCCUACGCCGGGACAUGGUACGAGGCAUUACCGGUCUUAAACACAAACAAUCAUGCAAACCAGGCCAUAAAAUUUCAUUUAUAUUUUAAAACAUUCAAUCACAUGCACAUAAUCCCUUAUUUGGGUUUAUGAAGCCCAAAAAAUACUUUAGAAAGGGUUUGGGACUAAAUUGAGAACUUUGGAAAGCUCUGGGAAAAACUUAGAAAAUUUUCCCAUGAAACAGAGUCACACGCCCGUGUGGACACAAGGGCAUGCCCGUGUCCUCAGGCCGUGUAACUCUCUGUUUAUAACGUCAGCAGAUAAAUUGAACCACACGGCCAGGCCACACGCAAGUGUCACCAGGCUAUGUCCCUCACACGGUUGAGACACACGGCCGUGUCUCAUCCCAUGUAGUUAACUCUUAGGCUAUUUUCCAAGCCUUUUUGUCACCCUUACAUGCACACACAUAUACAUGGAUCUAAUGCCAUUUAACAUCCUCAAUUAUGAUACAAACAUAUCAUUUACCUAUCAAUAUGCAUGUGUUACACAUUCUCACAUUAAACAAAGACUAGUCAUACCAUAGUUAUCUUUGUGCCAAUUUAUUUCAACUUAUCAUCAAACAUCGAUGUUCUAAGCAUUAUUAGUUUAUCCCUAUAUUACACAUUUAAUUCAUGGUCAUAAAACACACAUUCAACACACAUGACAUACUGCCAACCAUGCAUGACAAACAAACAUAAUCGUAUCUUCACAUCAUAAGCAAUAAAUCAUAACUUGACUAGCAAUACUUACAACCCAUAAUCAAUAUGAGCCACAUCUCAUGGCCAUAUACAAUAGCUCAAAAUAGGCCAAUACUUUGGCCAAAUCAUAAUAACACGUCAUAGAACUAGGUCCUUAUACAUGCCACUCACUUGAUAUUUCUAACAUAUGUAUCAAUACUCCAAAGGUAUUGGCUUGAUAGUGUGAUGCUGCCUCCGACGAUCUCCAACCCCGAGCCGACCUGACAACACUAAAAGAAAUGGAAAGGAGGGAUUAAGCUUUAUGCAUAGUAAGCUCGCAUGAUAAAUAAUAAGUAAUGUAUUAACAUGUUAUUUUUCAAUUCCUCUCUAUUUAUUCAAAGUCUAGUUAAGCUAUUUUUUCAAGUCACAAUCACUAAAUUAUUUAUAUCCUAAUCUACGGGACUCAAAAUUGAGAACCACAUAUUUUUUCUAGAAACUAGACUCACAUAUCUUCUUACCAUAAAAUUUUCAGAAUUUUUGGUCUAGCUAAUAAGUACAGUUUAUUACUCAAAGUCUCCCCUAUUUCUUUGUUUGAUAGCUUUGACCUUUCUUCACUUAAAUUUAUUUAUCUCAUAGUACGGGACUCGGAUGAUGCUCCGGUCUAUUUCCCUUGAAAAUAGACUCAUUAAGUAUUUUAAGUAUAUAAUUUAUAACCACGAUUAUUUUCAUACAAUUUUUAAUUAUUUUCCAAAGUUAAGACAGGGGAGUCCCAGAUCACUCUGACUCUAUUUCACAAACAUCUAAAUAUCUCAUAAUAGGAGAUUCCUUUACUUACACUGUUUCUUUUAUAAGAAACUAAACUUGAUAAUAUUUAAUUCCAUAUUUUCUUUGGCCUUUAAUUCGACUUCCACAAUUUUUGGUGGAUUUUCAAAGUAGGACUACUGCUGCUGUUCACACUGUUUUAGUACAAUAUAAUGAUACCAUCACAAGAUUUUCAUGAAAUUACUCUCAUAAGUAUCACUCAUUCAUUUUCAUUCUUAUCACAAGUCCAUGGGUUUCGAGUAUUUACUUGUGCUAUCAUUUAGCACAACAAUCGUCCAAACGUGAAAAUUCAUUUGCAUCAUAAUAGUAUCAUAUAACAUAAAUUAGUUUAUCAUGGCAAGUGUAACGCCCCGAAUUUUGGGCCUAGAAGUAUUAGCUCUUGAGUAUGGGAGCAGUUAGAAAGAUGCUCAUAAAUAUUUAGUUGUGUAAGAAAGUUUCACAAUUGUGUAUCUGUUUCAGUGGUUAAAGUGUUCUAGGAGUGUCUAAGAAGUCUUGGGUUCAAGCCUAGGUAGGUGCAAAAAGUUUUGUUUUUUUAAAGGAUUAAGCACAAUCUCUUGGCAGUAGGCUUUUAAAUAAAAAUGGGUAAAGCAUGUCAGAAAGGGGCUUGCUGGUCUAAGGGAUAAGUGGUGUGCUAUGGUUACUUGAGGUCUGAGGUUCGAAUCCUACUUUGAACAGUAGAGUGUUUUAUUUUGCUACACUAGCCGUAUGGGUAGUAGAGGGUGACUGAAACACUACUGAGUGGAGUGGAGUUUGAAUUGGUCUUGGAGGGAUUUGAGGAGGGAUUUUAGGAGAGAAUUAAGGGAUAAAAAUGUGGAAUUUGAAAUAUGGAAGAGUUGUGCUGAACUAAAUAAGAGGUUCACAUAAAUUUUUGGCUGAGUUUGGCUAUUCUCCCAAUUUUCGGUUUUGUAUGCUCAUUCCCUUUUGCGUUUUGGUUCUUUUUUGUCCCUUGGUGGCGAAUUCUGCCUCCAGUGAUCCCUUUGUUUCUUUUCAUCGGGUUCUUUCAUUUUUCUCUUUUUGGGGCCGAAUGUAACAGGAAUCUUUAGGUAUUUGAGUUCUCUUUCGGUUUCCUUUCUUAAUUAAUCUACUCUAUCUCUUUCCCCCAUUUGGUUUACUGUUUGAUCAGAUAUCUUCUCUUCCCUUAUCUGCUCUUUUUCUCAACACUCUCUUCUUGUCAUCAAUUUAUAUUAGUACCUUGACUGUUUACUACAUCUCUCUUCUCCUUGUGUUCUCUGUCAAUUUUUGGGGGUAAUUAUAAGGGCUCGAUUUUAUGCUCGGUAAGUCUAACUUUUGGUUUGAGUUCAAACUGCUCUCUUAUAUAGUCGUUAAAAGGAGUUUGAUUGGGUUUUAGGUUGUAUCCAAGGGUUUGGGUGAUCGUCAUUUCUUGACUAAUAAGGUGAAAAUGGAUUCAGUUGACUCAGUGAAGUUAAGGGGUGUCGACUGAAUAUUUUAGUGCAUUAGUAUAGUGUUAUUUGAUGCUGGUUGAUUAAAUGUUUAACAAUGUUUGAUUGGUGCAUAGGAACUUUCCAGGGAGGGGGGAAAGGCCCUUAGUUGGCGUAGGGUGGAUGGAUCUCUCCUCGUGGCUUGUUUGAAGGUAUGUUAUUGUGUAAGUUUAACGAUUAGGAUAAUGGAGUAUAUGCAAUUGGGUAUUGGAUUAAAUGUGUAACUGAAGACUGUUGUUUAAGUGUAGGAUCAAACGUGCGGGUAGUCUCUUCUCUCGAAAAAUAGAAGUAAGGUGUGUAAAAACACUACCCUAAUCGUAAGUCCGCAAAAGCCAAAAUAAGUGACCGUCGACACUACAGAGGCGUGCGCUCACUUGUGUAGUAGUCUAUAUGCCUAAACAGGGGUUCAUGAUCGAUGAGUCCGGCUAUGAGCGAUUUCAUGAGGUGAGAUCAUUUCUGGCCACGUUGGGCUGAAAUGGGCCGUGUAGGCCCUACGACUUAUGGGCCUCACAUGGGUUAAUCACACGGACGUGUUGGGCCAGGCUGUGUAUUCCACACGAACAAGGCCAUUUUUGGGCUAUGCGGGGCACACGGGCAUAUGGGCCCACAUGGGCCCGUAAUAUGGGCUUUGGUUCCAUUUUCACUGUUAGACUGUUAAGGUUGCACAGGUCGCCCGAGAUGACUGUGGACCUACUAUUAGGUCGGUAAGUAUACCUAAACCCUAAUUUGAUGAAAUGACUAUUUUUCCCUUAUGUGGUAAAAUGACUGAAAUGCACCUAUAUGGUAAAUUGACUAGCUUGCACCUAUGUAAUGUAUGUUUAUAUUUUAGCAUGCUAUUUGUAACUGUAUUGAGUACAUGUGUAAUAUUAUGGUAUAGCAUGUCACGUCUCAUGAUGCAUUGCAUAAGGAUGGGUUUAUAUAUGAUUGGAGGAAGGGUACUGUACUGGCAGCUCUACUGCAAAUCACUAAUGGCUUUAAGCCUAUUAUACUGGCAGCUCUGCUGCAUAUUACUGUCUAGCGCCGCAACUAGUGCUAAUUCUGGAGUGUAGUGAUGGGUAGGUUGAUUAUAUCCCCACAUGCAGUGUAGGGUUGGACGGAGAUGGAGUGUAGAGGCUGGAUGGGUACGAUUUGCAUACUGUUUUCUAUUUCUGCACUAUUUACUGUUACUGUAAUGGGCCAAGGCCAAAACAUAUGAUUGUUUCUAUGUUGAAAUGGGCUAAAGCCCAAAUUGUUACUACCCCUGUUACUAAAAAGUGCUUAGGCCUAGAUUAUAUUUGUUAACUGUAUGUUUGAUUGUCUGUUUAUUAGGGGAUUGCACACUGAGUUUUUGUAAACUUACCCUUCUGUGUAUUUAUACAGGAAAUCCUUAGGCGGAUCGGUACUGUGAGGGACUCGAAGGUGGCCACACAACAGUUUAUGCAUCCAUAUUUAUCUUUUAAUUUAUAAGUAGUUUAAUUUGGGUAUUUUUAUGUACUAGGGCCUCUCGGGAUUUUAUUUUUAUUUUAGGAUUUAUAUUUGUUUUGCUUUAAUACUACUAGCGGUAGGAAAAACACGCGGGUUUUCAAAAAGAUAAAUGUUUUUCACAAAUACCAUGAAUACGCAAACAGUUUAAGAGCUACCAUAAGAAAACAACAUUUUACAAGUAAACACUAGUAUGCAACUGUUUUAAAAAGCUUCCGCUACAAACGAGAUUUUGAAAUUAAUAAUGUUUUAAAAUAAAUACUUUUGAUAGUGACGUAAGUUUUAAAACCAUCUUCUAGAUCACACAAUGAGGCUUAAAAAAGAUUGGGCUUUGCAAACGAUAUCAUGCUUUAUGAAAAACACUUCAAUGUGACAUCGCCAGAUUCAGGCAUAACGUCCAGGCCCGGUUUGGGGUGUUACCUUUAGUGGCAUCAAAGCCAGGUUGUAAAACUCAGCUGUGGAUUUGGGUUUCUUCCUAAACUUGGAAUUUCUAAAAGAACUAUUUUAAAUAAUUUGAAGUAUUUUGAAAUGUUAUAUUGAAUGUGUGGUACACCGAGUCUCCGCGCUGAUCCUGUAAGUUCUCUGAGAACUGUAUUUUGAUUUUGGCUGAAACUACCAUGGGUAGGAUUACUAAGGGUGCUGUAGGUAUUAUAUCAUACUAAAAACUCUUUAGUAGUGUAUACUGAAACUUUAAAGAAACUGGUAGACACCAAUAGGCACUGCUUUGUAUGAAAAUAAAACUUUAUACUUUUGAUACUGUCUCCAUAAAACAUCUAUUAAUAAAAACUGGAACCUUAAACUGAUGUAAAAAACUGUUAACAAAGAUAAAAUGUAAUUCGAUAAUAAACACCGUAGGUACUCGCGAAAUGGGUACAAGAGGCUGCGGUGAAGGCAAGGGAGGUGCUUGAGCUUGGUUUCAUGAUCGUGCAGCUGAGUAUUGGAUUGACGCAUUGUUUCAGUCUAUCUAUAGACUUUACUGGGAUCAUUCAAGUUAAAUGUGGUAGCGCUUUAGAAUUAGAGUGCGCAGUAGGAGCUUAGUGGUGUAGUCUAUGUAUGCGACUGAUUUCGUAGUUGAAAAUUUCGGGGAUGAAAUUUUUUUAAGUAUGGGUGAAUUAUAACGCCCCGAAUUUUGGGCCUAAAAGUAUUAGGUCUUGAGUAUAGGAACAGUUAGGAAGCUGCUCAUAAAUAUUUAGUUGUGUAAGACAGUGUCACAACUGUGUAUCUAUUUCAGUGGUUAAAGUGUUCUGGGACUGUCUAAGAAGUCUUGGGUUCAAGCUUGGGCAAGUGCAAAAAGUUUUGUUAUUUUUUUAAAGGAUUAAGCAUUGUCUCUUGGCAGUAGGCUUUUAAAUAAAAAUGGGUAAAGCAUGUCAAAAAAGGGCCUACUGGUCUAAGGGAUAAGUGGUGUGCUAUGGUUACUUGAGGUCUGAGGUUCGAAUCCUACUUUGAGCAGUGGAGUGUUUUAUUUUGCUGCACUGGCUGUGUGGGUAGUAGAGGAUGAUUGAAACGCUGCUGAGUGGAGUGGAGUUUGAAUUGGUCUUGGAGGGAUUUGAGGAGGGAUUUUAGGAGAGAAUUAAGGGAGGAAAAUGUGGAAUUUAAAAUGUGGAAGAGUUGUGCCGAAUUGAAUCAGAGGUUCACAGAAAGUUUUAGCUAUUCUAUCAAUUUUCGGUUUUGUAUGCUCAUUCCCUUUUGCGUUUUGGUUCUUUUCUGUCCCUUGGGCUGAAUUCUGCCUCCAGUGUUACCUUUGUUUCUUUUAAUCAAGUUCGUUCAUUUUACUCUUCUUGGGGCCGAAUGUAACAGGAAUCUUUCGGGAUUUCAGUUUUCUCUCAGUUUCUUUUCUUAACCGAUCUACUUUAUCUCUUUCCCCCAUUCAGUUUGUUGUUUGAUCAAAUACCUUCUCUUCCCUUCUCUGCUCUUUUUCUCAACACUCUCUUCUUGUCAUCCAUUUAUAUCAGUACCUUGAUCGUUUACUACAUCUCUCUUCUCUCUAUGUUCUCUGUCGAUUUUUGGGGGUAAUUACAAGUGCUUGAUUUUGCGUUUGGUAAGUCUAACUUUUAGUUCGAGUUCAAACUGCUCUUUCAUAUAGUCAUUAACAGGUUGGAUUUUAGUUUGUAUCCAAGGGUUUGGGUGAUCAUCAUUUUUCGACUAAUAAGGUGAAAAGGGCUUCGAUUGACUCAAUUAAGGUAAGGGGUAUCGACUGAAUGUUUUAGUGUAUUAGUAUAGUGUUAUUUGAUGCUGGUUGAUUAAUGUGUGUGCUCGCUCGUGUGGUAGUCUAUAUGCCUAAACAUGGGCGUAGGAUCGAUGAGUCCGGCCAUGAGCGAUUUCAUGGGCUGAGAUCGUUUCUGGCUACGUUGGGCAAAAAUGGGUUGUGUGGGCCCCACACAAUUUAAUCAUAUGGACGUGUGGAGAAUUGUGGGCCAGGCUGUGUAUUCCACGCGGCCAAGGCUGUUUUUGGGCUAUGUGGGCCACAUGGGCAUGUGGGCCCACAUGGGCCCCCAAUAUGGGCCUUGGUUCUAUUUUCACUGUUGGACUGUUUAGGUUGCACAGGUUGCCCGAGACGACCGUGGACCUACUGUUGGGUUGGGAAGUAUACCUAGACUCUAAUUUGAUGAAAUGACUAUUUUGCCCUUAUGUGGUAAAAUGGCUAAAAUGCCCCUACAUGGUAAAUUGACUAUCUUGCCCCUAUGUGAUGUAUGGUUAUAUUUUAGCAUGCUAUUUGUAACUGUAUUGAGUACAUGUGUAAUAUUAUGGUAUGACAUGUCACGUCGCAUAAUGCAUUGCAUGGGGAUGGGUUUAUAUAUGAUUGGAGGAAGUGUACUGUACUGCCAGCUCUGCUGCAAAUCACUGAUGGCUUUAAGUUUAUUAUACUAGCAGCUCUGCUGCAUAUUACUGUCUAGUGCCGUCCGGUGCUAAUUCUGGAGUGUAGUGAUGGGUAGGUUGAUUCUAUCCCCACAUGGAGUGUAGGGUUAGACGGAGAUAGAGUGUAGAGACUGGAUGGGUAGGACUUGCAUACUGUUUUAUGUUUCUGCAUUAUUUACUUUACUGCAAUGGGCCAAGGCCCGAACAUAUGACUUUUUCUGUAUUGAGAUGGGCUAAAGCCCAAACUGACACUACCACUGUUACUAAAAAGGGCUUAGGCCCAGAUUGUAUUUGUUCGCCGUAUGUUUGACUGCCUGUUUGUUAGGGGAUUACACAUUGCAUUUUUGUAAACUUACCCUUCUGCGUAACUGCGCAGGAAAUCCUUAGACGGAUCGGUGCUGCGAGGGACUCGAAGGUGACCACAUAAUAGUUUAUGCAUCCAUAUUUGUCUCUUAAUUUAUAAGUAGUUUAAUUUGGGUAUUUUUAUGUUCUAAGGCCUCUAAGGAUUUUAUUUUUAUUUUGGGGUUAAUAUUUGUUUUGCUUUAAUACUACUAGCGGUAGGAAAAACACGCAGGUUUUUAAAAAGAUAAGUGUUUUUAAAAAAUACCACGAAUACGCAAAUAGUUUAAGAGCUACCAUAAGAAAACAACGUUUUACAAGUAAACGCCAGCACGCAACUGCUUUAAAAAGCUUCCGUUACAAAAGAGAUGUUGAAAUUAUUAAUGUUUAAAAGAAAUACUUUUGAUGGUGACGUAAGUUUUAAAACCAUCUUCUAGAUCACAUAAUGAGGCUUAAUAAAGAUUAGGUUUUCCAAACGAUAUCAUGCUUUACGAAAAACACUUCAAUUUGACAUCGCCAAAUUCGAGCAUAACGUUCAGGCUGGGUUUGGGUGUUACGUUUAGUAGCAUCAAAGCUGGGUUGCAAAACUUAGCUGUGGAUUUGAGUUUCUUCCUAAACUUGGAAUUUCUAAAAGAACUGUUUUAAAUGAUUUGAAGUAUUUUGAAAUGUUAUACUAAAUGUGUGGUACACCAAGUCUCCGCGCCGAUCCUGUAAGUUCUCUCUAAAAACUGUAUUUUGAUUUUGGCUAAAACUGCCAUAGGUAGGAUUACUAAGACUGCUGUAGGUAGUAUAUCAUACUAAAAACUCUUUAGUAAUGUAUACUGAAACUGUAGACAAACCGAUAGACACCAAUAGACACUGCGUUGUGCGAAAAUAAAACUUUAUACUUUUGAUACUGUCUCCAUAAAACAUCUAUUAAAAAAACUGGAACUAUAAACUGAUGCAAAAAAUUGUUAACAAAGAUAAACGCAAUUUGAUAAUAAACACCGUAGGUACUCGCAGAAUGGGUACAAGAGGCUGCGGUAGAGGCUGGGGAGGUGCUCGAGCUUGGUCUCAUGAUCGUGCGACUGAGUAUUAGAUUGACGCAUUAUUCUAGUCUAUCUACAGAAUUUACUGGAAUCAUUCAGGUUAAAUGUGGUCGCACUUUGGAAUUAGAGUGUGCAGCAGGAGUGUAGUGGUGUAGUCUAUCUAUGCGACUGAUUCUAUAGUUGGAAAUUUUGGGGACAAAAUUUCUGUAAGGAGGGGUGAAUUGUAACGCCUCGAAUUUUGGGCCUAAAAGUAUUAGGUCUUGAGUAUAGGAACAGUUAAAAAGCUGUUCAUAAAUAUUUAGUUGUGUAAGAAAGUGUCACAACUAUGUAUCUGUUUCAGUGGUUAAAGUGUUCUGGGAGUGUCUAAGAAGUCUUAGGUUCAAGCCUGGACAGGUGCAAAAAAUUUUGUUUUUUAAAGGAUUAAGCACUGUCUCUUAGCAGUAGGCUUUUAAAUAAAAAUGGGUAAAGCAAGUCAAAAAGGGGCCUGCUGGUCUAAGGGAUAAGUGGCGUGCUAUGGUUACUUGAUUCUGAGGUUCGAAUCCUACUUUGAGCAAUAGAGUGUUUUAUUUUGCUACACUGGCUGUAUGGGUAGUAGAGGGUGACUGAAACGCUGCUGAGUGGAGUGGAGUUUGAAUUGCUCUUGGAGGGAUUUGACGAGGGAUUUUAAGAGAGAAUUAAGGGUGGAAAAUGUUUAGUUUGAAAUGUGGAAGAGUUUUGCAGAAUUGAAUAAGAGGUUCACAGGAAUUUUUUGCUGAGUUUGGCUAUUCUCUCAAUUUUCGGUUUUGUAUGCUCAUUCCCUUUUGCGUUUUGGUUCUUUUCUGUCCCUUGGUGUCGAAUUAUGCCUCCAGUGUUACCUUUGCUUCUUUUCAUUGGGUUCUUUCAUUUUACUCUUAUUGGGGCCGAAUGUAACAAGAAUUUUUCGGGAUUUGAGUUUUCUCUCGAUUUCUUUUCUUAACCGAUCUACUCUAUCUCUUUCCCUCAUUAUGUUUGUUAAUUGAUCAUAUACCUUCUCUUCUCUUCUCUUCUAUUUUUGUCAUCCAUUUAUUUUAGUACCUUGACCGUUUACUACAUCUCUCUUCUCCUUGUGUUCUCUAUCGAUUUUUGGAGGUAAUUACAAGUGCUCGGUUUUGUGUUUGGUAAAUCUUACUUUCAGUUUGAGUUCAAACUUCUCUUUCAUAUAGUCGUUAACAGGUUGGAUUUCAGGUUGUAUCCAAACAUUUUGGUGAUCGUCAUUUCUCGUCUAAUAAUGUGAAAGUGUAAUAUCCUGAUUUUGGGCCUAGUCGGAAUAGUAGUUUUGUGACCACAAAAUCUGAGAUAGAAAUAAUUAUUUUAUGAUUAUUUUGAGGUCGAUGAUAUGAUUGCAUGAUUGUGUGAAAAAUUCGUGAAGAAAUUUUAUGCAUAAAGUGCUUAAAUUGAAAUUAGGGACUAAAUCGAAUAAUUUGCAAAACUUACAUUCUAGAAGUUUCUAGUAUGAAAUUGUUUUGAAAUAUUAAUUAGGAGGUCUUAAAUAGCAAUUUUACCAAUUUCUAAGUCUAUGGACAAAAAUUGGACAUGGAUGGAAUUUUUGGAAAGUUUAAUAGUAAGGGCAUUUUGGUCAUUUAGUGGUAAAAUGAAUUAAAAUACAAAACUAAAAGCCAAUUUUGCUCAUCUUCAACCCCAUGGCCGAAUAUAGCAAGGAGAAACCAUGGCUAGGGUUUUUCAAGAUUCCAAGCUCGAUUGUAAGUCCGUUCUAGCCUCAUUUUUAACGAUUUUUACGUUUUUGGAGUCCCGGUAGCUCGAUUAAGCUUAUGCUAGCAAUAAUUCAACCUAGGGUUCAUAUUUGGAAAAAUACCCAUAGGUGAAAUUUUUGUAUUUUGGUGUUUUAUGAUAGAAUAUGAGGUUUUAAAUUAUGUUAGACAACUUGUACUACUCGGUUUUAAGCGAAAACGAGCGAAAGGGCUUAAUUGGUAAAAAUACCUAAUAGUCAUAAGUACAUGUUAGAGUGAGAAUUUGAUGUUGCCAUAGAAGGGAAAAAUGAUCAGCAUGUCAUAAAACAUAAUAAAAUAGGCUGAAGUUUAAUUUACGAGCUUUGGGGCAAAAGUGUAAAUAUGUGAAAGUUUAGCGGCAAAACUGUAAUUUUUCCAAAAUAUGAGUUUGGGUCAAUUUGAAUAAUGUGAGUCCUAAUUAGACUAUAUUUUAAAUGGUAGAGCAAGGAAAACUAAAAUUCGGGCUAAAAUGGGGAAAGUACCAAGUUGUGGACGAAAUGGUAAAAGUAGCCAUUUUCGCAUACGAGGUAAGUUCAUGUGUAAAUAAUGUAGUAUAAUUGUUAUUUUUAAGUUAUUGAUGUUAAUUAUAUGAUAUGCUGAUUUUUAUCAUGAAGUAUAUGCUUUGUGGUUAUUUUCGAAGAAAAUGCAAAUUAUGUGAAUUAUUUGUUAAAUAUAAAGUGCUACCGAAUUGGUUUCGGUAUUUUACGGAAGAUGGCAUGGAGAUGUGCUCGAGGAAAAUCCUGUUUGAACCUUAGGAAUAGAUUAGGGUACAAGUGACAUGUCACUAGAAUAUUUGGGCAUCCGAACUCGUUGAGUUGAGUCCGAGUUCACUUAUGGAUGCGAAUGUUCGAACUCGUUGAGUUGAGUCCGAGUUCGAGAGAUGUAACUAGGCAUCUGAGCUCGUUGAGUUGAGUCCGAGUUCACUUAUGGAUGUGAACGCUCGAGCUCAUUGAGUUGAGUCUGAGUUCACUUAUGGGUGGGUUACAUGGUAGCUUGGCUACAUAUGUGGCACUUAUGUGCAAACUUUCCAUGUAUCCGAAUUAUAUUCUGAUGUGUUCAACGGGUAAAAUUCUACUCAAAUAGAGGAAUACUCGAGAUGAAAGGGACCUAUUGGUAAGUGUUGUGAAAUGAAUACUUUGAACAGGUAUGUACUUAACCCUCAGGUUGAAAACUCGAUAUAACAACAAUAUGGUAAGAUGAUAAAUGAAAAUGUGAUAUGAAUGUCUCGGUGAUGAUUAUGCAAAUGAUGUUUUAUGUUUGCUUAUAUAGUUGUGUUACUUGCUAUUUGCAUGUGAGCUUACUAAGCAUUUAUGCUUACUUCCUCCUUUUCAUUCCUUGUAGUGUUGACAAGCCAGCUCGGAAAUCGGGAACAGUCGGAGGCAUGCUCACACUAUCCGUAUACCAUCUUGGAAUAAUGGCUUGCAUAUUUUGAGUAUGGCAUGUAUAGCAUUAUAAUCAUUUUGUAUAUAUGGUCUUAUGAUAUGGUUAUUGAGUGGUAUGGAAAUUCUUGGUAAUGAUUAGCCAUUGGAAUGGCUAAUCAUGAUCAUAUUUGGUGUUAUGUAUGCUAAAUUGCUAGCUAAUUCAUGGAAACCAUGAAAUAGGUAAAAUUUACCAUAAAAUAGAUUCUGACAGCAGCAGUGACUUGAGUUUGAAAAAUCAUUAAAAAUAGUAGAGAUACAAUUAGAUGAUGAAUAAAAUAUGGAAUUGAAGAAUUAUGAGUCUAUUUUCAUAUGGAUGGAACAAAACAGGUAUAUGAGUUAUAUUUUAUGAGAUGUUUAAAUUUUUGUGAAACAGGGCCAGAGCGAUUUUUGGAUCCCCUGUUCUGACUUUGGAAAUUCACCAUAAAUUGUUCAAAGAUAAUUAGAAGUCAUAAUUUAUAUGUAAAGAUUUCUUAUUGAGUCUACUUUUAUUAGAAAUAAACGGCAUAGUCAUUGAAACUUUGUACAGGGAGAUAUCUGAUUCAUAAUACACAGAGGUCAGAGUAGUUGAACCCUGAAAUAGGGGAGACUUUAACUAAUAAACUGUACUAAUUUGCUUGAUAAAAAUUCUAUAAAAAAUUAUUAAAUAGAUAUAUAAGUCUAGUUUCAUGGAAAAUUUACAGAAUUGGAUUUCGAGUUUUGGAACUCGAGAUAUGAAUUUUUAAGCAACUGUGAUGCAGAUUGCUAGCUUGACUGAAAAUUUUAAAAAUAAAUUGUUUGAGCUGUUUAAGUAAUGAAUUAAGUCUGUUAACACCUUGUGUUUGACUCCGGCGACGUUCUCGGGUAUGGGGCGUUACAUUUGGUGGUAUCAGAGCAGGUUUAGUCUAUUUUCGGACUAACCUAGCAUGUGUAAAAGUUUAGCUAUACAUCCCACUGAUCUGUGAUAGUGUGAUGUCUUCCGACGCGUAUAAGUACCGUCUUAUUUAGACAGGGUACUCUCCAACCGAGCUGCGCCGACCAUGUUCAAUGUUAUGUGAAGGUAUUUGAGUAAAAUUAUAAUUAUGAUAAUUCUCGGUUCAGAAAAGUAUGAAUAAAAGUUUAUGAUACAUAUGUGAUAAAUAUUCAUAUUUGCUUAAUGCUCAUAUGAUGUAGUGUAUGUGGCUUACUUGAUAAGAUGAACAGAAUAAAUAGAAAGUAGUAGAGGUAUGAAUAAAAUUCAUAAUAUUAUGAUACGAAUGAAAAUGUCUUUGUCUUGAUUUGGACGUCGAAUGUUGAUGAAUGCUAAUGAUAUAUAAUUUUUAUGAGAUAAAGGAUUAUAAUGAAAUGAACUUAUCUAUGUUAAAUUGUUGGACUAAAUUAUAUGAUUGUAAUGAUAUGUACAUGAUGAUGCACGAAAUGAAAGUUGUGAUUGUGAUGCAAAUAUCGAUGUUUUUUUGGCCUUAUAUGAUGUCAUGAGCAUGAAUUAAUUUAAUUAAAUGAAUGGAUAAGUAAAGCUAUCUAGAAAACAUAGAAUGUAUGCAUAAGUAUAUUGUCUAAAUGGGACAAUAGGAAAAUUUGUGUAAGCCAACAUGAAUGUUGCAUUGCCUGAAUGAAUGACAUGAUUUUGAUGAUGUUUCUAUGAUGAUGGAAGUUGUGUCAUAUGUGUAUGUAUAAGAAAGUCGAGUCAGAGGUCCUACAAUCCCUCCCCCUUACCGAAAUGGUACUUAUAAUGAAAUUUCAUGAGAUUUGUAUUGAAUAAGUUUCUGGUUGAGAACCCAAAGAGUUCAGUGAUAGAAUAAUUAUAAGUAUGAUCAGAGAUUGAAAAUGAGCUGAUAAGUAAAGUCAGAGUCAGUAAAGUAUCGGAUUGAUAUAAAGAUUAUUGGAAUUAUGCACUGUCCCAGUUAGAGAAGGAAUUCUCUUUGGUAAAUCGAAUUACUCAGGUGCAAGGUCGAGAAAAGUGUAAAUCAAAAUUUAUUCAGAACUGGCCUUCUUUAGUGAAUGGUUUAAUAUGAAAUUUGGGAUGGCAGAACUAGUUGGGGAAAUGAUAUUUGAAAUGUAAACUAUCUAAGUGUGACAGUUGUGACUGGACAGAUUUAGCAGUCUCUUUUGAGAUGUUCUAUGUGUUUACCUGUUCUCAGAAAUAUUUCUAUAGCUAUUAUCUUCUGAAGAAAUUCUUGUUAUAUGGGAAUGUCUUCUAAUUCUGGUGUUGGAUGAAAGCAUUGGUAGUCUGACUGGUUUAUAAUUUAUAUUGCUCUAUUUCAUCGGGUAUUCUAUUUCAUUUCGUCUGAUAAGAAUUGAUGAGAGAAUACAUAUGAUAUUAUGAUUCUGUUUCUUCUACUUGAUGCUUCAUCUGAUAUAUAUGUAUGGGAAGAUAUAUUGAUCUUGUUAUAUUUGAUUUCAGUGGGAUUAAAUGAUGCUUUCUUUUGGACUUUCUUUCUUUGAAGAAUAAUCGGGGUAUUCUGUAUUUUCUCUAUGAGUUUGGUUUUCGAUUUUCCGGCAUAAUAUCGUAUCUUGGGUUUCUUUAUCCUUGAUCUCUUUAUUCUGGAUUUCUUUAUUUUGAGUUUCUCUAUCUUGGGUUUCUUUAUUCGGUUUUCUUGUUAUCUUUGUUCCAUAAUUUGUCAAUUAUGACUCAUGUUUGAAGUACGUUCUUCAGUUCGUGAUAAUCAUGUCAAAUAUGACUAUACUUCUAAUUUGAUCUUGGUAAUGUGGUGAUUUUAGUAUUGGGAUUUUUUCUAAUUUCUGUGUAAGGAUUUGACAUCAGUAAAGGCAUAGGUGAUAAAAGCGCGAGUUUCAGUCGGUAUGGUGAAUUAUUUAUUUGAAAGAUUUCAUGUGACAAUUAUGCCAGGAUUAUUUUUCUCAAGCCUGAUAAUAUAAUUUCAUUUUGUACUGAUAAAAUAGUAAAUAGUCUGAACGAGAAGUGUAUAUUUAUUAGAAAGAGUUGGAUAUUAGGUAAAGUCACUACGAAUGAUAAGGUUUUCGUCUUGUGAAAGCUGAAAAGUUUAUUACAUGUUGACAAAGUUUGGAUAGAUGAGAAUAUUGGUAACCGAAGCGUCUGAACUAGACUAGUCUACAUUGAGUAAAGACUUCCCGACUUUCAGUAAUGUACUAUUGUAUGAAUUGUGAUGUGUUUCAAGACAGUGAGGUAAUGUGAUAGUUUAGAUCAUCCGAUGUUACAUAAAAUCGUAGUUGUUAAAGGGGUUAAAGCCGAGCAUUGGGAUCUAUCAAAAUUAUCCUUGUCAAUGUUGAUAUUGGGACGGAAAUGAGAAGGAUUAUUCUUGAGGCCAUAUCAGAAUUAUUUCCAUGGCGGAAAGAGGAAAAUGUGAUGUAUCUUAUUGUUAAAUGUUUGGCGAGAUCUAUAAAUCAUAUCUAUAUUGAAUGAAUUCCUACUUAUCAGAUUCAUGGAAUUUCAGGUCUCUUUGAUUGUUGGAUUUCUUGGAAUUUCGGUCUCCAUUAAUCAAGUUAAGAUCCAGGUUUUAUGUCAUGAUAUCAUGGGAAACUGAGAAGGGUUGAAAAUUUAAGAACAGUUGAGAGUUGAGACUGUAAGCUUUCAGAUCAUAUGAGAAAUUAAAGAGAUGUAUUGGAGGUACAGCCUAAGUGAAAGUUCUUCGGCACUGAAUAUGAGAUUAAAAGUGAAGACCACUUUUCUGGUAAGAUUUUCGGGGACGAAAAUCCCUAAAGGGGGGAGAGUUGUAAUAUCCUGAUUUUGGGCCUAGUCGGAAUAGUGGUUUCGUGACCAUAAAAUUCGAGAUAGAAAUAAUUAUUUUAUGAUUAUUUUGAGGUCUAUGAUAUGACUGCAUGAUUGUGUGAAAAAUUCGUGAAGAAAUUUUAUGCAUAAAGUGCUUAAAUUGAAAUUAGGGACUAAAUCGAAUAAUUUGCAAAACUUGCAUUCUAGAAGUUUCUAGUAUGAAAUUGUUUUGAAAUAUUAAUUAGGUCUUAAAUAGCAAUUUUACCAAUUUCUAAGUCUAUGGACAAAAAUUGGACAUGGAUGAAAUUUUUGGAAAGUUUAGUAGUAAGGGCAUUUUGGUCAUUUAGGGGUAAAAUGAAUUAAAAUACAAAAAUAAAAGCCAAUUUUGCUCAUCUUCAACCCCAUGGCCGAAUAUAGCAAGGAGAAACCAUGGAUAGGGUUUUUCAAGCUUCCAAGCUCGAUUGUAAGUCUGUUCUAGCCUUGUUUUUAACGAUUUUUACGUUUUUGGAGUCCCGAUAGCUCGAUUAAGCUUAUGCUAGCAAUAAUUCAACCUAGGGUUCAUAUUUGGAAAAAUACCCAUAGGUUAAAUUUGUGUAUUUUGGUGUUUUAUGAUAGAAUAUGAGGUUUUAAAUUAUGUUAGACAACUUGUACUACUCGGUUUUAAGCGAAAACGAGCAAAAGGGCUUAAUUGGUAAAAAUACCUAAUAGUCAUAAGUACAUGUUAGAGUGAGAAUUUGAUGUUGCCAUAGAAGGGAAAAAUGAUCAUCAUGUCAUAAAACAUAAUAAAAUAGGCUGAAGUUUAAUUUACGAGCUUUGGGGAAAAAGUGUAAAUAUGUGAAAGUUUAGCGGCAAAACUGUAAUUUUUCCAAAAUAUGAGUUUGGGUCAAUUUGAAUAAUGUGAGUCCUAAUUAGUCUAUAUUUUAAAUGAUAGAGCAAGGAAAACUAAAAUUCGGGCUAAAAUGGGGAAAGUACCAAAUUGGGGACGAAAUGGUAAAAGUAGCCAUUUUCGCAUACGAGGUAAGUUCAUGUGUAAAUAACGUAGUAUAAUUGUUAUUUUUAAGUUAUUGAUGUUAAUUAUAUGAUAUGCUGAUUUUUAUCAUGAAGUAUAUGCUUUGUGGUUAUUUUCGAAUAAAAUGCAAAUUAUGUGAAUUAUUUAUUAAAUAUAAAGUGCUACCGGGUAUUGGUUUCGUUAUUUUACGGAAGAUGGCAUGGAGAUGUGUUCGAGGAAAAUCCCGUUUGAACCUUAGGAAUAGAUUAGGAUACAAGUGACAUGUCACUAGAAUAUUUGGGUAUCCGAACUCGUUGAGUUGAGUCCGAGUUCGAGAGAUGUAACUAGGCAUCAGAGCUUGUUGAGUUGAGUCCGAGUUCACUUAUGGAUACGAACGCCCGAGCUCGUUGAGUUGAGUCCGAGUUAACAUAUGGGCGGGUUACAUGGUAGCUUGGCUACAUAUGUGGCACUUAUGUGCAAACUUUCCACGUAUCCGAAUUAUAUUCCGAUGUGUUCAACGGGUAAAAUUCUACUCAAAUAGAGGAAUACUCGAGAUGAAAGGGACGUAUUGGUAAGUGUUGUGAAAUGAAUACUUUGAAUAGGUAUGUACUUAACCCUCGGGUUGAAAACUCGAUAUAACAACAAUAUGGUAAGAUGAUAAAUGAAAAUGUGAUAUGAUGUUUUAUGUUUGCUUAUAUAGUUGUGUUACUUGCUAUUUGCAUGUGAGCUUACUAAGCAUUUAUGCUUACUUCCUCCUUUUCAUUCCUUGUAGUGUUAACAAGCCAGCUCGGAAAUCGGGAAUAGUCGGAGGCAUGCUCACACUAUCCAUAUACCAUCUUGGCAUAAUGGCUUGCAUUUUUUGAGUAUGGCAUGUAUAGCAUUAUAAUCAUUUUGUAUAUAUGGUCUUAUGAUAUGCUUAUUGAGUGGUAUGGAAAUGCUUGGUAAUGAUUAGCCAUUGGAAUGGCUAAUCAUGAUCAUAUUUGGUGUUAUGUAUGCUAAAUUGCUAGCUAAUUCAUGGAAACCAUGAAAUAGGUAAAAUUUACCAUAAAAUAGAUUCAGACAGCAGCAGUGACUUGAGUUUGAAAAAUCAUUAAAAAUAUUAGAGGUACAAUUAGAUGAUGAAUAAAAUAUGGAAUUUAAAAAUUAUGAGUCUAUUUUCAUAUGGAUGGAACAAAACAGGUAUAUGAGUUAUAUUUUAUGAGAUGUUUAAAUUUUUGUGAAAUAGGGCCAGAGCAAUUUCUGGAUCCCCUGUUCUGACUUUGGAAAUUCACCAUAAAUUGUUCAAAGAUAAUUAGAAGUCAUGAUUUAUAUGUAGAGAUUUCUUAUUGAGUCUAGUUUUAUUAGAAAUAAACGGCAGAGUCAUUAAAACUCUGUACAGGGAGAUCUCUGAUUCGUAAUACACAGAGGUCAGAGCAGUUGAACCCUGAAGCAGGGGAUACUUUAACUAAUAAAAUGUACUAAUUUGCUCGACAAAAAAUUCUAGAAAACAAUUAGUAAAUAGAUAUAUGAGUCUAGUUUCAGGGAAAAUUUAUGGAAUUGGAUUUCGAGUUUUGGAACUCGAGAUAUGAAUUUUUAAGCGACUGUGACGCAGAUUGCUAGCUUGACUGAAAAUUUUUAAAAUAAAUUGUUUGAGCUGUUUAAAUAAUGAAUUAAGUUUGUUAACACCUCGUGUUCGACUUCGGCGAUGGUCUCGGGUACGGGGCAUUACAGAAAGGGCUUCGGUUGACUCAAUUAAGGUAAGGGGUAUCGACUAAAUGUCUUAGUGUAUUAGGAUAGUGUUAUUUGAUGCUGGUUGAUUAAUGUUUACCAAUGUUUGAUUGGUGCAUAGGAACUUUUUAGGGAGGGGGAAAAGGUCCUUAGUUGGCAUAGGGUGGAUGGAUCUCUCCUGGUUGCUUGUUCGAAGGUAUGUUAUUGUGUAAGUUUAACGAUUAGGAUAAUGGAGUAUAUGCAAUUGGGUACUGGAUUAAGUGUGUAACCGAAGACUAUUGUUUAAGUGUAAGAUCUAAAAGUACAGGCAGUCUCUUUUCUCGGCAAAUAGAAGCAAGGUGUGUAAAAACACUGCCCUAAUCGUAAGUCGGCAAAAGCUGAAAUAAGUGACCGUCGACACUACACAAGCGUGCGCUCGCUUGUGUGGUAGUCCGUUUGCCUAAACAUAGGCGUAUGAUCGAUGAGUCCGGCCAUGAGCAAUUUCAUGGGCUGAAAUCGUUUCUGGCCACGUUGGGCUGAAAUGGGCCGUGUAUUCCACAUGACAUGUUAAUCACACGAGUUAAUCACACGGACGUGUGGAGAAUUUUGGGCUAGGCUAUGUAUUCCACAUGGCCAAGGCCAUUUCUGGGCUAUGUGGGCCACACGGGCAUGUAGGCCCACAAUAUGGGCCUUGGGUCUAUUUUCUCUGUUGGACUGUUAAGGUUGCACAGGUCGCCCGAGACGAUUGUAGACCUACUGUUGGGUUGGUAAGUAUACCUAGACCCUAAUCUGAUAAAAUGACUAUUUUACCCUUAUGUGGUAAAAUGGCUGAAAUGCCCUUACUUGGUAAAUUGACUGUCUUGCCCCUAUGUGAUUUAUGUUUAUAUUUUAGCAUGCUAUUUGUAACUAUGUUGAGUACAUGUGUAAUAUUAUGGUAUGACAUGUCACGUCGCAUGAUGCAUUGCAUGGGGAUAGGUUUAUAUAUGAUUGGAGGAAGUGUACUGUACUGGCAGCUCUACUGCAAAUCAAUGAUGGCUUUAAGCCUAUUAUACUGGUAGCUCUGCUGCAUAUUACUGUCUAGUGCCGCAGCCAGUGCUAAUUCUGCAGUGUAGUGAUGGGUAGGUUGAUUAUAUCUAUACAUAGAGUGUAGGGUUAGACGGAGAUGAAGUGUAGAGGCAGGAAGGGUAGGACUUGCAUACUAUUUUCUAUUUCUGCACUGUUUACUGUUACAGCAAUGGGCCAAGGCCCGAACAUAUGACUUUUUCUGUAUUGAGAUGGGCUAAAGCCCAAACUGAUACUACCACUAUUACUAAAAAGGGCUUAGGCCCAAAUUGUAUUUGUUCACUAUAUGUUUGAUUGUCUGUUUGUUAGGGGAUUACACACUGCGUUUUUGUAAACUUACCCUUCUGCGUAACUGUGCAGGAAAUCCUUAGAUGGAUCGGUGUUGCGAGGGACUCGAAGGUGGCCACAUAAUAUUUUAUGCAUCCAUAUUUGUCUUUUAAUGUAUAAGUAGUUUAAUUUGGGUAUUUUUAUGUACUAGGGCCUCUCGGGAUUUUAUUUUUAUUUUUGGGAUUUAGAUUUGUUUUGCUUUAAUUCUGCUAGCGGUAGGAAAAACACGCAGGUUUUCAAAAAGAUAAGUGUUUUUCAAAAAUACCACGAAUACGCAAAUAGUUUAAGAGCUACCGUAAGAAUAUAACGUUUUACAAGUAAACGCUAGUAUGCAACUGCUUUAAAAAGCUUCCACUACAAAUGAGAUUUUGAAAGAAAUAACGUUUUAAAAUAAAUACUUUUGAUAGUGGCAUAAGUUUUAAAACCAUCUUCUAAAUCACACAAUGAGGCUUAAUAAAGAUUGGGCUUUGCAAACGAUAUCAUGCUUUACGAAAAACACUUUAAUAUGACAUCGCCAGAUUCGGCCACAAUGUCCAGGCCGGGUUUGGGGUGUUACGUUUAGUAGUAUCAAAGCUAGGUUGCAAAACUUAGCUGUGGAUUUGGGUUUCUUCCUAAACUUGGAAUUUCUAAAAGAACUGUUUUAAACGAUUUGAAGCAUUUUGAAAUGUUAUACAGAAUGUGUGGUAUACUGAGUCUCCGCGCCAAUCCUGUAUGUUUUCUUUGAAAACUGUAUUUUGAUUUUUGCUGAAAUUGCCAUAGGUAGGAUUACUAAGACUGCUGUAGGUAGUAUACCAUACUACAAACUCUUUAGUAGUGUAUACUGAAACUGUAGACAAAUCGGUAGACACCAAUAGACACUACGUUGUGCAAAAAUAAAAAUUUAUACUUUUGAUACUGUCUCCAUAAAACAUCUGUUAAUAAACACUAGAACUGUAAAUUGAUGCAUAAAAUUGUUAACAAGAUAAAAUGUAAUUCGAUAAUAAACACCGUAGGUACUCACGGAAUGGGUACAAGAGGCUGCGGCGGAGGCCAGGGAGGUGAUCCAGCUUGGUCUCAUGAUCAUGCGACUGAGUAUUGGAUUAACGUAUUAUUCCAGUCUAUCUAUAGACUUGACUGGAAUCAUUCAGGUUAAAUGUGGUAGCGCUUUGGAAUUAGAGUGCGCAGCAAAAGCAUAGUGGUGUAGUCUACGUAUGCAACUGAUUUUAUAGUUAGAAAUUUUGGGGACGAAAUAUCUUUAAGGAGGGGUGAAUUGUAACGCCUCAAAUUUUGGGCCUAGAAGUAUUAGGUCUUGAGUAUGGGAAUAGUUAGGAAGCUACUCAUAAAUAUUUAGUUGUGUAAGAAAGUGUCACAACCGUUUAUCUGUUUCAGUGGUUAAAGUGUUCUGGGAAUGUCUAAGAAGUCUUGGGUUCAAGCUUGGGUAGGUGCAAAAAGUUUUCUUUUUUAAAGGAUUAAGCACUGUCUCUUGGGAGUAGACUUUUAAAUGAAAAUGGGUAAAGCAUGUCAAAAAGGGGCCUGCUGGUCUAAGGGAUAAGUGGCGUGCUAUGGUUACUUGAGGUUUAAGGUUCGAAUCCUACUUUGAGCAGUGGAGUGUUUUAUUUUGUUGCACUAGCUGUGUGGGUAGCAGAGGGUGACUGAAACACUACUGAGCGGAGUUGAGUUUGAAUUGGUCUUGAAGGGAUUUGAGGUGGGAUUUUAGGAGAAAAUUAAGGGAGGAAAAUGUGGAAUUUGAAAUGUGGAAGAGUUGUGCCAAAUUGAAUAAGAGGUUCACAGAAAUUUUUGGCUAUUCUCUCGAUUUCCAAUUUUGUAUGCUCAUUCCGUUUUGUGUUUUGGUUCUUUUCUGUCCCUUGGUGCUGAAUUCUGCCUCCAGUGUUACCUUUGUUUCCUUUCAUCGGGUUCUUUCAUUUUACUCUUCUUGGGCCGAAUGUAACAAGAAUCUUUCGGGAUUUGAGUUUUCUCUCAGUUUUCUUUCUUAACCGAUAUACUCUAUCUCUUUCCCCCAUUCAAUUUGCUGUUUGAUCAGAUACCUUCUCUUCCCUUCUCUGCUCUUUUUCUCAACACUCUCUUCUUUUUAUCUAUUUAUAUUAGUACCAUGACUGUUUACUACAUCUCUCUUCUCUCUAUGUCCUCUGUCGAUUUUGGGGGUAAUUACAAGUGCUCUAUUUUGUAUUCGGUAAGUCUAACUUUCAGUUCGGGUUCAAACUACUUAUUCAUAUAGUCGUUAAUAGGUUCGAUUUUAGGUUGUAUCCAGGGGUUUGGGUGAUCUUCAUUUCUUUACUAAUAAGGUGAAAAGGGCUUCGGUUGACUCAUUUAAGGUAAGGGGUAUCGAUUGAAUGUUUUAGUGUAUUAGUAUAGUGUUAUUUGAUGCUGGUUGAUUAAUGUUUACAAAUGUUUGAUUGGUGCAUAGGAACUUUUGAGGGAGGGGCAAGAGGUCCUUAGUUGGCGCAGGGUGGAUGGAUCUCUCCUCGUGGCUUGUUUGAAGGUAUGUUAUUGUGUAAGUUUAACGAUUAGGAUAAUGGAGUAUAUGCAAUUGGGUACUGGAUUAAGUGUGUAACCGAAGACAGCUGUUUAAGUAUAGGAUCCAAAAGUGCGGGCAGUCUCCUCUCUUGGCAAAUAGAAGCAAGGUGUGUAAAAAUACUACCUUAAUCGUAAGUUGGCAAAAGCCGAAAUAAGUGACCGUCGACACUACACAGGCAUGCGCUCGCUCGUGUGGUAUUUUGUAUGCCUAAACAUGGGCGUAUGAUCGGUGAGUCCGACCAUGGGCGAUUUCGUGGGCUGAGAUCGUUUCUGGCCAUGUUGGGCAGAAAUGGGCCUAUGGACCCCACACGGGUUAAUCACAAUGACGUGUGGAGAAUUUUGAGCCAAGUUGUGUAUUCCACAAAGACAAGUCCAUUUCUGGUCUAUGUGGGCCACAUGGACCCGCAAUAUGGGCCUUGGGUCCAUUUUCACUGUUGGAAUGUUAAGGUUGCACGAGUCGUACGAGACGACUGUGGACCUACUGUUAGGUCGGUAAGUAUACCUAGACCCCAAUUUGAUGAAUUGACCUUUUUGCCCUUAUGUGUAAAAUGACUGUUUUGCCCUUAUGUGGUAAAAUGACUGAAAUGCCCCUACAUGGUAAAUUGAUUGUCUUGCCCCUAUGUGAUGUAUGUUUAAAUUUUAGCAUGCUAUUUGUAACUGUAUUGAGUACAUGUGUAAUAUUAUGGAAUGACAUGUCACGUCACAUGAUGCAUUGCAUGGGGAUAGGUUUCUCUAUGAUUGGAGGAAGUGUACUGUACUAGCAGCUCUGCUGCAAAUCACUGAUGGUGUAACAUCUCGAAAUAGGGCCUAGUCAGAAUAGUGGUUUCGGGACCACAAAUCCGACAUCAAAAUAUUUAUUUUAUGAUUAUUGUGAGGCGUAGAAUAUGAGAAUAUGCAUGUGUUAAAAUUUCAUGAAGAAAUUCUUUGAGUAAGGUGUCUAAUUGGAAAUUAGGGAGUAAAUUGAAUAAAAUGCAAAACUUGAAUUCUAGAAGAAAUUUGUAUGAAAUUGAUUUAUAUUAUGAAUUAGAAGGUCAUGGGGAGAAAUUUUCCAAAUUUCUAAGUUUUUGGACAAAAAUGGGCUUGCAUGGAUGAAAUUUUAAAGAAAGGGCUUAAGGGCAUUUUGGUCAUUUGGCAUUUUAAUGAAAUAAAAUGGGAAAAAGAAAGCCAAAAUCAGGCAUCUUCUUCCCCAUAGCUGCCGAAAUCCCUAGAGCCCCAUAAGCUAGGGUUUUCAACAUUUCAAGCUUAAUAGUAAGUGCUCCCAAGCCCCGUUUUUAAUGCUCUUUAUAUUUUUGAGAUCCCGGUAGCUUGUUCUCUCCAUUUCUACCCAUAUUUCAUGCUAGGGUUCAUGCUUAAAAAUUUACCCAUGCAUGAGUUACUUUUAUUUUGAUGGAUUGUGGAAAAAUAUGAAGGUUGGAUGUGUGUUAAACAUCUUUUCCUAAGUGAUUUUCAUGAAAAAACCCUCAAAGAGACCUUUUUGCAAAAGUUGUAAAAUGUGUGGUAGAAAUGUGAAAAUAAUGGAAAAUUUGGGCUGCCUUAAGAGAGAAAAAUGUUCGGCUAGGCUUGGGUAAGAUAGAAAUUACUUGUGUUUCAUUAUACGAGCCUAGAGACUAAAUCGUAAAAAUGUGAAAAGUUAGGGGCAAAACGGUCAUUUGGGUCGGGGUGGAAUUUAGGCUUGAAAUGUAUAAUGUAGAGUGUUAAUAAUUUAAUUUUGUUGUUAUAGACCCUGAGGAACAAAUUCUGGAGGUCAAUCGAGGAAAACAAAAGGUUUCGGAAUAACCAAAACACAGAACCGAAACGAUUACCAAGUAAGUUUGAAUGACUUAAAGUAAACUUAUAAUAUGCAUAAUUGUGUAAAUUAUGAAUGUAUAAUAGUUGCAUUUAUUGAUGACAUGAAAUGCAUCUUUAUUAAUGACAUGUUGAUAAAUGUCCCGGUUAGGGUUAAAAAGGGAAUUCGAUGGAUAAACCAUGAGUGACAUGUGAAUUGAGAUCCUACAUGUGUUGCAGCAAGGAUUUAGCCCAGACGGGUAAUCUGUGAUCUCAAGUAUAGAAAGGAUCUAGCCCAGACUGGUGUUCCUUGAAUGAUCGAGCCUCCCGAAGAAUACAUGUGCAUUAUGGAUUUAGCCCAGACGGGUAAUCCGAUAAGGGUCUGAAUUUAUCCUGGACUGGUAAUUCAGAUCCGAGCUCAUUAAGAGUGUUUGUCACAAUAAGGGAUUUAGCCUAGAAUGGUAAUCCUGACAUUACCUUAUGAGUUUGUAAAAUGGGGGAUUUAGCCUGGACUGGUAGUCCCGCCAUAAGAUGUGAGGUUCGCGGGAGUGCAUAUCUAAAAUGAUCAUUUGUAUGAAUUGACGGUUAAUGGAUACUCCAUUGAGAUUUCCUAGAAACUGAAUAGGAUUAUCAUGAGAUAUAUGUAUAAAAUGAGAUACAGAAUGAUGAGCUCAUCUAAGAUAAGUUAUAUGAUGCUUUGAUAUGUGGCUAACUCAUUGGUUGAGUGCAUGUGAUAGGGAACCAUUUCAUACAUGUUGGUUUCCUUAUCUAUUAUAGAUGUAUGCUAAUUACUAGGUAAGUUUACUUUUUGGUUAUUUGAGCUUGCUAAGCAUGAAAAUGCAUACCCUUCUUUUUUCCCUAUUUUUCAGAGCUCAAGGACUUGUGAGGAUUGGAAGACGGUUGGAAAGCCAGCACACUAUCAAAUAGGCCAGCUUUGGUAUAAAGACAUUUCUAUUUUGUUCAAUGGCAUGUACAGGGUUUUGAGUAUUUUGUUAUAUGUGUCAUUUGAUUUACCAAAUGAGGGCAUGUAAAGAUGUAUCUAUCUUUUUGUAUAUGGUCAUAGGAAUUGGCUUAUUUUGAUGUAGGCUAUGACCUACACUUCUAUGUUCACUUGUUUUUACAUAUGAUGGUUUAUCAUAGUUGGCAAUGUGUCACAAGAACGAGCCAAAUUUUGAAUGUGUUAUAUUGACAUUGAAACCCUUAAAUACAAGGUGGGAAGAAUAAUCUAGCAUGCAUGAAACCAAUGAUAUGAGAUUUCCAAUGCAAUAAGAUUUGCAAAGAGCAUUCCUAAGAGUAUGAUUACGUUUUGCCAGGUAUUUGGUAACCAUUAAGUAUAAGUAGUAAAAAGGGUGACCAAAGGCUUGGAAAAUAGCCUAUUAAGGUCCACAGGGUAGGGAACAGGGGCGUGUGUCUAGGCCGUGUGUGACACACGGCUCACUCCCAUGGGUGUGUGCUAUGGUCGUGUGUCCUCUACACUUAAAAUUUUAGGUCAAUGUUGAACACGAGCAAACCACACGAGCAUGUGCCUUGGCCAUGUUUAAAAGACAAUAUUGAACACGGGUGGGCCACACGGGCGUGUGCCAAGGCUGUGUUGAAAAGUCAGUGUUGCACACAGACUGAGGACAUGGGCGUGUCCCAAGCCACACGGACGUAUGUGACCACACUGCCCACCCAUAUGGGCGUGUGAUACUUCAAAAUAAGAAAAAUUUCCUUAGGAGUCCAAGGUUCAUCGAACGUUCUUGGUUAUGUCCCGCACUACCUAUAGGUAUUAUUUUAAGCCUCGAAAGCUUACUAUAGGGACGGGAUGUAUAUGGUUGAAAAAGUUUUAAAUUUGAGUGAAACUUUGUGACCUGAGUUGGUAUAAGGAAAAUGUAAAGUCCCGGUAAUGCCUCAAACUCUAUCCCAAUGCCGGAUACGGGUGAGGGGUGUUAUAGAUGGCUUUAAGCCUAUUAUACUAGUAGCUCUGCUGCAUAUUACUGUCUAGUACCACAACCGGUGCUAACUCUGGAGUGUAGGGAUGGGUGGGUUGAUUAUAUCCCCACAUGGAGUGUAGGGUUGGACGGAGAUAGAGUAUAGAGGCUAGAUGGGCAGGACUUGCAUAUUGUUUUCUGUUUUUAUACUAUUUACUGUUACUGUAAUGGGCCAAGGCCCGACAAAAUGACUAUUUCUGUAUUGAGAUGGGCUAAAGCCCAAACUGAUACUGCCACUGUUAGUAAAAAUGGCUUAGGACCAGAUUGUAUUUGUUCACUGUAUGUUUGACUGUCUAUUUGUUAGGGGAUUACACACUGAGUUUUUGUAAAAUCACUCUUCUGCAUAUAUGUGCAGGAAAUCCUUAGGCGGAUCGGUGCUACGAGGGACUCGAAGGUGGCCACACAAUAGUUUACGCAUCUAUAUUUGUCCUUUAAUUUAUAAGUAGUUUAAUUUGGGUAUUUUUAUGUAAUAAGGCCUCUUGGGAUUUUAUUUUUAUUUUUGGAUUUAUAUUUGUUUUGCUUUAAUACUGCUAGCGGUAGGAAAAACACGCAGGUUUUCAAAAAGAUAAUUUUUUUUCAAAAAUACCACAAAUACGCAAAUGGUUUAAGAGCUACUGUAAGAAAAAAAAGUUUUACAAGUAAACGCUAGCACGCAACUGUUUUAAAAAGCUUCCACUACAAACGAGAUUUUGAAAUUAAUAAUGUUUUAAAAUAAAUACUUUUUAUAGUGAUGCAAAUUUUAAAACCAUCUUCUAGAUCACACAAUGAGGCUUAAUAAAGAAUUGGCUUUGCAAAUGAUAUCAUGAUUUAAGAAAAACACUUCUAUAUGACAUCGCCAGAUUUGGCCAUAACGUCUAGGUCGGGUUUGGGGUGUUACAGGAAGAACCAUUUUAUUUCAUUUCUCAUAUUAAUCUCAUUGAAUUUCUCAAAAUCUCGAUGGAUAUCCCAUUCACCAUCAAUUCAUACAAGUGAUCAUUUCAAGUACACACUCCCGCAAACUUCGCUCUUACAGUGGGAUUGAUAGCCCAGACUAAAUCCCCUGUAGUAUAAACUCAUAUGGUAAUGUCGGGAUUACCAGUCUAGGCUAGAUCCCACAGCGACAAUUAUGCUUAUGAGUUCGGAUCUGAAUUACUAGUCUAAGCUAAAUUCAGGCCCUAAUCGGAUUACCCGUCCAGGCUAAAUCCAUUUCAGCACACAUAUUCUUCGGGAGGCUAGAUCACUUUACAAGUUCAUGUCCAUCAAAUCGUAUUUUCCCUUUAUAAAAAGCACACUCCCGCGAACCUCCUUUCUUACAGCGGGAUUACCAGUCUAGGCUAAAUCCCCUGUAAUAUAAACUCAUAAAGUAUCGCUGGGAUUACCACUCCAGGCUAAAUCUCCUACAGAAGAUGAAUAGGGAAAUAUCGAUUCCAAGGAUUAAGUCAAAAUUUUGAAAUUUUUAUUCAAUAUAGUUAUAACUAAUCCCAAAAAACAAACAAUUAGAAAAAAUCUAUUGGAAUAAAAGAAAUAAAUAAAAAAGUUCCUCGAUGGUCAUACAAAUUAAUCGAUGAUUUAGAACAACAGGAGGGAGAAAACGAGGAAAAUGUAACAGCAGAGCAUGAAAUUCAUUCAAGAAAAUCCAAGCGUGUCGUGAUUUUUAC